UUGUUUGUUUGUUUUCUUUAUACAAUACAUUUUAUGUUGAUUCUAAUUAUAUAACAUGCCUGUGGAAUUUUCAGUCAGAUCUUAAAAUCUAGCUUAAUCAUAAAGCAUUGAAUCAGAGAGUUAAAGUUAGGAAAAGAGAGCAUAUGAGAAAAUAGAUAGAGUGCUGGGACAUUUGGAGAUCAAAUUGAAGCCUUCUUUAAAAAUUAAGGGUAUUAUCUUGAGAAUCGUGAGAAUAACUUGGUCAGUAUUUGAAAGACAUGUCUCAAAUAGGUCAAAUAGUGGAUGUGUGAUCCUACAUCAAAAGGAAUAGAAAAAUUAGUUCCACAUAAGCAUGGGGAAUGUACAACGAAGAUGGAGUUUGCAGAAGAAGUAGCGAUGCACAGUCUCAGUUAAAAUUAUUGUUGUUAAAGUGUCAAAUGAUCUUUAUCUUUCACUUUCAUAUUACAUGAUGUGUUGCUUGCAUUUUCAAGGAUUGACAUGACGAAGACAUUUCAUUCUGCUAUCCAAACAUCGUGUCAUCCUUUGUUUACCCCAUUGAGCUUUAGUCCUAUUUUCUUUCCUGCCCCUCUUUUGGAAUCAAGAUAGACUCAGCAAAGCUCAAAAGAUAAGUGUUGAGCAAAACAAUAGAGUCAGAAACAUUUUCAAGAAAAAAAGGAAAAAGAGAAAAAUGUGUCAAAAGAAAGAAAGGAAAAGAAUGUCAAAAAUAGAGUUAGAAAAGUUUCAAAGGAAAAAAGUCAAUAAAAAAAAGAAAAGAAAGAAAAAAAAAUCAAAAUCAAGCAAAAGAACAAAUUGUCAGAACUACACAUGACCUGAUUCUCCUCUCUCGGGGGUGAGAUACAUAGGCUGCCCUACUUUAGGCUCGGUCCAACCAAAUAAACUAUUUAGAAUUGCCCAGUCAAAAGGAACUGGGGAAUGAGUUGAUCCUCAUUCUUUGAGUCGAUUCCAAAAGUUGUAAGUUCCACCCCACUUCAAGUGUCGUUUGAGCCUCAUGCCAUCCUUUUUUCUAACCAUAUCGAAAAGCUAAGUUACAACCAAAGAAAGACCUUCGGGUCAAUCUUUGAGAAUGUUAAGGCUAAACAUGCAAUUAAUGUGAUGAUGCAUUUGGGAACUACUUGUCUUCCUUAGCAUAAGAAAUCAAGAGAGAAAAAAAUGAGAGAGGCUUGUUGGCAAAAACCCUUCAAGGUGUUGCUAGCCGAAUGAGGUCUUAAAGGCAAUUGACAUAAGGAAACAACUUAGUUGCAAGCCCAGUUAACUCAACAACAAUUGGUAGAAAGUUUUAAUGGAAAGAUCAGGCAGCUUAAUCCAAAAUGCAUGGCAUAAUCAUUAGAGUUGACUGUCAUUUCUAGAUAAAUUUUUCAUUUCUUUUUUUCAAAUGGGGACAUUCAUUGUCUUUUCUUUCUUUUUUAUUUUUAUUUUAUUGAGUCAGUUAUCCAAAUAAAGUCAUUGUCAUUUUUUCUCUAGUAUUUGAGUCAAGUCCAUGUGGAAACAAGUGAAAAGAUUCCAAAACUAGCUACCAGCUUCUUUAAUUACACAAAGCAAGACAAAGCUAGCAUAUGAAAGAGACAUGAUUGUGAGCCGAAAAAAGGGCAUGCAGAAGUUUUGUCAACAGACAAGUGUGGGAGCUCAUGGAAAUACCAAAGUUCAAAGGAUUUAUCUGAAGAGCAUGGCAAAGCAAAGAUAUUGUGUUUGUUUCAAAGUCAUUUUUAAUAAUUUGAGUUUGGGUCAAUGAUGCAUCAAGUCAAUGAUAUAUGUAAUGGUUGGAAGCAAGAUUAAUGUGAUGAGGGAAAGGGCUAUCUCAGCGAAAGCUAAAGCCACAAAUCAGCCAACAUGUUUCAAACUCAUAAGUUUUCCUUGAUGAAACAGGAAACAUACUACCUUCAAAGCAAGAACUUUAGAGCAUAAACAUCAAGGGCUGCAAUGCCUCACUUUUACAAAUGCAGGAAGCAAUGUUGCUGCACAGGUUUGAUAGUAAAAUCAUGGUAAAAUUUAUCAUCCUAUAUAGCUCGGAGACACACUUGUCCAGGGAUUUGAAGUUUUGAUCAUUUGCUAGGUGAUACUCUUCUUAAAUUGAACCUUCACUCCUAGAAGACGUACCUUUUAGUCGAGUUAGCUCCUUUGAUUCCUAUAAGACGUACCUUUUAGUUGAGUCAUCCACCUUGAUUCCUAUAAGACAUACCUUUUAGUUGAGUCAUUUACUUGAUUCCUAUAAGACAUACCUUUUAGUCGAGUCAUACCCUUUGACCCCUAGAAGACGUACCUUUUAGUCGAAUCAUUCCCCUUGAUUCCUAGAAGACGUACCUUUUAGUCGAGGCAUCCCCUUUGAUUCCUAUAAGACGUACCCUUUAGUUGAGUCAUUCCCUUUGAUUCCUAUAAGACGUACCUUUAGUUCAGUCAUCCCCUUUGAUUCCUAUAAGACGUACCUUUUAGUCGAGUCAUUUUCCUUGAUUUCUAAAAAAUGUACUUUCUAGUCGAGUAAUUGCACAAUCCUUAUGAGACGCACUUCCUUGUUAGUUUUCAUUUGUCAGGUGACACACUUUUUAAUUUAAACUUCUAUCUCUAGAAGACACAUUUUUAAGUCAAAAUUCCUUACUUUAAUUUUUAGGAGACGCACUUCCUAAUCUUGGUCAUUUAAUUUUACUCUCAAGAGAUGUAUUUCUUGGUCAGAGUCUUGAUUCAUUAUUGCAACAUGCACAUAGGUAUGAUCUGACUUUCUCAAAAGUCUUCUGAUGGUAAACUGGGGCAAAAAAAAAAUUAAUAUCUGUUUUGGAACUUUACUUUUUUGGCAAACGAUUUUCUCUUUACAAUAAUUUUGUUUGGGACAAUUUUCUUUCUAGUUUUGAUGUGAUUUCAGGAGCCCAUCCGAAGCACAAGGCGAAUAAAUGGAAAGUCAAGCAACAAGGUGAAGAAAUUUAAAGUCAAGCAACAAGGUGAAGAAGUUGAAAGUCAAGUAACAAAGUGAGGAAAAUAAAAGUCAACAGAUCGAAAAUAGAAAGUCAGGAUCCCGCCUGGAGAACAGGGUGAUGAAAUUGAAAAUCAAGCAACAAGUUGAAGAAAUUUCAAAUCAAGAGCCCGCCUGAAGAAUAGGGUGAUGAAACUUAAGUCAAGAGUCCAACAAAAGCUGCGUAGAUAGGAUUUUGUAAUUUAAUUUAUGUUUUUAACUUGUAAUUUUUAUUUUUGAUGUAAUAACAGAGCCGCGGAUCGGAACCUCGAUGGGACCUCACUCGAGUCUCUAACUCGGCAUAGUCCAUAUCCUUCCAAUCCUUUGAGAUAAUUGUUACUCGAUUCCCUCAAAACUUGGGUAGGUAGGAUGUCCUAAGUCAAGACCUGGUUUCCCUCCUUCCUCGUGCUCCGUGCUUUUGAAUAAAGGUUAGGACAAAAUUCUGUCUCAUUGUCUACUGCUUUCCAUGUGUUUACAUCCAAAGGGGGCAUGAUGUAGACACGUAAUUUUAUCCUUUUCCAAAAAUAUUUUAAUCAUUUUAUUUUUAUUUUUAUUUUAUUUUUAUUUUAUUCACUUUACCAUACUUUUGUUUAAUUGAUAAUUUCUCCUAAAAAAAGAAUUGAAAAUAAUUAAAUACAUAGCAUCUUUGCCACCUCACUAUGCCACCUCAACACCUCACUUUCCAUUUUUCAUUGGAUACAUGCAAAAGACACACACCCUACUCAUUUUUUCACACGCCACCCUCAUCUUUCCACAUGCCACACUAACUUUUCCACAUGCCACACACUUAUUCCGACAAGCCACCAAUUAUUGCUUCCACAUAGGAUAAUAAAUAAAGAAAAAGAAAAACCAAAUAAAAAAUAUAAAAAAAAAAAUUCUAAAAGGGGAAAAGGGGAUGCUCUCACUAUUUUCCCAUUUUUAUAGUAUAUACACACAAAUACAAUACAGUGGUAGAAGAGGACCACACAGUUGGAGGGACUCCAUCAUAUCCUCACCAUUUCGCUAACAAAUUCACACAUACACAAUACGGACCCGAAUACCAAAAAAUACUAACAAGAAAUACACACUCCUCCAUUCUCAUACUCAUGACAUACACACCUUCACCACCAUUUUUAUGGUCUGAUCUGCACAAUCAUACUUACACCGCCUAACCACCACCAGUAAUACAUCAACAACAUUAACUACAAACCACCCUUAGAAGUCUUCUACAUACACCGGACAUGUGAGAUCAGAGAGAGAUGAAGAAAGGAGAUGGUAAGCUGAAAUCGACCGAAGAGCGGAGAAAAAUGAAGAGAGAUUGAGAGAGAGUGAAGGGAGAUCAAAAAUUGAGGGAGAUUGGAGAAAACAAAGAGGCGAGAUAUAGAUUGAGCGAAAAUCUGACUGGCACUGAAUUUGUUGUCAUUUUUGACUGUUGUCUGGUGAACUUUUUCGUCGGAACUAGUUUGUUUUAGUUCGUUUUUAAUUGAACUAGUCUCCAAAUUCAGAAAUAAAAAGAAUCAGCUAUGACUUCCUCGUCGAAUCGACCCAUUGGAAUCGUGUCAUACGAAAUUUGGUUAGAAUUUAGAUUUUAUCGCAUUUUCUAUUUCGGACUCUUCGGUUACUCGUAUUGAUUUGGAAGUUGAUGUCUGUUCGUCCCAAUUGGAUUAUUGUGAGUAGUUCGGGUUUUAAUUUCUCAAAUACCAAGUCUGGGAUUCAUCGCUGUUGAGGUUAUCUUAUUCGGUGUUCCAAAUUCAGGUUUUCUUAAAUAUUAUUAUCAACGAAAGUUUGUCAUCGAAAGGUGCAAUUCUAUCUCUUCUUCAUGUUAUCAUAUAUUUUUGGUUGGUGUGAGAUACGAUUGAAUAUUGAGUGAUAUUGAUUUGUUCUGCUUCAUUGCGUUGAAGAAAUGGUUGUGGAUUGUUCAAAUAAUGAUUUUGGAUUGUUGAAAUUUAGUGUUAAAAAGGGAUUUGGGGGGUGAGAAUUAAAAAUUGACAAAAAUGAUAGAUUUGAUUUAAUUUUGAUUCACUAUUGAUAUGAAACGCGAUAUUAUCAUGCUCCGUUGAAACGAAUAGGCGAAUAUAAGUUCGGGUAGGCAAAAUUCUUAUGAAUAAUUGUUUUCGUUGAAUGUUUGAAAAUGGAAUAUUGGUUGAAUGUUUGCUAGUUUAUCGCAUUUGGAUUAAAAUGUACUAUUCAGUCGGGGAACUCCCCGAGGUACUUGUGUUUAUUGGCCGGGGAAUGCCCCGUGUAUUUUAUACUCGGAGGAUGUUCGCGAUAAAGGCCCGGGACAGUGGAUCAUGCAUUGGAGUGUAGUUUAGGAUUAGUGUAGGUUAGCGUAGGUUUACUUUUCAACUACCUUUUUUUCAUUUUGGGUUGUAAUAAUUGGACUGGACAUUGUUUUGGAUUUGUUUGUUUGUUUGAUUGUUUUAUUUGUGUUUGGUGUGGUUUAUACAUUUGUAGUGUUCAAAUUAGCCGAUAUACUCUACCAAGAGACCGUGGUCGAACCACAGGAUCGAGGAGUGCCUAACAUCUUCCCCUCGGUCAACAGAAUUCCUUAGUCAGAAUCUCUAUUCGCGGAUCAGUUUUAUAGAGUCAAAACCGUUUUGAAAAAAGAUAUCCACGAGUGACUUGGCACACCCGAUUUAUGUCAAGUGGCGACUCUGAGUUUUGAAACUAAUAAAUCCUUUUCAAAACAAUUUUCAUCUUUUGUCACUUUUAUAAUAAAACCCUUUCGAAACUUAAAAUAGAAUCUUUUGGAGUACGAAAAAGGGGUGUGACAAUGUAUUGCAAUAUAAAUUAAAAUCUGAAAUUUUUGUAAUUACUUUAAGUGAUUGGGAUUUUUGGUAAUAAUGGUAAGUUAAGGUGUGGUAUUAUGUUGGAAAAUUUGGCUCAUGACCUAUUUUACAGUGGACUUCUUAUGUAACUUUGCAGAAGACAAAAAUGGACAAAUUAUUUAAUUUCACACCUUAACUUAUCAUUAUUACUUAAAAUCUCAAUCCUAUAUAAUAAUUAUAAAAAUAUCAUUUUUUAUUUUCUCUCUCUAAAUAUUCGGAUACAUCACAACACUCCGAAUUCACGCGCAAACACAUAAUUACAAUAGAAUUCUAUAACGCUCUGAGACUGGCCCCUGGAUGUCUCACAGUGUUUAAAACCACUAGUGAUCACAAGCUAACUCAUGAUUCUGGCAUAACUCAUGAGCAACUAAAUAAAUUACAUAAAACUAUAAAUAAUAAGCGGAAGAGAUGUCUUUCGUUGAACUUGUUCGAUACAAAACUGUUUAAGAAUGUUUACAUCACUAGAUAUACAAAGAAACGCUGAAACUGAAUACAUCAACUCUGAUUGAUUGUCAAUGAAGUCUCUACUAAUACUGACUCUACGUAGCGAGGGCAUGGCCCCCAUCUAUCCCUAAUCAGUACAACUGAAUAAAAUAUGAAUUUCAGAAUGUACUGACUUGACUUCUCAAAUAAGGAGAACUCAUCAUGUGCUGACUGGAAACUGCUAACUGCCUGACCAUGAUAAUGACCUAUGUAUUAUGAAACAAUGUCGCCAAGCAGACGUAUAUAUAGUCAGUACUUCUGAAAUGUACUAAGUGAGGAUGAAUGAAAUAAGUAAAAUUGAAUUAAUGCAUAAUCUUAAAACAUGCAUGCUAAGUGCAAGUAGACUCACCAAGACAACAACAACACCAACAAACCCAGUGUAAUCCCACACAGUGGGUUCUGGAGAGGGUAAAAUAUACGCAAUCCAUAUCACUACCUCCAGAGAAGUAUAAAGACUAUUUUCGAAAGACUCACCAAGAGACUAAAAUAAACUGAAAGCCAAAAUAUCAUAAAAUAUGAAUAACAAAGCGUAAUCUGAUAAACUAGGUGAGUCACUACACUUAGUUUCUUAAAUCUUUACUCCUAUGGAAUAAGUAAAACUGAAGUUGGAUAUUCUUUCAAAUCAUGCACGCUAAGUGUAAAAGGACUCAUCUUUAUCAUAGGUAAAACUGAAAGCUGAACUCUCAAGAUGGAAUAACUCAUAGAACAAUCUCUGAACAAAAUGUGAGUCUUUACACUUAACUUCUAAAAUACUCUUUUUCUCUGGGAGAUUCUCAUAAUUGAAAUAAAUCAUGUGAUCUAGCAUGGAGUCCAACAUUUGACCCACGUUGAGGAGGAUUGUUCUACCCUUGCCAUCGAAAUAGAACAUGAACUAAACUGGAGUGAUCACUAAACUGAGCAUAUAUUGGCAAGGGGGACGCUCUCUAGCGAGGCCUCUAAACCUAUGAUGGCAUGCAAUUUAUGAAAAAUAGGAUGUGUUGAACCCACACUUCUCUCUUGGUGCUAAAUACAACUCCCAAUAUAUAUAUAUUAUAUGCUCAUACUGAUGAAAUUCACCUUAAAAUAAGCAUAUGGGUUUAUAAAUUUGACAACCAAUCAUGAUUUUGUUAAUAAAUCAUACACGUGAAUACCUGUGUGAAUUUCGUAUCAUGUCUCAGAUCAUAAGAUCAAAACUGAAAUUUGAAUCAUAGUGAAGUAAUCUAAAUUUGUAAAUUUGAACUUCUUGUAAACUAGGAGAAACAUGAUAAAUUCAUAUACUCUUCUUUGUAAACUGACUAAAUCAAGCUGAAAAUCAUAUAUAUUCACCAUUUCAUAGAAAUUCAUGUCAUAAUAACAAUCAUAUAAGUGAAAACAUUAGUAAAGGUAAAUUCUUGUGCAAACUGAACUUUAAAUCACAUGUUAAUAUAAUAUCAUCAUUUCAAAAACGUGAAAACUAAGUAUGAAUCCUUAUUGAAAUCAUAUAAAUUUAAUUAUAAAAUCAAGGUUUUUGGGUACAAGGAUGAAAGGUUAUCCUUGUUCAAACCCCAAAUACCUAAAUUUCUUGAAAGAAACAUGAAUUUGGAUCAUUGAAAGUAGAAUUUUGAGAAAAAACCCUAACUUCUUUCUUUUGAGAGUGGGAAGGAGAAUGAGCGUUGAAAAAUUGAUAAAUGAUGAGUACAUAAUCUUUAUAGGGUUAUUUAAGUAGUAGGGAUAGAGUUUGAGGUGAGUAAAAGACCAAAAUAUCCUAAAGAAAUAGGACAAUCUUGCUGGAAUUUCUCAGUUGACAAUUGUUGAUAACUCGUCAACCUAGUCGUCAAUCUCUAGUUGGAUUUUGCCAUUUUCUGAUUAAGGUUGAUGACUUUAGUUGACAUCUUGUCAAUUUAGUCUUCACCUAGUUGACGACUCGUCAACUUAGUCAUCACUUUUUGGCAGACAGACACUCCCAAGUAAAAUAAGCAUAACUUUUUACUCUGAUAUCAAAUUAAGGUAAAAUCAGAUGCAUUGGAAAGAAGAUUCGAAGAUCUUUCAUUUAGUGGGUCAUGACCUACAAAACUAUAUGUAUUCUAGAAGUUACACUCAUUUAAAGUUGACUCUUAUAGGAACCAAUACUAAAAUUCAAUCAAUUCAAAUGUUUCAACUCAACUUUGCUCUAAGUGCUUCUUAUGACCAUAAUCGCAUUGAAAAUAAAGGUGAAUGGUCAUGACACUUAUUUACGGGUUAAAAUAAUCGCUUUGGAUACUUUAAACAUAUGACGAAUGGUUAGGAACUUAGAUAGGAAUUUGUGGGGUAUUACUAAUUCUCUCCUCCAUUUCCUCCAUUAUCACGCUCAUUCCAUCAACUUCUUUGUUCAUUUUAAUCAACUGAGGCAACAUUCUUCUCCUCCCUAAAAAACAAAGCCAUUUUUAUAAUUUUGAGUCAUUUAUAAACAUAGUCAUAUAAAUACUCAUUAAUUCCCACAUUUUUCAGAUAUGGAUAUAGGUGGCUGGUUUCCUCCGUUUUUGGUUGCGACUGUGAAAUUAUUAGUUAUUUCCGAAGGAGCUUCAUUGGAGUUUGUUUGGAACAUCUGAGUUUCGUUGUCGUUGAGCUAGCUUAAUCGAUUUCGUCAUUAUCUGUGUUCUUCGACGAUUUGGUCAUUUAUGCUUACUGCCUUGUAUAAUAUUAGUGCUUUGUAGUAUAGGAUAUAUGCUAUCUAUGUUGUAGUUGUUUUUGUAGCAAUUUCUUUCUUGUUUCUUUAUAAAGCCAUGUCUUUGAUGUUGUGCCUUUUUUUCUUGUAUGGUGUAUGGUUCUUAAGUUGCAUGCUCUUUUAUAACAUCUUUUCACGUCCUAGUGUUUGGAAUUGAUCGCGAUGAACUUUUGUGAAUAUAAUAUUAUCAAGGGAAAAGGCUCAAAUAUGCCACUGAACUAUCAGAAAUGGCUCAUUUAUGCCAUCUGUUAAAAGUUGGGCUCAUUCAUGCCAUCGCCGUAACAAAACUGGCCCAUCCAUGCCAUUACUUUUAACAACCGAUUUUUAAAAAACAGCUUUGCCACGUAGCAGCAUAUUAGAGGUCCACAUCAUUUUUAAUUUUUUUUUUAUCCAUUAAAAAGAAUUCAUCCAACUUUUUGAUCCAUUAAAAAUUAGUUUGAUCUAUGACGAUUAGGUUAAUAGUAGAGUCAAAAUUUUCAUUAAAAGAUUUUAAAAUAACAUAAAAAUAUAUAUGAAGAAAUCAAUGAACAUAUAUAUAUAUAUAUAUACAUUAAUUUAUUUUAUACUCCUACACAAUAUAUACUCCCAUGUUAUCUAACUUAUCAAAAAUAUAUUGGAUUUACUUUUGUUUUUAUAUAUGCCGACUGACCUUAGACUAUAAUAUACAAAUUCCAGGUCAUCUUCAUUUUAUUCUUUCUUCUUAGAUAUUUUUUUUCAUUAAAGAGAAAGGAACAAUAAAAUUUUGGAAUUAAUCAAUUCAUUAAUUAAGUACAUAAUGAAAUGAUAAAGACUAUACAUACAUAAUACUUGUGAGUUGUAACUUGCAUGCAUGGCUUAUAUAUUAUUUUUAUUCAAUUUCUAAUUAGGAUUGGACCACUUAAAAUUAAUUAUAUAAGGAUAUAAAACUAUAACGUCUCUCCAAUUUUUAUGUAACUAUAUCAUUAAAUCAAAUUGUAAUUUAAGAAAAGCAUAAUUGUAAUUUAGACAAAUAUUCUACCUCCAAUGAUUAAUGUUGAUUGUCAAAUAAUUAUCUUAAUAUAUGAUUGUGCCAAAACAUUAAACGAUAUAUUAAAAAAGAUGAAAGGGAGUGGUAUAAUGACUGUUUGAGAGAACAAUGUCCCACGUGAAAAGUAAAAAAGAAAUAAAAUUAUUUAUAAAAUAUCGGAUAUUUAAGGUCUCUUGAAAAAAAUGUCAAUUUGGUUCAAAGCGAAUGAUAUCAUACAAUAUUAAAAGUAUUUUAUGGUAAUUAAUUAGCAUAAUAAUUGAGAUCAGUUAAAAGGAGGAAGGAAACUGGAACAAUAUAGAUGAAAGAAUUAUUCAAUCUUAUUAUGUACAUAACAAUGAACCUACACUGUAUUUAUAUAGAUAAAGGAGUCCUAAUUGUUUCCUAAUUACUAGCCUAAUAACAGGGGAGAUCCCUGAUUUAAGAAUUGCAGAUUUAAGGGGAUCAGAUUUAUGAUUUUGUGAUAAUCAUUAUUUGAUUUUGUGACACUAAAUAAGGUAGCAUCCAAACAAGGUAGCAUUUAAAUAAGGUAACAUCAAUACCCUCCCUCAAACUUAUGUUCUGUAUCACAAAACAUGAGUUUCGACAAAAGAUAACUGUGUCAACUUCUUGACAUGGCCUUAGUGAACAAAUCAGCCAAUUGAUCUUUAGAGGAUAUAUAUCUAAGAUUAAUGCUCCGAUCUUCAACUAGUUCUCUGAUGUAGUGACAAUCUACGUCUAUGUGCUUGGUAUUUUAAUGAUGCACGGGGUUGGUUGCUAUUCUGAUUGCACUGGUGUUGUCUCCAUACAUUAUGGUUGAUCCUUCCAUUUUGAUGCCAAGUUCUGAUAAUAGCUUCCGUAGCCAAAUAAUUUCAGAGCACGCAUCUGACAUACUUCUAUACUCUGCUUCUGUAGAUGACUUUGAUGUUCGAGAUUAUUUCUUGCACUUCCAAGAGAUCAUACACGAUCCAAGUAUCAUGCACCAGCCUAUUGUGGAUCAUCUUGAAUCAGGGCAUCCUUCCCAAUCCGCAUUAGCGUAUCCCACUAUGUCCAGCGAUGAAGAUGAUGGAAAUAAAAGGCUUCGAUUCACUGUGCCUUUUAUAUAUCGAAUAACCCUGAGCAAAGCUGAGUAGUGAAUCUUGUAGGGCUUCGUAACAAACUGGCUUAACACCUGUACUGCAUAAGAGAUAUCAGGAUGAAUCAUAGUAAGGUAUAUAAGUGAUCCAAUUAGGCGUCUAUAUAGAAUUUGAUCUCCAAAAAGCUCUCCUUCCUAUUUUUUGUAUUUAGUAUUCACUUUCAUUGGAGUAUGAACCUUUUUAUGAUUAGUUAGAUUAACUAACUUAACAAGAUCUUCUGCAUAUUUUUGCUGACUCAAUUUUAUGCCUUCUACACCAUAACUUACCUCCAAACCUAAAAAAUAUGUUAGCUUUCCAAGGUCUUUCAUCUUGAACGAGAAGUGUAAUAGGUUUUUCAAAUGAGAGAUUCCAACCUCAUCGUUCCCUAUAAUAAUCAUGUCAUCUACAUAAAUAAGAAUAAUAGUAAUACCUGAGCCAGACUGACGUAGGAAUAAUUAAUAAUCUGAGCUACUCUGAGAAAAACCAGCACCAAGGAUUGUAGUUCGGAAUUUUUCAAACCAUGAGCGAGGAGCCUGCUUUAAUCCAUAAAGAGAUUUCUUAAGACGACAUACCUGAUUUGGACUAGAAUGUUUGUAACCUGGUGGUGGAUUUAUGUAGAUCACUUCUUGCAAAUCUCCAUGUAGGAAUGCAUUCUUGACAUCUAGUUGGUGUAACUUCUAACUUAUUAUUGAUGCUAAAACAAGCAAUAUACGUACUGUCGUCAUCUUGGAUACUGGAGCAAAGUUUUCUUCGUUGUCGAUUCCAUACUGCUGCUUGUACCCUUGAGCUACCAACCUUGCCUUAUAUCAAUCUAGGGAUCCAUCAGCUUUUAUCUUGACUGAGUACACCCAUCUACUUCCAAUAAUUGUUGUGUUUGUUGGUCUAUCCACCAUAUCCCAUGUAUCAUUCUCCUCAAGGGCUGCUAGUUCUUCAUUCAUUGCAUUUUUCCAACACUUCUAACCACUAGCCUGUAUAUAAGUAUUUGGCACAACUAUAGAAUUCAAGGUUGUUAGUAAGGCAUAUGAUCGACCAUAUUCGCCUGUAGAAUAUCCAUAUCGGCUUGGAGGAGGAGCAUGACGAGAUGAGGGUCUAAUAGGGUCAAUGAUAUUUUGAGGAGAUGGAGGUUGAUUAUUACUAUUUAAAGAAACAUUAUGACAGUCAUCUUGGUGAGGUAAAGAAUUAGUGCUCAUCGAAGUAAUAUCAUUAUCAAAAAAAGGAUCUAAGUCAUAAGUAGUACCUGUUGUGACAGAAGACAAGUUUGGCGAUGGACCAACGCCUAGGUUGUUAUGGCAAGCAGAAUCAUGAGUCGUGAGUUCUUUUAAAAAGGAUAUAGUAGACAAUUGUGAGUCUUUACUAGUAUAAGUAAAAGAAUUUUCAAAGAAGAUAACAUGUCGAGAUAUUCUUAAUAAGCGACAUGAUGAAUCAUAACACAAAUACCCUUUUUGGAUAUCAUUGUACCUCAAAAAAGUACAUUUAACAGCUUUUGAGGAUAAUUUAUGGCGUUCAUGGUCUGAAAGAAGAAUGAAGCAUACACAACCAAAUACUUUAAGGUGCGAAUAGUCGGGAAAUUUUUUAAAAAGGACAAAAUAAGGGCAAUUUUGUUUGAUAAAAAACGAUGAUUGUCUAUUUAUAAGAUAAAUGGACGUUUGGAUUGCUUCAACCCAAAAUGUUUUUGGAACAUUUGAUGUAUCAAGAAGAGCUAAGGCAGUUUCAACAACAUAUCUAGUCUUACGUUCCACCACACUAUUUUGUUCCUGUGUAUAGGGUCAAGAACGUUGGUGAAUAAUGCCUUUUUCUUGAAAAAAACUUGUGAGGUUCGAGUUUACAUACUCUCCUCCCUAAUCUGAACGAAAAAUCUUGAUUUUUUUCUCAAAUUGAGUUUCGAUGAGGUUAUAAAACUUUUUGACAAUGUUUGGUACCUCAGAUUUGUGUUUCAAAAAGAAAACCCAUGUACAACGAGAUGCUUGAUCGAUGAACAAGAUAAAAUACUUGUAACCCAUACGAGAUAUAAUUGGAGAAGGUCCCAAACAUUACUAUGAAUUAAAUCAAAUGGAGUAGAAUAAGUAGUAUUGCUUAAUUGAAAAAGGAGUUUAUGACUCUUUGAUUUUGCAUAGCUCUCACAAGGUAAUUUAGUGGGAAAAAUUAGCGAGUCUUUACUCAACAAAUUGCAGGAUUUCAACAUAAAAUUUAAACGUGAAGUAUGUGAAUGGCCUAAACGAAGAUACCAUAAAGUCCACAUUUUAUUUAAAAACUCAAUAUCUUUAUUUGAAGCUGAAAAAAUGCAAUGAUGAAAUUUUGUGUCCGGAGAUUGAAGAAGAAACAGCCUGCCAACCUUACGCCCCCUGGCCAUCGUUUUUUCUGUCAACAUGUUCUGAAUAAUACAACCAUUAGGGGAAAAAAAACCAAAUAAUUUUGUUCUACAAGUUGUCCAACGGAUAAAAGAUUUGUAGUAAGUUUCGGUACACAAAGAACUUCUAAAAAUGGCUUAAUGGAACCCAUACCUGAUGCAGAUAAAACAUGGCCAUUUGCAGUAACAAUUUCAUGUGUGGAAGGUGUUUUAGAUUGAUUAGAAAUUUUUUUUUGGUUUCCUGUCAUGUGGUUAGAUGCAACAGAAUCAAUAUGCCAUACCAUUGAAUUCGAAAUCUUAUUCUUACCGAGAUAUGUAGCGGUCAGAGCUAUAGAGAUUGCAUUAGGGAGAGUAGCCGCCAAUGAAUCUUGUAUCAUCUUAUAAAUGUCGUUGCGAUCAAAUAAUUGUGGUGCAUCUUGUGUUUCUGGAGUGUGUUGUGUACCCACAUCCCUUGUCAUCGCGUGAAAGGCUUUAUAAGGAGUUGAGUGUUUUACUGAACCAGAUUUCUUACGGCAUUCCAAAAUAAUGUGACCAUCCUUCUUACAAUAGUUACAAUAAUUUCGCUUCUUGCAAUGGGAAAUGACAUGCCCUGUUUCUUUGCAAUGAUAGCAUUGAACUGGUUUGUUAGAGUUUUCCGAGGAAGAACUUCUGUAUGUAGCCAUGGCAGUGUCCACAAAAAGGGGAUUUCCCAUAGAGGCUUGAGAACCUAACCGAGUUUCUUCUCGAAGUACUUCAGAAACCACCACAUCUAAAGCUGGUAGUUUUUCUCUGUUGAGAAUACUGGCACGUAAAGGCUCGAACUCAGACCUAAGUUUCAUAAGGAAUUGGACAGUCCUUGUCCUCUUUGUAGUAGUCAUGAAGUCAUUUAGUCCAGCAGCACUAAUUGAGGCAGCAAAAUAUUGAUCUUGCUCUGCCCAUAAUCUGAGUAGUCCCGAAUAGAAGCACCGAACACUUUUCUCACCUUGUGUUGAUUCUGUAAGUAGCUUUUCUAAUUCAAAUUCUCUAGCCAAAUUUUGUUGGUUAUCGAGAGUAUGUAGAUGACUCCACAUUUCAGAUUCUUUCUCAAAAGAUGUCAGUUCCAUAGCUAUAUCAGUAGAAAUGGAAUUGACAAGCCAUGUUAUGAUUUUGCCGUUAUUAGCUUCCCAAGCUUCUUUUUCUUUGUCUUCUGUAGGUAUAGCCUUUGAGCCAUCUAGAAUACCAAAGAGUCCUUUACCUCUAAUGAAAGCCCUGAAAUGGAAUUUCUAGAUUGGAAAGUUAUGUUCAUCUAAUUUGGUUGACAAGAUAUCUCGUGAAUCCAUUCCGAUUGAACAAAAAAUGAAAGUCGGAGGGAAUCAACAAAAAAAUUCAAAGAUUACAACUAGAGUAACAGAUGUGGAUAUAGAAUCCGAGCCCAAUAUGAAUCAAACUGAUUUUUUGAAAAAAAAAGAAUAUUCAGAUCUCAGAGAGAGGAAAAAAAUAAGGCUCUUGAUACCAAGUUAAAAGGAGGAAGAAAACUGGAACAAUAUAGAUGAAAAAAUUAUUCAAUCUUAUUAUGUACAUAACAAUGAACCUACACUGUAUUUAUACCGAUAAAGGAGUCCUAAUUGUCUCCUCUUUACUAGCCUAAUAACAGGGGAGAUACCUGAUUUAAGGAUUGCAGAUUUAAGGAGAUCAGAUUUAUGAUUUUGUAAUAAUCAUUAUCUGAUUUUGUGACACUAAAUAAGGUAACAUCCAAACAAGGUAACGUUUAAAUAAGGUAACGUCAAUAAUAUCAACGCCACUGUACUGAAAUUUUUGCAGGAUGGGUAUGAGGAUGAUAAAGUGACGGCAUGAAACGUAUUAUCUUAUGUCUUUGCUUGUCUAUGGAUCAAUUUACUAUAUUUGACCACAAUUUUAAGCUGCAUACAACCAAAAAUAAAAGUCGAUGAGCUUGGUAACUAUAAAUACUCGGAUGAUAUGAGGCGAUACACAAAUAAUCUCAAAAUUAACUCAUUAACAGUAAUUAAUCAAGUAAAACUUAGUUCAUAGGGAGAUGAUCAUAUUAUUGAUCCGUCUUGUGAAUAGAGUCACACAUGAAAGCCAGAAAAGGAAAAAAAAAACUAUUGAUAUGGGGCAAUAUACAAAUAAUCUCAAAUUUUAAAAGCGUAGAUCAAAUUAAUUUUUAAUGGAUCAAAAAGUUGGGUGGGUUCUUUUUAAUGCAUAAAAAAUAAUUUAAAAAAAAAAUUAAUUUUAAUUUUUUUUUAAAAAUGACGUAGACCUCUAAUAUGUCACCACGUGGCAAAGCUGUUUUCUAAAAACCGGCUGUUAAAAGUAAUAACAUGGAUGAGUCAGUUUUGUAACGGCGAUGACAUGAAUGAACCCAACUUUUAACGGAUGACAUAAAUGAACCAUUUCUGAUAGUUCAGUGGCAUAUUUGAGUCUUUUUCUUAUUAUGAAAACUCAUUGCAUCCCAUGGUUUUAAAACAAAUUUAAAACAUAACAAUGAUACAUCGUAUACCUUGAUAAAGAUGUUGAAAAUGAUAUUAUAUGAAAAAACAAGUGUAUCCAUUUUGAGACGACUCUCCAUGAUUGUGUUUUAUUGCUUUACCUUUUACAUCAUAUUAAUUGGCAUUAUUUUAUGAAAAUUAAAACUUAGAUUUUUUUUUUUCAAAAAAAAAAAAAGAAUUAAAACGCCAAACUAAAUAAAAUGAAAAUACCUUAUGACCAAACAAGGAUUCCAGAGUAAAGUGAAUACAUACUUCCGAAUAAAGUUAAUACGAUUAAUGGUGGGUCUUAACAACCAUCAAUUUGAUUAGCAUAAACUUGAAACAACUACGAAAACGUGAAGAAAAAACAUAUAAAUAUAUCCCACAACACCAAAUGCACUCAUAAAGUGGAGUUCUAUGCUCUAAAUUUCCCACUAUGUACGACCCAGAGAAGGGCCGGACCACAAGCGUGUGUUGUAACUAGCCUCAUUUUGCAUUUGUAUAAGAGUUUAUUUCCACGACUUGAACUCAAGAGUCUAUUUGCAGCCUUACCUUGCAUUUAAUGCAUGAGUAUUUCCACAACCUGAACUCAAGAGUCUACUUGUAGUCUUACCUUGCAUUUUUUCAAGAGUCUAUUUCCACGUUUGAACUCAGGAGUCAAUUUCCACGACUUGAACUCAUGGCCUCCUGAUCAAGUGACAACAACUUUACCAGUUACUCCAAGGCUUCUCUUUGCAUCAAAUCGAUUCAUGAAUAUGGCAAAUCAAGAUUAGUUGCAGAAGAGAAAAGUUCACGACCAAGAUUGAAUGGUGUCACUCAAGAUGGAAUGAAUUUGCUUCAAUCACUUAGCCCCACAACUCCCUUCUGAUGAUCAUGUUGAAAAGACUCGGUCUUUAGCACAAUCUUGGAAACCCCAGACCCAAAGGUGCCUAAAGUAAUCAACAUUUUAAAAUAAAUGGUCCAAUAGAAUGUAACAUUUGACAAUCGACAGAGUUACCUGAUAGGUGUUGCUGGUGAGAGGUAGAAGGUAUCUGUAAAAUUAGUCGACGUAUGUGUCAGUUGAUCCGAACAAUAUGGUCAUAAAAAAUAACAGUAACAUUUGAUACUUUAGUAUGAGUUCAUUUUAUUUCUAUCUUGGAGGAUUAAAAGCAUAGUUCUUGAAUUUUCAAUUGACUAUAGUUCCAUUAAUUGCUACUUCAUUAAUAAUUGAGUACCGUUGUUUUUAUUAAGCCUAUUGCCAGCCCAUUCAAUCCUAAAGUCAAUGUAACAGUAAUAUCAUAUACAACUAAGGCUAGGACUAGCAGUGCUAGUCAGCACAUAGUGAGCCAAUCGGUCGUUGAGUACAGAAGGGACAAUCAAAUGUGAGUGUGGACAAUCAGUGUAGGAUGUGACAGAUUGAAUUCAAGAGUCUUUGAUAGAAUAAGUAAGUAGGGCAAAAUGUCCAGGAGGUAGUUUGUUUGAGUACCUUAGCUUGUCUCGGCGCCAUCAAGGUGUAAAUACUAUGUGAGUUUUUUUAAUCAUCGUUGUAGACUCUUGAUGUCCGACAAAGCUAUGGUCUACAGUCAAUGAAGUGUGAAAAUCUUGAGAGACAAGAGUCCAACAAUAUUUUGACCAAAUAUUAGGGGUGUCAAGUGGGCCGGCCCGACCUGGCCAGACUACCUAACCUGGCCCAUUUUGACCCGACCCGAUAAGCCCUAGGGCUUUAGGGUUCCGAGUCCCGGGCCGGUUAUUUUGUUAAAAUGGGUCUGGUUAAUCCGACCCGGCCCGAAAAAAUAAAAAAAAAGAUAUUUUGGAUUUUGGGCCAAACUAGCCGUUGGCCCAACGGCUAUAUAGCCGUUUUUGGGUCCAAACGGCUAGUUUGAGCCCAUUUAUUAAAAAAAAAAAAUUUUAAAAAUAUUUUUUAAUCCCAAAAAAAAAUCUAUAAAUACCCUACAACUUCAAAUCAUUUUUCACACAAUUUUUUACUCUCUCAAAUCUCAUUCUCUCUCAAAUCUCAAUUCUCAAUUCUCAAAUAUUCAAUAUAUUUAAUUUCUUAAAGUGUUCACUUUAAUUUUUUAAUUUUUCGUUUACAAAGUACGAGCGGAAGUUUCUAAAGUCACAAGUCGCAACCUUCGGAUACUUCCAAAAUUUGGUAUUGUCGUUCCAUCUCUUACGUUUAAUUUUUAUUUAUUGUAUUAAUUGUUUAAUAUUUAAUUUUAUUAUAUUUGUGUAUUUUGAAUAUUUUUAGUUUAAUUUAAUUUAUAUUAUGGAUAAAUUAAGAAACCUCGCUACUAAAGGUGUUAAAAUUUUUUGUCCCGGAAGCGGUAGUGGUAGUAAAAAGAGAAUAACUAGCGGUAGAGGUAGUUCAAGUAGUAGAUAUACCCGUAUGCCUUCGCCUCCGGUACCGCUUGGUACACCUUUUGAGGAAGAAAUAGGUGUAGGUGCUCACGAUAUGGAUAAUGUAGAAGCUCAGAAAAAUUACGGUAUAGAAGAAGAAAAUGAAGUAGAUGCGGUUAAUUUAGACGAAGAUAAUGAAAAUAUUGCUGAGACACCCGCAGUAGGAAAUGCUAACGUUAGAUCUGAAUCAGUUAAUCUCCCUUCCCGUCCUCCCAGUGCCCCAAAACCUCGUAAAAGAACUAGUAUUGCAUGNNNNNNNNNNNNNNNNNNNNNNNNNNNNNNNNNNNNNNNNNNNNNNNNNNNNNNNNNNNNNNNNNNNNNNNNNNNNNNNNNNNNNNNNNNNNNNNNNNNNNNNNNNNNNNNNNNNNNNNNNNNNNNNNNNNNNNNNNNNNNNNNNNNNNNNNNNNNNNNNNNNNNNNNNNNNNNNNNNNNNNNNNNNNNNNNNNNNNNNNNNNNNNNNNNNNNNNNNNNNNNNNNNNNNNNNNNNNNNNNNNNNNNNNNNNNNNNNNNNNNNNNNNNNNNNNNNNNNNNNNNNNNNNNNNNNNNNNNNNNNNNNNNNNNNNNNNNNNNNNNNNNNNNNNNNNNNNNNNNNNNNNNNNNNNNNNNNNNNNNNNNNNNNNNNNNNNNNNNNNNNNNNNNNNNNNNNNNNNNNNNNNNNNNNNNNNNNNNNNNNNNNNNNNNNNNNNNNNNNNNNNNNNNNNNNNNNNNNNNNNNNNNNNNNNNNNNNNNNNNNNNNNNNNNNNNNNNNNNNNNNNNNNNNNNNNNNNNNNNNNNNNNNNNNNNNNNNNNNNNNNNNNNNNNNNNNNNNNNNNNNNNNNNNNNNNNNNNNNNNNNNNNNNNNNNNNNNNNNNNNNNNNNNNNNNNNNNNNNNNNNNNNNNNNNNNNNNNNNNNNNNNNNNNNNNNNNNNNNNNNNNNNNNNNNNNNNNNNNNNNNNNNNNNNNNNNNNNNNNNNNNNNNNNNNNNNNNNNNNNNNNNNNNNNNNNNNNNNNNNNNNNNNNNNNNNNNNNNNNNNNNNNNNNNNNNNNNNNNNNNNNNNNNNNNNNNNNNNNNNNNNNNNNNNNNNNNNNNNNNNNNNNNNNNNNNNNNNNNNNNNNNNNNNNNNNNNNNNNNNNNNNNNNNNNNNNNNNNNNNNNNNNNNNNNNNNNNNNNNNNNNNNNNNNNNNNNNNNNNNNNNNNNNNNNNNNNNNNNNNNNNNNNNNNNNNNNNNNNNNNNNNNNNNNNNNNNNNNNNNNNNNNNNNNNNNNNNNNNNNNNNNNNNNNNNNNNNNNNNNNNNNNNNNNNNNNNNNNNNNNNNNNNNNNNNNNNNNNNNNNNNNNNNNNNNNNNNNNNNNNNNNNNNNNNNNNNNNNNNNNNNNNNNNNNNNNNNNNNNNNNNNNNNNNNNNNNNNNNNNNNNNNNNNNNNNNNNNNNNNNNNNNNNNNNNNNNNNNNNNNNNNNNNNNNNNNNNNNNNNNNNNNNNNNNNNNNNNNNNNNNNNNNNNNNNNNNNNNNNNNNNNNNNNNNNNNNNNNNNNNNNNNNNNNNNNNNNNNNNNNNNNNNNNNNNNNNNNNNNNNNNNNNNNNNNNNNNNNNNNNNNNNNNNNNNNNNNNNNNNNNNNNNNNNNNNNNNNNNNNNNNNNNNNNNNNNNNNNNNNNNNNNNNNNNNNNNNNNNNNNNNNNNNNNNNNNNNNNNNNNNNNNNNNNNNNNNNNNNNNNNNNNNNNNNNNNNNNNNNNNNNNNNNNNNNNNNNNNNNNNNNNNNNNNNNNNNNNNNNNNNNNNNNNNNNNNNNNNNNNNNNNNNNNNNNNNNNNNNNNNNNNNNNNNNNNNNNNNNNNNNNNNNNNNNNNNNNNNNNNNNNNNNNNNNNNNNNNNNNNNNNNNNNNNNNNNNNNNNNNNNNNNNNNNNNNNNNNNNNNNNNNNNNNNNNNNNNNNNNNNNNNNNNNNNNNNNNNNNNNNNNNNNNNNNNNNNNNNNNNNNNNNNNNNNNNNNNNNNNNNNNNNNNNNNNNNNNNNNNNNNNNNNNNNNNNNNNNNNNNNNNNNNNNNNNNNNNNNNNNNNNNNNNNNNNNNNNNNNNNNNNNNNNNNNNNNNNNNNNNNNNNNNNNNNNNNNNNNNNNNNNNNNNNNNNNNNNNNNNNNNNNNNNNNNNNNNNNNNNNNNNNNNNNNNNNNNNNNNNNNNNNNNNNNNNNNNNNNNNNNNNNNNNNNNNNNNNNNNNNNNNNNNNNNNNNNNNNNNNNNNNNNNNNNNNNNNNNNNNNNNNNNNNNNNNNNNNNNNNNNNNNNNNNNNNNNNNNNNNNNNNNNNNNNNNNNNNNNNNNNNNNNNNNNNNNNNNNNNNNNNNNNNNNNNNNNNNNNNNNNNNNNNNNNNNNNNNNNNNNNNNNNNNNNNNNNNNNNNNNNNNNNNNNNNNNNNNNNNNNNNNNNNNNNNNNNNNNNNNNNNNNNNNNNNNNNNNNNNNNNNNNNNNNNNNNNNNNNNNNNNNNNNNNNNNNNNNNNNNNNNNNNNNNNNNNNNNNNNNNNNNNNNNNNNNNNNNNNNNNNNNNNNNNNNNNNNNNNNNNNNNNNNNNNNNNNNNNNNNNNNNNNNNNNNNNNNNNNNNNNNNNNNNNNNNNNNNNNNNNNNNNNNNNNNNNNNNNNNNNNNNNNNNNNNNNNNNNNNNNNNNNNNNNNNNNNNNNNNNNNNNNNNNNNNNNNNNNNNNNNNNNNNNNNNNNNNNNNNNNNNNNNNNNNNNNNNNNNNNNNNNNNNNNNNNNNNNNNNNNNNNNNNNNNNNNNNNNNNNNNNNNNNNNNNNNNNNNNNNNNNNNNNNNNNNNNNNNNNNNNNNNNNNNNNNNNNNNNNNNNNNNNNNNNNNNNNNNNNNNNNNNNNNNNNNNNNNNNNNNNNNNNNNNNNNNNNNNNNNNNNNNNNNNNNNNNNNNNNNNNNNNNNNNNNNNNNNNNNNNNNNNNNNNNNNNNNNNNNNNNNNNNNNNNNNNNNNNNNNNNNNNNNNNNNNNNNNNNNNNNNNNNNNNNNNNNNNNNNNNNNNNNNNNNNNNNNNNNNNNNNNNNNNNNNNNNNNNNNNNNNNNNNNNNNNNNNNNNNNNNNNNNNNNNNNNNNNNNNNNNNNNNNNNNNNNNNNNNNNNNNNNNNNNNNNNNNNNNNNNNNNNNNNNNNNNNNNNNNNNNNNNNNNNNNNNNNNNNNNNNNNNNNNNNNNNNNNNNNNNNNNNNNNNNNNNNNNNNNNNNNNNNNNNNNNNNNNNNNNNNNNNNNNNNNNNNNNNNNNNNNNNNNNNNNNNNNNNNNNNNNNNNNNNNNNNNNNNNNNNNNNNNNNNNNNNNNNNNNNNNNNNNNNNNNNNNNNNNNNNNNNNNNNNNNNNNNNNNNNNNNNNNNNNNNNNNNNNNNNNNNNNNNNNNNNNNNNNNNNNNNNNNNNNNNNNNNNNNNNNNNNNNNNNNNNNNNNNNNNNNNNNNNNNNNNNNNNNNNNNNNNNNNNNNNNNNNNNNNNNNNNNNNNNNNNNNNNNNNNNNNNNNNNNNNNNNNNNNNNNNNNNNNNNNNNNNNNNNNNNNNNNNNNNNNNNNNNNNNNNNNNNNNNNNNNNNNNNNNNNNNNNNNNNNNNNNNNNNNNNNNNNNNNNNNNNNNNNNNNNNNNNNNNNNNNNNNNNNNNNNNNNNNNNNNNNNNNNNNNNNNNNNNNNNNNNNNNNNNNNNNNNNNNNNNNNNNNNNNNNNNNNNNNNNNNNNNNNNNNNNNNNNNNNNNNNUAUUAUACUAUUAUAGCAUAUGUUUUAUUUAAAGUAGUACGUAUAGUCAUAUAUAAUUAUAUAUUGAAUGGUACGUAUAUAUGUGUAAUUGUUUAUAUAUUUUUUUAAAAAUAUAUAUUGUAUAUUGGAGUGUAUAUAGUGUAUAUUGGAGUGUAUAUAGUGUAUAUUGGAUUAUUUAUUUAUUUUUUAAACUGGUUUGACCGGUUUUUAACUGGGUUUGACCAGGUUGGGUUAAGCGGGCCGGGUUAGGGUGGGUUUUAAUUUUUUUACUAUUUGACCCGGUCCAGCCCGGCCCGGUUAAUGUCAAAACCGACCCUUAACCGGCCCUCAACCCGGUUAAAAUGGAAGGGCCGGUUCCGGGUUGGCCCGGCCCAGCCCGUUUGACACCUUUACCAAAUAUGACGAGUUAUAUCGUUGCUGUCAUUUUGGCCUCGGAAACCUUUACAUUUUCCUAUACUCUUUAUUUAUGACAAAAGCGAGCAAGACCAAUCUACAUAAGAGUUAUGACCCGAUAGGUUAAAAGGGCUGCCUUUUACAAAUAUUUCUUAUAAGGAUUGUGAAUUAAACAUUUGAAAUAAAUAAAAAGCAUCCAAAAUUUAAUAAAACUCUAAAUAAACAGACAGAAAGAAGGGUAAAAAAAAUACCCCAAAAAGAGUAGGAUAAGCUAAAAGAAAGAAAGUCCUCUAUAAAUAUCUAGGUUCACCUUAAUAUUCUCACGCUCAAAUUCUUCCAGAAUUCAAUUAAUACAAUUUUCGAUAAAAACCACAAAAAGAAAUACUGUGUUCCAAGAAAUGCGACAACACAAUCAAUUCCCUCUGAUUCCAGCACCAUUGAUCGCUUCAUAAUGCUCCGCAUUAGCUAUGUCAUAAUCCACCCUUAUUGUCGCCAUUAUUACCGCAAAAAACACCUGAAAAAUGUUAUAUCUACAGCAGCACAAGCACCAAGAAGAAAAAAGGAACUUAUAGAGAAAUGUCGUAAAGAAAGGAACAUAGGAGUUUGUCGCUAGAUAUUUGACCAAAUAGGAUCGUCCAGUACUUAUAGAACUUUCACUAAAAUCCCCCUAGAUGGAGAUAAGGCUAAGCGGAGGAAAAAAGGUUUUCUAUGAGAUGAAAGAUGAAAACUACUCGAUAUUCUGUACUCAUAUUAAAGUCCAACUAAAUUUUAAUUCGAGUCAGGAAGUUCCUGUGUUAAGGAGUAAAAUGAUUCCUAACAAAGACGAUAUCAUAUUGCAGUUGUUAAUCCGAGUCGGGCUAGUCUAUCCGAGCUUUGGAAUUUAAUGGGCCAGACCAGACUAGUCCAUUUACAUUAUGAGCCAGAAAAAGGAAAGUCUGACCCAUCAUUCUCUAGGUUUUGCGUUGCGAUGGGUUAGCCCACUUUUUACAAUAUUACUAUUGUUUGUAUAAUCUUUUUAAUUUAAAAAUAAGGUGAUCGUUGUCGAUUGUCAAGAGAAAAAACAAGUAAAUAUUAAAUAGUAAUUCUUUAAAAAAUUUAGAAUUUUGUAUUUUGAUUAUUUAUAGUAUUUAAAUCCUAAUAUUUGGAUUUUUGAACUUUUUUAUAUUAAUAUAUGAUGGUUUAAGUAGAUUUAGUGUUAAAGAAUCUCUUGUAGUCUUGAUAUUUUUAGUAAUUUAUUUUUAAUUUACUUUUUAUUUGAUCCACAAAUCAGUCCAAUUAACAUUACUCAAGUCUCAUGGACCUGUGGACUUAUACGGACCAGGCUAAAACAAAUGCUGUUCUUAAAUGGGCUUAAAUUUUUUUUUUUUUUUUUUUAGCUUAAUCUUAUUAAAUUACAGGCUGAAUAGGACUGGGUUGGCAUUAGGUUUAGGUCAUAUUAACAGCUUUACCUCAUAUCCAGAAAUACUCGAACCCUAAAUGCACCAAGUGGUGGAGGAAGUUGAAAAAGUGAAGAAAGAGUGGGAAGAAAGAAACAUACAAACAGACACAACAACACAUCAAAUCAAUUAUUGAAUAUGGAAAAUCAAGAACAAUAAUUGCAGAAGAGAAAAGUUCACUCUCAACAUUGAAUGAAUUUGCUUCAAUCACUUCAAUUUAGUCUUAGAAAAAAUUCAGUCUUUGGCACAAUCCUGGAAAUCUCAAAUCAAUUUAAGGUACCUAAAAAAUAUAUAUAUUUUAAUUAUACAAAUGAAGUCUAGGGGAAAACACUAGUCUUAACAUUGCUCUUUUACUAUUAUAUGUACAGACUGAUGAUCUUGACGGGCAGUCCUGGCUCAUCCCAACUACUAAAUUUCCUGGUCUCUGGCAAGAGCAUCGCAUGCAAAUCUGAAUCAGAGGAUGACUUCUGUUGUAAGUGAUGUUUGGUUUUGAUUUAGCUGUGACUAACAUUUGAUACUCUAGUAUGAAUUCAUUUUAUUUCUAGCUAGGAGGACAAAAAGCACAAAACUUGAUUAAUUAAUGUAAAUCUACUAUGUUAGAUACCUAUUAUCUAGUUUUAUAAAUGUUUGCAAUCAAAUAAUGUCAUCACACUAAAGGAACAGAAAAAUAAAGACUAAUGACUGAAUUUAGACUCUUAUAUAUAAUGUCCUAACUCGACUCUACAAUCUCGAAAACAAAUUAGACUAUAAGAUGUAAAGCUAACAUAUGAUAGAUAUUUUACUCCUUCAUCGAUCCAUUACUUGUCCUCUUUAUGAGUAAGAUCCCAGUAGGUCUUAGCUAUAACAGCUUUGAUACAAAUGAUAGUUUAUGAGAUUUAAUUCUCUAACGUUGAAGGCUGCUAUUAAAAUUGUCGGAAUGCUGCAAAAGGCCUUAGAGGCCGUGGAGAAAAUGGAAAAGAUGAGUUCUAUGGAUGUUAACCCUAUUACCAGCCCAUUCAGUUCUAAAGUCAAUGGAAGAGUAAUACCAUAUACAACUAAGGCUAGAACUAGCAGGCUAAUCCUAAUAGGGUGAGCCAAGAGGUCUUUGAGUACAGAAGGACCAAUCAGUUGUGUUACAACUCAUACAUGUGUGGAGAGAAGUGAAGUCCUUUCCAUCAAUUUAGUCUAAGCAACUGAAUUACAUCAUUGGUGAAACUGGGGAGAUGAUAGAGAACACGUAGGAUGCAAAAUAUCCAAUUCAAGAAAGUUUAAAGAAUAAGAAGUGGGGCAAGAUGUCCAAGAGGAGGUUUGUUUGAGUACCUCAGCUUGUCUCGGUUCCAUCAAGGUGUCAAUACUAUGACAGUCUUUUCAAUUAUCAUUGGGGACUCUUGAUUUCCAACAAAGUUAUGGUCUAAGAACCAAUGAAGUGUGUGAAAAUCUAUAGAAGCAAGAGUCCAACGGUAUUUUGACUUGAUAUCCGACAUGCUAUAUCUUUGCUAUCGUUUUGGCCUUGAAAAACCCUUACGUUAGCCUAAAGUCAAUGACAAACGUGAGCAAGACUACUCUACACAAAAGUGUGACCCUAUAGGUUAAAAUGGAUGAUUUUUUUUACAAUUAUUUUUUAUACAACAACAACAUCAUACCUAGUGUAUUCCCACAAAUUAGGGUCGGGGGAGGGUUAUGUGUGCGCAAGCGGUUGUUUCUAAUAGACCCCUGACUCAUGACAUAUAACAGUAUAACAAACAAAUAAAACAUAAAAUCACACAACAAAAUGGGAUAACACACUGCUAGCUACUACAGGAAACAAGACAACCAAAAGAUCGGUUGAAAUAAUUAAAAAGCAUCUAAAGUUUACUAAAACUGUAAAUCAACGGAAGCAAAGGAAAAAAAAAAUACUGAAUGCAUAACCCAAAGAAAGUAGAAUAAGCUAAAAGAAAGAAAAGUCAUCUAUGAAUAUCUGUAUGCACCUUAAUACUCAUGUGCUCAAAUUCUUCUAGAAUUAAUUUGGCAAAAUUUUCCAUAGAAACUGCAUAAAGAAACGAGUGUUCAAGAAAUGCAACAACAACAAUCAAUUCCCUCCGAUUCCAGCCUCAUUAAUCGUUUCACCAUGCUCCGCAUUUGCUAUGUCGUGAUCCACCCUUAUGGUUGCAAUCAUUACUGUAGCAACACCUUAAAAAGGUUACCCUCUAUAUCGACACAAGCACCCCCACGACCAUACUCAAACCACCCUACUCCAUCUUUGCUUUCACCAAUAGUAAUAACGAUCAUCAUUUCCAAGGACUACACAUCAAUGCAUAUGAAUGAAUUUGACAGAUUUUUCAUUGCUUUGUCGAUCUGGAAUUUGACAAUUGCCAUUUUGUCCUGUGGUAUGGCGUGCCACUGACUAAUAUGGCGCUGUUUUACGAAGGGAACUUGAAAUAAUCAUAACUUCUUACCCGGUUUCGGUCUCUAAAUUGCGUGUGGGAUAUAGAGUGGAAAAUUAAAAUUAAGUUAUUUAGAUAUUUUGGAGCCAAUUUGGGGUGAGUCACACUAAAAAUACAUUGACGCAUAUUGGACAAUUAUAGUCCAACAUAGAGCAACCUUCUGGACAUAAGGAAAUUUAUAGUACUUUUUCUUUGAAUGCGUAUUGAACAUACCUCGAUCUAACAUUAUGUGUGCAGAUCACACAGGAGAGCUCAUGAGUCCCAACUUUCUAGACGUUCAUUUGUGGCAUAAGUUUAGAAUUCUAUUUUUCAAAACAGAAAUUAAAAGUGUGAGAUAGUAUUCUACUAAUUAUUAACUUUAGCUAGUUAAAAUUCUCUUUGUUUCUAUUUCUUAAAAUAAAAUUUCCCUAAAUUUCUUAUGUUAUUUAGUUAAAGGUAGUUAUGAAUUAAUUAUAAUAAAUAAAGUACUUGCGGCAAAAUUCGUUGAAUACAACAUGAAAACCGUAUUCAAAUAAAGUACUCGCAGAAAAAUUUAUGGACUUACCAUUCUACAUUAAGGUAUGAGUGUAAUUAUGUUGACCAUUUAUAAAUAUCUUGCCAACGACCAAUGAUACAAAUAUAUGUUAUAAUAAACCCUAAGAGAAUGAUAUUUGUUCUUGCACCCUAGUAUUUGAUCCCGAGCUACUCUCUAUAAUUAUGGUGUCAAAAGUAAAAUUACAAAAGAUAAUAAGGGAACUGUAUCAAAGAUGAUAGAUCUGUUCUUUCUGUUGAUAUCAUUUUCAAUAUCCUUAUUAAGUAAAUGCUAUAUCUUUGUUACACUUUAAAUGUGUUUCAAAAUCAUGGAAUGAUAUGAUUUCCGAUGUUAUAUUUACAAAAGCUCAUUGUGAUGAAUCCAAAGCGUUAGGAAGUGAAAAACUUUUGUUACAAAAAAUAUUGGCGAAUUCGAAUUUAUAUAUUUAAAUUUUUUUAAUGAAGUUAUCAUAGAUAAACAAUAAUCUCCUCUCAAAAAAUUCCUAGGUGCUCAUGUCUAAUGCUCAUACAAUGGUUUGGUAAUAUUGAAGAAACCUAAGGCUUAGAAGAAAUUUGUUUUGUGGAAUCCAUAAUCUGGACAAUACUACAUUCUUGAGUGUCCAUAUAUGAAAUCUCAUGAACACAUAUUUUCUUGUGCUUAUGGUAUGUGUUAUGAUUCUAUCACUGUUAAGCCAUAAGCACAAGAAAAUGUGUAUUCUUUAGGUUUCAUAUAUGGACACUCAAGAAUGUGGUGGUGUCUGGAUGGUGGAUUGCACAAAAUGAACUUCUUAUAAGUCGUAGGGUUUUUCUGUAAUACUAAGCCAUCAUAUGAGCACAGGAUUUGAGCACCUAUGAAUUCUUUGAGCGGGAAUUGUCGUUUAUCUAUGAUAACGUCAUUGAGGUUGUUUAAAUAUAAAAAUUCAAACUCACCUGUAUUUUUUUGUAACAUUUGCUUUUUACAUCCUAUCUCUUUGGAUCGAUCACAGUGGACUUUCGUGAAAGUAAUGUCGAAAUCAUAGUAUUCCAUGAUUUUGAAACACUCUUAAAGUGUAUCAAAGAUGCAGUGUUUACCUUUAUAAGGAUGUUGAAAAUGAUAUCAGAUGGAAGAACAGGUGUAUCCUCUUAAGAACGGCUUUCCUUGAUUGUCUUUUGUGAUUUCAUUUUUGACAUCAUUAUUGAAGAGCGAUGAAGAAAAUGAAUUGACGUCAAGUUCAAUGGUGCAAGAACAAAUGACAUUCUGUUAGGGUUUACUGCAAUAUAUACUUAUAUCAUCUGGAGUCAUGCAAAAUAUUUAAUUCUCUUACCUUAUGGUAGAAAAGUAAAUCCACAAAGGAAAUUUAGUAAGUUUUCCUUGUUUGUACUAAGAGUAUAAAAAGUGAUGUUAAAUAAAUAAUAAGAAGUUAAUGAAGAGUUUGAAAUUUCAUAUUUAGAAACACACUAUGAUUUUUAAAUUAGUGAAUACAAUUGGCCGCAUUAAUUGCUCUGGUUUAAUAUAUGGACAGUGUUUAUUUGUUUUAUUUAUUUGAUUUAUCAAUUUAAAUAAAAAUUAUUUUAUAAACGAAAAAUAUAGUUGUUAGUACUACAAGUUUACUCUUAUAUAAUAGUAGCUGAAUUAGUGAAACUUGCUGGAAACUUGCGCCCUAGUAUUUGAUCUCGAGCCACUCUCUAUAUUGCUCUUCAAUAAUGAUGUCAAAAGCAAAAUUACAAAAGAUAUACGGGGAACCAUAUCAAAGAUGAUAGAUCUGUUCUUCCUGAUGAUAUCAUUUUCAAUAUCCUUAUUAAGUAAAUGCUAUAUCUUUGUUACACUUUAAAUGUGUUUCAAAAUCCUGGAAUGAUAUGAUUUCCGAGGUUAUAUUUACAAAAUCUCAUUGUGAUGAAUCCAAAGCACUAGGAAGUGAAAAAAUUUUGUUACAAAAAAUAUUCGCGAAUUCGAAUUUAUACAUUUAAACAAUUUUAAUGAAGUUAUCAUAGAUAAACAAUAAUUUCCUCUCAAAGAAUUCCUAGGUGCUCAUGUCUUGUGCUCAUAUAAUGGUUUGGUAAUAUUGAAGAAACCUAAGGCUUACAAGAAAUUUGUUUUGUGGAAUCCAUAAUCUAGACAAUACUACAUUCGUGAGUGUCCAUAUAUGAAACCUCAUGAACACAUAUUUUCUUAUGCUUAUGAUAUGUGUUAUGAUUCUAUCACUGUUAAGCCAUAAGCACAAGAAAAAAAGUUUUCUCUAGGUUUCAUAGAUGGACAUUCAAGAAUGUGGUGGUGUCCGGAUGGUGGAUUGCACAAAAUGAACUUCUUAUAAGUCGUAGGGUUUUUCUGUAAUACUAAGCCAUCAUAUGAGCACAGGAUUUGAGCACCUAUGAAUUCUUUGAGCGGGAAUUGUCGUUUAUCUAUGAUAACGUCAUUGAGGUUGUUUAAAUAUAAAAAUUCAAACUCGCCCGUCUUUUUUGGUAACACUUGCUUUUCACAUCCUAUCUCUUUGGAUCGAUCACAGUGGUCUUUCAUGAAAGUAAUGUCAAAAAUCACAGCAUUACAUGAUUUUGAAACACUCUAAAAGUGUAUCAAAGAUGUAGUGUUUACCUUUAUGAGGAUGUUGAAAAUGAUAUCAGAUGGAAGAACAGGUGUAUCCUCUUGAGAAUGGCUUUCCUCUAUUGUCUUUUGUGAUUUCAUUUUUGACGUCAUUAUUGAAGAGUGAUCAAGAAAAUGAAUUGAGGUCAAGUUCGACGGUACAAGAACAAAUGACAUUCUGUUAGGGUUUACUGCAAUAUAUAUUCAUAUCAUCUGGAGUCAUGCAAAAUAUUUAAUUCUCUUACCUUAAGGUAGAAAAGUAAAUCCACAAUGGAAAUUUAGUUAGUUUUUCUUGUUUGUUCUAAGAGGAUAAAAAAUGAUGUUAAAUAAAUAAUAAGAAGUUAAUGAAGAGUUUGAAAUUUCAUAUUUACAAACACACUAUGCUUCUUAAAUCAGUGAAUACAAUAGGGCGGGUUAAUAGCUCUGGUUUAAUAUAUGGACAAUGUUUAUUUGUUUUAUUUUUUUGAUUUAUCAAUUUAAAUAAAAAUUAUUUUAUAAGCGAAGAAUAUAAUUGUUAUCACUACAAGUUUACUCUUAUAUAAUAGUAGCCGAAUUAGUGAAACUUGCUGGAAAGUAAUCAAGAAAAAAUAUUGUACCAAACAAAAUUUUAUAUUCAAUUGGAAUGACAUUUUUCCAAAUUGAACAAUACAAAAUUAAAUCAAUAACCCUAUAUUCUAAGAAUCAAAAUCAUAAUUUUUAUUAUAGAAUGAAUUCAAUUAAAAGUUACUAUGUUUAAUUAAUAUCACUUAAAAAUCAGAACUUUAAUCUCAGUAAUAUUCUGUGAAUUUCUGCGUGAAUACUUUAUUUAUUUUAAUAAAAUCAUAAUUCCUUUAACGAAAUCACGUAAGAAAUUUAUCCAAAAUUUCAAAAAUUCUUUUUUAAAAAAUAAUUUUAAUAAUUAUAAAUUUUCUUAUAUCCCAAAGAUUGCACUAUGUUAUGAUAAUUGUUCAAUAUGCUUCCAAGCUGUAAUGACCCGCAAUAUGGGCUAGAACGUAAACCGUCUUUCCUACGUGUAGAUGUUCAAAAAGCCAUAAAACUAAUGUAAAUUUAGUGUGUUACUCAUUUAUGUAGCAUGUGAAUCUAGUUGGGAAUGAGUCGAGAUCAUAGAAGUAUCUUAACUCAAGGACUAGUUGCAAACUUUCCUAUCGUUCAAGUUUUAGUGAGCGUUAAAACUUGGAUCGACUUCAAUUGACCAUAACUCUUUGUAUGUGGAGAAAUGUGUGGCAUACUAUAUAUCAAAUGAAAGUUCUUUGAGUCCUCUUUCGAAUGCCACCAAUUUUAUGAAAAUCCAAUAUCGAAGCAAAAAGUUAUGCCCAUUUUACUCCAACAUAUCAGCCUGGAAACUGAGUGACGACAAUUCUGACGGCUUAUCACAAAUCUGACGCCUUAUCAGAAAAUGUUGUCAGUCUUAGGCAGAAAGUCAUAAAUUUCAACAUUUUGUGAUGACAAGAGCUGAUGGCUUAUGACAUAUGUGACGACAUCAGCCCAUUGUCGUCAGCUGUUAAAUUCAGCAUUUUUCAAAAGGUUUUGGAAAUGUAUUGUGGUAUUUUUCCUUCACCCCAUAACUUCAUAAACACUAAAUUCAUCCUCCAUUUAACCAAAAAUACACUCCUUUCUCUUAAAUCCUCUCAAGAACCAAACUCUAAGGCCUCAACCUAAGAUUCAAGAUCCCUCAAAAUUUCACCAUUAAAUUCCAAAAUUGAUUCAAGAAUUAGAAUCCCCAAACUAAGAUCUUCAAGAAUCAUCCGUCAAAAGCACAAAUAGAGUCCCAAAAGCAAGUGUUCAUUCAAGGUUCAUAAUCUAAGGUACACAGGGUUUUCUUAAAAUCUCAUGGGCAUAGAAGUCAUAUUUUUACGAAAAGGAUUUCAGAUUUAUGAACAUAUUCAUGUUUUAGAAGCAUUGAUGAAAUUGUUUUAGCCUUUAGGUCUUCCCCCAAAUUGAUUUAAAGUGAUAUAUGUGUAUAUGUAUGUGUUUUAAGUUUGAUUGAAUUGAGAGCAUGAUUCAUGUAAAAUCUCUCUCUGGUUAAGAUUUUUCCUUUACUUAUGACAUGCUAUAGAUUGUUUCAAAUGUGUUUUGAAAGGCUUGAUAUGAAAGGUCUUGAAUAACGUUAUGUUCGGAUUAUGAUUUUGAUUUCAAAAGAGAGAGGGUAGUUUAUGUUGGUAAAUAUGAAAAUAUUCAUAUAAUGAAAGAGUGCAUGUUUUUGCCAAAAGCACAUGACCACCAUAUGUUUGAGGAAUUCUUGCAUAGUUUUGACUUAUGUUUUUUUACAUGAAAUCUCUUAAACUAUUUGAACGUUGAGUGGUCUGAAUUGAGUUUUCAUAAAAGAAUCAUGCAUGACACAUUAUGGCUCAGAAAAUAGGACUUGCAAGUCUUGGUGUGUCGACACCAACUCAGUUAAAGCCAUAGUAAUUCAGAACAGAAUAGAACACAUGUUUGAAAUAAGAUUUUCAUAUGUUGAAACUAGAAAAAAGCAUGAUUCAGAAUAGGAUAAAAUUGGGCAUAAAGAGAGCUUAGGUGGUUCCCCGAAGAAGGCAUGAGGUCAGAUAACUCGUUGCCUAAAACUGUGAUUUGCCGAUCCGGGUAUAUUAUUAUACGCUGGCCUAUUGCCUUGUAGCGUAUCAUACUUAGACAUUCCAACCCUUGCGGCACACUUGGGUUGCGGAUUCCAUACAAACCUCGGAAUAUCAGAAUUGUAGGGGAGUGCCACCUAACUCAGAAGUAAUACAAAGAUGGAAACUGAAUUGUCACAAAUGUUUUAUGUUUUCAAGAAUGCCCAUAUAUUUUGAAAUCUUAUCUUUCAUGAUGUUUAUGACUAGCUUUCAAUUAUUUUAUUUAUAUACAAGCUUUAUUUUGGAUUUCUUUGCGUACCAGUACUUCUGUAUUGACCCCCCCUUCCCCCUACCUCUCAGUUUUUGAGGCUCAGUCUAGGGGUCCAGAUAAGAAGUUGAUUUCAUCAGAUAGAGUUGCAGUGUCUAGUUGGUGAGCCUUCUAUAUUUCGGAAGGCUUGUUUAUUUUUAGACAAUUAUUAUUAGUUAUGGUUUUGGUCUACUGGGGUCUUGUCCCAGUUUUUCAGAAUGUGUUAGUAAUCAUGUAGUAGAGGUUUCGCAGUCGGUUUGCAGAUGUUGUUAGUUAGUUUUGAAUUUUGUUUUCCAUUGCUAAAUUUAUAUUAGAUUUAUGACCAUGAUUCUGUUCCGCUAUAUUUUUCACAUUUUUUUAUUUGUGUAUGAAUGGUGUAUAUGAUUACAAGUUAGAAGGUUGUCUGGGCCUUCAUGGUUUAGGAUGCUCAUCAUGGAUAGGGCCUCGAUUUGGGUCGUGACAAACUUGGUAUCAGAGCACAGUUCAUGGUCCUAAGGUGUCUGCAAAAUCGCGUCGGGUAGAGUCUUGUUUACGGGUGUGCAGCACGCCACACCUAAAAGAGAGAGGCUACUAGGUGUUUUGGAAUUUUUCCCCUCUUUGUGAUUUAGUUCGUGCUUUAGAGUCUAAAAUGUUCCGUAAUCAGUGAUCUACUGUAUUUCAGUGAAAACAGUUAUGCCUCCUUGUCGCUUCAACAAUCAGGUUACUCAGGAUGAUUAAGUCUGCCCCACCCAUGAGAUGCGUACCUAUAACAGAGCGCACAACCCAGAACCUAUCCCUACUCCGGGAGUACCUCCAGUCCCGACCAGUCCUCCUCGAGCUCCAAGAACAAAUGUUAACCGUUCCCAGUUUUCUCAGAGGGACAUAUCAAAUACAGAAUUCGAAUAAUCUAUCCACAUGCUUGCACAGCUGGCAGCUGCACAGACUCAGAGGUUGGAGGAUACUGGGUCUGCAUAUGUUACUUCUGAGGCUACUAGGGUGGGCUAGUUUAUGAGAAUGAACCCACCCAAAUUUUCUAGCACUAAGGUAGAAGAGGACCCACAGGAGUUCAUAGACGAAAUGGAGAAAAUUUUUAGAGUAACGCAUGUGGAUCAGGUGGAAGGGGUUGAGUUAUUAGCAUACUAGCUUAAGGAUUUAGCAAACUUAUGGUAUAACGAGUGGGAGGAUGCCAAGGGUAAGAGUGUUGAGCCUACAGUUUGGAUCGAGUUCGUGGAAGCUUUUCUUGAUUGGUUCUUCCCUUUAGAAUUGAGGGAAGCCAAAACAGAGGAGUUCAUGAAUCUCAAAUAGGGCAAAAUGAGUAUCUAGGAGUACACUCUAAAGCUCAACCAACUAGCCUGUUAUGCACCGGAGAUGAUAGGUAAUAUGAGAGCCCAGAUAAGUAAUGUAUCUGGCCUUUCGAAUGAUCUAGCGCUUGAAUGUCAGGGAGCAAUGUUACUAAGAUAUCCGUCUACAUGCAGCAAGUUGAGGAAAAGAAGAAGAAAAUUACUGAGUCCAGGGAGAAGGAAAGGCAGGAAAAGAGAGCCAAGACAGCUGACCAGAUUCACUGUCAGCAAUAGGGCGGUAACUGGGGUAACAAAUGGAAAAUACGAAGUUUUAGGGCAAGGUACAGUCUACAGCUAGCGUCCCCGUUCCCAAACCCCAAGUUGAUAGACGAUCCCAGAGUUUUCAGACUAAUCAUGUAUACAGGGCCAGGAUACCCAGUCACAGGGAAGUGUGGCACAGCAGCAUCGUACUUUUUGGUGAUAUGAGACUUGCGGUAAGCAUCAUCCGGGAAGGUGUCAGCUACAUGCAUUUAUGUGUUAUUCUUGUGGUCAGACGGGUCAUAUUUAGAGGGACUGCCCUUCGACUACAAGGAGUGUUGCAGGUGCCAAGUCUCAGGCAAACUCUUCUGCACCACCCCCCCCAAAAGGGCACCAUUUCAGUUGCCGGGAGCAGUUAUAACCAGUUGUACGCCUUGACCAACAUCCAGGAGGCAGAGGCCUCACUAGGUGUAGUGACCGAUACAUUGCAAACAUUUUCUCGUGAUGUAUAUGUAUUGCUUGAUCUCAGGUUUACCUUAUCCUAUGUGAUCCCGUAUGUGGUUAUUGGUUUUGGGUUUGAGCCCGAUGUGAUUGCUGAGCCUUUUUCUAUUGGUGGGGAUUCUGUUAUGGCUAAGAGGGUAUACAAGAAUUGUGUUGUAUCUAUUUGUAGCUAAAAUACCAUAGCUGAUCUCAUAGAGCUUGAUAUAGUUGACUUUGAUGCUAUCUUAGGGAGGGACUGGCUCCAUUCAUGUUAUGCCACACUAAACUGUAGGACACGUAGAGUCAAUGAACCAAUUAUAGAGUGGGAUGGUCAUUCUUUAGCACCUAGAGGGAACUUUAUAUCUUACCUCAGAGCCUGUAAACUUAUCUCCAAAGGUUGUCUAUAUCAUCUUAUUCGGGUUAAAGAUUAUAAUGCCGAAAGCCUUCCUCUUCAGUCUGUCCCUGUGGUAGAUGAAUUUCUAGAAGUUUUUCCAGAUGAUCUUCCUGAUAGGGAGAUAGAUUUUGGUAUUGAUUUGUUGCUAGACACCCGUCCUAUUUUUAGUCCGCCAUAUAGAAUGGCUCCUGCAGAGCAAAAAGAGUUGAAAGAAUAGCUAGAAAAUCUGCUGGAUAAAAGUUUUAUCCGUCCUAGUGUUUCUCCAUGGGGUGCACCUGUGCGUUUCAUGCAAAAUAAAGACGGUUCCCUUCGUAUGUGCAUAGAUUACCGCCAGUUGAAUAAGGUCACGUUUAAAAAUAAAUAUCCUCUUCCUAGAAUCGAUGACCUUUUUGACCAACUUCAGGGUGCUAAAUUUUUUUCAAAGAUAGACCUUCGUUCGGGAUACUAUCAGUUGAAAGUUAGAGAGUCAGACAUUCCCAAAAUAGCUUUCUGAACCAGAUACGGUCAUUACGAAUUCUUAGUCAUGUCCUUCAAAUUGAAUAACGCCCCUGAAGCUUUUAUGGGCCUAAUGAAUAGGGUCUUCCGGCAGUUUCUAAACUUGUUUGUCAUAGUUUAUAUUGAUGACAUCUUGGUUUAUUCUAAGAGUGAGGAGGAUCAUGCCAAUCACCUCCGAAUCAUCCUUCAUUCUCUGAAAGAUCAUAAGUUGUAUGCAAAGUUUUCCAAGAGUGAAUUCUGGUUGAAUGCUAUUGCUUUCAUGGGUCAUAUUGUGUCUAGUGAGGGAAUUAAGGUGGAUCCCCAAAAGAUUGAGGCAGUGAUAAAAUGGCCCAGACCUAUGACUCCAACCGACAUUUGGAGCUUCUUGGGAUUGGCAGGGUAUUAUAGAAGAUUCGUAGAGAGUUUUUCUUCCAUAGUUGCUCCAUUUAUUAAGUUGACUUAGAAAAAGGUGAAAUUUGUGUGGUCUGACUCAUGUCAGAAUAGUUUUGAGAAGUUAAAAGACAAAUUGACUAUUACAUCUAUACUGACUCUUCCGGAAGGUACUAUCACACCCCUUUUUUUUCAACUCCCAAAAUUUUAAUUUUAUAGUUCGAAAGGGUUUUCAUUAUUAAAGUGACAAAAAAUGAAAAUUUUGUUUCGAAAAGGAUUAUUUACAUUUAAACUCAGAGUCACCACUUGGCAUAAAUCAGGUGUGCCAAUUAUACAGUCCAAAAUAGAAAAAGAAUGCAAAAAUGUAAAUCCUAUUCUAUCCUACACUAAUUUUAUACUACGGUCCCAUGCUACCCGAUGCCUCGGGCCUUCAUCACGGACAUCCUCCAAAUACAAAAUACUUUGGGGAAUUCCCCGGUGAAUACAUUUCUAAAUGCAAGAACUAAAACCAAAUCGUUCAUCUCAAAUUUCACAUUCAAACAUUCAACAAGAAAACUUAUUCCUAAAUUUUUGCCUACCCUAACCAACAUUCAUCUAUCCAUUUAAACAUAUCAUAAUUUUAUCACAUUCGAACAAUAUUCAUGCUCAUACGAAUUAAACAAAACAACAAUAAACCAACGCUAAUCUAAAUUCAACUUUUUUUUAUCAAUUUCUCAAUUUCAUCCCUCAAAUCUAUUUUUAACCACAUUAUUAAAGCUGUUCGACUAUCAAAUGACUUUUCAAAAUCUAAAACCAACAACACAUACCCCAACGAAGAUUCAAAUAUUUAAGCAUACCAAUCAUUCAUAUCCACAAUAGUAAUUAACCGAAAUGUUCCAAACCGCACUACAAAAUCACGAUAUUAACCAACUUCAAUAUAAUAAAAAAGUAGAGUUGAGAGAUGGACCUUUGAAGAAUCGAUUUCAAUGAUAAUAAAAUCAAGAAAGCCCGGACUAUAGAAUUCCUAAUAGGACCUCAACAAUGACGAACUCCAACGCCGUAUUAAAAAAUUUGAGACCCAAAGCUGAAGCUCCGUAAAUUCAAUCGACCCGAAAACUGACACUGUUCACAGCACUGUUCAUGAUAAUGUUUCUCUCUCGUGUGAUUCUCUCUUCUCUCCCUCGUUUUUUUUGUUCUUUUUGUGAGGAAGAUGAUUUGGUGAUUGUUGUUAUUGUGGAGAAGAUGAUGAUGAAAGAAUGAGCCUCCCUUUUUCCCCUUUUAAAAUUUUCCUUUUAUAUUUUUUAUUUGUUUUUUUCUUUUUCUUUAUUUAUUAUCCUAUGUGGAAGCAUAUAAUUGAUUGGUUGUGGAAAUAAGUGUGUGGCAUGUGGAAAAGUUAGUAUGACAUGUGGAAAGAUGAGGGUGGCAUGUAGAAAAAUGAGUAGGGCGUGUGCCUUUUGCAUGUAUCCAAUGAAAAAUGGAAAGUGAGGUGUUGAGGUGACAUAGUGAGGUGGCAAAGAUGCUAUGUAUUUAAUUAUUUUCAAUUCUUUUUUUUGGUGAGAAAUUAUUAAUUAAACAAAAGUUUAGUAAGGUGAAAAAAAUUGAAUAAAAUAAAAUAAAAAAAUUAAAAAAAUAAAAUAAAGUAAAAAUGAUUAAAAUAUUUUUGGGAAAGGACAAAAUUAUGUGUCUACGUCAUGCCCCUUUGGAUGUAAACACAUGGUGUUUUCAUACAAAGCAGUAGACAACAAGACAGAAUUUUGUCCUAACCUUUAUUCAAAAGCAUAGAGUACGAGGAAGGAGGGAAACAAGGUCUUGACUUAGGACAUCCUACCUACCCAAGUUAUGAGGGAAUUGAGUGACAAUUAUCUCAAAGGAUUGGAAAGAGAUGGACUAUGCCGAGUUGGAGAGUUGAGUGAGGUCCCAUCGAGGUUCCGGUUCGCGAAUCUGUUAUUACAUCAAGAAAUGAAAAUUACAAGUUAAAAACAUAAAUGAAAUUACAAAAUUCUUUCUACGCAGCUUCUGUUGGACUCUUAACUUGAGUUUCAUCACCGUAUUCUUUAGGCGGGCUCCUGAUUUGAAAUUUCUUCAACUUGUUGCUUGGUUUUCAAUUUCAUCACGCUGUUCUCUAGGCGGGCUCCUGACUUGCUAUAUUUGAUUUGUUGAGUUUCAUUUUCUUCACUUUGUUACUUGAGUUUCCACUUCUUCACCUUGUUGUUUGACUUUCAAUUUCUUCACCUUGCUGCUUGACUUUUCAUUUAUUUGUCUUGUGCUUCGGGCGGGCUCCUGAAAUCACAUCAAAACUAGAAAGAAAAUCAUCCCAAACAAAAUUAUUGUAAAGAGAAAAUCAUUUGCCAAAAAAGUAAAGUUCCAAAACAGAUAUUAAUUUUUUUUUGCCCCAGUUUACCAUCAAAAGACUUUUGAGAAAGUUAGAUCAUACCUACUUCCAUGUUGCAAUAAUGAAUCAAGAAUCUGACCAAGAAAUGCUUCUCAUGAGAGUAAAAUUGAAUGACCUAGACUAGGAAGUGCAUCUCCUAAGAAUUAAAGUGAGGAAUUCUGACUAGAAAGUGCGUCUUCUAGAGAUAGAAGUUUAAAUUAAAAAGUGCAUCACCUGAAAAAUGAGAACUAACAAGGAAGUGCGUCUCAUAAGGAUUAAGUGCAAUGACUUUACUAAAAAGUGAAUUUUCUAGAAAUCAAGGAGAAUGACUCAACUAAAAGGUAUGCCUUAUAGGAAUCAAGGGGGAUGACUCGACUAAAAGGUACGUCUUAUAGGAAUCAAAGGGAGAUGACUCAAUUAAAAAGUACGUCUUCUAGGGGUCAAGGGAAAUGACUCGGCUAAAAGGUACGCCUUAUAUGAAUCAAAGGAGUGACUCGACUAAAAGGUACAUCUUCUAUGGGUCAAGAGGGAAUGACUCGACUAAAAGGUACAUCUUAUAGGAAUCAGGGGAAUGAAUCGACUAAAAGGUACGUCUUAUAGGAAUUACUGGAAAUGACUCGACUAAAAGGUACGUCUUUUAGUGGUCAAGGGAGAUGACUCGACUAAAAGUUACGUCUUGUAGGAAUCAAGGGGGAUGACUCAAAUAAAAGGUACGCCUUAUAGGAAUCAAGGAACGACUCGACUAAUAGGUACAUCUUAUAGGAAUCAAGGGGGUUGACUCGACUAAAAGGUACGUCUUAUAGGAACCAAGGGGGAUGACUCGACUAAAAGGUACGUCUUAUAGGAAUCAAAGGAAGAUGACUCGACUAAAAGGUACAUCUUAUAGGAAUCCAGGGAAAUAACUCGACUAAAAGGUAUGUCUUCUAGGAAUCAAGGGGGAUGACUCGACUAAAAGGUACGUCUUCUAGGGGUCAAAGGGGAUGACUCGACUAAAAGGUACGCCUUAGAGGAAUCAAAGGGGAUGACUCGACUAAAAGUUACAUCUUAUAGGAAUCAAAGGGAGAUGACUCGACUAAAAGGUACGUCUUCUAAGAGUUAAAGGGAAUGACUCGACUAAAAGAUACAUCUUAUAGGAAUCAAGGGGAAUGACUUAACUAAAAGAUACGUCUUAUAGGAAUCAAGGGGGAUGACUCGACUAAAAGGUAUGUCUUCUAAGAGUAAAAGGGAAUGACUAGACUAGAAGGUUCAUCUUCUAAAAGUAAAGGUUUAAUUUAAGAAGUAUAUCACCCAGCAAAUAAAAACUAAAAUCCCUGGACAGGAAGGUGUGUCUCUGAGGGAUAUAAAAUGAUGAAUUUUUACCAUGAUUUAAUUAUCAAACCUGUGUAGCAACAUUGCUUCCUGCAUUUGUGAAAGCAAGAAAUUAGGGGCCUUGAUGUUUAGGCUUUGAAAUCCUUGAUUUGAAGGUGACAUGUGUUCCUUUUUCAUGCAAAGAAAAGCUGUGAGUUUAAAAACAUAGAGGCAGGUUUGUGGCUUUGGCUUUUGUGGCAAACACUCUUGCCGUCAUCACAUUUAACCUUGCUUCCAACCAUUACAUAUAUCAUUGACUUGAUGCAUCAUCUACCCAAACUCAGAUUAUUAAGUGUGACUUUGAAAUAAACACAAUAUCUUUGCUUUUCCAUGCUCCUUAGAUAGACCUGUUGGAAACUUGGUAUUUCAUGAGUUCUCAGACUUAUUUGUUGACAAAACUUUUUGUUUGAUUUAUUUUAGCUUACAAUCGUGUCUCUUUCAUGCAUUGACCUUUCUGCCUUGCCUUGUACAAUUGAAGAAGCUGGUAGCCAGUUUUGAAAUCUUUUCUCACUUAUUUUGAUAUAGACUUGUCUCAAAGACAAGAAACGAAAAAAAAGAAUGACAAUUUUUGUUUGGAUAACUGACUUAAGAAAGAUAAAAUAAAAAUAAAGAGAAGAAAGAAAAGACAAUGAAUGUCCCCUUUUGAAACAAAGAAAUGAAAAAUUCAUCUAAAAAUGACAGUCAACACUAAUGAUUAUGCCAUGCUUUUUGGAUUAAGCAGCUUGAUCUUUUCAUCCAAACUUUCUACCCAUUGUUAUUGAGUUAAUGGCCUUGAAACUGAGUUGCUUCCUUAGGUCAACUGCAUUUAAGACGCCAUUCGGCUAGUGGCACCUUGAAGGGUUUUCACCAACAAGCUUCUCUCAUUUCUUUUUAUCACCUCACCAUUGCCUUAUGGUAUCCAAGAGGUAUUUUACCAAUAAGAUUAUCUUAUUUUCAUUUCUCUCAACUCACAGUCAUCUUACAGUGCCCGUAUGGGUUUUCACUGAUAAUACUCUCUCAUUUUAUCUCUCUCAACUUACCAUCAUCUUAUGGUGCCCGCAGAGGUCUUCACCAAUAAGACUCUCUCAUUUUUAUUUCUUUCUUGAUUUCUUAUGCUGAGGAAGACAAUUAGUACCCCAAAAUGCAUCAUCAUAUCCAUUGCAUGCUUAGCCUUAACAUUAUCAAAGAUUGAUCUGAAGGACUUUCUUUGGUUGUAACUUGGAUUUUGGAUAAGGUUAGAAAAAACAAAGGAUGACAUGAGGCCCAAACAACACUCUAAGUGGGGUAGGACUUACAACUGUUGGAAUCGACUCAAACAAUGAGGAUUAACUCAUGCCCUAGUUUAUUUUGACUGGACAAUUCUAAAUUUUUUAUUUGGUUGGAUCGAGCCCUGAGUAGGGCAGCCUACGUAUCUCACCCUCGAGAGAGGAGAAUCAGGUUAUGCAUAGUUCUGGCAGCUUGUUCUUUUGCUUGAUUUUGAUUUUUUUUGUUGACUUUUUUUUCUUUGAAACUUUCUGACUCUAUUUUUUCUCAACACUCUUCUCUUUACUUUCUUUUUGCACAUAUUUUAUUAUACUUUUUUUUUCUUUUUUUUAAAGAUUUUUUUGACUCUAAUUUCUUGACACUCUUUUCUUCCUUCAUGGACACAUUUUUCCCUCUUUCCAUUUUUUUUUUGAAACUUUCUGACUCUAUUCUCUUGCUCGAUACUUUUCUUUUGAGCUUUGCUGGCUUUAUCUUGAUUCCAAAAGAGGGGUAUGAAAGAAAAUAACACUAAGGCUCAAAUGGGGUAAACAAAGGAUGACACAAUAUUUGGAUAGCAGAAUAAAAUGCCGUCAUCAAUCAAUCCUUGAAAAUACUAGUACAAAGCAUGCCAUGUAAAAGUGCACGAUCAACAUCACUUAUGAAAUGUUUUACAACACUAACUUUCCCCAAGCAUAUGUGUCACCUCUUUUUCUAUACUUUUCAAACAUACAACUCCACAUUUGUUGUACAUCCCUCACUUUUAAUGACUCAUGCUUUCGUGGAGUUGAUUUUGUUUCUGUUCCUCUUGAUAGGAUAAUGCAAACACUGUUUGACCUAAUUGAGACAUGUCUUUCAAUUAAUGAUCAAGUUAGUCUUGUGAUUCUCAAAAUAAAUGGCCUUAAUUUUCAAAGAAGGCUUGAACUUGUCACCAAAUGUCUCAACACUCUACUAUUUUCUCAGAUGUUUCUCCUAACUUUAGCGCUCUGAUCCAAUGUUUCAUGGUUAAAUUAGAUUUUAAGAUCUGACUGAAAAUUCCGCAAGCAUGUCAUAUCACUAGAGUCAACAUAAAAUGUACUGUAUAAAGAAAACAAACAAACAACACAUAUUUAAAACACAAAGGAAAAGGGAUAAUUCAUUUAGUUGAAAUAAAAGAUAGAAGGGUUUGAACCUAAACAACAAAAGGACAAAACAAGAUAGAUCCUGAACUACAACCCUGAAAUAAUUUGAAAAACAUAAAAGAAAACAAAAUAAACUCCAGACCUGUUCCUAGUAGGGAGAGGGGUGACUUCUCAAUUGAUCAGCCUGACAACUUAGCCACUGGUUUGCAUAUCAACAUGACUAGAGCAUCCCUCACUGUCAAUGUUCUGCACCAUAAUUGAUCCAUCUUGAAUUAUUUUUUCAAUUUCUCUUUUCAAAGAACGACAAUCUUCAAUACUGUGACCCUGAACAUCAGAAUGAUAUGCACAUCAUACAUUAGGAUCAAAACUUCAUGAAUGUGGGUCAGGAGUGUACCCAAGGAGAGGAGUGAUCAUACCCUACUGUACCAAUCUCUGGAAUAAACUGGCAUAGGAUUCCCCAAUAGGAUUGAAAUUAUCUUUUUCCUUCCUCCACUUUACGAACUCUAGCCUCGAAUGAAACUUGGAUUUAGAGGUUCCUUGGUAAAUUUGUGGGGGUCGAGGACAAUAUUGAGGGACAGGUACAUGCCAUUAUGGAUAAUAAGAUGGAUGAGGUUACAAUCGUGCAUUGUUCAAAGGAUAUUGAGGAAGUAAAAUGGGAUUUCUUGGAUUUUAGGNNNNNNNNNNNNCAAGUGGUUAUGUGGAUCUAAUAUGUAAUAUCGGGAUUGAGGCUGACAGUAUUGGUGGGUUGGACCUCUUAAACUCUUCUUUGGCCCUGGCAUGACAAUAGGUGCAUUUUCCUUCUUCUUUCCUUCAGUUUCCCUUGGUUGAUUGCAAUGUCGUCCCAAAUGUUUCACAGAAUCCUUUUGUCCAUUAGGCUUCUCAAUUUUUGAUGUCUCAAAGAUGGGAGAAAGGUUAACACUUAAAGAGAUGCCCCCGUUUUUAUAUGAAACAUCUUCAUAGUCCAUAAGUCCAGGGGAAUUUUUGGUAUCAUUUUCUACACUCUUAACUUUACCAACCACUUUCUCUAGCUCUUUUAGAAUGCUAGGCCUAUUAGUAAGAAAUUUUAGUGGUCCACUUAAUUUAACGGUAGGCUCAAGAGUAUAACAAUGGUCAUCAAGAGUGUUGAAUAUGGAUUCACUAGUGGAAUGGGGAAGCACAAUCGUUAGAUUGAUAGCCAAAGUACAAGUUUUAGUAGAAGGUUGAGCAAUAAAAGCAUAAACGGUAUGUGUGCUGUGAAUGUGGUAGACUUACACUGAGAAGAUAAAGAUAGAGUGGUGGAAGUAUUGAGGUGCAUUUGAUGUGGAAUGGAUUCUGAGGCAUACUGUGGUGCAUCAACAACAGUAGGAAACUGACUUUGCGAUUUUGGUGGAAGACUCAAGGUAUUUGUAGGGUCAAAAGUGGGGAACGGAGGUGGAGGUAGCCCACUGGCCCAAGAUCGGUAUAUUUCCAUCAUUUGUUGUCUCAGUCUCAAAUUCUCUUCCUUUAAACUCUCAAUUUCGUUGUUUCAUCCAUGGUGUCACUCUCUAUAUCCUUGUUGGACACAACUAAACCUUCCUUGGAUUUGGUGUGAUAUGGAGGACCAGGCAGGAAGCCACAAACCAACCACCUUAAACUAACUGAACAAUAGGCAACAAAUAUGUUAGAGUUCAAUAUUUUUUCUUCAAAACCCUUUUUUUUAAAGAUCACCGAACCCAGGAAGGGCGCCUACGUAUCUCACUCUCGAGAGAGGAGAAUUAGGUGUGCGUAGUUCGUGAAGUCUUGCCAAAAUGGCCAAUUAAUUCUUUUUUUUUCUUUUUUUCUUUUUCUUGAAACUUUAAAAAGAAAAGGAAAUAACAAAUUGUCAAAAGAAUUGACGAAUUUUUAUUUUUUUUUGCAUUUUUCAAGUUUAAACUCUCUAUACAAAAUGAAACCUAUGAUUAAAUUUCAUAUGAAAAUGGAACUUGAACCUAUUAAAGAAAUUUUUUUUUGUAGUUUCUUUUAGAGAUGUAUAUGAAACACCUACUCUAAGUGAAGAGUGAAUAAAAUCUUUUUGAAUUUUUUUAAACACGAUUCUCGUACCAACAAUAGACUGCCAACGUAUUUUACCCUCGAAAGAGGAGAAUCAGGGGUGCGUAGUUCGUCCAGAUUGGACAAUUAAGGAUUAAUUAACAAACUACACCAAACUUGAGAGACACGACCAAAGACUAAGGAUGAAAAAUGUCAAUAAAAUCUUUUUUGGAGUUUUCAACUUGACAAUUCAAAUAAAAAUGACACCAACAAUUAUGAAAGAAAAAAUCCUUUUGGUAUUUUCAUUACAUGAAAUGUACAAAUUUCUACCAUUUUUUUGCAUUUUCUUUUAUAAAAACUGCAAAAAAAUCUUUUUUGAAAAUUUUGAGUUAUAAAUGCAUGCUAAAGGAGACAAAGUGAGAAUUUUUUUUGAUGUUUUGGUUUUUGAACAAAUGAGUGCAGAAAAUAAAGAAAUCUUUUUGAAUUUUUGAAUUGUGAAAACAAAAGUCAUAAAGAAUUCUAAAACUAUGAAACUUUUUUUUUUUUUUUCUUUUCGACUCACUUUUCUUUUCUCCUUUUUUUUUCACUUUACUUCUAACACAAGUUUACCCCAAAUCAUUCUGUCAAAUGACCAUUUUACCCUCAGAAAUGCAAUAUUUAGCACAUAGGGACGCUUUAGAGGUGAGUCUCCUACAAAGGACCAAGCGGGCCCCGCUAGGUCUUCAAUAUGAUGCAUAAGCAUGACCUAAAGGCUGACCUAUGUUAGGGUUCACUAACAAGGCUGUUCGGGGGAGCGUAUGCUUUGUUUUCCACCUACUCCAUAACACCGACGGCUCCCCCCCUAAAAUAAGGGUGACUCAACUAGAAGUCGUGUACAACACGUGUACUACGGACUUGUUGCAAAAAGAAUGACUCGGGUUAUGCACAUGAUGCCAGAUAUAAAGCGGUAACACAUAAGAUAAAAUUGUAAACAAAGAGCACGUAGACACUCAACAAUGAUAAACAAUAACACAAAACUACACAAAUAAUAUCUAUACACCCAUAAUGUCAAACAAAGCCGAUACAACUCCAAAAAAUUAGCUCGAAUUCUCAAAAAUCCCCAGCAGAGUCGCCAGAGCUGUCACACCCCUUUUUUUCAACUCCAAAAAGAUUAAUUUUACAGUUCGAAAGGGUUUUCAUUAUUAAAGUGACAAAAAAUGAAAAUUUUGUUUCGAAAAGGAUUAUUUACAUUUAAACUCAAAGUCGCCACUUGGCAUAAAUCAGGUGUGCCAAGUCACCCAUGGAUAUCCUUUUUCAAAAUGGUUUUGACUCUGCAAAACUGAUCCGCCAACAGAGAUUCCGGGUAAGGAAUUCUAUUGACCAAGGGGAAGGUGUUAGGCACCCCUCGAUCCCGUGGUUCGACCACGGUCACUUGGUGGAGUAUAUCGGCUAAUUUGAACACUAUGAAUGUAUAAACCACACCAAACAUAAAUAAAACGAUCAAUCAAGCAAACAAAUCCAAAAAAAUGUCCAGUCCAAAAUAGAAAAAGAAUGCGAAAACCUAUUCUACCCUACACUAAUUUUAUACUACGCUCCCAUGCUACCCGAUGCCUCGGGCCUUCAUCACGGAAGUCCUCCAAAUACAAAAUACUUCGGGGUAUUUCCCGGCGAAUAAAUACAAGUGAUCACGGGGCAUUCCCCGAUUAAAUAAAUACAUUUCCAAAUGCAAGAACUAAAACCAAACCGUUCAACUCAAAUUCCACAUUCAAACAUUCAACAAGAAAAUUUAUUCCUAAAUUUUUGCCUACCCGAACAAACAUUCGCCUAUCCAUUUCAACAUAUCAUAAUUUUAUUACAUUCCAACAAUAUUCAUGCUCAUUGCGAAUUAAACAAAACAACAAUAAACCAAAGCUAAUCUAAAUUCAACUUUUUUUAUCAAUUUCUCAAUUUCAUCCCCAAAUCCAUUUUUAACCACAUUAUUACACCAGUUUGACUAUCAAAUGACUUUUCAAAAUCCGAAACCAACAACACAUACCCAACGAAGAUUCAAAUAUUUAAUCAUACCAAUCAUUCAUAUCCACAACAACAAUUAACAUUUUGCUCAAAACAUUCAAAACAGCACCACAAAAUCAAGAUAUUAACCAACUUCGAUAUAAUAAAAAAGUAGAGUUGAGAGAUAGACCUUUGCAGAAUCAAUUUCCCUGAUAAUAAAAUCAAGAAAUACCAGACUAUAGAAUUCCUAAUAGGACCUCAACAAUGACGAACUCCAACUCCAUAUUGAAAAAUUUGAGACUAAAAAAUGAAGCUUCGUAAAUCCAAUCCAACCCGAAAAUCGACACUGUUCACGUACUGUUCACGGCACUGUUCACAACACUGUUCACAACACUAUUCAUGAUAUUGUUUCUCUCUCGCGUGAUUCUCUCUUCUUUCCUUGAUUUUUUUUGUUCUUCUUGUGAGGAAGAUGAUUUGGUGAUUGUUGCUAUUGUGGAGAAGAUGAUGAUGAAAGAAUGAGCCUCCCUUUUUCCCCUUUUAGAAUUUUCCUAUUAUAUUUUUUAUUUUGUUUUUUUCUUUAUUUAUUAUCCUAUGUGGAAGCAUAUAAUUGGUGGCUUGUGGAAAUAAGUGUGUGGCAUGUGGAAAGAUGAGGGUGACAUGUGGAAAAAUGAGUAGGGCGUGUGCCUUUUGCAUGUAUCCAAUGAAAAAUGGAAAGUGAGGUGUUGAGGUGGCAUAGUGAGGUGGCAAAGAUGCUAGGUAUUUAAUUAUUUUCAAUUCUUUCUUCUUCUUGUUUGAGAGAAUUUAUCAAUUAAACAAAAGUAUGGUAAGGUGAAUAAAAUAAAAAUAAAAAUAAAAAUUUUAAAAAUAAAAAUAAAAUAAAAAUGAUUAAAAUAUUUUUGGGAAAGGACAAAAUUACGUGUCUACAGGUAUAGAAGGUUUUGUUGUAUACUGUGAUGCAUCCCGAGUGGGACUUGGGUGUGUCCUUAUGCAGCAUGGUAAUGUCGUGGCUUAUGCAUCUAGGCAGUUGAAAGUGCAUGAGAGCAAUUAACCUACCUAUGAUUUGGAGUUAGCGGCUGUGGUGUUUGCUCUUAGAAUCUGGCGGCGUUAUCUUUAUGAGGUGCAUGUUGUUAUUUUCACUGACCACAAAAGUUUGAAGUAUGUUUUCUCGCAGAAUGAAUUAAACCUCAGGAAGAGGCUCUGGAUGGAUCUUUUGAUGGAUUAUGACAUGAGCCUUUACUAUUACCUGGGUAAGGCAAAUAUUGUAGAUGACACCCUCUGUAGGUUGUCUGUGGGCAACCUUUCUCAUGUUGAGGAAGGGAAGAGAGAAAUGGUGAAGGGCAUUCAAAGACUUGCAAAUCCUGGGGUGCGACUCUUGGAUUCCAAAGAUGGGGGAGUAGUGUUUCAUGAGGUAGCUAAAUCAUCCCUUUGUGCUGAAGUUAAAGAGAAGUUGGUUGAAGAUCCCAUCUUGAUACAGAUCAAGAAAGAUGUGGGUCAGCAAAAGGUGAUGUCCUUUGAAAUUGGUGGUGAUGGUAUUUUGAUAUAUCACGGUAGAUUGUGUGUGCCAGAUGUAGAUGGUCUGAGGAAGAGAAUCCUUGUCGAAGCUCACACCUCGAGGUACGUGGUUCGCCCAGGCUCUACAAAAAUGUAUCAUGAUCUAAAAACCAUUUAUUGGUGGAAUAAUAUGAAGCAUGAUGUGGCUAAAUUUGUUGCCAAGUGUUUGAACUGUCAGCAAGUUAAGGUAGAGUAUAUAAGGCCCGACGGUACUUCCCAAGAGAUAGCUUUACCCCUGUGGAAGUGGGAGAUGAUUAAUAUGGAUUUCAUUAUAGGACUUUCGAGGUCUCGAAACCAGUAUGAUCCCAUUUGGGUGAUUGUAGACCAGUUGACUAAGUCUGCUCAUUUUCUGCCUAUUAGAACUGACUAUUUUGGAGAUUAUUAUGCCAAGCUGUACAUUGAGGAGAUAGUCCGUUUGUAUGGAGCGCCUGUAUCCAUCAUAUCUGACCGAGGUACGCAAUUUUCUUCACAGUUUUAGAGGUCUUUUCAGAGGAGUUUAGGUACCCACGUGAAACUAACUACUGCAUUUCACCCUCAGACGGAUGGGCAAGCAGAGCGCACCAUUCAGUCCCUUGAAGAUAUGUUGAGAGCCUGUGUAAUUUAUUUCAAGGGUUGUUGGGUGGAUCACUUACCACUAAUAGAGUUUGCAUAGAAUAAUAGCUAUCACGCUAGUAUUAAAAUGGCUCCUUUCGAAGCACUGUAUGGAAGAAGAUAUAGGUCGCCUAUAGGGUGGUAUGAAGUAGGCGAGACUCAGUUAUUUGGCCUGAUCUUUUUCACCAGGCAAUGGAAGAUGUGAAACUUAUUAGAGAACGACUUAAGAUAGCUCAAAGUAGACAGAAAUCCUAUGCCGAUGUUAGAAGAAGAGAGUUAGAAUUUGAGGUUGGUGAUUGGGUAUUUCUAAAAGUUUCUCCUAUGAAGGGAGUUAUAUGAUCCGAGAAUAAAGGUAAGUUGAGUCCUCGCUAUAUAGGACCAUAUCAGAGCUUGAGAAGGAUAGGCGCAGUUGUGUAUGAGUUAGAAUCUCCUUCAAGUUUGAGUUCUAUUCAUCCGGUUGAGUUCUAUUCAUCCGGUAUUUUAUGUAUUCAUGUUGAAGAAGUGUAUAGGAGAUCAUUUUCUAGUGUUGCCUGUAGAGGAAAUCAAAGUGACAGACUCCUUAGCAUAUGAAGAGAAACCUAUUGCAAUCUUAGAACUUCAAGUGAGAAAGUUGAGGAGUAAGGAGAUAGCUUCGGUUAAGGUGAUAUGGAGGAAUCAAAAAGCAGAAGAGGCUACUUGGGAAUCAGAAAAUGAUAUGCGUGUGAGGUAACUGACUCUUUUCGAGGAUAUGGAAGAUGAUUUAGAAGGUACAAACCUUAUACUACUUUUUAUUUCAUUUAGCUCUUGAAAUCGUGCUUGAUCUGUCCCGAAUCUUCAUUCGGGGCCGAAUGAUCCCAAGGGGGAGAUAAUGUAAUGACCCACAAUAAGGGCUAGAAUGUAAACCGUCUUUCCUAUGCAUAGAUGUUCCAAAAUCCAUAAACCUAAUGUAAAUUUAGUGUGUUACUCAUUUAUAUAGUAUGUGAAUCUAGUUGGGCCUGAGUCGAGAUCAUAGAGUUCCCUUAACUCAAAGACUAGUUGAAAGCUUUCCUAUCAUUCAAGUUUUAGUGAGCGUCAAAACUUAAAUCAACUUUAAUUGAUAAUAACUCCUUGUAUAUGGAGUACUGGGUGGCCUACUAUAUAUCAAAUUAAAAGGUCUUCGAGUCCUCUUUCCAAUGCCACUAAUUUUACCAAAAUCUGAUAUUGGAGCAAAACGUUAUGCCUAUUUUACUUCAACAUAUCAACUUGGAAUCUAGUGACGACAAUUCUGACGGCUUAUCACAAAUCUGACACCUUAUCAGAAAAUGUCGUCAGCCUUAGGCAAAAAGUCAUAAAUUCCAAUAUUUUGUGAUGACAAGAGCUGGUGGCUUAUGACAUAUGUGAUGACAUCAGCCCAAUGUCAUCAGCUAUUCAAUUCAACAUUUUUCAAAAGGUUUUGGAGGGGUAUUUUGGUAUUUUCCCUUCACCCCAUAGCUCCAUAAACAAUGAAUUCAACCUCUAUUUCAUCAAAAAUACACUCCUUUCUCUUAAAUUCUCUCAAGAACUAAAACCUAGGGCCUCAACCUAAGAUCCAAGAUCCCUCAAAAUUUCACCAUUAAAUUCCAAAAUUGAUUCAAGAAUUAGAAUUCCCCAAACUAAGAUCUUCAAGAAUCAUCCAUCAAAAGCAGAAAUAGAGUCCCAAAAGCAAGUGUUCAUUCAAGGUUUAUAAUCUAAGGUAUGCGAGGUUUUCCUAAAAUCUCAUGGACAUAGAAAUCAUGUUUUUAGGAAAAGGGUUUCAGAUUUAUGAACAUAUUCAUGUUUUAGAAGCAUUGAUGAUAUUGUUUUGGCCUUUAGGCCUUCCCCCAAAUUUAUUUAAAGUGAUAUAUGUAUAUAUGUAUGUGUUUUAAGGUUGAUGAUUGAAUUGAGAGCAUGAUUCAUGUAAAAUCCCUCUCUGGUUAUGAUUUUUCCUUUACUUAUGACAUGCUAUGGAUUGUUCCAAAUGUGUUUCAAAAGGCUUGAUAUGAAAGGUCUUGAAUAACGUUAUGUUUGGAUUAUGAUUUUGAUUUCAAAAGAGAGAGGGUAGUUUUUGUUGGUAAAUGUGAAAAUAUUCAUAUAAUGAAAGAGUGCAUGAUUUUGCCAAAAGCACAUGACCACCAUAUGUUUGAGGAAUUCUUGCAUAGUUUUGACUUAUGUUUCUUUACAUGAAAUCUCUUAAACUAUUUGCACGUUGGGUGGUCUGAAUUGAGUUUUCAUGAAAGAAUCAUGCAUGAUACAUUAUGGCUCAGAAAAUAGGACUUGCAAGUCGUGGUGUGACGACACCAACUCAGUUAAAGCCAUAGUAAUUCAAAACAGAAUAGAACACAUGUUUGAAAUCAGAUUUUCAUAUGUUGAAACUAGAAAAAAUCAUGAUUCAGAACAGGAUAAAAUUGGGCAUAAAGAGAGCUUAGGUGGUUCCCCGAAGAAGGCAUGAGGUCAGAUAACUCAUUGCCCAAAAUCGUGAUUUACCGAUCCGGGUAUAUUAUUAUACGCUGGCCUAGUGCCUUGUGGCGUAUCAUACUUAGACAUUCCAACCCUUGGGGCACACUUGGGUUAGGGGAUUCCCGCCGAGUCAAUGACGGAUUCCAUACAACCCGUGAAAUAUCAGAAUUGUAGGGGAGUGCCACCUAACUCAGAAGUAAUACAAAGAUCGGAAACUGCAUUGUCAGAAAUGUUUUAUGUUUUCAAGAAUGCCCAUGUAUUUAGAAAUCUUAUCUUUCAUGAUGUUUAUGACUAGCUCUCAAUUAUUUUAUUUAUAUACAAGCUUUAUUUUGGAUUUCUUUCCGUACCAGUACAUCUGUAUUGACCCCCCUUCCCCCUACCUCUCAGGUUCUGAGGCUCAGUCUAGAAGUCUAGAUAAGCAGUAGAUUUCAUUAGACAAAGUUGCAGUGUCCAGUUGGUGAGCCUUCUAUAUUUUGGAAGGCUUGUUUAUUUUCAGACAAUUAUUAUUAGUUAUGGUUUUGGUCUACUGAGGGUCCUUGUCCCAGUUUUUCAGAUUGUGUUAGUAAUCAUGUACUAGAUGUUUCACAGAAGGUUUGCAGAUGUUGUUAGUUAGUUUUGGAUUUAGUUAUCCGUUGCUAAAUUUAUAUCAGAUUUAUGACCAUGAUUCUGUUUCGCUAUAUUUUCCGCAUUUCCUUAUUUGUAUAUGAAUGGUGUAUAUGAUUACAAGUUAGAAGGGUGUCGGGCCUUCAUGGUUCGGGAUGCACGCCACAGUCAGGGCCUCGGUUCGGGUCGUGGCACAAGCACUUUUAGUUUGGCUCGCCCCGAAUUGGUCCCAAAUUGCUGUUUUUUUUUUUUUUUUUCACUUGAGGAAAUUAUACCUAGUACUCUUCAAACUGACCGGUUUGAAUUUUUGUUCCCCAUAUACUCGAUUUUGAAUUUUUGUCCCCAAAGUGUAUGGUCUUGAUGAUUUUUUUGUUCCUAUUUUAAAGUUUUCAAAAAGACAGAAUUUUUUGGUCAACAGUGCAUGUUUAUUCUCUUGAAAUGUCAUAAAAGUUUGUCUUAUGAGUAACAUAUCUAAGUUCUAACUUUUGCCUAUAAGGAAGAAUUUCUAGUUAAUUAAUCAAGUUCAUUGUCUAAAAAUAUUAUAAACGUUUGUUUUAUAGGCAAAAGUUAGAAUGGGCAACAUAUCUAAGUUCUUUUUCCCUGUUGGUCAAUUAUGUAAUUUCAUUAUCUUGAAAUGAUAUGAAUACUUGUCUCAUGGGAUAGAGUUAAACCGUCUACAUAUGGGCAAAAUUUCACAUCCAACUUGUUCUCUCUCAUCUCCACAGUUUCACCAAUGAUGCAAUUCGUUGCUUAAACCUACGCCGAUGGCCAGGACUUCACUUCUCUCCACACUUGUAUGAGUUGUAAUACCAUUGAUUGGUCCUUGUGUAGUCAAAGACCUCUUGGCUCACCAUGCGAGGAUUAGCCCUGUUAGUUCUAGCCUUAGCUAUAUAUUUUAUGACUGUUCCAUUGAAGAAUACUCCAGGAAAGCAAGUUAGAGAAAGUACUCUCAUCGGGUCUUUCUCCAAACUUUGACAAGAAUUGUUGGAGUCAGUUUUCAGUUAUAUCUAAGUUGUAGUUCUGUCUGCUAAAUCUGACAGUCCCUCAUAUGCAUAUUUUGCAGGGAGAGGAAACUCAUUGUAUAUUGAGUUUAGUCAACCAGUUUGGGAUUGAAUAACCAGGCCUAACUUUCAGCAUGACUAUUACAGAACAUAUUGCUCGCGCUGAAUUGAUAUUAAAUCUUGCAAUAAGUUUUGGAUGUUUAAGUUGGAGCUCUUUAGUCAUAGAAAUGUAUUAUAUAUAUAUUGUACUUUCAUGUAUUAUAUAUAUUGUACUUCCAAGUGACUUCAAGAGUAAGUUUCACGUGCAUUUGCACUUGUAAACAGCAAUUUCUAGAAGCAAAUGCAUAUGAUUAUGAAGUUACCAUUCUCAUAUUUGACUGUGGAUUUUUUGGUACUUAAAUCAUCUGUAUCCGUCAAUAAGAUUUGUUUAAUUGUGGUAGCUACUUGUUUCUUGUUUGGAGGUCUCUCUCUAAAUAUAAAAUCAUUAUUAUUGUUAUUUCUAUUUUGCCCUCAUGAAAAAAUUAUUAUAAGAGUGGUUUUACUGUUUUGUAAGGAAAUAAAGAGAUUAGGGUGUAAAUUAUUAAAAAAAUAAGAUAGGGUUUAAGUUAAGAAAGAGAUCACACAUUAGGGCUCAAAAUGCAAUGGACUCAAUAAUGUUGUACCCUACUCUAUUAAAGAUAGCUUCACCAUCUUCCUUGGGGCGCAAAUGCUUAUAAUUUUUGUGAAAACGCUUGCAAUUAAAUUUUCAUGAACCAUUUCCAAUUAACUUGUUUCAUGAUCCAUAUGUCCAAUUCUUUAAAAUGACUGUCACCUACAUAUGCACUAAUGAUACCUAUCAGAGUAGACAAAUGAAACAAGUGUGCAUCUGUAGCAAAAAAAUUAGUGUCGCAAAUUCCUUCAGUUCGUCCGACUUCACAUCAAGUAUAUGUUUGUAGAAUUUUUACAUACAUAAUGAUCAAGUUUUUCAUUCAGAGACCAGUUUACAUAACCUUCAAUGCUAAUUCCCUGACUGCACACAAGUGAACUUGAUUCAGGCAGUAGUUCACAGCCAAGGAGACGUUGUUGUGAUACCGAGGGGCAGGUUGCAGUUUCUUCUUUGUCCAAGAACCCCUACUCAGAGAGUACACAACAUAAAACAAGUUAUAGAUCAAUACACAAUUUUGUUAUCAUCGUCGGAAGAAUCAUAACAUAACCCACAAGCAUGUGGAAAUGUGUAUUCAUGAAGUUUCAUGUAUGGACACUCAAGAAUGUGUUGUUGUUUGGAUGAUGCAUUCAACUGAACAAAUUUCUUAUAAGCCUUAGGUUUCUUCAAUAGUGCCAAGCCAUUAUUUGAGCCUAACAAAUGUGUUCUUUGGAAUCCUAUCAGAGGAAAUGGUUGUUUUUCUCUAAUAAUUCUAAUAAGAUUGUCCACAUAUGUAAAUUCGAACUCGCGAGUGCAUCUCAGUAACAAGAGUUUUAACACCCUAGAGCUUUGGAUUGAUCACAAUGAACUUUCGUGAAUGUAAUGUCAGAAAUUAUAGCAUUCCACGAUUUAAAAAUUAUUAGGAUCGAAAUAAUUAGGUGUCAUGUGGAAGCUAGCAAAGCAAACCUCGAAAUACGCCACAUAAGAAGAUAAACAAGAAAUAUGCCAAAAGAGACACAAGAAUUUAACGUGGUUCGGUCAACCGACCUACAUCCAUGAAAGGAGAUGAGCAAUCCACUAAAUAAAAGAGAGCACAAACUACCAAGAGAGACAACCUCACAAAAUUCACUCAGAAUAGAAAAGAGGUUCACACAAGUGAUCCCGCAACACUUGUGUCUCACAAAGUAUCCCCCCAAACUAAACUCUCAAACCCCUAGGACUACAUUGUGGAUGCUACAAAACUAGAAGAAAAGAGCCUCUAUUUAUAGAGUCUAUAACCUUUUCCGACAAGAAUAAGGAUUGGCCAAAUAUGGAGAAUAUGUUUUCCUUUUUCUAAAAGGAAAACCCAAUUGUGGUACCUAAAGGAAAACCCAAUUAUUUUAAGAAAGUCAAGACAAACACCAACAAUUCUCCCCCUUGGCCUGAAUUUCUGAUAAAAUAAAGUUGCUCCACCUUCUUUAUGUAGUCUUCACCAAGUUCAAUCUCCAUCUCUAAAAUCUCCUUCAUUAAAUCUUGACUCUACACAGAGUAACACUCUAAUAAAAUUUCUCAAACUAAAAUCUUCAUUAUUGUCAAAUAGGUUGUGACUAGAACUGAAUCUGUCAAGAUGAACACCGGAUUUUAACCUUGCUCUGAUACCACUUGUUAGGAUCAAAAUAAUUAGUUGUCAUGCAGAAGAUAGCAAAGCAAACCUCGAAAGAUGCCACAUAAGAAGAUAAACGAGAAAUACACCAAAAGAGACACAAGAAUUUAACGUGGUUCGGUCAAUCGACCUACAUCCACAAAAGAAGAUGAGCUAUCUAUUAUAUAAAUGAGAGAACAAACUGUCAAGAGAGACAACCUCACAAAAUUCACUCAGAAUAGAAAAGAGGUUCACACAAGUGAUCCCGCAACACUUGUGUCUCACAGUCUCCCCCAAAACGAAACUCUCAAACCCCUAGGACUACAUUGUGGAUGCUACAAAACUAGAAGAAAAGAGUCUUUAUUUAUAGAGUCUAUAAUCUUUUGCUACAAGAAAAAGGAUUCGCCAAAUAUGGAGAAUAUGUUUUCCUUUUCCUAAAAGAAAAACCCAAUUAUGGUACCUAAAGGAAACCCCAAUUAUGAUAAGAAAGUCAGGACAAACACCAACAAUUAGUUUGUUAUGAUUCAAAUAGAAUAAGCAAACCACAAGUGAAAAGAAAAAAUCAAGAACAACACAAAAGAUUUAUGUGGAAACCCUUAUGGAAAAAACCACUGGUAGAAGUAGAGGAGAUUUCAUUAUAAUGGAUAAAGAGUACAAUGUGGAGAAAACUGCAUUUUUGAAUAAUCAAAAUAACCUACUAAUUGCACUUAUAUAAUACGUGCAUACAAAUAAGUCCUAAACCCAAAAACAUAAAGGUCCAUACCGCGGGACUUUUAGGGCCGGCUAAACAUAAUUUGGGUAACAACUCUAACAAUCUCUACCUUUACACGAAUUCUUAUUCAGAACUCAAAUCCAUUCCAAGACGAACUCUCCACCUCUUCCACAAAAUCCCCUAAGGGCACAUCUCAAAAGCUAACACCAACCAAGUCCAAGAAAUGCUCAAACUUAGCACUUGGGAGUGUCUUGGUCAUCAUAUCAGCGGGAUUAUCAUGGGUACUAACCUUGAUUACCACAAUAUAACCACGAGCAAUAAUUUCACGCACAAAAUCAUAUCGAACAUCGAUGUGCUUUUUUCUUUCUUGAAAUAUCUGAUCUUUCGUAAGGAAGAUUGCACAUUAACUGUCGUAAAAGAUCGUAGUAAUCUGUAAGUCUUUGCUAAGUUCACCAAACAGACCCUUCAACUAAAUAGCUUCCUUUAAACCCUCGGUAAUAGCCAUGUACUCUGCCUCAGUAGUUUACAAAGCAACCGUAGACUGUAAGGUAGCUUUCCAACUAAUAGUACAACCACCAAUGGUGAAAACAUAGCCUGUAAGGGAUCUCCUUUUAUCAUGAUCUCCUGUAAAAUCAGAAUCAACAUACCUAAUUACUCCAUCUCUGUUUCGCCCAAAUUCAAACAAACCUUAGCAGAUCCAUGCAAGUACCUGAAAAUCCACUGAACUUCUUUUCAAUGUUCUUUUCCAGGAUUUGCUAUGUAUUUGCUAACUGCACUGACAAUAUAAAAUAAAUCUGAUCGGAAACACGCUAUCGCAUACAUAAGAGACCCGACGACACUAGAGUAUAAAACUGAAAACAUAUAGUCAUGCUCACCAUCUAUUUUUGGAGAUAAAGUGGCCAAGAGUUUGAAGUGAGCUGCCAAUAGAGUACUUACAGGUUUGGCAUUUUGUAUAUUGAACCUAUGAAGCACUUUCUUAAUAUACCUUUUCUGACUCAAGUAUAACUUACACUUCUCUCUAUCCUACAUAAUUUCCAUGCCAAGGAUCUUCUUUGCUGCUCCUAGAUUCUUCAUCUCAAACUCCUUAAUGAGCUAGGCUUUGACUUUUAUUAUCUCUCUCAUAUCCUUUGUUGCAAUCAACAUAUCAUCAACAUACAAGAGAAGAUACACGAAUGAACCAUCACUUACCUCCUUAAAGUAGACACAACUAUCAUAGCUUCUCCUCUGAAAUAUAUGAGAGGUCAUAAAAGAGUCAAACCUCUUAUACCACUGCCUGGGCGACUGCUUUAAGCCAUAAAGAGACUUUUUCAGCAAGCAUACAUAGUCCUCUUUUCUAGAGAUUUCAAAUUCCUCUGGUUGCUUCUUAUAGAUGUCCUCCUCAAGUUCUCCAUAUAAGAAUGCAGCUUUGACAUCCAACUAUUCAAGCUCUAGAUUAUGCAUGGCCAUAAUGCCAAGCCAUACUCGAAUCGAACUAUGUUUUUCAACUGGAGAAAACACAUCUGUGAAGUCAAUACUUGGUACCUGACUAUAACCUUUACUAACUAGUCUUAUUUCUACCUAGCAUCUUCGACUCCCGAUGUUCCUUCUUUAUUUUUGAAUACCCACUUGCAACUAACAACUUUCUUAUCUUUAGGUAAUCUCACCAAAUCCCAUGUGCCAUUCUUAUGAAGUGAUUCCAUUUCCUCCUGUAUAGCAAUCAUCCAUUGACCGAAAUCUUCACAACUAACUGCAAUCAAUAUAUCAUCAACAUACAAGAGAAGAUACACGAAUAAACCAUCACUUAACUCUUUGAAGUAGACACAACUAUCAUAACUAUUCCUUCGAAAUAUAUGAGAGGUCAUAAAGGAGUCAAACCUCUUAUACCACUGCCUGGGAGACUAUUUUAAGCCAUAUAGAGACUUUUUCAACAAGCAUACAUAGUCCUUUCUUGAGAGUACAAAACCCUCUGGUUGCUGCAUAUAGAUAUCCUCCUCAAGUUCUCCAUGAAAGAAUGCAGUUUUGACAUCUAACUGCUCAAGCUCAAGAUAAUGCAUGGCUACAACACCAAGCAAGGCUCUAAUAGAACUAUGCUUUACAACUGGAGAAAAUACAGAUAUGAAGUCAACACCUGGAACUUGACUAUAACCGUUAGCAACUAGUCUUGCUUUGUACCUAGCAUCUUCAAAUCCCGAUGUUCCUUCUUUAUUUUUGAAUACUCACUUUCAACAGAUAGCUUUCUUAUAUUUAGAAAAUCUCACUAAAUCCCAUGUGCCAUUCUUAUGAAGUGAUUCCAUCUCCUCCUUCAUAGCAAUCAUCCAUCGGCUGAAAUCAUCACAACUAACUGCCUCUGAUUAAGAAGAAGGUUCUUCACCAGAAUUAAUACCUUAUACUACACUCAAUUCAUAAGCAACCAAAUCAGCUUCAACGUACUUCUGAGGAGGUCUAAUAUCUCUUCUAGGCCUGUCUUUAGCAAUAGAAUACUAUGGCAUCAUUGCUGGUGAAGAAGAAAUAGUACUACUCUGUAUGUCCGAGCUAGACUGAGAAGUAGGCAUUGGUGUAGAAUCUGCUCUAAUUUGAAAUUCAACGGGGUGAAUGACUUUUGCUGAUUCAUGUGACUAAGCUCAUAUAGAGGCAAAACACUAUAUUCGGAGGGAGCCCAAAGCGUGGCAAUUUCAUCAAACACAACAUCCCUGCUAAUUAUAACCUUUCUGCUUUAUGGACACCAAAGCUUAUAAGUUUUAAUACCAGGAUUAUAACACAUAAAUAAGCACUUGACAGAUCUAAGUUCUAACUUUCCAUUAUCAACAUGAGCAUACGCAGGAUAUUCAAAUAUCCUCAAAUCAGAAUAACUAGCAGGAGUACCAGACCAUACCUCUUGUGGAGUAUUUUUAUCAAUCGUGAUUGAGGGAGACCUUUUAAUAAGAAAACAAGCUGUGGAAGCAGCUUCAGUCCAAAAAGCCUUGGGUAAACUAGCAUUAGAGAGCAUACAAUGCACCUUCUCCAUUUUAGUCCUAUUCAUUCGUUCAUCCACACCAUUCUGCUGCGGAGUAUGAAGAACUAUCAAGUGCCUCACAAUUCCUUCUUACUUGCACAGAGCAUUAAAUUUACUAGAACAGAAUUCUAGACCAUUAUCAAUCGAAGGCGUUUUACCUGCUUUCCUGUUUGCUUUUCAAUCAUAAUCUUCCACUCCUUGAAAGUAGGCAACACAUCAUUCUUUUGCUUCAGAAACAACACCUAAACUUUCCUGGAAUAGUCAUCAAUAAUAGUCAAUAAGUAAUUAGCACCUCCUCUAGAAGGUACUCUAGCAGGACCCUAGAGAUCAGAAUGAAUGUAAUCAAGUGUGCCCUUAGUUGAGUGGAUGCCUUUAGUGAAUCUGUCUCUCUUCUACUUCCUGUAAAUGAAGUACUCACAAAACUCCAAUUUGGUAAUACUCUGCCUAUCAAGAAGUCCUCUUCUUCUUAGUUCAGCCAUCCCGUUUUUACUCAUAUGCCCCAGACGCAUAUGCCAAAGUUUAGCAACAUCACUUUAUGAUAGAGAGGAGGUAGAAACAGCUGCAUCACCUGUAAUAGUAGAUCCUUGCAAGACAUAAAUUUGCAUACUUUCUCUAUCCCUUCAUCAUAACAAGAGCUCAUUUAGUAACCUUUAGGAAUCCACCUUCACCAGUGUAUCUAUAACCAUUCGAAUCAAGGGUACUCAAGGAAAUAAGAUUUUUCUUCAGGUCUGGGACAUACCGCACAUCACCAAGUGUGCUCACAAUUCGAUCAAACAUCUUGAUCCUGAUUGUUCUAAUACUAGCUAUCUUACAAGGUGUGUGUUAUUUCCCAUCAACACAGCACCUUUAGAGACUAUUUCAUAUGUUGUAAACCAAUCCCGAUUACUACCCAUAUAGAACAUAUGCAAGUUGAAUCAAGAAUCUAAUCCUCACAGGGUUUGGAGUUACCAUCAAAAACUACCAAGAGUUCUCUAUCACUACUGCCAUCUUCAACAACACUGGCUUCAUCGGACUUCUCUGGUUGGUUUUUCUUUGGUUUUGGAGCUUUUUUUUUUCUCUAUUCUGUAACUUCCAACACUCGAAUUUGAUAUGGCCCUUUUUCUUUCAGUAAUUAUAGGUUUUGUUUCUAUUUCUGGAUUUUCACCUAUUCCUGUCAUCACCCCCAGAAUUCCUCUCACGAGUCCUUCCUCCUCAAACAAUGAGACUAUCUCCUUGAGUCUCCGACCCAUUCACAAGAUGUUUUAUUUUCUCCUUAGAGAACAACGCAUUAUAGACUUCAUCAAUCGUCAAAGUAUCACGACUAUAUAAAAUCAUAUCCCUAAAGGCCGUAUAUGAUCCAGACAGCAAACACAACAAAAUCAAUCCUAGAUCUUCCUGAUCGUUCUUAACCUCCAGAGUCUCUAAAUCAGAGACAAUUUCUUUAAAGACUAAUAGGUGAUCUUCCAAAGAUGCACCCUCAGACAUAUGAUGGGAAUAAAGUCACUGUUUGAGAUACAAAUUACUUGUUAGGCUCUUUGUCAUCAUAAAGAUUCCAGUUUCAACCACAAUGCAGUGGUUAUACUCUCCUUCAAAACAUCCUGUAGAAUUUAAUUGGAUAAAUAAAGGUGGAUCUAAGAUAGGGCCUUUCAAUCCUUACGUUAUUUGUCCUUGUCCAUCCAUGAUAAAGGCAUCUUCUCAAACCCUAAUAAGGAUCAUACACGACCCUAAUAAGGAUUGGAAGGCUCUAUCUCAGAAUAAGGAAAUCACGGGGAUGUUGAUACUGUAAUUUAUUGAGAUCAUAAAUCAGAUUGCUGUUCCCUAUGAUUGUUGUUUGUUUUCUCUCAAGGCUUUAUUGUGAUCCAACAGCGGAAUAUCAUACUUCAUGGUUGCCAUCCUCGAGAAAACAAUCGAACAUACUUCAUGGUUUCCCACUAAUUGCACUUAUAUAAUACGUACAUACAAAUAAGUCCUAGGCCCAAAAACAUAAAGGUCCAUACCGAGGGACUUUCAGGGCCGGCUCAACAUAAUUCGGGUCACAACUUUAACAAAAAUAGAUUUGAAACACAACAAAGAUGUACCGUAUACCUGAAUAAGGAUGCUGAAAAGAUAUCAUAUGAAAGAAGAUGUAUCCUUUUUGAUACGGCUCCCCUCGAUUGUCUUCUGUUGUUUUGCCUUUGACAUCACUCGAAGAUCAAUUUAGAGAGUGGAUUGGGGUUAGGUUCUACGGUAUGAAGUGCAACAUGAACAUUCUAUUAGGAUUAGUGUAAGAACUAUUUUUAAUAUUUGUCAGCAUAUAAGAUACUUAUAUAUUAUCCACAUAUAUAACAUAAGCUUUUUCCGUAAUUAAUGUAGAAAGUAAGUCCAUGAAUAGGAGAAGGAAAAAGAAAAUUCAUAUAAAGUAAGUAUGCUUCAAUGCAUUUUUAUUAUGGCUCACCUCAAAUUGGCCCCAAACUAGCUAAAUAUUUUUUCAUUUCCAGUAUCGUUGGUAUCAUCAAUAUCAAUCUCAUUAAGAAGAAAAUGUUUAGACUUGUUAUCCAGGAACUUGUUCAGAAAUAUUCUAAUGAGCGGAACAUAUGAGUUUGCCACUAGGUAUUUGACCAAGUAGGGUUGUCCAGUUCCUAUAAAAUUUAUCAUUAAAAUACCUCUAGAGGGGGGAGCGAAAAUGGUUUUCCAUGAAAUGGAAAACAAAAACUACUCGAUAUUCUAUAGUCAUAUUAAAGUCCAACUAAAUUUAUAUUUGAGUUGGAAGUUCCUACAUUAAUGAGUAAAAUGGUUAAUAACAAAGAUGACUUCAUAUUAGAGUUGUCAAUCCGAGUUGGGCUAGUCCAUCCGAGCUUUGGAAUUUGACGAAGGACUGACCCAUUAAAAUUAUGGGCCAGAAAAUAGCAAUCCCAACCCAUCAUUUUGUGGGUUUUGGUCUGCGACGGUUGAGCUGACUUUUUAAAAUAUUACUAUUGUUUGUAUAAUCUUUUUAAUUUAAAAAUAAGGUGAUGGUUGCCGACUAUCAAGAGUAAAAGCAAGUAAAUAUUAAACAGUGAUUCUUUAAAAAUUUUAGGAUUUUGCAUUUUGAUUAUUUAAAAUAUUUAAAUUUUGAUUUUUAAAUUUUUGGACUUUGUAAUAUUAUUAAAUGAUCGUUUAAGUGGACUUCGAGUUAGGGUUCUCUUGUAAUCUUGAUAUAUUUAGUAAUUUAUUUUAUUUUUAUUUUUAAUUACUUUUUAUUUGAUCCACAAACCAGUCCAAUCCACAUUACACAAGCCUCAUAGACCCGUGGGCUUAUACGAACCACAGUAAACCCUAAAACUCAUAUCCAAAAAUACCUAGUGAAGCUUUCUAUGCUAAAACUCACAAAAUUUGAAAGAACCCUAAAUGGACCUAGUGGUGGAGGAAGACAGGAAGUUGAAAAAGUGAAGAAAGAGUUUGAAGAACCAUAAAACUAACCCAACAACACAUCAAAUACAUAAAUGAAUAUGGAAAAUGAAGAAGAACAAUUGCAGAAGAGAAAAAUUCAUUCUCAAGAUUGAAUGAAUUUGCUUCCUUUUGAUGACAAGCUGAAAAAAUUCAGCCUUUCGCACAAUCUUGGAAAUCCUAAAUCCAUAAGGUAAAUAUAUAUAUAUAUACUAGUUAUCCAAAUGAAGUCUUGGAAAAACACUAGUCUUAACAUUGUUCUUUUACUAUUAUACGUAUAGACUAGUGAUCUUGAGGGCCAAGUCCGUGCUUAUCGCUUGAAGGAGGGAAUGGGAAAUGCUUCAUUUUUAAAUUUCCUUGUCUCUGGCGAAGGAUGGAUUCUGUUGUAAGUUAUGUUUGGCUUUGAUUUAUCUGUGACUAACAUUUGAUACUCUUGUAUGAAUUCAUUUUAUUUCUAUCUAGGAGGAUUAAACGCACGACACUUGACUAAUUAAUGUAAAUCUACUACGCGAGAUACCUAUUAUCUAGUUUUCUAAAUGUUUGCAAUCAAAUAAUGUCAUCACACUAAAGGAAAAAAAAAUAAAGUCUAAUGAUUGAAUUAAGACUCUUAUAUAUAAUGUCCUAACUUGACUCUACAAUCUCGAAAACAAAUUAGACUAUAAGAUGUAAAGCUAACAUGUAUCACAAGUGAACUAUAACUUGUCAAACUAAAACAUGAUAUAUAUUUUUCUCCUUCGUCGAUCGAUUACUUCUCCUCUUUAUGAGUGAGAUCCCAGUUGGUAUUAGGUAUAAUAGCUUUGAUCUAAAUGACAAUGUUUAUGAGAUUCAAUCCUCAAACCUUGAAGGCUGCUAUUAAAAUUGUCGGAAUGCAGCAAAAGGCCUUAGGGGCUGUGGAGAAAGUGGAGAAGAGGAGUGCUAGGGAUGUUAAGCCUAUUACCAGCCCAUUCAGUCCUAAAGUCAAUGGAAUAGUAAUACCAUAUACAACUAAGGCCAGAACUUGCAGGCUAAUCCUCCUAGGAUGAGCUAAGAGGUCUUUGAGUAUAGAAGGACCAACCAGUUGUGUUACAAAUGUUCAGAAAAGUGAAGUCCUUGCCAUUAGUGUAGUUUAAGCAACUGAAUUGCAUCAUUUGUGAAACUGGGUAGAUGAUAGAGAACAAGGAGGAUGCGACAGAUCCAAUACAUGAACCUUGAAAGAACAAGAUGUCUAAGAGGUGGUUUGUUUGAGUGCCUUAGCUUGUCUUUUCAAUUAUCAUUGGGGACUCUUGAUUUCCAACAAAGCUAUGGUCUAACAGUCAAUGAAGUGUGUGAAAAUCUAUAGAAACAAGGGUCCAACAAUAUUUGACUUAAUAUCUGACAUGCUAUAUCUUUGGCUCUUUGUUAUCGUUUUGGCCUCGAAAUACCCUUACGUUAGCCUACACAAGAGUGAUGACCCUAUAGGUUAAAAGGGAUGAUUUUUUUACAAUUAUUUGUUAUACAACAACAUCAUAACCAGUGUAUUCCCACAAAGUGGGGUCUAGGGACGGUAAUGUGUACGCAGUCCAUACCACUAUCUCAGAUGAAGUAGAGCGGUAGUUUCCAAUAAACCCUUGACUCAUGACUUAUAACAGUAUAACAAACAAAUAAAACAUAAAAUCAUACAAUAAAAUGGGAUAACACACUGCUAGCUAAUACAGGAAACAAGACAACCAAAAGAUCGGUUGAAAUAAUUAAAAAGCAUCUAAAGUUUACUAAAACUGUAAAUCAGCAGAAGCAAAGGAAAAAAAAACACUGAAUGCAUAACCCGAAAAAGGUAGAAUAAGCUAAAAGAAAGAAAAGUCAUCUAUGAAUAUCUGUAUGCACCUUAAUACUCAUAUGCUCAAAUUCUUCUAGAAUUAAUUUGGCAAAAUUUUCCAUAGAAACUGCAAAAAGAAAUGAGUGUUCAAGAAAUGCAACAACAACAAUCAAUUCCCUCCGAUUCCAGCCUCAUUGAUCGUUUCACCAUGCUCUGCAUUUACUAUGUCGUGAUACACUCUUACUGUCGCAAUCAUUAUUGCAGAAACACCUUAAAAAGGUUACCCUUUAUAUCGACACAAACACCCCCACGACCAUACUCAAACCACCCAACUCCAUCUUUGGUUUCACCAAUAGUAAUAACGAUCAUCAUUUCCAAUGACUACACAUCAAUGCAUAUGAUUAAAUUUGACAGAUUUGUCAUUGCUUUGUCAAUAGCACAAGUGUCUUCUCAACUCUAUGACCUUUGUCGAAAGCUCCCUCAUCUCCCUAAUGUGGUGCUUCUUGGCUUGAAUUUGAAUUUAAUCGGUCUCUAAUUUGCGUGUGGGAAAUUAAAAUAAAGUUAUUUAGAUAUUUUGGAGCCAAUUUGGGGUGAGUCACACUAAAAAUACAUUGACGCAUAUUGGACAGUUAUCAUCCAACAUAGAGCAACCUUCUGGACAUAAGGAAAUUUAUAGUACUUCUUCUUUGAAUGCGUAUUGAACAUACCUCGAUCUAACAUUAUGUGUGUAGAUCACAUAGGAGAGCUCAUGAGUCCCAACUUUCUAGACGUUCAUUUGUGGCAUAAGUUUAGAAUUCUAUUUUUCAAAAUAGAAAUAAAAAGUGUGAGAAAGUAUUAUACUAAUUAUUAACUUUAGCUAGUUAAAAUUCUCUUUGUUUCUAUUUUUAAAAUAAAAUUUCCCUAAAUUUCUUAUGUUAUUUGGUUAAAGAUAGUUGUGUGUUAAUUAUAAUAAAUAAAGUACUCGCGGCAAAAUUUGUUGAAUACAACAUGAGAACCAUAUACAAAUAAAGUACUCGCAGGAAAAUUUAUGGACUUACUAUUCUACAUUAAGGUAAGAGUGUAAUUAUGUUGACCAUUUAUAAAUAUCUUUCCAACUACCAAUGAUACAAAUAUAUGUUACAAUAAACCCAAAUAGAAUGAUAUUUGUUCUUGCGCUCCAGUAUUUGAUCCCGAGCCACUCUCUAUAUUGCUCUUUAAUUAUGAUGUCAAAAGCAAAAUUACAAAAGAUAAUAAGGGGAACCGUAUCAAAGAUAUGAUAGAUCUGUUCUUCCUGAUGAUAUCAUUUUCACUAUCCUUAUAAAGUAAAUGCUAUAUCUUUGUGACACUUUAAAUGUGUUUCAAAAUCAUGGAAUGGUUGAUUUCCGAGAUUAUUUUUACAAAAGCUCAUUGUGAUGAAUCCAAAGCGUAGGAAGUGAAAAACUUUUGUUUAAAAAAAUAUUGGCAAAUUCGAAUUUAUACAUUUAAACAAUUUUAAUGAAGUUAUCAUAGAUAAACAAUAAUUUCCUCUCAAAGAAUUCCUAAGUGCUCAUCUCUUAUGCUCAUAUAAUGGUUUGGUAAUAUUGAAGAAACCUAAGGCUUAUAAGAAAUUUGUUUUGUGGAAUCCAUAAUCUAGACAAUACUACAUUCUUGAGUGUCCAUAUAUGAAAUCUCAUGAACACAUAUUUUCUUGUGCUUAUGGUAUGUGUUAUGAUUCUAUCACCGUUAAGCCAUAAGCACAAGAAAAUGUGUAUUCUUUAGGUGUCAUAUAUGGACACUCAAGAAUGUGGUAGUGUCCGGAUAGUGGAUUCCACAAAACGAACUUCUUAUAAGCCUUAGGUUUUUUCUGUAAUACUAAGCCAUCAUAUGAGCACAAAAUUUGAGCACCUAUGAAUUAUUUGAGCGGGAAUCGUCGUUUAUCUAUGAUAACGUUAUUGAGGUUGUUUAAAUAUAAAAAUUCAAACUCGUUCGUAUUUUUUGGUAACACUUGCUUUUCACAUCCUAUCUCUUUGGAUCGAUCACAGUGGGCUUUCAUGAAAGUAAUGUAGAAAAUCAUAGCAUUCCAUGAUUUUGAAACACUCUUAAAGUGUAUCAAAGAUGUAGUGUUUACCUUUAUGAGGAUGUUGAAAAUCAUAUCAGAUGGAAGAACAGGUGUAUCCUCUUGAGAAUGACUUUCCUCGAUUGUUUUUUGUGAUUUCAUUUUUGACAUCAUUAUUGAAGAGCGAUGAAGAAAAUGAAUUGAGGUCAUGUUUGACGGUGCAAGAACAAAUGACAUUUUGUUAGGGUUUACUGCAAUAUAUAUUUAUAUCAUCUGGAGUCAUGCAAAAUAUUUAAUUCUCUUACCUUAAGGUAGAAAAGUAAAUCCACAAUGGAAAUUUAGUAAGUUUUUCUUGUUUGUACUAAGAGGAUAAAAACAACAACAACAACAAUAAACCCAGUGUAUUCCCACAUAGUGGGAUCUGGGGAGGGUAAGAUGUACGCAGUCCAUACCUCUACCUCUAAAGAAGUAGAAAGGAUGUUUCCGAUAGACCCCCAGCUCGAGACACGGAAUACUACACAAAUAUAUAGUAAAGCAUGGAAUAAGAUGGCAUAACAUAAAUACGACACCCACAAGUAAUAGAAAACAGAGAAAAGUAAACAGAUUCAUAAUAAAGCAUGACACAAGGUAUCAUAACAAGAAUAAUACCUCUACCAAGUAAUAACCUAUACUAGCGACCCAAACUGACCCUAGCCUUCUGCCCUAAUUCACGUCCUCCAGAUCUUGCUAUCUAGGGUCAUGUCCUCAAUGAGCUGUAACUGCUCCAUGCCCCGCCUAAUCACCUCUCCCCAGUACUUCUUCGGCCUACCCAUACCCCACCUAAAACCAUCCAAAGAUAGCCCCUCACACCUACGAACCGGGGCAUCCAUGCCCCUCCUCAUCACAUGUCCGAACCAUCUCAAUCGGACUUCCCGCAUCUUAUUCUCCAAUGGAAUCACACCAACCUUCUCCCUGAUAGUCUCAUUCUGAACUCUAUCCCCUCUAGUCAGCCCAUACAUCCAACGGAACAUACGCAUUUCCGCCACCUUCAUUUUUUGAAUGUGGGAGUCCUUAACUGGCCAACACUCCGCUCCAUACAACAUGGCCGGACGGACUGCCACCCUAUAGAAUUUGCCUUUAAGCUUUGACGAUACCUUCUUAUCACACAAUACCCCGGAAGUGAGCUUCCACUUCAUCCAUCCUGCCCCAAUACGGUGCGAGACAUCCUCGUCAAUCUCACUGUUACCCUGAAUCACGGAUCCGAGAUACUUGAAACUAUCCCUCAUACAUACCACCUGUGAUUCCAACUUCACUACCACCUCAUUCUCCAUCCUCACGUUAUUAAACUUGCAUUCCAAAUACUCUGUCUUGCUCCUACUCCACCCGCGUCUAAUCAAUCAAAACUACAUCAUUUGCAAAAAGCAUAUACUAAGGCACCUCUCCUUGAAUACGCCAUGUCAACACAUCCAUCACCAAAGCAAACCAAAAGGGACUAUGAGUAGAUCCCUGCUGCAAUCCUGUCAAGACAGUGAAAUGCUCUGAGUCUCCUCCCGCCGUGCUCACCUAAGUUUUAGCUCCAUCAUACAUGUCCUUAAUUGCUGCCACCGGGACUCCACUCACCUCCAGUUCUGAUAAAAAAUGAUGUUAAAUAAAUAAUAAGAAGUUAAUGAAGAGAUUGAAAUUUCAUAUUUACAAACACACUAUGCUUCUUAAAUUAGUUAAUACAAUAGGGCGGGUUAAUUGCUCUGGUUUAAAAUAUGGACAAUGUUUAUUUGUUUUAUUUAUUUGAUUUAUCAAUUUAAAUAAAAAGUAUUUUAUAAGCGAAAAAUAUAAUUGUUAUCACUACAAGUUUACUCUUAUAUAAUAGUAGCUGAAUUAGUGAAACUUGCUGGAAAGUAAUCAACAAAAAAUAUUGUAUUAAACAAAAUUUUAUAUUCAAUUUGAAUGACAUUUUUCCAAACUGAACAAUACAAAAUUAAAUCAAUACCCCUAUACUCUAAGAAUCAGAAUCAUAAUUUUUAUUAUAGAUUGUAUUCAAUUAAAAGUUACUAUGUUUUAUUAUAUCACUUCAAAAUCAAAACUUUAAUCUCAGUAAUAUUCUGUGAAUUUCUUCACGAAUACUUUGUUUAUUUUAAUAAAAUCAUAAUUCCUUUAACUAAAUCACAUAAAAAAUUUAUCAAAAUUUUCAAAAAUUAUUUUAAAAAAAGAAUUUUAAUAAUUAUAAAUUUUCUUAUAUCCCAAAGAUUGCACUAUGUUACGAUAAUUGUUCAAUAUGCUUCCAAGCACUUUUAGUUUGGCUCGCCCCGAAUUGGUCCCAAAUUGCUGUUUUUUUUUUUUUUUUUUUUUUUUUGAUUUUUCACUCGAGGAAAUUAUGCCUAGUACUCCUCAAAGUGACCGGUUUGAAAUUUUGUUCCCCAAAUACUCGAUUUUGAAUUUUUGUCCCAAAGUGUGUGGUCUUGAUGAUUUUUUCGUUCCUGUUUUAACGUUUUCAAAAAGUUAAAAUUUUUUUGGUCAAUUGCGCAGGUUUAUCCUCUUGAAAUAUCAUGAAAGUUUGUCUUAUGAGUAACAUAUCUAAGCUCUAACUUUUGUCUAUAAGGUAGAAUUUCUAGUUAAUUAAUCAAGUUCAUUGUCUAAAAAUAUUAUAAACGUUUGUUUUAUAGGCAAGAGUUAGAAUGGGCAACAUAUCUAAGUUCUAACUUUUGCCUUGUUGGUCAAUUAUGUAAUUUCAUUCUCUUGAAAUGAUAUGAAUACUUGUCUCAUGGGAAAGAGUUAAAGCGUCGGCGUAUGGGAAAAAUUUCACAUCCUACUAGUUCUGUAUCAUCUCCACAGUUUCACCAAAGAUGCAAUUCGUUGCUUAAACCUACGCCGAUGGCCAGGACAUCACUUCUCUCCACACUUGUAUGAGUAGUAACACCAUUGAUUGGCCCUUGUGUAGUCAAAGACCUCUUGGCUCACCAUGUGAGGAUUAGCCCUGUUAGUGCUAGCCUUAGCUAUAUAUUUUAUUACUGUUCCAUUGAAGAAUACUCCAGGAAAGCACAGUGAGGAAUUUGGAUCCAUUUCAUUCCAAAUGUAGAAGAGCAAUGUGAGGAAUUUAGAAAUUUUGGGUUUGGAAAGUUUAUUUGGAAAUGGGGAUGGAUUUUAGUUUUCUUGCUUUCAUAUGAUCAAGUCCAAAAAAUAUCGAGUCUUGGAAAACCCAAAUCUUAUGGUAGCUAAAAUAAAUGCAUUUUCCUUCUGUUAGAUAUCAUGAUAUAAGAGUACACUAACAAAUUUUCCUGAAUUCCAAACUAGUUGGUUCAGCUAUAUGUAUCCUCUUUAUUUAUUGUUCACAAUUUGCAUCUGUUUCAUCCUCGUACUGUGUAGACAAGGACUAAGGAAGCAGAGAUUUUGGGUGUGAAAGGUUGGUUCAAAAUAGGGAAGAUUUUAAUAUGUCUUGUAUUUUGGUUUUUUUUUCUAAAAAAAAAAUCUUGUUAGAUACAAUAUAGACCUUGACAAAAAUGGUUUUGCUUGCCUGGAUGACUAUUUAGACGGAAUUGGCUUGUCGUUACUUAGUAGUGACAUUCUAACUGGCAACUCAGAAGUGUGAAAAUCUUGAGAGACAAGAGUCCAACAAUAUUUUGAUUGAAUAUCUGACGUGUUAUAUCUUUGUUGUCAUUUUCGCCUCGGGAGACCCUUGCAUUUGCUUAAAGUCUUUAUUGAUGACAAAAGCGAGCAAGACUAAUCGACACAAGAGUUAUGACCCUAUAGGUUAAAAGGGAUGGAUUUUAUGAAAAUUUGCUAUAUGGAUUGUGAGUUAAACAUUUGAAAUAAAUAAAAAGCAUCCAAAAUUUUGAUAAAACUCUGAAUCGACAGAAACGAAGGGGAAAAAAUACUUAAUGCAUAGACCCCCCAAAAAGAGUAGAAUAAGCUAAAAGAAAGAAGUCUUCUAUAAAUAUCAAGAACUUAAUAUUCUCACGCUUAAAUUGUUCCAGAAUUCAAUUAAUAUAUUUUUCCAUAAAAACCGCAAAAAGAAAUUAGUGUUCAAGAAAUGCAACAACUGUUAGAAAAGAAAGUAGGCAAAGUGAGAAAGAAAAACGUUGCUUUUACUUCAUUCAACUGCAGAAAAAAUAAGAGAUCUACUGCCCUUUUAUAGGCUUACAACUCAACAACUUAAGCUAAAAUAUAGGAACUAACAACUAGUGAUGUAACAUGACAUAAACACCAACAUUCCCACUACUGGAAAACAGAAAAUUAAAAAGCAUUGACCAAGUAAAACAUAACUCCACUAAAGCUAAAAAACAGGCCUCUAAGACUAAAAAAAAAGGACCAUAAAGAAUAGAUUUUGCAGUGACUGGUUAUUGAAGAACUAGUCAACACUCCCCCUUUCUUCAAAAUCACAUACUCCCAUUUGUAGCCUGAAGAAGUCAUGCUUGUUGCGCGGAAUCGAUUUUGUAAGAACAUCAACAACCUGAUCAUUUUUGCCACAAAAUUUCAAGGAGAUUAUUCCACCAGUAACUAGAUCGUGAAUGAAGUGAUAGUGGAUGUCGAUGUGCUUCGUCUUACUGCGAAAUGCAGGAUUUUUUGUCAUAGAAAUUGUCUCCUUGUUGUCACACCAUAUUUCAGUUGGACCAAUCUGCUCUUGUUGAAGAUCCACUAACAAUUUCCUUAACCAGAUAGAUUGGCAACCGACAGAAGUUGCAGCCAUGUAUUCUGCUUCCGUAGAUGACAAGGUGAUUGUAUCUUGUUUCCUUGAACUCCAUGAGAUUGCUCCAAAAUCAAGACUAAAGAAAUUCCCAGAUGUGCUCCUGUGAUUUCCAAGCUACCUGCCCAAUCACUAUCAGUAAAACCAAUUAAUCACUGAAAUCUGAUACUUUUGAAUACCAAAUUUCGUAACUUAUUAUGCCAGCAACAUAUCGCAAGAUCCUUUUGGCUGCACCCAAGUGUUGCUUCGAAGGACUAUGCAUGAACCUUGAAAUCAAACUGACAGAGAAUGCGAUAUCGGGCCUUGUGUGUGAUAAGUAGUUUAGACCACCAACCAAGUUUCUAAAAUAAGAAGCAUUUGUUGCGCCUGUAAAAUCAUCAAGUACAAGUUUCUCAUUCAUAUUCAUGGGCGUGGGAGAUGGAUUACAAUUCAGCAUGUUUAACUUCUGUAAAAGUUCAGUGGCAUAUUUUCUUUGCGAAAUAAAGAUUCCAUCUGAACCUUGUCUCACCUCAAGCCCAAGAAAAUAAUGCAGCAUACCCAAGUCGGAUAUUUCAAAUUUACACAUCAUGCAACUCUUAAAUUCAGAAACAAUAGAUUCACAAGAGCCCAUAUAUAUAAUAUCAUCAACAUAAAGACAAACAACUAGAAAGUCACCAUUACCUCGCUUCUUCACAUAAAGUGUGGGUUCAUUCUCACUUUUUUUGAACUGCUGCUCUUGAAAAGAGGUAUCAAUUUUGCUAUACCAUGCCCGUGGAGCUUGCUUUAGACCAUACAAUGCCUUCUUCACUCUGUAUACUUUGUUCUUUCCUUCACUAGAGAUGAAGCCUUCAGGUUGAGAGACGUAUACUUCUUCAUGUAAGUCUCCAUUUAGGAAGGUAGACUUAACAUCAAAUUGGUACACAGGCCAGCCAAGUUGAGCAGCCAAGGCUAGAGUAGUUCUAACUGUUUCAAAGCGAGCUACCGGUGAGAAUGUCUCUUUAAAGUCGAUGCCUUGUUUCUGGAAAUAUCCUUUUGCAAUAAGUCGAGCUUUAUGCCUUUUCACACUUCCAUCAGCAUUGUAUUUCACUUUGAUAAUCCAUUUUAGCCGGAUAACAUUCUUUUCUUCAGGAAAAUCAACUAACUCCUAGGUUUGUUUUUUCUCAAUAGACUGGAUUUCUUCAAUCAUUGCAUUCUACCACUCAAGUUGCUUUGCAACUUCUUCAUAACAUGUUGGUUCAAUAGCUAACAAGGAAAAACUACAAGAUGCAUAAAUAUCUUCCAGCAACCGAAACUUUAUUGGUGGCGUUUUGCUAGAUGACGCUGAAUAUGGAAAGUGGGAGCUUGUUGAAAUAGCAUUGUUGUUGCUACUGCCAUAAGAAGAAUGAUUAGUAUCACUGUUGGAAGGAGAGGAAGGAUCAUAACCUUAAUGAUUAGUAGUAUGCUCUGCUUCUGAUUGGACCGGAAUAUGGAUGCCUAAAUCUUCUUUUUCGCCAUUCCACUCCCAAGCUGCUUCUUCCUGAAAAACAACAUUUAUGUUGAUAAUCACUUUGCCACUAGUAGGAUUAUAUAGUCUAUAUGCUUUGGAUUGAGGACUAUAACCAAUGAAAAUGCAUUUCUCUAAUUUUUCAUCUAGUUUAGAACGUAUAUUUAUCAAAGCAUAAGCUAUACAACCAAAGACUUUCAAGUGGCUUACCUGUGGUUUCCAUCCCGUCCAUGCUUCAUAUGGAGUUCGAUCUAAAACGGCUUUUGUUGGAGAGAUAUUCAGGAGGUACACAACUGCAACCACUGCUUCUCCCCAAAAGUGAACUGGAAGUCCCCUUGCAUUAAGUAGGCUUCUGGCUAUCUCAACCACUGUGCAAUUUUUUCGCUCAGCGACUCCAUUUUGCUGCGGCGAGUACGGUGCUGUAAGCUCCCUACGAAUUCCAUUCUCAUCAAAAAAUAAAUUAAAAUUGUCAGAUAAAAAUUCACCACCACUAUCUGUGCGAAGAGAUUUUAUGUUGUAGCCUGAUUGCUUCUCCACGAGGGCCUUGAAUUUUUUUGAAAUUCUCAAAUGCUUCAGAUUUGAACUUUAGAAAAUAAGCCCAGCUCAUAUGACUGUAGUCAUCAGUAAACAGAAGAAAAUACCGACUCCCACCUAAUGACUCAGUUUUCAUCGGCCCACCCAAGUCAGCGUGCACAAGCUCAAGACAACUACUAGCCCUCUCCUUUGUUUUCCAAAUAUGCACCCUUCACAUAACUCAAGGUCACCCACUUUUGGUAAACCAACCACCAUGUUCUUUCUAGUAAACAAUUUUAACCCAUUAAUGUUCAAAUGACCAUACCGAAGAUGCCAAAGUUGAGUUUCAUUAACACCUUUAGCAACAACCACAUUUUUAACAAUAUUUGAAACAUUGAGGGGAAACAUAUUUUUCUGAGUCAUAGGAACAAUUGCAACAGUUUGACCAGAUUUCUUAUCACUAACAAUGCAUGAAUCAUUAUCAAACAGAAAAGAGUAACCAUUAACCAUCAAUUGUCCAAUACUUAACAAAUUGUAAGCCAAACUAGGAACAAAUUGCACAUCACAGAUGAGUUUAGAUUUACCCUGCGUUGUUUUGAUGGUUAUGGUACCAUUGCCUUCUACUCGUACUUGUUUGUCAUCACCGAGUCAAACUUCACUUUUUCUCGACUCAUCAAGAUCCCUAAAUAGUGACUUUGUACCAAACAUAUGUUUUGAGCAUCCACUAUCAAUAAUCCAAACACCAUCGAAAUUGUCAGUAAUUGGAGAAUGAGCCAUGAACAACUUACUUUCAUCCUCAACUUUCUCAGAGAGAUUGGCAUGCUUCUAUUCAUCUCUUUGUUUGGUCCAACAAUAUGCUUCAGUGUGGCCGAACUUCUUGCAAUAUCAGCAUUGCAAGUCACUCUUGGUUUGACAUAACUCAUUAUAUUGCCCUCUACCUCUUCUGCGGCCUCGACCUUGGCCACGAAAUCUGCCUCUUCCGCUAUCUCGACUAGGAAAAUUUGAGGAUUUUUAUUUGGAGAAGGAAGACUCCUCUUUCACCUGGAAUUUUUUUUCUUCAACCUUCUCAUAAGACCUGUAUAGCCUAACUUCAUGAGCUAACAAAGAACCCAUUAAUUCAUCAAACGUAUAGUCAGAUAAGUUCUUGGAUUCUUCGAUAACAGUAACCACAUGCUCAAACUUACUGGUUAAAAGCCUCAAAAUCUUUUCUACAAUAGUUUCAUCAGUAAGUUUUCUCCAUAAGACUUCAAUAGAUUAACAAUUGCAGAGACUCAAGACAUAUAAUCUUGCACAGAUUCACCCUUUUUCAUGCUUAAAGUUUCAAAAUCACGACGUAGAGUUUGCAAUUUAACUACAAUUACCUUCUUAUCUCCCAUAUACUCCUGCUGAAAAAUUUCCCAAGCUUCAUUGGAUGUCUCUGCAGCUGAAAUUCUGGGAAAUAUAUCAUCAUGAAGGGCUUGUUGAAUCAAGAACAACGCCUACUAAUCCUUCCUACGUUUUUCCUAGAGCUGUUGUGCGUGGCCUUCAUUUGGGUCUGGAAAUCCAUUCUCCACCAAGUCCCAUAGCUCUUGAGACUUAACAAGAAUCUUCAUCUUAAGACCCCAAAACUGAUAAUUUACCCCUUUAAAGAUUGGAAGAGGUUGAGAAUUUGAAUUGGUGUUUACUGCCAUUUUUUCUUAUCUGAAGAUGAUGGAUUUCCCUCUUACGCUUUUAAAUCUCUCUUUCUCACCCUCUCUCUCACUCUCAGGUGAAGAAACCUGGCUGCUCUGAUACCAAAAUUGUUAGAAAAGAAAGUAGGCAAAGUGAGAAAGAAAAACGUUUCUUUUACUUCUCCAUUCAACUACAGAAAAAAUAAGAGAUCUACUGCCCUUUUAUAGGCUUACAACUCAACAACUUAAGCUAAAAUAUAGGAACUAACAACUAGUGGUGUAACAUGACAUAAAAACCAACAUUCGCCGUACUGGAAAAUAGAAAAUUAAAAAACAUUGACCAAGUAAAACAUAACUCCACUGAGACUAAAAAAAUAGGACCUCUAAGGCUAAAAAACAGGGACCAUAAAUAGAUUUUGCAGUGACUGACUAUUGAAGAACUUGUCAACAACAAUAAUUAAUUCCCUCUGAUUCUAGCCCCAUUGAUCACUUCACCAUGCUCCGCAUUAGCUAUGUCGUGAUUCACCCUUACUGCCGCCAUGAAAAAAGUAAUACCCACAGCACCAGCACCAUCCCUACCAUACUUCAACCACCCAACUCCAUCUUCGGUGACACCAACAGUAAUAACAGUCAUCAUUUCCAAGGAUUACACAUCAAUGCAUAAGAUAGAAUUUGACAAAUUUGUCAUUUCUCGGCAGAUAUCACAUGUGUCUUCUCAAAUAUAUAACCUUUGUUUCGAUGGAGUACUGUAUUGCUUGCUCUUGCGUAUGACCUUAAGUCUAGGGAAAUAAAAGCUAUCCAAACAUGUGUUAUCUCCAAGAGAAAACACAUAGUAUUUAAGAUUUGAAUUAUAAGUUGCCCCAAAAAUUUGUUGGUAUUUAGGAUAAUAUAUAUAAAUAUUGUUAGAGUCCGUUGCGUUUUGCAUCCUAAUGUGUUUUUUUUUUUUUAACUUACACUCUAUCCUAUUUUUUUUAUAAUUUACACUCCAAUCUCUUUAUUUCCUUACAAAAUAGUAAAAUCACUUUUUUAAUCAUUUUUCAUGAGGGCAAACUAGGAAUAACAAUAUUUUAAAAAAAAUUAUUUAAUUUUUAGUGUAGGAGGUUAGAUGAAAUAAAUCCUUCCUUCCAUUCACUUUUUCAUCAGUAACUAGGUUAAACUCUCCAACUGUAAACAAAGUGGCAAUUCAUAUUUUGAAGAUAAAUUACAAAACGAGUAAAUAUCAAUGGAUGAAAAUAAAAAUAAAUUGCAAGAUCGACUGAAGAAGGAGAAAUUGAAAGGUAAAAAUUUGGGAUGAUAUACUUCUUUCCCUGCUCUCUAUAUUUUUUAUUUUGUUUUUGUGUAAACUUUUACAUAUUUGUGCUCCUCUUUUUCUUUCAUAUGAAGAAACAUAUGAUUCUUAUAUGUUUGCCUCACUAUAACAAGAGUAAUAAACUAGAAAAAAAGAUUCUUAUAUAUGUCGAAAUAUCAAACAAUUCUUCUUUUGUAUAGGAUAAAUAGAUUACAUUUAUGUCAGUAUCGAAACGUUACUGCAGACACUAGAAAUUUUGAAUUUGUCUGUUAUGUCCUUGUUAUUAUCUCUGCUGAUGGACAUCAAGCUAUUGAAUUGACAUUUCAUCUUUGUUUGCACCAACUGAAGCCCAAAAGUUUAUGCAUUCCUUUCUGUUUCAAGAAAUUGUAGGUGAAUGUUUAGACAGAUAAUGUAAGAAUUUGCAUAUUGAAAGGUUUGAAAGCAUCUUCUCCUUUUGAGUAUUUCAACCCAUUACAUUCUUUCCACUUAAAAUGGAAAAUGGAAUCUCAGGAUAGUCCAAAGAUUUGCUUAAAGCUGGAAAUAGUUACUCUUCUUCCAUUACGAGACUAAUAGGAGUAGAAGAAUUCUAAUCUCUGAUAUGAUAUGCUUAUGAUAUUCUACGUUCGAUUACUUUGUGCAUGAAGAUCGUGCAAAUCAAUUCUACCUAGAGAUAAGAGAAUACUACCCUGGUCUGAAGGAUGGAUCUUUGGAGCCAGGUUAUGCAGGCAUCAGACUAAAGCUUUUUGGUCCAGAAGAGGGUUCUACUGAUUUUGUUGUUCAGGUAACACAUCGAACUUAUUCUAAGUUUCAUCCGGAAUGGUCCCUUAAGUUCCGUAGUAGAUCUAUUUCAUCGCUGUAUUGUGCUACCCUGAUCACAUGUGAUUAACUGAUCAGUAAUCGCUACAAGAUUAACGGUUCAGGUGUUUCCCUGUGACCAAGUUAUAGAAAGUACUCUCAUCGGGUCUUUCUCCAAACUUUGACAAGAAUUGUUGGAAUCAGUUUUCAGUUAUAUCUAAGUUGUAGUUCUGUCUGCUAAAUCUGACAGUCCCUCAAAUGCAUAUUUUGAAGAGAGAGGAAACUCAUGGUAUAUUGAGUUUAGUUAACCAGUUUGGGAUUGAAUCACCAGGCCUAACUUUCAGCAUGGCUAUUACAGAACAUAUUGCUCGCGCUGAAUUGAUAUUCAAUCUUGCAAUAAGUUUUGGAUGUUUAAGUUGGAGCUCUUUAGUCAUAGAAAUGUAUUAUAUAUAUAUUGUACUUUCAUGUAUUAUAUAUAUUGUACUUCCAAGUGACUUCAAGAGUAAGUUUCACGUGAAUUUGCACUUGUCCACAACAAUUUCUAGAAGCAAAUGCAUAUGAUUAUGAAGUUACCAUUCUCAUAUUUGACUGUGGAUUUUUUGGUACUUAAAUCAUCUGUAUCCGUCAAUAAGAUUUGUUUAAUUGUGGUAGCUACUUGUUUUUUAUUUGGAGAUCUCUCUCUAAAUAUAAAAUCAUUAUUAUUGUUAUUUCUAUUUUGCCCUCAUGAAAAAAUUAUUAUAAGAGUGGUUUUACUGUUUUGCAAGGAAAUAAAGAGAUUAGGGUGUAAAUUAUUAAAAAAAAUAACAUAGGGUUUAAGUUAAAAAAGAGAGCUCACAUUAGGGCUCAAAAUGCAAUGGACUCAAUAAUGUUGUACCCUACUCUAUUAAAGAUAGCUUCACCAUAUUCCUUGGGGCACAAAUGCUUAUAAUUUUUGAGAAAACGCUUGCAAUAAAAUUUUCAUGAACCAUUUCCAAUUAACUUGUUUCAUGAUCCAUAUGUCCAAUUCUUUAAAAUGACUGUCACCUCCAUAUGCACUAAUGAUAUAUAUCAGAGUAGACAAAUGAAACAAGUGGGCAUCUGUAGCAAAAAAAUUAGUGUCGGAAAUUCCUUCAGUUCGUCUGACUUCACAUCAAGUAUAUGUUUGUAGAAUUUUUACGUACAUAAUGAUCAAGUUUUUCAUUCAGAGACCAGUUUACAUAACCUUCAAUGCUAAUUCCCUGACUGCACACAAGUGAACUUGAUUCAGGCAGUAGUUCACAGCCAAGGAGACGUUGUUGUGAUACCGAGGGGCAGGUUGCAGUUUCUUCUUUGUCCAAGAACCCCUACUCAUAGAGUACACAACAUAAAACAAGUUAUAGAUCAAUACACAAUUUUGUUAUCAUCGUCGGAAGAAUCAUAACAUAACCCACAAGCAUGUGGAAAUGUGUAUUCAUGAAGUUUCAUGUAUGGACACUCAAGAAUGUGUUGUUGUUUGGAUGAUGCAUUCAACCGAACAAAUUUCUUAUAAGCCUUAGGUUUCUUCAAUAGUGCCAAGCCAUUAUUUGAGCCUAACAAAUGUGUUCUUUGGAAUCCUAUCAGAGGAAAUGGUUGUUUUUCUCUAAUAAUUCUAAUAAGAUUGUCCACAUAUAUAAAUUCGAACUCGCAAGUGUAUCUCAGUAACAAGAGUUUUUACAUCCUAGAGCUUUGGAUUGAUCACAAUGAACUUUCGUGAAUGUAAUGUUGGAAAUUAUAGCAUUCCACGAUUUAAAAAUUGUUAGGAUCGAAAUAAUUAGGUGUCAUGCGGAAGCUACCAAAGCAAACCUCGAAAGAUGACACAUAAGAAGAUAAAUGAGAAAUACACCAAAAGAGACACAAGAAUUUAAUGUGGUUCGGUCAAUCGACCUACAUCCAUAAAAGGAGAUGAGCAGUCCACUAUGUAAAAGAGAGCACAAACUGUCAAGAGAGACAACCUUAGAAAAUUCACUCAGAAUAGAAAAGAGGUUCACACAAGUGAUCCCGCAACACUUGUGUCUCACAAAAUCUCCCCCCAAACGGAACUCUCAAACCCCUAGGACUACAUUAUGAAUGCUACUAAACUAGAAGAAAGGGAGCCUCUAUUUAUAGAGUCUAUAACCUUUUCCUACAAGAAUAAAGAUUAGCCUAAUAUGAAGAAUAUGUUUUCCUUUUCCUAAAAAGAAAACCCAAUUAUGGUACCUAAAGGAAAACCCAAUUAUGGCACGAAAGUCAGGACAAACACCAACAAUUCUCUUCUUUGGCUUGGAUUUCUUAUAAAAUAAAUUUGCUCCAUCUUCUUCAUCUAGUACUCAACAAGUUCAAUCUCCAUCUCCAAAAUCUCCCUCAUUAAAUCUUGCCUCUAAAAAGAGUAACACUCUGAUAUAAUUUCUCAAACUAAAAUCUUCAUUAUCGUCAAAUAGGUUGCGACUAGAACCGAAUCUGCCAAGAUGAACCCCCAAUUUUAAUCUCGCUUUGAUACCACUUUUUAGGAUCGAAAUAGUUAGGUGUCAUGCAAAAGCUAGCAAAGAAAACGUUGAAAAACUCCACAUAAGAAGAUAAACAAGAAAUAAACCAAAAGAGAAACAAGAACUUAACGUGCUUCGGUCAAUCGACCUACAUCCACAAAAGGAUAUGGGAAAUUCACUAUAAAAAGAGAGCACAAACUGUCAAGAGAGACAACCUCACAAAAUUCACUCAGAAUAGAAAAGAGGUUCACACAAGUGAUCCUGCAACACUUGUGUCUCACAAUGUCUCCCCCAAAAUGAAGCUCUCAAACCCCUAGGACUACAUUGUGGAUACUACAAAACUAGAAGAAAGGAGCCUCUAUUUAUAAAGACUAUAAUCUUUUCCUACAAGAAUAAGGAUUAGCCAAAUAUGGAGAAUAUAUUUUACUUUUCCUAAAAGGAAAACCCAAUUAUGGUACCUAAAGGAAAACCCAAUUAUGGUAAGAAAGUCAGGACAAACACCAAAAAUUAGUUUGUUAUGAUUUAGACAGAAUAAGCAAACCAAAAGUGCAAAGAAAAAAUCAAGAACAACACACAAGAUUUAAGUAGAAACCCUUACGAAAAAAACCACUGGCAGAGGCAGAGGAGAUUUCACUAUAAUGGAGAAAGAGUACAAUAUGCAGAAGACUGAAUUUUCUGAAUAAUCAAAAUAGACCCACUAAUUGUACUUCUAUAAUACGUGCAUACAAAUAAGUCCUAGGACCAAAAACAUAAAGGUCCAUACUGCGGGACUUUUAGGGACGGCUCAACAUAAUUCGGGUCACAACUCUAACAAUCUCUACCUUGACACGAAUUCUAAUUCAGAACUCAAAUCCAUUCUAAGACAAACUCUCCACCUCUUUUACAAAAGCCCCUAAGGGCACAUCUUAACAACUAAUGCCAACCAAGUCCAAGCAAUGCUCAAACUUGGCACUUAGUAGUAUCUUGGUCAUCAUAUCAGCAGGAGUAUCAUGGGUACUAACCUUGCUUACCACAAUAUCACCAUGAGCAAUAAUUUCACGCACAAAAUGAUAUCGAACAUCGAUGUGCUUUGUCCUCUCGUGAAAUAUCUGAUCUUUCAUAAGGAAGAUAGCACUCUAACUGUCGCAAAAGAUUGUAAUAAUCUGUAAGUCUUUGCUAAGUUCACUAAACAGACCCUUCAACCAAAUAGCUUCCUUGAAAGCCUCGGUAAUAGCCAUGUACUCUGUCUCAAUAGUUGACAAAGAAAUAGUAGACUGUAAUGUAGCUUUUCAACUAAUAGCACAACCACCAAUGGUGAUAACAUAGUCUGUAAGGGAUCUUCUUUUAUCAUGAUCUUCUUCAAAAUCAGAAUCAACAUACCCGAUUACUCUAUCUUUGUUUUUCCCAAACUGCAAACAAACAUCAACAGGUCUAUGCAAGUAUCUGAAAAUCCACUGAACUGCUUUCCAAUGUUCUUUUCUAGGAUUUGCCAUAUAUCUGCUAACUGCACUGACAACAUAAGAUAAAUCUGGUCAGGAACAUACUAUCUCAUACAUAAGAGACCCGACGGUACUAGAGUAUGGAACUCAAGACACAUAGCCAUGCUCAUAAUCUAUUUUUGGAGAUAAAGUGGUCAAGAGUUUGAAGUGAGUUGCUAAUGGAGUACUUAUAGGUUUGGCAUUUUGCAUAUUGAACCUGCGAAGAACUUUCUCAAUAUACCUUUUCUGACUAAAGUAUAACUUACACUUUUCUCUAUCCUGCAUAAUUUCCAUGCCAAGGAUCUUUUUUGCUGCUCCUAGAUCCUUUAUCUCAAACUCCUUACUGAGCUGGGAUUUGACUUUUAUUAUCUCUGUCAUAUCCUUUACUACAAUCAACAUAUCAUCAACAUAUAAAAGAAGUGUAACACCGCACGAAAAUCGUACAUGUAUUAGGUUCUAGUAGCAUUCUUAUAGAGUAAAAUUCGAAAAUUUCUCCAAGUUUCAAAGGGACUUAGUCUCUUUUUUAGGUCCCAAUCUUUGAUGAGUUAUUUCCCGAUCUUCCCGACCUCCGUUUCUUGAUUUUCUUGUUGAUAAGAGAUGGGGCAAGUAAAUAGUACGUCUUGGUGAAUUUUAGGGGAAUAACACACUGGUUUGAAAUUUCUUUGAUAUGCUCCAGCAUUCUGGGUGCAUUUCAGACUACAAUUUCAGGGUCAACUUAAAAUGAUCAUAACUUUCUGUAUAUAAUGAACUAGGAGAGCUGCUAUAUAUCAAAUAAAAUCUAUUUGAGUAUUCUUUCUAAUGAAACUAAUUUCAUCCAAAUCUAACAUCAGAAUAAAAGUUAUGCCAAAUUUACUUCAGCACAUCAUCCUAUCAAUUGAGGGACUGCUGCGAUUUUCUUUGUUUCUUUAGAGGUAUUUUAGUCUUUUACCCCACCCUUAUUCAACCAUAAACACAUGAUUAAGCCCUGUAAUACUCUACAAAGUUCUAUUGUAAUCUGAGACUUAAAGCAUGUUCGGCAAAGCAUAAAUCCGAUCCUAAAAGAUUGAGAGGUGUCUUUCCAAAUGUGAAAUAUUUUGAACUAUGUAGAAUUUCCUUAAUAUCGAAUUUUUGUCAUGUAGGGAAUUGAAUAAGCUUUCCAUUGAAACCAAAUUCACUCAAAUCCGACAUUCGGGUGAAGACUUAGAGCCAUUUUAGUGAGACAGUGUACCACCUGGUACUUUAGCAUGUAACAGAGCUAGCCAAAAUGGAAAUUAAAAAAUUCCAGUAAGCCUUUAUGAUUCCAUAGCAUCGCGGUGUAGUUUCAGUUUGUAACCAAGGUGGCAACGAUUUCCACUGCGUUGCAUCAUCAUGUAAUUUCCCAAUUGUCUAAUUUCCAGUGGGCAGGUGCGAUUAUGGCGCGUUGCACCAGCAUAAAAAAUUGGGAUUUAUUUUUCAGUUUUGGAUUUCAAUUCCAAGGGCUUUUGGGUCUUUUUCCACUCUUUCUCAGCCCCUAUUUAUACCCAAUAAGAGGCUCUCACUCUUAUUUCCCUUAUUCAACAUCAAACUAGGGUUUUACAAAAACCAAAACCCUUACUCCUUCUUCAAGAAAUAUCAAGAAAAUCAAGAGAAAUCAAGAAUCACUCCAAGAGCUUUCAAGAAAGAAGUUUCCCUAAAGUAUGCAGAUGUUGAUUCUUGGGUCCGUUUCAUCCAAGAAGCUCAAGUACCCUUUUCUAAAUCUCAAAGAUUUUAUGUUUAUGAGUUGUUAAUGAUUCAUCUGAGUUGAAAUUGAUGUUCCUGCUAUGAUUGAGUUGUGAUUCAUGUUUGUUGACAAGAUUAUCAAGCUUUGACCUUAGUAUGUGAUACCCAUGUGAUGUUCAUGAUAAAUCUUCUUUAAGUUGCUUGUUAGAUGAUGUGUUCAUGUCAAUUAAGUGUAGAAUUGGUUGAGUGAGCAAAAAAUACUCCCUAUAUGUUUGAUAAAAUGCUUAUGUGAAGGAAUUAGGGCCAUUAGAGCAUGUUGAUUUGGAAACCCUCAAUUGUGUACGAGUCUAUGCAUGCCUAGUGUUUGAUGAAAUACCUUAAUGAAUGAAUUGUGCCAUUAUAACAUGUAAUCCCUAAUUAUGUGUAAACCCAUGCAUGCCUAGUGUUUGUUGAAAUGCCUUAGUGAAUGAAUUGUGGCAUGAUAGCAUGAAAUUCCCAAUUAGGCGCAACCCAUGCAUGCCUAGUGUUUGUUGAAAGGCCUUAGUGAACAAGUUGAGACAUGAUAGUAGGAAAUUCCCCAAUUAAGUGCUCUUUGAUACAUGCUAAGCCUUUAAUACAUGCCAAGUGCUUGACGAGUAAAUUGUGGCAUUAUAGUAUGAAGUUUCCCCAAUCAUGCAUUAUCCAAUAUAUGCAAGACUAACCUAGAGAUCUCCUGUCAGAUAGGCUUGAUAUCAGUUGAGUAUUCUUCUUAUCAUAUCUAGAGAUCUCCCAUCAGAUAGGCUUGAUUUUUAUCUCAGAUUCUAUUGAGUAUUCUUGUUGUCAGAUCUAGACAUGAUCAUUUUCUUAUCAUUGAUAAUAGAUUCUGGAAUCAUCUAUUAGAGAGGUUGAUCUUUGAUCCAGCCAGUUGAGAGUAAUGAGCUCAGAAUCCAGUCAUUGAUAUGAUUAUAGUCAGUUAAUCAGUUAUCAGUAUCAGAUGAUUCGCUGAUUCAGUAUUUCAGUGUUAGUAGUGAGUUCAGAUGACAGUAAAGUGAUAUCUGAGUUUCAGUAUUUAGAGUUGUGAUAAUUGUGAUUAUGGUUUAUGCAUUUAUAUAUGUGUUCUCGUUCUGUACUCUCAUGAUUAUUCAGUUAAGUAAUUGUUCAUGCACGAUCCCUUGCAUCUCAUCUGCAUACUCGGUACAUUCCCGUACUGAUGCAUUUGCGCUAUGGUGUUUUUUUUGACACCAUAGUUUCAGAGGCACAAGAUCCAGAGCUCCCUCAGCAGUUCAGUCCCUGUCAGCAGCAGUAGUCAUAGAAGUGAGUCCUCUUCAUUUGAGGAUGAUCCUUGGUAUACUAUUAUUGUAUCAAACUUUGUUUAUUUUUAGUUGAUGGAGUUAGUUGGGGACAUGUCCUAUCAACUCCACAGUUCAGUCAUUUAGAGGCUUUUCGAACAGAUGUAUUGGUAUUCAGUUUUCAAUUUGAAAAUUUAUAGAUGUGUUGAACCUUAUGGCUUGUUUUUGCCUUUUUCCGCUUUUAUUUCCAGAUAUUGUGCAUUGUUCAGGUACGAAUAUCAGAAAAAGGGUUAGCUUGUGGUCCUUUGGGGUCAUGAGCACCGUGUAACAACUAGGGGGUAGUCUCGGGUCGUUACAAGCCCCCAAUUGACCAAAAUAUGGUCAUUUUUUCCAACUCCCUCAAGAACUAAACACUUAGGUCUUAACCUAAGAAUCAAGACCCCUCAAGAUUCAACCGUGGGUUUUAAAAAUUGAUUGAAGAUUCAGAAUCCCCAAACCGUAGGCUUCAAGAAGCAUCUAUCAAAUUCCAAAUUUGAGGUAUGUGGGGUUUAUCCUAAAAACUAUAUGGGCUUGUAAACACUAGAUCAUGAUUUAAAGAUUAUCAAGCAUAAAUUUUAAAGGAGUUUUUGGAAUCUAUGUUUUAAUUAUGCAUUAUAAAUGUUUUUAUGAUAUUGUUGAUUUGGCCUUUAGGUCUUUACCCCUUGAAUUGAUUUACAAGUAUAUGUAUAUGUAUGAAAAUUGAGAUUGAAGAUUUUUUGAGAGCACAUAUUAUGAAACCCCUCUCAUAUGUUGAAUUAAAUAUUAUGGUUUUGUCAGAAAAAAAGUUGAAAUGCAUGCCUUGUGAUUUGAAAGUAGUUUUCUCAAUGUCAUAGUAAUUAAAACAUGAUUUAGAAAUAAUGAGUGGGUGUUUCUUGAUGUUACUAUGAUGUUCUUGUGUUAAAGAGAAAGAAAUGCAUGUAAUUGAGAACUUUUACAUGACCACCUUGAAUUCUUGAAAUGUUGACAAAGAGAGUUUCCUUGCAUAUGUUUACAUGAGUUUUAAAGAAUGAGUUUCUUGAAAAGAAUUGUUGAUAAGGUGGUCCUAAAUUUCAUGUUUUGAGAACAGAGAUAUAAUUUGCAAAAUGGUUUAGAGAAUGUGACUUGCAAGUCAAUGGUAUGAUGAUUCUAUAUAAAUGUAUGCUAUGACAGAGUUACUGUUUGAUUUUAGAGAAUCUAUGUUUUAAAGAGUUAAAAACUAGGUUGAUAUGAGUUAGGAGGUUACCCGAAGAAAGCCCUAGUCAAAUGACUCUAUACUGGAAAUCAUGAUUUGCCGACAUGAGAACUUGGUACCCUGCUUUGUGAUCUUGUGUACCUAGUACUUUGUCAUUCUAAAUUGGGCCUUAUGGUUUGGAGCCUUGCUUCGUGAUCUUGAGCCCAACCAUAAUAUAAUGACUUGAUUGGGGUUGUGACACCCUAUUGUGUUAUCUUGUGUGCUCUUCCCUCACUAGUACUCCUAUCUUGGUGGCAACCGAGAUAAGAUAGUCGGUGAAGACUGUGAAAUUAUAGAGUAUACCACUUAGCGCAGAAGUAAAAACAAAGAGUGUUACAAAGUUCUGAUGAUUUUAUAGAGUCUUUUAAAAAUGCCCAUAUGAUUUUUACGAUAUGACAUAAUUAUGAACUAUUUUAAAUUGCUCUCAUAUAUGUUGAAUAUAAAUUAUUAUUUUGGAUUUGCUCUGCGUACCAAUACAUUUGUAUUGACCCCCCACCUCUUAGGCUUGGAGGCUCAAUAUAGGGGUCCGACUAAGAUGUAGAGUAUCCAGAGAGAAGUAAUCAGUGCAGUGGUGAGCCUUCUUUGUUCUAGAAGGCCUAUUAAUCAGAUUAUGUUAUUUCUUUUAUUUUGGUCUACUGGGGGCCUUGUCCCAGUUUUCAGAUAUUUGUUAUUUGAUCAUGCGGUAGAGAUUCCACAAAUUGUUCUAGAUGUUGUUUAGUUGAUUUUAGAUUUCAUUCCUUAUUGUUAAACUGAAUUUAGAGUCUGACCAUAUUUCUGUAUCAGAUUAUAUUUCCGUAUCUUCUCUUAUUAUAUGAAUGUUGUGCAUGACUACCAGAUAGAGUAUGACGUCUGGGCCUCUAUGGUUCGGGAUGUUCGUCUUAUUUAUGGUCCCAGGUUGUCUACGAAAUCGUGUCGGGUAGAGUCUUAUUUAUGGGUGUGUAGCGCACCAUACUUAUAAGCAGGAGGCUACUAGUCGUUUAGAAAUAUUUCACCUCUUUGUGAUUUAGUUCAUUCUUUAAAGUCUAAUCUGUUCUCUAAUCAAUGAUCUCUUGUAUUUCAAAAAAUGACUAUGCCUCCUCAUCGCACUGACUCCAGAGGUUGAUGUUACUUUGAGAGUCCCAACUACUCAAACCAGCCCACCCAGGGCACCCAGAGGCCCCCGAACGGGGAUUAACUGCACCCAACCUCGAGAGAGAGAGGUGUCUAAUGCAGAAUUCAGGCAGUCUAUUCAUAUGCUUAUGCCGUUGGUGGCCACACAGACUUAACGGUCAUAAGAUAUUGGGUCCGCAUCUGCUACAUCUGAGGCUACUAGGUGGGUCAAUUCAUGAGAAUAAACCCACCCAAGUUUUUUGGCACCAAGGUAGAGGAGGAUCUACAAGAGUUUGUGGAUGAAACGGAGAAGAUCUUUAAAGUUAUGUAUGUAUAGGAGGUGAAAGGUGCGGAAUUAGCAGCUUAUCAACUUAAAGACGUUGCAAAUUAGUGGUAUAAUGAGUGGGAGGAUGCGAAGGGUGAGAGCGCUGAGCCCACAGUUUAGGGUGAGUUCGUGGAAGCCUUUCUUGAUCGGUUCUUUCCUCUAGAAUUAAGAAAAGCCAAAGCUGAGGAGUUUAUGAAUCUAAAGCAGGGAAAAAUGAGUGUCCAGGAGUACACUCUGAAGUUUAAUCUACUAGACCGUUAUGCUCCAGAGAUGACUGGUAAUAUGAGAGCUCGAAUGAGGAAAUUUGUAUCCGACCUUUCAGAUGACUUAGUGCUUGAAUGUCAGGGAGCAAUGCUGAACUGGGACAUGGACUUUACUAGACUGUCAGUCCACAUGCAGCAAGUUGAGAAGAAGAAAAAUAAAUUCGCUGAAUCUAGGGAGAAAGAAAGAUAGGCAAAGAGAGCCAAAAUAGCAGACCAGAGCCACAGUCAGCCGAAGAGUAAAAAUUGGGGUAACAAGUGGCAGAAGAAAAAUAAUUGGGGUAAUGCUCAGCCUGCAGCCAAUGCCCCAAAGACCAGACCUCUACGUGAUCAACGACCCUUUUAUCCUCAGGCUAAUAGUGGAGGAAGGAUGCAGGAAACCCAUUCACAGGGUAGCGUGAUGCAGUCCACCGGAUUUUUUACCCGUUGUAGUAUCUGCGGGAAGAAUCAUCCUGGGAAGUGUUAAUUGGAGAGGAAAAAUUGUUAUUCCUGUGGCCAAGUGGGUCACAAAGAGAUUGCCCUUCUACUAGAGGUAAUGUUGGAGGAGCCAAGUCACAGGCUAAUUCUUCCGCACCACCACCAUCUCAAAAGGGUGCUAUUGUAAUCGUUGGUAGCGGUCGUAACCGGUACGUUACAAAUUUUCUCUUGUGAUGUGUAUGUGUUUCUUGAUCCCGGGUCUAUCUUGUCUUAUGUGACCCUUUAUGUAGCUGUUGGUUUUGGGUUUGAGCCCGAUGUAAUUGCUGAGCCUUUUUCUGUUUCCACUUUGGUGGGAGAUUCUGUUGUGGCUAGGAGGGUGUAUAGAAAUUGUGUGAUGACUAUUUGUGGUUGGGAUACUAUGGCAGACCUCGUAGACCUGGAUAUGGUUGAUUUUGAUGCUAUCUUAGGGAUGGACUGGCUCUAUUCAUGUUAUGCCAUGCUAGAUUUUAGAACCCAAAAGGUUACUUUCUCUUUCUCGAAUGAGCUAGUGAUAAAAUGGGAGGGGCAUUCUUUAUCACCUAGAGGGAAAUUUAUAUCUUAUCUUAUAGCCCAUAGACUUAUUUCCAAAGGCUGUUUAUAUUAUCUUAUUUGGGUUAAAGAUUCUAAUACUGGAAGUCCUUCCUUUCCAUCUGUCCCUGUGGUAAAUGAAUUUCCAGAAGUCUUUCCAAUGAUCUCCCAGGAAUACCACCUGAUAGGGAGAUAGAUUUCGGUAUUGAUCUGUUGCCAGAUAAAUGUCCCAUUUAAUUCCACCAUAUAGAACGGCUCCUACAGAACUGAAAGAGUUAAAAGAACAGCUAGCAGAUCUUCUAGAAAAAGGUUUUAUUUUUCCUAGUGUUUCUCCCUGGGGUGCACCUGUACACUUCGUGCGAAAGAAAGAUGGUUCCCCACGUAUGUGCAUAGAUUAUCGUCAUCUGAAUAAGGUCACUAUUAAAAAUAAAUAUCCUCUUCCUAGGAUUGAUGAUCUCUUUGACCAACUUCAGAGUGCUAAAUAUUUUUCAAAGAUAGACCUUCAUUUGGGAUACCAUCAGUUGAAGGUUAGAGAGUUAGAUAUUUCCAAAACAGCUUUUCGAACCCGGUACGGUCAUUAUUAAUUCUUAGUCAUGUCCUUCGAGUUGACUAACACCCUUACCACUUUUAUGGAAUUGAUGAAUAGAGUGUUCCGUCAGUUUCUAGAUCUGUUUUUCAUAAUUUCCAUUGAUGAUAUUUUGAUUUAUUCUAAGAGUGAGGAGGAUCAUGCCAAUCACGUCUGAAUUAUUUUUUAGACCCUCAAAGAUCAUAAGUUGUAUGCAAAGUUUUCAAAGUGUGAAUCCUGGCUUAGUGCUAUUUCUUUCCUGGGGCAUAUUGUGUCUAGUGACGGGAUUAAAGUUGAUCCCCAAAAGGUUGAGGCAGUGAGAAAAUGGCCUAGACCCACGACUCCAACCGAUAUUCAGAGCUUCUUGGGUUUAGCAGGAUAUUACAGAAGGUUCAUAGAGAAUUUUUCUUCCAUAGCUGCUCCACUUACUAAGUGGACUCAUAAAAAGGUGACGUUCAUUUCCCCAUUCUUUACUUAAUGGGUCCCCAGACUCUGACCUCCCCAGACCCUAGUUUAUGGGAGUACACUUGAUAUUUUUUCAGGUUACAUUUUCUAUUCAAAUAUAGUAAUUUUCUUUUCUGGUUCAUUUCCCCAUUCUUUACUUAAUUAUAGUUAUUUUCUUAUGAAAUACAGGUAAGGUGAAUUUUAAAGGAAAUAUUUGGUGGAUCUGUUUGUGUUAUAUACAACAACAUAGUAUGUUAUUCAACUAGAGAAGAUCAUAGUUCAACUCACAAAUCAUCAAGGAUAUGAAUAAUAAUGUAUAUUGUGAUCGAGGACGUCGCAAAGCCUAGAUUAAGCAUGGAGUCAGUCUAUUUCUCGAAGGGAACAUGAUGAAUAUUUGCGUGUACUACAAUUUUUGAGGUUUUUUUUUUUAUCUAACAUAGUGUUUUGAGACAAUCUAAAUUGAAUUAUGAUGUAUAAUAUGACUAGUGGAUGUAUGAGAAUAUAAUUGUAUUUUUCAAUCAAAAUUUGUAGUAAAUAUUAAUUGUAUAAAAUAGACAAGAAUGCUAUGCUUUAAACGUGUGGUCAUUGAGAGGAGGGAUAUAUAUUGUGCGACUUAUUUAGAUAUGUAUGUGCAAAUUAGCAAAGGCAACACUUUGUAAAUGUUGCUUUAGAGAAGGUAUUAAUGGAUACACUUCAAAAGUGUGGCCUUAAGAAAGUAAAGACCACGUUUUUUAAGUGUUGUUAUAGAGAUGCUACAAAAGGCUACGCUUCUGAAGCGUGCCCAAUAGUAAAACAAAGGCAACAUUUUUUAAGUGUUGCUGUAGAGGAGCUACAAAAGGCUACGCUUGUGAAGUGUGCCCAAUACCAAAACAAAGGCAACACUUGUAAGUGUAGCUUUAUCAAAUAAAAGUGUUGCCAAUGACAAGCUACAAAGCGUGGCCUUUAUACCUUAAUGGCCAUGCUUUUUAAGUGUAUCCGAUAAGAGUACUUUCUAUAACUUGCUCACAGGGAAACAGCUGAACCGUUAAUCUUGUAGCGAUUACUGAUCAGUUAAUCACAUGUGAUAAUCUUGUAGCGAUUACUGAUCAGUUAAUCACAUGUGAUCAGGGUAGCACAAUACAGCGAUGAAACAGAUCUACUACGGAACUUAAGGGACCAUUCAGGUUGAAACUUAGAAUAAGUUCGAUGUGUUACCUGAACAACAAAAUCAGUAGGACCCUCUUCUGGACCAAAAAGCUUUGGUCUGAUGCCUGCAUAACCUGGCUCCAAAGAUCCAUCCUUCAGACCAGGGUAGUAUUUUCUUAUCGCUACGUAGAAUUGAUUUGCACGAUCUUCAUGCACAGAGUAAUCGAACCUAGAAUAUCAUAAGCAUAUCAUAUCAGAGAUUAGAAUUCUUCUACUCCUAUUAGUCUCGUAAUGCAAGAAGAGUAGCUAUUUUCACCUUUAAGCAAAUCUUUAGACUAUCCUGAUAUUCCAUUUUCCAUUUUAAGUGGAAAGAAUGUAAUGGGUUGAAAUACUCAAAAGGAGAAGAUGCUUUCAAACCUUUCAAAAUGCAAAAACUUACGUUAUUUGUCUAAACAUUCAUCACCUAUAAUUUCUUGAAACAGAAAGGAAUGCACAAACUUUUGAGCUUCAGUUGGUAAACAAAGAUGAAAUGUCAAUUCAAUAACUUGAUUUCCAUCAUCAGAGAUAAUAACAAGGACAUAGCAUACAAAUUCAAAAUUUCUAGUGUCUGCAGUAACGUUUUGAUACUAACAUAAAUGUAAUCUAUUUAUCCUAUACAAAAGAAUUUGAAUUGUUUGAUGUUUCGACAUAUAUAAGAAUCUUUUUAUUUUAUUUUAUUACUCUUGUUAUAGUGAGGAAAACUGAUUUGUUUCUUCAUAUGAAAAAAUAAAAGAGGAGAGUAAAUAGGUAAAAGUUGUGUGGUUUAUACAUUUAUAGUGUCAAAUUAGCCGAUAUGCUCCACCAAGCGACCGUGGUCAAACUACGGGAUCGAGGGGUGCUUAACACCUUCCCCUCGGCCAACAAAAUUCCUUAAUCGGAAUCUCUAUUCGUGGAUCAGUUUUAAAGAGUCAAAACCAUUUUAAAAAAGAAUAACCAAGGGUGACUUGGCACACCCAAUUUAUGCCAAGUGGCGACUCUGAGUUUUGAAUAUAAAAAGUCUUUUUCGAAACAAAUCUUCAUUUUGUCACUUAAUAAUAAAAACUCUUUCAAAUUAUAAAAUCAAUAUUCUUUUUAGUUAGAAAAGGGGUAUGACAGCUCUAGCGACUUUGCUGAGGAUUUUUCAGAAUUCGACCUUAUUUUUUGAGUUAUAUCGGCUUAGUUUGACAUUAUGGGUGUAUAGACAUUGUUUGUAUUUGUUUUAUCAUUGUUGAGUGUCUAUUUUCUACGUGUUUACAGUUUUUCCUCUUAGGUGUUACCGCUUUAUCUGCCAUCAUUUGCAUAACCCCAGUCAAUUCUUUCUGUAACAAGUUCUGUAGUACACGUUGUGUACACGACCUCUAGUUGAGUCAACCUUAUUUUAUGAGGGAGAACCUUCGGCUGGUAUGGAGUAGGUGGAAAGCAAUCGCAGCCACUAUCAACCAUACGCUCCCCCGAACAACCUUGUUAGUGGACCCCAGCGUAGGUCAGUCUUUAGGUCAUGCUUAUUUGCAUCAUAUUGAAACCUAGCGGGACUCACGUAUCCCUUUGUAGGAGACUCACCUCUAAAGCAUCCCUACAUACUAAAUAUUACAUUUUUAAGAGUAAUGGGGUCAUUCGGCGGACUGAUUUGGGAAAAGCAUGUGCUAGAAUUAAAAAAAUGUGUGUAGGAAAGGAAAUCGAGAAAAAAAAGAGAGAAAAAAGAAAAGGGUGUAAAAAAAAGAGUUUUGUAGUUUAUUAGAGUUCUUCAUGACUUUUGUUUUUUCACAAUCUAAAAAUUCAAAAAAUAUGUUUUACCUUUUGCACUCAUUUUGUCAAAAAUAAAAACAUCAAAAAGAUUUUCCCUUUUGCUUCUUUAGUAAGCAUUCAUGAUUUGAAAAUUUCAAAAAAAAAAAUCUCAAUAGAAGUUUUUAUAAAAAAUAAUUAAAAAAUUCAAAAAUGGUAGAAGGUUUGUACAUUUUAUAUAACGAAAAUACCAAAAAGAUUUUUCUUUCAUAGUUGUUGGUGUCAGUUUUAUGUGAAGUGUCUAAUUAAAAACCCAAGAAGAUUUUACUUUCAUCGUUUGUCUAUAAUUGCGUCUCUCAAGUCAAGCCUUACUUUGUUUUAAUCCUUAAUUGUCCAAUCUGAACGAACUAUGCACUCCUGGUUCUCAUUUCUCGGGAGUGAGAUACGUAGGCAGCCUAUUGUGGGUUUGGGAUCUUAUUUAAAGAAUUAAAAAAGAUUCUCUUCACUCUUCAUUUAGAGUAAGUGUUCAUAUACAUCUUUAAAAGAAAACUACAAAAAGAAUUUCCUUUAAUAGUUUCAAGUUUCAUUUUCACAUGAAAUUCAAAUUCAAAAAAUCAAAAAGAUAUUUCUUUAAUAAUCAUAGGUUUCAUUUUGUAUUGGGAUGUUAAAGCUAAAAAAUUCAAAAAGAUUUUCGUCAAUUAGUUUGACAAUUUGUUGUUUUCGUUUCUUCUUAAAGUUUCAAGAAAAGGAAAAAUAAAGAGAGUUUGAUUGGCUAUGUUGUAUCAAAACUUCAUGAACUACGCACACCUGAUUCUCCUCUCUUGAGAGUGAGAUACGUAGGCACCCUUCUCGGGUUCAGUGAUCUUUUCCAAAGAAGAAAAAAAGAAAAAGGUUUUGAGGAAGUGAUGAACUCUAAUGCAUUUGCUAUCUCUUGUUCAGUUAGUUUAAGGUGGUUGGUUUAUGGCAUUUUGGUUGGUCCUCCAUAUUGUACCAAGUCACAGAGAAAGUUAUGGCCAACAAGGAUUCCAACGUUGUUGUCACUAAUCAGAUAGGGAGAUCCGGGAAUGAGAAUUUAGGAGCUAAUAAAGAGAUUUGAAAAUUAAGGCAGCAAAUGGUAAAAAUGCAUCGAGCUUGGGUUAAUGGGCUGUCACCUCCUCUAUUUCCUGCCAAUAAUUUGGAAUAUCUUUCUAGUUUGUCUCCCGUGUCACAUGCACAAUUUUUCAUUUUGCUUGACACUCCACAACAUGCAUCAGGGUCUACUUCAGGGAAACAAUAUUCAAAUACUAUCAAUAUUCAUUUCCUUACUCCUCAAUACAAAACUACCACAUACUCGGCUCCACCUGUUAUUAAACACCAGUAAGAAUUUACAAAGCCAGAGCCAACCAAGCCUAGUUGCUCAUCUCAAUUAACCAAAAUCUCAUACAAACCACCAAAACUAGCACCCGUAUAAAUCUAUAAAGACGGAAUAUGUGUAAAAGGUUUAAUGUUUCUCCGAACUUGUAUGCAUAAAGUUGUCUUCAACUCAUGUAUCACUGUUUGUUCCUACUUAUUCUUCUGAAAAGUCUAGUAUUUUCUUUCCCCCAGAUUCUAUGCACAAAAGCCAAUUCCAUCUAAGUAGUCAUCCAGGCAAGCAAAACCAUUUUCGUCAAGGUCUAUAAUGAAUCAACAAGUUUUAAAACAAACCUAAAAUACAAGACAAAUUAAAAUCUUCCCUAUUUUGAACCAACCUUUCACACCCAAAAUCUCUGCUUCCUUAUAGUCCUUGUCUACACAGUACGAGGAUGAAACAGAUGCAAAUUCUGAACAAUAAAUAUAGAGGAUACACAUAGCUAGACCAACUAGUUUGGAAUGCAGGCAAAUUUGUUGUUGUACUCUUAUAUCAUGAUAUCUAACAGAAGGAAAAUGCAUUUAUUUUAGCUACCAUAAGAUUUGGGUUUUCCAAGACUCGAUAUUGUAGACACCUAAUUUUGUUCCUCCCAAGUCCAAUUUUAUUCAUUUUUACCUCACUUUAUCAUACACCCUUACCCACGUGAUUAUACCCUCCAUAAAAUGACAAAAAUAACAAUCCUUAACAAAUUUUAUCUUGUUUUGAUCCUAUCCUAACAAACUUUAUCCUUACACCUCACCUACCCUACCUCUACCCCACCUACCCUACCUCACAACCCCACCCUCACCUCACUGGAAUUGAAAUCCACUCACAAUAUAACAAUACUUCACACACAAAAUAAAGGGACGGAUUUUUGCUUCUUCUUCUUCAUCUCACACAAAGCACACAUGCAUAUAUACACAAUAUCACUCACCAAAAACCACAGAGAACAUCACUCACAGGCACACAAACAACAUUCUCUCCAUUUUCACACAUAUCACACAUAAUACCCACCACCGACUCAUAUACACAUUCACUGAAAUUCUCAUCACACACACACGAGAAUUUCAGUGAAUGUGUAUAUGAGAGAGAAGGAGAGAAUCGGAAAAGGGGUACUGCUCCGACGAGUUUCGCCUGAGACAAGUCGAGAUCCAGUUCGUUCUCGUUGGUUCUCACUGUGUUUGAGCCCUCCGGAGCUCCGGCGACGCGAAACAGUGACCCCCAUCCCUCAAAAUCCCCCAAAAUCUUUUCAUUUUUCUUGGUUUUAGACGAGAUUCUGCCGGAGAACGUUAAGGUCACCGGAUUCUAACUUGUUUCAUCAAUUCUAGUUACCGGCCGAGAUCGCCGGAGCUACAGGCAUAUGGGUUCUUCAGUUUUUCUUGUGAUUUGUGAUUCUUGGGUUAGUUUAUUCAUGCCCGUGGAUUGCUGUUCGGAUUGCAUUUUGUGAAUAUUCUUAUGGUUGAUUUAGUACGGAGUUGGUGAGUCCUUUGUUGAGGUUCGAUUCAAGGUUCUUCGGCAUGGUUUCUGUCCUUUUGUUGAAGCAUUAUUGAAUUUCGAAACCUUCAAAUCGAGGUCGAGUUCUUUUCCUUUUCUUCUUUAUUUCGUUAUUUGUCGUGUUCUAUUCUUUGAAUUGAAUCGGGUGUGUUGGUUGAUCCGUGGUGAUGUGAAUUAUUGUUUGUUUUGAUUUGGUAUUUGAUUUCCUUGAUUAUGGAUUAAUUAUAAGGUGUGUGACGAAAUAAUAUCUCAUGGAGGAUUAAAAUUUAUUAUUUGGAGAAUGGGAAUCGAAAAUUGAUAAAAGUGAAUAUUAUAGUAUUUUGAUUCAUUGUUGAUGUUGAACGUGAUAUGUCAUCGAGCGGGUAGGCAAGCACAAGGAUCGGGUAGGCAAAAUUUAGAAUUGGUAGAUUGUUGGAAUGUUUGAAAUAUGUGUUGGAAUUGUUUUGUUUUAUCACUUUUGAAUCAAUUGUAUAAAUUGACCGGGAAAUGCCCCGAAGUAUCCAUAUAUAUUUAUUCACCGGGGAAUGCCCCGAGGUAUCAUGUACCCGGAGGACGUUCGUGAUUAAGGCUCAAGGCGUCGGGUAGAGCAUUAGUCUAGAAUUAAUUUAGAGUAAGAUUUAUUUUUACGCAUUUUUUAUUUUUGGACUGUAUAAUUGGACUGAACACUAAAUUUUGAAUUGUGUUAUCUUAUUUGCUUGAUUAAUUGUUUUGCAUGUUUUGUGAGGUUUAUACCCUGGUAGUGUCAAAGUUAGCCGAUACACUCUACCAAGCGAUCGUCGUCGAAUCACGGGAUCGAGGGGUUCCUAACACCUUCCCCUUGGUCAACAGAAUUCCUUAGCUGGAAUUUCUGUUCGCGGAUCAGUUUUAAAGAGUCAAAUCUUUUUUUGAAAAAGGAUAUUCAAGGGUGACUUGGCACACCCAAUUUAUACCAAGUGGCGACUCUGAGUUUUGAAUAUAAAAAGUCCUUUUCGAAACUAAUCUUCUUUUGUCACUUUAAUAAUAAAAACCUUUCUAAACUUAAAAUGAAUUCUUUCUUUUGGAGUACGGAAAAGAGGUGAGACAGAUAUUUUUUUGACUUGAUCAUAUGGAAGCAAGAAAACUAAAAUUCAUCCCCAUUUCCUAAUAAACUUUCCGAACCCAAAAAUUCUAAAUUCCUCACAUUGCUCUUCUACAUUUGGAAUAAAAUGGACACAAAUUCCUCAGUAGCACUAACAGGGCUAAUCCUCAUAUGGUGAGCCAAGAGGUCUUUGACUAUACAAGGGCCAAUCAAUGGUGGUACAACUCAUACAAGUGUGGAGAGAAGUGAAGUCCUGGCAAUUGGUGUUGGCUUAAGCAACGAAUUGCAUCAUUGGUGAAACUAUGGAGAUGAUAGAGAACAAGUAGGAUGUAAAAUUUUGCCCAUAAGAAAAAAACUCUUUCCCAUGAGACAAGUAUUCAUAUUAUUCCAAGAUAAUGAAAUUAAAUAAUUGACCAACAGGGCAAAAGUUAGAACUUAGAAAUGUUUUCCAUUCUAACUCUUGCCUAUAAAACAAACGUUUAUGAUAUUUUUAGACAAUGAACUUGAUUAAUUACCUAGAAAUUCUACCUUAUAGGUAAAAGUUUGAACUUAGAUAUGUUACUCAUAAGACAAACUUUCAUGACAUUUCAAGAGGAUAAACCUGCACAAUUGACCAAAAAGUUGUCUUUUUGAAAACGUUAAAGCAGGAACAAAAAAAUCAUCAAGACCAUACACUUUGGGGACAAAAAUUCAAAAUCGAGUAUUUGGGGAACAAAAAUUCAAACCGGUCACUUUGAGGAGUACUAGGCAUAAUUUCCUCGAGUGAAAAAUCAAAAAAAAAAAAAACAAUUUGGGACCAAUUCAGGGCGAGUCAAACUAAAAGUGCUUGGAUGCAUAUUGAACAAUUAUCGUAACAUAGUGCAAUCUUUGGGAUAUAAGAAAAUUUAUAAUUAUUAAAAUUGUUUUUUUAAAAAGAAUUUUUGAAAAUUUUGAUAAAUUUUUUCGUUAAAGGAAUUAUGAUUUUAUUAAAAUAAAUAAAGUAUUUGUGAAGAAAUUCACAUAAUAUUACUGAGAUUAAAGUUCCAAUUUGGAAGUGAUAUUAGUUAAACAUAGUAACUUUUAGUUGAAUUUAAUCUAUAAUAAAAUUUAUGAUUUUGAUUCUUAGAAUAUAGGGGUAUUGAUUUAAUUUUGUAUUGUUCAAUUUGGAAAAAUGUCAUUCAAAUUGAAUAUAAAAUUUUGUUUGGUUCAAUAUAUUUUCUUGAUUACUUUCCAGCAAGUUUCACUAAUUCAGCUACUAUUAUAUAAGAGUAAACUUGUAGUGAUAACAAUUAUAUUUUUCUCUUAUAAAAUAAUUUUUAUUUAAAUUAAUAAUUCAAAUAAAUAAAACAAAUAAACAUUGUCCAUACAUUAAACCAGAACCAGAGCAACUAACCUGCCGCCCUAUUGUAUUCACUAAUUUAAAAAGCAUAGUGUGUUUGUAAAUAUGAAAUUUCAAACUCUUCAUUAACUACUUAUUUAUUUAACAUCAUUUUUUAUCCUCUUAGUACAAACAAGAAAAACUUACUAAAUUUCCAUUGUUGAUUUACUUUUCUACCUUAAGGUAAGAGAAUUAAAUAUUUUGCAUGUCUCCAGAUGAUAUAAAUAUAUAUUGCAGUAUGCCCAUUUGUUCUUGCACCGUCAAACUCAACCUCAAUUCAUUUUCUUUAUCGCUCUUCAAUAAUAAUGUCAAAAAUGAAAUCACAAAAGACAAUUGAGGAAAGCCGUUCUCAAGAGGAUACACCUGUUUUUCCAUCUGAUAUCAUUUUCAACAUCCUCAUAAAGGUAAACACUACAUCUUUGAUACACUUUAAGAGUGUUUCAAAAUCAUGGAAUGCUAUGAUUUCGACAUUACUUUCACGAAAGCCCACUGUGAUCGAUCCAAAGAGAUAGGAUGUGAAAAGCAAGUGUAACAAAAAAAUACGGGAGAGUUUGAAUUUUUAUAUUUAAACAACCUCAAUGACGUUAUCAUAGAUAAACGACAAUUCCCGCUCAAAGAAUUCAUAGGUGCUCAAAUCCUGUGCUCAUAUGAUGGCUUAGUAUUACAGAAAAAACCUAAGGCUUAUAAGAAGUACGUUUUGUGGAAUCCACCAUCCGGACACCACCACAUUCUUGAGUGUCCAUAUAUGAAACCUAAAGAAUACACAUUUUCUUGUGCUUAUGGCUUAACAGUGAUAGAAUCAUAACACAUACCAUAAGCACAAGAAAAUAUGUGUUCAUGAGGUUUCAUAUAUGGACACUCAAGAAUGUAGUAUUGUCCAGAUUAUGGAUUCCACAAAACAAAUUUCUUCUAAGCCUUAGGUUUCUUCAAUAUUACCAAACCAUUAUAUGAGCAUAAGACAUGAGCACCUAGGAAUUCUUUAAGAGGAAAUUGUUGUUUAUCUACGAUAACUUCAUUAAAAUUGUUUAAAUGUAUAAAUUCAAAUCUGCUAAUAUUUUUUGUAACAAAAGUUUUUCACUUCCUAACGCUUUGGAUUUAUCACAAUGAGCUUUUGUUAAUAUAACCUCGGAAAUAAUAUCAUUUCAUGAUUUUGAAACACAUUUAAAAUGCAACAAAGAUAUAACAUUUACUUUAUAAGGAUAGUGAAAAUGAUAUCAUCAGGAAGAAUAGAUCUAUCAUCUUUGAUACAGUUCCCCUUAUUAUCUUUUGUAAUUUUACUUGUGACAUCAUAAUUUAAGACCAAUAUAGAGAGUGGCUCGGGAUCAAAGACUGGGGCGCAAGAACAAAUAUCAUUCUUUUUUUUUGGUAACAUUGUAAAUGAUUGCCAUAGACAAACAAAAAGUCAUCAGUUGUACAUCCUAAGAGCCCUUUAGUCAUCCAUGCCUCUACAAGGCAGAUGAACUAAAGCCUCAUUCCAAAACUAUUACAUGUGUAAACGCUGCAUUAAUCCCCUGCAUCUACCCAAUUUCUUGGCUAUAUAAGAGAUCUCUAAUCUGUGCUCCUGUUUUAUCUGUGCUAUAGCUUUCUCAGUAUCUCCAGUUUGUCUUCUAAAUAUUUUCCAAUUACGCCCCUUCCAAGUGUGAUAAAUCAAUGCAAUCCAUAUAGCAGCAACAACCUCCUGUUGAAUGGAUGCCCAACGUUUUCCUCUAAUUCGUGCUAAAACCUGAUUCACAUUGCCUCUCUGAAGCGCAAUGCCCAUCGAAGCCAAUAAGGAAUUUCGCACUGUAUUGAACCAGGUGCAUUCCACAAAUAAAUGUUGUGCAGUCUCCUCCACAUUUGAGUUUCAUAAACAACAAUUUGGAUUAUCAACAUGUAUUUUCAACUUCACUAGCCUCCCCUUAGUCAGUAACCUGUCAUUCUGUUAGGGUUUAUCAUAACAUAUUUUUGUAUCAUUGGUCGUUGGCAAGAUAUUUAUAAAUGGUCAAUAUAAUUACACUCUUACCUUAAUGUAGAAUAGUAAGUCCAUAAAUUUUGCUGCGAGUACUUUAUUUGUAUACGUUCUCAUGUUGUAUUCAACGAAUUUUGCCGCGAGUACUUUAUUUAUUAUAAUUAAUUCAUAACUACCUUUAACCAAAUUACAUAAGAAAUUUAGGGAGAUUUUAUUUUAAUAAAUAGAAACAGAGAACUUUAACUAGAUAAAGUUAAUAAUUAGUAGAAUACUAUCUCACACUUUUAAUUUCUAUUUUCAAAAAUAGAAUUCUAAACUUAUGCCACAAAUGAACGUCUAGAAAGUUGGGACUCAUGAACUCUCUCAUGUGAUCUGCACACAUAAUGUUAGAUCGAGGUAUGUUCAAUACGCAUUCAAAGAAAAAGUACUAUAAAUUUCCUUAUGUCCAGAAAACUGCUCUAUGUUGGACGAUAACUGUCCAAUAUGCGUCAAUGUAUUUUUAGUGUGACUCACCCCAAAUUGGCUCCAAAAUAUCUAAAUAACUUUAUUUUAAUUUCCCACUCUAUAUCCCACACGCAAAUUAGAGUCCGAUUAAAUUCACAUUCAAGCUGAGAAGCCCCACAUUUUGGAGAUGAGGGAGCUUUUGACAAAGGUCAUAGAUUUGAGAAGACACUUGUGAUAUCGACAAAGCAAUGAAAAAUCUGUCAAAUUCAAUAUAUGCAUUGAUGUGUAGUCCUUGGAAAAGAUGAUCGUUAUUACUAUUAGUUAAAUCGAAGAUGGAGUUGGGUGGUUUGAGUAUGGUCGUGGGGGUGCUUGUGUCGAUGUAGAGGGUAACCUUUUUAAGGUGUUGCUACAGUAAUGAUUGCAACCAUAAGGGUGGAUCACGACAUAGCAAAUGCGGAGCAUGGUGAAAUGAUCAAUGAGGCUAGAAUCGGAGGGAAUUGAUUGUUGUUGUUGCAUUUCUUGAACACUCAUUUCUUUUUGCAUUUUCUGUGGAAAAUUUUUAUAAAUUAAUUUUGGAAGAAUUUGAGCACUAGAGUAUUAAGGUGCAUACAGAUAUUCAUAGAUGAGUUUAUUUUCUUUUAGUUUAUUCUACUUUUUUUGGGGUUAUGCAUUCGGUGUUUUUUUCCUCUUUUCUUUGCUUUUGUUGAUUUAGCGUUUAAUUAAACUUUGGAUAUUUUUUAAUUAUUUCAAUAGCUGAUCUUUUGGUUGUCUUGUUUCCUGUAUUAGCUAGCAAUGUGGUAUCACAUUUUGUUGUGUGCUUUUAUAUUAUUUUGUUUGUUAUACUGUUAUAAUCGGGGGUCUAUUGAAAACAACUGCUCCACUUCAUCUGAGGUAGUGGUAUGAACUGCGUACACAUUACCAUCCCCAAACCCCCUGUUUGUGGGAAUAACCGGGUAUGUUGUUGUUGUAUAACAAAUAUUGUAAAAAAUCAUUCCUUUUAACAUAUAGGGUCAUCACUCAUGUGUAGAUUAGUCUUGCUCACUUUUGUAAUUAAUAAAGAUUUUAGGCUAAUGUAAGGGUUUUUCGAGGCCAAAACGAUAACAAAGAGCCAAAGAUAUAGAUUUUCAAAUAUUGUUGGACCCUUGUUUCUAUAGAUUUUCACACACUUCAUUAGCUAUUAGACCAUAGCUUUGCUGGAAAUCAAGAGUCCCCAAUGAUAAUUGAAAAGACAAGCUAAGGCCCUCAAACAAACCACCUCUUGUACAUCUUGUUAUUUCAAGGUUUAUGUAUUGGAGCUGUCGCAUCCUACAUGUUCUCUAUCAUCUACCCAGUUUCACCAAUGAUGCGAUUCAGUUGCUUAAACUACACUGAUGGCAAGGACUUCACUUUUCUCCACACUUGUAACACAACUGGUUGGUCCUUCUGUACUCAACGACCUCUUAGCUCAUCCUAUGAGGAUUAGCCUGCAAGUUCUGGCCUUAGUUGUAUAUUGUAUUACCGUUCCAUUGACUUUAGGACUGAAUGGGCUGGUAAUAGGCUUAGCAUCCCUAGCACUCCUCUUCUCCAUUUUCUCCACAGCCCCUAAGGCCUUUUGCUGCAUUCCGGCAUUUUUAAUAGCAGCCUUCAAGGUUUGAUGAUUGAAUCUCAUAAACAUUGUCAUUUAGAUCAAAGCUAUUAUACCUAAAACCUACUGGGAUCUCACUCAUAAAGAGGACAAGUAAUGGAUUAACAAAGGAGCAAAAUAUAUGUCAUAUUUUAGUUUGACAAGAUAUAGUUCACUUGUGAUACAUGUUAGCUUUAGAUCUUAAAGUCUAAUUUGUUUUCGAGAUUGUAGAGUCAAGUUAGGAUAUUAUAUAUAAGAGUCUUAAUUCAAUCAUUAGUCUUUAUUUUUUUUCCUUUAGUGUGAUGACAUUAUUUGAUUGCAAACAUUUAUAAAACUAGAUAAUAGGUAUCUCGCAUAGUAGAUUUGCAUUAAUUAGUCAAGUGUCAUGCUUUUAAUCCUCCUAGCUAGAAAAAAAAAUGAAUUCAUACAAGAGUAUCAAAUGUUAGUCACAGAUAAAUCCACACCAAACAUAACUUACAACAGAAUCCAUCCUUCGCCAGAGACAAGGAAAUUUAGGAAUUCCCAUUCCCUCCUUCAAGCUAUGAGCAUGGACUUGGCCCUCAAGAUCACCAGUCUGUACGUAUAAUAGUUAAAGAUCAAUGUUAAGACUAGUGUUUUUCCAAGACUUCAUUUGGAUAACUAGUAUAUAUAUAUAUAUAUAUAUAUGUACGUAUAUAUAUACUAGUUUAGGAGUACGCGUCUUGUUUCUGUACCUCACUUUAUUGAGUUCAUAUGUUAAACUAAAUAGGAUAUUUUUUUCCAAGAUUGUGCGAAAGGCUGAAUUUUUUCAGCUUGUCAUCAAAAGGAAGCAAAUUCAUUCAAUAUUGAGAGUGAAUUUUUCUCUUCUGCAAUUGUUGUUCUUGAUUUUCCAUAUUGAUUUAUGUAUUUGAUGUGUUGUUGGGUUAGUUUGUAUGUUUCUUCAAACUCUUUCUUCACUUUUUCAACUUCUUGUCUUCCUCCGCCACUUGGUCCAUGGGUUCCUUCAAAUGUUGUGAGUUUUAGCAUAGAAAGCUUCACUAGGUAUUUUUGGAUAUGAGUUUUAGGGUUUACCGUGGGCUAAACCUACUAUCAAACUAGUCCAAUUCAGCCUAUAAUUUGAUAAGAUUAAGCUAAAAAGUUUUAAGCCCAUUUAAGGACUUUUUAGCCUGGUUCGUAUAAGCCCACAGGUCUAUGAGGCUUGAGUAGUGGAUUGGACUGGUUUGAGGGUCAAAUAAAAAGUAAUUAAAAAUAAAAAUAAAAUAAAUUACUAAAAAUAUCAAUAUUACAGGAGAACCCUAACUCGAAGUCCACUUAAACCAUCAUUUAAUAAUAUUACAAAGUCUAAAAAUUUAAAUAUUGUAAAUAAUCAAAAUGCAAAAUCCUAAAAUUUUUAAAGAAUCACUGUCUAAUAUUUACUUGCUUUUACUCUUGAUAGUCGACAACCAUCACCUUAUUUUUAAAUUAUAGUAAUAUUUUAAAAAGUUAGCUCACACGUCGCAGCCCAAAACACACAAAAUGAUGGGUUGGGCUUGCUAUUUUCUAGCCCAUAAUCUUAAUGGAUCAGUCCUUCGUCAAAUUCCAAAGCUCGGAUGGACUAGCCCAGCUCGGAUUGACAACUCUAAUAUGAAGUCAUCUUUGUUAGUAACCAUUUUACUCGUUAAUGUAGGAACUUCCAACUCAAAUACAAAUUUAGUUGGACUUUAAUAUGACUAUAGAAUAUCAAGUAGUUUUCAUUUCUCAUUUCAUGGAAAACCAUUUUUUCUCCCCCCUCAAAAGGUAUUUUAAUGAUAAGUUUUAUAGGAACUGGAAAACCCUACUUGGUCAAAUACCUAGUGGAAAACUCAUAUGUUCCUCUCAUUAGAAUAUUUCUAAACAAGUUCCUGGAUAACAAGUCUAAACAUUUUUUCUUAAUGAGAUUGAUAUUGAUGAUACCGACGAUACUGGAAAUCAAAAAAAUAUUUAUCUAGUUUGGGGCCAAUUUUAGGCGAACCGCACAAAAAAUACAUUGAAGCAUACUUACAUUAUUUGAAUUUUCUUUUUCUUUCACCUAUUCGUGGACUUACUUUCUACAUUAAUUACAGAAAAAGUUUAUGUUAUAUAUGUGGAUCAUAAAUAAGUAUCUUAUAUGCUGACAAAUAUUAGAAAUAGUUCUUACACUAAUCCUAAUAGAAUGUUCAUGUUGCACUUCAUGCCAUAGAACUUAACCCCAGUCCACUCUCUGGAUUAAUCUUCGAGGGAUGUCAAAGGUAAAACAAUAGAAGAAAAUCGAGGGGAGCCGUAUCCAAAAGGAUACAUCUUCUUUCAUAUGAUAUCUUUUUAGCAUCCUUCUACAGGUAUACGCUACAUCUUUGUUUUGUUUUAAAUCUAUUUUUGUUAGAGUUGUGACUCAAAUUAUGUUGAGCUAGCCCUGAAAGUCCUGCGGUAUGGACGUUAAUAUUUUUGGGCCUAGGAAUUUUUUGUAUGCAUUUAUUAUAUAAGUGCAAUUAGUGGGUCUAUUUUGAUUAUUCAGAGAAUUCAGUCUUCUCCACAUUGUACUCUUUCUCCAUUAUAGUGAAAUCUCCUAUGCCUCUGCCCGUUGUUUUUUCCGUUGGGGUUUUCACGUAAAUCUUAUGUGUUAUUCUUGAUUUUUUCUUUUCACUUGUGGUUUGCUUAUUCUAUCCGAAUCAUAAGAAACUGGUAUCAGAGCAUGUUCGAUUAUUUUCUCGGGGAUGGAAACCAUGAAGUAUGAUAUUCCGCUGUUGGAUCGCAACACCAGAUUUUUAUUAUGGAAGGUUAAGAUGCGGGAUAUGCUCGCGCAGAUGAAUUUGGAAGAUGCUUUAUUAGGGUUUUAGAAGAUUCCUUCAUAGUGGACGAACGGGGACAAACGACGUAAGGAUUGGAAAGCUCUAUCUCAGAUCCACUUUCAUUUAUCCAAACAAAUUCUACAGGUGUUUUGAAGGAGACCACAACCGCUGUGUUGUGGUUGAAACUGGAAUCUUUAUGCAUGACAAAGAGCGUAACAAGUAAGUUGAAUCUCAAAUAACAACUUUAUUCCCAUCGUAUGUCCGAGGGUUCGUCUUUGAAAGAUUACCUAUUUGGCUUUAAAGAAAUCAUCUCUGAUUUGGGGACUCUAGAGGUUAAGUACAAUGAGGACAAUCUAGGGUUGUUUUUAUUGUGUUCGCAACCUAUAUCAUACACGACCUUCAGGGAUACGAUUUUAUAUAGUCAUGAUACCUUGAUGAUUGAUGAAGUCUAUGAUGCAUUAUUCUCUAAGGAGAAGAUGAAAUAUCUUGUGAAUUUGUCGGAGACUCAAGGAGAUCGUCUUAUUGUUCGAGGAGGAAGGACUCUUGAGAGGAAUUCUGGGGGUGAUAACAGGAAUAGGUCAAAGUUCAAAAACAGAAACAAAAUUAGUAAUUACUGCAAGAAGAAGGGUCAUAUCAAAUACAAGUGUUGGAAGUUACAAAAUAGAGAGAAAAGAGAAGCUCCAAAACCAAAGGGAAACCAACCAGAGAAGUCCAGUGAAGCCAGCUUUGUUGAAGAUGGUGGUAGUGAUGAAGAACUCUUGGUAGUUUUUUGUGGUAACUCCAAACCCUGUGAGGAUUGGACUCUUAAUUCAGCUUGCUUGUUUCAUAUGGUGUUGUGUUGAUGGAAAAUAACACACCUUGUAAGAUAUCUGGUAUUGGAACAAUCAGGAUCAAGAUGUUUGAUGGGGUUGAGAGGACACUUGGUGAUGUGCGGUAUGUCCCAGACCUGAAGAGAAAUCUUAUUUCGUUGAGUACCCUUGAUUUGAAUGAUUAUAGAUACACUGGUGAAGGUGGAGUCCUAAAGAUUACUAAAGGUACUCUCGUUGUGAUGAAGGAAUAGAGUAAGUCUACAAAUUUGAAUUUCCUUUAAGGAUCUACUAUUACAGGUGAUGCAGCUAUUUCUACCUCCUCUCUAUCAAAAAGUGACAUUGCAAAACUUAGGCAUAAACGUCUAGGGCAUAUGAGUGAAAACGGGAUGGCUGAACAAAGCAGGAGAGGACUUCUUGAUGGGCAGAGUAUUACCAAAUUGUAGUUUUGUGAGCAAUACAUAUUCGGAAAGUCAGAAGAGAGUCAAAUUUACUAAAGGCAUCCACUCGACUAAGGGCACACUUAAUUACAUUCAUUCCAAUCUCUGGGGCCGUGCUAGAGUACAUUCUAGAGGAUAUGCUGAUUACUUGUUUACUAUUAUUAAUAACUAUUCCAAAAAAGUUUGGGUGUUCUUUAUAAAGCAAAAGAAUGAUGUGUAUCCUACUUUCAAGGAGUGGAAGAUUAUAAUUGAAAAGAAAAUAGGAAAACAGGUAAAACGCCUUCGGACUGAUAAUGGUCUAGAAUUCUGUUCAAAUAAAUUUAAUGCUCUAUGCAAGUCAGAAGUAAUUUUGAGGCACUUGAUAGUUCGUCAUACUCCGAAACAGAAUGGUGUGGCUGAACGACUGAAUAGGACUAUAAUGGAGAAGGUCCAUUGUAUGCUCUCUAAUGCUAGUUUACCCAAGUCUUUUUGGGCUGAAGCUGCUUUUACAACUUGUCUUCUUAUAAACCGCUCUCCCUUAGUCGUGAAUAAUAAAAAGACUCCACAAGAGGUAUGGUCUGGUACUCCUGCUAGUUAUUCUGAUUUGAGGAUAUUUGGAUGUCCUGCCUAUGUUCAUGUUGAUAAUGAAACGUUGGAACCUAGAUCUAUCAAGUGCUUAUUUAUGGGUUAUAAGCAUGGUGUUAAAGGUUAUAAGCUUUGGUGUCCAGAAAGCAUAAAGGUUAUAAUUAGCAAGGAUGUUGUGUUUGAUGAAACUGCCAUGCUUCGGGAUCCCUAUGAAUCUAGUGUUUCAACUCCAGAUGAGCUUAGUGACAUGAAUUAGCAAAAGUCAUUUACCCACGUUGAAUUUCAAAUUGGAGCAGAGUCCACAUCAGUGACUACUUCUCAGUCAAGAUCGGAGAUACAGAGUGGUACUAUUUCUUCUUCACCACUAGUGACGCCACAAUGUUCUAUUGCUAAAGACAGGCCUAGAAGAGAUAUUAGACCUCCUCAGAAGUAUACUAAAGCUGAUUUGGUUGCUUAUGUAUUAAGUGCAGAGAAAGGUAUUGAUUUCGGUGAAAAACCUUCUUCUUACUCAGACGCAGUUAGCUGUGAUGAUUUCGGCCGAUGGAUGAUUGCUAUGCAGGAGGAGAUGGAAUCACUUUAUAAGAAUGACACAUAGGAUUUGAUGAGAUUGCCAAAAGAUAAGAAAGUUUUCUGUUGCAAGUGGUUAUUCAGAAAGAAAGAAGCAACAUCUGGAGUUGAAGAUGCUAGGUACAAAGCAAUACUUGUUUCUAAAGGUUUUAGUCAGGUUACCGUUAGGUUCUAGGUAUUGACUUCACAGAUGUGUUUUCUCCAGUUGUAAAGCAUAGUUCGAUUCGAGCCUUGCUUGGUAUUGUAGCCAUGCAUGAUCUUGAGCUUGAGCAGUUAGAUGUCAGAACUGCAUUCUUACAUGGAGAACUUGAGGAGGAUAGCUAUAUGCAGCAACCAGAGGGUUUUGUAGUCUCAGGAAAGGAGGACUAUGUAUGCUUUCUGAAAAAGUCUCGUUAUGCCUUAAAACACUCUCCCAGGAUGUGGUAUAGGAGGUAUGACUCCUUUAUGACCUCUCAUAUGUUUUGGAGGAGUAGUUAUGAUAGUUGUUUCUACUUCACGGAGGUAAAUGAUGGUUCAUUCCUGUAUCUUCUUUUCAUGACCCGAACUAGGGCCUGGCCAUGAAGGACAUCCCGAACCAUGAAGGCCCGGACGUUCUACUCUAUCUGGUAGCCAUGCACAACAUUCAUAUAAAAAAAGAACAUGCGGAAAUACAAUUUGAUGCGGAAACAUGGUCAUACUCUGAAUUCAAUUUAACAAUAAAAAUGAAAUUCGAAAUCAACUAAACAACAUCUAGAACAAUCUACGAAAUCUCUACUACAUGAUCAAAUGACAACUUUCUAAAAACUGGGACAAGUCCCCCAGUAGAACAAAAUAAAAAAAUAACAUAAUCUGAUAUAAUAGGGCUUCUGGAACAAAGAAGACUCAAUCAUUUCUCUCUGGAUACUCUAUUGCUUAGCUAGGCCCCUAGAUUGAGCCUCCCAACUUGUGAGGUGGGGGGUCAAUACAGAUGUACUAGUACGUAGAAAAAAUCCAAAAUAAUAAUUUAUAUUCAAGAAAUAGAGGUCGAGAAGGUCGCGAAAUAAUUCAUCAAAGAUUGGGUGCUAAAAAAGAUACUAAGUCCCUUUGAAACUUAGAGAAAUUUUUGAGUUUUACUCUAUAAACAUGCUACUAGAAGCUAAUACAUGUAUGAUUUUUGCGGGGUGCUACAUUAUUCCCCCUUUGGGAUCAUUCGUCCCCCAAUGAUGGUGCGAAACACAAAUAAGUACGAUUUCAAGCAGACUAAGGCCAUAAAUGAAUAAUACAAAGAUUGUACCUUCUAUUUCGUCAUUCACCGGAUCAAAUAAUUCUGGGUAUCUACCUCUCAUGUCAUCUUCUAAUUCCCAAGUUGCUUAUUAAACUUUCUAAUAUUUCAACAACACUUUAACCGAAGUUAUCUCCUUGCUCCUCAAUUUCCUAACUUGGCGAUCCAAGAUUGCUAUAGGUUCUUCUUCAUAAGAUAAGGAGGUCGUCACUUUGAUCUCUUCUAUAGGAAAUACUAAUGAAUGGUCUUUAAUAGAUUUCUUCAACAUGGAUAUGUGAAAUACUGGAUGAACAGAACCCAUAUUUUCAGGAAACUCUAACUCGUACGCAACCCCACCUAUUUUUUUAAAAAUCUGAUAGGGCCCUACAUAGCAAAGACUCAACUUACCUUUCUUCCUGAAUCGCAUGACUCCUUUCAUAGGGGAGACUUUUAGAAACACCCAAUCACCAGCCUCAAAUUCCAAAUCCCUCCUUCAAACAUCGGCAUAGGACUUCUAUCGACUCUGAGCUGUCUUAAGCCAUUCUCUAAUGAUUUUUACAUCCUCCAUUUCCUGAUGAACAAGAUUAGGCCCAAACAACCGUGUCUCACCCACUUCAUACCACCCUAUUGGUAACCUACAUCCACUUCCAUACAAUGCUUCAAAAAGAGCCAUCUUAAUACUGGCAUGGUAGCUAUUAUUGUAAGCAAACUCUAUAAAUGGCAAGUGAUCUACCCAGCUACCUUUGAAGUCAAUUGCACAAGCCCUUAACAUAUCCUCAAGGGUGUGAAUGGUGCACUCAACUUUUCCAUCAGUCUGAGGGUGAAAUACAGUACUUAGGUUUACUUGGGUACCUAAACCCCUCUGAAAAGAUCUCCAAAACUGCAAAGAGAAUUGUGUACCUUGGUCAGAUAUAAUGGAUACGGGUGCUCCAUGCAAAAGGACUAUCUCCUCAAUUUAUAACUUGGCAUAAUCAUCUCCCGAAUAGUUGUUCUUCAUAGGCAAAAAAUGAGCUGACUUGGUCAGCUGAUCAACAAUUACCCAAAUAGAAUCAUACUAAUUUCGGAACCUCGAAAGUCCCGUGAUGAAGUCCAUAAUGAUCAUAUCCCACUUUCAUAUUGGAAAAGCUAUCUCUUGGGAAGUACCACCUGGCCUUAAAUGUUCAACUUUAACUUGUUGGCAAUUCAAACACUUGGAAACAAAGUCAGCCACAUCAUAUUUCAUAUUAUUCCACCAAUAUAUAGAUUUUAGAUCAUGGCACAUCUUUGUAGAGCCCGGGUGAUCAACAUACCUCAAAGUGUGAGAUUCGUUGAUGAUUCUUUUCCAUAAACCAUCUACAUCUGGCACAUAUAAUCUACCUUGAUAUCUUAGAGUCCCAUCACCACCAAUUUCAAAAGACAUCACCUUAUGUGUCCCCAUAUCUCUCUCUUAAUUUGCAUCAAAAUGGGAUCUUUGGCCUGCUUCUCUUUAACUUCUGCACAAAGGAAAGAUUUGGCCAUCUCAUGAAUAACCAAUCCUUCAUCUUUGGAAUCCAAGAGUCGUACACCUAGAUGUGAAAGUCAGUGAAUAUACCUCACCAUCUCUCUCUUCCCUUCCUCUACAUGAGAAAGACUGCCCAUAAAUAACCUACUGAGGGCGUCGGCUACUACACUCACCUUGCCCAGAUGAUAGUGCAGGCACAUGUCAUAAUCCUUCAAAAGUUCCAACCAAUGCCUCUAACAGAGAAUUAAUUAUUUCUGCGAGAAAACAUACUGUAAACUCUUGUGGUUAGUAAAUACAUCAACAUGUACCCUAUAAAGAUAACACCGCUAGAUUUUAAGCGCAAACACGACAUCCGCUAAAUCAGAGUCAUGGGUGGGGUAGUUUCGCUCAUGCACCUUCAACUGCUUAGAUGCAUAAGCCACCACCUUGCCAUGCUGCAUAAGUACACACCCAAGUCCCACUCGGGAUGCAUCACAGUACACAACAAAACCCUAUGUACCUUUCAAAAUAAUCAAAACAGGAGCAAUUGUCACCUUGUCUUUCAACUUCUCAAAACUAUUCUCACAUGAGUUAGACCACACAAACAUCACCUUUUUCUGAGUCUACUCAGUGAGUGGAGUAACUAUGGAAGAAAAAUUCUCUACGAACCUUCUGUAAUAUCCCGCUAAACCUAAGAAGCUCCGAAUAUCGGUUAGAGUCGUGGGUCUGGGCCAUUUUUUGACUACCUCAACCUUUUGGGGAUCAACCUUAAUCCCGUCACUAGACAUAAUAUUCCCCAGGAAAGCAAUAGCAGUAAGACAGGAUUCCCACUUUGAAAAAUUUGCAUACAACUUAUGAUCUUUGAGGGUCUGAAGAAUAAUUCAGUGAUGAUUGAUAUGAUCCUCCUCACUCUUAGAAUAAAUCAAAAUAUCAUCAAUGAAAACUAUAACAAACAGAUCUAAAAACUGAUGGAACACUCUAUUCAUCAGGUCAACAAAAGUUGCAGGGGCAUUAGUUAACCCGAAGAACAUGACUAAGAAUAAUAAUGACUGUACCGAGUUUGGAAAGCUGUUUUAGGAAUAUCUGACACUCUAAUCUUCAACUGAUGGUAUCUCGAACGAAGGUCUAUCUUUGAAAAAUAUUUAGCACCCUAAAGUUGGUCAAAGAGUUCAUCGAUCCUAGGAAGAGGAUAUUUAUUUUUAACAGUGACCUUAUUUGAUGAUAAUCUAUGCACAUACGUAGGGAACCAUCUUUCUUUAGCACGAAGAGUACAGGUGCACCCCAGGGAGAAACACUAGGAUGGAUAAAGCCUUUUCUAGAAGAUCUGCUAGCUGUUCUUUCAACUCUUUCAGUUCUGCAGGAGCCAUUCUAUAAGGUAGAAUAGAAAUGGGACAAUUAUCUGGCAACAAAUUAAUACCAAAAUCUAUCUCCCUAUCAGGUGGGAGAUCAUCUGGAAAGACUUCUGAAAAUUCAUUUACCACAGGGAUAGAUGGAAAGGAAGGACUUUCAGUAUUAGAAUCUUUAACCCGAAUAAGAUGAUACAAACAACCUUUGGAAAUAAGUCUAUGGGCUCUAAGAUAAGAUAUAAAUUUCCCUCUAGGUGCUAAAGAAUGCCCCUCCCAUUCUAUCACUGGCUCAUUUGGGAAAGAGAAAGUAACCUUUUGGGUUCUACAAUAUAGUACAACAUAACAUUAAUAGAGCUAGUCCAUCCCUAGGAUAACAUCAAAAUCAACCAUAUCCAGGUCUACGAGGUCUGCUAUAGUAUACCGACCAUAAACAGUCAUCACACAGUUUCUAUACACCCUCCUAGCCAUAAGAAAAUCUCCCACCAGAGUGGAAACAGAAAAAGGCUCAACAAUUACAGUGGGCUCAAACCCAAGACCAAAAGCUACAUAAGGGGUCACAUAAGACAAGGUAGACCUGGGAUCAAGAAACACAUACAUAUCAUGCGAGAAAAUUUGUAACAUACUGGUAACUACAUCUAGUGAGACCUCUGCCUCUUGGAGGUUGGUCAAGGUAUACAACCGAUUACAACCGCUACCGACGGCUGAAGUGGAGCCCUUUUGAGAUGGUGGUGGUACGAAAGAAUUAGUCUGUGACUUGGCUCUUCCAACAUUACCUCUAGUAGAAGGUCAAUCUCUUUGAAGGUGACCCACUUAGCCACAGGAAUAACAAUUUCUCGUCUCGAAGUAACACUUCCUAGGAUGAUUCCUCCCGUAGAUACUACAACGGGGAAAAAAUCUGGCGGGCUACAUCACGCUACCCUAUGAAUGGGUGUUCUACAUCCUUCAUCAACAAUUAGCCUGAGGAUAAAAGGGUCAUUGAUCACGUAGAGGUCUGGGCUUGGGGGCACUGGCUGUAGGCUGAGCAUUACCCCAAUUCUUUCUCUUCUGCCACUUGUUACCCCAAUUUUCACUCUGCUGUUUUGGCUCUCUUUGCCUAUCUAUUUUUCUCCCUAGAUUCAGUGACUUUAUUUUUCUUCUUCUCAACUGCUGCAUGUGGACUGAUAGUCUGGUGAAGUCCAUGUCCUAGUUCAGUAUUUCUCCCUGACAUUCAAGCACUAAGUCAACUGAAAGGCCAGAUGCAAAUUUCAUCAUUCGGGCUCUCAUAUUACCAGUCAUAUCUUGAGUAUAAUGGGCUUCAAAGUGUACUCCUCAGCUUUGGAUUCCCUCAAUUCAAGAGGAAAGAACCGAUCAAGGAAGGCUUCCACAAACUAGCCCCAAACUGUGGGCUCAGCGCUCUUACCCUUCGCAUCCUCCUACUCGUUAUACCACUGAUUUGCAAUAUCUUUAAGCUGAUAACCUACUAAUUCCACACCUUUCACCUCAUAUACAUGCAUAACUUUAAAGAUCUUCUCCAUUUCAUCCAUAUACUCCUAUAGAUCCUCCUAUUCCUUGGUGCCAGGAAACUUGGGUGGGUUCAUUCUCAUGAACUGACCCACCCUAGUAGCCUCAGAUGUAGCAGAUGUGGACCUAAUAUCUUCUGACUAUUAAGUUCGUGUGGCCACAAACUGUGUAAGCAUAUGAAUAGAUUUUCUGAAUUCUACAUUAGACACCUCUCUCUCGAGGUUGGUUGCGGUUAGUCCCCAUUCGGGGAGCUCUGGGUGCCCUGGGUGGGCUGGUCUGAGUAGGUGGGACUCACAAAGUAACAUCAACCUACGAAGUCUGAGCUCUAUUUUGGGUACUCAUUCUAUGAGUGGGACGGACCUCAUCAGUCUAGGCAUUAUCGUUAGUAUGAUGAGGAGGUAUGAUCAUUUUGUGAAAUAUAAGAGAUCAUUGAUUAGAGGAUUGAUUAGAGUUUAAAGAAUGAACUAUAUCACAAAGAGGUGAAACAUUCCUAAAUGACUAGUAGCCUCCUACUUAUAAGUGUGGCGCACUACACACCCAUAAAGAAGACUCUAUCAGACGCGAUUUUGCAGACACCCUGGGAUUAUGAAUCAUGCUCUGAUACCAAGUUUUUUUAUGACCCAAACUAGGGCCUGGCCGUGAUGGACAUCCUGAACAAUGAAGUCCCGGACGUCGUACUCUCUCUGGUAGUCAUGGACAAUAUUCAUAUAAUAAGAGAAGAUGCGAAAAUACAAUCUAAUAUAGAAACAUGGUCAUACUCUGAAUUCAGUUUAACAAUAAGGAAUGAAAUCUGAAAUCAACUAAACAACAUCUAGAACAAUCUGUGGAAUCUCUAUCACAUGAUCAAAUGACAACUUUCUGAAAACUGGGACAAGGCCCCAGUAGACCAAAACAAAAUAAAUAACAUAAUAUGAUAAAAUAAACCUUUUAGAACAAAGAAGGCUUACCACUGCACUGAUCACUUCUCUCUGGAUACUCUACUGUUUAGCCGGACCCCUAGAUUGAGCCUCUGAACUUGAGAGGUGGGGGAGUCAAUACAGAUGUACUGGUACGCAGAGCAAAUCAAAAGAAAUAAUUUCUAUUCAAUAUAUAUGAGAGCAAUUUAAAAUAGUUCAUAAUUAUGUCAUAUCGUAAAAAUCAUAUGGGCAUUUUUAAAAGACUCUGUAAAAUCAUCAAAACUCUGUAACACUCUUUAGUUUUACUUCUACGCUAGGUUGUAUACCAUAUAAUUUCAUAGUUUUCACCAACUACCUUAUCUUAAUUGCUGCCAAGAUAGGAGUACUAGUGAGGCAAGAGCACACAAGAUCACAGAAGAGGGUGCCACAACCCCAAUCAAGUUAUUAUAUCGUGGUUGGGCUCAAAUCACGAAGCAGGGCUCCAAACCAUAAGCCCCGAUUUGGAAUGACAAAGUACUAGGUACACAAGAUAACAUAGCAGGGUACCAAGUUCUCAUGUUGGCAAAUAACAGUUUCCAGCAUAGAGUCAUUUGACUAGGGCUUUCUUCAGGUAACCACCUAACUCACAUCAACCCAGUUUUUAACUCUUAAAAACAUAGAUUUUCUUAAAUCAAACUCUAACUCUAUCAUGUCAUACAUUUAUAUAGUAUCGUUAUACCAUUGACUUGCAAGUCACAUUCUAUGAACCAUAUAGCAAAUUAUAUCUCUGUUCUCAAAACACAGACUUUAGGACCACCAUAUCAACAAUCCUUUUCAAGAAACUCAUUCUUUAAAACUCAUGUAAGCAUAUGCAAGGAAACUCUCUUUGUCAACAUUUCAAGAAUUCCAGGUGGUCAUAUCAAAGUUCUCAAUUACAUUCAUUUCUUUCUCUUUAACACAAGAACAUCUUAGUUACAUCAAGAAACACCCUCUCAUUAUUUCUAAAUCAUGUUUCACUUACUAUGACAUUGAUAAAACUACUUUCAAAUCACAAGGUAUGCAUUUCAACUUUUUUCCGACAAAACCAUAAUCUUUAAUUCAACAUACGAGAAGGGUUUCAUAAUAUGUGCGCUUAAACAAUAUUCAAUAUCAGUUUUCAUACAUAUACAUAUACUUGUAAAAAAAAUUCAAGGGGGAAAGACCUAAAGGCCAAAUCAACAAUAGGAUAAAAACAUUUAAAAUGCAUAAUUAAAAAUAGAUUCUAAAACCCCCUUUAAAAUUCAUGCUUGAUAAUCUUUAUAUCAUGAUCUAGUGUUUACAAGCCAAUAUAGUUUUUAGGAUAAACCCUACGUACCUCAAAUUUAGAAUUUGAUAGAUGUUUCUUGAAGCCUACAAUUUGGGAAUUCUGAAUCUUCAAUCAAUUUCUAAAACCCACGGUAGAAUCUUGAGGGAUCUUGAUUCUUAGGUUGAGACCUAAGUGUUUAGUUCUUGAGGGAGUUGGAGAAAAUGACCAUAUUUUGGUCUAUUGGGGGCUUGUAACGACCCGAGACUACCCCCUAGUCGUUACAUAGUGCUCAUGACCCCAGAGGACCACAAGCUAACCUUUUUUCUGAUAUUCGUACCUGAACACUGCAUAAUAUCUGGAAAUAAAAGCGGAAACAAGAAGAAACAAGCCAUAAGGUUCAACACAUCUAUAAAUACUCAAACUGAAAACUGGAUACCGCUACAUCUAUCCAAAAAGCCUCUAACUAACUGAACUUUGGAGUUGAUAGGACAUGUCCCCAACUAACUCCAUCAACUGAAAGUAAAAAAAUUAUGAUACAAUAAUAGUAUACAAAGGAUCAUCCUCCAAUAAAGAGGACUUUUUAUGUCUACUGCUGCUGACCGGGACUUAACUGCUGAUGGAGCUCUCGAUCUCGUGCCUCUGAACCUAUGGUGUCAAAUAAAACACCAUAGUACAAAUAAGUCAGUAUGGAAAUGUACCUAGUAUGCAGAUGAGGUAAGGCUAAAUGCAAGGGCUCGUGCAUAAACAAUUACAUAACUGAAUAAUCAUGAGAGUACCGAAUGAGAACACAUACAUGAAUGCACAAACCAUAAUCACGAUCAUCACAACUCUAAAUACUUAAACUCGAAUAUCACUUUAUAGUAAUCUUAACUCACUAGUAACACUGAGAUACUGAAUCACUGAAUCAUCUGAUACUGAUAACUGAUUAACUGGAUAUACUCACAUCAAUGACUAGAUUCUGAGCUCACUGCUCUUGACUGACUAGAUUGGAGGUCAACCUCUCUAAUAUGACAACAAAAAUACUAAACAGAAUUUAAUAUGGAGAUCAAGCCUAUCUGACGGGAGAUCUCUAGAUAUGAUAAAAAGAAUACUCAACUGAAUCUGAGACUGUGAACAAGCCUAUAUGACGGGAGAUCUUUAUAUAUGAUAACAAGAAUACUCAACUAAAUUUGAGACUGAGAUCAAGCCUAUCUGAUGGGAGAUCUCUAGAUAUGAUAACAGGAAUACUCAACUGAAUCUAAGACUGAGAUCAAGGCAAACUGAUAAGAGAUCUCUAGAUAUGAUAACAAGUAUACUCAACUGAAUAUGAGACUGAGAUCAAGCCUAUCUGACGGGAGAUCUCUAGAUAUGAUAACAAGUAUCUGUAUAUGAGACCAAGCCUAUCUGAUGAGAUUGUCCAUGAAUCAAUGGAACUAUCUGAGUUCCUUACUGAGAUAGAUGACUGUACCACACAGUCCUAAUUUCUGAAGAUUGAUACUGAAACUGCAAUUGUGGGAAGUAGUUACUUAACCGACAUGCCCCGACCUCCCAUAGGUGGGGUCCAACCUGUAACCCCAACUGGAAGGGUGUCAAUACCGUGCCAUGAGUAAAGACCUCUCUGGUCAAGCCUCUCUAACGGGUGACCCUCAUAGAAAGUCGGCCUAAAAUCUCUCUAUCGGUGACAGACUCUACUGACGGGGAUGCCUGCAUCCUGCGCUGGCUACGCAAUUCUGGAGUUUGGGGAUUUCUCCUAAUGAUUCAACCUCUCUGACGAGGAGCCUCCAUCCCUUCCCUCACUCGGUGCUAGCUCCUACUCCCAACUAAAAGACACUGAACUAAAUUUUUUAACUGAAUACAAACUGAGCUAAACCUGGUACUGAUCCCAUUUCUCAAAUAACCUGAUUAAAUUAAGUUGAAUUCACAUGGUUUCAUAUCUGACGAAAUACUACUGAAUCACGGUAUCGGACUGAUGAUACAGAGUUGAAUAGAUUACUCGGUCACUACCGAGGCCAGAACUAAACACUUGAAUACUACAAGAUCUGAGCUGAGAACAACACUAAGGUUAGAUUACUAGCGAUACAGAGAUUACUGAGAUUUCUGAGAUUUUUUAUGUUCUGUAUCUGUCUAAGGAUACAGGGUACUAUAAUUCACUGAGUUUUGAGAAUCAUGGUUCGACUGGAUUAUCGUGAAAACUAACACAGGCUCUCGACAAUAGCUAAAUUGUCCGGCAUAAAUACCACCAGGACUCAAUAACAUAGAAGUAAAAAAUAACCCUUCUUGACUAGUCAUAACCACGGUCAUUCAUUCAUCAUCACAAUCACUAAAUCAUCUCUUCAAGCAUUUAGGAAUCAUAACCAUAUAUUCUUUAUCACAAUCACUAAGGCAUCACUUCAAGUAUUUAGGAAUCAUAACAUAUAUUUACCAUAACAAUCACUAAGGCAUCACUUCAAGCAUUUAGGGAUCAUAACAUAUAUUCACCAUCACAAUCACUAAGGCAUCACUCCAAACAUUCAGGGAUUAUAACAUAUAUUCACCAUCACAAUCACCAAGGUAUCACUCCAAGUAUUUAGGGAUCAUAACAUAUAUUCACCAUCACAAUCACUGAGGCAUCACUUCAUGCAUUUAGGGAUCAUAGACAUAUAAUAGAGUAGGAGAAGCAUACUAUUAGAUCACACUUCAUUCAAUAAGGUCUUACAUCAAGUACUUCGUACGUAGGUUAGUCUUGGCAUAUAAUGAAUAAUGCAUAAUUGGGGAAACUUCAUACUAUCAUGGCACAAUUUACUCAUCGAGCACUUGGCAUUUAUUAAAGGCUUAACAUGUAUCAAAGAGCACAGAAUUGUGGAAUUUCUUACUAUUAUGUCUCAACUUGUUCACUAAGGCCUUUCAACAAACACUAGGCAUGCAUGGGUUGCGCCUAAUUGGUAUUUUUAUGUUAUUAUUCCAUAAUUCAUUCACUAAGCCAUUUCAAUAAACACUAGGCAUGCAUGAGUUUAUACCUAAUUAGGGAUUACAUGCUAUCAUGGUACAAUUCAUUCAUUAAGGUAUUUCAUCAAACACUAGGCAUGCAAGGACUCGUACAUAAUUGGGGGGUUCCUAAUCAACAUGAUCUAAUGGCCUUAAUUCCUUCACAUAAGCAUUUUAUCAAACAUAUGGGGAGCAUAUUUUGCUCAUUCAACCAAUUCUACACUUAAUUGAAAUGAACAAAUCAUCUAACAGGCAACUUGAAGAGGAUUUAUCAUGCACAUCACAUGGGUAUCAAAUACUAAGGUCAAAGCUUGAUAAUCUUGUAGAAAAACAUGAAUCACAACUCAAUCAUAGCAGGAACAUCAAUUUCAACUCAUAUGAAUUAUUAACAACUCAUAAACAUACAAUCUUAGAGAUUUAGAAAAGGGUACUUGAGCUUCUUGGAUGAAAGGGACCCAAUAAUCAACAUCUGCAUACCUUGGGGAAACUUCUUUCUUAAAAGCCCUUGGAGUGAUUCUUGAUUUUUCUUGAUUCUCUUAAUCUUUCUUGAAGAAGGAGUAAGUCUUUUGGUUUUUGUAAAACCUUAGUUUGAUGUUGAAAAUGGGAAAUCAGGCUGAGAAAGAGUGGGAAAAGACCCGAAAUCCCUUGGAAUUAAAAUCCAAAUUUAGAAAAUAAAUCCCAAUUUUUCAUACUGGCGCGAUGCGCCAUAAUCGCAUCUGCCAACUGGAAAUUGGACAAUUGGGAAAUUGCAUGACAACGCGAUGCGGUGGAAAUUGCAUUGCCACUUUGGUUGCGAACUUAAACUACACCACAAUGUGGUGGAAUUGGAAAGGCUUAUUGAAAUUUGACAAUUGCCAUUUUGGCUGGCUAAAGUGCCAAGUGGCACACUGUCUCACUAAAAUGGCUCUAACUCUUCACCAGAGUGUUGGAUUUAGGAAAAUUUGGUAUCGAUGGAAAGCUUAUUUGAUGCUUUACAUGAAAAAAAGUCGAUAUUAGAGAAAUUAUACAUGGUUCAAAAUAUUUCACAUUUGGAAAGACAUCUCUCAAUCUUUAGGACCGAAUUUAUGCUUCGCCGAACACGCUCUAAGUCUCAGACUAGGAAAGAACUUUAUGGAGUGUUACUGGGCUUAAUCACAUGUUUAUGGCUGAAUAAGGGUAGGGAAAAUACUAAAAUACCCCUAAGGAAACAAAGAAAGUCGCAACAGUCCCUCAGUUGAUAGGUUGAUGUGCUGAAGUAAAUUUGGCAUAACUUUUUAUUCUAAUGUUGGAUUUGAAUGAAAUUAGUUUCAUUGGCAAGAAGACUCAAAUAGCUUUCAUUUCAUAUAGAAAAUAUCUCCCAGUUCAUUAUAUACAAAAAUUUAUGACAUUUGAAAUUGACCCUGAAAUUAUGGUCUGAAAUGCGCCCAGAAUGCUGGAGCAUUUCAAAGGCAUUUCAAACCAGUUUGUUAUGCCCCUAAAAUGCACCAAGACAUACUAUUUACUUUCCCCAUUGCUUAUCAAUAAGAAAAUCAUGAAACGGAGGUCGAAAAGAUCGCGAAAUAAUUCAUCAAAGAUUGGGAACUAAAAAAGAGACCAAGUCCCUUUGAAACUUAGAGAAAUUUUUGAGUUUUACUCUAUACGAAUGCUACUAGAAACUAAUACAUGUACAAUUUUCGCACAGUUUUACACUUCUCUUAUAUGUUAAUGAUAUGUUGAUUGUAGUAAAGGAUAUGAGAGAGAUAAUAAAAGUCAAAUCCCAGCUCAGUAAGGAGUUUGAGAUAAAGGAUCUAGGACCAGCAAAGAAGAUCCUUGGCAUGAAAAUUAUAUGGGAUAGAGAAAAGUGUAAGUUAUACUUGAGUCAGAAAAGGUAUAUUGAGAAAGUACUUCGUAGGUUCAAUAUGCAAAAUGCCAAACCUAUAAGUACUCCAUUGGCAGCUCACUUCAAACUCUCGACCACUUUAUCUUUAAAAACAGAUAAUGAGUGUGGCUAUAUGUCUUGAGUUCUAUACACUAGUACCAUCGGGUCUCUUAUGUAUCCGAUAGUGUGUUCCCAACCAGAUUUAUCUUAUGUUGUCAGUGUAGUUAGUAGAUACAUGGAAAAUCCUAGCAAAUAACAUUGGAAAGCAGGUCAGUGGAUUUUCAGAUACUUGCAUAGAUCUGCUAAUAUUUUUUUGUAGUUUGGGAGAAACAGAGAUGGAGUAAUUUGGUAUGUUGAUUCUGAUUUUGAAGGAGAUCAUGAUAAAAGGAGAUCCCUUAUGAACUAUUUUUUCACCAUUGGUAGUUGUGCUAUUAGUUGGAAAACUACAUUAUAGUCUAUAGUUGCUUUAUCAACUACUGAGGCAGAGUACAUGGCUAUUACCAAGGCUUUCAAGGAAGCCAUUUGGUUGAAGGGUCUGUUUACUGAAGUUAGCAAAGACUUACAGAUUAUUACGGUCUUUUGCGACAGUCAGAGUGCUAUCUUCCUUAACAAAGAUCAGAUAUUUCAUGAGAGGACCAAGCACAUCGAUGUUCGAAAUCAUUUUAUGCCUGAAAUUAUUGCUUAUGGUAUUAUUGUGGUAAGCAGGGUUAGUACCCGUGAUAAUCCUGCUGAUAUGAUGACCAAGAUACUAUUAAGUGCCAAGUUUGAUCAUUGCUUGGACAUGGUUGGUGUUAGCUGUUGAGAUGUGCCCAUAGGGUCUUUUGCGGAAGAGGUGGAGAGUUUGUCUUGGAAUGGAUUUGAGUUCUGAAUUAGAAUUUGUAUCAAGGUGGAGAUUGUUAGAGUUGUGACCGGAAUUAUGUUGAGUCGGCUCUAAAAUUCCACGGUAUGGACCUUUAUGUUUUUGGGCCUAGGACUUAUUUGUAUGCACGUAUUAUAUAAGUGCAAUUAGUGGGUUUAUUUUUAUUAUUCAGAAAAUUCAGUCUUCUCUAUAUUGUACGCUUUCUCCAUUAUAGUGAAAUCUCCUCUACCUUUGCCAGUGGUUUUUUCCAUAAGGGUUUCUACGUAAAUCUUGUGUGUUGUUCUUGAUUUUUCCUUCGCACUUAUGGUUUUCUUAUACAACAAACUAAUUGUUAGUGUUUGUCUUAACUUUCUUACGAUAAUUGGGUUUUCCAUUAGGUACCAUAAUUGGGUUUUCCUUUUAGGAAAAGGAAAAUAUAUUGUCCAUAUUUGGCUAAUCCUUAUUCUAGUAGGAAAAGGUUAUAGACUUUAUAAAUAAAGGCUCAUUUCUUCUAGUUUUGUAUUAUCCACAAUGUUGUCCUAGGGGUUUUAGAGUUUUGUUUGGGGGGAGAGUUUGUGAGACACAAGUAUUCAAGGAUCACUUGUGUGAACCUCUUUUCUAUUCUGAGUGAAUUUUGUGAAGUUGUCUCUCUUGACAGUUUGUGCUCUCUUUUUAUAGUGAAUUGCUCAUAUUCUUUUGUGGAAGUAGGUCGACUGACCAAACCACGUUAAGUUCUUAUUUCUCUUUUGGUGUAUUUCUCAUUUAUCUUCUUAUGUGGCAUUUUUUGAGGUUUACUUUGGUAGAUUUUGCAUAACACCUAAUUAUUUAGAUCCUAGCAAGUGGUAUCAGAGUGAGAUUAAAAUCGGGGGGGUCAUCUUGGCAGAUUCAAUUCUAGUCACAACCUAUUUGACAAUAAUGAAGAUUUUAGUUUGAGAAAUUUUAUCAGUGUUACUCUGUGUAGAGGCAAGAUUUAAUGAAGGAGAUUUUGGAGAUGAAGAUUGAACUUGUUGAAUACUACAUGAAGAAGGUGGAGCAAAUUUAUUUUAUCAGAAAUUCAAGCCAAGGGAGAAAAUUGUUGGUGUUUGUCCUAACUUUCUUACCAUAAUUGGGUUUUCAUUUUAGGAAAAGGAAAACAUAUUCUUCAUAUUAGGCUAAUCUUUAUUCUUGUAGGAAAAGGUGAUAGACUCUAUAAAUAGAGGCUCCCUUUCUUCUAGUUUUGUAGCAUCCACAAUAUAGUCCGAGGGGUUUGAGAGUUUCGUUGGGGGAGGAGGGGGAGACUUUGUGAGAUACAAGUGUUGUGGGAUCACUUGUGUGAACCUCUUUUCUAUUCUGAGUGAAUUUUGUGAGGUUGUCUCUCUUGACAGUUUGUGCUCUCUUUUAUAUAGUGGAUUGCUCUUUUACCUUUUAUAGAUGUAGGUCAAUUGACCGAACCACCUUAAAUUCUUGUGUCUCUUUUGGUGUAUUUCUCAUUUAUCUUCUUAUGUGGCGUCUUUCGAGGUUUGCUUUGCUAGCUUCCACAUGACACCUAAUUAUUUCGAUCCUAACAAUUUUUAAAUCGUGGAAUGCUGUAAUUUCCAACAUUACAUUCACGAAAGUUCAUUGUGAUCAAUCCAAAGCUCUAGGAUGUAAAAUCUCUUGUUACUGAGAUGCACUUGUGAGUUCGAAUUUACAUAUAUGGACAAUCUUAUUAGAAUUAUUAGAGAAAAACAACCAUUUCCUCUUCUAUGAUUCCAAAGAACACAUUUUUUAGGCUCAAAUAAUGGCUUGGCACUAUUGAAGAAACCUAAGGCUUAUAAGAAAUUUGUUCGGUUGAAUGCAUCAUCUAGACAAAAACACAUUUUCGAGUGCCCAUACAUGAAACCUCAUGAAUACACAUUUCCUCGUGCUUGUGGGUUAUGUUAUGAUUCUUCCGACGAUGAUAACAAAAUUGUGUAUUGAUCUAUAACUUGUUUUAUGUUGUGUACUCUAUGAGUAGGGGUUCUUGGACAAAUAAGAAACUAAAACCUACCCCCUGGUAUCACAACAACAUCUCCUUGGCUGCGAACUACUGCCUAAAUCAAGUUCACGUGUGUGCAGUCAGGGAAUUAGCAUUGAAGGUUAUGUAUAUUGGUCUCUGAAUAAAAAACUUGAUCAUUAUGUACGUAAAAAUUCUACAAAUAUAUACUUGAUGUGAAGUCGGACGAAUUGAAGGAAUUUCUGACACUAAUUUUGAUUGUUACAGAUGUCAUUUGUCUACUCUGAUAGGUAGCAUUAGUGCAUAUGGAGGUGACAGUCAUUUUAAAAAAUUGGACAUAUGGAUCAUGAAACAAGUUAAUUGGAAAUGGUUAAUGCUAAUUUAAUUGCAAGCGUUUUCUCAAAAAUUAUAAGCAUUUGUGCCCCAAGGAAGAUGGUGAAGCUAUCUUUAAUAGAGUAGGGUACAACAAAAUUGAGUUCAUUUCAUUUUGCGCCUUAAUGUGUGCUCUCUUUUUUAACUUAAACCCUAUCCUAUUUUUUAAAUAAUUUACACCCUAAUCUCUUUAUUUCUUUACAAAACAGUAAAACCACUCUUAAAACAAUUUUUUCAUGAGGACGAAAUAGGAAUAACAAUAAUAAUGAUUUUAUAUUUAGAGAGAGAUCUCCAAACAAAAAACAACUAGCUACCACAAUUAAACAAAUCUUAUUGACGGAUACAAAUGAUUUAAGUACCAAAAAAUCCACAAUCGAGAAUGGUAACUUCAUAAUCAUAUGCAUUUCCUUUUAGAAAUUUGAUGUGUCCAAGUGCAAAUGCACGUGAAACUUACUCUUGAAGACACUUGGAAGUACAAUAUAUAUAUAAUACAUGAAAGUACAAUAUAUAGAAUACAUUUCUAUGACUAAAGAGCUCCAACUUAAACAUCCGAAACUUCUUGCAAGAUUUAAUAUCAAUUCCGCGCGAGCAGAAGAAUCUCAUAUUAUUUCAGUAGUUUAGCAGCAAUAUGUUCUGUAAUAGCCAUGCUGAAUGUUAGGCCUGGUGAUUCAAUCCCAAACUAGUUAACUAAACUAGAUAUUCCAUGACUUUCCUCUCCCUGCAAAAAACGCAUUUGAGGGACUGUCAGAUUUAGCAGACAGAACUACAACUGAGAUAUAACUGAAAACUGAUUCCGACAAUACUUGUCAAAGUUUGGAGAAAGAUCCGAUGAGAGUACUUUCUAUAACUUGCUCACAGGGAAAUACCUGAACCGUUAAUCUUGUAGUGAUUACUGAUCAGUUAAUCACAUGUGAUCAGGGUAGCACAAUACAACGAUGAAAUAGAUCUACUACGGAACUUAAGGGACCAUUCAGGUUGAAACUUAGAAUAAAUUCGAUGUGUUACCUGAACAGCAAAAUCAGUAGGACCCUCUUCUGGACCAAAAAGCUUUGGUCUGAUGCCUUCAUAACCUGGCUCAAAAGACCCAUCCUUCAGACCGGUGUAGUAUUUUUGUGAAAAUACUUGCUAAGACUCCAUUGAUGGAGCUAAAAAGAGGAGAAGAAUCAAAAUUAUAACUGCUUUAAAAAUUGUUUGUUACAAUCAGAUUAUUGUGCCUUCUAUAGGCAACAACAUAUCGAAUAACUACCUUUCUUCUAGAACACUCUAUUUGACAGCUCAUUGCCACUCACUAAUCAUUGUCUAACAACCUCUAACAACUUAUACAGCUAACUCAGCAAUAUGCUCCUAACUAGUCGAAUGUCUACUCCUAGCAGUAUUACACAUCAGUGGAACAGGUAGUCGUGUAUGUUCCAAAACAUUCCCCCUCAAGUUGCAGGGUACAGAACAUUCAACACACAAAGCUUUCUAAGUAAGUGGGCAUGUUGAGCAAGACUUAGGCCCUUGGCAAGCAGAUCAGCAAGUUGAUCUGUAGAGUGAACAUGUAGGGGCUUAAUCAAUCCAUCCUUGAUUUUGUCCUAAAUGAAAUGACAGUCAAUCUCAAUAUAUUUGGUUCUCUCAUGGAACACAGGGUUGUUGUCCUAUUGAAUGGCUAAAUUUCUGUCACUAUAAACUGAAAUGGGGAGGUUGAUAGGGACCUUAAGUUCCUGAAACAAUCCAACCAGCCAAGUGAGUUCAGCAGAACUCCUAGAAACAGUGUAAUGCUUCUUGGACUUCCAUGAUAUGAGUGAUUCACCAAAGUGAAUAGCAUAACCAGUAACUGAUCUUUUGGUGUUUGGACAGGCAGCCCAAUCAGAGUCACACCAGCAAGUCAAAGUAUUAGCAAGUUUAGCCUUUAACCCGACACCUUGGCGAACAAAAUUUUUUAGGUACCUGACUACCCUAGUAGGUGCUUCCCAGUGAGACUUCUUGGAAUGUUGCAUAAAUUGGCUGAGAGUCUGGACAACAAAGUUAAUGUCUGGCCUUGUAAUAGUGGAAUACAUAAGCUUCCCAACAAGUCUUUGGUAAAAGGAAAUAUCAGACAACAGUUUAUCAUCUUGUGCACCUGUUGCAUGAUCAUACUCAAUAGAGGUGAGCCUGGCAUUAGACUCUAAGGGAUAAUAGCAGGCUUAGCACCACUAAGACCAGUUUCAGCAAUCAACUCUAGAAUAUACUUCCUUUGGUUUAGAAUGAUCCCUGAUUUUGAUCUUAAAACUUCAAUACCCAAAAAAUACUUGAGAUCCCCCAAGUCUUUCAUCUUAAACUACUGAUGCAACUUGAUUUUGGUAUUAUUGAUCAAGGAGGCACUGCUUCCAGUGAUUAGUAAAUCAUCAACAUAAACAAGAAAUAUAACAGUAUCAUUACCUUAAUGCAGGGUGAAUAGGGAAUAAUCAUGUGCACUUUGUGUAAAACCAACAUCAAGUAAGGCAUGAGUAAUCUUAAAAUUCCAUAAGAUGCAACUGGAAGUUGACACUUCUCCAAUAAAUAUAUAGUCCACCCUUUUGCCUACCAAUCCCCUUCACCUUGCCAUUGAAAAGGUCCUAAAAGAUACACAAAUCAGGAUAAAAAGAAACAAAACAUAAAAUUUCCUUGGGUAUCUUGGCAACUGACAAAAAAUUGAGUUUGAAGUCUGGAACAUGUAGAACAUCUUUGAUCACAUCAUCUGCAAAAAUGUGAGCUUCUCCCAUGUGUGAGAUUGUCACUUUAUCACCUGUUGGAAGGUACAACUUAUCCACAUGCUUGGAGUCUAAUCUGGUACCUCCUUUGAACAAGUGCCUAUGUGCAGACACAUGAUAUGUAUCACCUAAUUCUACAAUCCAACUGUCAGAACAUGCUUUGGACAAGAAACAAGUAGUAAUACCUGUUGUAUUGACUUGUUUCAUAUCUGUUGUGUCUUUGUUCAACAUAGUCAUAAUCUGAGUGUAUUCUUUCUCAGUGAAUGUGUGAGGCUUGGACUUUGGUGUGUGAGUCACUUCAUGACUAAAACUAUCAGCAUCAACUUGUCCAGCUACCACAGUUGAAGCCUAAGAAAUAGACCUGUGACCAGUGUUUACAAAGUUGUUACCACCAUUGUUUCUGGAUAGAUUGUUACUGCAAGUACACUGUGAUCUGAAAUUAGAGUUGUAUCCUUGUUUCUUUCUGUUCUUCCAGUCAUUUGGAUAACCUACCAACUUAUAGCAAGUUUCCUUAGUAUGACCCAAUGGAUGGCAAUAAUCACACUUUCUGCCUCUAUAGUUAGAGUUUCUUUGUCCAAAACCAUAAUUUCGAUUCACUUGCAUAGCAAGUGGUUCUGAUCUAUUAUUCACAGUCAUCAUACAUGCUGAAUAUUGUAUUUCAUCCUCUAUGAGCAUAGCAUAAGCUUGAUUGAGAGUAGGAGUCACUCCUUUGAGCAAUAUCUGUCUUCUAGCAUGGUCAUCGGACUUGUUCAGGCCACUUUAAAAUUGUAAAAGUCUAAGUUGACAUAUAUGAUCUGAGUAUUCUCUAGAUGUAGGGCAAUCACAACUAGGAUUUUGCACUAGUACGUUAUACUCACUCCAUAAACUUUUCAAUUUGGUAUAAUAGGCUGAGAUUGAAUCUGUACCUUGAGAGUGCAUGUUAAUUUCGCGAUGUAACUGGUAUAUACGCAUACGAUUCACCUUGUCAUACCUCUCCUUCAAAUCCUCCCAAACUGCACAAGCAUUUGUGGCAUAAGCAAUGCCAGAUAAAAGACUCUCACUCAUAGUGUUCAUUAUCCAGGAAAGCACAAUCGCAUUACAUGUUUCCAACUGCUUAUGAAUUUCUCUCUAUAUGAUUCCUUGCUGUAGGCACCAGUGACAAAUCCAAACAUCCUCUUCCCUAAGAGAGAAAUACUCAUCGAUCGACUCCAUAAACUAUAAUUUUCUAAACCAGUUAACUUGAUUGAAACAAAUACAACACCGAAGCUCUCAGAUGCACCAAUGAAAAAUGGAUUACUUUGGUCGAUUUUAGGUUGCUAUGAUUGAUAGAAUGCAGCUGUAAUAUAGAUCGAAAUUGCCAAAAAGGAGUUGAAGGCAGAGAUUCAAAAAACACAGAAAACUUAGUGAAAUGCGAUCUAAAACACACACUUAGUGUGGAGCUCGUGGCUUUGAUACCAUGUGAAAAUACUUUGCUAAGACUCCAUUGAUGGAGCUAAGAAGAGGAGAAGAAUCAAAAUUAUAACUUCUUCAUAAACUUGUUUGUUACAAUCAGAUUGUUGUACCUUAUAUAGGCAACAAAAUAUCUAAUAACUACCUUUCUUCUAGAACACUCUAUUUGCCAGCUCAUUGCCACUCACUAAUCAUUGUCUAACAACCUCUAACAACUUAUACAACUGACUCAGCAAUAUGGUCCUAACUAGUUGAAUUCCUACUCCUAUCAGUCAGUGGAACAGAUAGCCGUGUAUGUUCCAAAACAAUUUUCUUGUCGCUAGGUAGAAUUGAUUUGAACGAUCUUCAUGCACAGAGUAAUCAAACCUAGAAUAUCAUAAGCAUAUCAUAUCAGAGACUAGAUUUCUUCUACUCCUAUAUUAGUCUCGUAAUGCAAGAAGAGUAACUAUUUCCAGCUUUAAGCAAAUCUUUGGACUAUCCUGCGAUUCCAUUUUCCAUUUUAAGUGGAAAGAAUGUAAUGGGUUGAAAUACUCAAAAGGAAAAGAUACUUUCAAACCUUUCAAUAUGCAAAAACUUACAUUAUCUAAACAUUCAUCACCUACAAUUUCUUGAAACAGAAAGGAAUGCACCAACUUUUGAGCUUCAGUUGGUGCAAACAAAGAUGAAAUGUCAAUUCAAUAGCUUGAUGUCCAUCAUCAGAGAUAAUAACAAGGACAUAACAGACAAAUUCAAAAUUUCUAGUGUCUGCAGUAACGUUUUGAUACUAACUUAAAUGUAAUCUAUUUAUCCAAUACAAAAGAAUUUGAACUGUUUGAUGUUUCGACAUAUAUAAGAAUCUUUUUUUCUAGUUUAUUACUCUUGUUAUAGUGAGGGAAACUGAUAUGUUUCUUCAUAUGAAAGAAAAAGAGGAGAGCAAAUAGGUAAAAGUUGUUACACAAAAAGAAAAAUAAAAAAUAUGGAGAGCAGGGCAAGAAACAUAUCAUCCCAAAUUUUUACCUUUCAAUUUCUCCUUCUUCAGUCGAUCUUGCAAUUUUUUUUUUUAUUUUCAUCCAUUGAUAUUUACUCAUUUUGUAAUUUAUCUUCAAAAUAUGAAGAGAUAAUACAUAAAUAUGACCCUAAACUUGACCCCAAAUUAAAACUUUGACCUUAAACUUCGAUAGUGUAAAAAUAGGACCUUUAACUAUUCAAAACCUGAACAAAUGUGAUCUCUGAUUUUGCAACCCCAUGCGUGAUUUUCACUCGCUCCUAUGUGGAAAGAUAAUCCAAUCACACGGUUCCACAUCGUUAAAAUGGCUGACUUGGAGAGAGGUCAUAUUUGUGCAGUUUUGAAUAAUUAAAGGUCAUAUUUGUGCACUGUCAAAGUUUUGUUGUUUGUGUUAAAACAAAGUCGUUUUUUGGGUUCCCCCAUGGCAACCAUGUAGGUCCGCCCCUACGGUAAUUUAAUAACGUUUUAAUAAUGUUAAUUUAAUAAUAUUUUAAUAAUGUUAAUUUGAUAACGUUAAUUAUACAUACUACUACUACUAUCUUUAAUAACAUUAAUUUCAUAAAGUUUUAUUAAAACUAUAAUUUUUUUAUUAUUAGUAUAGUUUCAUCUUUAAUUUAAUGUUUAAAUACAUUAUAUUUAGUUAUAUUAUAUAACUUAAAUUCACGCUCUGCUUUAUAAUAUAUAUACAUACUCGCACAAUUUUUCAUAUGAGGAUGACCCACCUAAUUAAUAAAUCUUCAAUAUUGCUCUUUUUCCGCAAUGACAAAAGAAAUUAGAUGUCAUUUUAAUCUUUGAGCCGAAAAUAAUGAAAAAUAAUAGUGAAAAGUCAUUUAAAGGUCAUAUUUGUGCAGUUUUGAAUAGUUAAAGGUCAUAUUUGUGCACUGACAAAGUUUAAGGUCAAAUUUAUGUAUUAUGCCGUUAGAUUUUAAGCUGGACGCAUCAGUUUUGCGUGUUGAACAUGCGUUUUGCCACGUAGGAUCGGAUGUCAUAUUGUGCAGUUUCGAAGAGUUAAAUGUCACAUUUGUGCAUUGUCAAAGUCUAAGGUCAAAGUUAUAAUUUGGUAUCAAAUUUAGAGUCAUAUUUAUGUAUUAUCUCAAAUAUGAAUUACCACUUUGUUUACGGUUGGAGAGUUUAACCUAGUUAUUGAUGAAAAAAUGAAUGGCAGGAAGGAUUUAUUUCAUCUAACCUCCUACACUAAAAAUUAAAUAAAUUUAUUUUUUUUUAAAAAAAUAUUGUUAUUCCUAGUUUGCCCUCAUGAAAAUGAUUAAAAAAGUGAUUUUACUAUUUUGUAAAGAAAUAAAAAGAUUGGAGUAAUGUAAGUUUAAAAAAAAAAAAAGAAACAUUAGGGUGCAAAAUGCAACCAACUCCAACUAUAUUUAUAUAUAUUAUCCUAAAUACCAACCAUUUGUUGGGGCAACUUAUAAUUCAAAUCUUAAAUACUAUGUGUAUUCUCUUGGAGAUACACGUUUGGAUAGCUUAUAUUUCCCUAGACUUAAGGUCAUACGUUACUUACUAUUGGACCAUUUAUUUAAAAAUGUUGAUUUUUAUUUAGGCACCUUUUGAUCUGGGGUUUCCAAGAUAGUGCUAAAGACCGAGUCUUUUCAACAUGAUCAUCAGAAGGGAUUUGUGGGGCUAAGUGAUUGAAGCAAAUUCAUUCCAUCUUGACUGACACCAUUCAAUCUUGGUCGUGAACUUUUCUCUUCUGCAGCUAAUCUUAAUUUGCCAUAUUCAUGAAUCGAUUUGAUGCAAAGAGGAGCCUUGGAGUAAGUGGUAAAGUUUUGUCACGUGAUCAGUAGGCCACGAGUUCAUGUCGUGGAAAUAAACUCUUGAAGAAAUGCAACGUAAGGCUACAAGUAGACUCUUGAGUUCAAGUCGUGGAAAUACUCUUGCAUUAAAUGCAAGGUAAGGCUGCAAAAUUGACUCUUGAGUUCAAGUCGUGGAAAUAGACUCUUAAACAAAUGCAAAGUGAGGCUAGUUACAACACACGCUUGCGGUUCGGCUCUUCUCUGGAUCGUACAUAGCGGGAAAUUUAGAGCAUAGAACUCCACUUUAUGAAUGCAUUAGGUGUUGUGGGAUAUGUUUGUGUUUUUUCUUCACGUUUUCGCAGUUAUUUCAAGUUUUUGCGAAUCAAAUUGAUGGUUUUUAAGACCCGCCAUUAACUGUAUUGACUUUAUUCCGAAAUAUGUAUUCACUUUAUUCUGGAAUCCUUAUUUGGUCAUAAGGUAUUUUCAUUUUAUUUAUUUUUUCUUUUUAAUUUUUUAUUUUUUUUUUGAAAAAAGAGCUAAUUUUUUAUUUUCAUAAAAUAAUUCCAGUUAUAUGAUGUAAAAGGAAAAGCAAUGAAACACAAUCAUGGAGAGUUGUCUCAAAAAGGAUACCCUUGUUUUUCAUAUAAUAUCAUUUUCAACAGCUUUAUUAAGGUAAACGAUGUAUCAUUGUUAUGUUUUAAAUUUGUUUUAAAAUCAUGGGAUGCAAUGAUUUUUGAUAAUAUUACAUUAACAAAAGUUCAUCGCGAUCAAUUCCAAGAACUAGGACGUGAAAAGAUGUUAAAAAAGAGCAUACAACUUAAGAACCAUACACCAUACAAGAGAAAAAGGCACAACAUCAAAGACAUGGGGCUUUAUAAAGAUACAAGAAAGCAAUUGCUACAAAAACAACUACAACAUACAUAGCUUACAUCCUUUACUACAAAGCACUAAUAUUAUACAAGGCAGUAAGCAGAAAUGCCCAAAUGGUCGAAGAACACAUACAAUGACGAAAUCGAUUAAGCUAGCUAAAAAGCUGUAACGCUCCAAAAUGGUUUCGAGACGUCACACGGUGCUUAGGACCACAAGUGAUCCCAAACCCUUCUACUAGCAUAACUCAUAAGCAACUGUAUAAAUAUGUAUAAAAUGAUUGAGUUUACUGUGCGGAAACUUGAAAAUGAUGAAAUCUAUGAAACUACAAUACUCUUGAAAAUGAUGAAAUCUAUGAAACUACAAUACUAAUACAACUUUUACAAUCUGAUAAAGUCUAAAAAGAGGGACUGAAUUUACAUAACUGACUCUAAAUGACGUCUAUGAAGCAUCUACAAUACUAACUAUAGAUUGCUAGGACGCGACCCCAACUACCACUAAUCAAUACAUAGGAAAGUAAAGUAUAUAAAUAACAUCUAACUAAAGUUGCUGAAGUAGGAGGACUCAUCAUCUGCUAGCUGGAAUCUGCAACUGUAUGAUUCUGAUUGUACAUACCACUACUUGUACCUAUAUUAUGAGACAAUGUAGCACAUAGACGUAUAUGUGGUUCAGUACUUUGAGGAUGUACUGAGUAUAUGGGAGGUGAAUGCAUAAGUAGCUUAAAAUGGAUGCACAUUGCUCUUCUACAUUUGGAAUAAAAUGGAUCCAAAUUCCACACUAGCACUAACAGGGCUAAUCCUCACAUGGUGAGCCUAGAGGUCUUUGACUACAAAAGGGCCCAUCAAUGGUGUUACAACUCAUACAAGUGUGGAGAGAAGUGAAGUCCUGGCCAUAGGUAUAGGCUUAAACAACGAAUUGCAUCAUUGGUGAAACUAUGGAGAUGAUAGAGAACAUGUAGGAUGUGAAAUUUUUCCCAUAAGCAAANNNNNNNNNNNNNNNNNNNNNNNNNNNNNNNNNNNNNNNNNNNNNNNNNNNNNNNNNNNCCAACAGGAAAAAAGUUAGAACUUAGAUAUGUUGCCCAUUCUAACUCUUGCCUAUAAAACAAACGUUUAAAAUAUUUUUAGACAAUGAACUUGAUUAAUUAACUAGAAAUUCUACCUUAUAGGCAAAAGUUAGAACUUAGAUAUGUUACUCAUAAGACAAACUUUCAUGACAUUUCAAGAGGAUAAACCUGCACAAUUGACCAAAAAAUUCUGUCUUUUUGAAAACGUUAAAACAGGAACAAAAAAAUCAUCAAGGCCAUACACUUUGGGGACAAAAAUUCAAAAUCGAGCAUUUGGGGAACAAAAAUUCAAACCGGUCGCUUUGAGGAGAACUAGGCAUAAUUUCCUCGAGUGAAAAAUCAAAAAAAAAACAAACCAAUUUGGGACCAAUUCGGGUCGAGCCAAACUAAAAGUGCUUGGAAGCAUAUUGAACAAUUAUCGUAACAUAGUGCAAUCUUUGGGAUAUCAAAAAAUUUAUAAUUAUUAAAAUUCUUUUUUUAAAAAGAAUUUUUGAAAAUUUUUAUAAAUUUCUUUUGUGAUUUCGUUAAAGGAAUUAUGAUUUUAUUAAAAUAAAUAAAGUAUUCGUGAAGAAAUUCACAUAAUAUUACUGAGAUUAAAGUUCCGAUUUAAAAGUGAUAUUAAUUAAACAUAGUAACUUUUAAUGGAAUUUAAUCUACAAUAAAAAAUAUGAUUUUGAUUCUUAGAAUAUAGGGGUAUUGAUUUAAUUUUGUAUUGUUCAAUUUGGAAAAAUGUCAUUCAAAUUGAAUAUAAAAUUUUGUUUGGUUCAAUAUUUUUUCUUGAUUACUUUCAAGCAAGUUUCACUAAUUCAGCUACUAUUAUAUAAGAGUAAACUUGUAGUGAACAAUUAUAUUUUUCACUUAUAAAAUAAUUUUUAUUUAAAUUGAUAAAUCAAAUAAAUAAAACAAAUAAACAUUGUCCAUGUAUUGAACCAGAACCAGAGCAAUUAACCCGCCACCCUAUUGUAUUCACUAAUUUAAAAAGCAUAGUGUGUUUGUAAAUAUGAAAUUUCAAACUCUUCAUUAACUGCUUAUUAUUUAUUUAACAUCAUUUUUUAUCCUCUUAGUACAAACAAGAAAAACUUACUAAAUUUCCAUUGUGGAUUUACUUUUCUACCUUAAGGUAAGAGAAUUAAAUAUUUUGGAUGACUCCAGAUGAUAAAAAUAUAUAUUGCAGUAUGCCCAUUUAUUCUUGCACCGUCAAACUUGACCUCAAUUCAUUUUCUUUAUCGCUCUUCAAUAAUAAUGUCAAAAAUGAAAUCACAAAAGACAAUCGAGGAAAGCCGUUGUCAAGAGGAUACACCUGUUUUUCCAUCUGAUAUCUCUUUCAACAUCCUCAAAAAGGUAAACACUACAUCUUUGAUACACUUUAAGAGUGUUUCAAAAUCAUGGAAUGCUAUGAUUUCGACAUUACUUUCACGAAAGCCCACUGUGAUCGAUCCAAAGAGAUAGGAUGUAAAAAGAAAGUGUUACAAAAAAAUACGGGCGAGUUUGAUUUUUUUAUAUUUAAACAACCUCAAUGAUGUUAUCAUAGAUAAUCGACAAUUCCCGCUCAAAGAAUUCAUAGGUGCUCAAAUCCUGUGCUCAUAUGAUGGCUUAGUAUUACAGAAAAAACCUAAGGCUUAUAAGAAGUUCGUUUUGUGGAAUCCACCACCAUCCGGACACCACCACAUUCUUGAGUGUCCAUAUAUGAAACCUUAAGAAUACACAUUUUCUUGUUCUUAUGGCUUAACAGUGAUAGAAUCAUAACACAUACCAUAAGCACAAGAAAAUAUAUGUUCAUGAGGUUUCAUAUAUGGACACUCAAGAAUGUAGUAUUGUCCAGAUUAUGGAUUCGACAAAACAACUUUCUUGUAAGCCUUAGGUUUCUUCAAUAUUACCAAACCAUUAUAUGAGCAUAAGACAUGAGCACCUAGGAAUUCUUUAAGAGGAAAUUAUUGUUUAUCUCCGAUAACUUCAUUAAAAUUGUUUAAAUGUAUAAAUUCGAAUUCGCCAAUAUUUUUUGAAACAAAAGUUUUCACUUCAUAACGCUUUGGAAUCAUCACAAUGAGGUUUUGUAAAUAUAACCUCGGAAAUCAUAUCAUUUCAUGGUUUUGAAACACAUUCAAAGUGUAACAAAGAUAUAGAAUUUACUUUAUAAGGAUAGUGAAAAUGAUAUUAUCAGGAAGAACAGAUCUAUCAUCUUUGAUACAGUUCCCCUUAUUAUCUUUUGUAAUUUUGCUUUUGAUAUCAUAAUUGAAGAGCAAUAUAGAGAGUGGCUCAGGAUCAAAUACUGGGACGCAAGAACAAAUAUCAUUCUUUGUUUUGGUAACAUUGUAAAUCAUUACCAUAGACAAACAAAAAGUCAUCAGUUGUACAUCCUAAGAGCCCUUUAGUCAGCCAUGCCUCUACAAGGCAGAUGAACUAAAGCCUCAUUCCAAAACUAUUACAUGUGUAACCGUUGCAUUAAUUCCCUACAUCUACCCAAUUUCUUGGCUAUAUAAGAGAACUCUAAUCUAUGAUCUAGCUCCUGUUUUAUCUGUACUAUAGUUGUCUCAGUAUGUACAGUUUGUCUUCUAAAUAUUUUCCAAUUACGCGCCCUCCAAAGUUGAUAAACCAAUGCACUCCAUAUAGCAGCAACAACCUCCUAAUGAAUGGAUGGCCAACGUUUCCCUCUAAUUCGCGCUAAGACUUGAUUCAGAUUGCCUCUCAGAAGCGCAAUGCCCAUCGAAGCCAGAAAGGAAUUUCGCACUGUAUUGAAUCAGGUGCAUUCCACAAAUAAAUGUUGUGCAGUCUCCUCCUCAUUUGAGUUGCAUAAACAACAAUUUGGAUUAUCAACAAGUAUUUUCAACUUCACUAGCCUCCCCUUAGUCAAUAACCUGUCAUUCUAUUAGGGUUUAUUGUAACAUAUAUUUGUAUCAUUGGUCGUUGGCAAGAUAUUUAUAAAUGGUCAACAUAAUUACACUCUUACCUUAAUAUAGAAUAGUAAGUCCAUAAAUUUUGCUGUGAGUACUUUAUUUGUAUAUGGUUCUCAUGUUGUAUUCAACAAAUUUUGCCGCGAGUACUUUAUUUAUUAUAAUUAAUUCAUAACUACCUUUAACCAAAUUACAUAAGAAAUUUAGGGAGAUUUUAUUUUAAUAAAUAGAAAAAAAGAGAAUUUUAACUAGCUAAAGUUAAUAAUUAGUAGAAUACUAUCACACACUUUUAAUUUCUAUUUUGAAAAAUAGAAUUCUAAACUUAUGCCACAAAUGAACGUCUAGAAAGUUGGGACUCAUGAGCUCUCCUAUGUGAUCUGCACACAUAAUGUUAGAUCGAGGUAUGUUCAAUACGCAUUCAAAGAAAAAGUACUAUAAAUUUCCUUAUGUCCAAAAGGCUGCUCUAUGUUUGACGAUAACUGUCCAAUAUGCGUCAAUGUAUUUUUAGUGUGACUCACCCCAAAUUGGCUCCAAAAUAUCUAAAUAACUUUAUUUUAAUUUCCCACUCUAUAUCCCACACGCAAAUUAGAGACCGAUUAAAUUCAAAUUCAAGCUGAGAAGGCCCACAUCAGGGAGAUGAGGGAGCUUUCGACAAAGGUCAUAGAUUUGAGAAGACACUUGUGAUAUCGACAAAGCAAUGACAAAUAUAUAAAAUUCAAUAUAUGCAUUGAUGUGUAGUCCUUGGAAAAAAUGAUCGUUAUUACUAUUGGCGAAACCAAAGAUGGAGUUGGGUGGUUUGAGUAUGGUCGUGGGGGUGCUUGUGUCGAUGUAGAGGGUAACCUUUUUAAGGUGUUGCUACAGUAAUGAUUGCAACCAUAAGGGUGGAUCACGACAUAGCACAUGCGGAGCAUGGUGAAAUGAUCAAUGAGGCUAGAAUCGGAGGGAAUUGAUUGUUGUUGUUGCAUUUCUUGAACACUCGUUUCUUUUUGCAGUUUCUGUGCAAAAUUUUACUAAAUUAAUUUUGGAAGAAUUUGAGCACGAGAGUAUUAAGGUGCAUACAGAUAUUUAUAGAUGAGUUUAUUUUCUUUUAGUUUAUUCUACGGAUCUUUUGGUUGUCUUGUUUCCUAUAUUAGCUAGCAAUGUGGUAUCCCAUUUUGGUGUGUGCUUUUAUAUUAUUUUGUUUGUUAUACUGUUAUAGUUGGGGCUUUAUUGAAAACAACCGCUCUACUUCAUCUGAGGUAGUGGUAUGGACUGCGUACAGAUUACCGUCGCUAGACCCCUUGUUUGUGGGAAUAAACCGGGUAUGUUGUUGUUGUAUAACAAAUAAUGGUAAAAAAAUCAUUCCUUUUAACCUAUAGGGUCAUCACUCUUGUGUAGAUUAGUCUUUCUCCCUUUUGAAAUUAAUAAAGAUUUUAGGCUAACAUAAGGGUUUUUCGAGGCCAAAACGAUAACAAAGAGCCAAAGAUAUAGAUUUUCAAAUAUUGUUGGACCCUUGUUUCUAUAGAUUUUCACACACUUCAUUGGCUGUUAAACCAUAGCUUUGCUGGAAAUCAAGAGUCCCCAAUGAUAAUUGAAAAACCAAGCUAAGGCCCUCAAACAAACCACCUCUUGGACUUCUUGUUAUUUCAAGGUUCAUGUAUUGGAUCUGUCGCAUCCUACUUGUUCUCUAUCAUCUACCCAGUUUCACCAAUGAUGCAAUUCAGUUGCUUAAACUACACUGAUGGAAAGGACUUCACUUUUCUCCACACUUGUAACACAAUUGGUUGGUCCUUCUGUACUCAACGACCUCUUAGCUCAUCCUAUGAGAAUUAUCCUGCAAGUUCUGGCCUUAGUUGUAUAUGGUAUUACUGUUCCAUUGACUUUAGGACUUAAUGGGAUGGUAAUAGGAUUGCAUCCCUAGCACUCCUCUUCCCCAUUUUCUCCAUAGCCCCUAAGGCCUUUUGCUGCAUUCCAGCAAUUUUAAUAGCAGCCUUCAGAAUCUCAUAAACAUUGUCAUUUAGAUCAAAGAUAUUAUACCUAAGACUUAUUGGGAUCUCACUCAUAAAGGGGACAAGGAAUGGAUCGACAAAGGAGCAAAUUAUAUGUCAUAUUUUAGUUUGACAAGAUAUAGUUCACUUGUGAUACAUGUUACCUUUACAUCUUAUAGUCUAAUUUGUUUUCGAGAUUGUAGAGUCAAGUUAGGAUACUAUAUAUAAGAGUCUUAAUUCAAUCAUUAGUCUUUAUUUUUUUCCUUUAGUGCGAUGACAUUAAUUUGUUGCAAACAUUAAUAAAACUGGAUAAUAGGUAUCUCGCAUCGUAGAUUUACAUUAAUUAGUCAAGUUUCGUGCUUUUAAUCCUCCUAGCUAGAAAUAAAAUGAAUUCAUACAAGAGUAUCAAAUGUUAGUCACAGAUAAAUCAAAACCAAACAUAACUUACAACAGAAUCCAUCCUUCGCCAGAGACAAGGAAAUUUAGUAAUGAGGCAUAUCCCAUUCCCUCCUUCAAGCUAUGAGCACGGACUUGGCCCUUAAGAUCACCAGUCUGUACGUAUAAUAGUAAAAGAACAAUGUUAAGACUAGUGUUUUUCCAAGACUUCAUUUGGAUAACUAGUAUAUAUAUAUAUAUAUAUAUUUACCUUAUGGAUUUGAGAUUUCCAAGAUUGUGCGAAAGGCUGAAUUUUUUCAGCUUGUCAUCAAAAGGAAGCAAAUUCAUUCAAUCUUGAGAGUGAUUUUUUCUCUUCUGCAAUUGUUGUUCUUGAUUUUCCAUAUUCAUCUAUGUAUUUGAUGUGUUGUUGGGUUAGUUUGUAUGUUUCUUCAAACUCUUUCUUCACUUUUUCAACUUCUUGUCUUCCUCCACCACUUGGUCCAUGGGUUCCUUCAAAUUUUGUGAGUUUUAGCAUAGAAAGAUUCUCUAGGUAUUUUUGGAUAUGAUUUUUAGGGUUUACUGUUGGCUUAACCUACUGUCAAGCUAGUCCAAUUCAGCCUGUAAUUUGAUAAGAUUAUGCUAAAAAUUUUUAAGCCCAUUUAAGGACUUUUUAGCCUGGUUCGUAUAAGCCCAUAGGUCUAUGAGGCUUGAGUAGUGGAUUGAACUGGUUUGUGGAUCAAAUAAAAAGUAAUUAAAAAUAAAAAUAAAAUAAAUUACUAAAAAUAUCAAGAUUACAGGAGAACCCUAACUCGAAGUCCACUUAAACCAUCAUUUAAUAAUAUUACAAAGUUCAAAAAUUUAAAUAUUAAAAUUUAAAUAUUGUAAAUAAUAAAAAUGCAAAAUCCUAAAAUUUUUAAAGAAUUACUAUUUAAUAUUUACUUGCUUUUACUCUUGAUAGUCCACAACCAUCACCUUAUUUUUAAAUUAUAGUAAUAUUUUAAAAAGUCAGCUCACACGUCGCGGCCCAAAACCCACAAAAUGAUGGGUUGGGUUUGCUAUUUUCUGGCCCAUAAUCUUAAUGGAUCAGUCCUUCGUCAAAUUCCAAAGCUCGGAUGGACUAGCCCAGCUCGGAUUGACAACUCUAAUAUGAAGUCAUCUUUGUUAGUAACCAUUUUACUCGUUAAUGUAGGAACUUCCAACUCAAAUACAAAUUUAGUUGGACUUUAAUAUGACUUUAGAAUAUAAAGCAGUUUUCAUUUCCCAUUUCAUGGAAAACCAUUUUUACUUCCCCCUCUAAAGGUAUUUUAAUGAUAAGUUUUAUAGGAACUGGACAACCCUACUUGGUCAAAUACCUAGUGGCAAACUCAUAUGUUCCUCUCAUUAGAAUAUUUCUAAACAAGUUCUGGGAUAACAAGUCUAAACAUUUUCUUCUUAAUGAGAUUGAUAUUGAUGAUACCGAAGAUACUGGAAAUCGAAAAAAUAUUUAGCUAGUUUGGGGCCAAUUUUAGGUGAGCCGCAAUAAAAAUGCAUUGAAACAUACUUACAUUAUUUGAAUUUUGUUUUUCUUUCACCUAUUCAUGGACUUACUUUCUACAUUAAUUACGGAAAAAGUUUAUGUUAUAUAUGUUGAUCAUAUAUAAGUAUCUUAUAUGCUGACAAAUAUUAGAAAUAGUUCUUACACUAAUCCUAAUAGAAUGUUCAUAUUGGACUUCAUGCUGUAGAACUUAACCCCAGUCCACUCUUUGAAUUGAUCUUCGAGGGAUGUCAAAGGCAAAACAACAGAAGACAAUCGAGGGGAGCAGUAUCAAAAAGGAAACAUCUUCUUUUAUAUGAUAUCUUUUUAGCAUCCUUAUAUAGGUAUACGCUACAUCUUUGUCGUGUCUUAAAUUUAUUUUUGUUAGAGUUGUAACUCGAAUUAUGUUUAGCCGGUCCUGAAAGUCCCGCGGUAUGGACCUUUAUGUUUUUGGACUCAGGACUUAUUUGUAUGCAUGUAUUAUAUAAGUGCAAUUAGUGGGUCUAUUUUGAUUAUUCAGAAAAUUGAGUCUUCUCCACAUUCUACUCUUUCUCCAAUAUAGUGAAAUCUCCUUUGCCUCUGCCCGUGGUUUUUUCCGUUAGGGUUUUCACGUAAAUCUUAUGUGUUACUCUUGAUUUUUUCUUUUCACUUGUGGUUUGCUUAUGCUUUCCGAAUCAUAAUAAACUGGUAUCAGAGCAUGUUCGAUUAUUUUCUCAAGGAUAGCAACCAUGAAGUAUGAUAUUCCGCUAUUGGAUCGCAACACCAAAUUUUUAUUAUGGAAGGUUAAGAUGUAGUCUAUGCUUGCGCAGAUGAAUUUGGAAGAUGCUUUAUUAGGGUUUUAGAAGAUGCCUUCACUGUGGACGGACGAAGACAAAUGACGUAAGGAUCGGAAGGCUCUAUUUCAGAUCCACUUUCAUUUAUCCAAUAAGAUUCUAUAGGUGUUUUGAAGGAGACUACAACCGCUGCGCUGUGGUUGAAACUAGAAUCUUUAUGCAUGACAAAGAGCAUAACAAGUAAGUUGUAACUCAAACAACAACUUUAUUCCCAUCGUAUUUCCAAAGGUUCUUCUUUGAAAGAUCACCUAUUUGUCUUUAAAUAAAUCUUCUCCGAUUUAGGGACUCUGGAGGUUAAGUAUGAUGAGGACGAUCUAGAGUUGUUUUUAUUGUGUUCGCUACCUGCAUCAUACACGACCUUCAGGGAUACGAUUUUAUAUAGUCAUGAUACCUUGACGAUUGAUGAAGUCUAUGAUACAUUAUUCUCUAAGGUGAAGAUGAAACAUCUAGCGAAUAGGUUGGAGACUCAAGGAGAUAGUCUCAUUGUUCGAGGAGAAGGACUCGUGAGAGGAAUUCUGGGGGUGAUAACAAGAAUAGGUCAAAAUCCAAAAACAGAAACAAAAUCUGUAAUUUUUGUAAGAAGAAAGGUCAUAUCAAAUCCAAGUGUUGGAAGUUAUAGAAUAGAGAGAAAAGAGAAUCUCCAAAACCAAAGGGAAACCAACCAAAGAAGUUCAGUGAAGCCAACUUUGUUGAAGAUGGUGGUAGUGAUUAAGAACUCUUGGUAUUUUUUGAUGGUAACUCUAAACCCUGUGAGGAUUGGACUCUUAAUUCAGGUUGCAUGCUUCAUAUAGUGCUAUGUUGAUGGAAAAUAACACACCUUGUAAAAUAGCUGGUAUUGGAAUAAUCUGGAUCAAGAUGUUUGAUUGGGUUGUGAGGACACAUGGAUAUGUGCGGUAUGUCCCAGACCUGAAGGGAAGUCUUAUUUUCUUGAGUACCCUUGAUUCGAAUGGUUAUAGAUACACUGAUGAAGGUGGAGUCCUGAAGGUUACUAAAGGUGAUCUUGUUGUAGUGAAGGAAUAGAGAAAGUAUGAAAAUUUGUAAGUCCUGCAAGGCUCAGGUGAUGCAGUUGUUUCCACCUCCUCUCUAUCAAAAAGUGACGUUGCAAAACUUAGGCAUAUGCAUCUGGGGCAUAUAAGUGAAAACAGGUUGGCUGAACUAAGCAGGAGUGGACUUAUUAAUGGGCAGAGUAUUACCAAAUUGGAGUUUUGUGAGCAAUGCAUAUUCGGAAAGCAGAAGAGAGGCAGAUUCACUAAAGACAUCCACUUAACUAAGGGCAAAAAUGAUUACAUUCAUUCUGAUCUCUGGGGUCCUGCUAGAGUACCUUCUAGAAGAGAUGCUAAUUACUUGUUGACUAUUAGUGAUAACUAUUACAGAAAAGUUUGGGUGUUCUUUCUGAAGAAAAAAAAUGUUGUGUUUCUACUUUCAAGGAGUGGAAGAUUAUGAUUGAAAAGCAAACAGGAAAGUAGGUAAAACACCUUCAGACUGAUAAUGGUCUAGAAUUCUGUUCUAAUAAAUUUAUUGAUCUGUGCAAGUCAGAAGGAAUUGUAAGGCACUUGAUAGUUCGUCAUACUUUGCAAUUGAAUGGUGUGGCUGAACGAAUGAAUAGGACUAUAAUGGAGAAGGUCUGUUGUAUGCUCUCUAAUAUUGGUUUUCCCAAGUCUUUUUGGGUUGAAGCUGCUUCCAUAACUUGUCUUGUUAUUAACCGCUCUUCCUUAGUCGUGAUUGAUAAAACGACUCCAUAAAAGGUAUGGUCUGGUACUCCUGCUAGUUAUUCUGAUUUGAGGAUAUUUGGAUGUCCUGUGUAUGUUUAUGUUGAUAAUGGAAAGUUGGAACCUAGAUCUGUCAAGUGCUUAUUUAUGGGUUAUAAGAAUGGUGUUAAGGGUUAUAAGCUUCGGUGUCCAAAAAGCAGAAAGGUUAUAAUUAGCAAGGAUGUUGUGUUUGAUGAAACUGCCAUGCUUUGGGAUCCCUAUGAAUCUAGUGCUUCGCCUCUAGAUGAGCUUAGUGACAUGAAUCAGCAAAAGUUAUUUAACUACGUUGAAUUGCAAAUUGGAGCAGAGUCCAGUGCCUACUUCUUAGUCUAUCCCGGAGAUACAGAGUAGUACUAUUUCUUCUUCACCACCAGUGAUGCCAUAAUAUUCUACUGCUAAAGAAAGGCCUAGAAGAGAUAUUAGACCUCCUCAGAAGUAUGCUAAGCUGAUUUGGUUGCUUAUGUAUUGAGUGUAUCAGAAGGUGUUGAUUCCGGUGAAGAACCUUCUUCUUACCCAGGGGCAGUUAGUUGUGAUGAUUUCGGUUGAUGGAUGAUUUCUAUGCAGGAGGACAUGAAAUCACUUCAUAAGAAUGGAACAUGGGAUUUGGUGAGAUUGCCUAAAGUUAAGAAAGUUGUCCUUUGCAAGUGGGUAUUCAAAAAGAAAGAAGGAACAUCGGGAGUUGAAGAUGCUAGGUACAAAGCAAGACUAGUUGCUAAAGGUUACAGUCAGGUUACAGUCAGUUCCAGGUGUUGAAAUCACAGAUGUGUUUUCUCCAGUUGUAAAGAAUAGUUCAAUUCGAGCCUUGCUUGGUAUUGUAGCUAUGCAUCAUCUUGAGCUUGAGCAGUUGGAUGUCAAAAAUGCAUUCUUACAUGGAGAACUUGAGGAUGAUAUCUAUGUGCAGCAACCAAAGGAUUUUGUAGUCUCAGGAAAGGAGGACUAUGUAUACUUGCUAAAAAAGUCUCUAUAUGGCUUAAAACACUCUCCCAAGUAGUGGUAUAAGUGGUUUGACUCCUUUAUGACCUCUCAUAUGUUUCGGAGGAGUAGUUAUGAUAGUUGUGUCUAGUUCAUGGAGGUAAGAUAUGGUUCAUUCGUGUAUCUUUUUGUCACGACCCGAACUAGGGCCUGGCCGUGAUGGAUAUCCCAAACCAUGAAGGCCUGGACGUCCUACUCUAUCUGGUAGCCAUGCACAAUAUUCAAAUAAUAAGAGAAGAUGCAGAAAUACACUUUGAUAUGGAAACAUGGUCAUACUCUGAAUUCAAUUUAAUAAUAAGGUAUGAAAUUCAAAAUCAACUAAACAACAUCUAGAACAAUCUACGGAAUCUCUACUACAUGAUCAAAUGACAACUGUCUAAAAGCUGGGACAAGUCCCCCAGUAGAACAAAAUAAAAGAAAUAACUUAAUCUAAUAUAACAGGCCUUCUGUAACAAAGAGGGCUCACCACUGCACUUAUCACUUCUCUCUAGAUACUCUACUGAUUAGCCAGACCUCUAGAUUGAGCCUCCGAAACUGAGAGGUGGGCGGGGGUUAACACAGAUGUACUGGUAUGCAGAGAAAACCCAAAAUAAUAAUUUAUAUUCAAGAAAUAGAGGUUGGGAAGGUCGCAAAAUAAUUCAUCAAAUAUUGGGAGCUAAAAAAGAGACUAAGUCCCUUUGAAACUUAAAGAAAUUUGUGAGUUUUACUCUAUAAGCAUGCUACUAGAAGCUAAUACAUGUACGAUUUUCGUGGGGUUCUACAUUAUCACCCUUUUGGGAUCAUUCGUCCCCUAAUGAUGGCGCAAAACACAGAUAAGCAAGAUUUUAAGAACACUAAGGCGAUAAAUGAUUAAGAGAAAGAUUGUACCUUUAUUUCAGCAUUCACCGGAUCAAAUAAUUCUGGGUAUCUAUCUCUCAUGUGAUCUUUAGAUUCCCAAGUUGCUUCUUCAACUUUCUAAUUUUUCCACAAUACUUUAACCGAAGUUAUCUCCUUGCUCCUCAAUUUCCUAACUUGGCAAUCCAAGAUUGCUACAAGUUCUUCUUUAUAAGACAAGGAGUUUAUCACUUUGAUAUCUUCUAAAGGAAACACUAAUGAAUGGUCUCCAAUAGAUUUCUUCAACAUGGAUAUGUGAAAUAUCGAUUGAACAUAACCCAAAUUUGUAGGCAACUCUAACUCGUAUGCCACCCCACCUAUUUUUUUCAAAAUCUGAAAUGGCCCUAUAUAGCGAGGACUCAGCUUACCUUUCUUCCUGAAUUGCAUGACUCUCUUUAUAGGGGAGAAUUUUAGAAACACCCAAUCACCGACCUCAAAUUCCAAAUCCCUCCUUGUAAUAUCGGCAUAGGACUUUUAUCGACUUUGAGUUGUCUUGAGCCGUUCUCUAAUGAUUUUCACAUCCUCUAUUGCCUGAUAAACAAGAUCAGGCCGAAAAAACCGUGUUUCACCCACUUCAUACCACCCUAUUGGUGACCUACAUCUUCUCCCAUACAAUGCUUCAAAAGGAGCCAUCUUAAUACUGGCAUGGUAGCUAUUAUUGUAAGCAAACUCUAUCAAUGGAAAGUGAUCUGCCCAACUACCUUUGAAGUCAAUUACACAAGACCUCAACAUAUCCUCAAGGGUCUGAAUGGUGCCUCAGCUUGUCCAUUUGUUUGAGGGUGAAAUGCAGUACUUAGGUUCACUUGGGUACCUAAACCCCACUGAAAAGUCCUCCAAAACUGUGAAGAGAAUUGCGUACCUCGGUCAGAUAUGAUGGAUACGGGUGCUCCAUGCAAACGAACUAUCUUCUCAAUAUAUAACUUGGCAUAAUCAUCUUCCAAAUAGUUGGUCCUUAUAGGAAGGAAAAGAGCUGACUUGGUUAGUCGAUCAACAAUUACCCAAAUAGAAUCAUUCUAAUUUCGAGACCUCGAAAGUCCCGUAAUGAAGUCUAUAUUGAUCAUAUCCCACUUCCAUAAUGGUAAAGCUAUCUCUUGGGAAGUACCACCUGGCCUUAAAUGUUCAACUUUAACUUGUUGGCAAUUCAAACACUUGGAAACAAAGUCAACCACAUCACAUUUCAUAUUAUUCCACCAAUAUAUAGAUUUUAGAUCAUGCCAAAUCUUAGUAGAGACUGGGUGAAAAACAUACCUCGAAGUGUGUGCUUCAUCAAUGAUUCUUUUCUGCAAGCCAUCUACAUCUGGCACAUAUAAUCUAUCCUAAUAUCUUAGAAUCCCAUCACUACCAAUUUCAAAAGACAUCACCUUCUGUUGCCCCCGCAUUUUUCUUAAUUUGCAUCAAAAUGGGAUCUUCGGCCUGCUUCUCUUUAACUUCUGCACAAAGGAAAGCUUUGGCCAUCUCAUGAACAACCACUCCUUUAUCUUCAGAAUCCAAGAGUCGUACCCCUAGAUUUACAAGUCAGUGAAUAUCCCUCACUAUCUCUCUCUUCCCUUCCUCAACAUGAGAAAGACUACCCAUAGAUAACCUGCUGAGGGCGUCGUCUACCAUAUUCGCCUUGCACGGAUAAUAGUGCAGGCUCAUGUCAUAAUCCUUUAAAAGUUCCAACCAACGCAUCUGCCUGAGAUUUAAUUUUUUCUGCGAUAAAACAUACUGUAAACUCUUGUGGUCAGAAAAUAUAUCAACAUGUACCCUAUAAAGAUAAUGUCGCAAGAUUUUACGCGCAAACACCACAACCGCUAACUCCAAGUCAUGGGUAGGGUAGUUUCGCUCAUGUACCUUUAACUGCCUAGAUGCAUAAGCCAUCACCUUACCAUGCUGCAUAAGUACACACACACGUCCCACUCGAGACAUAUCACAGUAUAUAACAAAACCCUUCGUACCUGUCACAACCCAAACUAUGGCCUGGUCGUGACAGACAUCCCAAACCAUGGAGGCUCGAAACGCCCUUCCCUAUAUGGUAAUCAUGAACAACAUUCAUAUAAAUAAAUAAGAUGUGGAAACAUAAUCUUCUACAGAAACAUGGUCAGUUCUGGAUUCAACAUAAGUAUGAAAAUUGAAAAUUAACUACACCUAACAAUAUCUGACUCAGUCUGCGAAAUCUCUACUACAUGAAAAUCUGUCAAUUUUAUGAAACUGGGACAAGGCCCCCAGUAGACCAAAAUGAAAAUAAUUAACAUAAUCUAAAAAGACAGGACUUCUGGAAUAUAGAAGGCUGACCAAUUAGACACCUGUAACUCUGUCCGUUAAACUCUACUACUUUUCUGGAACCCUAGACUGAGCCUCAGAACCUGGAGGAAGGAGGGGGGGUUAAUACAUACGUACUGGAACGUAAAGAAAUCCAAAAUAAAGCAUUAAUAUAAUUAAAAUAUUUUAGAGAAACUUUGAAAAAACAUCAUACAUCAAGUUGUUUUCAAAACAGAUGGGAUCUUUCUGAAAACAUGAAACCUUUCUGUCAAUGCUAAUUCUAAUCUUUUUAUUACUUUUGAGUUAGGUGGCACUCCCAUACAAGUCUGAUAUUCUAUGGGUUAUAUCGAAUACACCAUUGACUUAUCGGGAAAGCCCCCAACCCAAGUGUGCCGUAAAGGUUGGAGUGUCUGAGUCUGAUACGCCACAGGGCUCUUGGCCAGCAUAAUAUAUAAAAACGGAUCGGCAAAUCACGAUUUUGGCCAAUGAGUUAUCUGAACUCAUGCCCUUUUCGGGGAACCACCUAAGCUCUCUUUAUGCCCAAUUUUAUCAUGUUCUGAAUCAUGCAUUUCUUUCUAGUUUUAAUAUCUAAAAAUUUGAUUUCAAACAUGUGUUCUAUUUUGUUUUGAAUUAUCAUGGAAUAAUCUGAAUUGGUGUCGUCACACCAAGACUUGCAAGUCCUAUUUCUGAGCCAUAAUGCAUCAUGCAUAAUUCUUUCAUUAAAACACAGUUCAAACCACCCAAACAUGCAAACAGUAUAAAAGAUUUCAUAUUCCAAAAAUACAAGUCAAAACUAUGCUGAGAUUAUUCAAACAUAUGGUGGUCACUUGUUGUUUUAGCAAACCAUGCGACUCUUUGUCAUAUGCGUAUUCAACAUUUAUCAACAUGCAUAACCCUUUCCUUUUUAUUUCGAAAUCAUAUUCAAGUUAGAGCAUAAAUCAAGAUAUUUCAUAUCAUGCUUUCUAGUUGCAAUUUAGAACAAUUUAUAUCAUAUGAAAGAUGGGAAAAAAAAAUCAUAACAAGAGAGGAGUUCAUUAUAAUUCAUGCUCCCAAUUGAAAAUUCAUCCUUAAACACAUUCAUACACACACACACACACACACACACACACACACAUAUAUAUAAUUUUUAAUCAAUUUGGGGGAAGGUCUGAAGACCAAAACAAUAUCGUUAAAACUUCUAAAACAUAAUUAUAUUCAUAAAUCCAAAACCCUUUUCUUAAAACAUGAUUUCCAUACCCAUGAGAUUUUAGGAAAACCCCGCGUACCUCGAUUAUGGAGAGUAACGGAUAAUUCUUGAACCCUAUGGUUUGGGUAUUCCAAAUCUUCAAUCAAUUUUGAAAAUCCACGGUUGAAUCUUGAGGGAUCUUGAUUUUUGUUUGGGACUAAGGGGUGUUGUUCUUGAGAUAAAAUUGGAAGAAGAAGUAUAUUUUGGUGUUUUUGGAGUAAAAUUACGUGUUUGUGGCUUAUAUAGGGGUGGAAAAAUGACCAUUUUGCCCCAAAUAUGGAGUGUUUAAGUCACUUGAACCACAAUGUAUGCGGCGCACACCUUAACUCAUAAGCUAGGUUGUGCGGAGCACAUUUUAUCACACACAUUAGGUUGUGCGUCGCACACCUUAUAGCAUAAGUUAGGUUGUAUGUCACAGACCUUAUCCUAGGUGACACACUCCACUUUGUAAAGCCAUAACUUCUUGCUCGGGUGUCGGAUUUUGGUAAAAUUGGUAUUGUUGGGAAAAUAACUCGAAUAAUUUUCAUUUUAUAUAUAGUAGGUACCUUUAAUUCUAUAUAUAUUGGGAGUUAUGGUCGCUGGAAGUUGACUCAAGUUGAAACAUCCUCUAAAACUUAAUCGAUAGAAAUGUUUUCAACUUGUCUUAGAGUUAAGAGAUUUUUGUGAUCUCAAAUCAUAUUCAAAGGUAUUCCUAUGAUUUAGGACUGAUCACCUUACAUAUAUUAAUAAGUAAUUUCUUAGUUCGGAUCUAUACGUGUAGGAACGAUGGUCUAAAUUAUAGUCCGAAAGUAUGGGGUAUUACAUUAUCUCCCCCUUAGGAUCAUUCGUCCCUGAAUGAUGGGUAUGAACAUUAAUGUCUUAAAGGUCUAGGAUAACACGGAUAUGUUGUGUGUUCCAAGAAAGGAUAUGAUUGAUCUGAUACAUUUAAACUUCUAUCAUGAAACUGAAGACUGAGAUGACUUGACUUUACUUGCUUCAAGGAGCUGAUUAAUACUGAGAGUUUAGGAUUUCCUUGGAGUGGUCAUGAUCUAAUCAUACAUAUUGAAUUGAGAAGUGAUAACUUAUGCAAGUAAGAUUCAUGAAGCAACAAGACUUAGAUCGUACCAGGGUAUUAUACUGCCUGAGCUAAAAUAUCUGAAAAAAUUUGAUAUUAUGCGUUGAACAUUUAUGAACUGAGUCAUGACUGAAUAGCUGAAUCUGAAACAUAAUGCUAAGACUAAAUUGAAAUCUCAACUUACAUGGAUGGAAUAGAUUAUCUCUUGGGAUGGUCAUACACAUGAGAGUUCGGAUAGUAGUACUGGGUGAAAAGGUGGGAAAUCACAGUAACUUUCCUGCCUGACUGUUAAACUGAAUUGCUGGUUAUACAGGCGGAAUUAUGCUGGAACCUAUACUUAACGGGAGUAUCUCUUCACCACUCUUUCUAAAGAAGUCAUAUCAGCGUUAGGGAACAAAGAACCUUGGGCUUGAUUUACCCAAGUCACCCAACCAAGGAAUCACAACAAUGACACUACCUUAUAGCAUGGAAUAGAAUUACCAGGCCCUAGGCCAUGCAACUUCUUACUUUCAAGCUUAGCACACUUCUCGAGUAUCCCUUAACUAUACUAUUCUCCAUAAUUACCAUACUCAUUGAUUCAAGUUAUAAUCCUUAUAAAUCUUUUUACUAAUGUCUAAAGUAGCUUAAAUCCUUUCAUCGUGAUCAAGCCUAACUUUAAAUCACAAAAUACAACAUGUCACACCACGAUAUUAUUCUAAACCAUAUGAUUCAACCUUCUAUAUAUUUUUUUCACAUCCUAAGCAUAACGUGCUUUACCACUUCAAUGACCAACCCUGAACUCUUACUAUGGAUUCGCUAGCGCAUAUUGCAUUCCUCAACUUACAUCCCAACAUAUCAUUCAAGCCUAUCCUUAUAGCUACAUAUGAAGUUCAAGGCAACAUUAAUCAAGACGUACUUCAGAUAUUCUCUAAACCACCAUCAAUACAACUCCCACGCGCUACCCCAAGAACAUACACACACAAAAAUUUCCACUAACCAUCAUAUUUAUCAAAGACUUCGCCUCAAAUCUUACUUCACACUUCUGGCCUCCUCCCAAACAAGCAUACAAUGUUAUUUCAUCAACAAGAACCAUUCACUCAUCACCACUAUCAUUACAUAAGGAAUCACCAAAAUGUUAGAAUAUAAAACCUUGAAGCAUAGAAGGAUAUUAUAUGAGACUUAACACUUAGCUGAGGCCUGAGGAAUAAAAAAUCAACAUCAGGGAUUUAUCAAAGUGAAUCUGAAUUGAGGGCAUACAUGGCUAUAAGCUGAUUCUCACCAAUCAUUUGGUAUAAAGCAUGAGUUAUGGAAACUGAGCACAUUAUAAGACAUAAAUACAUGAGUCAUGAGCUACAUGACCUCAAUUUGGAGUUCAUAACAUAUGGAAUGUGAUUCCGACUACUAAAUGAAUUGGAACUCCUCAUUUUAGAACUGGAAGAGCACGUGAUUCUCUAUGACAAACAUGAACAUAAACUAUGAUCACGGAACUGAAAUGUGAGGCAUGAGUAGGUACUGGGAUAACUGAAAAGUACUGAGAUAAGAAUGGGUUUUAGCCUCACCCUCACUAGAAUUGGUAAUUUGUUCUAUCAUCUCGCCCUUAGCUUCAUGCCAUCAUCUUAAGUUUGAGAGAUCUCUUACUAGUCUCUAACUGAACUACACUUACUGCACUCUAGGGUGCACUCUAGGGUCUAGAAAACAAUCAUACAUGCAUAUCAUAGAACUUAACCUGAAUGACUACACCUAAAAGUGGAAAACCCACUGCUACUACUACUUUCUGAGAUACACUCUAUCUUUCUAUAGCCCCAAUAGUCAUCGUAUAAUACUUGAACACUUAAUAAUUUUGGUUCUUCAUGAGUAUCCCCAUAGUCGGAGUGAACACCCUCUAGCGCUUCAACUCUUAUUUAUAUCUGCUCAACCUUUAAAACUCAAACAUAGAUUCUAACUCUUAACUUGGAUAUCACUAAGCCUUUGAUGAACCAUACUAUUUCUGACAUAGCCUACUAAUAUGCAACUCCAAACUUAUAUCUCUCUACAAUGAGAAUCAAGAUCAUAUAAAAAGGCUCAACACUAUCAAUCAAAACUCCUUAACUUGGCUACUUAUAACACCAUAUACCAUCUACUAGUCUUUCUCCACCUAGCAACUCAACGAUACUACUAGCCACACGCAGUAUGUAAUAGUCUUAGAAAAUUUUGCAACCCCAUAUCACCUUGGGCAUACUUCUACAUAAUACAUACAACAUCAGAGUUCAUUAAAAAACAAACAAACUUAAGCUCUUGCAUACACUGUUCAAGCCUAUUAGAUCACUUUCAUAUAACUAGUAUCAUUAAUUAAGAAAUCAUCACAUCCACUUUUAUGGCUAUCAACUGCCCAAACUUAAUGUCUAGAGAUAUACAUGAUUUACAACCCAGCCUUACACACAAUUCUAACUUGGAAACCAUGAAAUAAACAUCAAGAAAUACAAAUACACUGUAACAUCAUAACUACAAUAAUCGAUCAUGACCUUACGGUUUUCCUUAUCAUAACUAAUUAUCAUGCACUAUUUCUACACAUCAAGCCUACUAAUUUAUUCCCACAAAACAUACAUCAUUAAUCUCAUUCCAUUAUUCUUACCACCACAUUCUACAUUAAAUUCAAGCCAAUAGUCUAGCAUCAAUCAUCUACCACUAAUGAAGAAUACAAUAUGAUAUACUAGUCCAUCAAAUUAGGAAAUUCUACCCAAAUACUUCAAAAUCUACCACAUACCUUCUCAUAUGUAGUACUAGUUUACAACUACCAACGAAAAGAAGGUCAAGGGGGUUAAAGUUACAUAAUAGACAUAGUCAUCCUUAAUCUUAUAUUAUAACCCCAUACAAUCUUAUCUACUUAUACAUCUUUCUCACAUCACACUUAAUUACCUAAGCAUAUAUUUAGACUACCUUUAAAUUCCACAAACAACCAUGAGUCUAUAAUUAUAACUUACUGGCUAAUUUAGCCAUUUUCAUACCUCAAGGAAACAACAAUUCACCUUGACUGAUAACUCCUUCUUUACCUUCUACUAAACUAACACACAAGGACAUAUCACUUUAUUACCAUCUCAAUCUCAUGCAAAAAUAUUCGGCUAUACAUAUAUUCAAUAAAUCGUCCUUACCACUUUUCUUUCCAUUUUACCUCUAGACCCUAGUUCCAACCAACACAAGAACAACAGGAUGAAUAACAAGUUGCUAGUGAAUCGAAAUAGGCCUCACAUGACUUCACUAGACUUUGAUUUUUCAAAAACAUCAUAAUAACAAAAUUACAUAUUACAAACAUUCCCCCCACAGACUACCAUACAGUCCAUACAUGCUACUAGCUACUACAUUAGUCUAUCACUAUAAAGUGGUAAAUCAUUCUCAAACAUCGGUUAUUCACCUAAAAUAUUUAUUUACACAAAAGUCACCCUCUCUCUGACUUCUAACUUUGUUACUUCAUAUCACAAGGUUCAUGGUCUAAUCUCACUACAAAUAGGUCAUCACACUGAUACUUUAAGUUAUGCUACUCUCGGGUGAAAAUACAGUUCCAAUAUUCUACUACACCUCAUUAACUCUAAAGUGUGACAUUGGCAAUGUAAGUUCUGAAAAGGACUGAAUACACUUAAUACUGCAGGCUGAAAAACACGAUUUCAUUAAAAUCAAGGUUCACACUAGAACUAACACACACUGAAGUACUAACAUACUCUUCUCAAGUCCUUACAGAAACCUGAUAUUAUUCAAUCUGAAAAGACCAUACAAUUUAGACUCUAAACUUCUAUACUUGAAUCAGCCCAAUAAUAAGAUAUGUCUGAGAACAUCAGAGUAAGGAACAAAUUAGGAUAACUUUAAUUUCGUAUGGGCGACACCAUAGCACGAAUUAGAAUAUAAAAGAGGAAUAUUCUGGACUUAUUGCACGAACUAGAACAUGAAGAAAGAGGGACAUUCCUAACGUCUAGGAGUUUGAGCUCUAUUUUGGGUCCUUAUUCUAUGAGUGGGACGGACCUCAUCAGUCUGGGCAUUAUCGUUAGUGCAAUGAGGAGGCAUGGUAGUUUUCUGUAAUACUACAGAUCAUUGAUUAAAGGAUAAGUUAGACUUUAAAGAAUGAACUAAAUCACAAAGAGGUGAAAUAUUCCUAAAUGACUAGUAGCCUCUUGCUUAUAUGUGUGGCGCACUACAUACCCAUAAACAAGACUCUACUCGAUGCGAUUUCGCAAACACCCUGCGACCAUGAAUCGUGCUUUGAUACCAAGUUUGUUAUGACCCGAACUAGGGCCUGGCCAUGACAGACAUCCCAAACCAUGAAGUGUUGGACAUCUUACUCUAUCUGGUAGUCAUGCACAACAUUCAUAUAAUAAGAGUAGAUGCGGUAAUAUAAUCUGAUACAAGAACAUGGUCAUACUCUAAAUUCAGUUUAACAAUAAUGAAUGAAAUCCAAAAUCGGCUAAACAAUAUCAAGAACAAUCUGUGGAAUCUCUACCACAUGAUCAAAUGACAACUGUCUAAAAACUGGGACAAGGCCCCCAAUAGACCAAAACAAAAGAAAUAACAUAAUCUGAUAUAAUAGGCCUUCUAGAACAAAGAAGGCUCACUACUACACUGAUCACUUCUCUCUGGAUACUCUACUGCUUAACUGGACCCCUAGAUUGAGCCUCCAAACCUGAGAGUUAGUGGGUCAAUACAGAUGUACUAGUAAGAAGAGAAAAUCCAAAAUAAUAAUUUGUAUUCAACAUAUAUGAGAGCAAUUUAAAACAAUUCAUAAUUAUGUCAUAACAUAAAAAUCAUAUGGGUAUCUUUAAAAGAUUCUGUAAAAUCAUCAGAACUCUAUAACACUCUUUGUUUUUACUUCUUCGCUAGGUGGUAUACCCUAUAAUAUCAUAGUUUUCACCGACUACCUUAUCUCGAUUGCCGCUAAGAUAGGAGUACUACUGAGGGAAGAGCACACAAAAUCACACAACAGGGUUCCAUAACCCCAAUCAAGUCAUUAUAUCAUGGUUGGGCUCAAUAUCACGAAGCAGGGCUCCAAACCAUAAGCCUCGGUUUGAAAUUACAAAGUACUAGGUACACAAGAUCACAUAGCAGGGUACCAAGUUCUCAUGUCGGUAAAUCACAAUUUCCAGCAUAGAGUCAUUUGACUAGGGCUUUCUUUGGGUAACUACCUAACUCACAUCAACCCAGUUUUUAACUCUUUAAAAUAUAGAUUCUCUGAAAUCAAACUCUAACUCUGUCAUGGCAUACAUUUAUAUAGUAUUGUAUAACAAUUGACUUGCAAGUCACAUUCUCUGAACCAUUUAGCAAAUUAUAUCUCUAUUCUCAAAACAUGUAAUUUAGGACCACCAUAUCAACAAUUCUUUUCAAGAAACUCAUUCUUUAAAACUCAUGUAAACAUAUGCAAGUAAUCUCUCUUUGUCAACAUUUCAAGAAUUCAAGGUGGUUAUGUCAAAGUUCUCAAUUACAUGCAUUUCAUUCUCUUUACCACAAGAACAUCAUAGUAAUAUCAAGAAACACCUUCUCAUUAUUUAUGAAUCAUGUUUCAAUUACUAUGACAUUGAUAAAACUACUUUCAAAUCACAAGGCAUGCAUUUCAAUUUGUUUUUUGACAAAACCAUAAUCUUUAAUUCAACAUACGAGAGGGGUUUCAUAAUAUGUGCUCUCAAGCAAUCUUCAAUCUCAGUUUUCAUACGUAUACAUAUACUUGUUAAUCAAUUCAAGGGGGAAAGACCUAAACGCCAAAUCAACAAUAUCAUAAAAACAUUUAUAAUGCAUAAUUAAAACAUAGUUUCCAAAAACCCCUUUAAAAUUCAUGUUUGAUAAUCUUUAAAUCACGUUCUAGUGUUUACAAGCCCAUAUAGUUUUUAGGAUAAACCCCACGUACCUCAAAUUUAGAAUUUGAUAGAUGCUUCUUGAAGCCUACGAUUUGGGGAUUCUGAAUCUUCAAUCAAUUUCUAAAACCCAUGGUUAAAUCUUGAGGGAUCUUGAUUCAUAGGUUGAGACCUAAGUGUUUAGUUCUUGAGGGAGUUGGAGAAAAUGACCAUAUUUUGGUCAAUUGGGGGCUUGUAACGACCCGAGACUACCCCCAAGUAGUUACACGGUGAUCAUGACCCCGAAGGACCAUAAGCUAACCUUUUUUAUGAUAUCCGUACCUGGAAACUGCACAAUACCUAGAAAUAAAAGAGGAAACAGUCUGAAAAAAUACAUAAGGUUCAACACAUCUAUAAAUACUCAAACUAAAAACUAGAUACCGAUACAUCUAUCUGAAAAGCCUCUAACUGACUGAACUGUGGAGUUGAUAGGACAUGUCCCCAAUGAACUCCAUCAACUGAAAAGAAACUAAGUCUGAUAUAAUAAUAGUAUACCAAGGAUCAUCCUCGAAUGAAGAGGACUCACUUCUAUGUCUACUGCUGCUGAUCAAAACUAAACUGCUGAAGGAGCUCUGGAUCUCGUGCCUCUGAACCUAGGGAGUAAAAUAAAACAUCAUAGCGCAAAUGCGUCAAUAUGGGAAUGUAUAGAGUAUGUAGAUGAGGUAAGGAUAAAUGCAAGGGCUCGUGCAUCAAAAAUUACUUAACUGAAUAAUCAUGAGAGUACCGAACGAGAAAACAUACAUAAAUGCACAAACCAUAAUCACAAUCAUCACAACUCUAAAUACUGAAACUCGGAUAUCACUUUACUGUCAUCUGAACUCACUACUAUCACUAAGAUACUUAAUCACUAGUCAUCUGAUACUAAUAACUAAUUAUCAGAAUAUACUCAUAUCAAUGACUGGAUUCUGAGUUCACUACUCUCGACUGACUAGAUAGGAGAUCAACCUCUCUAACGGAUGAUUCCAGAAUCUAUUAUCAAUGAUAAGAAAAUGAUCAUGUCCAAAUCUGAAAACAAGAAUACUCAACAGAAUCUGAGAUAGAGAUUAAGCCUAUCUGACGGGAGAUCUCUAGAUAUGAUAAGAAGAAUACUCAACUGAAUCUGAGAUUGAGAUCAAGCCUCUCUGAUGGGAGAUCUCUAGAUAGGAUAACAAGAAUACUCAACUGAAUCUGAGAAUGAGAUCAACCUAUCUGAUGGGAGAUCUCUAGAUAUUAUAACAAGAAUACUUAACUAAAUUUGAUAUUGAAAUCAAGCCUAUCUGACGUGAGAUCUCUAGAUAUGAUAACAAAUAUACUCGACUGAAUCUGAGACUGAGAUCAAGCCUAUCUGAUAGGAGAUCUCUAGAUAUGAUAACAAGUAUUUGUAUAUGAGACCAAGCCUAUCUGACGGGAUGGUCCAUGAAUCAAUGAAACUAUCUGAGUUCUUCACUGAGAUAGAUGACUAUACCAUAAAGUCCUAAUUUUUGGGGAUUUAUACUGAAACAGCAACUGUGGGAAGUUGUUACUUAACCAAUAUGCCCCAACCUCCCAUAGGUAGGGUCCAACCUAUAAUGCCAGCUGGAAGGGUGUCAAUACCGUGCAACGGGUAAAGACCUCUCUAGUCAAGCAUCUCUAACAGGUGACCCUCACAGGAAGUUGGCCUAAGGUAAUAUAAUAGUCAAAUCUCUCUAAUGGUGAUAGCCUCUACUGAUGGGGACUCCUACAUCCAGCACUAGCUACAUAGUUCUGGAGUUCAGGUAUUGCUCCUAACGACUCGGCUUCUCUGAUGGGGAGCCAUCAUCACUUUCCUCACAUGGUGGUAGCCCUUACUCCAAACUGAAAGACGCUGAAUUGAAUUUUCAACUGAACACAAACUGAGCUAAACCUGGUACUGAUCCCAUUUCUCAAAUAACCUGAUUGAAUUAAGCUAAAUUCACAUGGUUCCAUAUCUGACGGAAUACUACUAAAUCACGGUAUUUGACUGACGAUACAGAGUAGAAUAGAUUACUCGAUCACUACUAGGGCAAAAACUAAACACUUGAAUACUACAACAUCUAAGAUGAGUACAACACUAAGGCUAGAUUACUAAAAAUACAGAGAUUACAAAGAUUACAGAGAUUUCUUAUGUUCUAUAUCUGUCUGAGGAUACAGGAUUCUAUAAUUCACUCAGUUCUGAGAAUCAUGGCUCGACUGGGAUUAUCAUGAAAACUGACACAUGCUCUAGACAACAGGUAAAUUAUCGGGUAUAAAUACCCAAGACUCGAUAACAUAGAAGUAAAACAUAACCCUUCUUGACUAGUCAUAACCACGGUUAUUCAUUCAUGAUCACAAUCACUAAAGCAUCUCUAUAAGCAUUUAGGAAUCAUAACCAUAUAUUCUCUAUCACAAUCACUAAGGUAUCACUUCAAGCAUUUAGGAAUCAUAACAUAUAUUCACCAUCACAAUCACUAAGGCAUCACUUCAAGCAUUUAGGGAUCAUAGCAUAUAUUCACCAUCACAAUCACUAAGGCAUCACUCCAAGAAUUUAGGGAUCAUAACAUAUAUUCACCAUCACAAUCACCAAGGUAACUCCAAGCAUUUAGGGAUCAUCACAUAUAUUCACGAUAGCAAUCACUACGACUUUACUUCAAGCAUUUAGGGAUAAUGAAUAGGGGAAGCAUACUAUUAGAUCACACUGCAUUCAACAAGGUAUUAAAUCAAGUAUUUCGCACGUAGGUUAGUCUUGGCAUAUAUUGGAUAAUGCAUGAUUGGAGAAACUUAAUACUAUCAUGCCACAAUUUACUCAUCAAGCACUUGGCAUGUAUUAAAGGCUUAGCAUGUAUCAAAGAGAACGUAAUUGGGGAAUUUUCUACUAUGAUGUCUCAACUUGUUCACUAAGGCCUUUCAACAAACACUAGGCAUGCAUGAGUUGUGCCUAAUUGGGAAUUUCAUGCUAUCAUACAAUAAUUCAUUCACUAAGACAUUUCAACAAACACUAGGCAUGCAUGGGUUUACACCUAAUAAGGGAUUACAUGCUAUCAUGGCACAAUUCAUUCAUUAAGGUAUUUCAUCAAACACUGGUAAUGCAUGGACUCGUACACAAUUGGGUGGGUUUCCUAAUCAACAUGCUCUAAUGGCCCCAAUUUCUUCACAUAAGCAUUUUAUCAAAUAUAUGGGGAGAAUGUUUUGCUCAUUCAACCAAUUCUACACUUAAUUGACAUGAACACAUCAUAUAACAAGAAAAUUGAAGAGGAUUUAUCAUGACCAUCACAUGGGUAUCAAAUACUAAGGUCAAAGCUUGAUAAUCUUGUAAACAAACAUGAAUUACAACUCAAUAAUAGCAGAAAAAUCAAUUUCAACUCACAUGAAUCAUUAACAACUCAUAAACAUAAAAUCUUUGAGAUUUAGAAAAGGGAACUUGAGCUUAUUGGAUGAAAAGGACCCAAGAAUCAACAUCUGCAUACCUUGGAGAAACUUCUUUCUUGAAAUCCUAUGGAGUGAUUCUUGAUUUCUCUUGAUUCUCUUGAUCUUUCUUGAAGAAGGAGUAAGGGUUUUGUUUUUUUGUAAAACUCUACUUUGAUAUUGAAGAUGGGAAAUGAGGCUGAGAGCCUCUUAUUGGGUAUAAAUAGGGGCUAAGAAAGAGUGAGAAAAUACCCAAAAGCCCUUGGAAUUGAAAUUUUAAACUGGAAAAUAAAUCCCAAUUUUUCAUGUUGGUGCGACAUGCCAUAAUCUUGCCUGCCCACUAGAAAUUGGACAAUUGGGAAAUUGCAUGACAGCGCGACGCGGUGGAAAUCGCGUUUCCACCUUGGCUGCAAACUGGAACUACACCGCGACGUGGUGGAAUCGCAAAGGCUUACUGAAAUUUGACAAUUGCCAUUUUGGCUGGCUCCGCGUCGCGCUAAAGUACCAGGUGGCACACUAUCUCACUAAAAUGACUCUAACACUUUAUUCGAGUGUCGAAUUUGGGAGAAUUUGGUAUCGAUGAAAAGAGUAUUCAACGCUCUACAUGACAAAAAGUCAAUAUUAGGGAAAUUCUACACGGUUUAAAAUAUUUCACAUUUGGAAAGACACCUCUCAAUCUUUUGGGAUCGGAUUUCUGCUUUGCCAAACAAUCUCUAAGCCUCAGACUAGGAGAGAACUUUGUGGAGUGUUAUAGGGCUUAAUCACAUGUUUAUAGCUAAAUAAGGGUGGGGGAAAAGACUAAAAUACCCCCAAGGAAACAAAGAAAGUUGUAGCAGUCCCUCAGUUGACAAGCUGAUGUGCUAAAGUAAACUUGGCAUAACUUUUUAUUUUAAUGUUGGAUUUGGAUGAAAUUAGUUUCAUUGGAAAGAAGACUCUUAUAAAUUUCAUUUGAUAUAUAGCAGCUCUCCCAGCACAUUAUAUGCAGAAAGUUAUGAUCAUUUGAAGUUGACCCUAAAAUUGUGGCCUGAAAUUCCCCCAGAAUGCUGGAGUAUUUCAAAGGCAUUUCAAACCAGUGUGUUAUGCCCCUAAAAUGCACCAAGACAUACUAUUUAUUUUCCCCAUCACUUAUCAACAAGAAAAUCAGGAAACGGAGGUCGGGAAUAUCGCAAAAUAAUUCAUCAAAGAUUGGGAGCUAAAAAAUAGACUAAGUCCCUUUGAAAUGUAGAGAAUUUUUUGAGUUUUACUCUAUAAGAAUGCUACUAGAAGCUAAUACAUGUAUUAUUUUUGUGCGGUGCUGCACUUCUCUUAUAUGUUGAUGUAGCAGUAAAGGAUAUGAGAGAGAUAAUAAAAGUUAAAUCCUAGCUCAGUAAGGAGUUUGACAUGAAGGAUCUAGGAGCAGCAAAGAAGAUCCUUGGCAUGGAAAUUAUGUGGGAUAGAUAAAAGUGUAAGUUAUACUUCAGUCAAAAAAGGUAUAUUCAGAAAGUGCUUCACAGGUUCAAUAUGCAAAAUGCCAAACCUGUAAGUACUCCAUUGGUAGCUCACUUCAAACUCUUGGCCACUUUAUCUCAUAAAACAGAUGAUGAGCGUGGCUAUAUAUCUUGAGUUCCAUACUCUAGUACUAUCGAGUCUAUUUUGUAUAUGAUAGUGUGUUCCUGACUAGAUUUAUCUUAUAUUGUCAGUGCAGUUAGGAGAUACAUGGAAAAUCCUAGAAAAGAGCAUUGGAAAACAGUUUAGUGGAUUUUCAGAUACUUGCAUAGAUCUGCUGAUGUUUGUUUUCAGUUUGGGCAAAAUAGAGAUGGAGUAAUUGGAUAUGUUGAUUCUGAUUUUGAGGAGAUCAUGAUAAAAGGAGAUCCCUUACAGACUAUGUUUUCUCCAUUAGUGGUGGUGCUAUUAGUUGGAAAGCUACAUUACAGUCUAUGGUUUCUUUGUCAACUACUGAGGCAGAGUAAAUGACUAUUACCGAGACUUUCAAGGAAGCUAUUUGGUUGAAGGGUCUGUUUAGUGAACUUAGCAAAGACUUAUAGAUUAUUACAGUCUUUUACAACAGUCAGAGUGCUAUCUUCCUUACGAAAGAUCAGAUAUUUCACGAGAGGACAAAGCACAUCGAUGUUCGAUAUUAUUUUGUGCAUGAAAUUAUUGCUCAUGGUGAUAUUGUGGUAAGCAAGGGUAGUAACCAUGAUAAUCCUGCUGAUAUGAUGACUAAGAUAAUACUAAGUUCCAAGUUUGAGCAUUGCUUGGACUUGGUUGGUGUUAGCUGUUGAGAUGUGACCUUAGUGGCUUUUGUGGAAGAGGUGGAGAGUUUGUCCUGGAAUGGAUUUGAGUUCUGAAUUAGAAUUCGUGUCAAGGUGGAGAUUGUAAGAGUUGUGACCCAAAUUAUGUUGAGCCAGCCCUGAAAGUCCCGUGGUAUUGACCUUUAUGUUUUUUAGCCUAGGACUUAUUUGAAUGCACGUAUUAUAUACGUGCAAUUAGUGGGUCUAUUUUGAUUAUUCAUAAAAUUCAGUCUUCUCCAUAUUGUACUCUUUCUCCAUUAUAGUGAAAUCUCCUUUGCCUCUGCCAGUAGUUUUUUCUGUAAGGGUUUCUAUGUAAAUCUUGUGUGUUGUUCUUAAUUUUUUCUUUGCACUUGUGGUUUGCUUAUUCUGUCUGAAUCAUAACAAACUAAUUAUUGGUGUUUGUCCUAACUUUCUAACCAUAAUUGGGUUUUCCUUUAGGUACCAUAAUUGGGUUUUCCUUUUAGGAAAAGGAAAAUAUAUUCUCCAUAUUUGGCUAAUCCUUAUUCUUGUAGGAAAAGGUCAUAGACUUUAUAAAUAGACGCUCCUUUCUUCUAGUUUUGUAGCAUCCACAAUGUAGUCCUAGGGGUUUGAGAGUUUCAUUUUGGGGGAGACUUUGUGAGACACAAGUGUUGCAGGAUCACUUGUGUGAACCUCUUUUCUAUUUUGAGUGAAUUUUUUGAGGUUGUCUCUCUUGACAGUUUCUUCUUUCUUUUUAUAGUGAAUUUCUCAUCUCCUUUUGUGGAUGUAGAUUGAUUGACCAAACCACGUUAAGUUCUUGUUUCUCUUUUGGUGUAUUUCUCGUUUAUCUUCUUAUGUGGCAUUUUUUGAGGUUUACUUUGCUAGCUUUCGCGUGACGCCUAAUUAUUUCGAUCCUAACAAGUGGUAUCAGAGCGAGAUUGAAAUCAGGGGUUCAUCUUAGCAGAUUUAGUUCUAGUCGCAACCUAUUUGACUAUAAUGAAGAUUUUAGUUUGAGAAAUUUUAUCAGAGUGUUACUCUGUGUAGAGACAAGAUUUAAUGAAGGAGAUUUUGGAGAUAGAGAUUGAACUUGUUGAAUACUACAUGAAGAAGGUGGAGCAAAUUUAUUUUAUUAGAAAUUCAAGCCAAGGGAGAGAAUUGAUGGUGUUUGUCUUGACUUUCUAACCAUAAUUGGGUUUUCCUUUAGGUAACAUAAUUGGAUUUUCCCUUUAGGAAAAGGAAAAUAUAUUCUUCAUGUUUGGCUAAUCUUUAUUCUUGUAGGAAAAGGUUAUAGACUCUAUAAAUAGAGGCUCCCUUUUUUCUAGUAUUGUAGCAUCCACAAUGUAGUCCUAGGGGUUUGAGGGUUUCGUUUGGGGGAGACUUUGUGAGACACAAGUGUUGCGGGAUCACUUGUGUGAACCUCUUUUCUAUUCUGAGUGAAUUUUGUGAGGUUGUCUCUCUUGACAGUUUGAGCUCUCUUUUAUAUAGUGGAUUGCUCAUCUCCUUUUAUGGAUGUAGGUCGAUUAACUGAACUACAUUAAAUUCUUGUGUCUCUUUUGGUGUAUUUCUCAUUUAUCUUCUUAUGUGGCGUCUUUCGAGGAUUGCUUUGCUAACUUCCGCAUGACACCUAAUUAUUUUGAUCCUAAUAAUUUUUAAAUCGUGGAAUGAUAUAAUUUCCAACAUUACAUUCACAAAAGUUCAUUGUGAUCAAUCCAAAGCUCUAGGAUGUAAAAACUCUUGUUACUGAGAUGCACUAGCAAGUUCGAAUAUACAUAUGUGGACAAUCUUAUUAGAAUUAUUAGAGGAAAACAACCAUUUCCUCUGAUAGGAUUCGAAAGAACACAUUGGUUAGGUUCAAAUAAUGGCUUGGCACUAUUGAAGAAACCUAAGGCUUAUAAGAAAUUUGUUUGGUUGAAUGCAUCAUCUAGACAACAACACAUUCCCAUACAUGAAACCUCAUGAAUACACAUUUCAACAUGCUUGUGGGUUAUGUUAUGAUUCUUCCGACGAUGAUAACAAAAUUGUGUAUUGAUCUAUAACUUGUUUUAUGUUGUGUACUCUAUGAGUAGGGGUUCUUGGUCAAAUAAGAAACUAGAACCUGCCCCCUGGUAUCACAACAACGUCUCCUUGGCUGCGAACUACUGCCUAAAUCAAGUUCACGUGAGUGCAGGGAAUUAGCUUUGAAGGUUAUGCAUAUUGGUCUCUGAAUGAAAAACUUGAUCAUUUUGUAUGUAAAAAUUCUACAAACAUAUACUUGAUGUGAAGUCGGACGAAUUGAAGUAAUUUCCGACACUAAUUUUGAUUGUUACAGAUGCACACUUGUUUCAUUUGUCUACUCUGAUAGGUAGCAUUAGUGCAUAUGGAAGUGACAGUCAUUUUAAAAAAUUGGACAUAUGGAUCAUGAAACAAAUUAAUUGGAAAUGGUUAAUGAAAAUUUAAUUGCAAGCGUUUUCUCAAAAAUUAUAAGCAUUUGUGCCCCAAGGAAGAUGGUGAAACUAUCUUUAAUAGAGUAGGGUACAACAAAAUUGAGUUCGUUGCAUUUUGCGCCUUAAUGUGUGCUUUCUUUUUUAACUUAAACCCUAUCCUAUUUUUUUUUAAUAAUUUACAACCUAAUCUCUUUAUUUCCUUACAAAACAGUAAAACCACUCUUAUGACAAUUUUUUCAUGAGGACAAAAUAGGAAUAACAAUAAUAAUAAUUUUAUAUUUAGAAAAAGAUCUCCAAAUAAAAAACAAGUAGCUACCACAAUUAAACAAAUCUUAUUGACAGAUACAGAUGAUUUAAGUACCAAAAAAUCCACAAUCAAAUAUAAGAAUGGUAACUUCAAAACCAUAUGCAUUUGCUUUUAGAAAUUUGUUGUGUACAAGUGCAAAUGCACGUGAAACUUACUCUUGAAGUCACUUGGAAGUACAAUAUAUAUAAUACAUUUCUAUGACUAAAGAGCUCCAACUUAAACAUCCGAAACUUCUUGCAAGAUUUAAUAACAAUUCAGCACGAGCAGAAGAAUCUCAUAUUAUUUCAGUAGUUUAGCAGCAAUAUGUUCUGUAAUAGCCAUGCUGAAAGUUAGGACUGGUGAUUCAAUCCAAAACUGGUUAACUAAACUAGAUAUACCAUGAGUUUCCUCUCCCUGCAAAACACGCAUUUGAGGGACUGUCAGAUUUAGCAGACAGAACUACAACUGAGAUAUAACUGAAAACUAAUUCCGACAAUUCUUGUCAAAGUUUGGAGAAAGAUCCGAUGAGAGUACUUUCUAUAACUUGGUCACAGGGAAACACCUGAACCGUUAAUCUUGUAGCGAUUACUGAUCAGUUAAUCACAUGUGAUCAGGGUAGUACAAAACAGCGAUGAAAUAUAUCUACUACGGAACUUAAGGGACCAUUCAGGUUGAAACUUAGAAUAAGUUCGAUGUGUUACCUGAACAACAAAAUCAGUAGGACCCUCUUCUGGACCAAAAAGCUUGGGUCUGAUUCCUGCAUAACCUGGCUCCAAAGAUCCAUCCUUCAGACCACGGUUUAUUUAUUUAUUUAUUUAUUUUAAAAAGUACUUUAACUAGUCAAAUAGUUUUAAAACUAUUCUCUAGGUAGAAUUGAUUUGCACGAUCUUCAUGCACAGAGUAAUCGAACCUAAAAUAUCAUAAGCAUAUCAUACCAGAGACUAGAAUUCUUCUACUCCUAUAUUAGUCUCGUAAUGCAAGAAAAGUAACUAUUUCCAGCUUUAAGAAAAUCUUUGGACUAUCCUCCGAUUCCAUUUUCCAUUUUAAGUGGUAAGAAUGUAAUGGGUUGAAAUACUCAAAAGGAGAAGAUGCUUUCAAACCUUUCAAUAUGCAAAAACUUACAUUAUCUAAACAUUCAUCACCUACAAUAUCUUGAAACAGAAAGGAAUGCACAAACUUUUGAGCUUCAAUUGGUGCAAACAAAGAUGAAAUGUCAAUUCAAUAGCUUGAUGUGCAUCAUCAGAGAUAAUAACAAGGACAUAACAGACAAAUUCAAAAUUUCUAGUGUCUCCAGUAACGUUUUGAUACUAACAUAAAUGUAAGCUAUCUAUCCUAUACAAAAGAAUUUGAAUUGUUUGAUGUUUCGACAUAUAUAAGAAUCUUUUUUUCUAGUUUAUUACUCUUGUUAUAUUGAGGAAAACUGAUAUGUUUCUUCAUAUGAAAGAAAAAGAGGAGAGCAAAUAGGUAAAAGUUGUUACACAAAAACAAAAAUAAAAAAUGUAGAGAGCAGGGCAAGAAACAUGUCAUCCCAAAUUUUUACCUUUCAAUGUCUUCUUCUUCAGUCCAUCUUGCAAUUUCUUUUUAUUUUCAUCCAUUGAUAUUUACUGUUUUGUAAUUUAUCUUCAAAAUAUGAAGAGAUAAUACAUAAAUAUGACCCUAAACUUGAUAUCAAAUUAUAACUUUGACCUUAAACUUUGAUAGUGCACAAAUAGGACCUUUAACUAUUCAAAACCUGAACAAAUAUGACCUUCGAUUUUGCAACCCCAUGCGUGAGUUUCACUCGCGCCUAUGUGGAAAGAUAAUCCAAUCACACGAUGCCACAUCGUUGAAAGGGUUGACUUGGAGAGAGGUCAUAUUUGUGGGGUUUUGAAUAAUUAAAGGUCAUAUUUUUGCAUUGUCAAAGUUUUGUUGUUUGUGUUAAAACGGCGUCGUUUUUAUUAUUAUUAUUAUUAUUAUUAUAUUAUUAUUAUUAUUAUUAUUAUUAUUAUUAUUAUUAUUUAGGGAUCGAACCCGCGUAGUAGGCUGAAAAAAGCGCCCAAGAAGAGCAAAUAACACUACUGGGCUAUCUAAGUGCCUUGUUUCAUGUGGUUCAACAUUAAUAUACAUACAUAAAUAUAGAUUUUCUACCUUAUAUAUACAACAUAAUUUUUUUUACCGAGGGCGUUCGGGUGAACCCCAUGGCAACCACGUAGGUCCACCCCUGCGUUAAUUUAAUAACAUUUUAAUAACAUUAAUUUAAUAACAUUUUAAUAACGUUAAUAUUACAUACUACAACUACUAUCCUUAAUACCAUUAAUUUAUUAACGUUUUAUGAAAACUAUAAUUUUUUUAUUAUUAGUAUAGUUUCAUCUUUAAUUUAAUAUUUAAAUAAAAUAUAUUUAGAUAUAUUAUAUAACUUAAAUUCACGCUCUAUAUUAUAAUAUAUAUACAUACCCGCACAGUCUUUUCAUAUGAGGUUGAACCACCUAAUUAAUAAAUCUUUAAUAUUGCUCUUUUUCCGCAAUGACAAAAGAAAUUAGAUGCCAUUUUAAUCUUUGAGCCGAAAAUACUGAAAAAAUAAUAGUGAAAAGUCAUUUAAAGGUCAUAUUUGUGCAGUUUUGAAUAGUUAAAGGUCAUAUUUGUGCACUGACAAAGCUUAAGGUCAAAUUUAUGUAUUAUGCCCUUAGAUUUGAAGACGGACGCGUCCAGUUUUGCGUGUUGAACACGCGUUUUGCCGCGUAGGAUCGGAGGUCAUAUUUGUGCAGUCGAAUAGUUAAAUGUCAUAUUUGUUCACUGUCAAAGUUUAAGGUCAAAGUUAUAAUUUGAUGUCAAGUUUAGAGUCAUAUUUAUGUAUUAUCUCAAAUAUGAAUUACCACUUUGUUUACAGUUGGAGAGUUUAACGUAGUUACUGAUGAAAAAGUGAAUGACAGGAAGGAUUUAUUUCAUCUAACCUCCUACAAUAAAAAUGAAAUAAAUCUAUUUUUUUUAACAAAUAUUGUUAUUCCUAGUUUGCCCUCAUGAAAAAUGAUUAAAAAAGUGAUUUUACUGGUUUGUAAGGAAAUAAAGAGAUUGGAGCGUAAAUUAUAAAAAAAAUAGGAUAGAAUGUAAGUUAAAAAAACAAAAACACACAUUAGGGUGCAAAAUGCAACAGACUCCAACAAUAUUUAUAUACAUUAUCCUAAAUACCAACAAUUAGUUGAGGCAAUUUAUACUUCAAAUCUUAAAUACUAUGUGUAUUCUCUAGGAGAUACACGUUUGGAUAGCUUAUAUUUUCCUAGACUUAAGGUCAUACGCAAGAACAAGCAACACAGUACUCCAUCGAAACAAAGUUCAUAUAUUUGAGAAGACACGUGUGAUAUCUACCAAGAAAUGACAAAUUUUUCAAAUUCCAUCUUAUGCAUUGACGUUUGAUCCUUGGAAAUGACGACUGUUAUUACUGUUGGUGUCACAGAAGAUGGAGUUGGGUGGUUGAAGUAUGGUAGGGAUGUGUUGGUGCUGUAGGUAUAACUUUUUUCAAGCAUUUCUGCCGCGGCCGGAACAAUGGCGACUGUAAGGGUGGAUCACGACAUAGCUAAUGCGGAGCAUGGUGAAGUGAUCAAUGGGGCUAGAAUCAGAGGGAAUUAAUUAUUGUUAUUGCAUUUCUUGAACACUAAUUUCUUUUUGCGGUUUUUAUGGAAAAAUGUAUUAAUCAUAUUCUGGAUGAAUUUAAGCGUGAGAAUAUUAAGUUGCAUCUUGAUAUUUACAGAGGACUUUCUUUAUUUUAGGUUAUUCUACUCUUUUUGGGGGCUCUAUGCAUUCAGUAUUUUUUUCCCCCUUCUUUUCUGUCUGUUUAUUUAGAGUUUUAUCAAAAUUUUGGAUGCUUUUUAUUUAUUUCAAAUGUUUAAUUCACAAUCCAUAUAACAUUUUUUUGUAAAAGCCAUCCCUUUUAACCUAUAGGGUCAUAACUCUUGUGUAGAUUAGUCUUGCUCGCUUUUGUCAUCAAUAAAGACUUCAAGAAAAUGCAAGGCUCUCCCGAGGCCAAAAUGACAGCAAAGAUAUAACACGUCAGAUAUUCAGUAAAAAUAUUGUUGGACUCUUGGUUCUAAAGAUUUUCACACUUCAUUGACUGUAGACCAUAGCUUUGUCGGAAAUCAAGAGUCUACAAUGAUGAUUAAAAAAACUCACAUAGUACAGACACCUUGAUGUUACCGAGACAAAACUGAAUAAACUACAUCCUGGACAUCUUGCCUCACUUGUUCUCUAUCAUCUCGCGAAUUUCACCAAUAUAAUGAUGCAAUUCAGUUGCUUAAACCUAUACUGAUGGUCAGGAAUUCACUUUUGUCCACACUCGUAACGCAAGUGAUUGUCCCUUCAGUACUCAACGAUCUCUUGACUCACCAUUUGUAGAUUAGCACUCCAAGACGCUAGUCCUAGCCUUAGUUGUAUAUGGUAUUUGUUUUGGAACAUACAUGACUACCUGUUCCACUGAUGUGUAAUACUUAUAGGAGUAGGCAUUCAACUAGUUAGGAGCAUAUUGUUGAGUCAGCUGUAUAAGUUAUUAGAGGUUGUUAGACAAUGAUUAGUGAGUGACAAUGAGCUGUCAAAUAGAGUGUUCUAGAAGAAAGUUAGUUAUUAGAUAUUUUGUUGCCGAUAUAAGGCACAACAAUCUGAUUGUAACAAACAAGUUUUGAAGCAGUUAUAAUUUUGAUUCUUCUCCUCUUCUUAGCUCCAUCAAUGGAGUCUGAGCAAAGUAUUUUCAGAUGGUAUCAGAGCCACGAGCUCCACAAUAAGUGGUCAUUUUCGAUCGCAUUUCACUAAGUUUUCUGCAUUUUUUGAAUCUCGGGCUUCAACUCCUUUUAUGCAAUUUCGAUCUAUAUUACAGCUGCAUUCUAUCAAUCAUGGUGCCUAAAAUCGAUCAAACUGAUCCACUUUUCAUUGGUGCAUCUAAGAGCUCCAGUGCUGUACUUGUUUCAAUCAAGUUAACUAGUUCAGAAAAUUAUAGUUUAUGGAGUCGAUCGAUGCAUAUUGCUCUCUUAGGGAAGAGGAAGUUUGGAUUUGUCACUGGUGCCUGCAGCAAAGAAUUAAAUAGAGAGGAACUGUAAUACCCCGCAUGUUUGUAAGCUAGGAAGUGAAUAAGUAUUCCUAUGUAUGAAAUCUCCUAUCCUGUGAUUCAGACUUGAGUACAUGACUUACAAUGAAUAUCCUAGAGACAGGAUAUCUUAUGAUGCAUUAAGCAUGUUCAUAUGAGUCACUUAAGGUAAUACAAGCUAAGAGUUUUUGAAUCCAUCAAGUUUUAGUGUUCGAUAUUGCAAGGGUCAUCUUUGAACGAGUAUAACUCGAUGCUAAUGUAGUAAUUUAUCUGAUUUAGACCCACCAAAUUUUAGAUAAUUGAAUUAUCUUUCCAAUGAUACAAAUUUCGUCUUAAUCCAAUACCCGAGCGAAAGGUUAUGCCCAUUUUCGUGAGAGACAGUAAGCAUAGGCGAUUGGUUAGGUGCCGCCCAACCCAAGCAUAGGUGAUCACUUGGGCGGCGCCUAAGUCAAUCCCAGGUGUCAAAAACACUCUAUUUUGAGUUAUUUUAAAGGUAAUUAAGUCUUUAAAUACUCCUUACGCAUCCCUAAACUUAACCCUAUGAAAUAUAUAGCAUCUAAACAUAUUACAAUCCUAUUUUCAUCUCAAAGCUCUUCAUCCAAGAGCACUAAAGGAGAAAAACAACUAGGAUUGCAUAAUUAAGCUUGAAGAUCCGAUUUCAAGGAAAUACCUCCAUUAAUCAUCAAGAAUCUUCCUUCUAAGGUAUGCGUAGUGUUCAUCCACGGAUUCCUUUCGUCCGUGGAGUUCAAGAAUCAAUCUUCAAAAUGCAAAAGCUUGGUUGAUUGUGGUGAUAUGAUCAUACCCAUGUUGAUGCUUGUUUGUUUUGCUAUAUAAUUGAAUGCGUGAGUUGAUUUAUGGAUCCCUUUCAUCCAUAAAGCUCAAAAACCCUCUUUUUCAUUAUAAAGUAUGAUUUCUAUAUUNNNNNNNNNNNNNNNNNNNNNNNNNNNNNNNNNNNNNNNNNNNNNNNNNNNNNNNNNNNNNNNNNNNNNNNNNNNNNNNNNNNNNNNNNNNNNNNNNNNNNNAACCGUGCAAUAUAGCUAAAUUGUAACUAAGUGAAGGAUUCAUGAUAUGCCCUUAUGUUCCAAUGACUUCUAUGUUGUUAAUGUGCCUUGUAAAUGUUGUUGGAAUACUUAUGAACUAUACAUAUGAGGUUAUGCUUUGUUUACUUGCAAAUCCUACUUAUGAAAAAGAUGUAUGCUAACCAUUCAAUCCACAUGAACUUCCAUGCUAUUGGUAUGUGUUGCCAAUAUGAUUACGUAAUGAACAUGAUAUUAAGAUUGUGCAAGCACUUCCAUGUGAUAUGAAAUCCUUUCCAUGCAAUACGUUGUUGAUAACCAUGCUUAGUAUGAGAUCCCUACUUAUGAUAUUAUAAAUUAUGGACUCUACUCUUAUGAUCAAGUCAGUCAUAUGUGUCAGUUUCCUUCCAUCGAGUCCUGGGGGUAAUUGUACCCCAAAACUAUAGCUGUGUGCCUAGAUCUAUGACAUGCUUCACGAUAUCCAAACUCAAGGUAUGAUUCCAUAGACUUCAGUCAGUCAUGUGACUCAGGAAAACUUCAUGAUCUUAGUCAGUUGUCAGAUAUAAGUAACUUUCUGCCAGUCAAUGGAAUUCUAUAAGAUUAAGUCAUAAACAGUCAAUUAUUCAUGUCAGUCCCUCCAGAUAGGAGUAGAGGUUACCACCGAGUGAACCCAAGGAUGGAAACUCACCCGCCAGUUCAGGGUGUGAUUCUUAGCAGCAAUCCUUGUGUUCCAGAACUACACAGCCAGCGUAGGUUUAGACAUCUUAACUCAUCAGAUUAGGGUUGAUGAGGUGGAUUAACCCUUCAGUUUAGGGUUCCCACCAUUCUUAUUGAGUACCCGCUAGAUAAGGGGCACUCACAGGCUAUCCUUACCCGUGGCACGGUAUUAACACCCCUCCAGUUGGGGCAGAGAUUGGACACCAGAUUAGCCAUAACGGCAUACAUGGGGCAUGUCGGUUAAACACUACUUCCCACAGUUUCAGUAUCAGUCUCAAUAAAAGAAGUCAGGGUGUUCUUCAGAUUUUAGUAUAUAUAGGACUGUCAAAUACAGUCGUCCAUGUUAUCAAUUUUAGUAUCAGUCAUGACAGUUAUCAGUAAACCAUGUAUUAGCUUACAGGUCAUGCUAUCACGUGUUCACGGUCCCAAUUUCUAUAUAUGUGUGUUUACACUCCCACGUUCAUAUUAGUCAGCCAGUGUUGUUCCUCCAUGAAACCCUUUAUGUUCAGCCUACUUUCCUCGUAUACUCAGUACUCCAGUUGUACUAACGCAUUUGUGCUAUGGUGCUUUCUUUUCAUGUAACACCAUAGGUUUUGAGACAUGAGCUCCAGCUCAGUAGUAACGGUAGCAUUCCUGUCGUAGAGACACAGUGAGCCCUCAUUGAUUCGAGGACAAUAUGAUUUGAUCCAUUUAUUUUUUCUUCAGUUCAGUUUUAUGGAGUUAGUUGGAGAUAUGUUCCUUCAACUCCUUAUUCAGACAGUUUAGAGGCUUUCAGAUUUAUGUUCAGAUUUACGUUCAAAUUGAGUUAUUUUAGGUAUUUUCACCCAUAUGAUUGUAUCCAGCUGAACCUUAUGGCCUUACAGUUCUAUGUAUUCCACAUUAUCAUAUUAUGAUUUGUAGUAUACAGGUACAUAUAUCAGUCAUGGGUUAGCUUGUGGUCCCUCGGGGUGUUACCGUUCUGUGUAGCAUUUCGGUUCANNNNNNNNNNNNAUCAGAGUCUAAGGUUCAACAGUGUUCUAGGAAGUCUGUAAGCCGCAUCUAGUAGAGUUUUGUACAUGGGUGUGUUGCGCGCCACAUUUAUGUGCGGGAGGCUAUAAGAUGUUUUAGGAACAGUCCCCUUUCUUUAUUAUUCAUGUCAUACUAGUGAGCAUAAUCACAAGUUAAACUCUCAGUCUAAUCCAUUCUUCUCUUAUUCCAGACCAUGGCCCCAAGGAGAAGAAACCAACUAACUCCUCAGCCCGAAGAUCCUUUGGGUAAACAUGUUUCCCAUGUAGAGUUUAGAGUCACAUUUACCACACUUGCUCAAUCCAUUGCUACACAGAAUGAAUAGCCAUCAAUUAGAGUCACAUUUACCACACUUGCUCAAUCCAUUGCUACACAGAAUGAAUAGCCAUCAAUUAUUCUAGCCAAUCCAGUGACCACUCCUAAAGCAGCUAGGGUUUGGGACUUCACCUGGAUGAACCCUCCAUCUUUCCAGGGUCUAAGUCUUAUGAGGACCCUCAGGAGUUCAUUGACCAAGUCCAGAAGGUCAUUGAUAUCAUGGGUGUUACUUCUAUUGAGAGUGCUGAGUUAGCCGCCUACCAGUUACAGCAUGUUGCUCAUGAUUGGUACAAAAUAUGAAAGUCUAAGAGGCUAGAUGAUAUAGGCCCUAUGGAGUGGGAGGAAUUUGUCACAGUCUUCUUAAAUAGAUUAUUUCCCCAAGAGCUGAGGGAAGCCAAAGUUCUUGAGUUUAUCAACCUCAGGCAGGGGAAUAUGAUGGUUAGGGAGUAUUCUCUAAGAUUUACUCGGCUAGCCAGGUAUGCUCCUCAUGUGGUUGCAGAAAAUAGAGCUAAGAUGAGCAAGUUUGUGUUAGGGGUCAAUGAUAGCAUGGUAAAUGAGUGUAGAUCUAUGAUGCUGAUCGGUGAUAUGAACUUAGCAAGACUCAUGACCCAUGCACAGCAAGUAGAAGAGCAUAAGUUUAAUACUAGGGAGAGGCAAAACAAGAAAGCAAGGUCAGGUAAUUUCAAAUUUGCUCACUCCAAGUCAGAUGGAGGAAACCGUUCACAGUUUCACUCCAACUUAGCCAUUCCAGCUCCUUCCUCUGCUAUCGCUCUAGUGCCGAAGUUCAAAGACAGCAAUAGAACCAAAGCUCCAGCUCUAAAUCUCAGGGCAGUGUUAGCAGUGCCUGAAUGAAUCCCCUUUUUUAGACUUGUGGUAAAACCAUAAGGGAUUUGCAGAGCCGGGAGUGAUGUCUGGUUUGGUAGUGGCAAGCCAGGCCACAGGAUUAGGGAGUGUCUGCAGUCAAGUCUUCAGGGUCAGCAAAAUCAUUCUACAGCUCAGUCCAUUCACUCGAACCAGCAAGGUGCCAUUUCUAGUACUACCAGUGGGCAACGCCCAAACAGAAUCUAUGCUCUUCAGUCCCAGCAGGAUCAGGAAAAUUCUCCUGAUGUCGUUACUGAUACGUUACAGAUUUUCAAUAUUCAUGUUUAUGCUUUGCUAGACCCAGGUGCAUCUUUGUCUUUUGUUACUUCAUACAUAGCAGCGAUUUCAAAAUCAGUCUUGAAGUCCUAGAAGAUCCCUUCUCAGUCUCUACUCCAGUGGGUGAAACCAUCAUAGCCCGGCGGGUAUACAGGAACUGCCCAGUUAUCAUAUCUCAGAAAUCCAUGUCAGCAGAUUUAGUGGAGUUAGAGAUGACUGAUUUUGAUGUCAUUCUCGGCAUGGAUUGACUUCGUUCCUUCUAUGCUAUAACCACAAUCGACUAAAAAAACAGGAUAGUUCAGGUUUAGUUCCCGAAUGAGCCCAUCCUAAAGUGGAAGGGUAACAUUUCAGUGCUCAGGGGUCAACUUGUUUCCUAACUUCAGGCAAGGAAAAUGAUUUCUAAGGGGUGUGUGUAUCAUCUCGUGCAUGUUAAAGAUUCCAGUUCUGAAUAUCCCAGCCUUAACAGAGUCCCUGUUGUUAAUAAAUACUCAGAUAUCUUUCCCGAAGAUCUUCCAGGCAUUCCUCCCGAAAGGGAAAUAGACUUUGGCAUAGACCUUCUUCCUGAUACUCAACCUAUUUCUAUUCCGCCAUACAGAAUAGCACCAGAAGAACUCAAGGAACUAAAAGAUCAGUUGAAGGAUCUCUUAGAUUAGGGAUUCAUCAGACCCAACAUUUCCCCAUGAGGUGUGCUAGUAUUAUUCGUGCACAAGAAAGAUGGUUCUCUCAGGAUGUGCAUUGAUUACCGUCAACUCAACAAGGUCACGGUCAAGAACAGAUAUCCUAUUCCUAGGAUUGAUGAUCUAUUCGACCAACUUCAGGGUGCUAGUUACUUCUCUAAGAUAGACCUCAGAUCAAGCUAUCAUCAGCUUAGAUUUAGAGAAUGUGACAUUUCGAAGAUAGCUUUUCGUAUUCGGUAUGGUCACUUCAAAUUUUUAGUCAUGUCAUUGGUCUUACCAAUGCCCCUGUAGCUUUUAUGGAUUUGAUGAACCGUGUGUUCAAGCAGUACUUGGACAUGUUUGUCAUAGUCUUUAUAGAUGAUACUCUAGUCUAUUCUCGCACAGAGCGUGAUAAUGCUGACCAUCUCAGGAUUUUUCUUCAAACUUUCAGGGAUCAUCAAUUAUUCGCUAAGUUCAGCAAGUAUGAAUUUUGGCUAAGAUCAGUAACAUUCCUUGGUCAUAUUAUUUCCGGUGAUGGCAUUAGAGUAGAUCCUCAGAAAAUCGAGGAAGUAAAAAACUAGCCCAGCCUGUAUCUCCAUCAGAUAUUAGGAGUUUCUUGGCUUUGGCAUGCUAUUAUAGACGGUUUGUCGAGGUAUUUUCUUCCAUUGGAUCUCUCGUUUCCAUAUUGAAUCAGAAGAAUAUUAAGUUUCAGUGGUCAGAUUCAUGCGAGAAAAGGUUUCAACAGUUGACGACUCGACUCACCUCCACUCCAGUUCUAGCUAUUCCAGAUGGUUCAGAUGGUUUUGUAAUCUAUUAUGAUGCAUCCAAAGUGGGUUUAGGUUGUGUACUUAUGCAGCAUGGUAAGGUCGUAGCCUACGCCUCCAGAAAGUUAAAUCCACAUGAGAAGAAUUAUACUACUCAUGAUCUUGAGUUAGCAGCGGUAGUUUUUGCGUUGAAGAUUUAGAGGCAUUAUCUCUAUGGAGUUCAUGUAGAUGUCUUCACAGACCAUAAAAGCCUCCAGUAUACAUUUUCCCAGAAAGAUCUUAAUCUUUGCUAGAGAAGGUGGUUAGAGAUCAUGAAGGAUUACGACAUGAGUGUUCUUUAUCAUCUGGGUAAGGCCAAUGUUGUUGCCGACGCUCUCAGUCGACUCUCCGUGGGUAGUAUUUCUCAUGUUGAGGAUAGUAAGAAAAAGAUGGCUCAGUACAUCUAUCAGCUUGCCAGAAUAGGCGUUCGCUUAGUCGAUUCUUCAGAGGGUGGUGUAUGUGUUCAUAGUAGUUCAGAUUCAUCUCUAGUUUCCGAGGUGAAAGAGAAACUAGACAAGGAUCCUAGCCUUUUCAAGCUCAAGGAGUCAAAUCAGAAUUAGUAAGUGGAGGUUUUCUCCCAAGGGGAGAUGGUGUUCUUUAUUGUCAGGGUCGUCUAUGUGUUCCAGACGUAGAUGAAUUGAGGCAGUAAAUUUUUGCAGAAGUGCAUGGUGCGCGAUACUCUAUUCAUCCAGGGGCCACUAAGAUGUACCGCGACAUGCGGGAGAUCUAUUGGUAGAGUGGGAUGAAGAGAGAUGUUGUAGAGUUUGUGGCUAAGUGCUCUACGUGUCAGCAGGUUAAGAUAGAGCAUCAAAAACAUAGUGGUUCUAUGCAAGAGUUCACCGUUCCUACUUGGAAGUGGGAAGAAGUUAACAUGGACUUAGUGACGGGUUUGCCUAGAACUCGUCAUCAGCAUGAUUCAGUCUGGGUUGUUAUAGAUAGAAUGACCAAGUCAGCUCAUUUCCUACCUGUUCGUACUUCUUAUUCCACCGAGGAUUAUGCCAAACUCUAUAUCAGGGAGUUAGUCAGGUUACACGGUGUUCCACUAUCUAUCAUCUCAGAUAAAGGUACCCAGUUCACUUCUCACUUUGGAAAAUAUUCCAAAAGGGUCUCGGUACCCAAGUCCAUCUCAGUACAACAUUUCAUCCUCAGACAGAUGGUCAAGCAGAAAGGACAAUUCAGACUCUUGAAGGUAUGCUAAGGGCAUGAGCAAUUGACCUCUAGGGAAGUUGGGAUGACCACUUGCCUUUGAUUGAGUUUGCAUACAACAAUAGCUAUCAUUCUAGUAUUCAGAUGGCUCCAUUCGAAGCUCUCAAUGGUAGGAGAUGUAGAUCUCCGAUUGGUUAGUUUGAAGUUAGUAAGGCCUCAGUCAUAGGUCCUAACUUAGUAUUCGACGCCUUAAAGAAAGUUCAGUUGAUCAAAGAGAGACUUCCGACUUCUUAGAGACGACAAAAGUCCUAUGCAGAUGUUCGUAGAAAGAAUCUCUAGUUCGAGGUCAAUGACUAUGUCUAUCUUAAGAUCUCUCCCAUGAAGGGAGUGAAGAAGUUCGGAAAGAAAGGGAAACUCAGUCCCUGGUAUAUCGGUCCCUUCAGAAUUCUUUGUCACUUCAGCAAGGUAGCUUAUGAGCUUAAGUUGCCUUCAGAUCUAGCCUCAGUCCAUCCAGUCUUCCAUUUCUCUUUGCUAAAGAAGUACAUAGGUGACCCAGCAGUUGUUGUCCCUAUUCAGAGCAUCAAUAUUUAGGACAACCUCUUUUAUGAAGAGAUUCUAAUCCAAAUCUUAGAUUAUCAGACUCGUAGAUUGAGGAACAAGGAAGUCCCUCUACUCAAGGUUCUUUGGUAAAAUUAGUCUCAUGAGGGAGCUACUUGGGAAGCAGAAGCAGAUAUGCAUACCAAGUAUCCUCACCUCUUCCACACCAAUUCAGAUCAAGCUCAAGGUAACAGUUCUCCUUAAUUUUAUUUAGUUCACGUUCAUGUUUCCAGUAUAAACUUAGUACCUAUUAACCGUUUCAUACUCAGUCAUGCAUUCAUGUGUUAGUUGUCCGUGCAUCAGAUAUGCACGAGUUUAGUUUUGCAUGUCAGUCAUGAGAUCAAGUUUUAGUUCUUCUUGUUCAGUUUAGGUUCUAUUGUCUUGUAUCCCUUCCCAGUAAAUUUUCAUUCGAGGACAAAGGUUCCCAAGGGGGAGAUAUUGUAAUACCCCACAUGUUUCUAAGCUAGGAAAUGAAUAACUAUUCCUACGUAUAAAAUCUCCUAUCCUGUGAUUCAUACUUGAGUACAUGACUUACAAUGAAUAUCCUAGUGAUAGGAUAGCUUAUGAUGCAUUAAGCAUGUUCAUAAGAGUCACUUAAGGUAAUACAAGCUAAGAGUUUUUGAAUCCAUCAAGUUUUAGUGUUUGAUUUUGCAAGGGUCAUCUUUAAAUGAGUAUAAAUAGAUGCUAAUGAAGUAUUUUCGUUGAUUUUGACCCACGAAACUGUAGAGUAUCGAAUAAGCUUUCUAAUGAUACCAAUUUCGUCUUAAUCCAAUACCCGAGCAAAAUGUUUUGCCCAUUUUUGUGAGAGACAGUAAGCAUAGGCGAUUGGCUAGGUGCCGCCCAACCCAAGCAUAGGCGAUCACUUGGGCGCCGCCUAAGUCAAUUACAGGUGUCAAAAACACUCUAUUUUGGGUUAUUUUAAAGGUAAUUAAGUCUUUAAAUACUCCUUACACGUCCCUAAACUUAACCCUACGAAAUAUAUAGCUUCUAAACAUAUUACAACACUAUUUUCAACUCAAAGCUCUUCAUCCAAGAGCACUAAAGGAGAAAAAGAACUAGGGUUGCAUAAUUAAGCUUGAAGAUCCAAUUUCAAGGAAAUUCCUCCAUCAAUUAUCAAGAAUCUUCCUUCCAAGAUAUGCAUAGUGUUCAUCCACGGUUUCCUUUCGUCCAUGGAGUUCAAGAAUCAAUCUUUAAAAUACAAAAGCUUGGUUGAUUGUGCUGAUAUGAUCAUACCCAUGUUGAUGCUUGUUUGUUUUGCUAUAUAAUUGUAUGCGUGAGUUGAUUUAUGGAUCCCUUUCAUCCAUAAAGCUCAAAAACCCUCUUUUUCAUUAUAAAGUAUGAUUUCUAUAUUGUUGGGUGUUGAAGAUCAUGUUGUUGAUAGUAGGUGAUUCCAAGGAUGGAAUCUUUAUAUGUUUUUGUGAAUUCAUGAUAUCAUAUGAGUUGGAAACAUGUAAAUUUAAUUUUUCAUGAUGUAUAAUUUGAUGAUUUCACCUAUUCUUAAGAUGUGCAUGUAAGGUGUUUGAUAAAAUUCCUAAUAAACUAGAAACCAUGCAAUAUUGCUAAAUUGUAACUAAGUGAAGGAUUCAUGAUAUACCCUUACGUUCCAAUGACUUCUAUGUUGUUAAUGUCCCUUGUAAAUGUUGUUGGAAUACUCAUGAACCAUUCUUAUAAUAUUAUGCUAUCUUUACUUGCAAAUCCUACUUAUGAACAAGAUGUAUGAUAACCAUGCAAUCCACAUGAACUUCUAUACGAUUUGUAUGUGUUGCCAAUAUGAUUGUGUAAUGAACAUGGCAUUAAGAUUGUGCAAGUACUUCAAUGUGAUAUGAAAUCCUUUCCAUGCAAUACGUUGUUGAUAACCAUGCUUAGUAUGAGAUCCCUCUUAUCAUAUUAUAAAUUAUGGACUCUACUCUUAUGAUCAAGUCAGUCAUGUGUGUUAGUUUCCUUCCAUCGAGUCCUGGGGGUACUCGUACCUGAAAACAAUAGCUUUGUGGGUAGAUCCAUGUCAGGUUUCAUGAUAUCCGAACUCAAGCUAUGCUUCUAUAGACUUCAGUCAGUCAUGUGACUUAAGAAAACCUCAUGAUCUUAGUCAGUUGUAAGAUAUCAGUAACAUUCCUCCAGUCAACGGAAUUCAGUAAGAUUAAGUCUUGCACAGUCAGUUAUUCAUGUCCAGUUCCUCCAGAUGGGGGUAGAGGAUAGCACCGAGUGAACCCAAGGAUAGGAACUCACCCGCUAGUUUAGGGUGUGAUUCUUAGUAGCAAUCCUUGUUUUCCAAAACUACGUAGCCAGUGUAGGUUGAGACAUCUUAACCUAUUAGAUUAGGGUUGGUGAGGUGGCUUAACCCAUUAGUUUAGGGUUCCCACCAUUCUCAUUGAGUAGCCGCCACAUAAGGGUCACUCACAGGCUGUCCUUACCCGUGGCACGGUAUUGACACCCCUCCAGUCAGGGCAUAGAUUGAACCCCAGCUUAGCCAUAACAGCAUACAUGGGGCAUGUCAGUUAAACACUACUUCCCACAGUUUUAGUAUCAGUCUUAGUAAAAGAACUCAGGGCGUUCUUCAGAUUUUAAUAUAUAGAGGACUGUUAGAUACAGUCGUCGAUGUUAUCAAUUUCAGUAUCAGUCAUGACAGUUAUCAGUAAAUCAUGUAUUAGCUUACAGGUCAUGUUAUCACGUAUUCACGGUCCCAGUGUCUAUAUAUGUGUGUUUGCACUCCCACGUUCAUAUUAGUCAGUCAGUGUUGUUUAUGCAUGAAAGCCUUUAUGUUGAGCCUACCUUCCUCGUAUAGUCAGUACUCCAGUUGUACUGACGUAUUUGUGCUAUGGUGCUUUCUUUUCAUAUUACACCAUAGGUUUUGAGACACGAGCUCCAGCCCAGCAAUAACAGUAGCAUUCCAGUCGCAGAGACGCAGUGAGUCCUCAUUGAUUCGAGGACAAUAUGAUUUGAUCCAUUCAUUUAUUUCUUCAGUUUAGUUUUACGGAGUUAGUUGGAGAUAUGUUGCUUCAACUUCUUAUUCAGACAGUUUAGAGGCUUUCAGAUUUAUAUUUUGAUUUACAUUCAGAUUGAGUUGUUUUGGGUAUUUUCACCCACAUGAUUGUAUUCAGUUGAACCUUAUGGACUUAUAGUUCUAUGUAUUCCACAUUAUUAUAUCAUGAUUUGCAGUAUACAUAUACAGAUAUCAGUCAUAGGUUAGCUUGUGAUCCCUUGGGGUCAUGAGCACCAUAUAGCAUUCCCGUUCAGCGAAUCGGGGUGUUAUAGGAACUUCAUGAGCAGUGGGAAACAUGUAAUGUGAUUGUGCUUUCCUGUAUAAUGAACACUGUGAGUGAGAUUCUGUUAUCUAGCAUUGUUUAUGCCAUAAAUGCUUAUGCAGUUUGGGAGGAUUUGAAGGAGACGUAUGACAAGGUGAAUCGUAUGCGUAUAUACCAGUUGCAUCGUGAAAUUAAUAUGCACUCUCAAGGUACAGAUUCAAUCUCAACCUAUUUUACCAAAUUGAAGAGUUUAUAGAGUGAGUAUAAUGUAGUAACAAAUCCUAGUUGUGCUUGCCCUACGUCUAGAGAAUACUCAGAUCAUAUGUGUCAACUUAGACUUUUACAGUUUUUAAGUGUCCUAAAUGAGUCCUAUGACCAAGCUAGAAGACAGAUAUUGCUCAAAGAAGAGACUCCUACUCUCAAUCAAGUUUAUGCUAUGCAUAUAGAUGAUGAAAUCAAACAUUUAGCAUAUAUGAUAACUGUGAAUGAUAGAUCAAAACAACUUGCUAUGCAAGUGAAUUGAAAUUAUGGUUUUGGACAAAGCAACUCUAACUAUAGAGGCAGAAAGUGUGAUUAUUGCCAUCUAUUGGGUCACACCAAGGAAACUUGCCAUAAGUUGGUAGGGUAUCAAAAUGACUGGAAGAGCAAGAAGAAACAAGGAAACUCUAAUUUCAGAUCAUAGUAUACUGGCAGUAAUAACCUAUCUACAAACAAUGGUGGUAACAACUUUGUAAACACUAGGUCUAUUUCUUAGGCUUCAACUAUGGUAGCUGGUCAAGUUGAUGCUGAUAGUUCUAGUCAUGAAGUGACUCACACACCAAAGGCCAAGCCUCAUGCAUUCACUGAGGAAGAAUACACUCAGAUUAUGACUAUGUUGAACAAAGACACAACAGAUGUGAAACAAGUCAAUAUGACAGGUAUUACUAUUUUUUUCUUGUUUCUUAAUUGAAAUUUUUACAGAAAAAAUAAAAAAUAAUAAAACAAUGCAAUAAUGGUAGAAGUUUUGUACAUUUCACAUAACGAAAAUACCAAAAAGAUUUUUCUUUCAUAGUUGUUGGUGUCAGUUUUACGUGAAGUAUCGAAUUAAAAAUCCAAAAAUAUUUUACUUUCAUCGUCUGUCUAUAAUUGUAGCUCUCAAGUCAAGUCUUUGUUUGUUUUAAUCCUUAAUUGUCCAAUCUGGACGAACUAUACACCCCUGAUUCUCCUCUCUCGGGAGUGAGAUACGUAGGCAGCCUAUUAUGGGUUCCAGGAGCUUAUUUAAAAAUUUUUAAAAGAUCCUCUUCAAUCUUCAUUUAGAGUAGGUGUUCAUAUACAUCUUUAAAAGAAAAAUACAAAAAGAUUAUCCUUUAAUAAUUUCAAUUUUCAUUUUCAUAUGAAAUUCAAAUUCAAAAAAUCAAAAAGAUAUUUUUUUGAUAAUCGUAGGUUUCAUUUUGUAUAGGGAUGUUAAAGCUGAAAUAUUCAAAAAGAAUUUCGUCAAUUAUUUUUACAAUUUGUUGUUUUUGUUUCUUCUUAAAGUUUCAAGAAAAGGAAAAACAAAGAGAUUUUGAUCAGCCAUGUUGUGUCAAAAUAUCACGACCUAUGCACACCUGAUUAUCCUCUCUCGAGAGUGAGAUACAUAGCGCCCUUCUCAGGUUCAAUGAUCUUUUCCAAAGAAAAAAAAAAGAAAAAUGUUUUGAGGAAGUGUUGAACUAUAACGCAUUUGCUAUCUCUUGUUCAGUUAGUUUAAGGUUGUUGGUUUACGGUAUUUUGGUUGGUCCUCUAUAUUGCAUCAAGUCACAGAGAAAGUUAUGGCGAACAAGGAUACCAACGUUGUUGUCACUAAUCAGAUAGGGAGUUCGGGGAAUGAGAAUUUAGGAGAUAAUAAAGAGAUUUGAUAAUUAAGGCAGCAAAUGGUAGAAAUGCAUCAAGCUUGGGUUAAUGGGCUGCCACCUCCUCCAUUUAUCGUCGAUAAUUUGGAAUAACUUUCUAGUUUGUCUCCCGUGUUACAUGGACAAUUUUUCAUUUUUCUUGACACGCCAUAACAUGCAUCAGGGUCUACUUCAGGGUAAUAAUAUCCAAAUACUACCAAUAUUCAUUUCCUCACCCCUCAAUACAAAACUAUCACAUACUCGGCUCCAUCUGUUAUUCAUUCUUUUGCAGCACCACUCCUACCUGAAGCUCCUACUUUUGAUGUUCAACCAUCGGUUGUGAUUCCUCACUAUGAAAGUAAGCCUGUAUUGGAUAUUUCUAGUGAUCAACAUUAUGCUCCUGUGCCCACAUUUAAGUUAACUGGUCUUUUCACCCAACUGCCUGAAUUUUCUCGUAACACUGAGAAGCCUGUUAUGAUAGAUGAACAAUAGAAAAUGACCAGAAAAUUUAGAAUUUUGGAACUUGCUAUGAAACAUUUCCAAGGAAUUGGGGGGUAAAAAAGUGUCUCAUAUAAAGAUCUGUGCAUGUUUCCUAUAGACACCAAAUUUUGUCACUCCCAAAACCCACUUUAUCCAUUUUUUAACUCUUGUUAUUAUAUACCCUCAUCUGUAUGAUUAUAUCCCACAAAAAUACAAAAAAUAACAACCCUUAAGAAAAUCUCUAUCAAAUUAAAUCCCUAACCUUAUCCUAAGAAACUUUAUCCUAACAAAUCCUAUCCUUACCACCCCUACCCUCUCCCACGUGACAAUACCCCCUCCUUCUAUAUUUUUUUUUACAUGGUGUUAGCUUGGAGAUAAAAAAAAGUCUCUCACACCAAAAAAGAAUAGAUACACACUUUUCCUUACAAAAGGGGAUAGCAAUAAACAUAUGCAGACACCAUAACACAGUUCCCACAUACCAGAAUUUCAUUCACAGACAAUUCACAGAUACACAGUAGUCCAUAUACACUUCUUUUCUCUUCUCCCGCACCGAAUUGAGAAAAACACAUGCACCACACCAUUAUUUCACUAUCAAGUUCACAUACUAAUACGUAGAUAUCCGAUCGAGAGAGGGAGGGAUUAAGAGAAAAGAGAGAGCAUGAGAGAGAGUGAAGCAGAGAGUGAGGGAGAGAGACACCUGAGUUUGAGUCGUUUCGACUACCAGAUCUAGGCAGGGAUUCAUCAAGAACUAGUCAGAAAACCCCAUCUCUGGUUCUGUACUGGCCAUGUGCUGUGGGAUUUAAGAAAAAUAGAACCCAAAUUGAUAGAAAUCUACCCAUUCCAGUCUGAUUCCAGUGAAAUCUACCAGAAGCAGACAAAACGGGGUCAAUUUUGCUUGAAAUUAGAUUCGGGCAUGUAAUUUUUAGGCAAUUCUCUUCUUGCAUCAAUUGGGUCUUUGAUUGUGCAGUUCGACCUUUGGUUUUUUUCUUUGAAUCCUUUUGGACUAGAUUUUGUCAUUGAUUUUUGAUACCGAGCUGGAGUCUUUUAUUUCGAGAGUUUUAUUAGAUAUCAAAUCUAUUUGAGGUGUAUUUCUCUAUACUGAUUUGGUAUUUGACAUUGAGUUUCAGUUCGAGGUUCCCAGUGUGGAUUUUAUCUCAUUUACUCAAAUAACAAUCGAUUUAAAGUGGCAUUGAGGUCCAUUUCUUAUCUCAUUCUCUAUUCUAUUUUGGAAUUUUAGUUUUUUUAUGACUGUGAAUAACUUGUUUGUUUAGCAUGUUUGAAUCUUUGUUGUGUGUACGUGGUUGAUGUUGGAUUUGGUAGUCAAAGAAUUGAUUAAUUGUUUUGAGAAUGAAUUUGGGGUGGAAUUGAGAAAUUGAUGAAAAUGAUGAAUUUAGAUUAAUGUUGGUUUGUUGUGAUUUUGUUUAAUUUGGAAUAAAUAUCAAGUUGGUAAACUCGAUAGUAUCAUGAUAAGUUGAAUGGGAUGGGAAAAAAUGUUUAGGUUCGGGUAGGAAAAAUUUAGGAGUGAUGUGUUGAUUGAAUGCUUUGAAUGUUUAAUUGUGUGUUUUGAAUGUGUUUUUUUUAGUUAGCUUAUUUAAUUUAGAUGUAUUCAUUUGGCCGUGGAAUGCCCUAAGGUUUCAUGUAUUUAUUUACCGGGGAAUGCCCCGAUUUAUUAUGUACUCAGAGGACGUCUGUGAUGAACGCCUGACACAUUGGGUAAAGCACUGGAGCGUAGUGUAGGACUAGUGUAGGCUAGCAUAGGUUUAUAUUUUCGCAUUUUUUAUUUGGGACUGUAUAAUUGGACUGGACAAUAAAUUUUGGAUUAUUUUGUUUUGUUUGCUUGAUUGAUUGCUUAGUAUGUUUUGUGUGAUUUAUACCUUCGUAGUGUAAAAUUAAUCGAUAUUGAUCCACCAAGUGACUGUGGUCAAACUACAUGAUCGAGGGGUUCCUAAAACCUUCCCUUGAGUCAUAACAAUUUCUUAGUCGGAAUCUCUGUUCGUGGAUCAGUUGAAAAAAGUCAAAAAAGUUUUAAAAAAGGAUUCCUAAAGGUGACUUGGCACACCGAAUUAUGCCAAGUGGCGACUCUGAGUUUAAAUCUAAAUAAUCCUUUUCGAAAAAAAAUUUCAUUUUUUGUCACUUUAAUAAUAAAACCCUUUCAAAACAUAAAAAUCUAAUCUUUUUUUUGACGUUAAAAACUGUGACAGCACUAGCGACUCUGCUAGAGAUUUUUCAUAAUUCGGGCUUAUUUUUUGAGUUAUAUCGGUUUAAUUUGACAUUAUGUGUGUAUAAAUAUUGUUUGUGUUAUCGUUUGUUGUUUAUUUUAUCAUUGUUGAGUUCUACGUGUUUACAAUUUUUCUCGUGUGUUAUCACUUUAUAUCUGGCAUCAUGUGUAUAACCUGAGUCAAUUCUUACUACAACAAGUCCCGUAGUGCACAUCGUGCGCAUGAACUCUAGUUGAGUAACCCUUAUUUUAGGCGGGGGAGCCGUUGAAUGUAUGGAGUAGGUGGAAAGCAAAGCAGCCACUAUCGACCGUAUGCUCCCCCGAACGGCCUUGUUAGUAAACCUCAACGUAAGUCAGCUUUUAGGUCAUGCUUAUGUAGAUCAUAUUGAGACCUUGAGGGGCUCACUUGGUUCUUUGUAGGAGACUCUCCUCAAAAGCAUCCCUAUGUGCUAAUUGUUGCAUUUUUUAGGGUAACAAGGUCAUUUGAUGGACUGAAUUGGGGAAAGCAUGUGCUAGAAUUUAAGAAGAGUGUGCAGGCAUGGAAAAAAAAGGGAAAAAUGAGAAAAGGUGAAUCAAAAAGAGUUUCAUAGUUUAUGGGUUCUUUAUGGCUUUUGUUUUCCACAAUUCAAGAAUAAGAAAAAAGAUUUUUUUUACUUUUUGCACUCAUUUUUCAAAAUAAAAUAAAAAAAAACAUCAAAAAAAUUUUCUUUUAACAAGCAUUCACAAUUCGAAAACACCAAAAAAAUUUUUUAGGAGCUCUUUAUAAAAGAAAAAUGUAUAAAAGAGUGGUGGAAGUUUUGUAUAUUUCAUAUAAUGAAAAUACCAAAAAGAUUUUCUUUCAUAGCUGUUGGUGUCAUUUUUUAUGUGAAGUGUCAAAUUGAAAACUAAAAAAAACAAAAUUUGUUAUGUUGUUCAUCGUGUGUCUUUGGUCGUGUCUCAUGAUAGGGUGAAAUCUGUUAUUUAAUCAUUAAUUGUUCAAUCUGGAUGAACUAAGCACCCCUUAUUCUCCUCUAUCAGGAGUGUGAUAGGUAUGCAACCUAUUGUUGGUUCGGGGAUCUUAUUUGAAAAAAUCCAAAAAGAUUUUCUUCACUCUUUAUUUAGAGUAAGUGUUUCAUGUACAUCUUUAAAAGAAAACUACAAAAAGAUUUUCCUUUAAUAGGUUCAGGUUUUAUUUUCAUAUGAAAUUUAAAACUGAAAAACCCAAAAAAAAAUUUCUUUGGUAUCAUAGAUUUCACUUUGUAUGAGGAUGUUAAAGCUGAAAAAUUCAAAAUCAUUUUCGUCAAUUCUUUUGACAAAUUGUUAUUUUCUUUUCUUCUUAAAGUUUUGAGAAAAAGAAAAAAAAGAAAGAAAACAAGUUCAAUUGGCCAUUAUCGCAAGACUUCACGAAAUACGCACACCUGAUUCUCCUCUUUUGGGAGUGAUAUACGUAGGCGCCCUUCUUGGGUUCGGUGAUCUUUAAAAAAAAGGAUAAGGAAAAAGAGGUUUUGAAAAAUUGUUGAACUCUAAUGCAUUUUGCUAUCUCUUGUCUAUUUAGUUUAAGGUGGUUGGUUUGUGGCAUUUUGGAUGGUCCUCCAUAUUGCUCCAUGUCACAACGAAAGUUAUGGCCAACAAGGAUCCCAAGUUAGUUUUCACUAAUCAGAUAUGGAGUUUGGGAAAUGAGAAUUUAGGAUCUAAUAAAGAGAUUCAGAAAUUGAGGCAGCAAAUGAUAGAAAUGCAUCGAGUUUGGGCUAAUGGGUUGCCGCCUCCUCCAAUUCCUACUGAUAAUCUAGAAUAUCUUUCUAGUUUACCUCCCGUGUCACAUGCACAAUUUCCAAUUUUUUGUUGAUAUGCCACAAUAUGCAUCAGGAUCGACUCCGGCGCAAUAAUAUCCAACCACUUCCAAUGUUUAUUUUCUCACUCCCCAAUCCAAGACUGCCACAUUCUCGGCUCCACCUGUUGUUCAUAUUUUUACGGUGCCACCCCCACCUGAAUCUCCUACUUUUGAUGUUCAUCCAGAAUUUGUUCCUCCCAACUCUACAAAAGAGCCAGUAUUGAAUAUUACUGGUGAUCAACGUUACACUUUCGAGCCUACAUUCAAGUUGACUGGUCUUUAUGGUGACACCCACCCACCAGAAUUUCCUCCUAACACUGAGAAACCUGUUAUUUCAGAAGAACAAGAGGAAAUGACUAGAAAAUUGCGAAGUUUGGAACUGGUUAUAAAGAAAUUGCAAGGACUUGGGGGGUUACAAAAGUGUCUUAUAAAAGGACUUAUGCAUGUUUUUAGGUGUCAACUUCCCUCCUGGCUUUAAAAUGCCAAAGUUUGAGAAGUAUGAAGGACAUGGGGACCCACAGGCACAUUUAAGGUGCUAUUGUAACUAAUUAAGGGGCACUGGAGGGAAGGAAGAACUACUCAUGACUUAUUUCGGGAAGAGUCUUCCAGGCCUAGAUUCGGAAUGGUUUGUUGACCAAGACAUUGACAAGUGGAUUAGUUGGGAUGACAUAGCUAAUAGAUUUGUGCAACAAUUUCAAUACAAUGUGGAGUUGAUUACUGAUGAAAAAUCCCUAACUAGUAUAAAAAAGAUGAAGACUGAGAGUUUCAGGGAGUAUGCGAUCAGAUGGCGCUAAAAAGCUGCUAGAGUAAAACCGCUAAUGAAUGAAAGAAAAAUAGUGGAGGUGUUUAUUCAAGUGCAGGAUGAAGCAUAUUAAAGACACUUGUUACCUUCAUUAGGAAAGUGAUUUAUCGAGGUCCUUAAAAUGGGGGAGAUGAUAAAAGAGGGAAUUAAGACUGGUCGCAUUGUGGGUUUUGCAACAUUGAAAGUGAAAACUCAAGAAAUUCAAAAGGGUUCAGGAAGUGUUGGGGAGACAAAGAAUGAGGAAGUUGCAUCUUCUAUUAUAAUUGGACAGAAGUAACGGUCAAGAAGAUCCCGUUGCUCUCACUCUCAGGCUCAAACCCAAGUUCAUGCCCAAGAUCCACAUAAUCACUCCCAAAAUCCAUUAUACUCUGCUCCUCCACCUCUAUAUCCAGUAUAUAAUGCACAGACACAUGUUCAAUCCCUAUCUUACUCACAGUGGAACACACCAACUCCUCAGUACCGUCCUCUAACUCCAUAAACAUACUAAAACACUUCUAAGCCUGAUUUUCGAUCCAAGCCAAAUGAUGAAAUGAGGCAGAAGUUAAGAGAUCUCUUCACACCAAUUAGAGAGCCUUAUGCCAGUUUUUUUCAUAGAUUGGUACAAUGGGGCAUGAUCACUCCUCUCCUUGGGUGCACUCUUAAUCAACGUUCAACAAAUUUUGAUCCUAAUGUACGAUGUGCGUAUCAUUUUGAUGGUCAGGGUCAUAGUAUUAAAGAUUGUCGAGAUUUGAAAAGAGAAAUUGAAAAGAUAAUUCAAGAUGGAUUAGUUAUGGUGACAGUGUGGGAAGCUCUAGUCAUUCUGAUAUGCAAACCAGUGGCUAAGAUGUCAGACUGAGCAAUUAAGAAGUCGCCCUUCUCCCUACUAGGAAGAGGUCUGGUAGUUUGUUUUGUUUUAUUUUCUGUUAUCUGAAUUAUUUUAAGGGUAUAAUUCGGGAUCUACCUUGUUUUUUCCUUUUUUCGUUUAUGUUCAAACCAUUCUAUCUUUUGUUUCAACUAAAUGAAGUAUCCCAUUUUUCUUUGUGUUUUAAAUAUGUGUUGUUUGUUUGUUUUCUUUACAUAGUACAUUUUAUGUUGACUCUAGUGAUAUGACAUUCUACUGAAAUUUUCAGCCAGAUCUUAAUAUCCAGUUUAAGCAUAAGCACUGAAUCAGAGGGUUAAAGUUAUAAAAAGAGAGCGUCUGAGAAAAUAGAUAGAGUGUUAGGGCAUUAGGUGAUCAAGUUGAGGCCUGCUUUGAAACUUAAGGCAAUUAUUUUGAGAAUCGUGAGAAUAACUUUGUCAACAGUUGAAAGACAUGUCUCAAUUAGGUCAAAUAGGGGAUGUGUGAUCCUACAUGCAAAUGAAUAGUAAAAUUAGCUCCACGAAUGCAUAAGGAAUGUACAACAAAGAUGGAGUUUGCAGAAGAAGUAGCGACGCACAGUCUCAGUUAAAAUUAGUGCUGUAAAAAAAUAUCACAAAUGAUCUUCAUCUCUCACUUUCAUAUUGCAUGAUAUGUACUUGCAUUUUUAAGGAUUGAUAUGAUGAAGGCAUUUCAUUCUGCUAUCCAAACAUCGUGCCAUCCUUUAUUUACCCAAUUUGAGCUUUAGUCCUAUUUUUUUUCUUACCCCUCUUUUGGAAUCAAGAUAGAGUCAGCAAAGUUCAAAGGAAAGGUGUCGAGCAAAAAAAUUACAAAAGGUAUAAAAAAAGAGAAAAAAUGUGUCCAAAAAGAAAAAAAAUAGUGUAAAGCAAAAUAGAGUCAGAAAAAUCUCAAAAAGAGAGUCAAUAAAAGAAAAGAAAAGGAAAUCAGAAUCAAGCAAAAUAAUGAGCCGCUAGAACUAUGCGUGACUUGAUUUUCCUCUUUCGGGGGUGAGAUACAUAGGCUGCCCUACUCCGGGCUCGGUCCAACUAAAUAAAUAAUUUAUAAUUGCCUAGUCAAAAGAAACUGGGCAUGAGUUAAUCCUCAUUGUUUGAGUCGAUUUCGAAAGUUGUAAAUCCGACCCUACUUUAAGUGUCGUGUGGGCCCUAUGUCAUCCUUUCUGUCUAACACUAUCCAAAAUAAAAGUUACAACCAAAGAAAGACCUUUAGAUCAAUCUUUGAGGUUGUUAAGGCUAAGCAUGCAAGUGAUAUGAUGAUGCAUUCGGGAACUACUUGUCUUCCUCAGCAUAAGAAAUCUGGAGAGAAAUAAAAAUGAGAGUCUUAUUGGUGAAAACCCUCACGGGCACCGUAAGAUGAUGGUAAGUUGAGAGAGAUAAAAAUGAGAGAGUCUUAUCGGUGAAAACUCUCACAGGCACCGUAAGACGAUUUUGAGUUAAAGGAAAAAAAGAUAAGAAAGUCUCAUUAGUGGAAAACCCUUAUAGAUACCAUAAGGCAAUGGUGAGUUGAGGUAAAACAAAAUGAGAGAAGUUUGUUGGUGAAAACCCUCCAAGGCACCACUAGCCGAAUGGGAUCUUAAAUACAAUCGACCUAAGGAAGAAACAUAGUUUCAAGGCCAUUAACUCAAAAACAAUGGGUAGAAAGUUUGGAUGAAAGGAUCAAGCUGCUUAAUCCAAAAUGCCUGGCAUAAUCAUUAGUGUUGACUGUUAUUUUUGGAUGAAUUUUUUGUUUCUUUGUUCCAAAAGGGGACAUUCAUUGUCUUUUCUUUCUUCUUUUUUUUUAUUUUAUCUUUUUUGAGUCAGUUAUCCAAAACAAAAAUUGUCAUUCUUUUUUUCGUUUCUUGUCUGUGAGUCAAGUCUAUGUCAAAACAAGUGAGAAAAGAUUUCAAAACUAGCUACUAGCUUUUUUAAUUGCACAAAGCAAGACAAAAGCUAGCACAUGAAAGAGAUAUGAUUGUGAGACGAAAUAAGGCAUACAAAAAGUUCUGUCAACAAACAAGUCUGGGACCUCAUGGAAAUACCAAAGUUCAAAGCGUUUAUUUGAAGAGCAUGGCAAAGAAAAGAUACUGUGUUUGUUUCAAAGUCACUCUUAAUAAUCUGAGUUUGGGUCAAUGAUGCAUCUAGUCAAUGAUAUAAGUAAUGGUUGGAAGCAAGGUUAAAUGUGAUGACGACAAGAACGUUUACCAUGAAAUCCAAAGCCACAAACUAGCCACCAUGUUUUUAAACUCAAAACUUUUCUUUGCAUGACACAGGAACACAUGUUACUUUCAAAUCAAGGAUUUCAAAGCCUAAACAUCAAGGCCCAUAAUUUCUCGCAUUUACAAAUACAGGAAGCAAUGUUGCUUCAUAGGUUUGAUAAUAAAAUCAUAGUAAAAAUUCAUCAUCGUAUAUCCCUCGGAGACACACUUUCUUGUCCAGGGAUUUCAGUUUUCAUUUGCUGGGUGAUACACUUCUUAAAUUAAACCUUCACUCCUAGAAGACGUACAUCCUAGUCGAGUCAUUCCAUUUGAAUCUUAGAAGACAUACCUUUUAGUUGUUUCAUUUCCCUUGAUUCUUAUAAGACGUACCUUUAAGUCGAGUCAUUCCCUUUGAUUCCUAGAAGACGUACCUUGUAGUUGAGUCAUUCCCCUUGACCCCUAGAAGACGUACCUUUUAGUCGAGUCGUUCCCUUUGAUUCCUUUAAGACUCACCUUUUAGUCGAGACAUUCCCUUAGAUUCCUAAAAGAAAUACCAUUUAGUCGAUUCAUUCCCUUUGAUUCCUAUAAGACGUACCUUUUAGUCGAUUCAUUCCCUUUGAUUCCUAUAAGACGUACCUUUUAGUCCAGUUAUCUCCCUUGAUUCCUAUAAGACGUACCUUUUAGUCUAGUCAUUUUCAUUGAAACCUAGAAUACGUACCUUUUAAUUGAGUCAUUCCCCUUGAUUCCUAUAAGACAUACCUUUUAGUCAAGUCAUUUCCCUUGAUUAUUAUAAGAUGUACUUUUUAGUCGAGUCAUUCCCCUUAAUUACUAUAAGAUGUACCUUUUAGUCGAGUCAUUCCCAUUGAUCCCUAGAAGACGUACCUUUUAGUCGAGUCAUCUCCCUUGAUUCCUAUAACACGUACCUUUUAGUCAAGUCAUCUCCUUUGAUUCCUAUAAGACGUACCUUUUAGUCGAGUCAUUCCCUUUGAUUCCUAUGAAAUACCUUUUAGUUGAUUCAUCACCUUUGAUUCCUAUAAGAUAUACCUUCUAGUCGAAUUAUUCCAAUUAACUUAUAGAAGAUGCAUUUCUUUGUUUGGGAUAAUUUUGUUUUAGUUUUGAUAUGAUUUCAGGAGCCCACCUGAAGAACAGGGCGAAUACAGGAAAAGUCAAGUAACAAGGUGAAGAAAUUGAAAGUCAAUAGAUUAAAAAUAGUAAGUCAAGAGCUUGGCUGGACAACAGGGCAAGGAGAUUGAAAGCCAAGCAACAAGUUGAAGAAAUUGAAAAUUAGGAGCCCGCCUGAAGAAUAGGGUGAUGAAACUUAAGUCAAGAGUCCAACAGAAGCUGUAUAGAUAGAAUUUUUGUAAUUUCAUUUAUGUUUUAACUUGUACUUUUUCAUUUUGAUGUAAUGACAGAGUAGCAGAUGGAACCUCGAUGGAACCUCACUCGACUCUCCAACUUGGUAUAGUUCCUCUCCUUUGAACCCUUUGAGAUACCUGUGAUUUAAAUCUAUCAUAACCUGGGUAGGUAGGAUGUCAAAGACCCGGUGGCCCAUCUUUCUUCUCUUUCUUUAUUUGAAUAAUGGUCGGGUCAAAAUUUGGUCUCGUUGUCUGCUUUUGUUUUUGUUUGAAAACAAUAUUUGUUCACACACAAAAAGGGGCAUGAUGUGGACACCAAAUUUUGUUCGUCCCAAAACCCAAUUUAUCCAUUUUUUACUUCUUGUUAUUAUAUACCCUUAUCCGUAUAAUUAUAUCCCACAAAAAUACAAAAAAUAACAACCUUUAAUAAAAUCUCUAACAAAUUAAAUCCCUCACCUUAUCCUAACAAACUUUAUCCAAACAAAUCUUAUCCUCACCACCCCUACCCUCUCCCACGUGACCAUUCCCCCUGCUUCUAUAUUUGUUUUACACAGUGUUAGCUUGGAGAAAAAGAAAAAUAUCUCACACCAAAAGGAACAGAUAUACACUUUUCCUCACAAAAAGGGAUAGCAAUAAACAUCCGCAUACACCAUCACACACUUCCCACACACCAAAAUUUAAUUCACGGACAAUUCACAGAUACACAGUAGUCCAUAUACACUUCUUUUCUCUUCUUCUGUACUGGAUUAAGAGAAACACACGCACCUCACUAUUCCUUCACGGUCAUUGUUCAUACACUAAUACGUAGAUAUCCGAUCGGGAGAGGGAGGGAUUGUGAGAAAAGAGAGGGAUCUUGAGAGAGAGUGAAGCAGAGAGUGAGGGAGAGAGACACCUGAGCUUGAUCUCAUUCUGGCAACCAGAUCUAGCCAGGGAUUCGGCAACGACCGGUCAGGCGAAGAAAAACCCCAUCUCCGGUUUUUUACUGGCCAUGUGCGGUGGGAUUUACAAAUAAUAUCCCCCAAAUUGAUAGAAAUUGACCCGUUCUGGUCUGAUUCUAGUGAAAUCCGCCAGAACCGGACGAAACGGGGUUAAUUCUUCUUGAAAUCGAAUUCAGCCAUGUAAUUUUUUGGUGAUUCUAUUCUUGCAUCAAUUGGUUCUUUUAUUGCGUGGUUCGACCUUCAAUGUUUUACUUUUAAUCACUUUAGACUAGAUUUUGUCGUUGAUUUUUGAUAUCGGGAUGGAGUCUUUUAUUUCGAGAGUUUCAUUGGAUAUCAAAUCUAUUUGGGGUGGAUUUCUCUAUACUGAUUUGGUGUUCGAUGUUGAGGUUCGGUUUGAGGUUCUCGGUGCGGAUUUCAUCUCGUUUAAUCGAACAAUGAUUGAAAGUGGCAUUGAAGUCCAUUUCUUAUCUCAUUCUCUAUUUUAUUUUGGAAUUUUAGUUGUUUGUUACGGGUGUGAAUAACUUGUUUUUUUAGCAUGCUUGAAUCUUUGUUGUGUGUACGUGGUUGAUGUUGGAUUUGGUAGUCGAAGAAUUGAUUAAUUGUUUUGAGAAUAAAUUUGGGGUGCAAUUGAGAAAUUGAUGAAAAUGGUGAUUUUAGAUUAAUAUUGGUUUGUUGUCGUUUUGCUUAAUUCGUAAUAAAUAUCAAGUUUGUAAACUCGAUAGUAUCAUGAUAAGUCAAAUGGGAUAGGCAAAAAUGUUUAGGGUCGGGUAGGCAAAAUUUAGGAGUGAUGUGUUGAUUGAAUGCUUUGAAUGUUUAAAUGUGUGUUUUGAACGUGCUUUUUUUUAGUUAGCUUAUUUAAUUUAGAUGUAUUCAUUUGGCUGAGGAAUGCCCCAAGGUUUCAUGUAUAUAUUUACCAGGGAAUGACCAGACGUAUUAUGUACUCGGAGGACAUCUGUGAUGAAGGCCCGAGGCAUCGGGUAAAGCAUUGGAGCAUAGUGUAGGACUAGUGUAGGCUAGCAUACGUUUAUAUUUUGCCUUUUUUAUUUUGGAUUCUAUAACUGGACUGGAAACUAAAUUUUGGAUUGUUUUGUUUUGUUUGCUUAAUUGAUUGUUUUGUAUGUUUUGUGUGGUUUAUACCUUCGUAGUGUGAAAUUAGCCAAUAUUUCUCCACCAAGCUACCGUGGUUUAUGCCUCUGUUCGCGGAUCAGUUUAAAAGAGUUAAAAAUAGUUUUGAAAAAGGAUUCCUAAAGUUGACUUGAUACACCAAAUUAUGCCAUGUGGCGACUCUGAGUUUAAAUGUAAAUAAUCCUUUUGGAAACAAAAUUUUCAUUUUUUGUCACUUUAAUAAUAAAACCCUUUCAAACUUAAAAAUCUAAUUUUUUUGUUGGAGUUAAAAAGGGGUGUGACAUUUCCAAGUGGUGAAGAACCUUCUUCUUACUCGGAGGUAGCUAGUUGUGAUGAUUUCGGCUGAUGGAUAAUUAAUAUACAGAAGGAGAUGGAAUUACUUCAUAAGAAUGGCACAUGGGAUUUGGUGAGAUUGCCUAAAGAUGAGAAAGUUGUCUGUUGUAAGUGGGUAUUCAAAAAGAAAGAAGGAACAUCGAGAGUUAAAGAUGCUAGAUACAAAGCAAGACUAGUUGCUAAAGGUUACAGUCAGGUUCCAGGUGUUGACUUCACAGAUGUGUUUUCUCCAGUUGUAAAGCAUAGUUCAAUUUGAGCCUUGCUUGGUAUUGUAGCCAUGCAUGAUCUUAAGCUUGAGCAUUUGGAUGUCAAAACUGCAUUAUUAUAUAGAGAACUGGAGGAGGAUAUUUAUAUGCAACAACCAGAGGAUUUUGUAGUCUCAGGAAAGGGGGACUAUGUAUGCUUGCUGAAAAAGUCUCUAUAUGGCUUAAAACACUCUCCCAGGCAGUGGUAUAAGAGCUGUGACUCCUUUAUAAACUCUCAUAUAUUUUGGAGGAGUAGUUAUGAUAGUUGUUUCUACUUCACGGAGGUAAGAGAUGGUUCAUUGUGUAUCUUCUUGUCAUGACCCGAACUAGGGCUUGGCCGUGACAGACAACCCAAACCAUGAAGGCUCAGACGUCCUACAUUAUCUGGUAGCCAUGCACAAUAUUCAAAUAAUAAGAGAAGAUGCAGAAAUACAAUAUGAUAUGGAAACAUGGUCAUACUCUGAAUUCAAUUUAACAAUAAGGAAUGAAAUUUGAAAUCUACUAAACUACAUCUAGAACAAUCUACGGAAUCUGUACUACAUGAUCAAAUGACAACUGUCUAAAAACUGGGAUAAAUCCCCUAGUAGACCAAAAUAAAAGAAAUAACAUAAUCUGAUAUAAUAGGCCUUCUGGAACAAAGAAGGCUCACCACUACACUUACCACUUCUCUCUGGACACUCUACUGCUUAGCCAGACCUCUAGAUUGAGCCUCCAAACCUGAGAGAUGGAGGGGUCAAUACAGAUGUACUGGUAUGCGGAGCAAAUCCAAAAUAAUAAUUUAUAAUCAAGAAAUACAGGUUGGGAAGGUCGUAAAAUAAUUCAUCAAAGAUUGAGAGAUAAGAAAGAGACUAAGUCCCUUUGAAACUUAAAGAAAUUUAUGAGUUUUAGUGUAUAAGCAUGCUACUAGAAGCUAAUACAUGUACAAUUUUUUAGGGGUUCUACAUUAUCCCCUUUUGGGAUCAUUCGUCCCCUAAUGAUGACGCAAAACACAGAUAAGCAAGAUUUCAAGCACACUAAGGUGAUAAAUGAAUAAGACAGAUUGUACCUUCUAUUUCGUCAUUCACCGGAUCAAAUAAUUCUGGGUAUCUAUCUCUCAUGUCAGCUUCAGAUUCCCAAGUUUCUUCUUCAACUUUCUAAUUUUUCUAUAAUACUUUAACCGAAGGUAUCUCCUUGCUCCUCAAUUUCCUAACUUGCCGAUCUAAGAUUGCCAUAGGCUCUUCCUCAUAAGACAAGGAGUUUGUCACUUUGAUCUCUUCUAUAGGAAACACUAAUGAAUGGUCUCCAAUAGAUUUCUUCAACAUGGAUAUGUGAAAUACCGAAUGAACAGAACCCAGAUUUAUAGGAAACUCUAACUUGCAUUCAACCCCACCUAUAUUUUUAAAAAUAUGAUAUGGCCCUACAUAGCGAGGACUCAGCUUACCUUUCUUCCUGAAUCGCAUGACUCCCUUGAUAGGGAAGAAUUGUAGAAACACCCAAUCACCAACCUCAAAUUCCAAAUCUCUCCUUCUAACAUCGGCAUAGGACUUCUAUCGACUCUGAGCUGCCUUAACCGGUUCUCUAAUGAUUUUCACAUCCUACAUUACCUAAUGAACAAGAUCAGGCCCAAAUAAUCGUGUCUCACCCACUUCAUACCAAACUAUUGGUGACCUAUAUCUUCUCUUAUAUAAUGCUUCAAAAGGAGCCAUCUUAAUACUGGCAUGGUAGCUAUUAUUGUAAGCAAACUCUAUCAAUGGCAAGUGAUCUACCCAACUACCUUUGAAGUCAAUUACAUAAGCCCUCAACAUAUUCUCAAGGGUCUGAAUAGUGCGCCUAACUUCUCCAUUAUUUUGAGGGUGAAAUGCAGUACUUAGGUUCACUUGGGUACCUAAACCCCUCUGAAAAGAUCUCCAAAACUUUGAAGAGAAUUGCGUACCUCGGUCAGAUAUGAUAGAUACGGGUGCUCCAUGCAAAUGGACUAUCUCCUCAAUGUAUAACUUGGCAUAAUCAUCUCCUGAGUAGUUGGUCCUCAUAGGUAGAAAAUGAGCUUAAUUGGUCAACCGAUCAACAAUUACCCAAAUAGAAUCAUACUAAUUUCGGGACCUCGGAAGUCCCGUGAUGAAGUCCAUAUUGAUCAUAUCCCACUUCCAUAAUGGCAAAGCUAUCUCUUAGGAAGUACCACCUGGCCUUAAAUGUUCAACUUUAACUUUUUGGUAAUUUAAACACUUGGAAAGAAAGUCAGCCACAUUACGUUUCAUAUUAUUCCACCAAUAUAUAGAUUUUAGAUCAUGGCACAUCUUAGUAGAGCUUGGGUAAAUAACAUACCUCGAAGUGUGAGCUUCGUCGAUGAUUCUUUUUCGCAAACCAUCUACAUCUGGCACAUAUAAUCUACCCUGAUAUCUUAGAAUCCCAUCAACAUCAAUUUCAAAAGACAUCACCUUCUAUUGUCCCACAUCUUUCUUAGUUUGCAUCAAAAUGGGAUCUUCGGCCAACUUCUUUUUAACAUCUACACAAUGGAAAGAUUUGUCCAUCUUUUGAACAACCACUCCUUUAUCUUCGGAAUCUAAGAGUCGUACCCCUAGAUUUGCAACUCGGUGCAUAUCCCUCACCAUCUCUCUCUUCCCUUCCUCAACAUGAGAAAGACUACCCAUAGAUAACCUGCUGAGGGCGUCUCCUACCACAUUCGCCUUGCCCGGAUAAAAAGCAAGCUUAUGUCAUAAUCUUUCAAAAGUUCCAACUAAUGCCUCUGACAGAGAUUUAAUUCUUUCUCCAAGAAAACAUACUGUAAACUCUUGUGGUCAGAAAAUAUAUCAGCAUGUACCAUAUAAAGAUAAUGCCACCAGAUUUUAAGCGCAAACAUCACAGCCACUAACUCAAAGUCAUGGGUGGGGUAGUUUAUCUUAUGCAUCUUCAACUACCUAGAUGCAUAAGCCACCACCUUACUAUGCUGCAUAAGUACACACCUAAAUCCCACUCGGGACACAUCACAGUAUACAACGAAACCCUCUGUACCUGUCACGACCUGAACAAGGGCCUGGUCGUGACGGACAUCCCGAAAUAUGGAGGCCCGAAAUGUUGUUCCCUAUUUGGUAAUCAUGCACAACAUUCGUAUAAAUAAAGAAGAUGUGGAAACAUAAUCUGCUAAAGAAACUGGGACAAGGCCCCCAGUAGACAAAAAUGGAAAUAAUUAACAUAAUGUAAAAAGAAUGGCCUCUGGAAUAUGGAAAGCUCACCAACUAGACACCUGCAACUCUAUCCGUUAAACUCUACUUCUUUUCUAGACCCCUAGACUGAGCCUCAGAACCUAGAGGUAGGAGAGGGGUCACUAAAUAUGUACUGGUACGCAAAGCAAUACAAAAUAAAGAUUUAAUAUAAUUAAAAUAUUAGAGAGAAACUUUGACAAAACAUCCUACAUCAAGUGGUUUUCAAAAUACAAGGGCACUUUCUGAAAGUAUGAAACCUUUCUAUCAAUGCAAAUUCUGAUCUUUUUAUUACUUCUGAGUUAGGUGGCACUCCCAUACAAGUUUGAUAUUCCACGAGCUAUAUGGAAUCCACUAUUGACUCAUCGAGGAAUCCCCCUAAUACUAGUGUACCGCAAGGGUUGGCUUGUCUGAGUCUGAUAUACCUCAGGGCUCUUGGCCAGUGUAAUAUAUGAACUCGGAUCGGCAAAUCACUGUUUUGACCAAUGAGUUAUCUAAACUUAUGCCUUCUUCGGGGAACCACCUAAGCUCUCUUUAUGCCCAAUUUUAUCAUAUUCUGAAUCAUGCAUUCUUUCUAGUUUCAACAUCUGAAAAUCUAAUUUCAAACAUGUGUUCUAUUCUGUUCUGAAUUAUCAUGGCAUAAUCUGAAUUGUUGUUGUCACACCAAGACUUGCAAGUCCUAUUUAUGAGCCAUAAUGCAUCAUGCAUAAUUCUUUCAUUAAAACACAGUUCAUACCCCCCAAACGUGCAAAUAGUAUAAAAGAUUUCAUGUUCUAAAAAUACAAGUCAAAACUAUAAUGAGAUUAAUCAAACAUAUGGUGGUCAUGUGUUCUUUUAGCAAACCAUACGACUCUUUGUCAUAUGCGUAUUCAACAUUUAUCAACAUGCAUAACCCUCUCCUUUUUAUUUCCAAAUCAUAUUCAAGUCAUAGCAUAAAUCAAGACAUUUCAUAUCAUGUUUUCAAGAUGCAAUUUAGAACAAUUCAUAUCAUAUGAAAGAUGGAAAAAAAUCAUAACAAGAGAAGGGUUCAUUAUAAUUCAUGCUCUCAAUUUAAAAUUCAUCCUUAAACACAUUCAUACACACACACACACAUAUAUAUAUAUAUAUAUAUAUAAUUUUUCAAUCAAUUUGGGGGAAGGUCUGAAGACCAAAACAAUACUAUUAAAAUUUCUAAAACAUGAUUAUAUUGAUAAAUCCAAAACCCUUUUCUUAAAACAUGAUUUCUAUACCCAUGAUAUUUUAGGAAAACCUCACGUACCUUGAUUAUGGAGAGUAAUGGAUGAUUCUUGAAUCCUACGGUUUGGGGAUUUCAAAUCUUCAAUCAAUUUUCAAAACCCACGGUUGAAUCUUGAGGGAUCUUUUUUUUGUUUGGGGCUAAGGGGUGUUGUUCUUGAGAGAAAAUUGGAAGAAGAAGUAUAUUUUAUUGUUUUUGGAGUAAAAUUCCGUGUUUGUGGCUUAUAUAGGGGUGGGAAAAUGACCAUUUUGCCCCAAAUACGGAGUGUUUAAGUCACUUGGACCACAAUGUAUGCGGCGCACACCUUAACGCAUAAUCUAGGUUGUGCGGCACACAUUUUAUCACAAACAUUAGGUUAUGAGUCGCACACCUUAUAGCAUAAGUUAGGUUGUGCGUCUCACACCUUAUUCUAGGUGACACACUCCACUUUGCAAAGCCAUAACAUCUUGCUCGGGUGUCGGAUUUUAGUAAAAUUGGUAUCUUUGGAAAGAUAACUCGAAGAUCUUUCAUUUGAUAUAUAGUAGGUCCCUUUAAUUCUAUAUAUAUAUUGGGAGUUAUGGUCGCUGGAAUUUGACUCAAGUGGAAACAUCCUCUGAAACUUAAUCAAUAGAAACGUUUUCAACUCGUCUUAGAGUUAGGAGAUUUUGGUGAUCUCAAAUCCUAUUCAAAGGUAUUCCUACAAUUUAGGACUGAUCACCACACAUAUAAUAACUAGUAAUUUCUUAGUUCGGAUCUAUACGCAUGGGAACGAUGGUCUAAAUUCUAGUCCAAAAGUACGGGGUGUUACAGUACCUUCCGAAAGAGUCAAAACAGGAGCAGUUGUCAACUUUUCUUUCAACUUCUCAAAACUAUUCUCACGUGAGUCAGACCACACGAAUGUCACCUUUUUCUAAGUCAACUUAGUAAGUGGAGCAGCUACUGAAGAAAAAUUCUCUACAAACCUUCUGUAAUAUCCUGCUAAACCCAAGAAGCUCCAAAUAUUAGUUAGAGUCGUGGUUCUAGGCCAUUUUACUACUGCCUCAACCUUUUGGGGAUCAACCUUAAUCCCGUCUCUAGACUCAAUGUGCCCCAGGAAGGCAAUUGCAUUAAGCCAGGAUUCACACUUUGAAAACUUUGCAUACAACUUAUGAUCUUCGGAGGUGAUUGGCAUGAUCCUCCUCACUCUUAGAAUAAAUCAAAAUAUCAUCAAUGAAAACUAUGACAAACAGAUGUAGAAACUAACAAAACACUCUAUUCAUCAGGUCCAUAAAAGUUGCAGGGGCAUUAGUCAACCCGAAGGACAUAACUAAGAAUUAAUAAUGACCGUACCGAGUUCGAAAAGCUGUUUUGGGAAUAUCUGACUCUCUAUCCUUCAACUGAUGGUAUCCCAAACGAAGGUCUAUCUUUGAAAAAUAUUUAGCACCCUGAAUUUAGUAAAAGAGAACAUUAAACCUAGGAAGAGGAUAUUUAUUUUUAACAGUGACCUUAUUAAGAUGACGAUAAUCUAUGCACAUACGCAGGGAAUCAUCUUUCUUUUGCACGAAGAGUACAGGUGCACACCAGGGAGAAACACUAGGAUGGAUAAAACCUUUUUCUAGAAGACCUGCUAGCUAUUCUUUCAACUCUUUCAGUUUUGCAGAAGCCAUUCUAUAUGGCAGAAUAGAAAUAGGACAGUUCUCUAGCAACAAAUCAAUACCAAAAUCUAUCUCCCUAUCAGGAGGUAUUCCUGGGAAAUCAUCUAGAAAGACUUAUGGAAAUUCAUUUACCAUAGGGACAGAUGGAAAGGGAGGACUUUCAGUAUUAGAAUCUUUAACCCAAAUAAGAUAACACAAACAGCCUUUGGAAAUAAGUCUACGGGCUCUAAAAUAAGAUAUAAAUUUCCCUCUAGGUGCGAAAGAACGCCUCUCCCAUUCUAUCACUGGCUCAUUUGGGAAAGAGAAAGUAAUCUUUUGGGUUCUACAAUCUAGCAUGGAAUAACAUGAAUGGAGCCAGUCCAUCCCUAGGAUAGCAUCAAAAUCAACCAUAUCCAGGUCUACAAGUUCUGCCACAGUAUCUCGACCACAAACAGUCAUCACAUAACUUCUAUACAGCCUCCUAGCCACAACUGAAUCUUUAACCAGAUUGGAAACAGAAAAAGGCUCAGCAAUUACAUCGGGCUCAAACCCAAAACCAACAGCUACACAAAGGGUCACAUAAGACAAAGUAGACCCGGGAUCAAGAAACACAUACACAUCACGACAGAAAAUUUGUAACAUACUGGUAACUACAUCUAGUGAGGCCUCCGCCUCCUGGCAGUUAUUCAAGGCAUACAAACAGUUGCGACCGCUACUGACGAUUGAAGUGGCACCUUUUUAAGGUGGUGAUGGUGCGGAAGAAUUAGUUUAUGACUUGGCUCCUCCAACAUUACCUCCAGUAGAAGGGCAAUCUCUUUUAAGGUGGCCUACUUGGCCAUAGGAAUAAAAUUGUUUCCUCUCAAAGUAACACUUCCCAGGAUGAUUCUUCCCGCAGAUACUAUAAAGGGGAAAAAAUCUUGUGAGCUGCAUCACGCUACCCUGUGAAUGGGUGUCGUACAUCCUUCCUCCACUAUUAACCUUAGGAUAAAAGGGUGGUUGAUGACGUAGAGGCUUGGUCUUGGGGGUGCUGGCUGCAGGCUGAGCAUUAUCCAAAUUCUUUCUCUUCUGCCACUUGCUACCCUAAUUUCCACUCUGUGGCUGACUGUGUCUCUGGUCUGCUAUUUUGGCUCUCUUUGCCUAUCUGUCUUACUCCCUAGAUUCAGCGACUUUAUGUUUCUUCUUCUCAACUUACUGCAUGUGGACUGACAGUUUUGCAAAGUCUAUGUCCCAGUUUAGCAUUGCUCCCUGACUUUCAAGCACUAGGUCAUCUGAAAGGCCGGAUGCAAAUUUCCUCAUUCGGGCUCAACGCUUGAUCAGGAAAGAACCGAUCAAGGAUGGUUUCCACGAACUCGCCCCAAACUGUGGGCUCAGCGAUCUCAUGCUUCACAUCCUUCCACUCGUUAUACCACUGACUGGCAAUGUCUUUAAGCUGAUAAGCUGCUAAUUCCACACCUUUCACCUUAUCUACAUGCAUAACUUGAAAGAUAUUCUCUAUUUCAUCCGUAAACUCUUAUAUAUCCUCCUCUACCUUGGUGCCAGAAAACUUGGCUGGGUUCAUUCUCAUGAACUGACACACCCUAAUAGCCUCAGAUGUAGCAGAUGUGGACCCUACAUCUUAUAACCAUUAAGUGUGUGUGGCCACUGACUGCACAAGCAUAUGAAUAGACUGUCUGAAUUGUCAUUAGACACCUCUCUCUCGAGGUUGGGUGUGGUUAGUCCCUAUUUGGGGAGCUCUGGGUGCCCUGGGUAGGCUGUUCUGAGUUGGUGGGACUCCCGGAGUAACAUCAACCUCCGGAGUCUAAGCUCUGUUUUGGGUCCUCAUUCCAUGAGUGGGACGGACCUCAUCAGUCUGGGUAUUAUCGUUAGUGCGAUGAGGAGGAAUGCUUGUUUUCUGCAAUACAAUAGAUCAUUGAUUAGAGGACAGAUUAGACAUUAAAGAAUAAACUGAAUCACAAAGAGGUGAAAUAUUCCUAACCGACUAGUAGCCUCCUAUAUAUAUGUGUAGUGUGCUACACACCCAUAAACAAUACUCUACCCGACGUGAUUUCACAGACACCCGGGGACCAUGAAUCAUGCUCUUAUACCAAGUUUGUUAUGACCCGAACUAGGGCCUGGCCAUGACGAACAUCCCGAACCAUGAAGGCUCGAACGCCGUACUCUAUCGAGUAGUCAUGCACAACAUUCAUAUAAUAAGAGAAGAUGCGGUAAUAUAAUCUAAUACAGAAAUAUGGUCAUACUCUGAAUUCAGUUUAACAUUAAGGAAUGAAAUAUGAAAUCAACUGAAAUCUGAAAUCAACUAAACAAUAUCUAGAACGAUCUGUGGAAUCUCUACCACAUGUUCAAAUGACAACUGUCUAAAAAUUGGGACAAGGCCCCCAGUAGACCAAAACAAAAGAAAUAACAUAAUCUAAUAUAGUAGGGCUUCUAGAACAAAUAAGGCUCACUACUACACUGAUCACUUCUCUCUAGAUACUCUACUGCUUAGCCGAACCCCUAGAUUGAGCCUUCGAACCAGAGAGGUAGGGGGUCAAUACAAAUGUACUUGUACGUAGAGCAAAUCCAAAAUAGUAAUUUAUAUUCAACAUAUAUGAGAGCAAUUUAUAAUAGUUCAUAAUUAUGUCAUAUCGUAAAAAUCAUAUGGGCAUUUUUAAAAGACUGUAAAAUCAUCGGAACUCUGUAACACUCUUUGUUUUUACUUAUGCGCUAGGUGGUAUACCCUAUAAUUUCACAGUUUUCACCGACUACCUUAUCUCGGUUGCCGCCAAGAUAGGAGUACUAGUGAGGGAAGAGCACACAAGAUCACACAACUAGGUUCCAUAACCCCAAUCAAGUCAUUAUAUCAUGGUUGGGCUUAAGAUCACGAAGAAGGGCUCUAAACCAUAAGCCCCGAUUUGAAAUUACAAAGUACUAGGUACACAAGAUCACAUAGCAGGGUACAAAGUUCUCACGUCGGCAAAUGACGGUUUCCAGCAUAGAGUCAUUUGACUAGGGCUUUCUUCGGGUAACUACCUAACUCACAUUAACCCAGUUUUUAACUCUUUAAAAUAUAGAUUCUCUGAAAUUAAACUCUAACUCUAUCAUGGCAUACAUUUAUAUAGUAUCGUCAUACCAUUGACUUGCCAGUCACAUUCCCUGAACUAUUUAGCAAAUUAUAUCUCUAUUCUCAAAACAUGGAAUUUAGGACCACCACAUCAACAAUUCUUUUUAAGAAACUCAUUCUUUAAAACUCAUGUAAGCAUAUGCAAGUUAUCUCUCAUUGUCAACAUUUCAAGAAUUUAAGGUGGUCAUGUCAAAGUUUUCAAUUACAUGUAUUUCUUUCUCUUUAACACAAGAACAUCAUAGUAACACUCUCUCAUUAUUUCUAAAUCAUGUUUCAAUUACUAUGACAUUGAGAAAACUACCUUCAAAUCACAAGGGAUGAAUUUCAACUUUUUUCCAACAAAACCAUAAUCUUUAAUUCAACAUACGAGUGGGGUUUCAUAAUAUGUGCUCUCAAACAAUCUUCAAUCUCAGUUUUCAUACAUAAACAUAUACUUGUAAAUCAAUUCAAGGGGGAAAGACCUAAAUGCCAAAUCAACAAUAUCAUAAAAACAUUUAUAAUGCAUAAUUAAAACAUAGUUUCCAAAAACUCCCUUUAAAAUUCAUGCUUGAUAAUCUUUAAAUCAUGAUGUAGUACUUACAAGCCCAUAUAGUUUUUAGGAUAAACCCUACAUACCUCAAAUUUAGAAUUUGAUACAUGCUUCUUGAAGCCUACGGUUUGGGGAUUCAGAAUCUUUAACCAGUUUCUAAAACCCACAGUUGAAUCUUGAGGUAUUUUUAUUCUUCGGUUGCGACCUAAGUGUUUAGUUCUUGAGGGAAUUGGAGAAAAUAACCAUAUUUUUGUCAAUUGGGGGUUUGUUACGAAUCGAGACUACUCCCUAGUCGUUACAUGGUGCUCAUAACCCCGAAGGACCAUAAGCUAACCUUUUUUCUGAUAUCCGUACCUGAACACUGCACAAUAUCUGGAAAUAAAAGCGGAAACAGGCAGAAACAAGCCAUAGGGUUCAACACAUCUAUAAAUAAUCAAACUAAAAACUAGAUACCAAUACAUUUGUCCUAAAUGCCUCUAAUUGGCUGAACUAUGGAGUUGAUAGGACAUGUCCCGAACUAACUCCGUCAACUAAAAAUAAACUAAGUCUGAUAUAAUAAUAGUAUACCAAGGAUCAUCCUUGAAUGAAGAGGACUCACUUCUAUGUCUACUGCUGCUGAUCAGAACAGAACUGCUGAGGUAGCUCUGGAUCUCGUGCCUCUGAACCUAUGGAAUCAAAAUAAAACACCAUAGCACAAAUGCGUCAGUACGGGAAUGUACUGAGUAUGCAGAUAAGGUAAGGCUAAAUGCAAAGGCUCGUGCAUCGAAAAUUACAUAACAAAAAAAUCAUGAGAGUACCGAACGAGAACACAAACAUGAAUGCACAAAUCAUAAUCACAAUCAUCACAACUCUAAAUACUGAAACGCGAAUAUCACUUUACUAUCAUCUAAACUCAUUACUAACACUGAGAUACUGAAUCACUAGUCAUCUGAUACUGAUAACUGAUUAACUAAAUAUACUCAAAUCAAUGACUGGAUUCUGAGCUCAUUGCUUUCGACUGACUAGAUCGGAGAUCUACCUCUCUAACGAAUGAUUCCAUAAUCUAUUAUCAAUGAUAAGAAAAUUAUCAUGUCCGAAUCUGACAACAAUAAUACUUAAUAGAAUCUGAGAUAGAGAUCAAUCCUAUUAGAUGGGAGAUCUCUAGAUAUGAUAAGAAGAAUACUCAACUAAAGCUGAGAUUGAGAUCAAGCCUAUCUGACGGGAGAUCUCUAGAUAUGAUAACAAGAAUACUCUACUGAAUCUGAGACUGAGAUCAAGCCUAUCUUAUGGGAGAUCUCUAGAUAUGUCAACAAGAAUACUCAACUAAAUCUGAGACUAAGAUCAAGCCCAUCUGAUAGGAGCUUUCUAGAUAUGAUAACAAGUAUACUCAACUGAAUCUAAGACUGAGAUCAUGUACAUCUGAUGGUAGAUCUCUAGAUAUGAUAACAAGUAUACUCAACUAACUCUGAGUUUGAGAUCAAGCCUAUCUAACGGGAGAUCUAUAGAUAUGAUAACAAGUAUCUGUAUAUGAGACCAAGCCUAUUUGAUGGGAUGGUCCAUGAAUCAAUGGAACUAUUUGAAUUCCAUACUGAGAUAGACGACUAUACGACACAAUCUUGAUUUCUGAAGAUUGAUACUAAAACUGCAACUGUGGGAAGUAGUUACUUAAUCAAUAUGCCCGACCUCCCAUAGGUGGGGUCCAACCUGUAACGCCAGCUGGAAGGGUGUUAAAACCGUGGAACGGUUAAAGACCUCUCAGGUCAAGCCUCUCUAAUGGGUGACCCUCACAGGAAGUUGGCGUAAGGCAGCAUAAUAGUCAAACCUCUCUAAUAGUGACAGCUUCUAAUAAUGGGGACUCCUACAUCCUGUGCUAGCUAUGCAAUUCCGGAGUUCAGGGAUUGCUCCUAAUGACUCGGACUCUCUGACGAGGAGCCGUUAUCUCUUUCCUCGCUCAGUACUAGCUCUUACUCCAAAAUGAAAGACUCUGAAUUGAAUUUUCAACUGAACACAAACUGAGCUAAACUUGGUACUGAUCCCAUUUCUCAAAUAAGCUGACUAAAUUAUGUUGAAUUCACAUGGUUCCAUAUCUGAUGGAAUACUAGUAAAUCACGGUAUCUGACUGACGAUACAGAGUUGAAUAGAUUGCUCAAUCACUACCGAGGCUAAAACUGAACACUUGAAUACUACAAGAUUUGAGCUGCGUACAACACUAAGGCUAGAUUACUAGCGAUACAGAGAUUACAGAGAUUUCUGAGAUUUUUUAUGUUUUGUAUCUGUCUGAGGAUACAGGGUUCUAUAAUUCACUAAGUUCUGAGAAUCAUGGCUCGACUGGUAUUAUCAUGAAAAAUGACAUAGGCUCUAUACAACAGCUAAAUUAUCGGGUAUAAAUACCCCAGGACUCGAUAACAUAGAAGUAAAACAUAACCCUUCUUGACUAGUCAUAACCACGGUCAGUCGUUUAUCAUCACAAUCACUAAAGAAUCUCUACAAGCAUUUAGGAAUCAUAACCAUAUAUUCUUCAUCACAAUCACUAAGGAAUCACUUCAGGCAUUUUGGAAUCAUAACAUAUAUUCACCAUCACAAUCACUAAGGUAUCACUUCAAGCAUUUAGGGAUCAUAACAUAUAUUCACCAUCACAAUCACUAAGUCAUCACUCCAAUAAUUUAGGGAUCAUAACAUAUAUUCACUAUAUCAAUCACCAAGGUAUCACUCCAAGCAUUUAGGGAUCAUAACAUAUAUUCACCUUCGCAAUCACUAUGGCUUCAUUUCAAGCAUUUAGGGAUCAUAGACAUAUAAUAUCAUAGGGUAAGCAUACUAUUAGAUCACACUGUAUUCAACAAGGUCUUAUAUCAAGUACUUCACACGUAGGUUAGUCUUGGCAUAUAUUAGAUAACGCAUGUUUGGGGAAACUUCAUACUAUCAUGCCACAAUUUACUCGUCAAGCAAUUGGAAUGUAUUAAAGGCUUAUCAUGUAUCAAAGAGCACGUAAUUGGGAAAUUUCCUACUAUCAUGUCUCAACUUGUUCACGAAGGCCUUUCAACAAAUACUACACAUGCAUGGGUUGUGCCUAAUUGGUAAUUUCAUGCAAUCAUGCCACAAUUCAUUCACUAAGGCAUUUCAACAAACACUAGGCAUGCAUGGGUUUACACCUAAUUAGGGAUUACAUGCUAUCAUGGCAAAACUGAUUCAUUAAGGUAUUUCAUCAAAUAGUAGGAAUGCAUGGACUCAUAGACAAUUAGGGGUUUCCUAAUCAACAUGCUCUAAUGGCCCUAAUUCCUUCACAUAAGUAUUUUAGCAAACAUAUGGGGAGCAUGUUUUUCUCAUUCAACAAAUUCUACACUUAAUUGACAUGAAAACAUCAUCUAACAAGCAACUUGAAGAGGAUUUAUCAUGAACAUCACAUGGGUAUCACAUACUAAGGUCAAAGCUUGAUAAUCUUUUAAACAAACAUGAAUUACAACUCAAUCAUUGCAGGAACAUCAAUUUCAACUAACAUGAAUCAUUAACAACUCAUAAACAUAAAAUUUUUGAGAUUUAGAAAAGGGUACUUGAGCUUCUUGGAUGAAAGGGACCCAAGAAUCAACAUCUGCAUACCUUGGGGAAACUUCUUUCUUGAAACCCCUUGGAGUGAUUCUUGAUUUCUCUUGAUUCUCUUGAUCUUUCUUGAAGAAGGUGUAAGGGUUUUGGUUUUUGUAAAACCUAGUUUGGUGUUGAAGAUGGGAAAUGAGGCUGACAGCCUCUUAUUCGGUAAAAAUAGAGGCUGAUAAAGUGUGAUAAAAGACCCAAAAGCCCAUGGAAUUGAAAUCCGAAAUAGGAAAGUAAAUUCCAAUUUUUCAUGCUGGCACAACAUGCCAUAAUCGCGUCUGCCCACUGGAAAUUGGACAAUUGGGAAAUUGCAUAACGGUGCGACACAGUGGAAAUCGCGUUGCCACCUUGGUUGAAAAUUGAAACUACACCACGAUAUGGUGGAAUCGCAAAGGCUUAAGUCAUUGUAACAAUUGCCAUUUUGGCUAGCUCCGCGAUGCGCUAAAGUGCUAGGUGGUACACUGUCUCACUAAAAUAGCUUUAACUUUUGACCCGAGUGUCAGAUUUGGCCGAAUUUGGUAUCGAUGCAAAGCUUAUUCAAUGAUCUACAUGACAAAAAUUCACUAUUAGAGAAAUUCUACACGGUUCAAAAUAUUUCAAAUUUGGAAAGACACUCUCAAUCUUUUGGGACUGAAUUUAUGCUUCGUCGAACACUCUCUAAGUCUCAGACUAGAAAAGAACUUUGUGGAGUGUUACAAGGCUUAAUCACAUGUUUAUAGCUGAAUAAGGGUGGGGAAAAGACUAAAAUAACCCUAAGGAAACAAGGAAAGUUGCAGCAGUCCCUCAGUUGACAGGUUGAUGUGCUGAAGUAAAUUUGGCUUAACUUUUUAUUUUAAUGUUGGAUUUGGAUAAAAUUAGUUUCAUUGGAAAGAAGACUCAAAUAGAUUUCAUUUGAUAUAGAACAUCUCUCCAAUUUUAUUGUAUACAAAAGUUUAUGAUCAUUUGAAGUCAACCCUAAAAUUAUGGUCUGAAAUGUGCCCGAAAUGCUGGAGCAUUUCAAAGGCAUUUCAAACCGGUGUGUUAUGUCCCUAAAAUUCAUCAAGGCAUACUAUUUACUUGCCCCAUCACUUAUUAAUAAUAAAAUCAAGAAACAGAGGUCGGGAAGAUUGUUAAAUAAUUCAUCAAAUAUUGGGAGCUAUAAAAGAGACUAAGUCUCUUUGAAACUUAGAGAAAUUUUUGAGUUUUACUCUAUAAGAAUGCUACUAGAAGCUAAUACAUGUACGAAUUUUGUGCCUUGUUACACUUCUCUUAUAUGUUGAUGAUAUGUUGAGAGUAGUAAAGGAUAUGAGACAGAUAAUAAAAGUCAAAUCCCAGCUCAGGAGUUUGAGAUGAAGGAUCUAGGAGCAGCAAAGAAGAUCCUUGGCAUGGAAAUAAUGCGAGAUAGACAAAAGUGUAAGUUAUACUUGAGUGAGAAAAGGAAUAUUGAGAAAGUGCUUCGCAGAUUUAAUAUGCAAAAUACAAAACCUGAAAGUACUCCAUUGGUAGCUCAUUUCAAAAUCUCGGCCACUUUAUCUCCAAAAAUAGAUGAUGAGCAUGGCUAUAUGUCUUGAGUUCCAUACUGUAGUACCAUCGGGUCUCUUUUGUAUGUGAUAGUGUGUUCCCGACUAGAUUUAUCUUAUGUUGUCAGUGCAGUUAGCAGACAAUGGCAAAUCCUGGCAAAGAAAUUGGAAAGCAGUUCAGUGGAUUUUCAAAUACUUGCAUGUAUCUACUGAUGUUUUUUUGAAGUUUGGGAGAAACAGAGAGGGAGUAAUUGGGUAUGUUAAUUCUUAUUUUGAAGGAGAUCGUGAUAAAAGGAGAUCCUUUAAAGACUAUGUUUUCUCUAUUGGUGGUUUUGCUAUUAGUUGGAAAGCUACAUUACAGUCUACGGUUGCUUUGUGAACUACUGAGGCAGAGUAAAUGGCUAUUACCGAAUCUUUCAAGGAAGCUAUUUGGUUGAAGGGUCUAUUUAGUGAACUUAGCAAAGACUUACAGAUUAUUAUGGUCUUUUAUAACACUCAGAGUGCUAUCUUCCUUAUGAAAGAUCAGAUAUUUCACGAGAGGACAAAGCACAUCGAUGUUCGAUAUCAUUUUGUGCAUGAAAUUAUUGCUCAUGGUGAUAUUGUCGUAAACAAGGUUAGUAACCAUGAUAAUCCUGCUGAUAUGAUGACCAAGAUACAACUAAGUUCCAAGUUUGAGCAUUGCUUGGACUUGGUUGGUGUUAGCUAUUAGGGGCUUUUGUUGAAUAGGUGGAGAGUUUGUCUUGGAAUGGAUUUGAGUUCUGAAUUAGAAUUCGUGUCAAGGUGGAGAUUUUUAGAGUUGUGACCCUAAUUAUGUUGAGCCGACCCUGAAAGUCCCGCGGUAUUGACCAUUGUGUUUUUUAGCGUAGGACUUAUUGGUAUGCAUGUAUUAUAUAAGUGCAAUUAGUGGGCCUAUUUUGAUUAUUUAGAAAAUCCAGACUUCUCCAUAUCGUACUCUUUCUCCAUUAUAGUGAAAUCUCCUCUGCCUCUGCCAGUUGUUUUUUCUGUAAGGGUUUCUAUGAAAAUCUUGAGUGUUGUUCUUGAUUUUUCUUUGCCCUUGUGAUUUGCUUAUUCUUUUUAAAUCAUAACAAACUAAUUGUUGGUGUUUGUCCUGACUUUCUUACCAUAAUUGGGUUUUCCUUUAGGUACCAUAAUUGGGUUUUCCUCUUAGGAAAAGGAAAAUAUAUUCUCCAUAUUUGGCUAAUCCUUAUUCUUGUAGGAAAGGUUAUAGACUUUAUAAAUCGAUUCUCCUUUCUUCUAGUUUUGUAGCAUCCACAAUGUAGUCUGUAAUACCCCGGGAAAUUUUUCGUUGAAAUUUUAUGCGUAAACGUGUUGGGUUCUAUCUACUAGAAUUAAUUAUAAAUUUUCCAUGCAGAAUGUAUUAGAUUAUGAUUCACCGUUGAGUAGAGUAUCGAAUAAGCUUUCAAACAAAGAUGUAUCAUCCAAAACGGACACCCGAGCGACGAGUUAUGAACAUUCCAAUCGAUCCAUGAAUAGUAGUGAAGAGUAAAAAUUGUAGGAAAAAGUACUGAGGCCUGGCGUAUUUUUUUUCCAACUUUAAACGAUCAUAACUCCUUGUACAUAAUGAUCUGGGUGAUCUAAUAUAUAUCAAAGGAAAGAUCUGUGAGUCCUCUUUCUAAAAAAAUUGGUUUCAUCCAAUUUUUCUAUCGGAGCAAAAAGUUAUGGUCGAUCUACUUCAGCCUAUCAAAAGCGAAUUUAUGGGUCAAAUUCAAAUGAUCAUAACUUCUCGUACACAAUUAUCUAGGUGAGAUACUAUAUAUUAACGGAAAGAUAUGAGAGUCCUGUUUUUAAUGAAAUUGGUUUCAUCAAAUUUGGAUAUCGGAGUAAAACGUUAUGGUUGAUGUACUUCAGACUAUCAAAACAGUCCACCAAAGGACAGAUUCAAGAAUUAUUUGAUUUUUAGGGGCGUUUUGGUCAUUUCCCCUCACCCAAAAUCCGUCCAAACCCUAUAUUAAAGCCUUUUUGAAGUAUUAUAUGUUAUAUUUCAUCAAAUUCCCUCAAAAUGAAAACCCUAAGCUCCUACAUCCAACUUCAAGAACCUCUAAAGUUCACCAUUAAUUCUGUAAAUUUAUUCAAGAUUCCAAGUUCCUAGUUCAAGAACUCCAAGAACCAUCAUUCAAAGGCACGAUUAACAUCUCAAAAAUGAGUAUCGAUCUAAAGUUCAUCANNNNNNNNNNNNNNNNNNNNNNNNNNNNNNNNNNNNNNNNNNNNNNNNNNNNNNNNNNNNNNNNNNNNNNNNNNNNNNNNNNNNNNNNNNNNNNNNNNNNNNNNNNNNNNNNNNNNNNNNNNNNNNNNNNNNNNNNNNNNNNNNNNNNNNNNNNNNNNNNNNNNNNNNNNNNNNNNNNNNNNNNNNNNNNNNNNNNNNNNNNNNNNNNNNNNAGUGUGGUGAAAGAAAUCCACGUGGUUGAUUUUGAUAGAUGAGAAGCAUGAUGGCUCCCGAUGUAUAUUUAUAUAUUACUGAAAUUGUUUUGUUGUGGAUUGUCUUUGAAAUGACCUGAGCUAAGUCUUGGAGAAAUCUUUAGCACCGACUGGGAGGUGUAGAGCGACCUUACUUCCCUAAAACUGCGUGCCCCCGUAGGAGUGAGCCUAAGGCUGAUUUAUAUAGUGAUCACUAGCUUGUGUGGACUUGAUAUCGAUAGUCCUACUUCGAUAGCAAGGAUAGGAUAGCUCUCCCCAACGUGGGAUGUACGUUGGACUCCGUGUAGCUCACAUGGUUUAUGUCGGUUAUAGGAUCUCCGAGUGUGUGUGUUUCCGUGUGUCUAUGGUGAACAGUGAAGUGAUUUGAAAGUGGAAUUGUGAAAGUUAUUUUUUUGAAAGACUUAAAUGAUAUUUACAUUAUGACAAUUGAUAUUCUUGAUGAACUGAAAGUGAUUGACAAAUUAUAUGAUGACUCACAUUUGUUAUUGUACUUAUUUCAUCAUCUCAUGAUUAUGAUGAUUUUCUUUGGGCUAUGUGAGUCUUUUAUACAUCCUGCAUAUUUCUUAUAAAUAUUUAUGAUGAUGAUAUUUACAAAACUGCAUUCACCCCCAUAUACUCGGUUCCUUUCCAUGGUACUUACCCACAUCUUCGGAUGUGGGCUACAUUUUCUCGGAAUGUAGGUUCAGGUGCUCAAUUCAAGGAUCGACAGUGAUUCUUCGGGCACACUGUUCUACAUCCUCUAUCGUGGUGAUUCCUCAUGUUCCGAGGAUUUGAUGCCUGAUGUUAGUUUCACGGAAUAGUUUACAUUUGAUAACUGAGUAUGAGUCAGUUGGGGCAUGUCUUAAUGGCUCGCUAAUUUUAUUGAUUUUCUUAGAGGCUUGUCAGACUAGUAUAGAUGUUGGGAGUUGACUAAUAAGUCGUAUUUAGUUAUCUUCCUGAAAUUUUUUUAUUCUUGGAUGAUGAUUACUCUGUUAAUAUUUGAGGGUUAUUUAUGGAAACCCCGUUGAUAUGUGUUGAACUGAAUGAAAAUGGCUCAAAGGGUUAGCUUGGGCUACUCGUAGCCUCAAGCACCGUGUGACGCUCCGGAACCCGUUUUCGGGGCGUUACAUAGUCCUAGGGGUUUGAGAGUUUCAUUUUGGGGGAGACUUUGUGAGACACAAGUGUUGCAGGAUCACUUGUGUGAACCUCUUUUCUAUUCUGAGUGAAUUUUUUGAGGUUGUCCCUCUUGACAGUUUGUGCUAUCUUUUCAUAGUGAAUUUCUUAUCUCCUUUUGUGGAUAUAGGUCGAUUGACCGAACUACGUUAAGUUCUUGUUUCUCGUUUUGUGUAUCUCUCGUUUAUCUUCUUAUGUGGUAUUUUUUGAGGUUUACUUUGCUAGCUUUCGCAUGACACCUAAUUAUUUUGAUCCUAACAAGUGGUAUCAGAGAGAGAUUAAAAUCGGGGGUUCAUCUUGGCAGAUUCAGUUCUAAUCGCAACCUAUUUGAAGAUAAUGAUGAUUUUAGUUUGAGAAAUUUUAUCAGAGUGUUACUCUGUGUAGAGACAAGAUUUAAAGAAGGAUAUUUUGGAGAUGGAGAUUGAACUUGUUUAAUACUACAUGAAGAAAGUGGAGCAAAUUUAUUUUAUCAGAAAUUCAAGCCAAGGGAGAGAAUUGAUGGUGUUUGUCCUUACUUUCUUACCAUAAUUGGAUUUUCCUUUAGGUACCAUAAUUGGGUUUUCCUUUUAGGAAAAGGAAAACAUAUUCUUCAUAUUUGGCUAAUCUUUAUUCUUGUAGGAAAAGGUUAUAGACUCUAUAAAUGGAGGAUCCCUUUCUUCUUGUUUUGUAGCAUCCACAAUGUAGUCCUAGGGGUUUGAGAGUUUCGUUUGGUGGGAGACUUUGUGAGACACAAGUGUUGCGGGAUCACUUGUGUGAACCUCUUUUCUAUUCUGAGGGAAUUUUGUGAGGUUGUCUCUCUUGACAGUUUGUGCUCUCUUUUAUAUAUUGGAUUGCUCAUCUCCUUUUAUGGAUGUAGGUCGAUUAACCGAACCACAUUAAAUUCUUCUGUCUCUUUUGUUGUAUUUCACAUUUAUCUUCUUAUGUGGUAUCUUUCGAGGUUUGCUUUGCUAGUUCCGCAUGACACCUAAUUAUUUCGAUCCUAACCAUUUUUAAAUCGUGGAAUGCUAUAAUUUCCAACAUUACAUUCACAAAAGUUCAUUCUGAUCAAUCCAAAGCUCUAGGAUGUAAAAACUCUUGUUACUGAGAUGCCCUCACGAGUUCCAAUUUACAUAUGUGGACAAUCUUAUUAGAAUUAUUAGAGGUAAACAACCAUUUCCUCUGAUAGGAUUCGAAAGAACACAUUUGUUAGGCUCAAAUAAUGGCUUGGGACUUUUGAAGAAACCUAAAGCUUAUAAGAAAUUUGUUCAAUUGAAUGCAUCAUCUAGACAACAACACAUUCUUGAGUGCCCAUACAGGAAACCUCAUGAAUACAUAUUUCCACAUGCUUGUUGGUUAUGUUAUGAUUCUUACGACGAUGAUAACAAAAUUUUGUAUUGAUCUAUAACUUUUUUUAUGUUGUGUACUCUAUGAGUAGGGGUUCUUGGACAAAGAAGAAACUACAAGCUGCCCCCAGUAUCACAACAACGUCUCCUUGGCUGCGAACUACUCCCUAAAUCAAGUUCACGUGAGUGCAGGGAAUUAGCUUUGAAGGUGAUGCAUACUGGUCUCUGAAUGAAAAACAUGCUCAUUAUGUACGUAAAAAUUCUACAAACAUAUACUUGAUGUGAAGUCGGACGAAUUGAAGGAAUUUUCGACACUAAUUUUGAUUGUUACAGAUGCACACUUGUUUCAUUUGUCUACUCUGAUAGGUAGCAUUAGUGCAUAUGGAGGUGACAGUCAUUUUACAAAAUUGGACAUAUGGAUCAUGAAACAAGUUAAUUGGAAAUGGUUUAUGAAAAUUUAAUUGCAAGUGUUUUCUCAAAAAUUAUAAGCAUUUGUGCCCCAAGGAAGAUGGUGAAGCUAUCUUUAGUAGAGUAGGGUACAACAAAAUUGAGUUCGUUGCAUUUGGCGCCUUAAUGUGUGCUCUCUUUUUUAACUUAAACCCUAUCCUGGUUUUUUUUAAUAAUUUACACCCUAAUCUAUUUAUUUCCUUACAAAACAGUAAAACCACUCUUAUAAUAAUUUUUCCAUGAGGGAAAAAUAGGAACAACAAUAAUAAUGAUUUUAUAUUUAGAGAGAGAUCUCCAAACAAAAAACAAGUAGCUACCACAAUUAAACAAAUCUUCUUGACGGAUAUAGAUGAUUUAAGUACCAAAAAAUCCACAAUCAAAUAUGAGAAUGGUAACUUCAUAAUCAUAUGCAUUUGCUUCCAUAAAUUGUUGUGUACAAGUGCAAAUGCGUGUGAAACUUACUCUUGAAGCCACUUGGAAGUACAAUAUAUAUAAUACAUGAAAGUACAAUAUAUAUAAUACAUUUCUAUAACUAAAGAGCUCCAACUUAAACAUCCAAAAUUUCUUGCAAGAUUUAAUAUCAAUUCAGCGCGAGCAGAAGAAUCUCAUAUUAUUUCAGUAGUUAGCCAGCAAUAUGUUCUGUAAUAGCCAUGCUGAAACUUAGGCCUGGUGAUUCAAUCCCAAACAGGUUAACUAAACUAGAUAUACCAUGAGUUUCCACUCCCUGCAAAACACGCAUUUGAGGGACUGUCAGAUUUAGCAGACAGAACUACAACUGUGAUAUAAUGGAAAACUGAUCCCGACAAUUCUUGUCAAAGAUUGGAGAAAGAUCCGAUGAGAGUACUUUCUAUAACUUCGUCACAGGGAAACACCUGAACCGUUAAUCUUGUAGCGAUUACUGAUCAGUUAAUCACAUGUGAUCAGGGUAGCACAAUACAAUGAUGAAAUAGAUCUACUACAGAACUUAAGGGACCAUUCUGGUUGAAACUAAGAAUAAGUUCGAUGUGUUACCUGAACAACAAAAUCAGUAGAACCCUCUUCUGGACCAAAAAGCUUUGGUCUGAUUCCUGCAUAGCCUGGCUCCAAGGAUCCAUCCUUCAGACCAGGGUAGUAUUUUCUUAUCUCUAGGUAGAAUUGAUUUGCACGAUCUUCAUGCACAAAGUAAUCGAACCUAGAAUAUCAUAAGCAUAUCAUAUCAGAGAUUAGAAUUCUACUCCUAUUAGUCUCGUAAUGCAAGAAGAGUAACUAUUUCCAGCAUUAAGCAAAUCUUUGGACUAUCCUGAGAUUCCAUUUUCCAGUUAAAGUGGAAAGAAGAUGCUUUCAAACCUUUCAAUAUGCAAAAACUUACAUUAUCUGUCUAAACAUUCAUCACCUACAAUAUCUUGAAAGAGAAAGGAAUGUACAAAAUUUUGAGCUUCAGUUGGUGCAAACAAAGAUGAAAUGUCAAUUCAAUAGCUUGAUGUCCAUCAUCAGAGAUAAUAACAAGGACAUAACAGACAAAUUCAAAAUUUCUAGUGUCUGCAGUAAAGUUUUGAUACUGACAUAAAUGUAAUCUAUUUAUCCUAUACAAAAGAAUUUGAAUUGUUUGAUGUUUCAACAUAUAUAAGAAUCUAUUUUUCCAGUUUAUUACUCUUGUUAUCGUGAGGCAAACUGAUAUGUUUCUUCGUAUGAAAGAAAAAGAGGAGAGCAAAUAGGUAAAAGUUGUUAGACAAAAACAAAAAUAAAAAAUACAGAGAGCAGAACAAGAAACAUAUCAUCCCAAAUUUUUACCUUUCAAUUUCUCCUUCUUCAGUCGAUCUUGCAAUUUAUUUUUAUUUUCAUCCAUUGAUAUUUACUCGCUUUGUAAUUUAUCUUCAAAAUAUGAAUUGCCACUUUGUUUACAGUUGUAGGGUUUAACCUAGUUACUGAUGAAAAAGUGAAUGGCAGGAAGGAUUUAUUUCAUCCAACUUCCUCCACUAAAAAUUAAAUAAUUUUUUUUUAAAAUAUUAUUAUUCCUAGUUUGCCCUCAUAAAAAAUGAUUAAAAAAGUGAUUUUACAAAAUAUUUUACUUUUGCAAGGAAUUAAGAGAUCGAGUGUUAGUUAAAAAAAAAAAAGAAACACAUACACAUUAGGGUGCAAAACGCAACAGACUCCAACAAUAUUUAUAUAUAUUAUCCUAAAUACCAACAAUUUGUUGGGGCAACUUACAAUUCAAAUCUUAAAUACUAUGUCUUUUCUCUUGGAGAUAACACAUGUUUGGAUAGCUUUUAUUUCCGUAGACUUAAGGUCAUACGCAAGAGCAAGCAAUAGAGUACACCAUCGAAACAAAGAUCAUAUAUUUGAGAAGACACAUGUGAUGUCUACCGAGAAAUGACAAAUUUUUCUAAUUCUAUCUUAUGCAUUGAUGUGUAAUCCUUGGAAAUGACGUCUGUUAUUGCUGUUGGUGUCACCGAAUUUGGAGUUAGGUGGUUGAAGUAUGGUAGGGAUGGUGCUGGUGCUGUGGGUAUAACUUUUUUCAGGUGUUUCUAUGCCAGAACAAUGGCGAAAGUAAGGGUGAUUCACGACAUAGCUAAUGCGGAGCAUGGUGAAGUGAUCAAUGGGGCUAGAAUCAGAGGGAAUUAAUUAUUGUGAUUGCAUUUCUUGAACACUAAUUUCUUUUUGCGGUUUUUAUGCAAAAAUGUAUUAAUUGAAUUCUGGAUGAAUUUAAGCGUGAGAAUAUUAAGUUGCAUCUUGAUAUUUAUAGAAGACUUUCUUUCUUUUAGCUUAUUCUACUGUUUUUGGGGGGUCUAUGCAUUCAGUAUUUUUUCCCCUUCUUUUCUGUCUGUUUAUUUAGAGUUUUAUCAAAAUUUUGGAUGUUUUUCAUUUAUUUCAAAUAUUUAAUUCACAAUCCAUUUAGAAAAUUUUCGUAAAAGCCAUCCCUUUUAAACUUUAGGGUCAUAACUCUUGUGUAGAUUUGUCUUGCUCGCUUUUGUCAUCAAUAAGGACUUUAAGCAAAUGCAAGGGUCUCCCGAGGCCAAAAUGACAGCAAAGAUAUAACACGUCAGAUAUUCAGUCAAAAUAUUGUUGGACUCUUGUCUCUCAAGAUUUUCACACUUCUGAGUUGUCAGUUAGAAUGUCACUACUAAGUAACGACAAGCCAAUUCCGUGUAAAUAGUCAUCCAGGCAAGCAAAACCAUUUUUGUCAAGGUCUAUAUUGUAUCAAGAAGUUUAAAAAAAGAAAAAAAAAAACUAAAAUACAAGACAUUAAAAUCUUGCCUAUUUUGAACCAAACUUUCACACCCAAAAUCUCUGCUUCCUUAGUCCUUGUCUACACAGUACGAGGAUUAAACAGAUGCAAAUUGUGAACAAUAAAUAUAGAGGAUACAUAUAGCUGAACCAACUAGUUUGGAAUUUAGGCAAAUUUGUUGUUGUACUCUUAUAUCAUGAUAUCUAACAGAAGGAAAAUGCAUUUAUUUUAGCUACCAUAAGAUUUGGGUUUUCCAAGACUCGAUAUUUUUUUGACUUGAUCAUAUGAAAGCAAGAAAACUAAAAUUCAUCCCCAUUUCCUAAUAAACUUUCCAAACCCAAAAUUUCUAAAUUCCUCGCAUUGCUCUUCGACAUUUGGAAUGAAAUGGAUCCAAAUUUCUCACUGUGCUUUCCUGGAGUAUUCUUCAAUGGAACAGUCAUAAAAUAUAUAGCUAAGGCUAGCACUAACAGGGCUAAUCCUCACAUGGUGAGCCAAGAGGUCUUUGACUACACAAGGGUCAAUCAAUGGUGUUACAUCUUAUACAUGUGUGGAGAGAAGUGAAGUCCUGGCCAUCGGUGUACGUUUAAGCAACGAAUGGCAUCAUUGGUGAAACUGUGGAGAUGAUAGAGAACAACUAGGAUGCGAAAGAUCCAAUUGCACUACACCUUUUCACUACACCCGUCGGUGUUCUUUCUACAAUUGCACGGACACGUCCCAUGAAUUUAAUGCUUAAGCUAUUUCUGAUAUCAACAAGGCCUUUUAGUUCAUUCAACUUGUCACUUGCCUGGCCAGAUGUGCAACUUUCUUUGCCUAUGAUAAAACUUGUCAACGUCUGUAGAGAUGUUAAUUGACCAAUUCCAGGUGGCAUAUCUUCCAGGGAUGAGCAACCAUCUAAAUCUAAAUGCAUGAGACUUUUCAACUGCCAAAGUCCUCGGGGAAUAUGGGUUAAUGAGUGACACCUUCGACAUACAAAACAUCGAAGGCUCACCAAUCUCCAAAUAUCUCUUGGCAAAUUUUUUGAGUUCUUCGCAAUCAUCAAACUUCAGAACUUGUAGAUUAUGCAGUUCUUCGCAAUCAUCCAACUUCAGAACUUCAGAACUCGUAGAUUAUGUAGUUCUUCGCAAUCAUCCAACUUCAGAACUUGUAGAUUAUGCAAUUUUGUGAUGGAAUUUGGUAAAGUAGAAAUGCUCCAAGAAAAUAUACAGAGAUAACUUAGAUGCUUCAGCCCACCUAAAGAUUUAGACAGAAACUCUAUCUUCAGGUGACCUAGAUGUAGGAGGCGCAAGCGUGAAAAACUUGAAAUCAUUCUCGCUAAAGUUGAAUUGCUAAGGACAUUGAUUGGAGAUUGAUUUAGAAAAAUAAAUGCACGCAACUUCAUAUGCUUCCUAUAGAAUGAAUUGGGAAAUGCUGAUGAACCAUCAAUCUUGAAUAAACAAGAAGCAUAGAGAGUUUGUUCUGGUACAACUUCUGUAUCUUCAGUUUUAGUGAUACUAAAGAAGUCCCUAUCUGCAACUUCUUUCGCAAGAUCAUGAAUAAGAUCAUGCAUUUUGUAAAAUUGCAUAAACGAUUCAUGUUCUUCAGUUUCUUGAAAGAAUGACCUUCUUAACAAAUCCGUGAAAUAUGAAUUUGCAACAUACUCCACAUUAUCUGUGUUGCUAGUAGUUGCUUGAAUAAUGCCUUGAGCAAUCCACAUGGUAAUCAAAUCAAAUCUACCAAUUUUGAAAUCCUUUGGAUAGAGGGAACAAUAUGCAAAGCAUAUCUUUAAAUGCCGAGGAAGGUGAUUAUAGCUCAAUCGCAAAAUGACCAUUACAUCAUUUCCUCCUCGAGUGAUACUUGACAAAUCUUUGAAUUUGAAAUAUAUCCACUCAUCCUCCGUUCUUUUGAGGUGUAGUAGGCUUCCUACUGACGUUAUUGCAAGAGGAACUACUCCACACUUUCUCACAAUUUCUUUUCCUAUUUCCACCAAACUUGAAUUUUCUCUCUCUUUGUUCCAUCCAAAUGCCAUUUUUUCAAACAAUAUCCAUGCUUCUUCCUCUGAAAGGUCUCCUAAUUUAUGUUGGUGAGCACUUCCUGAAACUUCCGCCACCACGUCUGAACGAGUAGUCAGCAAAAUCUUACUUCCCUUGCCUCCACCAAUCAACAUAUUCUUCAUUCUCGACCAUUUCAAAGGAUCUUUGUUCCACACAUGAUCGAGCACUAGCAAAUACUUCUUUCCAUCAAGCAUUUUCCUAAGCUCGUUUUGCACUGCAUCUUGUUGAACGUAAUUAUCCUUCUUCCCUCCCCCAGAUUCAGUGAUUUUUUCUGCAAUUCUUUUCACUUCAAAUACAUCCGAAACACAUACCCACAAUGUUUUUUCGAAAUUCUCCUUAACCAUUUCAUCAUUAAACGCACAUUGUACGAGAGUGGUCUUUCCUAGCCCCCCAAGACCAACAAUUGAUAUGACCACAACAUUCUCUUCAACCUUAGAAUCCAAAAGAAAAUCCACAAUUUUCUUUUUAUCAUCAUUUCUUCCAAUUACUUCUCCUUCAGGCACAAAUGAAUAAGUUUCUCUAUCCAAAUUGAAUUGGACUGAAUAAGGCUCCCGAAGAAAAGGUUCGCUCCUUUCAACUAGGUUUAAGGAGGCCUUAUCUUUUGGAAUUAGAUCUAGGUCUCGUCGAAUAGAAUUGAGACGAUGACUUAUCUUACAAUUACAAAUUAUAGGAUUUGAUUUUGAGAAGAAGAUGCCUACCUUAUUAAACAAUUUUCGAUGCUUCACUUCAGUGGCGACGUGAUCCAAGAGAUCAACAGCUUCAAAAAACACUUUUUUAAGCCUUUUUAUCCAGUCCCUCACCAGGUAGCUACUCCCCUGCUGCUCCUCUGCAUCAAUGAGUACGGCUUGGAUGGAAGAAACAGUAGCAGAAAGAUUUUUAAGCUCAUCGAGUAGUCCAUAAAUAGAUUCUACUUCUUCAGUACCAAGAGAACCCAAGCUUUUCAAGAUUUCAGCAGCGAGAUUGAACAGAAUUUCAGCCAUGAUCAGCAAGAUGAACAAGUUUGCUGCUUCUUUUUUUGGGUUGCAAAAUGUCGAAGUUGCCUUUGCCUACCACAAACUAGAAUUUAUAUGUGGUACAAAUGACAAAAACUUUUUGUGUGGUUGAUUCUUUGCUUGUCCAGAUUUUCUUCCUAUAUUCUUUUCUUGGGAUUGUUAGGUAUAAAGUGGAAAAAAAGAAUAUAACUACUUGGUGCUUCUCCUACCUAGAACAAUAUAUAUACUUCGCAACACUUAUUUACAAUUAGAUGUAAUGUAAUUUCACUCUGAUCUAGUUAUUCUUAAGAUUAAUUAUUUAGUUAAAUAUAAAUUUGGAAUGCUAUUAAUUGUUUACAUUGCUAGUACUAUCGAAGAUUUCAUUACUUAAACGGGGUUGACAGUCAAAAAAUAUGAGAAAAAAAACUUUUCACCUAUUAGUACUGUUAUUUAAAAAGAAUAUUCAAUUAAUCAUCCUUGAAUUCCGCCAUUGCUUCUAGCACAAAUGGUAGCUUAGUAUCUUUCCAUAGAAACUUAUUUGUAUUUAGUAUUUACAUUUAACUAGUAUAUCGCGCGGGAAAAUAGUGUAACAUUUAAAUAAUUAUAGAUUUCAAUGACAUUCUAUUUUUAAAAGUAAUUGUUCAUUUAUUUUUAGUAUAAUAGAAUUAAAUUAUUUGCAUUUGAUUAAGAAAUUGUUAUUUGAUUUAGAAAAAUGGGGGAAUGGAUGUAAUUAAAAUGUGGAUUUGAAAUUAUUUGACAUUUAAAUAGUCAUUAAAUUCUUAUUCAAUUUUUUGUAGGCAUUUAGGACAUUAAAAAUAUCAUUAAAUAGAAUGGUAAAAAAUGAAGUAUUUUUUAAAAGGAGUGGCAUAAAUGAAUAAAAUUAUUUAUAAUAAUGACAUAAAUAUGCAUAUAUUUAACGUAUGAAAUAAAUGUUUAAUAUUUCUAUGUUCAUUGACAACUAUUUAUUUUUAAUUAAUAUUAAAUUAUUCUUACAUUAGUUAUUUAUAAAUUUUUGUAUUUUCUUAUUGAAUGUAAUAAUAUAUUUUUUUUAUAAUUUUAUGAUUAAGAAAAUGAGAAAAAAAAUCUAUAAAAAGAUUAAAGAAUGAUAAAUCUAAAAAAUUAGAUAAAAUAAUAAAGAUUUAUACGUGAGUGCCUGAAUAUUAUUAUUUUGUUUAAAGAAAUAAUAUAUUAGAUGUUUUUUCUUCUUUAAGAAAUGUUAUGAAUGAGUUAAAUUGAUAAAAGUAAAAUAUAAAGGCCAGGCUAUACACAAUUAUAAAAUUUAUAAAAAAACUCAGUCCAAAGGACAAAAUAUAUUAAAAAAAAAGAUUAUAUUCUUAUAGAUUUUUCUAGAUUUGGGAAAGUACCUUGUCAGCGUUUCUUUUUGUCCGAAAAGUUUCCUUUUCACUUUCAUCUCAAUUUGGAAACUCCAUAUUGUAAGAUAUCUUUUAGCAAAUAUGUUAUUAUUUACUUAUUUGGAACAAAAAAUGGUAGCUCUUUCUUCUUAGUUAUAUCGAAGUAUUCCGAAUUGUUUAAUUUGGUUCUUUGAAAUAAUUCAAGCUUUUUAUUGUUAAGUUUCUAUAGAUCUAUGAAAAUACUCACCAUUUAUGUUGUUUGGUAUCUGAUUGUGGACUUGGUAAUGUCUGGUAAGUUCUUCUGUUAAUUUGAUCUUUCUAGAUUUGAACAUUUAAGUGAAAUCUAUGGUUUAUUAGUUUUUGAAUUAGUUAUAGAUGUCGAAAAAUAAACUCCAGUCAUUUGUUAGUAACUGAUUUAUGGUCUCUGUAAAGUCUGGCAAAUUCUGCUAUUUUUGUGAUUUUUUCCAAUUUUAAUUUCAGCAUGCAAUUGAAAUAUAUGGUUUAUGUUGUUGAAUUUGUAGUAGAUGUUGGAAAAUAAUCUUCUUUUAUGUCAGAUUUCGUGGUCUUUAUAAUGUUUGGUAUGCUCUCUUAUCAUUGCAAGAUAUUCUUUUCCUCUUUAAUUAGUACAUGCAAGUGAAAUUGGAGAUCUAAUGCAUCUAAGCUGAUAAAAUAUAGAAUGAAAUAAAAUUUUUUGACUAAAAUAUAGAAUGAAUCUAACCUGUUAUUGUGGUCUUAGCAAUAUCUAAUAAGCCUUUUUCUUCCUUAGUUAUUUUUAUUCAUUUCUGAUUUGAACAUGCAAAUAAGAUUUGAGCUUGAUGUAGCUGAAAAUAAUCAUUAUAAGCUGUAACAACAUGGUUAAGUUACCAAAAUUUGGUAUGUUUAAAGGUUUUUCAGGCCUCUGUUGUACUUUUCUAUUUUGUAUUGAAGAAUCUAUAGUAGAUAUUAUGUAAUUUAUAUCUAUAAUGGUCUAACGUGUUGUUGAUUGGGUUUUGCUUUCUUGUUAUUGUUGUGACUAUUGGUAUUUUCAUUAGCUUGGUAAUCAUCCAUGUUGAUUUAUUUUUCCAUGUGGUUAUGAUUCUACUGAAAAUAGUAUAAUUGAUCUGCAAAACUUUCUAGUAUUGUGUUGUUAUUCUCAUACAAAACAGUAAUGUUUAUAUAUGUUAUUUAUAUAUUAAUUAUAUACUGAUUCUAAUGAACAUGGUUUUGAUUUGCAAUUGACAGUAUCAUUUAUUGUGCUGUGAUAUUCAAGUUUUGUAGUGAAUCUUGAGAUUUAUUCAAGCCUUGUUCAUGUAACAUUGUAGUUUCUUGUCCUUCUGUUUCUUUUACCUAAAUUAUCGUACAUUUUUGUUGUAGUUUUUUUUCUGUUACUAUCUGAUCCUUUGUAUAAGUAUCUGCUUGCUUUUUCACUCGCAUAACUUUUCUUGAAACUGCUUAGGAAUGUUUUCCUUUAGUUGAGGGUCUAUUGGAAAAAACUCUUAACAUCUGAAAUACGGGUAACGAUUGUGUACACUGUACCUUUCUGAGACUCUAUUUUGUGGGACUAUACUAUAUAUGUUGUUGUUUUCUUAGAUUUUGUUGCUACCGUAUUCCCAUUUCUGAUGAUUAUGUUGUGUGAUUCUAAGCAAAGUGCUUAGUCAUUCUGAUUUUGCAACAACACAUUAAUAUUUUGGUUUAUAUGCUAUAGUGCAAUUCAAAUGGAAUUGUGCAUGGAUGUGGACGUACUAUUAAGUCUCAUGGUUUAUUUCAACUUUCUUUUUGUUGGUUCCUUCUCCUUGAUUGCGUUUGCUGCCCUGCAGUAAACUUAAUGAUUGCUAAAGAAAAUUGUAAUUGAGUUUAACUUGUCUAUGACACUGCUAUUUUUAGAGAUAAAGCUUGUAGAUGUUCUUGAAUUGAGUUAUACUUCAAAAGAUGAGCCUCAUCCUCGUCGAGAGAUUUGUGGUAGAUUUCGUACUAUUUUUGAAGGCUAUUACAAAGAUUAAGUGUAGAGGUACAAACCUUUUGCUUACUGAUAUAUUUUUUUUCUCAUUGAUAUCUGUUUAUUGACCUAGUAGUUAACAGGAAGGAGGUAAUUUAUGAUUACUAUUGGACGAUUACUGGUGUUAUUGGAGUAUGGUCACUUGGAGGAAAUUUGAAUAUUAUUGAAAGGUAGAAUCUACUUGACAUGAUUAGGAGUGACAUCAUUAGAUAUUUUUAGUUUGAGAUACAAAAUAACUUGUUCCUUCCCCAUCGUUGUAUAUUAAAUUUUACAAUGAUAUAGUUACAUUGUUCUUAACUUUAAUUUGCCCAUUUUUGAAUUAAGAACAUAUAACUUUAUCAGCUUUGCUUGUCUUCCAGGGUUGAAUAUUAUAAAUGCUUAUUGAGGACAGGAAGAAGAAUAAUAUAUUAAAGUUGGGUUCUCACUUGUAACGUUUGUGUCAUGUCAGUAUUGGAUGAGUACGAUGUUUAAUAGCUAGAUAAUUGGGCUUGUUAAUUGGACAGCUGCUGGAUGGGGGAAUAUGGGUGGUGGUUCUAAUCAACUCCUUAUGCCUUUGAUCUAUGAUAUAAUUCAUAGAGUUGGGACAACUCCGUUUACUGCUCGGAGUAGCGCGUUAUUUAUUCCUGGUUGGCUUCAUGUUAUUAUGGGAAUUUUGCUUUAACUCUUGGUCAAGACUUGCCUGAUGGUAACCUUGCUUCUUUACAGAAGAAAGGUGAUGUUACAAAAGAUAAGUAAUCCAAGGAGGGUACUAGUUAACGUUCGCAGAAAUAUGUUAAGAUCAUCAUAUCUGAGAAUGGGUCAAGGACAUAUUAACUGUAUAUAUCUAACAGUUUCAUUUAGUUGACGAUAUAAUAUUUCAUUUGUCUUUCCGUAGAUAUUGUGGUAUGCUGCAAUAAAUUUUUCACGACCCGAGCCGGGGCCCUAGCCGUGAUGAGCAUCCCGAACCAUGAAGGCCCGAAUCACCCUGCUCUAUCUAUCUGUUAAUCUUGCACAUAAUUCCUAUGAUAAAAGGUAAUGCGGAAAGAGAAAUAUAAUACGGAAACAUGGUCAAUCUAAAUAUGAUCAUAAUACUGAAAACUGAAAUCCAAAAUAUAUUUCAAUAAUAAUGUCUGACUCUGUCUGUGAAAUCUCUACCAUGAACUAAUCAAAGUUGUCUGAAAGCUAGGAAAAGGUUCCCAGUAGACCAAAACCUAACUAAUAGCAGUAAUAUGAAAUAACCAGGCCUUCUGAAUCAUAGAAGGCUCACUAUUGCAAACUCCGGUCUGUGAUCUGAAAUCUCUACAAUUUAUCUGGACCCCUAGACUGUACCUCAGAACCUGGAAAGAGGGGGGUCAGCACAAAUGUACUGGCACACGAAGCAAUCCAAAAUAGAGUAAUUGAACAUAUAUAUAUAUAUAUAAUACGUGAGAGCAAAUUUUCAUCAAACAUUAUGCAUAAAACAGUUUCUGAAAACGCAUGGGCAUCUUCUAAAAACAUGUAACCUAUUUAUAAAUCUCAAACUCUGAUCUGUGUAUUACUUCUGAGUUAGAUAGCACUCCCCUACAAUUCUGAUAUUCCAUGGGCGAUAUGGAAUCCGCCAUUGACUCGGCGGGGAAGCCUCAAACCUGAGUAUGCUACAAGGGUUGGAGUAUCUGAAUUUCAUACGCCACACGACACUUAAGUCAGCGUAUAAUAAUAUACCUGGGUCAUAAAACCACGGUUUUAGGAAAUGAGUUGCUUGAACUCAAGCCCUCUUCAUGGAACCACCUAACAUCUUUGUAUGUCCAUUUUUAACCUUUUCAUACAUGCAACAUUCUGAAUGUCUAAAAUCAUAACAAUCUGAAAUGUUUAUUAGUCUGAGUCUGAUAUGGCAUUGGUCUGAAUUGGUAUCGUCAUACCAAGACUUGCAAGUCAUAAUUGAUGAGCCAUAAUACAUUAAGCUAAAUAAUUCAUUUACAGCAAAAUUUAGACCACCAAAAACAUGCAACUGAUAUAGAAGAUUUCAUGUUUCGAAACUCAAGUCAAAAUCAUGCAAAAACUUCAUCAGCAUAUGGUGGUCUAGUGCCCUUAGCAAAUCCAUGCACUCUUUCAUUAAAUACAUUAUGAACAUUAAACAUUCAUGCUAGAUUCCCUCUUUAGUGAUUUAAUACCACCAUUAAAUCAUAACUAGAUUUCAAUCAUUUCAUAGAGUGCUUUUCAAGGAUGCAUUGCAAAGCACUUCAUGUGCUAUAAGAAACCUGAAAAAUUCAUAACCAAUGAGACUAUAUCCUUGAGUCUCUAACCUAUUUGCAAGAUGUUUCAUCAUAGCCUUCAUUAAUCGUCAAGGUAUCAUGACUAUACAAAAUCGUAUCCCUAAAGGUAGUAUAUGAUGCAGGUAGAAAAUAGAAUAAAAACAACCCUAGAUCAUCCUCAUAGUACUUAACCUCCAGCAUCUCUAAGUCAGAGAUAAUUUCUUUAAAGACAAAUAGGUGAUCUUUCAAAGACACACGAUGGGAAUAAAGUUGUUGUUUGAGAUGCAACUCACUUGUUAGGCUCUUUGUCAUGCAUGAAGAUUCCAGUUUCAACCACAAUGCAGCAGUUGUGGUCUCCUUCAAAAUACCUGUAGAAUCUGAUUGGAUAAAUGAAAGUAGAUUUGAGAUAGAGGCUUCUGAUCCUUACGUCGUUUGUCCUCAUCCUUCCACAAUGAAGGCAUCUUCUAAAACCCUAAUAAAGCAUCUUACAAAUUCAUGUGCAUGAGCAUAGUCCGUAUCUUAACCUUCCAUAGUAAAAAUCUGGUGUUGCGAUCCAAUAAUGGAAUAUCAUACUUCAUGGUUGCCAUCCCCAAAAAAAUAAUUGAACAUUCUCUUAUACCAGUUUGUUAUGAUUUAGACAGAAUAAGAAAACCACAAGUAAAAAUAAAAAAUCAAGAAUAACACAUAAGAUUUACGUGAAAACCCUAACGAAAAAAACCACUGUCAGAGAUAAAGGAGAUUUCACUAUAAUAAAGAAAGAGUACAAUGUGGAGAAGACUGAAUUUUCAGAAUAAUCAAAAUAGACCCACUAAUUGCACUUAUAUAAUACAUGCAUACAAAUAAGUCCUAGGCCCAAAAACAUAAAGGUCUAUACUGUAGGACUUUUAGGGCCGGCUCAACAUAAUUCGAGUCAUAACUGUAACAAAAAUAGAUUUAAAACACAACAAAGAUGUAGCGUAUACCUAUAUAAGGAUGCUAAAAGGAUAUCAUAUGAAAGAAGAUGUAUCCUUUUUGAUACGACUCCCCUCGAUUUUCUUCUGUUGUUUUUCCUUUGACAUCACUCGAAGAUCAAUUCAGAGAGUUGAUUAUGGUUAAGUUCUACAGCAUGAAGUGCAACAUGAACAUUCUAUUAGGAUUAUUGUAAGAAAUAUUUCUAAUAUUUGUCAGCAUAUAAGAUACUUAUAUAUGAUCCACCUAUAUAACAUAAACUUUUUCCAUAAUUAAUGGGGAAAGUAAGUCCAUGAAUACGAGAAAGAAAAAAAAAUUCAUUUAAUGUAAGUAUGCUUCAAUGCUUUUUCUGUGUGGCUCACCUAAAAUUGGCCCCAAACUAGCUAAAUAUUUUUUUUAUUUCCAGUAUCGUCGGUAUCAUCAAUAUCAAUCUCAUUAAGAAGAAAAUGUUUAGACUUGUUAUCCAGGAACUUGUUUAGAAAUAUUCUAAUGAGAGGAACAUAUGAGUUUUCCACUAGGUAUUUGACCAAGUAGGGUUGUCCAGUUCCUAUAAAACUUAUCAUUAAAAUACUUUUAGAGGGGGGAGCAAAAAUGGUUUUCCAUGAAAUGGGAAAUGAAAACUACUUGAUAUUCUAAAGUCAUAUUAAAGUCCAAUUAAAUUUGUCUUUGAGUUGGAAGUUCCUACAUUAAUGAGUAAAAUGGUUACUAACAAAGAUGACUUCAUAUUAGAGUUGUCAAUCCGAGCUAGGCUAGUCCAUCCGAGCUUUGGAAUUUGUUGAAUGACCGAUCCAUUAAGAUUAUCUAUCAUAAAAUAGCAAGCCCAACCCAUCAUUUUGUAGGUUUUGGGCCGCGACUUGUGAGCUGACUUUUUAAAAUAGUAUAAAUUUCAUAAAUCCCAACAUAUUUGAAGUAAUUACAUCCUAUCUCAUUUUUUUUAGUUAGUUUAGUCUCUCUCCCAUUUAAUGCACAUUCUUUAAAAGGCAUAUACAUAACAAGUAAUGUAUAUUGUAAUCUAUUAGAGUCCUAGAAAAUAGGUAGUAAUGGAUAUUCCACAUUCAUUGGUGUAAAUGGCACAACUAAUUUAAUACGUGGAUUACUGCAUCCCAUAAAUCAUGUUUAAUAAAUAAAAUUUUAAAUUUUAAAAAUCACAAAUACGUAAAAAUGCAAAUAUGAUGCAAAAGCAUAAAUCAAAAAUUAAAUUCCAUCUCUAUUUUUUGUUGUUACUGAAGAAAGCAAAUUAUUUUCAAUUAUUGAAGAUGAAUAUUGUUAUUGUUUUAAGGUACUCAGGUAAAUGGACAUCUCAAACAGAAUAUGUGGAUUAUAAAAGUGAAGGGAUUGUUGUUGCUGAAUCAGUAAAUUAUUUGUGGUUGAUUUUGUUGAUUACUGAUGAACUAAACAUUGACAAAACUCGAAAAAAUAUUGAUAUACGUUAUGUUGUUGACGGGAAUGAUUCACCUUUUCAUAUCUGUAAUGAUAAUAACGUACGAUUGUAUGUCGAGUUGAAAAAAAUCAAUCGGCAUUCAUGAUGCAUCCGUUAUGUAUUUCAACAAUAGAAAAAUGUGAAGAUGACAUAUUGUUCUAUAGGAAAACAGGAGCUGUGAAUUGCCUGGAAGGUGUUGAAUCUGAUGCUUUGGCUUUAUCUGUUGCAAGACACAAAAUGAGCAUGCUUUGUAUGUACCAGAGGUGGAAGAUGACUUGAUAUGUGAUAGCAAGAGCAUUGAUGUAAAGGUGAAACAGAUGUAUAAGGAUAAAAAUACGCUUGUUUCAGUGAUGUCAAAAUAUAAGGUGACUAAUGCACUCACUGUUAGAGCAAAACGAUCAGGAAAAAAAAGGUGAAAUUGUAUCUUUUUAUACUAAGCAAUAUGAUAUAUGAAAUCAUUGAAUAUUUUAUAUUAUUUGUUUUUAAUUAAAAUGUUACAUAUAGUUGCAUGAACAUGUGUAUUUUUUUGUGCUAAAACUAAAAUCGAAAUACAAAUUAUCAGUGUGACCUUUGCAAUAUCUGUUUGUUAGUAUGUUAAUGUUAUGUCUGUUUAUGUGAGGUAAUGAAUUUCAAUUUACAAUUUUUUUUAUUUUUUCUGAAAAGCCAUCGGAUACAUACAACAAAACUGGUUACCAUUUUCUUCGUUAUUAAUAUUUCUGAGGUACUUGAUUUAAUAUACAUAUAAGUUGUUAUGUAUAUGAUUUUAAUUGCUUAUAUUAUCAGUUUUGGUAAGGGAAAUAUGUUAUGUAUAUUAAAACAUAUACAUUAGUAAUUAUGUAUGUGUAAAAUAUACAUAACUGGUAACAUGUCUGUAGAUGUGUUAUUUAAUCCAUAAUCUGCAUACUUCGUCUUUAAAUUUUAUUACUUGAAUUAUUAGAUUGUAUAUAGCUUUGUUUGAUGAAAUAUUAUACAUGUCUAUGCUGUAUUAUAAUGGAUUUGUAACAAUUAAAUUGUUAAAACUCAUGAAAUGAUGCAAAAUAUAAUCAUUUGAAUUGUGUUUUUUAUAUUUCAGCUAUGUACUCCUCUAUUACAAUGAGAAAUGUACGUGGAAGUUGGAAGCAUCUAUUUACAAAAAAUAGAUGUUUUUAUUAUUUGAAAAUUUAAUCUAGAACAUACAUGCAAUUUGAGGGAUAGGGUACUACAGAAUAUUUUGGCGACAACUUCUUUUUUAUAUGAAUUCACAACUCCAAAACUAGCUAACUAUAAGAGAAGGCACACACCGGGGGACAUCAUUGAAGAAAUAAAAGUUGUAUAUGCUAUGGAUAUAAAUUAUAUGAAAGCAUGGCAUGCGAAGGAGCAUACCAUCACUUUGCUGAGGGCCGGACCUACGGAUGGUUAUAGACAGAUGUCGAGAUAGAUUUAUAUGUUAAAAAAUAUAUAUCCUAAUUCGCACGUUGCAAUGCACAAAUCAUGGGAUAAUCGGUUCAUGUAUUUGUUUAUAGCAUUGCAUCCCAUGAUAAGGGGUUUUAAGUAUUGCAGGCAUGUUGUUGUUGUUGAUGGUGUACAUUUAAGUGGACCAUAUCAAGGCACAUUUGUCUCAGCAAGUACUCUUGAUGGUGCAAGUAUGUGAAAAAUCAUAAAUCCCUGAUUUUUUUUAAACAUUCAUUGUAUUUCAUAUUUAAUUUUUUUUUAAGUUAUCGAAAAAAAUUCAUUAAUCUUUUUUUAUAUUUAAAAAAAACAAUAAAAAUUGGAUUUAUUAUCACGAAUAUAGUUAUGUAUAUUCUAAUAACAUAUGUUAACUAUGUAUAUGUUAACAUAUUUAACACAUAUAAAAAUUUUGUCCAGUAGACUUUAGAAAACUCUUGUUGUUCUUCUACUAAUACAGUUUUUACUUAAUUUAGGAUGCAUAUUACCACUUGCGUAUGGGGUUGUGGAUACUGAGAAUGAUAAUUCAUGGACAUGAUUUUUCAAUCAGUUCAAAGCUGCAUUGGCUGAACGUGAAAACAUGUGUGUUGUUUCUGAUAGGAACAAAAGCAUUAUAAAACCUGUCAGUGUCGCAUAUCUAAAUGUCCCACAUCUUGCGUGUAUAUGGCAUAUUUGAAAAAAUAUUUAUAGUUACUUUCAUAAGAGCAAAGAAAGUAUUAGUGAUUUGUUUUAUUCAAUGGCUAAAGCUUGUAGGAAAGAUGAUUUUGAAUAUUUGAUGGCAAAGAUUGAAAAAGUUGAUCCGAGAGUGAAAAAUAUUUACAAGAAGCUGGAUAUGAAAAGUGAAGUAGAUGUCAUUCACUGGUAAAUAAAGGUCGGAUGAUGACCUCGAAUAUUGCUGAGUGUAUUCAUGGUUGUUUGGUAGAGGCCCGGGGAUUGCCAAUAUAUGAAUUUUUAGAAGAAGUUCAAAUAUUAUUUGGUUCUUGGAACUGUAAGAAUAGUUAAAUAGCUUCUUAUAAAAGUACCACUUUGGGUCGUCAAUUUGAAGAAAUUCUUACUCUCAAUGGUGUGAAAGCUUUGAGAAUGAUGGUAUGCAUAAGCUUUAACUUUUUAAAAUAUGUAUUGUUUGUUUGACUGAAAAUAAGUGUAUUUAAAUUUAUAUUUCCAGUAAAAAUAUUUGGUUGAAAUUUUGUUAUUUAUUGUUUAGGUGAAGGAUUCUUCAACAUAUACAUAUAUAUUCGGUUUAUGAAUCUGAGAUAAAAUACAUUGUUGAUUUAGAAAAUGGCUCAUGCAACUGUGCGAGGUUUCAAAUAGAUCAAAUCCCUUGUGCUCACACUAUAGCUGUAUUGAAGUCUAAACAUGUAAAAGAUUUUGGAGGUUACUGUUUAGAAUACUACAAGCCAAACAAAUUGGUUAAGACAUAUGAGGUUCCAAUCGUUCCAAUGCCAGACAAGAAAGACUGGGAUGUUCCCAAUAAUGUAGAUGAAGAAGAAGUGUUGCCACUGUUAUACAAAAGAAUUCCAGGUAUAUCGAAGAAGGGGAGGAAGAAGAAAUCAAGUGAAACACUUUCUUCAAGCACAAAUCAUUGUGGACGAUGCGGCCAUGAAGGGCACAAUAGGCAUUCAUGUAGUUUUUUUCCAAAGGAGAACUAGUUUAUUGUUUUUCUAUACUCUUGAAGAGUAUAACUGAUUUAUUUCCGUGUUUUUUCUGUUUUAAAUAAAUUAUUGUUUAUUUCGAUUUAAUUUUAGUGUUAAUUUAUUUUUCUUAUCUGUGAUUUUUAUGUAUACGCUAGUGUAUUUUCAUAAGUGCUUUGCAAUAUUCUAGAGUAACACAGCUGUGUAUAGUAUCAAAUAAUGGUAACGUGUAUAACAUAAAACGUACAUAGCUCCAAUGUAAAAUCUGUGAUGUGUGUCACGACCCGAACCGGGGCCCUGGCCGUGACGAGCAUUCCCAAACUCGAACGCCUGGAACGCCCUCUGUCUAUCUGGUAAUCAUGCACAUAAUUCAUAUGAUCAAAGAAAUACGGAAUAGAAACUAUUAUACGGAAACAUGGUCAACAAUUUAAAACAGUUAAAGGCCUGAAAACAUGCCCAACAAUAUUUAAUAAACAUCUGCAAUAGUCUGCGAAAUAUGUACUAACAUACUAUAUGAAUAAUUGGGACAAGGCCCCCAGCAGACCAAAACCCAUACUUAAAAAAAUACCUAAAUGACUAGGCCUUCCGAAUCAAAGAAGGCUCACCAAUUGAAAUCUGAGACAACCCUUUCUGUAGACUCUACUAAGGAUUUAGACCCCUAGACUGUGCCUCAGUACCUGGGAGGAAGGGGGGUCAGCACAAUUGUACUGGCACGCGAAGCAAUCUAAAAUAGAGUAAUUGAACAUAUAUAUAUAUAUAUAUAUAUAUAUAAUACGUGAGAGCAAUUUUCAUCAAAACAUCAUGCAUCACAUGGGCACCUUCUGAAAACAUGUAACCUGUCUAUAAAUCUCAAACUCUAAUCUGUGUAUUACUUCUGAGUUAGGUGGUAUCCCUUACAAGUCUGAUACUCCAUAGGCGAUACGGAAUCCGCCAUUGAAUCGGCUGGGAAACCUCCAACCCAAUAUGCCUCAAGGGUUGUAGUUCCUGAAUCUGAUACACCACACGACACUUAACUCAGCGUAUAAUAAUAUACCCGGGUUGGCAAACCACUAUUUUUGGCAAGGAGUUGCUUGAACUCAAGCCCUCUUUAGGGAACCACCUAACAUCUCUGUAUGCCUAUUUUUAACCUUUUCUGUAUAUGAAACAUUCUGAAUGUCUAAAAUCAUAAUAGUCUGAAAUGUUGUCACGACCCGAACCAGGGCCUGGCCGUGACGAGUAUUUUGAACCAUGGAGGCCCAAAACACCCCUAUCUCUCUGGUAAUCAUGCACCUAAUUCAUAUGAUCAAAGUAAUAUGGAAGAAACACAAUAAUUCAGAAACAUGGUCAUAAAUAUGAAAAGAAACAAUAACAGGGAGAUAAGGUUCCCCCAACAUCAAUUAAUCUCUAAACAACAGUCUGUGAAAAUCUCUAACAAAUUACUGAGUUAAGUAACUGUAUAUAAACUGGGACAAGGCCCCCAUUAGACCCCAAAACUGAAUAUAAGAUAAAAGGACUGUAGGACAUAAGACCUUCUGAAACAUAGAAGGCUCACCACUUGUCUCUGUAACUCGACCUGAAUGAUCUACUGAUUUUUUUGAGGCUUAUACUGAGCCUCUGAACCUGAGAGGUUGGAGAGGAGAGGGGGUUAGCACAAAAGUACUGGCACACAAAGAUAUCAAAACAAAACAUAAUAUAUUUACAAAAUAUAGUUGAGAGCCAUUAUAAAGCAAUUUCGUAUCAAAUCAUUUGAAAACACAUGGGUGUAAUGCAAUAGUAUCUCAACAACAAUGAAAUGCAACUGCGCUAGGUGGAAUAGCCUACAUAAUUUACACCAAUUGUCUAACCUCGGUUGCCACUAAGAUUAGAGUAUAAGUAAGGGAGAGACACUCAAGACCAUAAAGCAUGGUGUCUCGACCCACUAGUAGUGUCCAAGAUCACUUAUCCCGGGCUUCUACCUAUAGUCCCAAUUUGGGAAUGACAUGAAGUCAUGUACACAAGAUCACUUAGCCUGGUACCAAAAUUCCGUGUCGGGAAACACGUUUUCUAGCGAUGAGUCCUUACUCUCAAACGCCUUCUUCAAGCAUCCACCUUUCUCAUGUAAAAUCAAUGCAUUCAAAUUUCAUCUGAUUCAAUCACAUAUCAUGUUCUGUAGGGUAUCUUCAUACCCGACUUUCAAGUCCUCAAUAUCACUUCCACAUAUGCAUAAUCAUGUAAAAACCAAGGUGCUUCAUCACUUACAAGUGGUGAACAAUAUUUAUUUCAAAUUCAUGCUCUCUUUUGUUGAUCACAAUAUGAUAUGGGGUAUCAAGGCAUUAUCAUGGGAAUUUGAAAGCAAUUUAUCAUUCAUAUUUAUCAAACUUUCAUGAAAAAUCUCAAAUCACAUAUGCAUGUUUUCAAUCAUUGAAGUAUAUAGGCAAACAAUUCCCAUGACAUAAAGAAAAAUGAGUUAGAAAUCAUAUUGAAAGCAAGUUGUUAGCACUUGAUUGAAAACCUCCAUUUAAAAGCAUCCAUGUUCAUAAAAACUACACCCAUGAGAUUUUAGGAUAACCCCACGUACCUCUAUUUCCAAGGAUAAUAGAUGUUUCUUGAAGCUUGCGGAUUGGUGAUUCAAAAUAUGUAAUUAUCUUUGGAAACCUACGAUCAAAUCUUGAACUAUUUGGGUUUUUAUUUUCAAACUCUAAGGAGAAUCUUUGAGCACUUUUAAUGAAUUAAGGUGUAUUUUAGGGUCCUUGGAACUGAAUUUCAUGUUGUAGGGCUAAGUAUGGGUGGAAAAGGGUCACUUUGUCCCUAAAACGGAGUGUUUAAGUUACUUGAAUUCUUUACAUAGGUGCCACCCAUCCCAUUGCCUAUGUUCACAUAGGCGCUGCCUAGGCUAUCGCCUAUGUUUACAAAGGCACUGCCUAGGCUAUUACCUAUAUUUACAUAGGGGCCGCCUAGGCUAUUGCCUAUGCUUUCCAGUGGCCAAGAGAGAUUGGUUAGGCGAGGCAUAUCACUUUGAAUGGCCAUAACUUUUUGCUCGGGUGUUGGAUUUUAGCCAAAUUGGUAUCGUUGGAAAGCUAACUCGAAUACCUAUCAUUUGAAACAUAGUAGACUUCCUAAUUCGACAUAUACAAAUAGUUAUGAUCGAUGGAAGCUGACACACUUUACAAUGUCUACUGAAACUUAGUCUACAGAAAUAGUUUCAACUCAUCCAUGACUUGAAGAACCUUUAUGGUCUAAAUUCAAGCUUAAAUGGAUUCACAUACUACACAAAUAAUUAACAUGCCGUAUUGGCAUAGGAUUUUAUGGCUUCGGGAUUAUCAACACAUCAAAAUCAUGGUCUAUAUUGUAGCCAAAAAUGCGAGGCAUUACAUUAUCCCCCCCUUAGGAUCAUUCGUCCCCAAAUGAUGAUGCGGGACAUAGACAAACAUGAUUUCAAGCAUAAUAAAGGACUAGGAAAGAUAAGAUAGGAAUAGUACCUUUUGUCUCAUCCUCCAUCGAAGCAAACAAAUUGGGAUAUCUAAUUCGCAUGUCAUCUUCUGACUCUCAAGUGGCUUCUUCGACUUUCUAAUUCCUCUAUAGUACCUUUAUUGAGGCUAUCUCUUUGCUCCUCAGCUUUCGAACUUGUAGAUCUAAAAUUUCAAUGGGCUCUUCUUCGUAAGAGAAGGAGUCUGUCACUUUGAUACCCUCUACUGGCAAUACCAUAUAAUGAUCUCCAAUUCAUUUCUUCAACAUGGAUACAUGGAAUACCGGAUGAACAGAACCCAAACUUACAGACAAUUCUAUCUCAUAAGCAACUAUACCAAUCUUUCUCCGAAUUUGAUAUGGCCUUACAUAGCGAGGGCUCAAUUUACCCCUUUUUCCAAACUGUAUAACUCCUUUCAUAGAGGAAACCUUGAGAAAUACCCAAUCACCAAUUUCAAACUCUAGUUCUCUUCUCUAAAAAUCGGCAUAGGACUUUUAAUGACUCUGAGCAGUCUUGAUUCAUUCUCUAAUGAUCUUUACUUUCUCCAUCGCCUUAUAAACAAGAUCAUGACCAUACAACUGAGUCUUACCUACUUCAUACCAUCCUAUCGGAGACCUAUAUCUCCUCCCAUACAAAGCCUCAAAAGGAGCCAUCUUGAUCUUGGCGUGGUAACUAUUAUUGUAAGUGAAUUCAGCCAGUGGUAGGUUAUCUACCCAACUACCUUUGAAAUCAAUGACGCAUGCCCUCAACAUACCUUUGAGGUUCUGAAUGGUACGCUAAGCUUGCCCAUCCGUCUAAGGGAGGAAAGGUGUACCUAAACCCUUCUGAAAAGAUCUCCAGAACUGAGAUGAAAAUUGCAUACCUCUAUUGAAUAUAAUGGACACUGGUUCCCAUUGUAAUACCCCAGGAAAUUUUUCGUUAAAAUUUUAUGCGUAAAUGUGUUGGGCUCUAUCUUCUAGAAUGAAUUAUAAAUUUUCCAUGAAGAAUGUCUUAUAUUAUGACCCACCAUUGCAUAGAGUAUCGAAUAAUAUUUCAAACUAUAGGUGGAUCAUCCAAAACGGACAUCUGAGCGACGAGUUAUGAACAUUCUGAUCGAACUGUGAAUAGUAGUGAACAGUAAAACGUGAAGGAAAAAUUACAGAGGCCUGGUGUAUUUUUGCUCCAACUUUAAAUGAUCAUAACUCCUUGUAUAUAUCAACAGAAAUCUCUGCGAGUCCUCUUUCCAAUGAAAUUGGUUUCAUCCAAUUUGUCUAUCAGAGAAAAAAGUUAUGGUCGAUCUACUUCAACCUAUCAAAAACGAAUGUUUGGCUUAACUUCAAAUGAGCAUAAUUCCUCAUACACAAUGAUCUGCAUUAGAUACUAUAUAUCAAUGGAAAGAUAUGAUAGUCAUCUUUCUAAUGAAAUUGGUCUCAUCCAAUUUGGAUAUCGAAGUAAAACAUUAUGGUUGAUCUACUUCAGACUAUCAAAACAGUCCAUCAAAGGAUAUAUUCGAGAAUUAUUUGAUUUUUAGGGGCGUUUUGGUCAUUCCCCCUCACCCAAAAUUUGUCCAAACCCUAUAUUAAAGCCUAUUAGAAGCAUUAUAUGUUAUAUUUCAUCAAAUUCCCUCAAAAAAAAACCCUAAGCUCCUACAUCCAACUUUAAGAACCUCAAAAGUUCACCAUUAAUUCUGCAAAUUUAUUCAAGAUUCCAAGAUCCUAGUUCAAGAACCUCCAAAUUUCAUCAUUAAUUCUACAAAUUUAUUCAAGAUUUCAAGUUCCUAGAUCAAGAAAAACAAGAAACAUCAUUCAAAGGCACGAUUAACAUCUCAAAAACGAGUAUAGAUCUAAAGUUCAUUAUUCAAGGUAUGUGGGUUUUUUCAACAAGAACUCUCUUUCGUUCUUGUGCCCAAAAGUAAUUUUUUUUACAAAGGCAUAUUUUUAUUUGAUUUUUACGAAUUUGAAGCAUGAACCCAUAUCUUAUGAUGAUUAUUAUGAAAACUUAAUAUUUAUGAUUGUGAAAGAUGAAUUUACAUGUGUGGAGAUAUAAAGCAUGAAUCUUUAAUGAUAUUUAUCAUGAUUUUGAUAUUUGGGUCAUGAAUUCCCAUUGGAAAUUGUAUUUUUUAGAAAGUCUAUGUUAUAAGCACGUUGAUGUUGAAUAUUUGAGAUAUUUUGAAUUAUUUGACCUUUUGGUCUUAAUGUUAUUUUUUUGAACUCGAGUGUGAAAGAAAUCCACAAUGUGGUUGAUCAUGAUAGAUGGGAAGCAUGAUGGUUCCCGAUGUAUAUUUAUAUAUUACUGAAACUGUUUUGAUGUGGCUUGUCUUUGAAAUGAUCUGAGCUAAGUCCGGGUGAAAUCUUUAGCACUGAGUGGGAGGUAUAAAGCGACCUUACUUCCCUAGAACUACGUGCCCCUGUAGGAGUGAGCCUGAGGCUGAUUUAUAUAGUGAUUACUAGUUUAUUUUGAUUUGAUAUCGAUAGUCCUACUCCGAUGGCAAGGAUAGGAAGGCUCUCCCCAACGUGGGUUGUAUGUUGGACUCCAUGUAGCUCACAUGGUUUAUGUCGGUUAUAAGAUCUCCCUGUGUGUGUGUGUUUCCUUGUGUCUAUGAUGAAUGGUGAAGUGAUUUGAAAGUGGAAUUGUGAAAGUUAUUCUUUCAAAAGAUUUAAAUGAUAUUUACAUUAUGAGAAUUGAUUUUCUUGAUGAACUGAAAGUGAUUGAAAAAUUAUAUAAUGUCUCACAUGUGUUAUUGUACUUAUUUCAUCCUCUCAUGAUUAUGAGGAUUUUCUUCAGGCUAUGUGAGCCUUUCAUGCAUCCUACAUAUUUCUUAUAAAUAUUUAUGAUGAUGAUGUUUAUAAAACUACAUACACCCCCAUAUACUCGGUUCCUUUCCAUGGUACUGACCCACAUCUUCGGAUGUGGGCUACUUUUUCCUGGAAUGUAGGUUCAGGUGCUCAGUUCUAGGUUCGACAAUGAUUCUUCGGGCACGCUGUUCUACAACCUCUGUUGUGGUGAGUCCUCAUGCUCCGAGAAUGUGAUGUCUGAUGUUGAUUUCACCGAAUUAUUUACAUUUGAUAACUGAGUACGAGUCAGUUGAGGCAUGUCUCAAUGGCUCGUUGGUUUUAUUGAUUUUCUUAGAGUCUUGUCAGACUAGUAUAGAUGUUAGGAGUUGACUAAUAAGUCAUUUUUUGUUAUCUUUCUAAAAUUCUUUUAUUCUUGGAUGAUGAUUACUCUAUUGAUAUUUGAGGGUUAUUUAUGGAAACCCUGCUGAUUCGUGUUGAACUGAAUAAAAAUGGCUCAAAGGGUUAGCUUGGGGCUACUCGUAGCCUCAAGCACCGUGUGACGCUCGAGAACCCAUUUUUGGGGAGUUACAAACUUGGUAUCAGAGCCUAAGGUUUUAAGGUGUCCUGGGAGUCUGACAAGCCAAGUUAAGUAGAGUCUUGAUAAUCGGUGUGUAGCGCACCACAUCUAUGAGUAAGAGGCUACAACACAUUUAAGGAAAAAGUGUGAUUCUUUCUUUCAGAAGUCUAUCGUGCUUAAAGUGUCUCUCUCUGCUAUUGAUUCGUGCUCUCCUCCUUCAGAAAUAUGCUUCCACAUCGAGCGAGAAGAAAUAAUGAUGGUCAGCAACUUCAACCCACUAACACAUUAAAUGAAAGCGUGUCUCAUGCUGAAUUUUAGGCAGCCAUUCAGGCGCUGGCCCUAUCUAUUACUGCAAAUAUUCAGGCCAACCCGGCCCCUGCUCUACAGCAGCAGGGAGGUAAUUUAGCUGCUGCUAGGAUCUAUGACUUUAUGCGGAUGAAUCCACCAGAAUUCUAUGGGUCCAAGUCUGAUGAGGAUCCACGGUUGUUUUUAAAGGAGGUGCGGAAGAUUACUCAGGUGAUGCAUGUAUCUGAGGAACAUAGUGUAGAGUUGCUGCGUAUAGGUUGAAAGACCUUGCUUAUGAUAGGAUUGUUGCUUGGAGAAAAGGUAGAGGUGAGAGAGUUGUCCCUACAACUUGGCAAGAUUUUCAGGAUGCAUUCCUGGAUAUAUUUUUCCCUUUGGAGAUGAGGAAGGCAAAGGUGGAAGAGUUUAUAAACCUGCGAUAGGGCUCUAUGACUGUUAGGGAGUACUGUCUAAAGUUCAAUCAGUUGGCCAAGUGUGCUCCUGACUUAGUUGCUGAUAAUCGGGCUAGUAUGAGUAAGUUUGUGACUGGAGUGUCUAGUUAUAUGGUUAAAACAGUGUAGGUCUGCUAUGCUGAAUAGUGAGAUGAAUCUUUCUAGGCGGAUGACUCAUGCCCAAUAGAUUGAGGUAGACAAGAUUAAGGAGAGAGAUAGAAUGAGAGGGAAUAAAAGAGCUAGGUUCGAGCAGCACGGAUAGGGUAAGACUAGAUCACAGAGAGGGAGUCACCCUUAGUAUCAGGAUCGUUCGUCUAUGCCAACACCAUCAUCUGCUAGUGCUCCUGUGCCUAGAGGUAGGUAGGAGCAAGGUAGCAGGUCAUAUAAAUCUAGGUCCUAGUACGAUGCUGGCAGUAAGCCAAAUUAUCCCCUGUUUCCUAAGUAUGGUAGGGCUCAUUCGGGUGAGUGUUUGGGUAAGAAGAGGGGUCAUUUCCGAUGUGGUGACAUGGGUCACAAUGUUAGAGAUUGUCCACAGGAUGGACAAGGGCGUCAUGACUAUCACCCUCAGACCCAGACUUAGAUUGUUAGUGCUCCAGUUCCAGUGACUUGUCCAGCCCCAACUCAGGGCGCCUCUUCUAGCAAUGAUGGCAAGCAGUGCCAGAAUAGAUUCUAUGCUUUAUCGUCCCGCCAGGAACAGGACUCUCCCAAUGUUGUUACUGGUAUGCUUUGUAAAUUUCAAUUUGAUAUGUAUGCUUUGUUGGAUCCUGGAUCCAAUUUCUCAUAUGUUACACCUUUGAUUGCUGUGAAUUUUGAAAAGAGUCCUGAGAUUAUUCCUGAGCCUAUCCUAGUUUCUACCCUAGUCGGUGAUUUGAUUAUUGCCCAGAAGUGUAUAAAAAGUAUCCUGUUACCAUUUUUCAUAGAGUCUUGUUCGCUGAUUUGAUUGAGUUAGACAUGGUAGAUUUUGAUGUGAUUCUGGGUAUGGACUGGCUGUAUUCUUCUUAUGCUUCUAUUAAUUGUCGAACCUAAGUGGUCAAGUUUCAAUUUCUGGUGCAUCCAUGUUUGAGUGGUCUGGGAAUUCUGUGUCACCCAAGAGCCAUUUUAUCUCUUACCUCAAAGCUAGAAAACUUAUUUCCAAGGGGUGUAUUUACCAUAUGGUUAGAGUCAAAGAAACUAUGUCUGAGACUCUAACUUUCCAGUCUGUUAAUGUCGUCAAUGAGUUUUAUGAUGUCUUUCCAGAUAAUCUCCCAUGGAUACCUCCUGAGAGAGAGAUAGAGUUCGAGAUUGAUCUUGUUCCAGAUACUCAGCUCAUUUCUAUUCCUCCUUACCGUAUGGCCCCUGCAGAACUUAAGAAAUUGAAAGAGCAACUGAAAGAUCUACUAGAUAAGGGUUUCAUAAGGCUCAGUGUUUCUCCUUGUGGUGCUCCUGUGUUGUUUGUGAGAAAGAAAGAUGGCUCUUUGCAUAUGUGCAUUGAUUACCACCAACUGAAUACAGUCACUUUAAAAAAUAAGUACCCUCUUCCGAGAAUAGAUGAUUUGUUUGACCAAUUGCAAGGUGCAAGUUAUUUCUCAAAGAUAGACCUUCGUUUCGGCUAUCAUCAACUCAAAGUUAGGGAGUGUGACAUCCCAAAAACUGCUUUCCAAACUCGUUAUGGCCAUUUUAAGUUUUUUGUUAUAUCUUUCGGGUUAACUAAUGCGCCAGGAGCUUUGAUGGACCUUAUGAAUCGAGUGUUUAGACCAUAUCUUUGUUAUACUGUUCAUCGAUGAUAUACUGGUGUACUCCCGUAGUGAGGAUGAACAUUCUGAUCAUCUCCGAACUGUCUUGCAAACCCUUAAAGAUCACAAGUUGUUUGCCAUGUUCAGUAAGUGUAAGUUUUGGCUAAGGUGAGUUGCUUUUCUGGGUCAUAUUAUUUCUUUCGAGGGUAUUAGAGUUGAUCCCCAAAAGACUGAAGCUAUUAGAAAUUAGCCUAGACCUAUUUCUCUGACUGAUAUUCAAAGUUUUUUGGGUUUAGUAAGCUAUUACCACCGUUUUGUUGAGGGUUUCUCCUCUAUAGUGUCUCCUAUGACUCGGUUGACCCAAAAGAGAGUGAAGUUCUUGUGGUCCGAAUCUUGUGAGAAGAGUUUUCAGGAAUUGAAGACUCGACUCAUUUCAGCCCCUAUUUUGACUUUACCUGAUGGUGUUGAGGAUUUUGUGGUGUAAUGUGAUGCUUCGAGAGUUGGGUUGGGUUAUGUAUUGAUGCAGAAGGGUAAGGUGAUAGCUUAUGCUUCUAGACAGCUGAAACCCCAUUAGAAAAAUUACCCUACCCAUGACCUUGUGCUGGCUGCUGUUGUGUUUUCUUUGAAAAUAUGGAGACACUAUUUGUAUAGUGUCUAUGUUGAUGAUUUCACUGAUCAUAAGAGACUGCAGUAUGUGUUUAUCCAGAGAGAAUUGAAUCAUAGGCAGAGACGAUGGUUAAAAUUAUUAAAGGACUAUGAUAUGAGUGUGUUGUACCAUCCGAGCAAGGCCAAUAUUGUGGCGGAUGCCCUAAGUAGAGUGUCCAUGGGUAGUGUUUCGCAUGUGGUAGAAGGUAAGAAGUUGGCUCGUGAUGUACAUCGUUUGACUAGAUUGGGGGCUAGGCUGUUUGACUCUGCAGAAGGUAGUAUAGGGGUUCAGAGUAGUUUCGAAUCCUCCUUGGUUUCGGAAGUAAAGGAAAAGCAAUACUUAGAUGCUAGUUUGGUCAGACUGAAGGAGUCAGUCAAGGAUAAAAAAGUAGAGGUUUUCUCCCAAAGGGGAGAUGGUGUGUUGAGAUUGCAGGGUAGAUUGUGUGUCCCAAAUGUUGAUGAUCUGAGACAGAGGAUUAUGGCUGAAGCGCAUGGGGCGCGAUAUUCUAUUCAUCCUAGUGCCACCAAGAUGUACCGAGACUUGCGGGAAAUUUAUUGGUGGAGUGGCAUGAAGAAAGAUAUANNNNNNNNNNNNNNNNNNNNNNNNNNNNNNNNNNNNNNNNNNNNNNNNNNNNNNNNNNNNNNNNNNNNNNNNNNNNNNNNNNNNNNNNNNNNNNNNNNNNNNNNNNNNNNNNNNNNNNNNNNNNNNNNNNNNNNNNNNNNNNNNNNNNNNNNNNNNNNNNNNNNNNNNNNNNNNNNNNNNCCUGUUCAUACUUCAUAUACUGCUGAGGAAUACGCUAGGUUGUAUAUCCAAGAGCUAGUCAGUCUGCAUGGAGUUCCCUUGUCUAUCAUUUCGGAUAGGGGUACUUAGUUCACUUCACAAUUUUGGAAAGCUUUUUAGAAGGGUCUUGGUACCCAAGUGCUUUUGAGUUCUGCUUUUCAUCCGCAAACCGAUGAUCAGGUUGAGCGGAAAAUCCAGACCAUAGAGGAUAUGUUGAGAGCUUCUACACUUGUCUUUAAGGGAAGUUGGGAUGAUCAAUCACCGUUGAUAGAUUUUGCUUACAAUAACAGUUUCCACUUUAGUAUUGGCAUGGAUCUUUUUGAAGCCUUAUAUGGGAGGAAGUAUAGAUCACCCAUAGGUUGGUUCAAGGUGGGUGAAGUGGCUGUGAGUGGUCCUGAUUCGGUAUUUAAGGCUAUGGAAAAAGGUAAGUUGAUUAGGGAAAGGUUUAAAACUACGUAGAAUCGUCAAAAGUCAUAUGCGGAUGUUAGAAGGAGAGACCUUGAGUUUGAAGUUGGUGACCUAGUGUAUCUGAAAAUUUCACCCAUGAGGGGAGUGAAGAGAUUCGGAAAGAAGGGGAAGCUUAGUCCCCGUUAUGUUGGUCCUUACAAAAUUCUUAGCCGUGUUGGUAAGGUAGCUUAUGAGGUUGAGUUGCCUUCCGAGUUGUCCUCUGUUCAUCCAAUAUUCCAUGUCUCCAUGAUUAGAAAGUAUAUUAGCGAUGCUGUGGUAGUGGAUUCCUCCGUGAGUGCUGACACUCAAGAAAAUCUUUCUUUUGAUGAGAUUCUUGAUUUCAGUGUCCGAAGAAUAAGGAUCAAAGAAGUUCCCUUGGUCAAGGUGUUGUGGCGAAACCAAUCUGUUAAGGGUGCAACUUGGGAAGCUGAGGCGGAUAUGCGAACCAAGUACCCACACCUACUUUCUGCGACCUCCGAUCAAGCCGAAGGUACCGUUCUUUCCUAAACCAUGCACUUUUGAUAAAAGGUGCAGCAGUUCAGCUGUCAUUUAUUACGGGUUCAGCUAUAGUUUCUAGAAUUUAUGCAUUCUAUGUUGCAUUCGGAGUGAGAAACGAUGUGGUGUUGAGUCUAACGAAUGGUUUCAGAUGUAUGCUCUAUUCCCUAUCUAAUCUUGGCAUGUCAAGCAUCAUUCGAGGACGAAUGUUUCCAAGGGGGGGAUGAUGUAAUGCCCCGGGAAAUUUUUCGUUAAAAUUUUGUGCGUAAACGUGUUGGAUUCUAUCUUCUAGAAUGAAUUAUAAAUUUUUCAUGCAGAAAGUCUUAGAUUAUGACCCACCACUGUGUAGAGUAUCGAAUAAGCUUUCCAAAGAUAUGUGGACCAUCCAAAACGGACACCCGACCGAUGAGUUAGGAACAUUCCGAUAGAACCAUGAAUAGUAGUGAACAGUAAAACGUGCAGGAAAAAGUACUGAGGCCUGGGGUAUUUUUGCUCCCAAUUUAAAUGAUCAUAACUCCUUGUACAUAUUGAUUUGGAUGAUCUACAAUAUAUUAACGGAAAGCACUAGGAGUCCUCUUUCCAAUGAUAUUGGUUUCAUCCAAUUUGUCUAUCGGAGGGAAAAGUUAUGGUCGAUCUACUUCAGCCUAUCAAAAAAAAUUUUUGGGUCAAUUUCAAAUGAUCAUAACUCCUCGUACACAAUGAUCUGGGUGAGAUACUGUAUAUCAACGGAAAGAUAUGAUAGUCAUCUUUCUAAUGAAAUUGGUUUCAUCUAAUUUGGAUAUCGGAGUAAAACGUUAUGAUUGAUCUACUUCAGACUAUCAAAAUAGUCCACCAAAGGAUAGAUUCAAGAAUUAUUUGAUUUUUAGGGGUGUUUUGGUCAUUCCAACUCACCCAAAAUCCGUUCAAACCCUAUAUUAAAGCCUAUUAGAAGCAUUAUAUGUUGUAUUUCAUCAAAUUCCCUCAAAAAGAAAACCCUAAGCUCCUACAUCCAACUUUAAGAACCUCCAAAGUUCACCACUAAUUCUGCAAAUUUAUUCAAGAUUCCAAGUUCCUAGAUCAAGAACUCCAAGAACCAUCAUUCAAAGUCACGAUUAACAUCUCAAAAAUGAGUAUAGAUCUAAAGUUCAUUAUUCAAGGUAUGUGGGUUUUUUCAACAAGAACUCUCUUUCGUUCUUGUGUCCAAAAGUAAUUUUUUUACAAAGGCAUGAUUUUUAUUUGUUUUUUCCAAAUUUGAAGCAUGAACCCAUAUCUUAUGAUGAUUAUUAUGAAAACUUAAUAUUUAUGAUUGUGAAAGAUGAAUUUACAUGUGUGGAGAUAUAAAGCAUGAAUCUUGAAUGAUAUUUAUCAUGAUUUUGAUAUUUGGGUCAUGAAUUCCCAUUGGAAAUUGUAUUUUUUUAGAAAGUCUAUGUUAUAAGCACGUUGAUGUUGAAUAUUUGAGAUAUUUUGAAUUAUUUGACCUUUUGGUCUUAAUGUUAUUUUUUUGAACUCGAGUGUGAAAGAAAUCCACAAUGUGGUUGAUCAUGAUAGAUGGGAAGCAUGAUGGUUCCCGAUGUAUAUUUAUAUAUUACUGAAACUGUUUUGAUGUGGCUUGUCUUUGAAAUGAUCUGAGCUAAGUCCGGGGGAAAUCUUUAGCACUGAGUGGGAGGUAUAAAGCGACCUUACUUCCCUAGAACUACGUUCCCCUGUAGGAGUGAGCUUGAGGCUGAUUUAUAUAGUGAUUACUAGUUUAUUUUGAUUUGAUAUCGAUAGUCCUACUCCGAUGGCAAGGAUAGGAUGGCUCAUCCCAAUGUGGGUUGUACGUUGGACUCCAUGUAGCUCACAUGGUUUAUGUCGGUUAUAGGAUCUCCCAGUGUGUGUGUGUUUCCUUGUGUCUAUGGUGAAUGGUGAAGUGAUUUGAAAGUGAAAUUGUGAAAGUUUUUCUUUCAAAAGAUUUAAAUGGUAUUUACGUUAUGAGAAUUGAUAUUCUUGAUGAACUGAAAGUGAUUGACAAAUUAUAUAAUGUCUCCUAUGUGUAAUUGUACUUUUUUUAUCCUCUCAUGAUUAUGAUCAUUUUCUUCAGGCUAUGUUAGUCUUUCAUACAUCCUGCAUAUUUCUUAUAAAUAUUUAUGAUGAUCAUGUUUAUAAAACUACAUACACCCCCAUAUACUUGGUUUCUUUCUAUGGUAUUGACCCACAUCUUUGGAUGUUGGCUGCAUUUUUCUGGAAUGUAGGUUUAGGUGCUCAGUUCCAGUUUCGACAGUGAUUCUUCGGGCACGCUGUUCUACAUCGUCUGUUGUGGUGAGUCCUCAUGCUCUGAGAACGUGAUGUCUGAUGUUAAUUUCACGGAAUUAUUUACAUUUGAUAACUGAGUAUGAGUCAGUUGGGGCAUGUCUCAAUGGCUCGUUGGUUUUAUUGAUUGUGUUAGAGGCUUGUCAGACUAGUAUAGAUGUAAGGAGCUGACUAAUAAGUUGUAUUUUGUUAUCUUUCUAAAAUUCUUUUAUUCUUGGAUGAUGAUUACUCUAUUGCUAUUUGAGGGUUAUUUAUGGAAACCCGUUGAUUCGUGUUGAACUGAAGGAAAAUGGCUCAAAGGGUUAGCUUGGGGCUAAUCAUAGCCUCAAGCACCGUGUGACGCUCCAGAACCCAUUUUCGGGGAUUUACAAACUUGGUAUCAGAACCUAAGGUUUUAAGGUGUCCUACGGAGUCUGACAAGUCGCGUUAAGUAGAGUAUUGAUAAUCGGUGUGUAGUGCACCCCAUCUAUGACCAAGAGGCUACAAGACAUUUUAGGAAAAAGUGUGAUUCUUUCUUUCAGAAGUCUAUCGUGCUUAAAGUGUCUCUCUAUGCUAUUGAUUUGUGCCCUUCUCUUUCAGAAAUAUGCUUCCACAUCGAGCAAGAAGAAAUAAUGAUGGUCAGAAACUUCAACCCGCUAACACAUUAAAUGAAAGCGUGUCUCAUGCUGAAUUUUGGGUAGCCAUUCAGGCACUGGCCCAAUCUGUUGCUUUAAAUGUUCAGGCCAACCCUGCCACGGCUCCACAGCAGUAGGGAGAUGAUUCAGCUGCUGCCAGGGUCUGUGACUUCAUGCGGAUGAAUCAGCCAGAAUUCUAUGGGUCCAUGUCAGAUGAGGAUCGACGUUUGUUUUUAGAGGAGGUGCGGAAGGUUACUCAGGUGAUGCAUGUAUCUAAGGAACAUAGUGUAGAUUUGGUUGCGUAUAGGUUAAAAGACCUUGCUUAUGAUAGGAUUGUUGCUUGGAAGAAAGGUAGAGGUGAGGGAGCUGUCCCUAUAACUUGGCAAGAGUUCCAGGUUACAUUCUUGGAUAAGUUUUUCCCUUUGGAGAUGAGGGAAGCGAAGGUGGAAGAGUUUAUGAACCUGCGAUAGGGCUCUAUGACUGUUAGGGAGUACUGUCUAAAGUUCAAUAAGUUAGCCAAGUGUGCUCCUGACUUAGUGGUUGAUAAUUGGGCUAGUAUGAGUAAGUUUGUGACUGCAGUGUCUAGUUAUGUGGUUAAGGAGUGUAGGUCUGCUAUGCUGAAUAGUGAGAUAACUCUUUCUAGGCUGAUGAAUCAUGCCCAAUAGAUUGAGGCAGACAAGAUUAAGGAGAGAGAUAGAAUGAGAGGGAAUAAGAGAGCUAGGUUCAAGCAGCACGGACAGGGUAAGACUAAAUCACAGAGAGGGAGUCUCCCUCAGUAUCAGGAUCAUUCGUCUAUGCCAGCACCAUCAUCUUCUAGUUCUCCCAUGCCUAGAGGUAGGCAGGAGCAAGGUAGCAGGUUAGAUAAAUCCUGCUCCCAGUACAGUGAUGGCAGUAAGCCAAAUCGUCUCCUGUGUCCUAAGUGUUGUAGGGCUCAUUUGGGUGAGUGUUGGAGUAAGAAGAUGGGUUGUUUCCGGUGUGGUGACAUGGGUCGCAGAGUUAGAGAUUGUCCACAAGAUGGAUAAGGGCGUCGUGACUAUCGCCCUCAGACCCAGACUCAGACUGUUAGUGCUCCAGUUCCAGUGACUCGUCCAGCCCCAGCUCAGGGCGCCUCUUCUAGCAAUGCUGGCGGGCAGCGCCAGAAUAGAUUCUAUGCUUUACCGUCCCACCAGGAACAGGACUCUCCCGAUGUUGUUACUGGUAUACUUCGUAUAUUUUAGUUUAAUGUGUAUGCUUUGUUGGAUCAUGGUGUCCAUGUUGAUGUUUUCACUGAUCAUAAGAGACUACAGUAUGUGUUUUCCCAGAGAAAAUUCAAUCUUAGGUAGAGACGAUGGUUAGAAUUGUUAAAGAACUAUGAUAUGAGUGUGUUGUACAAUCCGGGAAAGGCCAAUAUUUUCGCGGAUGCCCUAAGUAGAGUGUCCAUGGGUAGUGCUUCGCAUGUGGUAAAAGGUAAGAAAGAGUUGGCUCAUGAUGUACAUCGUUUGGCUAGAUUAGGGGCUAGGUUGUUCGACUCUGCUGAAGGUAGUAUAGAGGUUCAGAGUAGUUUCGAAUCCUCCUUGGUCAGACUGAAGCAGUCAAGGACCAAAAAGUAGAGGUUUUCUCCCAAGGGGGAGAUGGUGUGUUAAGAUUGCAGGGUUGAUUUCGUGUCCCAAAUGUUGAUGAUCUGAGACAGAGGAUUAUGGCUGAAGUGCAUGGAGCGCAAUAUUUUAUUCAUCCUGGUGCCACCAAGAAGUACCGAGACUUGCGGGAAAUCUAUUGGUGGAGUGGCAUGAAGAAAGAUAUAGCAGCGUUUGUAGCUAAGUGUGCAACAUGCCAACAGGUUAAGGUUGAACACCAAAGACCUGGUGGUAUCAUGAUUCCCUUUGGGUUGUGGUUGAUAGGUUGACUAAGUUUUCUCAUUUCUUGCCUGUUCAUACUUUAUAUACGAUUAAGGAUUACGCUAGAUUGUAUAUCCGAGAGCUAGUCAGACUGCAUGGAGUUCCCUUGUCUAUCAUUUCGGAUAGGGGUACUCAGUUUACUUCACAAUUUUGGAAAGCUUUUCAGAAGGGUCUUGGUACCUAAGUGCUUUUGAGUUCUGCUUUUCAUCUGCAAACCGAUGGUCAAGCUGAGCAGACCAUCCAGACCUUAGAGGAUAUGUUGAGAUCUUGUACACUUGACUUUAAGGGAAGUUGGGAUGAUCACUUACCGUUGAUAGAGUUUGCUUACAAUAACAGUUUCCACUCUAGUAUUGGCAUGGAUCUAUUUGAAGCCUUAUAUAGAAGGAAGUGUAGAUCACCCAUAGGUUGGUUCGAGGUGGGUGAAGCGGCUGUGAGUGGUCCUGAUUCGGUAUUUGAGGCUAUGGAAAAAGUUAAGUUGAUUAGGGAAAGGUUGAAAACUGCGCAUAGUAGUCAGAAGUCAUAUGUGGAUGAUAGAAGGAGAGACCUUGAGUUUGAAGUUGGUGACCUAGUGUAUCUGAAAAUUUCACCCAUGAGGGGGGUGAAGUGAUUCGGAAAGAAUGGGAAGCUUAGUCCCCAUUAUGUUGGUCCUUACAAAAUUCUUAGCCGUGUUGGUAAGGUAUCUUAUGAGGUCGAGUUGCCUUCCGAGGUGUCCCCUGUUUAUCCAAUAUUCCAUGUCUCCAUGCUUAGAAAGCAUAUUAGCGAUGCUGUGGUAGUGGAGUCCUCUGUGAGUGCUGACAUUCAAGAAAAUCUUUCUUUUGAUGAGAUUCUUGAUUUCAGUGUCUGAAGACAAAGGAACAAAGAAGUUCCCUUAGUCAAGGUGUUGUAGCGAAACCAAUCUGUUGAGGAUGCAACUUGGGACACUGAGGCGGAUAUACGAAUGAAGUACUCGCACCUAUUUUCCACAACCUCCGAUCAAGCCCAAGGUACCGUUCAUUCCUAAACCAUGCACUUUUGAUAAAAGUUGCUGCAGUUCAGCUGUCAUUUAUUUUGUGUUCAACUAUAGUUUCUUGAAUUUAUGCAUUCUAUGUUGCAUUCGGAGUGAGAAACGAUGUUGUGUUGAGUCUAACGAAUGGUUUCAGUUGCAUGCUCUACUCCCUAUCUAAUCUUCGCAUGUCUAGCGUCAUUUGAGGAUGAAUGUUUCCAAGGGGGGAUGAUGUAAUGCCUCGGGAAAUUUUUCGUUAAAAUUUUGUGUGUAACGUGUUGAAUUCUAUCUUCUAGAAUGAAUUAUAAAUUUUUCAUGCGGAACGUCUUAGAUUAUGACCCACCAUUGUGUAGAGUAUCGAAUAAUCUUUCCAAAGAUAUGUGAAUCAUCCAAAACGGAGACCUGACCAACAAGUUAUGAACAUUCCGAUCGAACCGUGAAUAGUAGUGAACAGUAAAACGUGCAGGAAAAAGUACUGAGGCCUGGCGUAUUUUUUCUCUAACUUUAAAUGAUCAUAAAUCCUUGUAAAUAAUGAUCUAGGUGAUAUACAAUAUAUCAAUGAAAAGCUCUGCGAGUCCUCUUUCCAAUGAUAUUGGUUUCAUCUAAUUUGUCUAUCAGAGCGAAAAGUUAUUGUCGAUCUACUUCAGCCUAUCAAAACCAAAUUUUUGGGUCAAUUUCAAAUGAUCAUAACUCCUCGUACACAAUGAUCUGGGUGAGAUACUAAAUAUCAACGGAAAUAUAUGAGAGUCCUCUUCCUAAUGAAUUAGUUUCAUCCAAUUUGGAUAGCGGAGUAAAACGUUAUGGUUGAUCUACUUUAGACUAUCAAAACAGCCCAUCAAAGGAUAGAUUCGAGAAUUAUUUGAUUUUUAGGGGAAUUUUGGUCAUUCUUCCUCACUCAAAAUCCAUCCAAACCCUAUAUUAAAGCCUAUUAGAAGCAUUAUAUGUUAUAUUUCAUUAAAUUCCCUCAAAAAGAAAACCUUAAGCUCCUACAUCCAACUUCAAGAACCUCCAAAGUUCACCAUUAAUUCUGCAAAUUUAUUCAAGAUUCCAAGUUCCUAGUUCAAGAACUCCAAGAACCAUCAUACAAAGGCACGAUUAACAUCUCAAAAACGAGUAUCGAUCUAAAGUUCAUCAUUCAAGGUAUGUGGAGUUUUUCAACAAGAACUCUCUUUAUUUCUUGUGCCCAAAAAUAAUUUUCUUUACAAAAGCAUGAUUUUUAUUUGAUUUUUAUGAAUUUGAAGCAUGAACCCAUAUCUUUUGAUGAUUAUUAUGAAAUCUUGAUAUUUAUGAUUUUGAAAGAUGAAUUUACAUGUGUGGAGAUAUAAAGCGUGAAUCUUGAACGAUAUUUAUCAUGGUUUUGAUAUUUGGGUCGUGAAUUCCCAUUGGAAAUUGUUUAUUUUUAGAAAGUGUGUGUUAUAAGCACGUUGAUGUUGAAUAUUUGAGAUAUUUUGAAUGAUUUGACCUUUUGGUCUUAAUGGAGUUGUUUUGAACACGAGUGUGAAAGAAAUCCACAAUGUGGUUGAUUUUGAUAGAUGGGAACCAUGAUGGCUCCCGAUGUAUAUUUAUAUAUUACUAAAAUUGUUUUGUUCUGGAUUGUCUUUGAAAUGAUUUGAGAUAAGUACUGAAAAAAUCUUUAGCACCGAGUGGGAGGUAUAAAACGACCUUACUUCCCUAGAACUACGUGCUCCUGUAGGUGUGAGCCUGAGGAUGAUUUAUAUAGUGAUCACUAGUUUCUGUGGAUUUCAUAUCGAUAGUCCUACUCCGAUGGAAAGGAUAGGACGGCUCUCCCCAACGUGGGUUGUACGUUCUACUCCAUAUAGCUCACAUGAUUUAUGUCGUUUAUAGGAUCUCCCAGUGUGUGUGUGUUUCGUUGUGUCUAUGGUGAAUGGUGUAGUGAUUUGAAAGUGGAAUUGUGAAAGUUAGUCUUUCGGAAGAUUUAAAUGAUAUUUACAUUAUGAGAAUUGAUAUUCUUUAUGAACGGAAAGUGAUUGACAAAUUAUAUAAUCACUCACAGGUGUUAUUGUACUUAUUUCAUCCUCUCAUGAUUAUGAUGAUUUUCUUCAGGCUAUGUGAGUCUUUCAUACAUCCUUCAUAUCUCUUAUAAAUAUUUAUGAUGAUGAUGUUUAUAAAACUACAUACACCCCCAUAUACUAGGUUCCUUUCCAUGGUACUAACCCACAUCUUCGGAUGUGGGCUGCAUUUUCUCGGAAUGUAGGUUCAGGUGCUCAGUUCUAGGUUCAACAGUGAUUCUUCGGGCAUGCUGUUCUACAUCCUUUGUUGUGGUGACUCCUCAUGUUCCGAGGACGUGAUGUCUAUGUUGAUUUGAUGAAAUUGUUUACAUUUGAUAACUGAGUAUUAGUCAGUUGGGGCAUGUCUCUAUGGCUCGCUGGUUUAGUUGAUAUUCUUAGAGGCUUGUCAGACUAGUAUAGAUGUUGGGAGUUGACUAAUAAGUCGUAUUUUGUUAUCUUUCUGAAAUUCUUUUAUUCUUGGAUGAUGAUUACUCUGUUGAUAUUUGAGGGUUAUUUAUGGAAACCCCGUUGAUUCGUGUUGAACUGAAUGAAAAUGGCUCAAAGGGUUAGCUUGGGGCUACUUAUAGCCUCAAGCACCGUGUGACACUCCGGAACCCAUUUUCAGGGCGUAACACCCAUGAAAUCGAACUAUCUCCUCAAUGUAAAUCUUAGCAUAACCUCUCCCAAAUAAUUAGUCCUCAUAGGCAAAAAGUGCGCUGACUUUGUCAACCGAUCUACAAUCACCCACAUAGAAUCAUACUAGUUUCGGGAUUUCGGAAGUCCUGUAAUGAAAUCCACGUUUAUCAUCUCCCACUUACAUAAAGGUAGGGCUAUCUCUUGGGAAGUACCACCUGGCCUCAUGUGUUCUACCUUCACUUGUUGACAGUUCAAACACUUGGACACAAAAUCAGCUACAUCACGUUUCAGGUUAUUCCACUAAUACGAACUGUGAGCCUCAUUAAGGAUUCUUUCCCGUAGCCUAUAAACAUUUUGAAUGCACAACCUACCAUGAAAUCUUAGAAUACCAUCACCACCAAUUUCAAAAUGACAUAACCUUUUGUUGACCUACAUCUUUCUUGAUUUGCAUCAAGAUGGGAUCUUCAACCUGCUUCUCCUUAACUUCAGCACAAAGGGAUGAGUUAGCUAACUCAUGAACAAUCACCCUUCCAUCUUUUGAAUCUAAGAGUCGCACUCCCAGAUUUGCAAGGAGGUAAAUAUCCUUCACCAUCUCAUUAUUUCCAUCUUCUACAUGAGAAAGGUUGCCUAUAGACAACCUGCUGAGGGCGUCGGCUACAAUAUUUGCGUUGCUCGGAUGAUAAUGCAGACUCAUAUCAUAGUCUUUCAAAAGCUCCAUCCAACACCUCUGCCUAAGGUUCAAUUCUUUCUGUGAGAAAACAUACUGCCAACUCUUAUGGUCAGUAUAAAUAUCAACAUACACUCCAUAGAGAUAGGGCCUCCAGAUUCUAAGUGCAAACACCACGGCUGCAAACUCCAAAUCAUGAGUAGGGUAAUUGCGCUCAUGCACCUUUAACUUCCUAGAUGCAUAAGCUAUUACCUUACCACACUGCAUCAAUACACAACCAAGUACAAUACGGGACGCAUCACAAUAAACCACAAAAUCAUCUACACCCUCGGGAAGGGUCAAAACAGGAGCAGUAGUCAGCCUGUCCUUCAACUUCUCAAAACUGUUUUCAGACAAGUCAGACCACACAAAUUUCAUCUUUUUCUGAGUCAGUUUAGUAAGAGGAGCAGCUAUAGAAGAAAAACUCUCUACGAACUUUCUGUAAUACCCCGGCAAACCCAAGAAGCUCCGAAUAUCGGUUGGAGCCGUGGGUCUGGGCCACUUUCUCACUGCUUCAACUUUCUGGGGAUCCACUCUUAUCCCGUCACUGGACACAAUAUGCCCCAGGAAGGCAAUAGCGUCUAACCAGAAUUCACACAAAAAAUUUGGCAUACAGCUAAUGAUCCUUAAGGGUCUGAAGAAUAAUUUGGAGGUAAUUGGCGUGAUCCUCUUUACUCUUAGAAUAGAUUAGAAUAUCAUGAAUAAACACAAUGACGAACAAGUCAAGAAACUGACGAAACACUCUAUUCAUAAGAUCUAUGAAGGCUGCAGGGGCGUUAGUCAACCCGAAGGACAUGACUAGAAAUUUGUAGUGACCAUAUCGGGUUUGGAAGGCUAUCUUGGGUAUGUCUGACUCCUUAACUUUCAACUGAUGAUAACCCGAAUGAAGGUCUAUUUUUGAAAAACACUUGGCACCCUAAAGCUGGUCAAAAAGGUCGUCAAUCCUAGGAAGACGAUAUUUAUUUUUAAUCGUGACCUUAUUCAACUGAUGGUAGUCUAUGCACAUCCGAAGGGACCCAUCCUUUUUUCGUACGAAGAGCACGAAACACUAGGAUGAAUAGAAUCUUUGUAUAGGAGGUAUGCAAGCUAUUCCUUUAACUCCUUUAGUUUGGAAGGAGCCUUUCUAUAUGAUGGAAUAGAAAUAGGAUGAGUGUCUGGCAACACAUCAAGCCAAAAUCUAUCUCCCUAUCAGGGGUAUCCCUGGGGGAUCUUCGGGAAAGACUUCUGGGAAUUCAUUCACUAUAGGGACUGACUGCUAAGGAAGGUUUUAAAGUUUUGAAUCUUUUACUCGGAUUAGAUGAUACAUACAACCUUUGUAGAUAAGCUUUCGGGCUCUAAGAUAAGAGAUAAAGUGACCUCUAGAUUCCACAGAACUCCCUGCCCAUACAAUUGGUGUCUCAUUGGGGAAAAAAAAGUGACCUUUCGAGUUCUAAAAUCAAGGGUGGCAUAACACGAAUACAGCCAGUCCACCCUAAGGAUGGUAUCAAAAUCUAUCAUAUCCAGUUCUAUAAGGUCUGCCACAGUUUCCCUACUACGAAUAGACAUGACACAAUUUCUAUACACCCUUCUAGCAACAACAGAAUCACCUACAGGAGUAGAAACAGAGAAGGAUCUACAAUAACUUCGGGCUCAAACCUGAAACCAACAUCCACAUAAGGGGUCACAUAACAUAAAGUAGACCCGGGAUCAAGCAAUACAUAAACAUCACGUGAAAAGAUUUGUAACAUACCGGUGACAACAUCUGAUAAAGCUUCCGCCUCCUGGCAGUUAGUCAAAGAAUAUAACCGGUUACGACCGCUCCCAGAAGUUGAAGGGGCACCCUUAGGAAAAGGAGCUGUGGAGGCAGCUUGGGACAUAGCCCCCCCCCCCCUCCUCCUCCAUAUUUCCUUCAGCAGAAGGACAAUCUCUCUGAUGGUGACCUACUUUGCCACAAGUAUAGCAGUUCCACCCCUGAAACUAGCACUUACCUAGAUGAUUCCUUCCAUAAACCUCACACCACAGAUAAGUACGACGCUGCUGGGCCAUACCACCCUGAAACUGCGUACCUAGAGCUUUGGAUCCAUGAGGAGUCUAAAAACUCUGAGUUUGUCUAUCUGUCGGUUGUCUGGGUGUUGGGGCGUUGGCUGCUAACUUUGCAUUAUUCCAAAACUUCUUCUUCUUCAACCACUUAUUACCCCAGUUACCACUCUGCAGCUGAAUUUGGUGGUGGUCCGCAGACCUAGCUCUCUUAGCCUGUCUGUCUUUCUCUUUAGAUUUAACAAUCUUUUUCUUCUUCUCUUCCACCUACAGCAUAUGAACGGUCAGUCAAGCAAAGUCUAGUUCCUUAUUCAACAUAGCCCCUGGCACUCAAGUACCAGGUUACUAGCAAGGCCAGAUGCAAAUUUUCUCAUCCGAGCUCUUAUAUUAUAGUCAACUCUGGUGCAUAGUGGGCUAGUUUAUUAAACUUCAAAGUGUACUUCUGGACACUCAUACUGCCCUGCUUCAGAUUUAUAAACUCUUCCUCUUUGGUCUCCCUCAACUCCAGAGGAAAGAAUCGAUCAAGGAAAGCUUCUACAAAUUCGCCCCAAACUGUGGGCUCAGCACUUUCACUUUCUGUAUCUUCCCAGUCGGCAUACCACUGAUUCGCAACAUCCUUGAGCUGAUAGGUUGCUAUAUCCAUCCCUUCAACCUCAUCCACAUGCAUCACGUUAAAGAUCUUUUCCAUCUCAUCCAUGAACACCUGUGGAUCUUCCUCCACCUUGGUGCCAGUGAUUUAGGUGGUUCAUCUUUAUGAAAUGUCUGACUCUAGUAGCAUCAGACGUAACAAAUGCAGACCCAACAUCUUUUGAUCAUUAAGCCUGGUUAGCUACCAACUGUGUAAGAUAUGAAUAGACCGUCUGAAUUCUACAUUUGAGAUAUCUCCCUAAGCAGUUGGGGGAUGGUUGGUAUUAGUCCGCAAAGCUCGAGAUGGACUAGUUGGGAUAGGAAGGACUCUCAAAGUAGGGACAAAUUCUAGAGUGUGAGCCCUAUUACGGGUUCGCAUCCCAUGGGUAGGACGGACCUUAUCUGCCUGAGCAUUCUGAUCGAUGAUACGACCUAGAGGCAUAAUUGUGUUUCUAAAACACAAGUGAUCAUUGAUUAGGGGACAGUUCAAAAUCUGAAGCACAAACUAAAUCACAAAGAAGGGAAACAUUUUCUAAAUGCCUAGUAUCCCCCUGCUUAUAAGUGUGGCGCGCUACACACCCAUAAACAGGAAUCUACCCGAUGCGAUUUCACAGACACCCUGUGACUAUGAACCGUGCUUUGAUACCAAGUUCGUCAUGACCCUAACCAGGGCCUGGCCGUGACGACCAUUUCAAACCAUGGAGGCUCGAAACACCCCUAUCUAUCUGGUAAUCAUACACCUAAUUCAUAUGAUCAAAGUAAUGUGGAAGAAACACAAUAAUUUGGAAACCUGGUAAUAAAUAUGAAAAGAAACAAUAACGGGGAGAUAAGGUUCCCCCAACAUCAAUUAACCUCUAAACAACUGUCUGCGAAAAUAUCUAACAAAUGACUGAGUCAAGUAACCGUAUAUAAACUGGGAAAAGUCCCCCAGUAAACCCCAAAACUGAAUAUAAGAUUAAAGUACUGCAGGACAUAAGACCUUCCAAAACAUAGAAGGCUCACCACUUGUCUCUGCAACUCUAUCUGAAUGAUCUACUGAUUCUCUUGACCCUUAAACUGGGCCUCUGAAUCUGAGAGGUUGGAGAGGGGAGGGGGUCAGCACAAAAGUACUGGCAUGCAGAGAUAUCAAAACAAACAUAAUAUUUUUACAAAAUAUAGUUGAGAUCCAUUAUAAAGAAAUGUCGUAUCAAAUCAUUUGAAAACACAUGGGUGUAAUGCAAUAGUUUCUUAACAAUAAUGAAAUUCAACUUAGCUAGGUGGAAUACCCUACAUAAUUUACACCAACUGUCUCACCUCGGUUGCCACCGAGAUUAGAGUAUAAGUGAGGGAGAGACACUCAAGACCAUAAAGCAUGGUGGCUCGACCCACUGGUAGUUCCCAAGAUCACUUAGCCUGGGCUCCUACCUAUAGUCCCAAUUUAAGAAUGACAUGAAGUCAAGUACCCAAGAUCACUUAGCCUGGUACCAAAAUUCCGUGUCGGCAAACACGUUUUCCAACGAUGAGCCCUUACUAUCGAAUGCCUUCUUCGGGCAUCUACCUUUCUCAUAUAAAAUCAGUGCAUUCAAAUUUCUUAUGAUUCAAUCACAUAUCAUGUUCUAUAGGGUAUCAUCAUACUCGACUUUCAAGUCCUCAAUAUCACUUCUACAUAUGCAUAAUCAUGUAAAAACCAAGGUGCUUCAUAAAUUACAAGUGGUGAACAAUAUUUAUUUCAAAUUCAUGCUCUCUUUUGUUGAUCACAAUAUGAUAUGGGGUAUCAAGACAUUAUCAUGGGAAUUUGAAAGCAAUUUAUCAUUCAUAUUUAUCAAACUUCCAUGGAAAAUCUCAAAUCACAUAUGCAUGGUUUUAAUCAUUGAAGUAUAUAGGCAAAUAAUUGACAUGACAUAAAGAAAAAUGAGUUAGAAAUCACAUUGUAAGCAAGUUUUUAGAAUUUGAUUGAAAACCCCCAUUUAAAAGCAUGCAUGUUCAUAAAAACUACACCCAUGAGAUUUUAGGAUAACCCCAUGUACCUCUAUUUCCAAGGAUAAUAGAUAUUUCUUGAAGCUUGCGGAUUGGUGAUUCUAAAUAUGUAAUUAUCUUUGAUAACCUAUGGUCGAAUCUUGAACUAUUUGGGUUUUUAUUUUGAAAUCCUAAGGAGAAUCUUUGAGAACUUUUGAUGAAUGAAGGUGUAUUUUGGGGUCCUUGGAACUGAAUUUCGUGUAUUAGGGCUAAGUAAGGGUGGAAAAGGACCACUUUGUCCCCAAAACGGAGUGUUUAAGUCACUUGAAUUCUUUCUUUACUUAGGCGCCGCCCAUCCCAUUGCGUAUGUUCACACAGGCGCUGCAUAGGCUAUCGCCUAUGUUUACAUAGGCACCACCUAGGCUAUCUCAUAUGUUUACAUAGGCGCCGCCUAGGCUAUUGCCUAUGCUUUCCAGUGGCCAUGGGCAAUUGGUUAGGCGACGCAUAUCACUUUGAAAGGCCAUAACUUCUUGCUCGGGUUUCGGAUUUUAGCCAAAUUGGUAUUGUUGGAAAGCUAACUCGAAUACCUAUCAUUUGAUGCAUAGUAGGCCUCCUAAUUUGACAUAUACAGAGAGUUAUGGUCGAUGAAAACUGACACACUUUACAACGUCCACUAAAACUUAGUCGAUUGAAAUAGUUUCAACUCGUUCAUAAGUUGAAGGACCUCUAUGGUCUAAAUUCAAGCUUGAAUGGAUUCACAUGAGUCACAAAUAAUUAAAAUGCCGUAUUGGCAUAGGAUUUUAUGGCUUCAGGAUUAUCAACGCAUCGAAAUCAUGGUCUAUAUUGUAGCCCAAAAUGCGGGGCAUUUCAAAUGCCUAUUAGUCUGAGUCUGAUAUGGCAUUGGUCUAAAUUGGUAUCAUCAUAUCAAGACUUUCAAUUCAUAAUUUCUAAGCCAUAAUACAUUAAGCUAAAUCUUUCAUUUAAAGAAUAAUUUAGACCACCAAAAAUAUGCAACCGAUAUAAAAGAUUUCAUGUUUCGAAACUCAAUUCAAAAUCAUGCAAAAACUUCAUCAACAUAUGGUGGUCAAGUGCCUUUAGCAAAUCCAUGCACUCUUUCAUUACAUGCAUUAUGAACAUUAAACAUUCAUGCUAGAUUCCGUCUUUAGUUAUUUAAAACCACCUUAAAAUCAUAACAAGUGUUCAAUCAUUUCAUAUAGUGCUUUUCAGGGAUGCAUUGCAAAACAAUUCAUAUGCUAUGAGAAAUCUGAAAAAUUAACUAAAGAGGGAAUUCACCAAAACUCAUGCUCUCAACAACAAUUCAUUCUUAAAUACAUGGUUUCAUACAUCCAUAUUCUCAAGUCACUUUGGGGAAAGUCAAAAGACCAAAACAAUGAUGUUAAAACAUUUAAUACAUGAAUAUAUACAUAGAUUCAAAAACCCCUUUCUAAAACAUGAUUUUUCUAUACCCAUAAGAAUUUAGGAAAACCCCGCGUACCUCUAUUUCUGAAAAUAAUGGGUGCUUCUUGAAGUCUGUGGAUUGGGGAUUCCGAAUCUCUAAUCAAUUUUGAAAACCCAUGAUUAAAUCUUGAUUAAUUUGGGUUUUUAGUUUGAAACCAUUGGGAGUGUUCUUGAGAAUUUUUAGAUGAAUGUGGAUGUAUUUUGGAGAAUUAGGGACUGAAUUUCGUGCUUGUGGCUGAAUAAGGGUGGGAAAAGGACCAUUUUUACAUAGGCGCCGCAUAUGAUAUCGCCUAUAUUUACAUAGGCACCGCAUAUGAUAUCGCCUAUAUUUACAUAGGCACCGCAUAUGAGAUCGCCUAUAUUUACAUAGGAUCCGCAUAUUAUAUCGCCUAUAUUUACAUAGACGCCGCAUAUGCUAUCGCAUAUGCUUUCCAGUGGCCAAGAACGAUUGGUUAGGCGACGCAUACAACUUUGAAAGGCCAUAACUUCUUGCUCGGGUGUCGGAUUUUAGAAAAAUUGGCAUCGUUAGAAAGUAACUCGAAGACCUAUCAUUUGACCCAUAGUAGGCUCUCUAAUUCAACAUAUACAAAGAGUUAUGGUUGAUGGAAUAUGACACAAAUUACAACGUCCACUAAAACUUAAUAGAUCGAAAUAGUUUCAACUCGUCCUUGAGUUGAAGGACCUUUAUGGUCUAAAUUCAUGCUCAAAUGGAUUCACAUACUACAUAAACAUGUCAAAUUGGCAUAGGAUUUAAGGCUCUGGGAUUAUCAACGCAUCAGAGUCAUAGUUUUUAUUCUAGCCCAAAAAUGAGGGGUGUUAAAAUGUGUAUGUUUAAUUUUUUUAAAAACUAAAUUUUGAAAAUGAACUGUUAUGUGUUUUCUGUAUAAUGUUGAAUUAAAUUAUUUUUUUUGAUAUAAUUAUGAAGAGAAAUGAAAUAACGUUGGAAAUCAGUAGGUGGUACAGUUAUGUAUAUUAUAUAACAUUCAUAAAUUGUAUUUGUAGCCUUUAACUCAGAUAUAUGUUUUAUGUAUAUUAUAUACUAAUUAAUGUAGAUAAUUUAAUAUACAAAGCUCUAUUAUAUAACAUUUGAGUUGUAAAUGUAAGCAUAUAGUUGUAAACAAAAAAUUUUAAAAACAAAUAUUAUGUGUUUUACAUAUAGUGUUGAAUUAACUUACUUCUUUAAUAUAUUUUUUUUCAAUUAAAUGUAUACUUAUGUAUUUUUUUCAGCAUUUAUUAGUUAGUUAUAUAAUGUAAUAUGUAUGUUAUAAUAUAUACACAGAUUAAAAUUAGGACGUUUUGUAUAUAUUAAAACCCAUACACACAUUACAAUUAUGUAUAUUUUACAAUAUAUAGUAUUAACUUUUAUUGUUUACAAUGUAUAUGAAAACAUAUACACACAUAACAGCCACAAAUAUAUGUAAAUGUUGUCAUAUGCAACAUUCAUCAAAAACUACAUUCGUCAUUGCUAAAAAAUACAUAUGUCAAACGAAAACUUCAUCAUAUUUAUUAAAAAAAAACAUUGUAUUCUGCCUUACAAAACAACUAAAAUAAUUAAAACUUUAAAAAUUCCUAAGAAAUUUCAGCAGAAUACAUUAAAAAUCUUAACAAUAGUCUUUAGUAAGACUACUCAAUGCAAACUAUUGCAUUAUCAUCUUGAAUUUGUAUAAUUCUUGAAUUUUGUCUUGGAGGGUCAUCAGUUUCACUAACAUAACAUUUCUUUAAUUUUUGAAUACCAUAUUUUCGAAGUAGUAGUGAGGCGUAACACAUUCUAUGGUAUUCUUCUUCAAAACCAUCAAAAGGCACAUUUAUUUCUUCAUUUAGGUUUUCUGCAUAACCAACAACAAAGACUCCACAAUCCCUAUCAUAAAGACUCCACAAUCCCUAUCAUACAUACAAAAAAUAAUAGAAGUUAUUACGUAAUACUUACUAGAAAUGUAACAUACAAAUACAUUAAUACAUGUAUAGUAAUAUUGCAAAUAAAAAGAAUAUAUGAGUAUGCACACUGUCGCAUUCUUGUUGCAUAAUAUGUUGAACAUACUCAACGUCAAAGGGAUGUUCAUUCAGAAUUUGUGUCGUCUGAGUAAUCUUAUCUCUAUAUGUUUCAAGAUUAGGCCAAUCUGUACGAGAUAUUUCACCAUAAAAUUUGUUGCCAAAAAGGUAAGUUGGUAGCAUCUUAGCCAGCUUUUGAAUCUCAGUAAUUGAUUCCGUAUUACUUCAUCUGGACAGUGAAUCGUAGGCUCGUAUGCGUCUAUCCUUCAGGGCAAUAACCGCUAACAACCAGUAAAAAUUCUCAUUGCAGUUGAUAGGAACAUACACCUCAUCAACUUGCUGCCAUGGUAAACCAGAUGGCAUGCAAUAUCUCUUGAUUAUAUGUGUUAUUGCCUCAUCAAUUAGAGCAACGUGAACAAAUUCAGCAUAAUCUUGUUGUGUAGUCAGGACUGUAUCUGUAUCGUCUUCAUAGUAUUUGGAGUAUGUCUUGUCAAUGUAGUUCUUGAAAAAACAGCUGGUUGUUGUGAACCUGUAAUCUUGAUCGCUCCUAAUUUCGAUUUCUUCCGCAAAUGAUAGAAAAUGACAUCAAUAUGCUACAAAAAGUAGAAAAAAAUGAAAUCAAUUAUGUCCUAUAUAAUAAAAAUCACAUACUUUUAAGAAUAAUGUUUGUUGACAUAAAUCUAGAUUAUAAAUUCAUAUACAUAAAAUAUAAUGAGACCUGAGUAUGCAAGAAAGUUCAUAACUACAUACAUUUAUUGAUGUAUAUUAUUUAAUAUACAUACUGAUUAUCAAUUAUUAACAUACAUAGACAUUAGCAAUCUAAUACAUAUAUUAAGGUAGACAUAUACAUAUGUUGUUGUGUUAUAAUGGAGUUAACAUAUAGGUUAUAAUAUACAUAGAUGAUGUCCAUCUAUUUUAGUAGUCAUGAAUUUGUUAACAUAUACGCAAACUUUUUUUGUGUGAUCUGAGGAUACUAGAAAAAACAUGACACAAAAAUCAACAGUGAUGUAUAUUAUAAUGUGUAUGUAGGUGUUGUCAAAUGCCUAAACUGGUCAUAUAUAAAAUGAACACAUAUACAAUGCAAAAACAUGAUGUACAUAAAUUAGAAAUUGAAGUAUUAGUUUAAGAGAAACACAGUUUAUUUAAAACUUAUUGAACAAAUAGAAAAUCUCUGAAGUAGGUUAACACAUAUAUGUAUGUAUACAACAUAAUAGAACAAGUAAAAACGAAUGAUUACCAAAUUAAAAAGUUUAAAUACCUCAUCAUUCCAACAAGUGUUCUUUUGAGACAUCAAGUAAAACUAAUUUUUUGUCCGUGCAUGAGCAACCACAAAAUCAAUUUCAUGAACUCCUAGCGAAGAUGAUUUUUCUUUGUAGUGAUCAUCAUCAUAUUUUCUAAAAAAAAAUUAAAUUUGUUAUUAUAAAAAAAAUAUCCUACAUUCAUUGAGUGAAAUAAUUAAUUUUAAUAUUGAUAAAAACUUACUUUUUAGCAUGAAACUUCAAUAAUUCCUCCUCCACUCACUAUUUGAACUCUUCAAUUACACUGCUUGGCAUAGUGUCAGAUAUUACCAAAUCAUCAAAAGCGAAUUGUUGUUUCUGUUCUUCGAUCUGAUCCUCAAUUGCUUUAGAUCCAGAAGCAUAUUUUAUUGUAUUUAUGGAGACUUGAAAACUUUGGAUCUCGUCCUGAUUCUCUUAGAAACCUUAGCAGGGGUUUUCGCAUCUUGAUGAGUCGCGACAACAACAUCAGAAAAAUCAAGAGGAAGCUGACUAUCAGAGCUGUUGUGCUGGUUCACAACUGGUCCUACCGGUGGAACUACUUCUAUAGGAACAUCAUCAACUGGUGCUGCAAUAACUUUUAAUAUCGCAUAUAACUUGACUUAAGCCGAUUCAGAAAGUGUACUCGAAUAAUCAACCUAAGAUUAAAUUUGAAGUAUGUAUUGUUAGAUUUGGUUUAACACGCACGUAGAAGUAGUGUCAUGUGUGAAAAUUAAGACAUGUAGGGAGAAAAAAAAUUUGGUGAAGUUACCUACUUAUUAGAUGUUCCAACAUUAUCAUUAUCAGGUUUCUGGUUUUCCAUAGCGGCGACUAGACAUUCCAAUGUGGCAGGCCCAAUAUCAGCACUAACUCCUUCAACAUCCUUGAAAACAUAACACAAAACAUAUACAAAAGUAUAUCAUUAUUUCGAUUUAACUGUAAGCGAAAAAAUAGUACAUUUCUUACAUAUUUGACCUUUGUCUGAAAAAGAAUGACUUUAUUUAUUUACCAUGUGUUCAUUAUGGACAUGCAUAGUAGUAGAUGUUCCAACAUUGGUGUUGUCGGAAUUGUGAUUUACCACGAAUUCUACAAUAGCAUUCCUCACUGCAUCCAUCGACAUCCUACCAAUCAUAAUGUAAAACAUAUACAUAACUAAGUUAGUUCAAUGUUUUAAUUAUAAACGUUAAAUUCUGAGAUCUUUAACCUUCAAUUGUUGUUGUAUCGGACUGUGUUUCCAAUAAAAAUAGUGACCAUCCAUUGGAUCAUCAACAGAGUAUAUGUAUGUUGAUUUAUAUGUCUCGCUGAAAAUCUAUGAAUAAAAAAUAAUUAUUGCUUUUUAUGUUAAUUGCUUUCAUAAUUUGUGUUUUGCUGCAUAUUUGUAUAUAAUAAUAAUAUACAUAUAAUACAAUACGAAUAUAUUGUAAUGAAAAUAUAACUGUCGUUAAACAACAUUCAAUUUGUACCAAAUUCUAAGCUGGAUAAAAAUCAUAAAAUUAAAGAAGUAACGAAAAAGUAAUAUAUGUAACGACGUAUGUAUAAUUAUCACUUGUGAGUAAAUACCUUUUUUCCCUUUUCUUUUAAGGUGUUGAAGAUUUCAAUAUCUUCAACAUCCUCUUUAGAUGGUACAUUUUCUAUUGUUUCUUGUCCCUCUUGCUAAUGGUGUUGAAAUAAUAUAGUAUAUUUUUUAGAAAAAGUUUGAUAACAUCAACCUGAUCUAAUAAUAAUGUAUGUUUAAAAAAGUACCCCUUUUUGUAUGCCUUUAAUAUUCUUCAUGAUAUCCAUCUCGCCUACUUGAGCUUGUGUUGAUUUUUCUACAACAGUUGAACCAUCCAAAACAUGAACCUUUAUAGUUUGUUGUAGUAGAUAUAUCAGAUACUAUGCCAUUGCAAUGUAAUAUACAUAUCUAUAAAUACUCAUAGUAUAACUUGUGAUUAUACUGUGGACUUAACAUAAAGCAAUUAUGUAUAUUAGUUAAAAUACAUAUCAUUACUGUCAGCUAUUAUGCCAAUGCAACUAUCAAUUUCAUGAGAAAUAGUUAAUAUACAUAGCAUGUUGUUGGUAUUUUAUAUACCACAGUGUAACAAUUUAUGUAUAUUAUAUUACAAACAUAAAAUGUAUGUAAUAUACAUAGCUAUAAACUACACAUCAUACUUCUGAGUAUAACUUAUAAUUAUAUUGUGUAUUUAACUUAAAAUAUUUGUGUAUAUUAGUUAAUAUACAUAACAUAAUUGGCAGCUACUAUUCCAUUGCAACUAUCAACUCCAUGAGAAAUAGUUAAUAUACAUGGCAUAUUGUUUGUAUGAUAUAUAACACAAAGUAAGCAUUUUAUGUAUGUUAUAAAACAUUGUACAAAUAAUAGUUAAAUAAUAUGUAAUACAAUUCUAAUUCAGAAUAUGUAUAAAUGAACAAAAUUGAAGCAAAAAGAAAUACAAAAUCAUGAAUUGUAUAACUUAAAUCAUUUUUUGUGUACCUUUUCAUUUUUUUGGCUGUUGUGUUUCAACAUUUGGAUGAGUUCGGCAUGUUGUUUAUCCAUUUUUUCAUUUGAGUCUUGAUGUUGUUUGACUAUUAGAUCAUGAAGAAAGUUGAUUUUUGUUUCAACCUACAAGUCAAAAUGAACUUACAUAAGACUACAUGUUGAUGAAAGUUGAAUUUUGUGUAUACCAGUAUGUCAAAAGCUAAAGAAAGUUGACUAUUAGAUAUGAAUGGACUUACAUAAGAUUGAAAAAAUAACUUUAUAUCAUCCCACUUUUCAUCACAAUUACCCUGACAAACUGACUUGAGUGACGAUGAUGGAGUUGUCUUUUCGGCAUGAACACGCUCCGAACCUGAAGAAGCUGUUUUUUGGGUUGGCACAGUUCUUGUUGAAAUAAAAGAUGGUGUUUUUUGACAAACUUGCUUCUCUGUAGUUGUGGAAUGAAAAUGGACUAUUUUUUGCUUCUUAGUCAGAUGAGAUAUUGAAGCAUCAGUAAUCAAACCUUCCUUCUUGAGAAUUUCUGUUGGAGGGACCGUACUAAAUUCCUCAAAACUGUGUAUAUCGAGGUCUACUUAUGACUGUACGUCGAUAGCAGGUCUUUUAUCGGAACAAUAUGCAGCAAUUUCUGAGGAAAUCCACUUUCAACUUCUUUUAAUUGAAACCCCUCAAUCAUUUGUAACUCAAGAGUUUGUACUUCUUCAUGAGUUGGUCGUAUAUUGUUGUAUACAAAUUGUUAAAAAAUAAAAAAUAGCAACAUUAAUAGUCUGUUAAAGUAAGCACGUUGAAAAUUAAAACUAAGAUCAAAAUAAUAUACAUCAUACUUACCUUGCUGAACAUACCAACCAUAAAUUUCUCGUACUUAAAUUUGAUUCCAACCACCUGCCAGUUAAAAAUUCAGGAAAUUACAUUUUCCACCCGGUCGGCUAUCAUACUGUCUACCUCAGAACAACAUUCAUACAUCCAAACAUUCAGUACGUGAGGCAUUCCCCCCAUCGAGUAUAACUGUUUCACAGUAAAAAAAUCCUGUCUCCACAAUAUAAUAAGCUUUUCAAAUGAACUUUUCCCCCAUGAAAAUUGUUCGUAACUACCAUUCUCAACCAUUACAAAAUUCGAAUUGCUAAUUGUAUAAUCACGUACUUGUGAAUACAGAAGGGUGUGAAUAAAGUAAAUGAUUGACAUAUUCAGAGCAUCAGAAUUGUUUUCAAAGUUGCUCAACUUGAAACGCUCUUUAAAGAGACUCCUUUUGACAGAACUCCUAAAUCCUAGAAAAUACUUCGUCAUUAAUGCGGACUUUGAUGUAGCAGAAUAGAGGUGCUCCUCGAUAUUUCCUGAAAAUUUAAGACCGUAUAUAAUGGCAUAGUCAAUAAUAGUAAACAUGAGUGCAGUUCCCUGUGCGUAAAUAUGUAUUUCAUCCGGAUUGCUUGUUCUAUCUUGAGCAUUAGUAAGCAUUUGGAUAAUUGACCGUGAUAAUUACAAUUCGAGAUGUCUAGGAAUGAACCAAAAAUUGUUUGCCAGAACAGAUUUACAACUUCUUCACCAAGAUAAUUUUUUAUUUCUUCUCCAAAUUUUCGAUUACAAUAACUACCAAAAUACAACGAAUGCGCAGGGACCUUUGUUAUCUUGUAUUUCAUACCCUAUUGAGAAAGAAACAACACAUGAUGUGUGAGCAUGUGUUUUUAAAUGAAAAAACCACUAAACUUAUGUAUAUUACUAACAUAUACAUAAAACUGACUUGUGAGAAGUAUUGGUUCUAAAACAUAGAAAACAAUAUAUCAUCAAUGAUAUAUAUGUCAACAUAUACAUAGCUAAUAUCCAUUAUGUAUAUGCAGUUCAUACCAACAUAUUGAACUUUAUGUAUAUAUUAUUCAUAAACGCAUGGCAGGUUCAAUGCAUCAAACUAAAAUAACAAAACAUAUAUAUGUCAAUAUGAGCAUACGUUGUAAAAUUAAAUGCUAAACUUAUGUAUAUUACUAUCAUAUACAUAAAAUUAAAUUGAGAGAAUUAUUGGUUCAAAAAAACAACAAACAAAAUAUCAGAAGUGAUGUAUAUGUCAACAUAUACAUACCUAAUAUCCAUUACCUUAAACACCUCUUCAAAAAAUAUACACUUAUACACAGAAAAUAUGAUGUAUAUGAAGGACACAGUGCAAUAUUAACAACAUAUUGAAGUUUAUGUAUAUGUUAUUCAUAUACACAUUGCAUGUUCAGUGCAUCAAACUAACAUAACAUAACGUAAUGGAAAAAUUAACUUAUGUAUAUGUGCUGAGUAAUGUAUGUGUAACACAUACAUACGAAUUUACAUAAACCCAAUAUUCAUUUAUGUAUAUUAAAUUAUAUAGAUCACUAUAUUUCAAAUAAAAAGCUCACCACAAAUUUAUAUACCCAACAUAUACAAAGACGAAAAAAUUAUAUAUACCUCAGGAAGACGUGGACGUCUAGAAUCAUCUUUUUUGGAUAAUCUUGAUGAUUUUCCAAAUGCUUUUUUCGACUUCUCGGCAGCAAAAAAUAUUUAAUAAGAACAUGCAACAAUUUGUUCUUUCAAAAAACCCCAAAAUUGAGUUAAGGAGAAUGCUCCAUUAACAAAGUACUACGUUGUUAAUAUCGUAUUUCAAAUGGACGAUUUCAAAAAUUUCGUCAAAGAAGAAACCCCAAAAAAUACUUAAUAAGAACAUGCAACAAUUACUUCAUUCAAAAAUCCCCAAAAAUCGGUUCAGUAAAUGACGAAAAAAAAAAAUACUAACCUCAACACUUAAAAAUCAGAAUAAUUAAUGGAGAUUAAGAUAAAAUUUAAUGCUGUAAGUUGGAGCCAAGUACAGUUGUAUUCAAAAUGGUAACCGAUGCUUGAAUUUAGGAGAGUUUUAAGGGCAAAAAACGGUGAAAGAAAUCAUCUUACUUAUGUAUAUUUACUUUUAGAGAGAGAAACACCAAAAAUGGGAUUUUUGUAAUAAGUUUGAGGAGUUGGAAUUUUUUGUUAUUAAUGAAAGAUAAGUUGGGUUAUUUUGUAUUUUUUAGUUUAAAAUAUUACUAUAAUUUAAAAAUAAGGUGAUGGUUGUCGACUAUAAAGAGUAAAAGCAAAUAAAUAUUAAACAGUGAUUCUUUAAAAAUUUUAGGAUUUUGCAUUUUGAUUAUUUACAAUAUUUAAAUUUUAAUAUUUAAAUUUUUGGACUUUAUAAUAUUAUUAAAUGAUGGUUUAAGUGGACUUCGAGUUAGGGUUCUCCUCUAAUCUUGAUAUUUUUAGUAAUUUAUUUUAUUUUUAUUUUUAAUUACUUUUUAUUUGAUCCACAAACCAGUCCAAUCCACUACUCAAGCCUCAUAGACCUGUGGGCUUAUACGAACUAGGCUAAAAAGUCCUUAAAUGGGCUUAAAACUUUUUAGCUUAAUCUUAUCAAAUUACAGGCUGAAUUGGACUAGCUUGACAGUAGGUUUAGCCCACGGUAAACCCUAAAACUCAUAUCCAAAAAUACCUAGUGAAUCUUUCUAUGCUAAAACUCACAAAAUUUGAAGGAACCCAUGGACCAAGUGGUGGAGGAAGACAAGGAGUUGAAAAAUUGAAGAAAGAGUUUGAAGAAACAUACAAACUAACCCAACAACACAUCAAAUACAUACAUGAAUAUGGAAAAUCAAGAACAACAAUUGCAGAAGAGAAAAAUUCACUCUUAAGAUUGAAUGAAUUUUUUUCCUUUCGAUGACAAGCUGAAAAAAUUCAGCCUUUCGCACAAUCUUGGGAAUCCCAAAUCGAUGAGGUAAAGAUAUAUAUAUAUAUACUAGUUAUCCAAAUGAUGUCUUGGAUAAACACUAGUCUAAACAUAGUACAGACUGGAGAUCUUGAGGGCCAGGUCCGUGCUCAUUGCUUGAAGGAGGAAAUGGGAAAUGUCUCAUUCCUAAAUUUCCUUGUCUCUGGCGAAGGAUGGAUUCUGUUGUAAGUUAUGUUUGGUUUUGAUUUAUCUGUGACUAACAUUUGAUACUCUUGUAUGAAUUCAUUUUAAUUCAAGCUAGGAGGAUUAAAAGCACGACACUUGACUAAUUAAUGUAAAUCUACUACGCGAGAUACCUAUUAUCUAGUUUUAUAAAUGUUUGUGAUCAAAUAACGUCAUCACACUAAAGGAAAAAAAAUAAAGACUAAUGAUUGAAUUAAGACUCUUAUAUAUAAUAUCCUAACUUGACUCUACAAUCUCGAAAACAAAUUAGACUAUAAGAUGUAAAGCUAACAUGUAUCACAAAUGAACUAUAACUUGUCAAACUAAAAUAUGACAUAUAUUCUGCUCCUUUGUCGAUCCAUUACUUUUCCUCUUUAUGAGUGAGAUCCCAGUAGGUCUUAGGUAUAAUAGCUUUGAUCUAAAUGACAAUGUUUAUGAGAUUCAAUCCUCAAACCUUGAAGACUGCCAUAAAAAUUGCCGGAAUGCAGCAAAAGACCUUAGGGGCUGAGGAGAAAAUGGGGAAGAGGAGUGCUAGGGAUGUUAAGCCUAUUACCAGCCCAUUCAGUCCUAAAGUCAAUGGAACAGUAAUACCAUAUACACCUAAGGACAGAACUAGCAGGCUAAUCCUCAUAGGAUGAGCUAAGAGGUCGUUGAGUACAGCAGGACCAACUAGUUGUGUUACAAGUGUGGAGAAAAGUGAAGUCCUUGCCAUCAGUGUAGUUUAAGCAGCUGAAUUGCGUCAUUGGUGAAACUGGGUAGAUGAUAGAGAACAAGUAGGAUGCGACAGAUCCAAUACAUGAACCUUGAAAGAACAAGAUGUCCAAGAAGUGGUUUGUUUGAGUGCCUUAGCUUGUCUUUUCAAUUAUCAUUGGGGACUCUUGAUUUCCAGCAAAGCUAUGGUCUAACAGCCAAUGAAGUGUGUGAAAAUCUAUAGAAACAAGGGUCCAACAAUAUUUGAAAAUCUAUACCUUUGGCUCUUUGUUAUUGUUUUGGCCUCGAAAAACCCUUACGUUAGCCUAAAGUCUUUAGUAAUUACAAAAGUGAGCAAGACUAAUCUACACAAGAGUGAUGACCCUAUAGGUUAAAAGGGAUGAUUUUUUACAAUUAUUUGUUAUACAACAACAACAUACCUGGUGUAUUCCUACCAAGUGGGGUUGGAGACGGUAAUGUGUAUGCAGUCCAUACCACUACCUCAGAUGAAGUAGAGCGGUUGUUUUCGAUUGACCCCCGACUAUAACAGUAUAACAAACAAAAUAAUAUAAAAGCACAAAACAAAAUGGGAUACCACAUUGCUAGCUAAUAUAGGAAACAAGACAACCAAAAGAUCAGCUGUUGAAAUAAUUAAAAAACAUCCAAAGUUUAAUUAAACUCUAAAUCAACAAAAGCAAAGAAAAGAAGAAAAAAACACUGAAUGCAUAACCGCAAAAAAAGUAGAAUAAGCUAAAAGAAAAUAAAGUCAUCUAUGAUUAUCUGUAUGCACCUUAAUACUCUCGUGCUCAAAUUCUUCCAAAAUUAAUUUAGCAAAAUUUUCCACAGAAACUGCAAAAAGAAACGAGUGUUCAAGAAAUGCAACAACAACAAUCAAUUCCCUCCGAUUCUAGCCUCAUUGAUCGUUUCACCAUGCUCCGCAUUUGCUAUGUCACGAUCCACCCAUACUGUCACAAUCAUUACUGUAGCAACACCUUUAAAAGGUUACCCUCUACAUCGACACAAGCACCCCCACGACCAUACUCAAACCACCCAACUUCAUCUUUGGUUUCACCAAUAGUAAUAACAAUAAUGUUUUUCAAGGACUACUCAUCAAUGCAUAUAUUGAAUUUGACAGAUUUGUCAUUGCUUUGUCGAUAUCACAAGUGUCAUCUCAAAUCUAUGACCUUUGUUGAAAGCUCCCUCAUCUCCCUAAUGUGGGGCUUCUCAGCUUGAAUUUGUAUUUAAUCGGUCUCUAAUUUGCAUGUGGGAUAUAGAGUGGGAAAUUAAAAUAAAGUUAUUUAAAUAUUUUAGAGCCAAUUUGGGGCGAGUAACACUAAAAAUACAUUGACGCAUAUUGGACAGUUAUCGUCCAACAUAGAGCAGCCUUCUGGACAUAAGGAAAUUUAUAGUACUUUUUCUUUGAAUGCUUAUUGAACAUACCUCGAUCUAACAUGAUGUGUUCAGAUCACAUAGGAGAGCUCAUGAGCCCCAACUUUCUAGACGUUCAUUUGUGGCAUUAGUUUAGAAUUCGAUUUUUCAAAAUAGAAAUUAAAAGUGUGAGAUAGUAUUCUACUAAUUAUUAACUUUAGCUAGUUAAAAUUCUAUUUGUUUCUAUUUAUUAAAAUAAAAUUUCCCUAAAUUUCUUAUAUAAUUUGGUUAAAGGUAGUUAUGAAUUAAUUAUAAUAAAUAAAGUACUCGCGGCAAAUUCGUUGAAUACAACAUGAGAAUCGUAUACAAAUAAAGUACUCGCUGCAAAAUUUAUGGACUUACUAUUCUACAUUAAGGUAAGAGUGUAAUUAUGUUGACCAUUUAUAAAUAUCUUGCCAACGACCAAUGAUACAAAUAUAUGUUACAAUAAACCCUAAUAGAAUGACAGGUUACUGACUAAGGGGAGGCUAGUGAAGUUGAAAAUACCUGUUGAUAAUCCAAAUUGUUGUUUAUGCAACUCAAAUGUGGAGGAGACUGCACAACAUUUAUUUGUGGAAUGCACCUGGUUCGAUACAGUGCAAAAUUCCUUAUUGGCUUCGAUAGGCAUUAAGCUUCAGAGAGGCAAUGUGAAUCAGGUUUUAGCGUGAAUUAGAGGGAAACGCUGGGCAUCUAUUCAACAGGAGGUUGUUGCUGCUAUAUGGAGUGCAUUGGUUUAUCAAACUUGGAGGGCGCGUAAUUGGAAAAUAUUUAGAAGACAAACUGUACAUACUGAGACAGCUAUAGCACAGAUAAAGCAGGAGCUAGUUCAUAGAUUAGAGAUCUCUUAUAUAGCAAAGAAAUUGGAUAGAUGCAGGGAAUUAAUGCAACGGUUACGCAUGUAAUAGUUUUGGAAUGAGGCUUUAGUUCAUCUGCCUUGUAGAGGCAUGGCUGACUAAAGGGCUCUUAGGAUGUACAACUGAUGACUUUUUGUUUGUCUAUGCUAAUGAUUUACAAUGUUACCAAAAAAAAAGAAUGAUAUUUGUUCUUGCGCCCCAGUAUUUGAUCCCGAGCCACUCUCUAUAUUGCUCUUCAAUUAUGAUGUCAAAAGCAAAAUUACAAAAGAUAAUAAGGGGAACUGUACCAAAGAUGAUAGAUCUAUUCUUCCUGAUGAUAUCAUUUUCACUAUCCUUAUAAAGUAAAUGCUAUAUCUUUGUUACACUUUAAAUUUGUUUCAAAAUCAUGAAAUGAUAUGAUUUCCGAGGUUAUAUUUACAAAAGCUCAUUGUGAUGAAUCCAAAGCGUUAGGAAGUGAAAAACUUUUGUUACAAAAAAUAUUGGCGAAUUCGAAUUUAUACAUUUAAACAAUUUUAAUGAAGUUAUCGCACAAUAAUUUCCUCUUAAAGAAUUCCUAGGUGCUCAUGUCUUAUGCUCAUAUAAUGGUUUGGUAAUAUUGAAGAAACCUAAGGCUUACAAGAAAUUUGUUUUGUGAAAUCCAUAAUCUGGAAUACUACAUUCUUGAGUGUCCAUAUAUGAAACCUCAUGAACACAUAUUUUCUAGUGCUUAUGGUAUGUGUUAUGAUUCUAUCCCUAUAAGCCAUAAGCACAAGAAAAUGUGUAUUCUUUAGGUUUCAUAUAUGGACACUCAAGAAUGUGGUGGUGUCCGGAUGGUGGAUUUCACAAAACGAACUUCUUAUAAGCCUUAGGUUUUUUCUGUAAUACUAAGCCAUCAUAUGACCACGGGAUUUGAACACCUAUGAAUUCUUUGAGCGGGAAUUGUCAUUUAUCUAUGAUAACCUCAUUGAGGUUGUUUAAAUAUAAAAAUUCAAACUCGCCCGUAUUUUUUGUAACACUGGCUUUUCACAUCCUAUCUCUUUGGAUCGAUCACAGGGGGCUUUCGUGAAAGUAAUGUUGAAAUCAUAGCAUUCCAUGAUUUUGAAACACUCUUAAAGUGUACCAAAGAUGUAGUGUUUACCUUUAUGGUGAUGUUGAAAAUGAUAUCACAUGGAAGAAUAGGUGUAUCCUCUUGAGAACGGCUUUCCUCGGUUGUCUUUUGUGAUUUCAUUUUUGACAUUAUUAUUGAAGAGCGAUAAAGAAAAUGAAUUGAGGUCAAGUUUGACGGUGCAAGAACAAAUGACAUACUGCAAUAUAUAUUUAUAUCAUCUGGAGUCACGUGCAAAAUAUUUAGUUCUCUUACCUUAAGGUAGAAAAGUAAAUCCACAAUGGAAAUUUAGUAAGUUUUCUUGUUUGUACUAAGAGGAUAAAAAAUGAUGCUAAAUAAAUAAUAAGUAGUUAAUGAAGAGUUUGAAAUUUCAUAUUUACAAACACACUAUGAUUUUUAAAUUAGUGAAUACAAUAGGGCGGCGGGUUAAUUGCUCUGGUUCUGGUUUAAUAUACGACAAUGUUUAUUUGUUUUAUUUAUUUGAAUUAUCAAUUUAAAUAAAAAUUAUUUUAUAAGCGAAAAAUUUAAUAGUUAUCAGAACAAGUUUACUCUUCUAUAAUAAUAGCUGAAUUAGUGAAACUUGUUGGAAAGUUAUCAAGAAGAAAUAUUGUACCAAACAUAAUUUUAUAUUCAAUUUGAAUGACAUUUUUCCAAAUUGAACAAUACAAAAUUAAAUCAAUACCCCUAUAUUAUAAGAAUCAAAAUCAUAAUUUUUAUUAUAGAUUGAAUUCAAUUAAAAGUUACUAUGUUUAAUUAAUAUCACUUCAAAAUCAGAACUUUAAUCUCAGUAAAAUUCUGUGAAUUUCUUCUCGGAUACUUUAUUUAUUUUAAUAAAAUCAUAAUUCCUUUAACGAAAUCACAUAAGAAAUUUAUCAAAAUUUUCAAAAAUUCUUUUUAGAAAAAGAAUUUUAAUAAUUAUAAAUUUUCUUAUAUCCCAAAGAUUGCACUAUGUUACGAUAAUUGUUCAAUAUGCUUCCAAGCACUUUUAGUUUGGCUCGCCCCGAAUUGGUCCCAAAUUGUUAUUUUUAUUUUUUUUUUGAUUUUUCACUCGAAGAAAUUAUGCCUAGUACUCCUCAAAGUGAUCGGUUUGAAUUUUUGUCCCCAAAGUGUAUGGUCUUGAUGAUUUUUUUGUUCCUGUUUUAACAUUUUCAAAAAGACAGAAUUUUUUGGUCAAUUGUGCAGGUUUAUCCUCUUGAAAUGUCAUGAAAGUUUGUGUUAUAUGUAACAUAUCAAAGGUAGAAUAUCUAGUUAAUUAAUCAAGUUCAUUGUCUAAAAAUAUUAUAAAGGUUUGUUUUAUUGGCAAGAGUUAGAAUGGGCAACAUAUCUAAGUUCUAACUUUUGCCCUGUUGGCCAAUUAUGUAAUUUCAUUAUCUUGAAAUGAUAUGAAUACUUGUCUCAUGGGAACGAGUUAAAACGUCUGCUUAUGUGCAAAAUUUUACAUCCUACUUGUUCUCUAUCAUCUCCACAGUUUCACCAAUGAUGCAAUUCGUUGCUUUAGCCUACAACGAUGGCCAGGACUUCACUUCUCCCCACACUAGUAUGAGUUGUAACACCAUUGAUUGGCCCUUGUGUAGUCAAAGACCUCUUGGCUCACCAUGUGAGGAUUAGCCCUGUUAGUGCUAGUGAGGAAUUUGGAUCCAUUUCAUUCCAAAUGUAGAAGUGCAAUGUGAGGAAUUUAGAAAUUUUGGGUUUGGAAAAUUUAUUAGGAAAUGGGGAUGAAUUUCAGUUUUCUUGCUUUCAUAUGAUCAAGUCAAAAAAAUAUCAAGUCUUGGAAAACCCAAAUCUUAUGGUAGCUAAAAUAAAUGCAUUUGCCUUCUGUUAGAUAUCAUGAUAUAAGAGUACAACAACAAAUUUGCCUGCAUUCCAAACUAGUUGGUACAGUUAUGUGUAUCUUCUAUAUUUAUUGUUCACAAUUUGCAUGUGUUUAAAUAACAGUACUCAUAGGUGAAAAGUUUUUUUUCUCAUAUUUUUUGACUGUCAACCCCAUUUAAGUAAUGAAAGCAUCGAUAGUACUACCAAUGUAAACAAUUAAUAGCAUUCGAAAUUUAUAUUUAACUAAAUAAUUAAUCUUAAGAAUAACUAAAUCAGAGUGAAAUUACGUUACAUUUAAUCGUGAAUAAGUGUUGCGAAGUAUAUCUGUUGUUCUUGGAGGGAGAAGCACCAAGUAGUUAUAUUGUUUUUUUCCACUUUAUACCUAAUAAUCCCAAGAAAAGAAUCUAGGAAGAAAAUCUGGACAAGCAAUGAAUCAACCUCACAAAAAGUUUUUGUCAUUUGUACCACAUAUAAAUUUUAGUUUGUGGUAGGCAAAGCAAACUUCAACAUUUUGCAACCCAAAAAAAAAACCAGCAAAGUUGUUCAUCUUGCUGAUCAUGGCUGAAAUUCUGUUCAAUCUCGCUGCUGAAAUCUUGAAAAGCUUGGGUUCUUUUGCUACUGAAGAAGUAGCAUCUAUUUAUGGACUACGCGAUGAGCUUAAAAAUCUUUCUGCUACUGUUUCUUCCAUCAAAGCCGUACUCAUUGAUGUAGAGGAGCAGCAGGGGAGUAGCAAGCUGGUGAGGGACUGGAUAAAAAGACUUAAGAAAGUGUUUUUAGAAGCUGAUGAUCUCUUGGAUGACGUCGCCACUGAAGUUAAGCAUCGAAAAUUGUUUAAUAAGGUAGGCAUCUUCUUCUCAAAAUCAAAUCCUAUAAUUUAUAACUGUAAGAUAAGUCAUCGUCUCAAGUGUAGACCUAGAACUAAUUGCAAAAGAUAAGGCCUCCUUAAACCUAGUUGAAAGGAGGGAACCUUUUCUGCGGGAGCCUUAUUCAGUCCAAUUCAAUUUGGAUAGAGAAACUUAUUCAUUUGUGCCUGAAGGAGAAGUAAUUGGAAGAAAUGAUGAUAAAAAGAAAAUUGUGAAGUUUCUUUUGGAUUCUAAGGUUGAAGAGAAUGUUGUGGUCAUAUCAAUUGUUGGUCUUGGGGGGCUAGGAAAGACCACUCUCGCGCAAUGUAUGUUUAAUGAUGAAAUGGUUUAGGAGAAUUUAGAAAAAACAUUGUGCGCAUGUGUUUCCGAUGUAUUUGAAGUGAAAAUGAUUGCAGAAAAAAUCGUUAAAUCUGGGGGAGGGAAAAAGGAUAAUUACCUUCAACUAGAUGCAGUGCAAAACGAGCUUAGGAAAAUGCUUGAUGGAAAGAAGUAUUUGCUAGUGCUCGAUGAUGUGUGGAACGAAGAUCCUUUGAAAUGGUCGAGACUGAAGAAUAUGUUGAUUGGUGGAGCCAGGGGAAGUAAUAUUUUGCUGACUACUCGUUCAGACAUGGUGGCGGAAGUUUCAGGAAGUGCUCACCAACAUAAAUUAGGAGACCUUUCAGAGGAAGAAGCAUGGAUAUUGUUUGAAAAAAUGGCAUUUGAAUGUAACAAAGAGAACGAAAAUUCGAAUUUGGUGGAAAUAGGAAAAGAAAUUGUGAGAAAGUGUUGAGGAGUUCCUCUUCCAAUAAGGUCAGUAGGAAGCCUACUACGCCUCAAAAGAACGGAGGAUGAGUGGAUAUAUUUCAAAAACAAAGAUUUGUCAAGUAUCACACGAGGAGGAAAUGAUGUAAUGGUCAUUUUGUGAUUGAGCUAUAAUCACCUUCCUCAGCAUUUAAAGAUAUGCUUCUCAUAUUGUUCCCUCUAUCCAAAGGAUUUCAAAAUUGGUAGAUUUGAUUUGACUACCAAGUGGAUUGCUCAAGGCUUUGUUCAAGCAACUACUAGCAACACAGAUAAUGUCGAGGAUGUUGCAAAUUCAUAUUUCGCGGAUUUGUUAAGAAGGUCAUUCUUUCAAGAAACUAAAGAACAUGAAUCGCUUAUGCAAUUUUACAAAAUGCAUGAUCUUAUUCUUGAUCUUGCGAAAGAAGUUGCAGAUAGGGACUUCUUCAGUAUCACUAAAACUGAAAAUACAGAAAUUGUACCAGAACAAACUCUCUGUGCUUCUUGUUUAUUCAAGAUUGAUGGUUCAUCAGCAUUUCCCAAUUCAUUCUAUAGGAAGCAUAUGAAGUUUCGUGCAUUUAUUUUUCUAAAUCAAUCUUCAAUCAAUGUCCUUAGCAAUUCAACUUUAGAGAGAAUGAUUUCAAGUUUUUCACACUUGCGUCAACUACAUCUAGGUCACCUGUAGAUAGAGUUUCUGUCUCAAUCUUUAGGUGGGCUGAAGCAUCUAAGAUAUCUCUGUAUAUCUUCUUGGAGUAUUUCUACUUUACCAAAUUCCAUCACAAAAUUGCAUAAUAUACAAGUUCUGAAGUUGGAUGAUUGCGGAAAACUCAAAAAUUUGCCAAGAGAUAUUUGGAGAUUUGUGAGCCUUCGAUGUUUGGUAUGUCGAAGGUGUCACUCAUUAACCCAUAUUCCCCGAGGACUUUGGCAGUUGAAAAGUCUCAUGCAUUUAGAUUUAGAUGGUUGCUCAUCCCUUGAAGAUAUGCCACCAGGAAUUGGUCAAUUGACAUAUCUACGGACGUUGACAAGUUUUAUUAUGGGCAAAGAAAGUUGCAUAGGUAACGCCCCGCACUUCGGGCUACAAUAUAGACCAUGAUUUCGAUGCGUUGUUAACCCCGAAGCCAUAAAAUCCUAUGCGAAUAUGACAUGUUAAUUAUUGUGUUGCAUGUGAAUCCACUCAAGCUUGAAUUUAGACCAUAGAGGUCCUUCAACUCAAGGACAAGUUGAAACUAUUUCGAUCAACUAAGUUUUAGUGAACGUUGUAAAGUGUGUCAGCUUCCAUCGACUAUAACUCUCUGUAUAUGUUGAAUUAGGAACCCCACUAUGUGUCAAAUGAUAGGUAUUCGAGUUAGCUUUCCAACAAUACCAAUUUGGCUAAAAUCAGACACCCGAGAAAGAAGUUAUGGCCCUUCAAAGUGAUAAGCGUCGCCAAAAUCAAUUGCCCAUGGCCACUUGAAAGCAUAGGCAAUAGCCUAGGCGGCGCCUAUGUAAACAUAAGCGAUAUCCUAGGCGACGCCUAUGUAAACAUAGGCGAGUGGCGCCUAUGUGAGUGAACAUAGGCAAUGGGAUGGGCGGCGCCUAUGUAAAGAAAUCUAGUGACUUAAACACUCCGUGUUGGGGACAAAGUGGUCCUUUUCCACCCUUAGCCCUAAAACACGAGAUUUAGUUUCAAGGACCCUAAAAUACAUAUUCAUUCAUCAAAAGUGCUCAAAGAUUCUCUUAGGGUUGCAAAAUAAAAACCCAAAUAGUUCAAGAUUUGACCGUAGGUUUUCAAAGAUAAUUACAUAUUCGGAAUCACCACUCCGCAAGCUUCAAGAAAUAUCUAUUAUCCUUGGAAAUAGAGGUACGUGGGGUUAUCCAAAAAUCUCAUUGGAGUAGUUUUUAUGAACAUGCAUGCUUUUAAAUAGGGGUUUUCAAUCAAAUGCUAAUAACUCGCUUUCAAUGUGAUUUCUAAGUCAUUUUCUUUAUGUCUUGGGAAUUGUUUGCCUAUAUAUUUCAAUGGCUAAAACCAUGCAUAUGUGAUUUUAGAUUUUCCAUGGAAGUUUGAUAAAUAUGAAUGAUAAAUUAUUUUUAAAUUCCCAUGAUAAUGUUUCGAUACUCCAUAUUAUAUUGUGAUCAACAAAAGAGAGCAUGAAUUUGAAAUAAAUAUUGUUCACCACUUGUAAAUGAUGAAGCACCUUGGUUUUUACAUGAUUACGCAUAUGUGGAUGUGAUAUUGGUGACUUGCAAGUCGGGUAUGACGAUACCCUAUAGAAUACGAUAUGUGAUUGAAUAAGAUGAAAUUUGAGUGCAUUGAUUUUACAUGAGAAAAAGGUGGAUGCCCGAAGAAGGCGUUUGAGUCAUAAGGGCUCAUCACUGAAAAACGUGUUUGCCGACACAGAAUAUUGGUACCAGGCUAAGUGAUCUUGUGUACUUGGCUUCAUGUCAUUCCCAAAUUGGGACUAUAGGUAUGAACCCGGGCUAAGUGAUCUUGGGCACUACCAUUGGGUCGAGACACCAUGCUAUGUGAUCUUGUGUGUCUCUCCCUCACUUAUACUCAAAUCUCGGCGGCAACCGAGGUUAGACAAUUGUUUAGAGGUUAAUUGAUGUUGAGGGAACCUUAUAUCCCCGUUAUUGUUUCUUUUCAUAUUUAUGGCCAUGUUUCCGAAUUAUUGUGUUAUUCCACAUUACUUUGAUCAUAUGAAUUAGGUGCAUGAUUACCAGACAGAUAGGGGUGUUUCGGGCCUCCAUGGUUCGAGAUGCUCGUCACGGGCAGGCCCUGGUUCAGGUCGUGACAUCAUAUCUAGUCAGGCAAGUGAUAAGUUGAAUGAACUAAAAGCAUUAAAUUGAUAGGACGUGUCCGUGCAAUUGGAGAAAGAACACCGACGGGUGUAGUGAAAAGGAUGAAACAUCUUCGACAGCUGAGUGUAGAGUUUGAAUAUGGAAAUCACGGGGAUGUUGAUACUGGAGCUGAUCUGAUGAUGUUGGAAGCCCUGCAGCCUCACCAAAAUAUCGAAAAAUUGCGAAUAGAAAAUUACAGUGGGUCAAGGUUUCCAAGUUGGUUGAUGGUUGAGAAUCUUGGCAUUUUGCUGCCCAAGCUUGUUCAUCUUUAUAUAGGGUAUCUUCAUAAAAUCCAAGAGCUUCCACAGCUAUGGAAACUGCCUUCUCUCCAGAUUCUUGCACUACGAAAUCUUGGCGGACUUGAAGGUUAUGAUGAUAAAUUCAUGCAACCAUCAAAGACACCUUCAGAUGAACGCAUUUUCUUCUCUUCCCUAAAACAACUUGAACUGCAAGGAAUAAAUGAGAAGAUAUUGAAGAAAAUUCUUUACCCACCCCCUCAUUAUCCUUCUCCUCUUUUCAAUUUGAAACGUUUGACUCUACAUUCUGUUGAAGGCCUAGUAACUAUACCAGAGUAUGUGUUCAAGAAUCUCAUGUCGCUCCAAUCUUUGUCUAUUCGAAAGUGCAAAACUCUUGUCUCUCUAUCCACAUGUCUACCUCAUCUCAUUGCUGAGUCUUUAUAUAUAGAGGAUUGUUCCAUGCUCGACUUGUCCAACGAAGAAGCUAUGCAAUUUCAAGCCCCAGGGAACUUAUCAGCUUUUAGAGUUGUUUGGCUUGACAAGCUAAUGUCACUUCCACUAUGGCUCCGACAUUUCUCAGUUACUUUGAAAUCAAUAAACCUUUUUUCAUGUCCUAACUUCACAACAAUUCCAGAAUAGAUCGGCGACUUCAUUGCCCUUAAUCGGUUGGAGAUUGCUAAAUGGAGUAUGUUGACAUCCUUGCCAGAAGGCCUGCGAUCUCUCACAGCAUUGCAAACGCUAAAUAUUUUUUGAUGUUCAUCAAUCCUGAUGCAAAGAUGCAAGAAGGAAGUAGGAGAGGACUGGCCUAAGAUUGCUCACAUCCCAACUGUUGACAUCCAAGGUAAUUAUCCUUUUACAUAUUUUUUGGGAUUCAUAAUUAAUAUAAAAAGUAAAAAUAAAUGGAGGGAGUACUAAUUAGUAAUUGAAAAUAGGAAAUUAAUAAUUAGUAAUUAGUGAUUCGUAAUUGGAAACUGGAAAUUAAUUAUUAAUUUGUUUUGUUGAAUGUUAUUAGCUUUGUACUUAGUUUAUUAAUUGAUUUUACUUUUUUAUUAAAUGCACAUAAUAAUAGAAUUAGUGUUUGGGUCUUGAAUUACUAAGCUUAAACUACAAACUACUCCUAACACUAAGUCUAGACUAUCAAAGUACUCCUAACACUAAGUUUAAACUACUAAACUACUCAUAACAAUAAGUCUAAACUAUCAAAUUGAAUAUUAAAUUAAAAGAAAAAAAGGAACAUCCUCUGUUAGAUAUAGCACAUUAAUUUACACGUUGAUGGCCGUUAAGAUCAGGUCCGUGUAAAAGCCUCAUAUAGCUCACUAAGUUGUAUCCAUUUUGAUUCAGCUUUUAAAUAGUACUCUAUUUCGGUUACUUUUUAAUUUUUGUUUGUUAUUAUAGAUUCGGGACCAGGAUGGAUUUCCUGAAGAACUGCUCUGAGGCUUCCAAUUCCAUGAUUCUUGAUUUAUUGAUUCUGUUGGCCCUUGAAGUAAAAUGGACACUGUUUUUGACAUUUUCUUCAUUUCUCUGUUUGCUAUUUAAUUUCAUGAUGAGUUGAUAUAGCUUUGCAGAUUCUUUAAUUUUCACUUUGAUGUUUGUUGAGGAGUAAUGUAUGACCAUACGUUUAGUUUGGUUUCUCAAUAAUUUUGUGUAUAAUCAUAUUAUCUCUCAAUAUAAGAAGAGAUUAGAGUAUCAAAGCUCCAAAUUAAUGCUAUAUUAUUAAAUGAUUUUCCUAAGCAGUGUGUGUCAAAACAAACUAUAUUUCCAUGUAUAGUAUGGUGUGGAGUUGAAUGCAGGAGAAGUAUGGUAAAUAGUUACUUGCACUUGAGUCCGAUUAAAUAACAAUAUUAUUUUGCAAUAUUGACCCUAGUACCCUGGAUACCGCUACAAUAUAUAGAACGCCCCAAAUAUUGUACUUCCAAUACCGCUAUAGUUCCAUGUAUAGUAUGGUGUGUAUUCAUGAUGUAUCAUAUACUGACACUCAAGAAUGUAGUGUUUUCUAGAUGAUGGAUUCCAAAAAAGAAAUUUCUUGUAAGCCAUAGGUUUCUUCAAUAGUACCAAACCAUCAUAUGAGCACAAAGCAUGUGCACCUAAGAAUUCUUUAGGAGGAAGUGGUACUGUUGUGUGUUAAUUUUACUAGGAUUGUUCAAAUGUAUAAAUUCGAACUCACCGGUUUUUCUUUGUAGCAACAACUUUUCACGUCCUAGUGCUUUUGAUUGAUCACAAUGAGCUAUUGUGAAUGUAUCUUCAGAAAUCAUUCUAUUCUAUGAUUUUGAAACACAUUUGAAACGUAAUAAUGAUGUAGUGUAUAAGUUAAGAAGGAUACUGAAAAUGAUAUCAUCUGGAAGAACAAAUGCGUCCCAUUUGAUACGAUUCCCCUUGAUUGUCUUCCAUGAUUUUGCCUUUGACAUCAUUAUUCGAUAUCAAUGCACAAAGUGGUUGGGGUCAAGUUAACGGUGCAAGAACAAAAGUAAUAUUUUAUUAGGAUUUAUAGUAAGAUAUUUAUAUCACCAAUCGUUGUAUAGUAUAUAUAUAUAUAUAUAUAAUUUAAAUUCUUCCCUUAAGUAAUGUAGAUAAGUCAUGAAUAGAAGAGGAAAAAAAUUGAAUUUUGAAAUUUGAAAACAUAUAUGCCUUUUUUAAUUAAUAAAUAUAAUUGGAUGUGCUAAUUUAAAUACUUUGGUUACAUUUUUGGACAAUUAUUUAUAAAUUCAACUAUUUAGUACUUGAUUACACCUUAUCCUCCACUCUUUUCCAAAAAUUACAUAAAAAAAUUGAAUUUUAAAUUGGUCAAAUACAUUACUUAGGAUCGUGAUACAUUACUUAGCUAGUCUCGUAAUGUAUUGCGUCUCUAAGUGAUGUAUCGCGAUCCUAGGUAACGUAUCGCGAUAUAAAUUAAAAUCUAAAAUUUUUGUAAUUACUUUAGGUGAUUGAGAUUUUAGGUAAUAAUGGUAAAUUAAGGUGUGGUAUUAUGUUGAAAAAAUUGGCUCGUGGCCUAUUUUCAAUGGGCUUCUUAUGUAACUUUGCAGAUGACAAAAAUGGACAAAUUACAAAAUACCACACCUUAACUUAUCAUUAUUACUUAAAAUCCCAAUCCUAUAUAAUAAUUAUAAAAAUCUUAUUUUUUAUAUUCUCUCUCUAGACAUUUGGAUACAUCACAACUCUCCGAAUUCACGCCCACACACAUAAUUCACGAUAGAAUUUUUUAACGCCCAGAGAUUGUCCCUUGGACGUCACAUGAUGUUUAGAACCGCAAGUGAUCCCAAGAUAACCCAUAAUUCUGCCAUAACUCACGAGCAACUGAAUAAAUUACAUAAAACUGAAAAAAAUACGCGGAAGAGAUGUCUUUAGAUGAACUUGUUCAAUACAAAACUAUUUAAGAAUGUUUACAUCACUUGAUAUAAAAAGGAAAGCUGAAAUUGAAUACAUCAACUUCAACAGAUUGUCUAUGAAACCUCUACUAAUACUAGCUAUACGUAGCCGGGCCAUGUCCCUUGUCUAUCCCUAAUCAAUACAACUGAAUAAAAUAUGAAUUUUUGAAUCUACUGAAUGGAGUCCUCAAAUAAGGAGAACUCAUCAUGUGCUGACUGGAAGGUGUGAACCUCCUGACUCUGAUACUAAGGGUGAAUGCAAUAAGUAAAACUGAAUUAAUGCAUAAUCUUAAAACAUGCAUGAAAAGUGCAAGUAGACUCACCAAAGACUAAAAUAAACUGAAAGUUGAAAUAUCUUAAAACAUGAAUCACAAAGCAUAAUCUGAUAAAUUGGGUGAGUUGCUACACUUAGUUUCUUAAAUCUUUACUCCAAUAGAAUAAGUAAAACUGAAGCUGGAUAUACUUUCAAAUCAUGCACGCUAAGUGUAAAAGGACUCAUCUUUAUCAUAGGUAAAACUGAAAGCUGAACUCUCAAGAUGUAAUAACUCAUAAAACAAUCUCUAAACAAAAUGUGAGUCUUUACACUUAGUUUCUAAAAUACUCUUUUUCUGUGGGAGAUUCUCAUAAUUGAAAUAACCAUGUGAGCUAGCACGGAGUCCAACGUAUGAACCACGUUGAGAAGACUUGUUCUACCAUUGCCAUCGGAAUAGAACAUGAACUAAAUUGGAGUGAUCGCUAACUGAGCACAUAUUGAGCAAGGGGGAUGCUCUCUAGCGAGGCUCCUAAACUUACGGUGGCAUGCAGUUUAUGACAAAUAGGAUGAGAUGAACGCGCACUUCUCUCUUGGUGAUAAAUACUAGUCCCAAAAUAUAUAUAUUAUAUGCUCAUACUGAUGAAAUUCACCUUAAAAUAAGCAUAUGGGUUUAUAAAUUUGACAAUCAGUCAUGCUUCUAUUAAUAAAUCAUACUCAUGUAUAACUGUGUAAAUUUCAUAUCAUGCCUUAGAUCAUAAGAUCGGAACUAAAAUCUGAAUCAUAAUAUAGUAAUCUAAAAUAGCGAAUUUGAACUUCUUGUAAACUAGGAGAAACAUGACAAAUUCAUAUGCUCUUCUAUGUAAACUGACUAAAUCAAGCUGGGAAUCAUAUAUAUUCACCACCGCAUAGAAAUUCAUGUCUAAUAACAAUCAUAUAAGUGAAAAUAUGAGUAAAGGUAGAUUCUUGUGCAGAUUGAACUUUAAAUCACAUGAUAAUAUAAUGUCAUAAUUUCAAAAACAUGAAAAUUGGGUAUGAAACCUUACUGAAAUCACAUAAAUUCAAUUAUAAAAUCAAGGCUUUUCGGCAUAAGGAUGAAAGGUUAUCCUUGUUCAAACCCCAAAUACCUGAAUUUCUUGAAGGAAAGCAUGAAUUUAGAUUAUUGAAAGUUUAAAUUGGAGAAAAAACCCCAACUUCUUUCUCUUGAGAGUGGAAAGGAGAAUGAGCAUUGAAAAAUUAAUAAUUAAUGAGUACAUAAUGUUUAUAGGGUCAUUUAAGUGGUGGGGAUAGAGUUUGAGGUAAGGAAAAGACCAAAUACCCUAAAGAAAUAGGACAAUAUUGCUGAAAUUUCUCAGUUGACAACCCGUCAGUUUAUUGAUAACUCAUUGUCACACCCCUUUUUAAAACCAAAAAGAAUAUUGAUUUUAAAAUUUGAAAAGGUUUUUAUUAUCAAGUGAGAAAAUAAAGAUUUGUUUCAAAAAGAACUUCUUAUAUUCAAAACUCAGAGUCGCCACUUGACAUAAAUCGGGUGUGCCAAGUCACCCUUGGAUAUUCUUUUUCAAAACGGUUUUGACUCUUUAAAACUGAUCAACAAACAGAGAUUUCGGUCAAGAAAUUCUAUCUAUUGAGUGGAAGGUUUUAGGCACCCCUCUAUCUUGUGGUUCGACCACGAUCGCUUAGUGGAGCAUAUCAGCUAAUUUGAUACUAUGAAUGUAUAAACCACACAAAACACACAAAAGAAUUAAUCAAAUAAAUAAAAUAAAAUAAGUCCAAAAAUAUAGUGUCUAGUCCAAUUACUACAGCCCAAAAUAAAAAGGUACUUAAGAGUAACCCUACACUAAUCCUAAACUAUGCUCCAAUGCUUUACCUAAUGUCUCGAGCAUUGAUCACAAUCCUCCUCUGCGUACAUGAUACUUCGGAUGUAAUACCUCGUACUUCUACCUAGCUUAAAUUCGUCCAAAGAUGUCAAUGACUUUUUUAAAGAUGAAUCCACUUUCAUACAUGUGGUAUUUUCAAUAUUUUCACUUUUUAUCAUGUGAAAAAUUGAAUAAGCUUUUCAUCGAUACCAAAUUCGCCCAAAUCCGAUGCCCGGUCAAAGAGUUAUUGUCUUUUUAGUGUGACAAUGUAUCCCCUGAGACAUCAGCACGUCGUGGAGCCUGUUUAAAUGACAAUUGUCAAUUUCUAGUGUUGCUCCGCAAUAGUGGCGCAUCGCGUCAAAGGCCCAGUUCACAAUUGUCCUUUUUCCAGUGAAUCUCUGUGAUGUCUUCGCGUCGCGCCAAACAUCCACGUCGCAAACAAAGUUCAGAAAUUUUCUAGUUUUUGCGAUAUUAAGUCCCAGGUGUUGUUUGGUCUUUUUCCAUGACUUCAAUUCUGCCCAAUCUCAGGAUUUAACCCUAAGAGUGAAUUAUUUGCUCACUUUUGGCAUUAUUCUCUCAAAUUUAAAUUCUUCUCUGUCAAGAGGCGAAGAAAAAUCCUAGCUCAAGAAAUCAAGACUCAAAUUCAAGAAUCUCACCGUCAAUCUUCGUAGAGUCAAGAAUUAAGGCAUGCACAGUGUUGAUUUAUGGAUCCCUUUCAUCCAUAAAGCUCAAGAACCUUAUUUCAAAUUGUAAAUCAUGAUAUUUAUUUUUUGGGUUGUUUGUAUCCAUGUUUAUUUCAUUGUAUGAUUCCCAAGUUGAAAUUUUUAUGUAUUGUUCAUGAAACCAUGUUAAUGUGUGGCUUGAAAUUUAUAAGUUUAGUUGAUUCAUGGAGUCUUGAAGUGAUAAUUUGAUGAUUAUGCCUAUGUUCUAAGUUAUGCAUGCAAGGUUUUUGAUAAAAUACCUAAGAGGAUAGAAAUUAUGCAUUAUAGCUCAAUUGUGAUCCAAAUAACAAAUGCAUGAUUUACCCUUAUGUUCAAAAUAACUUCCAUGUUAUUCUUAUGUAUUGAAAUUAUUUGUUGGAUUGUUCAUGAGUUAGCCUUAUGUAAUUAUGCCAUGUAUACAUUCUAUCCUUCUCAUGUACCAAACUAUGAUAAUCAAAUGCCCAUGAAGUAUCUCCAAUUAUUGUAUUAUAGAUUGUUGGUGUUGGUCAUGUAUUAAAGAAUGUCAUUCCUUGUCAGUUUUCUUCUAUCGAGUCCUGAGGGUACUUGUACCAAUCAAUUUAGUUGUGUUCCGAGAGCUAGUGUCAUGUUUUCAUGAUAUCCUCAGUCAAGCCAUGUUCAGUAGAAUUUGGCCAGUCAUAUGACUCAGGAAAAUUCAGCAAACUCAGUAAUUCAGUAAUCUUAGUAGUAUGUCAUCAGUCAACGGAACUCCAUGAACUCAGUCUAGUUUAGUUCAGUUAAUCAUGUUCAGUGUCUAUUAAGAUAGGAGUAGGAGUUAGCACCGAGUGAGACUAAGGAUGGGAACUCACCUUUUAUUAGAGGGUGUGAUUCUUAGAAGCAAUCCCUGCGCUCCAGAACUACUUAGCCAGCAUAGUUUGAGACAUUAUAACCUGUUAUAUGAGGAUAGAUGUGGUGGCUUAACCUGCUAUAUGAGGGUCCUACCAUUCUCAUUAGAGUAACCUGUUACAUGAGGGUCACUCACAAUUUGUCCUGACCAGUAGCGCGGUAUUAACACCCUUCCAAUUGGGGUUAUAGGUUGGACCCCAAUAAAACUAUAAUAGCUAAUUAGGGGCAUGUCGGUUAGAUGACUACUUCCCAUAGUUUCAGUCUCAGUCUCAGUAAUAGAACUUAGAUAGUUCUAUAGAAUUCAGGACUGUUAGAUACAGUCAACUCAGAAUAGUAUGGAACUUAGUUAGUUCCAUCAGAUCCUAGACUAUCAGAUACAGUUGCUCAGUAUUAGUUAUAUUAGUUAUCAGUGACUCACAUUAUCGGUACUCAGAUUCUAUAAUUAUGCUAUCACGAAUUCAGUUACAGUCAGUAAUUUAUGCAUGUAUUCUCACAUUCAUGUUAUACGGUCAGAUAGCAUUGUUCAUACAUUUGAACCUUUUUUCAUUUAGCCUACCUCACCUGCAUACCAGUACAUUCAAUCAUACUGACACAUUUGCUCUAUGGUGUUUUAUGCCAUAGGUUCAGAAGCACGAGCUCCAAAGAAUCAGUAGCAUUCCAGUUUCAGCAGUCAGUGUUAGCAGUGAGUCCUCAUCCACUGAGGACAUGAUCAUUACUUUAUUUUUUCAUUACUUAGUUUAUUUCAGUAGUUGGAGUUAGUUGGGGACACGUCCCAUCAACUCUUUAUUCAGACAGUUUAGAUGCUUUCAGACUAUGGAGUUUUCUGACUUGAUGUUUUUAGACUAUUAUUUCAGUUGCUUUAGUAUUGUUAUACCAUAUUUUUAGUUAUGUAUCAGUGUUGAACCUUAUGGUCUUUCAGUUCAUGUUUUCGCAUUUACGAUAUUACCAUUAUUAUUCAGUGCUCAGUUAUAGAUAUCAGUCAUGGGUUAGCUUGUUGUCCUUCGGGAUUAUAGGCACCAUGUAGCAUUUUGGGUACCAUAUUCAGGGCGUUACAUCAGAGCAUUCCCCGAUGAAUAAAUACAAUGUGUCUCGGAGCAUUUUCCGGCCAAAUGAGUACAUUUUUCGAAUGCGAGAAAAACAGAAUCGUUCAACCAACAUAUCAAACCUUCAAUAAUCCAUAAUCCCUAAGUCUUGCCUACCCUGAACCUAAAAUUUACCUACUAUUCUCAUCCUAAAAUAUGAUACUAUCAAGUUAGAUAACAUUAACAUCCAUUUCAAAUCCACAACAAUUAAUAAAUCACAAUAUGGAAAUAUUCGCUUUUUGUAGAUUUCUUUUGAUUUCCACCCCCAAAUCAACUAAUUUUAAACUGUCAAAAGAGAUUCCAUCACAUCACAGAUUUCAUAGCUAGGGAAAACAACAACGAAUCAACCACCGAAAGCUAUUCACCACCCAACAAAGAUCAAUCAGCACACCAAUAUUCAAUCCAUAUCAACGAAUACCAUAAACAAGGAAGUCAAAGAAUAAAAGAUCAGAUAUGUACCUCAAUUUGGAGCUUUCAAAAAGUGUUUCUAGAUAAAAUUAGAGAAUCCACUUUUGGUCACCUCAAAUCCGACCUCAACAUUGACAAAAUCCAACUCGAUAUCGAGAAAUAAAGACCCGAACAAAUUUGUACCCCAAGGAAGAAGAAAUAGCAAACAAGCCAAGACUGAAAUUAUAAAAAUUGAGAAUGUAUUUGAGAUUCCACCGAAUUUAACGAAAUCUCACUGGAAUAAAUAAAAAAGUGGUUUUUCGACGUAGAUUUGGUCAGAACAAGUUUGGUGUGAUUAUUUUUCGACGGGUUUCACUACAACAAUUAUUGUCGGAGUUUCCUAGUGACGAUUCCAAUGGAUUUCCAGCAAGAAACUCAUCGGAAAUGGUCAAACAAAAGCCUAUUUCUCUAUCUCUAUCUAUUUUCCCCCUCCCCUCAUUUCUUCUCUCAAUGCUAGUAUUUUCUCUACUCUACCAGUGUACGUGUUCAAUUUUCCAGUGAAAACGAAUUCUGGUGAAGCAUCGGCAGCAAUGACUGUGAUGUGUGUGUGUUCAUUUCUGUCCACUAUGUAUCGAGCUCUCAAAAUCGUGUGUGUUUAGUUCUCUGUAAGUGUGUAUAAUUUUGUAUAUAAAAAUGGAGGAUGAUGACGAUGGCUUCUCUUUUUUGCGUAUGUUCUAUGUGUGUAUAUAUCCCCAAAAUGGAAGAAUCCGCUCUUUCUUUGUGUAUUGUUCUAUUAAUGGGAUAUAGGAGGAGGUUUGGAAUAGUGUGGGGUAGGGGGUAUGUGGGGUACAAGGUGAUGAGGUGGGGGGUAGGGAUAGGGGUGAGGUCUCAAAAUUAGUUAGGGGGUUGUUAUUUUUGUUGUGAGUUUGUUAUUUAGAUUCUUGUAGGGUAAAUUAUUAAAUGGGUGAGGGUGUAUGAUAAGGUGAGACAAAAAUGGAUAAAUUGGGUUUUUGGGAGGAAAAAAAUUAGGUGUCUACAACAUGCCCCUUUUUGGGUGUAAACACAAAGUGUUUUUAUACAAAAAAGUAGACAAUGUGAUCAAAUUUUGACCCGACCAUUAUUCAAGGAAAGAAACAUAAGGAAGAAAGACAAGCGGACUUUGACUUAAGACAUCCUACCUACCCAAGUUAUGAGGGAAUCAAGUCACAGGUAUCUUAAAGGGCUGGAAGGAGAGGGACUAUACCGAGUUGGAGAGUCGAGUGAGGCCCUGUCAAGAUUUCGGUCCGUGACGUUGUUAUUACAUCAAAAAUAAAAAUUAUAAGAUAAAAAGAUAACUGAAAUUACAAAAAUUCUAUCUGUGUAGCUUUUUUUGGACUCUUGUCUUGAAUUUCAUCACUCUAUUCUUCAGGCGGGCUCCUGGCUUUCAAUUUCUUCACCCUGUUCUUUAGGAGGGCUCUUGACUUGCUAUUUUUCAAUCUGCUGACUUUUAAUUUCUUCACCUUGUUGCUUGACUUUCAACUUUUUCACCUUGUUGCUUGGCUUUCAACUUCUUCACCUUGUUGCCUAACUUUCAACUUCUUCACCUUGUUGCUUGACUUUUCAUUCAUUCACCAUAGUAUUCAGGCAGGCUCCUGAAAUCACAUCAAAACUAGAAAGAAAAUUAUUCCAACCAAAUGUUAUUAUAAAAAGAGAUUCCAUUUGCCAGAAAAGUAAAGUUCCAAAAAUAGGAAUUAAAUUUUUGCCCCAGUUUAACAUCAGAGGACUUCUGUGAAUGUCAAAUCCAAUCAUAAUUAGUUGUAUGUUGCAAUGAUGAAUCAAGACAUGAACCAAGAAAUGCAUCUUUUGAGAUUUAAAUUUAAUGAGCAAGACUAGGAAGUGCGUCUCAUAAGAAUUAAAGUGACGAAUUCCAACUAGAAAGUGCAUCUUCUAGAGAUAAAGGUUCAAAUUAGGAAGUGAGCCACCUGACAAAUAAAAACUGACAAUGAAGUGCAUCUUCUAAGGGUUAAAUGCAAUGACUCGGCUAGAAAGUGCAUUUUCUAGGAAUCAAGAAGAAUAACUCGACUAGGAAGUACAUCUUCUAGGAAUCAAGGGGAAUGACUUGACCAGGAAGUACCUCUUCUAGGAACCAAGGGGACUGAAUUGACUAGGAAGUAGAUCUUUUAGGAAUCAAGGAGAAUGAAUCAACCAGGAAGUACAUCUUCUUGGAAUCAAGGGGAAUGACUCAACUAGUAAGUACAUCUUCUAGGAAUCAGGAGGACUGACUUGACUAAGAAGUACAUCUUCUAGUAAUCAAAGGGACUGGCUUGAGUAGGAAGUACAUCUUCUAAGAAUCAAGGGGAAUGACUCGACUAGGAAGUACAUCUUCUAGAAAUCACGAGGACUAACUCGACUAGGAAGUACAUCUUCUAGGAUUAAAGGGGACUGACUCAACUAGGAAGUACAUUUUCUAGGAAUCAAGGGGACUGACUCAACCAGGAUGUACAUUUUCUAGGAAUCAAAACUUAAUAUAGGAAGUGCAUCACCUAACAAGUAAAAUUUGAAUUACCCAAUUAAAGAAGUACGUCUCCUUACCAAAGCCGCUUGAAUUACCAAAAUAAGGAGAUUCGUCUCCUUAAUAAUGCCACUUGAAUUACCCAAACAAGGAAAUGUAUUUCCUUACAAAUGUCGUUUGAAUUACCCAAACAUGGAAGUACGUCUCCUUAAAAAUGCCGCUUGAAUUACCCAAACAAAGAAGCGCAUCUCCUUAUAAAUAUUGCUUGAAUUACCCAAAAAAGAAAGUGCAUCUCCUUACAAAUUUUAUUUGAAUUACCAAAACAAGGAAGUGCAUCUCCUUAAAAAUUUCACUUAGCUUACCCAAAUAAGGAAAUGAGUCUCCUUACAAAUGUCGCUUGAAUUACCUGAACAAGGAAAUGUGUAUCCUUACAAAUGUUGAAUUAUGAGUUUUACCAUGGUUUUGAUUACUAAACCUGUACAUCAAUAUUGCCUCCUGCAUUUGUGGAAGUGAGUCAUUACUACCUUUGAUAUUUAGACUCUAAAGUCCUUGAUUUGAAGGCAACUUCUGUUCCUGUUUCAUACAAAAAAAACUUGUGAGUUUAAAAACAUGGUGGCUGAUUUGUUGAUUUGGCUUUCAAGGAAAUUGCUCUUGUGCUGGUCACAUUUAAUCUUGUUUCCAACCAUUGGCAUUAGCAUCGACUUACUACAACAUUGAUCUAAACUUAGAUCAUUAAGAGUAACUUUAAAACAAAAACAAUAUCUCUAUUUUGCCAUGUUUCUCAGAUAAACCCUUUGAACCUUGGUAUUUCCAUGAGUUCCUAGACUUUUAUGUUGACAAAACUUUUUGCAUACCUUAUUUUGUCUCACAAUCAUGUCUCUUUGGCUUUUGUCUUAGUUUGUACAAUUAAAGAAGAUAGUAGCCAGUUUUAAAAUCUUUUCUCACUUGUUUUGAGAUGGACUUGACUCAAAGACAAGAGAAAAAUGAUAAUGAUUUUUAUUUGUACAACUGACUCAAGAAAAUAAAAUAUAAACAAUGAGAAAAUAAGAAAAGACAAUGAAUGUCCGAUUUGAAAUAAAGAAAUAAAAAAUUUAUCUAAAAAUGAUAGUCAACUCUAAUGACUAUGCCAUUCAUUUGGAUUAAGCUGCCUGAUCUUUCAUUCGAACUUUCUACCAAUUGUUCUUGAGUUAAUGGCCCUGAAACUGAGUUGAUUCCUUAGGGAAAUUGUAUUUAAGACCUCUUUCGGUUAGUGGCACCUUGAAGGGUUUUGCUAACAAGCCUCUAUCAUUUUCUUAUUCUCAACUCACCAUUGUCUUAUGGUGUUCGUAAGGGUUUUUCACCAAUGAGACUCUCUUAUUUUUAUUUUUCUCACCUCAUCGUCAUCUUACAGUGCCCGUUAUAGUUUUCACCGAUAAGACUCUCUCAUUAUUAUCUCUAUCAACUUAACAUCAUCUUACGGUGCCCGCGAGGGUUUUCACCAAUAACACUCUCAUUUUUAUUUAUCUUUUGAUACCUUAUGCUGAGGAAUACAAGUAAUUUCCAAAAUGCGUAAUUACAUCCAUUGCAUGUUUAGUCUUAACACUCUCAAAGAUUGACAUGAAGGUCUUUCUUUGGUUGUAACUUGGACUUUGAAUAGGUUAGAAAGAAAGGAUGGCAUGAGUCCCAAACGACACUUGAAGUGGGAUAAGACUUACAACUUUUGGAAUCGACUCAAACAAUAAAGAUUAAAUCAUGCCUCAGUUUCUUUUGACUGGGUGAUUCUAAAUUGUUUAUUUGAUUAAAUCGAGCCUAGAGUAGGGCAGCUGUAAUAUCCUAAACGUUUCCUUAAGUCUAAUUUCAUCUCUAGAAGGUUAAGGAAUGACUUCCUAAGUGAGUAAAGUUUAAAUCAUAUAGAAUUUACCUAAUUUCAUUUUUUUAUCAUGUGGAAAUUUAAUUACCUUUCUAACGGUAUAAUAUCCGCCCAAAUUCGAUAACUGGGCAAGAAGUUAUAGCUAAUUUAAGCUCAAGUCGUAAAACACCGUCAUUUUAGUGUUUGGCGCAUCAUGGAGAGUGUCUAUUUAACAAUAGUCAAUUUCUAAUGGCCUAGCAUGAUUGUGGUGUGUCAUGAUGAAGUUCUAAGUCCCAACUAGUGGGACAACACGAUGGCUCCGCAUCGCGGUGACUCCCAGAUUCUCAUUUGUCAAUUACCAGUGAGCCACCAUGAUAGUGGCGCGUCGUGGUGGCCCAUAAAAUCAGGUUUUCAGUUUAAUUUUUCCAGCUUCGUACAAAAGUUAAAAAGGGCACUUUGGACUUUUUUCAAGCCUCUUAAACCAUACAAACAUCGAAAUUAAAGUCACCACAAGUAUCAUGUGAGAUUUUUCUCAAGAUUUCCCUUAACCAAAAACCCUAAGCAUCAAAAUCCUCUUCCAAGAAUCUCAAGCCGCUCCCUGAAGGUCUUUGGAAUAUCUCUAACUACCCACCGCUCUCUCAGGCACAAUUCUCUGCUCCUACUGAGUCACAGCCAGGAUUCACUCCGCGACAUUAUUAUCUUGGCAGUUCUGGUGUGCCUUUGGCAGCUCCCUAAUCAAGACCAACUGCUCAGCCAGCGCCACCGAUCACACCGGUAUUCAUGGCUUCGCCACCACAUGAAACUCCCAUAUAUGCUGUGCGUCCCACAACGAGGCUUUCUAGGUCUGCCAGUGAGCCAGUACUGAAGGUUUCAGAUAGUCAAUAUUACACCACGGAGCCUACUUUGCAAAGGAAUGAACCGUAUGGGUACACUCAGCUGCCUGUAUUUCCAUUUGAUACGGAGAAACCUGUUGCAGCAGAGGAACAAGAUAUCAUAGCCCAGAAAUUGAAAAGUUUAGAACAGGCUAUGAGGAAUUUACAAGGAAUCAGAGAUUAUAGGAGUGUUUCCUAUAAAGAUCUUUGCAUGUUCCCAGACAUCAACCUUCCCGCCUCCUGAUAGGUUAUCACGAAUGGCGUCACCUAAUCUGAGGAAUUUUUGAACUUUAUUAUUUUAUUUCCAUAAUUAGGGUGAACUAUUUAAAUCAUUAUUUAGGGGUUUUCUUGAGGGUUACGAACUUGAGUAUUGAGACACGUAUUUUAAUAUUUUCUCUCUCUAAUUUCUUGACUUGAAAAAAUGAUUAUUUUGAAGAGAUUAUCAUCAUUAUUUUGGGAUUACUAUUUUUAUCUAAUCUGAGAAUCUCUAGUUUCUAUUCAUCUUGUGGUAAGUUUAUCUUUCAAAUCUUGAAUAUAACUAGUUGUUUUGAUUAUUACAUCAUGAGAGGCUAAAUUCCUUUAACCUAAAUUAUGGGAUUUAGGGUUAAGUCUUUAUAAGGUGCUGACUGUUCAAGAUUCAAAAGGUGGUAGAUCUCCUUGAUAAUUCUGAGGUUUCAAUUAUCGUCUAUUGGUUGCAAACGAUAGAUAACACCUGCUUUGAUUUGCUUGAGAAAUAAAUCAAAUAUAGGGGGAAAUGAAUUAUUAACAGGGACUUGGAAGCACUAAAAACUUCCAUUUAAUAAUUGACCCUAAGUCUGAGAGGAUUAGGUAAUUAAAUGCUUAAGUAGGUCGAGCUACAUUUAGGUAUAACUUCGAUAAAGAUAACUUGUUGUCCUACCUACUGUGAGAAUCUUGAACUACCAUUAGCAUCUGUCAAGUACCAAAACCCCUAGUGAACAAAAUUCUAGUUUUUCCAUAAACUCUUGAUUACAAACACCGAAGCUAAGGUGACCAAUACUUAUUUGCUAAUCUCCAAAAUCCCCAUUUUAUCUUUUUGUAUCAUUUGUUUGAAUUUAAAUUGUAGCUAUAGUUUCAAAUUAGUUUAAUUGCCACUCUCAUUGUUCCCUGUGGAUUCGACCCCGACUCCAAAAGUUGGGUAAAUAUAUUGACGACAACCGCCUUGCACUAAAUUGACAUGUAAGUUGAGCGUUAUAAAAAAUGGCGCUGUUGCAUCACAUCCACCAGGCAUAAUGUUGAAAAGUGAUUUGAAUGAUGAUCAACUCUUACUUCCUGAGUAGCAUCCCUAUUAGUAUCUGUACCCCGAAAUGGACUAAAGUCUUCACAAGGAUUGUGCUUGAUUUCUUCUUUUGCUUCUAGCACCAUUUCCCCAAUCUUGGCAUCAUCCCUCAUGGUUGGUUCGGUUGGUUAGGAAAUAUUUAAGGGUUUAUCAAAAUCAAGCUCAUCAUCAGUACAGGAUUCUUGCUCCUCAUAUUCACACUCUUCGAUUAGUCUAAAUGAUUCCACAGAUAAGAUAUCAUCUAAACAUAAUGUAGAAGAGUACUUUGGAUGAUUGACCUCGAUAUCCAUCUCCCCUAUCCUUUCUCUUUCCCCAACAAUGGCGCCAUUUUUUAUAACGCUCAACUUACACGUCAAUUUAGUGCAAGGCGAUUGUUGUCAAUAUAUUUACCCAACUUUUGGAGUCGGAGUCGAAUCCACAGGGAACAAUGUGAGUGGCAAUUAAACUAAUUUGAAACUAUAGCUACAAUUUGAAUUCAAACAAAUGAUACAAAAAGAUAAAAUGGGGAUUUUGGAGAUUAGCAAAUAAGUAUUGGUCACCUUAGCUUCGGUGUUUGUAAUCAAGAGUUUAUGGAAAAACUAGAAUUUUGUUCACUAGGGGUUUUGGUACUUGAUAGAUGCUAAUGGUUGUUCAAGAUUGUCAAAGUAGGUAGGACAACAAGUUAUCUUUAUUGAAGUUAUGCCUAAAUGUAGCUCGACCUACCUAAGUAUGUAAUUACCUAAUCCUCUCGGACUUAGGGAAUUUAUAUUCAUGACCAGAUUUUACCUCAGGUUAAUCAACCUUUUUACAAUGUUAAUUAUUAAAUGGAAUUUUUUAGUGCUUCCAAGUCCCUGUUAAUAAUUCACUACCCACUAUAUUUGAUUUCUUUCUCAAGCAAAUCAAAGAAGGUGUUAUCUAUCGUUUGCAACCAAUAGACCAUAAUUAAAACCUCAGAAUUAUCAAGGAUUCCUACCACCUUUUGAAUCUUGAACACUCAGCACCUUAUCAAGACUUAACCCUAGAUCCCAUAAUUCAGGUUAAAGGAAUUUAGCCUCUCAUGAUGUGAUAAUCGAAACAACUAGUUAUAUUCAUGAUUUGAAAGAUAAACUUACCACAAGAUGAAUAGAAAUUAGAGAUUCUCAUAUGAGAUCACAAUAGUAAUACCAAAAUAAUGAUGAUAAUCUCUUCAAAAUAAUUGCUUGUUCAAGUCAAGAAACUACAGAGAGAAAAUAUCAAAAAUACGUGUCUCAAUACUCAAGUUUGGAACUCUCAAGAAAAUCCUAAACAAUGCUUUAAAUAGUUCAUUCUAAUUAUGGAAACAAAAUAAUAAAGUUCAAAAAUUCCUUGGAUUAGGUGACGCCAUUCGUUAUAACCUAUCAGGAGGCUGACGGCUUAUCACAAAUAUCUUCAGCUCCUCUUUGCUUUUCAUACUCGCUGCCUAAAGCUGAAGACAACCGGUGACGUCCUAUCAACGACUUAUCACAACUGUCGUUAAGUCUCUAACUCAGCCCUCAUGUUCUGCCUUAGGAUGACGACAACUUUGAUGACCUAUCAGCUCCUUGACGGCUUAUCACAAAAUGUUAUCACAACUCUCAACUCAGGUGCAUUCUCUGUCUGAGGCUUAUGAUAAAGCUGAUAACUUAUUACAAGGCUGACGACUUAUCAGAAAUGUCGUCAGCCAUACUUCUAUUCGAAUUACUUUAGAUUUCAACUCCUUUGCUUCCAUCCUUGUUGGUUCUCUUGCAUCAUAGCUUCUAUUGCAAAAUUAAACAUAAAACAAUCAAAAACAACAAAAGUUGCUUAAGACUUUGCAAUUAUUCUUAGUUAAAAGCCUCAAAUGUGUUAGCAUUAGCUCACACAUCAAUGGGGUGGCUUAUCUUAUUAUAUGAGGUCCCACCAUUCUCCUUAGAGUACCUAGUAGAUGAGGAAUUAGUCGCAGCUUGUCCUUACCGGUGGUGCAGUAUUGACACCCUUCCAAUUGGGGUUACAAGUUGGACCCCAACUCAACUAUAUUGCUUUAUUUGGGGCAUGUUGAUUAGAUGACUACUUUCUAUAGUUACAGUUAUAGUCUCAGUCUCAUUAAUAGAACUCAGAUAGUUCUACAGAAUUCAGGGCUGUCAGAUAUUAUCACCCAGCUCAGUACAGAACUUAGCUAGUUCCAUCAGAAACAAGACUGUCAGGCACAGUCAUUCAGAUAAUAGUAUAUCAGUUAUACAAAAACUUAUGCUAUCAAUAUUUAGAUUCAAUGAUGUCAUGAUCUUAGUUAUAGUUCACGUAUUCAUGCAUGUAUUCUCAUGCUCAUUUUAUUCAGUCAGUUAGUAUUGUUCAUGCAUAUAAACCCCUUGCAUUCAACCUACCUCACUUGCAUACUAGUACAUUAAAAUGUACUGACACAUUUACGCUAUGGUGUUUUAUACCAUAGGUUCAGAAGCAUGAGAUCCAGAUUAUCCUUAGUAGGUCAGACGUUCAGUAGCCAGACUAGAAGUGAGUCCUCAUCAUUCCAAGAUAGCAUGAUUAUUUUAUUACUUUAUUAUUUCAGUAGUCCGAAGUUACUUAGGGACAUGUCCCAUUAUUUCCAUAGUUUUUAGACAGCUUAGACGCUUUCAGACUAGUAUGUUCAUACUAUAGCAUGUUCAGACUAUAGCAUGUUUAGACCAUUAUUUCAGUUUUGUUUUGGUAUUGAUAUACCGUAUCUCCAGAUGUUAUACUUUAUCAAAUUUUUGAACCUUAUGGCCUUUCAGCCUUUUAUUCAAUAUUUAUAUAGUAUGUUAUGCGGUGCUUAGUUAUAGAUAUCAGUCAUGGGUUAGCUUGUGGUCCUUCAGGGUCAUGAGCACCGUGUGGCAUUUCGGGUACCAGAUUCGAGGUAUUACAGUAAAACUCUUUUGGAUGCUUCUAAAAUAAUCUUUAGGACCCCCUUAGUGAUGAUAGAUCAUGUAUUAACAUUGUGGGAGGUGUUGGGAGUGUUUAAGGACCUCAAAACUAAGUAGGCGACGCAAAGUAGAGCCUAGGUAAUGGCUAGGUAUCGCCUUACCAUCGCCUACCUUCACUGGAAAGGUUUGGCAAUAGGGUUGGCGCCACAAAAACUAAGGUUGGCAAUGGGUUUGGUACCGCAAAUCUUAAGGUUGGAUAUAGGCUUGGCGUCACCAACCUUGGACUUGGCCAUGGGUUAGGUGCUGCCAACCUUGUAUUUUUGCGGUGUAGGGACUCCAUUUUUGUGUUAAUUCAUGGGAAACAUGGUCUUUUGUCAUCCAAUAAUUGUCCCUAAACAUAUUAACACAGAUUUAAGGUUCUAAAAAAUGUUUUAACCCUAUCAAAUCCUUAGUUCAUCAUCUAAAACACAAGAGGAGGUAAACAACUUAGGGUUUGCUCUUUUAUACUAUUCAUAAAUUCUUCGUCAAUUAAGGUACGUGGGACUAUCCUAAACCUCAUGGGCAUGGAUUUACUAUUUUUAAACUUGAUUUUAAAGGUUAUAUAUGCGUAUAUACUAAAUUAUUUCAAGAUCAUUGAUAAACUUGUAUUGAAAUUAUUGUAUCUUGAUGAAGUGUUGCAAAAAUUAUGGUAUGAAGUCCUAAACUUGAAAUGUUUUUCGAGUGAUCAUGUGAUGUUUAAAUUGUGAAAUAAAAUGAGAGCAUGGAAUAUGUAAUUCCCUCUUUUUCUAUGAAAUUCAUUGGUUUUACAUAAUGAGAAUGGAUUAUACAGAUUGCUAAAUGUUUGAGCAUGUUAUGUACAAAUUGUAAUUUUNNNNNNNNNNNNNNNNNNNNNNNNNNNNNNNNGCUUUAUAAAGAUCAUGAUUUCUAAUUAGGAUGGCUGUAAAGUGAUUGAAAAGGAUGACCACCAUAGAAUAAGUAUUGAGAAUGGUUUGGUUUUCAACUAUUUCAAAUUAUGAACUUUUGUUCGAAUGGUAGAUCUUUUGGGUGGUGAAUAAACAUCUUUUUAAAUAAGAUAAGGGUAGUACAGAUGUUGUGGCAUAACUUGCAAGUUUGGAUAUGACGAUACCCUAUUUUGAUGUGCCUAAAGAUAUUAAGAAAGAAAAAAAUUUUCAAAGAAGAUAUGGUUUAAAGAAUCUAAAACUACGGUUAAGAGAGUUAGAUGGUUGCCCAAAGAAGGCACGAGUCAAAUGACUCAUUGCCCGAAACUAUCAUUUGCUGACACAGGUUUAUGUUACCCGAAAUGGAAAAUUUUACACUGGCGAUGGCCUAAUGGCGUAGUAGAGAAUCAGCGACUCCAAACCUUACGACAAACUUGGGUAGGGGGCUUGGACGCCAAGUAAAGGGAAGAUUCCAUAUUGCCCGUGGAAUAUUAGAGUUUUAGGGUGUACCAUCUAGCUCAGAAGUAAGACAAAGAGUAGCGUCGUGAUUUGUAGAAUGCCAUUUGAAAGAUUCAGAUUAUGCCCAUGUAUUUUUCAACUGUUUUAAGGUAACAUGUAUCUUUUCAAAUGCUCUCACCUAUGUUGCAUAUAAAUAUAUUUUGUUUUUGGAUUGUUCUAUGUACCAGUACAUUUGUAUUGACCCCCUAUAUUUUAGGGUCUGAGGCUCAGUCCCGGGGUACCACUAAGCAGUAGAUUGACAUUGUCAGAAGUUUGCAGUCGGUGAGCCUCCUUUAUUUUGGAAGGCCUAGUUAUGAAACUUGUCAUUUAUUUUAAUUUAUGGUCCGACCGGGGACCUUGUCCCAGUUUCUAGACAAAUGUUGGCUUUUGUAUAGUUAGAGAUUUCGCAGACUGGUGUCAAGUAUUUUGAAUGUUAUGAACUUAACCUCAUAUUGUUCAGUUGAAUUAAGAGAUUGACCAUAUUUCCAUAUUUUUUUAUAUUUUUUGUAUUUCUUUACUGUAUAUGAAUGUGUAUAUGUAAUACCCAUGCUUUUUCUUAGCUUGAAAAUCAUCUCAAGGAUGUUAGAACUUGCUUUGAAAUAAGAAUUCAUUCUUAUACACGUGGUAUUUCCUUAAUUUUCACUUCCUAUCACGUGGGAAAUUGAAUAAUCUUUCAAUCAAUAUAUAAUUCGCCCAAAUCCAACACCUGGGCGAAGAGUUAGAGCCUUUUUAGUGAGACAGUAUUUGACCUGAGCCUUCAGCACAUCGCGGAGCUAACUCAAAUGGCAAUUGUCAAAUUCCAGUGUUGUUCCAUGAUACUGGCAUGCUGCACCAAACUUUUAGGUCAUAUACAAGGUGGCAACGUGAUUGCUCCACAUUGCGCCACCGUGCAGUUUCUCAAUUGUCAAUUUCCAGUGACAUAACGCGAUAGUGCUGCGUCGCUCCAAGGGGCCAAUUCGAGAAAUUUUAUUGAAAAAUUAAAUUAUGUGUCCAGGGUUAAAAGAGUCAAUUUCCCCCUAUAUAAGCUUCCAAACACGGGAUUUAGCCCUUAUUCAUCCAAAAUAUUGAUGUUUUUCUCAAAUACUCUCAAGAACACAAGCUAGGGUUUCAAUUGGAGAUUCAAAUUCAGGAAGGUUUCACCAUCAAUCUUCAUGAAAUCAUGAUCUAAGGUAUGCAUAGUGUUCAUUCAUGGACUCCUUUUGUCCAUGAAGUCCAAGAAUCCUUUUUAACUACAAGUUAUGGAUUUUCUUCAUGUUUUCAUGCUUUGUAUGUUCUCUUUCAUAUUGAUAAAUGUAGAAUUGAUUUCUAUUCAAUGAUUUGAUGAUAAAUUCCAUGUGGGUUUAUUAGUAUAGAUAAAUAUUUAUGAAAUCUCAUAACAAAAACCUUGUAUGAUGGAAUUGGAAUUGAAGCAUGAUGUAUAAUUGUUGUAUGAUGCGCUUUACAAGUACUAUGCCAACAAUAUGUUUGAUUAAAUGCCUAGAUGAAGGAAAAUUAUGUAACUAGAAAGAUAUCAUGAAAUCCCCAUGUAUGCACAAGAUCAUGCCUAUGACAUGUUUGAUGAAAUACUUCUAUGAAGGUAGUAUGUAUUAUGACGAUAGUCAAUUCUUCAAGUAAAUCAUUCUAUGUCAGUUCCCUUCUAUCGAGUUCUGGGGGUACUUGUACCCGAAAUAUUAGCUAUGUUCCUAGAUCCAUGUCAUGUUUUCACGAUACUCUCAGUCAAGAUAUGAACUCUUAGACUUUAGAUAGUCUUAUGACUCAGGAAAAAUCUCCAUGAUCUCAUGACUCAGUCAGUUGUCAGAUAUCAAUAGUAUUCCGUCAGUCAUGGAAAUUCAGUAACUCAGUCCAUGCUAAGUUCAGUAAAUCAUGUUCAGUGUCUAUUCAAAUGGGAGUAGGAAUUAUCACCGAGUGAACCCAAGGAUGGGAACUCACCUGUUAUAUGAGGGCAUGAUUUUUAGAAGCAAUCCUUGCGUUCCAGAACUAUGUAGCCAGCAUAGAUUAAGACAUCGUAGCCUGCUAUAUGAGGGUAGAUGAGGUGGCUUAACUUGUUAUGUGAGGGUUCCCACCAUUCUCGCUAGAGUUACCUAUUAUAUGAGGUUUAAUCACAUAUUGUCCUUACCAGUGGCGUGGUAUUGACACCCUUCUAAUCAGGGCAUAGAUUGGACCCCAGCUCAACUAUUAUGGCAUAUUUGGGGCAUGUCGGUUAGAUACUACUUCCCACAGUUUCAUGUUACAGAAUCAGGACUGUCAGAUACAGUCAAUCAGUGUCAGUAAUAGAACUCAGAUAGUUUUUUAGAUUUCAGGACUGUCAGAUACAGUCAACUUAGAUGCAGUACGGAACUUAGAUAGUUCCAUCAGAUUCAGGACUAUCAGCUAUAGUUACCCACAUUAUCAGUUAUACCCUGAUAUAGUCACCCAUGUUAUCAGGAUUAUUCAGAUAUAGUCCUUCUUGUUAUCAGUCAUAUCAGUUACUAACAUGUCACGUUAUCAGUAUACAGACUCAGAAAUCACAAAAUCAUAUUGUUAGUUACAAUUACGUAUUUAUUCAUAUAUUCUCACGUUCAUGUUUGACAGUCAGUUAGCAUUAUUCAUGUAUGUGAACCAUUACAUAUAGCCUACCUCACAUAUAUACUCAGUACAUAUGUACUGACGCAUUUGCGCUAUGGUUCUUUCUUUUUAUAUUACACUAUAAUUUUAGAGACACGAGUUCCAGAUCAACUGUAGAUUCCAGAUUCAGCAGUCAGAGUAGAAGUGAGUCCUCAUCUUUCUAGGAAAUAAUGAUUUUAUAGUAUCUCAUUGAUUAGCUUAUUAUUUGGAGUUAGUUGGGGACAUGUCCCAUCAACUCCUUAUUCAGAUUCAUCAGACAGUAGAGGAUUUCAGGCUAGAUGCAGACUAGAUGCAGACUAGAUACAGACUAGAUGCAGACUAGAUAUAGACUAUCAUGUAUUAGACUUCAGUUUUGUUUUGGGUAUUCUAUUACCCCACACAGAUGUUACGUUAUUCAGUUUGUUCAUGAUCAAUCCUUAUGGACUUUCAGUGCAUGUUUCUGCAUUAUGAUGUUAUCUUAUACAGUAUACAGGUACAAAUAUUAGUCAUGGGUUAGNNNNNNNNNNNNNNNNNNNNNNNNNNNNUACCAUGCGGGUUCAGCAAAUCGAGUCUGUGCAGUAUAUGAUUGCUAGUUAGAGAAGGGCUUUCGGGCCAUCAUGGUUCGGGAUGCUCAUCAUAGGCUGGGCCUCAGUUUGGGUCGUGACACCCAUGCACAAACAUCAAGAAUAAGAGAAACACUAUUCAAUUAUAACCCAUAUCUGUUGAUCUACUCAAGGUGGGACAUAAGGUGAAGAUACGAUAUAAUAGACGCGAAGUGCUUUAUAUAUCAAGUGUUUGGAUCAUAAGUAGUCGUUCGGUAUAAACACAACACAAGUGCUUAGGAUAGACCAUAGUGAGAAACAUGAGCACUUACAUCACGAGUCAUAUAACAUAAGUUUAGAAUUCACGAAGUCAACGAUUGAGACAAGGACUUCUACUCAAAGAUAUCGCUUCUCAUUUUCAGAGCUGAAAUAGUCAUGGGUUCGCACAACUUUAUCAUUUUGACUAAUAUCGACAUAAAAUGAAUUAGUAACAUAUGAAAUCAUAGUUUCUUAGAACCAUGUAUGAUUUACGACAAGAAUUUAUGGAUCAUGAACAUCACAACAUUGAGCUUGAAUGCAUGAAAUACUGGAUUUAUUGAGACAUCAUUGCUUCUAGUUUUGGAGGUCGGAACAUUAUAAGAGUUACAUAGAGAACUCAGACCUUAGACAUAGACAAAACUAGAAUACAUGAGACAUUGGUAGAAUGACCUCUUAAAUUGAAGUAGGAGGAAUAUGCUUGAAUAGGAAUAGGUUUAUCAUGACUCUUCCCCACAACUUGCCACACUGAGAAAAUUCGGGGACUACCUUUAUUAACCAUCUUCCCCUUAGAUCAAAUUCACAAUCCUAGACUUGAGGAAAUAUCUUUUCUUUAAAUCCACAAGCAUGACACUCAACAAAAUGGGGUAUCACCACACAUAUAAAAGCUAGACUUCCCCUGAUGAACUAUACUUUGAAGGCAUUGCUUUUUGGGAAUGCUACUCUCAGCUUUAGCUAGCCUCUAUAUCCAUCACCCUACAACUCACACUCUCAUGAAUAUCCACAUCCACACUCUUUAUCACAUAAUGAUCCGUUCUUCACUACUCAAAAUUCAAACAUUAGACCUCUAAUCAUAUAACUUACAACUUAACAAAGUUUGCAAAACUAUGCCAAAGGCACAUACUCUCUACCUAUAUUUCCUCAAUUCAGCUCUAAGGAACCUCGCACAAUAACUCCUUAGUAUUCCCCAUACUACACAACUCGAGAAUGAGAUAUAGGUACACAGGACCUCAUAAACAUCAAACCUUAUCUAACAACAUGCUACCUUAGGGUUCAACUUAUUCUAAUUUACCUAACACUCUUAUCCUCUUAAUGACUCAACCAUACUUCAUCACUUCACCCUAGUCCUCAUGUACAUAAUUAACAAUUAUCCACUCUUUCUUCCACAAAUUGCCAACUUAGGCCAUUUCACAUCUCACAUUAAGCCUACUAAUUCAUUCCCACAAAACAUGCAUCAUAAAUCUUAAGCCACUAUUCUUACCACCAUAAUCCACAUCUAAAGUUCAAGCCAAUAGUUUAGCAUCGAUCAUGUACCACCGAUGAAGUAUGACACAUACUAUACUAGUCCAUCAAAUUGGGAAAUAAACCCAAAUACCUUAUUUUACUUAACUACUACGUAAAAUCACAUCCUUUCCAUGGAAUCACUACUACACCUCAAAACCACUACAUACCUUCUCACAUGAAGUACUAGUUUACAACUACUAGAAAAAAGACAAUCAAGGGGGUAAUGUCACAUGAUAGGGAUAGUCGACCUUAAUCUUAUAAUAGAACCCAUUAUAAUAUUAUCUACAUAUUCCUUUUUCUCACAUCAUAUUUACUUACCCAUUCAUAUAUUUAGACUACCUUCAAAUUCCAUUACAUCAAUGAGUCUCUACCCAUACUUAUUGACUGAUCUACCCCUUUCCAUUCAUAGCAUACAAAUGAUUUCUACAACCACCAUAACUAUCUAUUUUGAAAUCCUUCGUUAUUUUGAAUAAAUAAUAAUUAUAACCAGCCUUCCUUCGUAGACUACCAUACCAUCUACAAAUAUUUCUACCACACUAGUCUAUCUCUAUAAAAUGGCAACCCAUCCCUCAAUCAAAUCAAUGGUUAUACAACUGAACUAGCUUCUUUACGCAAAAGUCACCCUCAUUCUGAAUUCUAAGAUUGUGACCUCAUAUCACUAACUUCUGGACUAUCUUACAACUCAUAGGUUAUGACACUUUAUCACAUACUACUGAUACUGAGCAACUGAACCUACAUUAUAAGACAAUGUAUCACAUAGACGUAUAUGUAGAUCAGUAUUUUGAUGAUGUACUGAGUAUAUGGGGUAAUAUGCAUAAGUAAAACAUCAUCACAUCAUCAUAAUUUAUAAAACAAUGCAUGCUAAAUGUAAAUGACUCACACAAGAUGGAAUAUCUGAAAUACUAAAAUAUGUAGCAAUAAGAAGCAAAACGUACUUUAUAAAUCUCAUGAUUCAUAACAUUUAGUUCUAAAAGUUGUACUUGUAUUCUCUCUUUAAAUCAUACUAUCUAAGUUUAGAAAGGACUCACUCUUAAAUCUAAAGCCUGAAAGCUUAAAUCUGUAACAAAUAUCUUUUUGUAAAGCAUAAUCUGAAUAAAUUCGUGAGCCUUUACACUUAGUUUUCUAAAAGCUUUUUUGUUAAUCUUUUACUUUAACUAGUAGGGAGAAAUACUUUAAAACUAUUCUGAAAAUCUUUACUGAUAUGAAGGUUCUCUUAACCGACAUAAACCAUGUGAGCUAAUAUGGAGUGCAAUGUCUUACCCACAUUGGGGAGAGCUGUCUACCCUUGCCAUUGAAAUAGAAUCUUAACUUAAGUGAUCACUGACUUAGCCCACUAUGGGCACUUAAAACCUACGGUAGCUCAUAGUUAUGCGGCAUGAGACCUUGGAAUCAUACCCAAUUCGGUGCUAAAUGCUACUCCCAUACUUAUGCUUUAAACUUUAGGAAAUACACCUUAAAAUAGAACAAGGGUUUAUAAUAGAAAACCAAUUAUGCUUCUUUUUCUUUAAAUCUCAAACUAUAUGAACAAUGUGGAUUCCUUAUCUUAACUUAGGAUCAAAAGAUCAACUUCUUUCUUAAAUCUUGGUAAACAAUUAUCAAAGAGGCUGCAAAUCAUAAUCUUCCUGAAAUAUCAAGACUAAAUCUUAGGGAUUAAAACCCAUGCUUUAAACUCAUGUCAAAACAUCAUAAUAACCAUGCUUGAUAAUGAAGACAAUGAUAAUUUAUCUCAAAAUCUAUAAAUUACCGCAAUAGGCAUGAAAAUAUGGAAAUAGACAUGCAAUUCAUCUUUAAAAUCUCUCAAAAACUCAUAGCCUUGCAAAUAGCAAUAAUGGGUAUGAACCCUAAUUUGAAAUUCAUGUAUAAACAUUCAAAAUCAUAUGAAUUUGUAACUAAAACUUGGUUUUGGGCACAAGGAUGAAAGAAGAUCCUUGUUCAUAAACCCCACAUACUUUGAUUAAUGAUUACAUGAAUAAAUUUGACUUAAUGAUUCCUAUUUUAGUUCUUGGUGAUGAUUUCUUGAUUAUCUUGCCUUGAAAAUCCUCAAUUUAGGAUUUUCUUAGAGAAAUUAUGGAGGAUUUUGUUUUCUUGGAGAAGAAGCUUGGGAGCUCUAGGGUUUGCUUGAGAGAAAAUUGAUAAUAAUGAGAAUAAUAGGCUUAAAAUGGGUUUAAUAUUGUGUUAUUCACAAAUUGGGGACUUAGUAAUUGACCAAAAUACCCUUUUAAAACUUCUAAAUGGAACUAGAAAAGAGAACCAAAAAUCCCAAUUUAGUGGGUCACCGCGACGCGCCACUAUCGUGGUGUAUCACUGGAAAUCGACAACUAGGAAAUGGGAAACCUCCGCAAUGCGGAGAUAUCGCGUUGUCCCACUGGAUUUUGAAAAUUGGGACUAGGAACUUCAAUGCGAUGAUCCACCAUCACGGUGCCCUAUAGAAAUGCCAAUUUGGCCUUUGGCAUGAUGCGCUAACAUUGCGUUGGGUUACUGGAAUGGAAAAAUGGGAAAUUGGACUUCUCCACAACUUGGGGAUAUCAUGGAGGAGCACUGGAAUUUAACGAUUAUCAUUUUACCUAUCUCUGCGACGUGCCAAGUGCCCAAGUGGCUCAUUGCUUUACUAAAAAUGCUCUAACUCCUUCACCGAGUGUCGAAUUUGGGAGAAUUUGGUAUCGAUGGAAAGCUCAUUCAAUUUCCCACACAAUGGAAGGUAUAAAUCUAAAAAAUUCUAUAGGAAAUAAAUAUUAUUCAUUUUGGAAGAUAUCCCUUAACAUUAUAGGGAUGAAUUUAAGCUAGGAAAAGUUUGGAGUAUGACAAUAUCUCCUCCUUGGGAACAUUCUUCCUUGAAUGUGGAUAGUUAAACUAAAAAUACUAAGGGAUUUGAGGCUAUAAGCUAUCAUGCACAACUGAAAUAAACUAAAUGACUGAUUCUCAACAUAAUGAGCUUACUAAACUGAUCUAUAAGUGCAUGAGUUUACAUGAAAAUAGCCAUAUGGCUGAGUCUGAGACUAGAAAAGAAGUGAAUGAAGGAAAACCAUUACAUUUGGUUGAAUCUGAGUUCAUGGAGAAGAGAUGAGAAUACUUGGUACUCAUUUUUGCUUUUGUUUCCUAAGUAGCACCCUCAAUGGACUGAUUUCGCCAUAGAAUUUUGACCAAGGGAACUUGUUUAUUACAUAGUCUAAAGAUAUGAUGAUCAAGAAUAUCUACUGAAACUUCUUCGUAAGAGAGGCUAUUCUUAAUAUCGGUGCUUUCUAGAGGAACUACCACUGCUGAAUCGUCCAUGCACUUCUUCAACCGGACACAUAAAGUACUGGAUAAACUGAGGAUGAAUCUGUGGGUAGCUCGAGCUCAUACGCUACCUUCCCAACAUGACUCAAAAUAUGGAAGGGGCCUACAUAUCGGGUACCAAGCUUUCCCUUUUUGCCAAAUCUCUUCACCCCCUUUGUGGGUGAAACUUUCCAAUACACAAGAUCACCAACCUCAAACUCAAGAUCUCUUCUUCUUACGUCUGCAUAGGAUUUCUAACGACUAUGAGCUACUUUCAAUCAUUCUCUAAUCAACUAAACUUUCUCCAUGGCUUUAAACACCAUGUCUGUCCCAAUCAAAGUGGCCUCACCCACUUCGAACCAACCAACUGGCGAUCUACACCUUCGCCUAUAAAGAGCUUCAAACAGAACCAUCUGAAUACUAGCAUGAUAAUUAUUAUUAUAAGCAAACUCAAUCAAUGGUAAAUGCUCAUUCCAACUUUCUUUGAAAUAAAAAACACAUGCCCUCAACAUAUCCUCUAAAGUUUGAAUGGUCCUUUCUGCCUGACCAUCUAUCUGUGGAUGAAAAGAUAAGCUAAGAUGAACUAAGGUACCAAGACCCUUCUAAAAGGCUCUCCAAAACUGAGAGGUAAACUGAGUACCCCUAUCUGAGAUGAUAGGAACUCCAUACAAUCUAACCAUCUCUCAGAUAUAUAACUUAGCAUAAUCUUCAGCCAUAUAGGACAUGUGAACUGGCACAAAAUGGGAUGACUUAGUCAAUCAAUUUACAAUAACCCAAAUCGAAUCAUGUUGACGACACGAGUAGGGUAAACCAGUCACAAAGUCCAUAUUCACCUCUUCCAACUUCCAAGUGGGGAUACCAAACUCUUGCAAUGUACAACUAGGUUUUUGGUGCUCUUCCUUAACCUGUUGACAUAUUUCAUACUUAGCUAUGAACUCUGUAAUAUCUCUCUUCAUACCACUCCACAAAUAGAUUUUCCGCAAGUCGCGGUACAUCUUGGAAGCACCGGGAUGAAUAGAAUAACGCGCACCAUGCACUUCUGCCAUAAUCCGCUGCCUCAAAUCAUCAACACAUGGUACACACAGUCUACUCUGGUAUCUCAAAACACCAUCUCCCCCUUGUGAGAAAACCUCUACCUUUUGGUAUUUAACAGACUCCUUCAGUUUGACCAAACUAGAAUCCUUAUCUUGCUUUUCCUUCACUUCCGAAACUAGGGAAGAUUCAAAACUACUCUAAACCCAAACAUUCCCUUCAGCUGAAUCAACUAAUCUCACACUCAAUCUAGCUAACCAGUGCACUUCCCAAACUCAAUCCUUCUUAUUGUUCUCUACAUGAGCAACACUGCCCACAGAUAAUCUACUAAGGGCGUCUGCCACUACAUUGGCCUUGCCAUGAUUAUACAACAUACUCAUACCAUAAUUCUUCAGCAAUUCUAACCACCUUCUCUAAUGAAGAUUCAACUCCUUCUAAGUAAACAGAUACUGCAAGAUUUUGUGAUUUGUUAACACAUCAACAUGCACCCCAUACAAAUAAUGUCUCUAUAUUUUCAAAGAAGACACAACAACAGAUUACUCAAGAUCAUGGGUUGGGUAAUUCUUUUCAUGAGGCUUAAGCUGUCUAGAGGAAUAAGCUACUCUAAAAGCAUCACAAUACACCAUAAAGCCAUCUGUACCAUCAGUUAAUGCUAACACUAGGGUUGAAGUAAGUCGAGUCUUCAACUCCUGAAGACUCUUCUUGUAGGAAUAUGAUGAUUGAAACUUAACUUUCUUCUGGGUCUAGCUAGAUAUAGGAGAUGCAAUCGAUGAGAAACCCUCAACAAAACGUCUGUAAUAGCCAGCUAAAUCCAAGAAACUCCUAAUGUAUGAUGGAGAGAUUGGUCUAGGCCAAUUUCUUACGGUUUUUAUCUUUUGAAGAUAAACUCUAAUACCCUCACUGGAAACAAUAUGACCCAGGAAAGCUACUGACCUUAGCCAAAAUUCAUAUUUACUGAAUUUGGCGAACAACUGAUGAUCUCUAAGAGUCUGUAGCACUAAGAUGGCCUGUAUGAUUGUUCUCACUAUGAGAGUAGACAAGAAUAUCAUCAAUAAAGACUAUGACAAACAUGUCAAAAUAUUGUUUAAACACUCUGUUUAUCAAGUCCAUGAAAGCUGUUGGGGCAUUAGUUAGUUCGAUGGACAUGACUAGAAACUCAAAAUGACCAUAACGGGUUCUGAAGGCUGUCUUUAGAAUAUCACAUUCCCUUACUUUAAGCUAAUAAUAGGUAAAUCUAAGGUCUAUCUUUAAGAAAUAACUUGCACCUUGGAGUUGGUCAAAUAAGUCAUCAAUUCUAGGAAGAGGAUAUUUGUUUUUGAUGGUAACUUUAUUUAACUGACGAUAGUCAAUGCACAUACGCAAAGAACCAUCUUUUUUUGCACGAAUAGGACAAGAGCUCCUCAUGGAGAAACAUUAGGCCUUAUGAAACCUUUAUCUAAAAGAUAUUUGAGUUUCUCUUUCAAAUCUUUAACUCGGUGGGAGCCAUACGAUAUGGAGGGAUAUAAAUAGGCCGAGUUUCGGGAAGAAGGUCAAUACCAAAUUCUAUUUCCCUAUUGGGAGGUACUCUUGGCAAAUCUUCUGGGAAAAUAUUAGGAAACUCAUUAACUACAGUGACUGACUGAAGAGUCUCAGACUUAGUGUCUUUGACUAGAACAAGAUGAUAGAUACACCCUUUAAAAAUCAAAUUUUAGGCCUUGAGAUAAGAUAUGAAAUGACUUUUGGGAGAUAAUUAGUAGACCACUCAAAGAUUAGCUCAUCUAGAAACUGAAACUUCACCACCCGGGUGCAACAAUCUAUAGAAGCAUAACAAGAAUGGAGCUAAUCUAUACCAAGAAUAAGAUCAAAGUCAACCAUAUCUAACUCUACCAAGUUUGAUAACAUGACUUUAUGAAGUAAAGUGAUAGGGCACUUUUUAUAGAUCUGUUUAGCAACAAUUGACUCCCCUACUGGGGUAGAAACCAAGAAGGGCUCAGGGAUCUUUUCAGAACUUAUCUCAAAAUUCACCGCAACUAAUGGGGCCAUAUAAGAGAAAUUCGAUCCAGGGUCCAACAACACAUAGACAUCAAGAUGACAAACAUAAAAUAUACCGAUAAAAACAUCUAAUAAAUCCUCCUACUCCCCAUGGGAUGGUAAAGCAUAAAACUGAUUCUGGCACUGACCACCAUCGAUACUGAAUGAUGCACCCUAAAGAGGGACUGGGCGACCUACAGGAUUGGUGCACUAGUAGUCUGGGUAUGAGGACAAACAUCUCUAUUUCCCUACUUAGCAUGCGGACAAUCUCUAAUACCAUAACCCAACUUACCACAACCAAAACAACCCUUCUGCCCAGCCAAUCACUUACUAGAAUGAGUCCUACCACACUUAGAACAUGGAAGAUAACUAGGCCUACCACUCAUACUAUUCUGGGAUUUGGACAUAGAAGACUUAACCCACUACUUUUGUCUACCUCUGGGAGUAGGAGCACUAGCUGAAGAUGCUUUUGGCAUAGAUGAAUAAUUCUGAAACUGUAAAUGAUUUCCUCCUUGAGAUCUAGCCUGUCCAUACUCAAAUUGCCCUAUUCUAGCUUUUUUCUUUCUUCUCUUUCUUCUCUUUAACUUCUCUUCCUCAAUCUGCUGUGCUUGAAUCAUCAAUCUAGCAAGAUCCAUGUCUUUAAUAAGCAUGGCAAUCCUACACUCCUUGACUACCAAGCUAGAUAAUCUAGUAUCAAACUUAAUCAUACUAGCCCUAGGAUUGGCCAUUGUAUCAGGGGAAUACUUAGACAACUGGUUGAACCUAAGGUAGUACUCCUUCACUGUCAUCAAACCCUGCCUCAAAUUCAUGAACUGCUUUAUCUUAGCUUCUCUCAUCUCAUGUGGGAAGAACCUAUCUAGAAAAGCAUCUUAAAACACCUGCCAACUCAUAGGAGAUGCAUUCUCACCUAUACCAUUUCUCCAUAUAACCACCCAAUCAUAAGCUACAUCCUUCAAUCUAUAAGAUGCUAACUCUUCACUCUCCUCCUCAGAAACAUGCAUAAUCUUGGUAAUCUACUUCACCUCAUCUAGAUAAAACUAUGGGUCCUCACCUGCUUUCGACCCAAAGAACUCUGGCGGAUUCAUUCACAUAGAAUCUCUGAUUCUAGAUAUUGCCAAGUCAUCAUUCUGCUGAAGUAGGACUAUAGCCUAAUUCUGAUGGUUUCCCUAAACAUUGGUAGUCAUAGCUUAGGCCAACACCUGAAAGGCAUCCUUAAACUCAUCACGGGAUACAUUUUCAUUCAAAGGAUCUAUGGAAUGGUAUGGCUAGUUACCAUUUCUGCAGGCGAUAGCUCGACGAUGAGGCAUAUUCAAUAACUAUCACAUGAAAGCAUGAAUUAAAAGAAGAUAGAGAUACUAUAAUCACAAUAGAUCAUGAAAGAAAAAGAUGAUUUCCUAAGAACAUCCCUUAGCCUCUUGCUCAUAAAUGUGGUGCACUUCACACCCAUGAUCAAGACUCUACGUAAAACGGCUUGUCUGACUCCCUAGGACUCUUAUGAACCCUAGGCUCUGAUACCAAGUUUGUAACACCCUUGAACCUGGUCCCAGAACAUCAUACUAUGCUCAAGACUAUGAGUAGCCUUAAGCUAACCCUAUCUGUAUACUACUAAGUCUAAAUCUCAUAAUAAUGAAAAUAUAAACAUAAAAGUCAUAUUGAAUGCAAAAACUGACUAAAAUAACUGAAAGUAAUGUCUAAAACAUCAAUACUAAAUAAUUUGAAUCAAACUUAGCUUUUUGACAAGCCUCUACUACUAAUAACUAGAGAGUCACUGGGACAAACCCCCAGAUAGCUCAAACUAUUUGAUAAGAAUGCUAAAUCUUAUAAACUGAUAAGCUACAAAUUCUGAAUGAAUAAGUCCCCAAAUUAUGAGGACUCACCAUCUUUUGGAUGUAGAUGGAGAUGCUCGAACUACUCACGCUGCUAAUACUGAACACCUGAACUUACAUUAUGAGACAAUGUAGCACAUAGACUUAUAUGUGGAUCAGUACUUUGAGGAUGUACUGAGUAUAUGGGGGUGAUAUGCAUAAGUAAAACAUCAUCUCAUCAUCAUAAUUUAUAAAAUAAUGCAUGCUAAAUGUAAAUUACUUACUUAAUUUGGAAUAUCAAAAAUACUGAAAUAUGUAACAAUAAGAAGCAAAACAUACCUUAUAAAUCUCGUGAGCCAUAAUAUUUAUUACUAAAAGCUAUACUUGUAUUCUCUCUUUAAAUCAUACUUUCUAAGUGUAGAAAGGACUCACUCUUAAAUCAAAAAUCUGUACGCUAAAAUCUAUAACUAAUAUCUUUUUGUAAAGCAUAAUCUGAAUAAAUUCGUGAGCCUUUACACUUAGUUUUCUAAAAGCUUUUCUGUUAAUCUUUUACUUUAACUAGUAGGGAGAAAUACUUUAAAACUAUUCCAAAAAUCUUUACUCUCUUAACCGACAUAAACCAUGUGAGCUAACAUAGAGUCCAACGUCUUACCCACAUUGGGGAAAGCUAUUCUACCCUUACCAUCAGAAUAAAACCUUAGCUUAAGUGAUCACUGACUUAACCCACUAUGGAUGCUUAAAUCCUACGGUGGCUCAUAGUUCAGGGGCCUGAGACUUUGGAAUGAUACCCAACUCAGUGAUAAAUACUACUCCCAUACUUAUGCUCAGAACUUUAGGAAAUCCACCUUAAAAUAACAUAAGGGCUUAUAAUGAAAAACCAAUUAUGCUUCUUUUUCUUUAAAUCUCAAACUUUAUGAACAAUGUGGAUUCCUUAUCUUAGCUUAGGAUCAAAAGAUCAACUUCUUUCUUGAAUCUUGGUAAACAAUCAUAAAAAAAGCUUGAAAUCAUGAUCUUCUUAAAAUAUUAAGACUAAAUCUUAGGACUUAAAAUCUAUGCUUUAAAAUCAUGUCUAAACAUCAUAAUAACCAUGCUUGAUAAUGAAGACAAUGAUAAUUCAUCUCAAAAUCUGUAAAUUACUGCAAUAGGCAUGAAAAUAUGUAAAUAGACAUGUAAUUCAUCUUUAAAAACUCUCAAAAACUCAUAGCUUUGUAAAUAGCAAUAAUGGGUAUGAAUUCUAAUUUGAAAUUCAUGUAUAAACAUUCAAAAUCAUAUGAAUUUGUAACUAAAACUUGGUUUUGGGCACAAGGAUAAAAGGAGAUCCUUCUUCAUAAACCCCACAUACCUUGAUUGAUGAUUAAAUGAAGAAACUUGACUUAUUGAUUCCUAUUUGAGUUCUUGGAGAUGAGUUCUUGAUUAUCUUGCCUUGGAAAUCCUCAAUUUAGAGCUUUCUUGGAGGAACUAUGGAGGAUUUUGUUUUCUUGGAGAAGAAGCUUGGGAGCUCUAGGGUUUGCUUGAGCAAAUAUUGAUGAAUAAUGAGCAUAAUAGGCUUAGAAUGGGUUUAAUAUUGUGUUAUUCAUGAAUUGGGGACUUAGGAAUUGACAAAAAUACCCUUUUUAAACUUCUAAACAGAACUGGAAAAGAGAACCAAAAAUCUCGAUUUAGUGGGCUACCGCAAUGCGCCACUAUCGCGGUGGCUCACUGGAAAUCGACAACUGGGUAAUGGAGGACCUCCAUGAUGUGGAGCUAUCACAUCGUACCACUAGAUUUUGACAAUUAGGUCCUGUAACUUCAACGCGAAGUGCCACCAUCACGGUGCCCUAUAGAAAUGCCAAUUUGGCCUUCGGCGCGAUGUACCAACAUCGUGUUGGGCUACUGGAAUGGGACAAAUGGGAAGUAUGGCUUCUUUGAGAUGCGGGGAUAUCCCAGAGGGCCACUGAAAUUUGAAGAUUAUUAUUUUGCCCGCCUCCGCGAUGCACAAAGUGCCAGGUGGUACACUACUUUACUAAAAAUGCUCUAACUCCUUCACCGAGUGUCUAAUUUGGGCGAAUUUGGUAUGGAUGGAAAGAUCAUUCAAUUUCCCACACAAUAGAAGGCCUAAAUAUGGAAAAUUCUAUAGGAAAUAAAUAUUAUUCAUUUUGUAAGCUAUCUCUUAACAUUUUUGGGAUGGAUUUAAGCUAGGAAAGUUUGGGGUAUUACACCCUGGGACUAUGACCUCUGAUACCAAGUUUGUCACAACCCAAACCAAGGCCCUGAAUAUGAAGAGCAUCCCGAACCGUGAAGGCCUGAGUGCCCUUUUCCAUCUGGAAAUCAUGCACACUAUUCAUAAGUUAUAAGGAAAUAUGGAAAAGAUAACAAAAUGGAAACAUAGUCACUAUCGUACUUAAACUGAAUAAUACAAAAUUAAUUCAUAAACAUUCAAAAAUACAUGACACCAAUCUACGAAAUCUCUAGCAAUACAAAACCAACAUCAAUCUGAAAAUUGGGAAAAGGCCCCCUGUCGGACCAUGAACUAAAAUAAAAUAACAAUGUCCCAAGAGAAACAAGGCCUUCCAAAAUUAGGGAGGAUCACUGACUGCAAAAUUUUGAUAAUAAAUCUACUCCUUAGCAUGGCCCCGGUACUGUGCCUCAAAUACUUUCUUGUAAUCAUGACUCAACACUUUGUUAUUCUUCUGAGUUAAUCGGUAUACCCUACAAUCUGGAAUUCAAUAGGUUAUAUGGGGCCUAUGCUUUCUUGCAAAAUUCUUCAAUGGUUAGAAUUCCAUUGUUCAUGCUCUCAAUUAAACUUUCCAAAACUAUGAAUGUGUAAACAUAAGGGGCUAGAAUUAGAUUUCUUUGAAAAAGAGUUCAACAAUAUAUAUACUUUUAUCAAAAUGAUUUCAUGACAUGCUUUUCGAAACAACAUUCAGAAACCCUUAAUUUACAACGUGAUUAUAAAUCAUUUCACUUGAUAAAAAUGGUAAAAUCUAUGCCCAUGGAGUUUAAGGAUAGACCCACAUACCUUAGUUAUGAAGAAAUCCCGAGGAAAUUUGACUCAUUAAGAUUGAAUGCCUAAACCCUAAGUUUCUUCUCUCUUCUUAUGUUUAAGAAAGAUAAACUAUGGAUUUGAGAGAGUUAAAACAUAUUUAGGGACUUUAAUUUUGUGUAAGCAUGUUUAGGGACGGUUAUUGGAUGCAAAAAGACUUUGUUUCUCUUGUAUUAACCAAAAAAUGGAGUUCCUACACCGCAAAACAUAGGGUAGGCGGCGCCUAACCCAUGGUAAACCUUAAGGUUUGUGGCGCCUAACCCAUGGCCAAACUUAAUUUGCGGCGCCUAAGAUAUGGACAACCUUAAGGUUUUCGGUGCCUAAUCUAUGGCAAAACCUUAUGUAACAUCCCGAGUCUGUACCCAAAUUUCAUACGGUGCUCAUAAUACCGAAGGACCACAAGCUAACCCAUGACUGGUACCUGCUGUAAUCACUAAAUAGUAAUACUAUAUAAUGCAAAAUUUAGGCAAAAAAAGCCAUAAGGUUCAAAACUGAAAUCAAAUACUGAAUACUGAAAAUCAAUGCUAUAUACUUAACAUCUAUCUAAAAAUACUCUAGCUUGAAAGCCUCUAACUAUCUAAUAAGGAGUUGAUGAGACAAGCCCCCAACUAACUCCGACUAUUGAAAUAAUUGAUAUACUAAAAUACAAAAAUAACAAAUCUAUCCUCAAAUUAUGAGGACUACCACUAAGCUUGUUACUGAAAGUCUGGGCUGCUAAGUACGGUCAGGAGCCCGUGUGUCUUAACCUAUGACAUAAGACAUCAUAGCACAGAAGAAAAGUAUGAGUCAGUACUUUGAAUGUACUAGUAUGCUAAGUGAGGUAGGCUGAUAUACAUGGGUUCAUAUGCACGAACAAUAACUGGCUGAGUAACAUAAACAUAACUAAAUGAGAGUACACGCAUGAAUACAUAAAUUGUAACUGAGGUCAUGAUAAUACUGAUACUGAGUUAUGAAUACUGAUUAAAUGAUAUUUGAGUUUACUGAUACUGUAAUACUGAUAGCUGUGUUGCUAUUUGUGAUAGUCCUACUUUUGUAGAACUGAUUUGAGUUCUAUACUGAACUGGGUGACUAUGUCUGACAGUCCUAAAUCUGUAGAGCUGAACUGAGUUCUAUACUGAGAGUAAAACUAAAACUAAAACUAUAACUGUGGGAGGUAAUCAUAUAACCGACAUGCCCCUCUUUGAAUCAAUUGGGGUCCACCCUGUAACCCCAGGUUGAAGGGUGUCAGUACCAUGCCAUGGGUAAAGACAAGAUGUGAGUUAAUCCUCUCUGACCGAAAGCCCUUUCGUCAACUCUUGCUGGCAGGAAAACUCGUACGAGAUAUAUCAACCCUAGUCUAGAAGGAAGAUAUCUCAACCUAUGCUAGCUAUAUAGUUUUGUAAUGCAGGGAUUGCUUUUAAGGGUCAAACCCUAUGCUGGUAGGAAUGCUCCAUCCCUUAGUUCGCUCGGUGCUGAAUCCUACUCCUAACUGAAUAGACACUGAACUGACUUCUAGACAAUACUAGGCUUGAUUGAACUAUUAUUGAUCGUACUGUCUAACUGAACUGAGUUCACUGGGUUCUGCUGACUGACAGAAUACUACUAAUUUUUGUUAACUGACCGAGUUUAUUGAGGUCUGAACUAAAUACUGAACUAAAACUGCGACUGAUUACUGAGUACUACUAUUCAUGACAUUACUGAGACUGUUCUAUACCUACUGUAGCUCUAGGUAAGCAGCUAGAUUUUUGGGUAUUGAAUACCUCCAGGACUCGAUAACAUGAAAAGUAAAGCAUAGCAUAAACUUGAAAAGCAUAACCAUGUGCACUUGUUCAUAACUCAUCCAUAGAGAUAUUUUAUCAAACACUUGUAAGUUAUAAACUUGCACAUAAGCUAGCAUGGCAUGAUUUUCCCCUUUUAGUUCACAUGAGCAAUUUAUCAAAUCACUUGGAGUACAUAAUCUAUGCACAUAAUACUAAACAACGCAUAAGCAUCAUAAUUUUAAAUUCCAAUUUACAAUUUCAAGGGUUUAACAUGAAUUCACAUGAUACUACACACAUGAUAAAUAAUUUCACAUGAAACUUGUAAUAAAUCAUGGAUUAGAAAUCCAAUUAACAUCAAAAUCAUGAAUACAUUCAAAGUCCAACAUGGAAUUCACAAAAUCAUCUAACUUGUAGUUUAAAAUAGUUUUUUGAACUCCAAGGGUGGAAGAAAACCCUUGGAUGAACACUUCACAUACCUUGGUACUUGAAUUAAUGAAGGUUGAUGGUGAAAUCCUUGGGACUUGAAUCUUGAAUUUGAUGGGUUAGGGUUUGAUCUUGAGAGACUUCGAGAGAAAAUGAGUGUAUUUUGCUUAUUGAGGGCUGAAUUUCGUGUUUUGGGGCUGAUUGAGGGUGGAAAAAUGACCCAAAUACCCUUAUGGAUGUGGAGUUUUAAUGACUAAAAAUAGGGCUAGUGACACAUAGCUCGAUGCACUGCAUUGAUGAGAACGAUGUGAUGGCCGACGCAUCGCGUCAAGUUCAUAUCAGCUCAUUAGAAAUUGGUACUGGGAGCCAAGGAAAAUAUUGAUCGACGCGAUGGGCAAUGCGACGCAUCAAGAUCUAGUUGAUACAUUAUUUUGGAUUUCCAAAACAUGGUUCAAACGAGCUCUAAAAGUUUUGAAACUCACCCAAAGUGACCUCUUGACAUUCCUGAUCAUGAGUCAAUCUAAAAAUCGAUAUUUUAAGGUCAUAAGGUUCGUGAAAUAGGAUUACCAACUUAUGAAGGCUAAAAUAACUCUAAGUACGAAUACUUCGCUAAAAUUUUCUAAGUCUAGACCCCUUAACAAGAUUUAAAGGAUUGAAUUAAACUUAGAAUUUUGUGGGAUCUUACACCUUACCAGUGAAGGUAGCCGAUGGUAAUGCGAUGCCUAGCCAUCACCUAAGCUUUAUUUUGAGAUACCUACUUAGUUUUGAGGUCCUUAAACCCCCCCAACCCCUCCCACAACGUCAAUACAUGAUCUACCAUCACCAAGAGGGUCCUAAAGAUAAUUUUAGAAGCAUUAAAAGAGUUUUAUAGGUAUGGGGGUCACAAUCGUACAGCCUAGAUGGUGACUCAUUCAAAUACUCAUAAAUUCUUAAUCUGAACUUGGAUUGACAAACGGUUGGAGACAUUGGAAAUAAGACUCAAAGUGAUUUAAAUUGAUAUAUAUUAGUCCACAUCAAUCAUUAUAUACUAAGAGUAAUAGUAGCUGAAAGUUUACCCAUGAAAAAUCAACAAUUCAUAAUCAAUCGAUAGGAAAGUGCUCAACUUAACUUUUGAGCUAGGAGAUUAUUAUGGUGUAUAUUCAUUUCCAAAAAUACUUCCACACUGAGGAAAUGUCAUUGACACUUAUAUCUUAGUAGAAACUAUUGGGUUCGGGUUUAUAAAUAUAGAAAAAAUAUGGUUCAACUUUGGCCCAAAAAAGUGGGGUGUUACAAUAUGACGCUUUCAAAAUAAAGAAAAAUGAGUCACUACAAAAAAUGAUAACUAGGUUAACUUCAUUGGUAAAUGAUUUAUCAUUUAUAGGAAAGGUUUUAUCUACUGAGGAAUAGGUAAAAAAGGUCUUCAGAGUCCUACCAGAGUCUAAGUAGGAUGUCAAAGUUACAAUCAUGGGAAGCUAAGGAUCUCACUAGAAUGUCCCUUGAUGAGUUAGAUGGUAAUUUGAAGACCUAUGAGAUGAACAUGGAAGAUUUAAAUAGGGAAUCUGAAAGUGAUGAAUUAGAUGAUGAAGAAGUUGAUGAAACUGCUUCACGCCAUUGGAGAUUCAAUCUUGGAAGAGGAAGAUGGUUCUUUUGAGGUAUGUAUUCUUAAGCUUAAGGAAAAAAUUGCAUUUAUUUCCUAAAACAAAACUUGUUUCCUUAAUGAGGGCUCUAAUUGAUAAUUUCCAAGAAUUAACUUCUGAUAGGGAUGAAUUAUACAAUAGUCUUGCAAGUCUCAAGUUUGACUUUAUUGAUCUAGAAGUUUGCAAGAACACUGUGGAAAAGGAAAAAUGCACUCUUAAGGAACAAGUUGGUCAACUUGAUUCUUCAAAUCUGAUUUUAAAAAUGAUAUCUUAAAACUGACUCUUUUUGAAAAAGGAAAAAAGUUCAAAAGUGAUGAACAAGAAAAUAUUAACCUUGAAUUGAUCAAGUCCAAACAAGAAUGUAGUGAUGAAAAGGAAAAAAUGAACAAAUUAAGCCAAGAAGUCUCUAAACCAAAACUUGAUCAUGAAGGUCAAACAGAUGGACAAAUUCCUCAAGAAUUGUUCAUCAACUCAAUGAAAAAACUCAUAGUGAAAGGGCUAGAUUGGCUUUUUUCAAGAGCUCUAAUAUUACUAAGGACUUAUGUUAUAUAUUGGUAAUAAUGGAAAUCUAACUACUGAAUGUCCAGUUGCUGUUAAAAGUAGAGAAAGGAGCACUAAUUUUGUAAAGAAAUCUGACUUCUUGGUAGUACAGAAAAAUAGAAUGAAAAGCAUAAUUGGCCAGAGAAACAGAUCACACAACUUGUUACCUCGAUGAGCUAGGUGAAAUCUGAUUCACCCUUUUACUCAUCUGGGUUCCUAAGUUAACCCCUAAUUUAUUUUGUAGGUAAAAGUGAAAGGAGUUAAGCAAAAUUAGUACAUGGAUAGAUCUUGCUCAAGGCAUAAGAUUGAAAGCAGAUAAAGUUCCUUUAACUCAUCAUAUUUAAAGGAGUAAUUGAUCUUUUUGAGAUGGCAAAAUGAGCACCAUUAAUAGAGUUAUAAAAAAUUUGGGAGAACUAAAAAAAAAGACUUCGAAAGAUGGACAGAUUUGUAGUGCUUAUAUAAGAGGGAAGCAAGAGAGAUCGUCUUUCAAAACAAAGAGUCAUAUAAGUACGACCAAGUGCUUGGACCUGGUCCAUAUGAAUCUUUGUAGACCAAUAAGGGUAAUAAAUAAGAAAGUUAAGAGGAACAUAUCGUACCACCUGGUCCAACGAGGACAUAUUGAUAGGGGGAACAAUAAAUCAAGAAAUUGAUUCAUCAAUAAGACCAACACAAACCGUUGAUAAUUUUGUUGGUAGUUCAUUGAUAUUGUCAAAAGAAUCUUCAUAUAUCUCAUGGGAAUCAAUGACUCGAGACUAUGGUAUAUAAAAGAAAGCAAUUUCGCUCUUGUGGGCUAUAAAAAUGUUGACUAUGUGGGUUACUUAAUUGAGUGAAGAAGCACCAAAGGUACUAAGUAGAAAACACUUUGCAAGGAAUAGGUUAGACUUGGGGAUGAUUAAAAUUGCAUGAACUCCCCUUAAUGAUUGACUAGGAUAACCAUUUUAUUUUUAAUCUUAUUAGCUAAAAUAUUAUUCGAUUCAAUCUUGCACAUUUAGCGGUGCGUCCCAAUUCUAGAUUUUUGACUCUUCUAACCUAAUUUUGUAUUAGAUUGUGCAGAAAAUAGGUACAAACAAGCAAUUGUGACCACAAAGUUCUUCUUAUCAGGUAUGUUCUACACUGACAUAAGCAUAGGAUGUGUAAGUUGAAACAGUUGAGCACACCUGUUCAAUUUCUCACACUUCAUCCCCCCUUGUCCUAUAAAGCUAACGAAUUGGUUGACCAAACUUUCUUUGAUUCUCUCCAAAUGGUUGUGCACAAAUAUUUUAAUCCUACACAAGAAAUUCUUUCUUCUCUCAACCAAAAUAUUAGUUUUUAUUCCAUUGAUUUGCCAAGCUUGAUCAUAAAUCUCAUGCAACAUAUGUAUCUGAAGAUUGAAAAAGGACAUGCUCUUCCUUUUAGUUUCUUGAAAAAGGAGAUGCUCUUCCUUUUAGUUUCUAAUUGGCUCAAAGUUUUUUAGGACUUCUCAGUCCUAGUUCAUAUUUGACUUUUCAAACAACAAAGAAUGUUCUUGAACAGAUGAAUCAUGCUGCUCUACUUGUUUCAAUAAGGAGGGCUAACAUUCAUUUUUUUAAAAAAAAGGAAAAUACUUUAGCUGAGAAAAUUUCUGAACUAGAAGCUACACAAGACAUCCAUGAAGUAGAAUAAGAGGUCCUUCAUUUGAAGCUUGACCUUGAUUGAGAGAGGGCUAAAAAUGUUGCUCCUCACUAUUCAUAUCCUUAAACAUGUCCCACUUUUAUACCAGAUUCUUUUUUGAUUAAUGCUCAGUUGUUUUGCUUUGUUUAGUUCUAGUUUAGAUUUAAUGUGGACUAUGCUCUCGCAUAUUAAUAGAAUGGUUAUAUUUUCUUAAUUGAUUCAUGUUCUUUCUCUCUUUAAUACAUUACUAUAUUGGCUAGAGUCUUUGUCUGAUUGUUUUGGUGAUAGCCCAAGUGUCCACAAAUAGCGUAACUAAUUACUUUGACAAGUUUAUUUUUGCAUUGAAGUGGUUUUUUUAUGAUGCUAAUAGAGUGAAUAUAAGGGUUGUGCAAUGUUUAUAAUCCAUUGACUAACCUAUUUUAUUCUAGUGUUUCAUACUUCAGUACCUACUGGUAAAGAUGUUUCAAUGCACAAAGACAAGAGGUUUAUCAUCAUCAAAAAGGGGGAAUUUGUUGGAACCUUGAAGUUUUGAUGAAUGAAAAUAUGAAUGAAACAAUUUGAUAUACGUGUUCCACUAUCCAACAAGUUCAAGAGUGCAAGUCCACGGUAUAAAUAAUUGAGACUCAUAAUUAGUUAAAUUGGUGCAACUGGAAAAUUCAACUAACUGAUCACGUGGGGAAUAGAACAAGUUGAAUUUGAUUCAAACACUUGAUCAUAAGAGAAAGAAAAUUGAGUUGAAAAAGGAGUCCUAUGUGAAGGAGUUUCACUUCUCCUGAAGAGUCCUAUGUGUAGAAAGAGAAAGAUUCUGAAAUUUAAAGAAGUGGUGUUUGAGCUCAACACGUGAUGACAAGUGAAAGAAAGAGUUCCACUUAGAUAAGGAGUUUGACUUAAAUAAGGACUUUGACUUAACAACAAACUUUGAUUAGUUGAAGAGUCCAAUUGAAGAUAGAAGAUUGAUGACAUGAUGGACUCUUUGAAGAGUUGCUGUUAAACAAAGAAAGUGAUUAACAUAAUCAUUUAUGCACUUAAAAAAGAAGAAAAGGGCAAUUGAUAGAUUGACUUUAUGAAGUGCUACCCAAUCACCGAAGAAACACAUUGAAGAACCUGGUCCUAAUAUAGAAUAUGACUAAGAGUUUUAGCGUUGAUUGUUAGGAAUUAUUCAUUGUGUUGAACUGUUGAUGUAAUAUUAGUUUUAAUGUGUUAUAAACUAAACUAGGAGCUAGUCUUUGAGUUUGGGAAAAGUCAGAGACUUUGGGAACACAUACCUUGGAUGGUGUGUGUAGCUAGGAAUUAGAGUCUAUAAUUCCUAGUUGUUGAGUUAUAGAAAUUAGAGUUUAUAAUUCCUAGGUUACAUGAGUUUUGUAAUCAGUUGUUGUUGAGGAUCAUUGUUGUGUAGUAAAGUUGGGGUUAAAUCCUGUAGAGGUACAGGUCAUGAUUUUUUACUCCUUUUUGAGCCGGGUGUUUUCUACGUAAAAAUCCAUUGUGUUAUUUUCUUAUUGUUGACGCGUUAGUCAACCAAAAACUAAGAUAAUCAGUAGGGUAACUCUAACAGUUGAAAUCUCCUCCUACCAUCCAAGGCGAUCCCAUGUUACUGACCAGGUAAUAUAAAUUGUCUCAUAACUCCAGUCUUUAUCCUUCAUCACACUAAACACAAAUAUAAGGUAUCCAUCAAAAUUUUCCAUUGCAUUAUAGCAUCAAUGAAGAUCCGUAUUUUACCAUUAGUAUUAGCAAUAGCUGACUCCAUCCAUAGUUUCAUUCUAUUUCUGCAGAUGUCUAUAAUCAUAUUAGGUUCCAUCAAGGCUACAAUAAAGCAUUUGCACCCUUUUUCUUCACUGACGAGUACCCGUUGUGUAUUAACAGACCUAAUAUUCCACAUUAGGGCCUUAAUAUGAUUUAUACUUUUAAGGUUACUGCUCUCUUAGGUAUAACCCUCUUACCUUGAAUAUUUUCUUAUUUUUUGCCUUCUUUACAUUUUUAGCUAAAGAUCUGGGUGAUAAAUCAACUUCUUUAACUAAUUUGAAAGUUUGUGUAAGUUAAUUUCAACUCCUAUUCCUCCUCCACAAGUUGUCCGUCCUCGUCUGUUAUUAAGGUGUCUCCUGUAUUUGUAUUUUAUUCUUCCCCUGUUGUUCUUUGUUUAUUGUCUCUCCUUGGACCUCUUUUUCAUUAGUGACAUUGUCAAAAAAUGCUUUCACCCAAGCUUUUGCACUUUCAUGGACAUUGGUUUAAAUUCUUUAAGCUGAGGGUCUUUCAGAAACAACCUCUAUACCUACCAAGGUAGAGGUAAGGUCUUCGUACACUAAACCCUCCCCAAACCCUCCCCAGACCUCACUUGUCGGACUAUAUUGGAUAUGUCAUCGUUGCUAUGGUUGGGAUUUCCUACUUUUCCUUGUUGUCUUUUAUAGGAUUCCAGUUUCCUACAUGUAUUAUCAUUAGAUCAUUCAAAGCAUGCUCAGCUUUGUAAGGAUUACAUCUCAAGAGCCCGACUGUGCUCUCUAAACACGCCUAAUGCUCAACAGCCAAAUCUUGUUCAACAAUUCCUGCUAGAGCAUCAGUAAUUCCAUUUUAACUACUUAUAUAUUUCGAAAAAGCAAUGAGACGAGGAAAUGAAGUUGGAUUUGACCGUGGAGCUCUAGAGAUACUCAAAAUUGAUGUAGUUCUUUACCCUUUGUUCUUAACAUGUGGAUUACCUGUCAAUUUUUGCAUAUUUGGGAAGUUUAUAAAUGAUCUGUAUGUAUCUUAUUUUAUAGAUAUGUUUUUCUCUCGAAAAAGAAAUAUUCUUAUCUUUUUAUUUUGUGUAUCUUCUACAUACUUAUCAAUUAUUACAAAAAUAUAUACUAAAAAAAACUUUUGACAUAAGGUACAUUACAAAAAUACCACUUUCAUAUUUGAAUAAAUAAUAAUUAUAUUACCUUUGAGAGUAAUUUUAGAGUUUAGUAAGCUGCAUUCUGUGUACCAUAUUACAACAAAAUAAUGACAGCUAAAAUUCAAAAGAGAUGCAAUUGUUGUAAUUCACUAAUGAAACAAAAAUCAAAAGGGGUAUAUACUUUCAAACUUUGAAUUCGUAAGUCCAUUGUAGUUACUCAAUGAGGGUGCUUGAUCGACUUAGAGAGAAAACAUAGUCUAUUUUUUUGAAGUUUGUUGUCUAAGAGAGAGAAUCUAAUCUUUUUCUGAUGUAUGUCAACUUAGAUGUAUGUCUAUUACAACAGGCGAGUCAAAUAUUGGCAACAAAUUAGGAAAAAGAAAUUACUGAAAUAUAAAAAUUUUGGUAGCAAAGCUGUCACUCAUUGCAACAUUAUCUAGAACUUACCAUUGCAAAAUUGGAAGACACAUAAAUGAAGGGGGAAGGUUCUAUCAUGAGCAGCCUAUAAAUAUACUGCAUAGUUAGUACUUAUUUCUAUCAUUUCUUACCUUGGAGAAAAAGUUUGUCAUUCAUACUUCGAAUAUGCAGAAUGCAAAUUUCCCCCCUUCAACUUUAAUACCUUCUCCUGUACUACUUCAUUGCCCUAUAUGCUAUGGAAUAUUUCAUACUCAUUUUGAAUUUAUGGAUCAUGUACAAGUUAUUCACCCAUCACUGUCUGAGAAAACAUCCAUCCUAGAUUCUCCUAUAUAUGCAUCCUAUAUUGUUUUGCCAGGCAAUCCGCCAUCAGCUCAACCUGUUUUCCCACAACAUGUGAGUUCGCAAGGAAAUAAUAGAGUUUUUGUCCAACCAACGGCAUCUUUGAAUCAUAACGAGCCUAUCAGAUGGGAUAGAGCACCACCAAUUGAUAGUCAACACAUGGCAAGAAGAAAUAGAGUUGCUAAUUUUACAAGACCUUUGAUCAAUCAAUUGAAUGCAGAUGAAUUAGUUAACAUAGCUGAAGAACAAACUGAUUUAGACCUGAAUUUGAGGCUUUAAUUAGAGAAAAGACUAUCUGGAUCUUCUUAAUAAGGGAAUGUCUAAAAAUGUGUUGAGUUAGGAGUCAUGUUUUUUAGUGCUUUUAAGUUUUUAUAUUUUUGUCCGACAGCGGGGUGUCUAAAAGGUUGAGUCUGUCGUUUUAUUUUAUUUUAUCUUAUUUUUUCUCAAGCAUGGUGAGCAUGUCUAGAAUUGUGCUUGGAUUGAAGUCUGUUGUUUUAUUUAUUUGUUAAAUAUUUUUCUUGAUUUAAAUAAUCCAAUCCAUUUAUUUGUGUGCAAAUAUUUCUUUGUUCCUUGUCGAGCAUAUUAAAAAUAAACAAAUUUUUUAUAGUUCAAAUAUAAUUUAUUUUACGUAUUAUUACAGAGCAAAUAUGUCAAGCUUUAGCCAUCAUAUUAUAUAUAUGACACGUCACUCGUUAUGCUAAAGCUUUUCCAACUUGUAAUUUUCACACCAUAAUUAUUUUUUUAUCAAAAUAUCAUUAUUUAAAGAUAUAACAAUAUUUUGUUUUCCUUAUUUUUUCUAUUCCUUUAUUUACUAAAUCUAUUUUAUAAAGCUGAAGAUAGUUUAGUAGGAUCCAUACUAUCUACAAGAUUACAAAAAUAUAGUCAUAAUCAAAAUACCAAAACAGAUCAGAUUGUUGUAAUUCAUUAAUGAAACUAAAAUCAUCAGGGACAUUUACUUUGAACUUUAAAUUCGUCCAUCGUAUUAAAUAUAGAUGAACAAAUGACAAUUUUUAUAGUUAUUCAAGGAGGUGUUUGAUCGACUCAGAGAGAAAGCAUAAACUUUUUGUAAAGUUAUUCAACUUAGAAAGAAAAUAUAAUUUUUUCCUGAAGGCCGUUGCAGCAGGUUAGUUAUAUACUAGUUAGAAGAAGCCCGUGUCCUAAAUGAAUAUUAUAAUAAUAAUCAUAUCAAUUAAUAUGACAACUUUUUAAUUUUGAAAUUUAAAUAAAUUUAUUUUCAGAGUUAUUUUUGCAUACAUUCUUAAAAUAUUUUAAAUUAUCAAUUAUUGUGAUUUAUCAUUCAAAUAUAUAAUUUUAUUUUAAAAAUUAAUUCACGAUCAAAAUUAAACUCUACAAAUGUAUAAAUUAAUAAAGAAUGUGAAAAGCAAAAUUCGAUGGGCCAAUACUACUGUACGGGAUAUAAUUUGUAGAGUCAAUCAUGUAUUUUAUAUCUUUUAAAUUUUUUAAGUUGUUAAUUAUUGUGAUUUAUAGUAUUUUUUACGUGUUUUUUUUAAAUAUAUAACAUAUUAAUUUUGUUUAGAUAUUUUAAGCAGGUAACUAUUGUAAUUUAUAGUACUUUUUAUGUAAUUUUAAAAUAAUAUAUGUUACUCUUCUUGUCCAAACUUUUGUGACAUUGAUAGUUAAUUAUAUUUUUUAAAUAAUUAAAAUUUUUAAUUAUUAUGAUUUAUAAAACUUUUUUUUUCUAUUCCAAUUUAAGUGGAAUAAUGCAUAGAUGACCAUAAUAAUUAAUUAGAGCUGAUAUAGUAAAAUUAUGAUUGAAAUAGCGAAGCAGACAUAUCUUAAAUGACUCACAACAACUAAUUAAAAGUGAUAUAAUAAAAUACUAUAAAAAAUACUUGUUAAAAAAAUUUAAGUAGUCUUCAUAUAAGACGUUAAGUUAAUUUAAAACAUCAAGACUUAACUUAUCAUUUUAUAUCUAUUUUACCUUUCAAACUAAAUAUUAAUUUUUUUAAUAUUUAGAUAACUUAUAAUAAUUAAUUAGGGUGAUAUUUAAUAAAAUUACGAUUGAAGCGGCUGAAACAAAUAUGUCAUAAUUAUUUAUUUUUUAAUAUGUAAAUAACUUAUAAUAAUUAAUUAUGGGUGAUAAUAUAAAAUCACGGAAGCAAACAUGUCAGCAGCCUAAACUCUCUCUUAUAUAAUAAGAGAAUAGACAAUGAUUUAGGAGAGCGAAACCACUAGUUUAUCAAUUUUGUUAGCAAAGUUGUUAUCACUGCAACAAUAUUUUGAACUUACCAUUGCAAAAGCGGAAAACACAUAGCGGAAAACCCGAAAAUAUGAAUCAAGAGAGUCUAAGUGUAAAUAAACAAAAGGGUGAAAUCUAAUACACUUCCCUAAUCGCUUCUGUUUCUCUAGAAUCCAGGUUUGUAGAUCUUUGGUGAAAUAACAGGGAAUGAAAAAGCAGUAACUAAAGAUAAUCAGUCUAGUGUUACACAUAGAAACUCCAAGUUUGCAGCUUCUAGAAACAGUUGCAAGCUACACGAGUACUAGUCUCCAAAUUUGCAUAAAAGUUACAUUAGUGUAGCAUGAGUACAGAAAAAAAUGUGUACCCAACAAGUAUCAUUAAUCAAACCAAUAAGGUGGCGGCAUUAGCAAUAGGUGCAGUCUGAUCUCUUGCCGUAGAUCCACUUGUCCGAUUAGAUUGUUGUAAUACACUAACAAAAACAUAAUCUUUUUUGAAGUCUGUUACCGCAACAUUUGGAAAAAGAGAUUACUAAAAUAUAAAAAUUUUGGUAGCAAAGCUGUCAAACAUUACGACAUUAUCUGGAACUUACCAUAGUGAAAGUGGAAGGCACAUAAAUGAAGGGGAAAGGUUACAGCAUGAACAACCUAUAAAUAUACUGCAUAGUUGGUACUUGAUCUCUACCAUUUCUUACAUUACAGAAAAAGUUUGUCAUUCAAACUUCAAAUAGGAAUAAUGCAAAUUUUUCUACUAUUGUUUUAGUACCUUCUCGUGUAUUACUUCAUUGCCCUGUAUGCUAUGGAAUUUUUCGUACUCAUUUAGAAUUCAUAGAUCAUAUAUGAGGUACUCACCCAUUAUCUGAGCAAACAACCAUCGUGCAUUCUCCUGUAUUUGCAUCCUAAAUUGUUUUGCCAGGAAAUCCGCCAUCAUCUCAACCUGUUGUACCACAACCUGUGAGUUUUCAGGAAAUGAUAGAGUUGUUGUCCAACCAGCAAAGUCUUUGAAUCGUAACGAGCCGACAAAAUGGGGCAGAGCACCACCAAUCGAUAGGCAACAAAUGGAAAGAAGCAUCAACCUUGGAGGUUCAAAUUCAACAUUUGCAGAUACAAAUGAUGCUACUGUAGAUUUUACAAGACCAUCGAUCAAUCAAUUAGAUGUUCCUAUUCCAUCAAAUACAUAUAAAAUAGUUAACGUAGCUGAAAAACAAAAUGAUUUGAACUUAAGCUUGAAGCUUUAAUUGAAGAAAAAAUUACGCUGAUCUUCUUUAUAAGGGGAUGUCUAACAAUGUUCUAAGUUUGGAGUCCUUUUUUUUCUAGUUUUAUUGUUAUAUGUUUGUCUGAUACUAGGGUGUCUAAAAGGGCGAGUCUGUCAUUUUAUUUUAUUUUAUUUUUUGUCAGACAUGGUGGGUGUCUAAAAUUGCAUUUUGAUUGGUGUCUGUUAUUUUUUAUUUAUUAAAAUAUUUGUCUUGAUUUAAAUAAUCCAAUCCAUUUAUUUGUGUGCAAAUAUUUUUUUGUCCUUGCUGAGUACAUUUUAAAAAACAAUAUUAUUAUAGUUCAAAUGUAGUUAAUUUCACCUAUUAUUACUAUGUUAAAAUGUCAAGUGAUAAGUCCCCGUAAAUUUUCAAUCAAUUUAUUUCAGAACCUCCCUUGUGCUAAAUGGUAAUUUUUGACUUGAAUCAUGAUAAGGAAUGUUAACGGGAUGUUUUGGGAGAGUUUCAGAAUUUCCGAAAAGCAUUCGGGGUCAUUUUGGUACUCCAAACCAGUGAGCCUCUGCGAAUAGGGGCGUGGGACACUGCCUACGCCCUGCAAUAAGGGAGUGGCACUCUUCCUACUCCCCACGAUAAGGGUGUGCCACACUGCUGAGCACAAAUCACCCAACUUCAUUUUUUCAAUUGGGGGCAAUGGUUUUUUGUCCUUUGCCAUUAGAUGACGUAAAUGUCUUUUAAUCCAUCAUAGUCAUCAGUUAUCAACUUUUAACAUUGCUAUUCUCCUCUCCAACUACCAAGUCAAGAAACUCAAGGUUUUCUCAAGAAUUCACUACUCUGGGCUUUAAACUCUGCAUUCUCUCCAAAUUCUUUCAAUUUUUAGGCAUGUUGGACACUUUCUAAUUUGAAUACUAUAUUAUUGCAUUCAUUCAAUUGUUAUUGAAGUUUUUUUUUUUUGAACUAUGGGUUUAAACUAGGGUUUGAGAAUUGUCAUCACUAAUGUGAAAUAUUAAUUUUUCUCUUCUUAUAAAUUAUUUAUAAUCACUUGCGGUGGAUUUUAGAUUUUUGAAUAACAUGUUUGAAAGGAUGCAUUUCAUUAGAUAAGUAUUAAAACAUUGAAUGUUAAGGAUGAUUGAAAUCAUGAUAUUCAAGUCCUUUGAAAAAGCUUUGAAUUGAGAUGAUGAACAAAUAUGACACCCUAUCUUUUUGAGGUAUUGAAAGUGUUAAACUUUAUGACUGCUUUGAGAUUUUUUUGCUAUUUAAUGAUUAUUAUGAGCAUCAUUUUGAAUGAUGGGAUUAAGGAGUCGUAACUAUUUUAUGAUAAUGGUUCUUGGUAUGAUAUGAAUGGGUUGCAAGUCUUGGUAUGACGAUAACAGUAUGAAUAUAUCCUAAUGAAUGACUCCCUGAUAAAUGUUAUGUUCAAACUAUUUUAAUUGGGAUCUAAAGAAAAUUAUAUAGCACACUGUGAAGGCAUAAGUCUUCGUGACCAACGCUUGAAACCUAUAUUGUUGGCAUAGAGAUGUCGUACCUUAAUUGGAUGAUUAGAUUAUGUGCUUAACAUGAUGAUAAUAUGUAUGGUGGCUUUAUCAUACUUGUGACUUUAGCUUAACUUCGGUAUGUGAGACCAACAUGGACUGGGGGCCCAUUGGUUUGGGAGUACCGCACCCAUAUAGCCCGUGGGUUACUAGAUGACCCAUACUAUCCAUGGGUCAGAAAACUACGAUGAAAGCUAUAUAGUUCAGGAUUAAAUUUCAAAGGUUCAUAUAACAUGUCCCUUACCCCUACCCCAACAUCCUAUUAUAUAUAUAUAUAUAUAUAUACACUUGAUAUGCAUGUGGUUUAUAAUUGGUUUUAGUAAAUACAUACAUGUUUUAUCUCUUUCUUCGGGUGCAUUCCAGUAUUCACCAUACUGACCGUCCUCGAAUGGUUUGAUUUCUUGAUCGAAAAACUAUGAAGUAGUGAGCCCUCCAUUUUACGAAAGGCCUGGUCUCUCUUUUUGGUUUUAGUUUAUUAUUCUAGCACUUUUGUAUUUCUUUUGUUAUAAUCACGGACAUGUUCGGAUUUAGUAGGUAUUCUUUAUAUUAGAGUCUUUUGUAGGCAGUGUUGGGUAUUUCUGUAUGGAAUUGAUUGUUGACUCACAAACUUACUCUUUGAUUAUUACAUCUCUCUUAUCCUACUGUUUAGCUUCCACAGUUCAUUAUUUUACUAUGCUCUUGAGGUAAGGCUAAGGGAUCGUCCUAGGCAUUGAUUGGUUUAGGAUGCCCGUCACGGCCAGGCCUCAGUUCGAAUCAUGACAAGCUUGGUAUCAAUGCAUGGUUUAGGGUUCUAGGAUGUCCACGAAGUCAUAUCGAGUAGAGUCUCUCUCAUGGGUGAGUGGCGCACUACACUUAUAACGGGGAGGCUAAAGACAUUUAAGAAUGUUUUCCUUCCUUGUGUUCUAUUUCAAGCUUGGGAGUCUAGUUACCAUGAAACUUCUCUAACUCCUAACUUACUCGCAUUUUAGAUCUUACAUCCUCGAAGAUAUGACAGUCAUAGGAACUUAGCUAGAACCUCUAUCCCAAUUGGGGAAAAUGUGGAGGAUGUUUGCCCUACUCAUGAAAUACAAACUCAAAAUAAAGCCCAUGCUCUGGAUUAUACUACUCCACCAGGGAUUCCACCGGUCCUUACUAGUCCUCCUCAAGCUGAUAAUACUCAUACUCAAUUUCCUUAGGGAGAUAUCUCGAAUGCUGAGUUCCAUCAGUCCAUCCAUAUGCUUACGUGGAAUAUAGCCUCCCAGUUUCAUCAUCUUGAUCAUGUCGGUCCUUUUGUUAACUCGUCUGAGGCCACUCGAGUUUGCCAAUUUGUGAGGCUGAAUUCCCUAAACUUUACAGGCUUUAAGGUUGAGAAGGAUCCUCAGGAGUUUAUUAAUGAUAUGGAAGAUCUUCAGGGUGAUGCAUGCUAGUGAUUUAGAGAGGGUCGAGUUUGUAGCUUAUCAAUUGAAAGAAGUGUCUUAUCAGUGGUACGAGGAGUGGGAAGAGUUAAGGGGUGAAGAUAUUGAGCCGGUAGUGUUGGAAGGGUUCUUGGGUACUUUCCUUGGUCACUUCUUUCCUAAAGAGUUGUGGGAGGCUAAGGCUGAAGAGUUUUUAAACCUAAAAUAAUGUAAAAUAAGUGUUAAGAAGUUUGCAUUAAAGUUCACUCAACUAUCUCGUUAUGCUCUUGAGCUUGUGUAACACCCUGAGUCUGGUACCUCGGACGCUACACGGUGCUUAUAAACUUGAAGGACCAUAAUCUAACCCAUGUAUACUACCUGUUGCAAAUACUGAAUAACAAUACUAUAUAAUGCAGAAUAAUGGGCUGAAAUUCCAUAAGGUUCAAUACUGUAAUAAAUCUGACAAUACGGUAUAACAAUACCAAGACAAAAACAACUGUCUGAAAAUACUCUAGUCUGAAAAGCCUCUAAGUUUUCUGAAUAGGAGUUGAUGGGACAAUCGUCCAACUAAAUUCAUCUACUGAAAUACUAAGUCUAAUGAAAUAAUAAAAUAAAAGAAUAUCCUCGAAUGAUGAGGACUCACUGCUAAGUUUACUGCUGUUGGCUGGAUUUGAACUGCUAAGGAUGCUCGGGAGCUCUUGUGUCUGAACCUAUGUUAUAAGACACCAUAGCUUAAGAAAGUAUGUGUCAGUACGUAAGAAUGUACUAGUAUGCUAGAUGAGGUAAGGCUAAAUGCAAGGGUUCGUAUACAUAGACAAUACUGACUGAAUAACAUGAGUAUGCUGAAUAAGGAUACAUGCAUAAAUACAUAAACCAUAACUAAAAUCAUAGUGAUACUGAAUACUGAGUUCUAAUAACUGGAUUACUGCUAAUUGAGUCUACUAAUACUGUGUUACUGAUACUUAGUCUACUAAUAUGCUGAUAUUGAUUUACUGUAUCUAACAGUACUGAUUUCUGAUGGAACUAGUUGAGUUCUGUACUGAGUUGAGUGAUUGUAUCUGAUAGUCCUGAGAUCUAUAGAUAUAUCUGAGUUCUAUUUUGAAGAAUGAGAAUGAAACUGAUACUGUGGGAGUUAAUCAUCUAACUGACAUGCCCUGAGUCUAAACUAGUGGGGUCCAACCUGUAACCCCAGCUGAAAGGGUGUUAGUACCGUGCUUAGGGUAAAGACAACUACUAUGUAGUCAGUCCUAACUAACGGUUGACUCCUAAGAUCAAUCCUAUCUAGCAGGUAAUCCCUGAGUAUGUCAGUCCUAUCUAAUAGGUGAUAUCUCAUGACCUAUGCUGGAUAUGUAGUUCUGGAACUUAGGGAUUGCUUUUAGGGACCCAGUCCUAGCUAUCACGCGAGUCCCCAUCCUUACGAUCGCUCGGUGCUGAAUCCUACUCUCAACUGAAAGACACUAAACUAAUUUCAUAGUUCAUACUAGGCUUGACUAAACUGGUACUGAUCAUACUGUUUAACUGAGCUGAACUAAGAUCACUGAGUUCCGUUGACUGACGGAAUACUUCUAAAUUUUUCGCUGAAUUCUACUGAUCGUGACAUGACUGAGACUAUUUUGUAACUGACACUGGCUCUAGGAAAAUAGCUAAAUUGUCGGGUAUUAAAUACCCCCAGGAUUCGAUAACAUGAUAAGUAAAGCAUAACAUGAUCUUGCAAAGCAUAACAAUACACGCUUGUUCAUAAUUCAUCUAUUGAGACAUUUCAUCAAACACUUGUAGGGCAUAGGCUUGUGCACAUACUAACAUCUUACAAUUUCAUCAACUUAUUCACAUGAAAGUCAUAAACUCAUACAUAAUAGGAAUACAUUCUAAUGUCUCAUGAUUCAUUCAAUACGGCCUUUCAUCAAACACUUGACAUGUAUUAACAUGUACAUGAAUGGGGAUUUCUUAUUAACAUGCUAUAAUGACACUAUUUCAUUCACAUAGGUAUUUUAUCAAACAUAUAGGGAGCAUGCUUUGAUCAUACAACAAUCAAUACAUCUAAUUAUCAUGUCUAAUCUUUCAACUUGCAAUUUGAGGGGUUUAUCAUGAACAUCAUGCAAAUCAUCACAUUUUAGGAUCAAUUAUUGAAUCUUGUAAUCUAAAACAUGAAUCAAAACUCAACAACAACAUAAACAUGAAUUUCAAUUCAAAUAAAUCAUGAAAACUCACAAAUAUACAAUCUUUGUAUUUUGAAAAUAGAUUCUUGGGCUUCAUGGGUGGAAGGGACCCAUGAAUAAACAUCUAACAUACCUUAAUGCUUGAUUUUAAGAAGAUUGAUGGUGAAAUUCUUGAGAGUUGAAUCUUGAAUUUAAAACCCUAAUGCUUUUUCUUGAGAGAGUUUGAGAGGAUGAGAGUAUAUUUUGGUGAAUUAGGGCUAAAUUUCGUGUUUAUGGCUGAAUUAGAGUGGAGAAAUAACCCUUUUGCCCUUUAAAAAUUUGGGGCUGGACUGCUAAAAGUACCCCAUCUGGAAUGGAAAGUGCAUCAUGGGCUUUAGUUUGUCGCUCUAGGCAGGGCACCGCGGUGCUUAGAGCAUUUCUAUGGCCAGGGCGGCACAGGAUUAACGGCUUUAGCUACUGGUUUGGAAAUCCAAAUAGGCCCUUAUGCUUGUUCGAAAAUGAUGAAACUCAUCCGAGAUGUACUGCUGACUUGCCCCAUUGUGAAUCAACUUAAAAAUUGACAAACGAAGGUCGGGAAGGUCAUGAAAUAAAUCCUCAAAGUUUGAAGGCUUUGAAAGAGUCUAAGUCUUCACACUUAGCUAAAAUUCUCUAAGUGUGAGAUCCCUUAUGAAGCUCUAAGGAGGCUGAAUUAGACUUAGAAUUUUUGCUGGGUUUUACAAUAUCUCCCUCUUGGGAACAUUUAUCCUCGAAUGGGACUAACUAAGCUGAGAUUACAGAUAAACUGAACUUACUUACUGGACAUGAUCAUCUGAAACAUAAUUAUAUGGUUGGAACCACUGAUAUACUAAAAUUCCAUACUGAACAUGCAUAUCUGAUGCAUGAGUACAUGGCUGAACUGACUCAUGAAUGCAUGACUGAAUAUGAAAUGGUAACUGAUACCAAGUUUGUAAGGAAAAUUUGAACAUGAAACUGAAUGGGUUUAAGGACAUGAAAGCAUCGCGGAAUUGUAGGGUAUCUCCUCUUUGGGACACUAUGUCCUUCUAAGAAUGCUUACUAUAUUAAGAUACUGGGGAAAACUGGGGUGAUGUACAGGAUACCUACAAACUGAAUUGCAACUGAAUAUCUGGGAUCUGAAACUAAUGCAUGAUUCAUAAACUGAGCUGAACUGGAAACUACUAGGAUGUUCUAUCUUGGAAUAGUUACAUUUCUAAUAUUUCUGAUAGUAUGACUACAUGGAGAUGGGAAAACAAACCAUAUGAAUUUGACUGUCUGACUGCUAAACUGAAUUGCUGGCUUUAAUGACUAAAUCAUGCUGAAAACUUAAGCUCAACUAGAUCAAGGGACCUAACAAAGCAUAUCAUAAAUAUGAAAGACUCAUAACCUACCCGAAUCUAUAUUAGGGGAACUUCGCUGAUCAUGUCGAGUCUGGAAUGCAUAAAAUCUGUUAUGACAUUGACCACUAGUGGUAUUGGAAGUGGCGCCCUACUAAUGCAAAUCUUUACCCCUCUGAGCCAAUACUCUAUACUCCCAUAGCCUGUGUCCUGGCUUACCAUAUCCAAAACAUACCUCAUUGCCAGCUCUACACAUAGCUAGGUGAUUUCUACUACACUUUUUGCAAAGUAGAUAGGUACGAUCACUAUUUAUACUACCCUAGGUCUUGGAGCCUGGCGCCCCAUCAUGACUGUCAUUCCUGAACUUGAGUACUAGUGCACUAGCUGUAGAUAGAGAUGGGACUGAAAACUUCUGGCUAAACUGAGAACGGUUACCACCCUGUGACCCUAGCUGAGAAAAACUAAAACUACCUAUUCUAGCUCUCUUAUUUUCCUUCUUUUUCUUCUUAGAUUCUGCUCCUCAAUCUGCUGAGCGUGGACCAUAAGCCUAGAUAUGUUCAUAUCCUUAAUUAACAUCAGUCCUUUACUCCUUAACCACACUAUCAGAUACCCUAGACACAAAAUUGAUUAUUCUGGAUCUAUUGUCUGCUACAACAUGAGGAACAUAUUUGGCUAACUGAGUAAACUUGAGGGAAUACUCUUUUACGCUCAUGCUAUAUUAUCUGAGAUUGAUAAACUCUAACACUUUGGCUUCUCUCAGCUCUAGGGGAAAGAAUCUAUCUAAGAAGGUUCUAGCAAACUCUUCGCAUUUUAUGGGCUCUGCAUCUGUACCCCUGUCUACUUUCCACUGCUUAAAUUAUGUAUAGGCUAUAUCUUGUAGCUAAUAGGCAGCUAACUCAGCACUCUCACUAAAAGUCACUUCCAUAAUAUUUGUGACUUUCUGAACCUGAUCAAGGAACUCCUAUGGAUCCUCUUUUGACUUGGAUCCUGAGAAUAGGGGAGAAUUCAUUUGAGUGAAGUCUCAAAUCUUGGUAGAAGCAGUAUUGGCAACUGGGUUGGCCUGAACAAUAGCUAGAUGCCUAUUAUGGACUACUACAGCCUUAGCUAGAGUAGUGAAUGCUACUCUGAAUUUUGCAUGAGAGACGUGCUCCUCCAGAGGAUCUGGUUGGAUAGGAUGAGGUGCUAACUGAUUCUCAUUCCUUCUUUUAUUUGUCCUUUUGGGAGGCAUGUUCUGUAAAAAGAAGGAAAAGAUAAGUUAGAUUGAGGCUUAACUGGAGAUUAUGCUCACUCGUAUGACAUGAAUACUGAAAGAAGGGAAACUGUUCCUAAAAUAUCUUAUUGCCUUAUACUUAUAAGUGUGGCGCGCAACACACCUAUGCAUAAGACUCUACUAGAUGCGGCUUUCAGACUUUCUAGGACACUAUUAAACUCUAGGCUCUAGUACCAAGUUUGUAAUGCCCUGAGUCUGGUACUUCGAAUGCUACACGGUGCUCAUAAUCCUGAAGGACCACAAGCUAACCAAUGACUGGUACCUGCCUCAAAUACUAAAUAACAAUACUGUAUAAUAAGAAAUAAUGGGCUGAAAUGCCAUAAGGUUUAAUACUGUAAUAAAUCUGACAAUAAGGUAUAACAAUACCAAGACUAAAACAACUGUCUGAAAAUACUCUAGUCUGAAAAGCCUCUAAACUGUCUAAAUAAGGAGUUGAUGGGAUAGUUCCCCAACUAACUCCAUCUACUGAAAUACUAAAUCUAAUGAAAUAAUAAAAUAAAAGAAUAUUCUCGAAUGAUGAUGACUCACUGCUAAUUCUACUACUACUAGCUAGAUCUAAAUUGCUAAGGAUGCUCGGGAGCUCGCGCAUCCGAACCUAUGGUAUAAGACCCCAUAGGUAAAGAAAGUAUGUGUCAGUACGUGGGAAUGUACUCGUAUGCUAGAUAAGGUAAGGUUAAAUACAAGGGUUUAUAUACAUAGACAAUACUGACUGAAUAACAUGAGUAUGCUGAAUGAGGAUACAUGUAUGAAUACAUAAACUAUAACUGAAAUUGUAGUGAUACUGAAAACAUAAACUAUGAAUACGUCUGUAUUUUUCUUUGAGAGGCUAUAGGGCAUUUAAGAAAAGUUUCCUUUCUUUCCUUCUCUAGAUCGUCCAGUAAAUUUUUCCUAUCGAAAUCUCCUAUCCAUUCGUGUGGUACCCCAAAAUUCAUCACCUAUGUAUUAUACUUGAGAUAACAUAAUUAGCAAGUUUCAAUUUCCUCCCGAGAUAAUGCUCUCAGAAUUACUAGUAAAAGUUUUAAAAGUCAUACAAAGGGGCUUGAGAGGACCUCUCUAGUGUGUCAUGAGUCCCUUAUGUUGAAAGUUAUGUCCUCAUUCUUAUGAAUCAUUCAGUUAAUACAAAUUAAGAUAUGUAUUCAUAUUCCUCAUUAGCCUUUCAAUAUGGAUAGUACUCAUUAGAAGAACUAGUGUGAGUAUUGAUUGCUGAUUAGAGUUUGUGUUCAUGAGAUAUUGAAACCUAGAGUGAUAUGAUUCAUAAGUAGUUGAAACUUCUUAUAGUUGGAAGUUUGAGUAUAGAAGAGUAAUAGAAAGAAGAGUGAGCAUGACGAUUGAUAGAAAGUAUAGAGAUAAACUUAUGCAUGCUAUAGAUCUUGCAUUAUGUUGAUAUGUCCUUGUGUGUUAGUUUAGUAGAAGGUAGAGAAGGAGUUAUUAGUUAAGGUGAAUUGUUGUUUACUUAAAGUAUGAAAAGAAUUGUUGAUAGUAUUUAUUGUGUUAUAAAAGUAUAGAUUAUUGAUGAAAGUACUUGGUGGUUUAGUAUUGUCAAUUUAAGCUUCCCCUGAGGUUGCAAAAAGGAGUUUAGUUGAAACUUAUAGGACUAUGAAAGAAGUUUAGCUGUAUAGAUGGGUGAAUAGUAGUGAUGUGUAAAAAGAGGACAUGUUAAUGGAUUAUAAUAAGAUAGGCUAUAUAAUCUUGAUCAAUUAUUGUUCUUAUACGGUUUUAGUAGACUAGUUUUUCUUGAUGUUUUAUUUUAUAGUUUCCAAGUGAGAAUUGUGUGUGAGGUUGGGUUGUAAAUUAUGUUUAGCUCUAGACAUUAAGUUUAAACUGUGGAGGGUCAUCAAGGUGGAUGUAAAGAUUGCUUGGUUAGUGAUGCUAGUUAGAUGGAGGUGAACCAAUAGGCUUGAAAAUAGUGAAUGAAAGAAUGUAAGUUUAUUGAUUUGAGAUUAAGCAUGAUGUUGUAGGUAUGAGGUAGUGGUGUGCCCAAGGGGAUAUAAGGUUGCAUUAUUUUCUAUGUUUCUUACGUAUUGUGUGUGGUUAGUAGUACCCUUGAGUUUUAAGUGGAAAAAGCAUAAUUGUCUAGUACAUGGUAUUCUGGAUAGCCAAGUUAAGGAGUUAUGGAUAGAUGAUGUUGAGUCUUUUAACUAUGAUUUUGAUUCUUAUGAUUUGUGAAAAAUAUAAGUAUAGAGGUAUGAUCUUUCUAGCCCAUGAUUAUGUGUUUAGUAACGCAGGUAUGUUUUUUUAGAAUUAAGAGAGUGUAAGUCUAUGAUGAUGAUUAUCAAAGAUAGAGGGAGUUAAGGAUGGUAUAUGGGAGGGGUUUAAAACUUAGAAAAUUUCAGCUAAGUGUUGGGACUUAGUCUUUUCCAAAGCCUUCUAACUUUGAGGAUUUUAUUUAUGACCAUCCCAACCUUCGAUAGUUAAUUUUUAAGUUGAUUCAUUAUCAGGGGAUUUAAUAGUACAUCUUAGGUGAGUUUGGAAUUUUCAGACCCCGUUUAGGGAAUGUUUGGAUGUCCAAACCAGUAGCUAUGCACGAUUAGCAUGCAACGCAUGAUCCAAUCCACCCCUACGAGCAUGCGAUAGAGCAUGCGAUGAACGCUUCAUAGCGUGUGAUGCACGCUACACAACAUACUUCCUUAUUUUUCCAACUCCUAUUUCUGCGUAUUAAAGGGCCAAUGCUUAUAUACCUCAUACGUAUUCAAGUUUAUUCUCAACUUUUAGUAAGUAAGUAAUGGCUUCACUCUAUGGUUUGAUUCAUCCCUCAGAAAUCUAUGGACUUCAGUCUUAUAUUGAAUUGCUUGUGAUAAGUAUGAACUCAUGUUUCAGAGUAUGACCAGUUUUUUUGAACUCAUGAUACUGUUGAAUUCACAUUAUAUCAUUUAUGUCCUCAGUUUAGAUCUCUUUAAUGAAUCCAUGCCUUUGAUAUUCUGUUCCUCAGGCCUCAUUUAAGUGUUAAAGUUAUAUAUAGUAGUCUUUCGUAUUCAGGUCCUUAUGUGUUAGCCCUUCAGUAACCUCUUCCUAUGUCAAGAUAGUGGCGAUGAUAAUGGAUAACAAUGAUUUAGAUGAGAGGGAGUUGAUGACCCUCAUUAAGAAAGAUCAAUUAUGCUUUUCUAUCUAAGGGUAAAGUGUGAAGUAAGAUUGAGGCCAAGUCUUUGGUACCUUUCAUAGUUAGUAAAGAAUUAUGGGUAUGUUUUCUUAAGAAUAAUGCAAGAAAAUUAUCAUUGAUAGAGGUUUAGAGAAUAUGCAAAGUAUGCCUUUAUAUGUAUUUGCCUUGAAGUUAUAUAUGGGUAUAAAGAUAGGCUUGAAUGUCAUAUUGGGAUGUAAGUGGAGGAAUGCAAUAUACGCUAGUGAAUCCAUAGUAAGAGUUCAGAGUUGGUCAUUAAAGUGGUAAAGCACAUUAUGCUUAGAGAGUGAGCUCUAAGAGAGACAUAGAGGAUUGAAGCAUGUUGUUUAGACUAGUAUUGUGGCGUGGCAUGUUGUACCUUGUGAUCUUGAGUUAGGAUUGAUCAUGGUGAGAAGACUUAGAUCAAUUUUGACAUUAGUAGAAUGAAUUAUGAAUGGCCAUGUGAGAAUUAGGAGUUGAAUCAAUGAAGAUGGUGAGAGAAUUUAGUUCAGUCUAGACAUCAGUAGAUGGAAAUAUUAGUGCUAUAUGAGAAUUAUAAGUUGAAUCAAGCGAGUAUAGUAUUUAAGGGGAAUAGUAUAAAUGAGGGAGUAUUCGAGAACUGUUGCUAAGCUUGAAGGUAAGAAGUUGCAUCGCCUAAAACCUGGUAAUUUUAUCAUAGUUUAUGAUUUAUAUGUCUAUAUUCCAUGUUAUGGAGUGUUGAAGAGAUACUCCAACUAUGUAUAAGUUUCCAGCGUAAUUCAGUCAGUAUAGCCAGCAAUUCAGUUUAACAGUAAGGCAGACAAGUUUGUGUUUUUUUACACCUUUUUACCCAGUCCCACUAUCCAAAGUCUCAUGCGUAUGACCAUUCCAAGAGAUAAUCUAUUCCAUCCAUGUAAAUUAUAAAGCGUAGUUCAUGCAUCAGUUUCAAAUAUUAAAUCAUGAAUCAGUUCGUAAUUAUCCGGUGUAUCAUCUCAGUCUUUUCCUAGUAUUUCAACCAAAUCAGUAUCAUUCGGGGACAAAUGAUCCCACGGGGGUAUUGUAAUAUCCCGAGUUUUCAUGUCAUAAACCUAUCAUCUUUUUCUUGUAAAUUUAGAUCUAGCCUAAAAUAAUGGUUACUCAUAAGUUGACACUCUCGUUUCUAUCUCAGCCAUUUCGCUAUUUUUAAUGAGAAUUCAUGCACUCGCAGAUCAGUUCAGUAGCUCAUUAUGUUUAAGAUUCAGUAGCUCAUUAUGUUUAAGAUUCAGUGAUUCAGUUUAUUUCAAUUGUGCAUGAUAACUUAUAGCCUUAGAUUCCUCAGUGUUUUCAGCUUCAUUAGCCAUAUUUGAGGAUGAAUGUUCCCAAGGGGGAGAUAAUGUAAUACCCCACAUUUUCGGGCUAGUCUUUGAACCAUCAUUCCUACAUGUGAUUUAUAAUCCAAGUGAUUUUCAUGUGAAUAUAUGUUUUAUGAUCUUUUUACUAGUGUGUGAAAUGCUCAUGAGGUAAAAAAUGUUCAUAGAAAUCAUUUAGAGCCAAGUUGAGCUAAGAUCCUUUAAUUCGUCCAAAAUUCGAUAUUUGAUUCUACAAGGGUCUACUUUAAACAUGUAUAACUUUUAAUAUAAAUGGAAUUUUUCAUCCCAAGACCCACUAAAUUUUAGAUAAUUGAAUCAGCUUUCCAACGAUACCAAUUUUGCCAAAAUCUGGUUCCUAAGAAAAAAGUUGUGGCCAUUUUUGUGAGUGAGGCAGUAGCAUUGCGUGAUUAGCGUGUGACGUACACCCUAUCGCACGCCCCCAAUUUGCAGGUUCUGUUUUUGCAUUUUUAAGGGAAAAAAGGUCCUUUCCUUCACCCAAACUCGUCCAUAAUAGAUAAUUAAUGCCUUAGGGAGCAUUAUUUGCCCCUUUAACCAUAAUUUCUCUCCAAGCCUCCAUCAAGAACAAACCCUAAUCCCCAUUCAAGAAGUUCAAGACUUCAUUACAAUACCUUCAAGAAAAACCAAGAAUUAGGUUCCUUAAUCCAAGAAUCUAAGAGUUCAAUCUUCCAAGUUCAAUAAUUCUUCAAAAUAUAUCAAGAAUAAAGUUUCUUUCACAAGUUCAUCACUCAAGCUCCAAGAUUCAAGAUUUCUUCAUCAAAUUCAAACUAUUAUGUGGGGUUUCAACAAGAACAAUUCUUUCGUUCUUGUCCCCAAAAUUAUGAAUUUUAUUAAAGAUUACAUGACUUGCAAGUUGGGGUUUAUGCCCAAAUUAUCUUGUUUUGAGUUUAUAAAGUUAUAAGUGAUUUAAGCCUUGAAUUGCAUGACUAUUUUCAUAUAUUUAUGCAAGUAGUGCAAUUUUCCAGAUUUUCCAAGUAAGUUUAGGAAUGAUAUUGUGAUUCUUGAUUUUAUUAUUUUGAUAUUGUUGAAGUAUUUUCAAGAAUCAUGUUGAGCAUAAAGUUUUGUUGUGAAUUUGUCAUAAGUUUAAAGCAUGAAUUUUAAGCCCAAAGAUUAAGUAUUGAAAUCCUCAAGAUCAUGUUCAUAAAAGUUUUGAUUAUUAAAUCCAUAUCAAGAGUGAGUUUGAGUUUUCAAGAAGACUAUGGUCUUAAGCUUUCCUCUAACAAAUUGCUUACCAAGAUUUAAAGAAAGUUGAUGUUUUGAUCCUAAGCUCAGAUAGGAAUCCACAUUAUUCAUACAGUUUAUGAUUUAAAGCAAAGAGAAGCACAAUUGGUUUUUAUUAUAAACCCUUGUGUUAUUUUAAGGUGGAUUUCCUAAAAGUUCUGAGCAACAAGUAUGGAAGUAGUAUUUAGCACCGAGUUGGGUAUGAUUCCAAGGUCUCAUGCCCCAGAACUACAUGCCACCAUAGGUUUAUGAUUUUCCCAUAGUGGGUUGAGAUGGUGAUCACUCCCUACAACUAAUAUAAGUGUAUACUAAAGCUUUUAGCACUACAUUUCAAAAGUCUUAUAAAUAGAAUGGCAAAAUAGUUUUAAAAACUACGUGUAAAGGCUUACAGACUUCCUCAGACAUUGCUUUACUUAAGCCUUAGUCACAGACUUACAGUUUUCAGUUCUUAGAAGAUAAAGAUGAGCCUUUCUAACUUAGCUUACAUGAUUUACAAAUAGAAUAGAAGUACAGCUUUUAGAACUAAGUGUUAUGACUCACGAUAUUUACAUACCAUGUUUUACUACUCAUGAUAUAUGACUUCUCAACUUUCAGUUACUCAAGCCAGUGUGAGUCAUUUUUGCUUAGCAUGUAUUAUUUACAAAAUAUAUGUACUUAUUUAUAUAUACAGUUACAGUUUUACUUAUGUAUUCACCCCGAUAUACUCAGUACAUCCUCAAAGUACUGAUCCACAUAUAUGUCUAUGUGCUACAUUAUCUCAUAAUGUAGGUACAAGUCAUAGCACACAUAUUAUAAUCAAACAGGUUGCAGCUUCCAGUUAGUAGGUAAUGAAUCCUUUUGAUUCAAGGGCUCAAGUCAGUCAGAGUUUGUGUAGCAUUUUAUUUUCUUCAUUCAUUCGUGUUGAUUGAGGAUAGCUGGGGUCAUGUCUCGGUUACCUAAAAUCAAUGCUAGUAGAGGCUUCAUAGACAGUUAGUAGAGUUAAUGUAUUUGACUUCAGUUUUGUUUGUAAAAGCAGAGUUGUAAACAUUUUCCUACAGUUGUAUUGAUCAUAUUUAACUAAAGAUGUGUUUUUCGCCUAUUUUGUACAGAUUUAUGUAUCUUAUUUAGUUGCUCAUAAGUUAUUCCUAUAUAAGAGUUAGCUUGGGAUCACUUGUGGUCCUAAGCACCAUGUGACAUCUCGGGAUAAAUUUUUGAGGCGUUACAAAGGGUGUUAGUACCAUGCCAUGGGUAAAGACAACUGCUGUGGAGUCAGUUCUAAUUAACGGGUGACCCCUAAGGUCAGUCUUAUCUAGUGGGUGAUCCCUGAGUUUGUCAGUCCUAUCUAAUAGGUGACAUCUCAUGACCUACGCUAUCUACAUAGUUAUGGAACUUAGGGAUUGCUUCUAGGGACCUAGUCCUAGCUAUCGGGUGUGCCCCUAUCCCUAGGCUCGCUCGGUGCUGAAUCCUACUCCCAACUGAAAGAAACUAAACUGAUUUCCUAGUUCAUACUAGGCUUGACUGAACUGUUACUAAUCGUAUUGUUUAACUGAGCUAAACUGAGAUCACUGAGUUCCAUUGACAGAUGAAAUUCUACUAAAUUUUUUCCUGAGUUCUGUAACUGACUGAAUUCUACUCAUCGUGACAUGACUGAGACUAUUCUAUAAUUGACACUGGCUCUAGGCAAACAACUAAAUUGUCAGGAAUUAAAUACCCUCAGGACUCGAUAACAUGAUAAGUAAAGCAUAACAUGAUCUUGCAAAGCAUAACAAUACAUACUUUUUCAUAAUUCAUCUAUAGAGAUAUUUCAUCAAACACUUGUGCACAUACUAACAUCUCACAAUCUCAUCAACUUAUUCACAUGAAAGUCAUAAACUCGUACAUAAUAGGAAUACAUACUAAUGUCUCAUGAUUCAUUCAAUACGGACUUUCAUCAAACACUUGACAUGCAUUAACAUGUACAUGAAUGGGAAUUUCUUGUCCACGUGCUAUAAUGACACUAUUUCAUUCACAUAGGCAUUUUAUCAAAUAUAUAGGGAGCAUGCUUUGAUCAUACAAUAGUCAAUACAUCUAAUUAUCAUGUCUAAUAUUUUAACUUGCAAUUUGAGGGGUUUAUCAUGAACAUCAUGCUAAUCAUCACAUUUUAGGAUCAAUUCUUGUAUCUUAUAAUCUAAAACAUGAAUCAAAACUCAACAACAACAUGAACAUGAAUUUCUAUUCAAGUAAAUCAUGAAAACUCACAAAUAUACAAUCUUUGUAUUUUGAAAAUAGAUUCUUGGGCUUCAUGGGUGGAAGGGACCCAUGAAUAAACAUCUAAUAGACCUUAAUGUUCGACUUUAAGAAGAUUGAUGAUGAAAUUCUUGAGGGCUGAAUCUUGAAUUAAAAACCCUAAUGUUUUUUCUUGAGAGAGUUUGAGAGGAUGAGAGUAUAUUUUGGUGAAUUAGGGCUAAUUUUUUUAGUUUAUGGCUAAAUGAGGAUGGAUAAAUGACCCUUUUACCCUUUAAAAAUUUGGGGCUAGACUGCUGAAAUUGCCCCAGUCAGAAUGGCAAGGGCACAGCGGGCUCUAGUUAGCCACUCUAUGAAGGGCGUCGCGGUUCUUAAAGCACCGCUAUGGCCAGGGCGGCACGGGCUUAAUACCUUUAGCUAAUAGUUUGGAAAUCCAAAUAGGCCCUUACCCUUGUCUAAAAUUUUGAAACUCACCCGAGAUGUACUACUGACUUGCCCCAUCAUGAAUCAACUUAAAAAUCAACAAAUAAAGGUUAGGAAGGUCAUGAAAUAAAUCUUUGAAGUUUGAAGGCUUUAAAAAAGUCUAAGUCUCAACACUUAGCUAAAAUUUUCCAAGUGUGAGACCCCUUAUAAAGCUCUAAGGGUCUGAAUUAAACUUAGAAUUUUUGUGGGGUCUUACAACUUGUGUCUAAUAUGAGGUCUAGAAUAAAGAAUCUUUCUUUAGGUUUUUCUCGCGACUUGGUGUUAGGGUGUAAGGCAGCUAUGCUGAGUAAUGAUAUGGAUAUAUCUAUAUUGGUGUUCUAUAUGCAACAGGUGGAAGAUGAGUAAAAAAGUGGAUAGAGGUAGAGAAAAGGCAGAAUAAGAAGGUUAAGCAUACACAUCAAGAUGUAUGCCAAUAGUUUGGUGGUUUAAUAAGAAAUCCUGGGAAAUUAUCAUCAAUCAGCCAGUGCUCCGACCCCCAUUAGUGACCAACACUCCUAGUCUAGCAAUGACCAUUGGGCACAGAGUGCCUUAUCUCAAGCCAGUAUAGCACAGUUGAUGCCAUCUUAUCCAUGUUACCUCACUUGUGGGAAGUUUCAUCAUGGGUUUUGUCGCGUCAGGUGUGGAGUGUGUUUUGGAAGUGUCAUUCGGGUCAUAUACAAUGAUAUUGUCUUUUAUCUAGGGUUUCCACCAAAGCUAAGGGUCUUAUUCUCUACUUCAUCAACUCUCAUAGCUAAGGGUGCUACAUUAGGGAUAGAAAAUAGCUGAAAUUGCCUUUAUGCACUUGACACCCAUCAGGAAUCCAAGGCAUCCUUAGAUGUUGUCACUAGUAUGUUAUAUAUUUUCUCUUAAGAUGUUUAUUGUUUUCUUGAUUUGGGUUCUACUCUGUCAUAUAUGAAUCUUUAUGUCAUUGUACACUUUGGUUCUAGUCCUAUAAGUGUGAAUUUUGGCAAGGUGUUGUAAAUUUUCUUUGGCAUAUAGUGUCUAGUAAAGGAAUCAAGGAGCACCUAAAAAAGAUUGAGAUAGUUAAGAAGUGGCCUAUACCCAUGACUCCAACCGACAUUAGGAGCUUUUUGGGCUUGGUCAGGUACUAUAAGAGGAUUUUUGAGAGUUUAUCAUCUAUUGUCGCUUUGCUGAUAAGGUUAAUUCAGAAAAGGUGAAGUUUUUAUGGUCUGAUCCUUGUGAGGGCAGUUUUGAGAAGUUAAAGGAUAAGUUGAUUUUUACUUCUAUUUUUACCCUACUCGAGGGAACUGAUGGGUUUGUUGUGUAUUACAAUGCAUCCCGUGUGGGUUUAAGGUAUGUUUUGAUGCAACAUUGUAAGGUUAUAUCUUAUGCUUCUAGGGAGCUUAAGGUUCAUGAGAGGAAUUACCCGACUAACGAUCUAGAGUUGGCGGAUAUGGUCUUUGCUGUGAAGAUUUGGCACCACAAUGUUGUAUGGGGUGAAUGUGGGUAUUUAUUCGGACCAUAAGAUCUUGCAGUAUGUGUUUACACAGUAGGAAUUGAAUCUUAAGAAGAGGCGCUGGAUCAAAUUGCUUAAAAAUAAUGACAUGAGCCUUCACUAUCGCCUAGGUGAAGCUACCAUUGUUGAUGAUGUGCUUAGUAGUCUAUCCAUAAGGAGUCUAUCCCACGUUAAAGAGGAUAAAAAAAGACUGUGAAGGACAUUCACCGGCUGGCUAGUUUAGGAGUUCACUUUUUACACUUUGACGAUGAAGGAGUGUUCAUUAUAGAAGUGGUUUAAUCAUCUCUUGGUACUGAGGUAAAGGGGAAGCAGGUUCUGGACCAUAUACCCAUGCAAAUCAAAGAUGGUGUGGGUCAUCAAAAGUUUAUGGCUUUUGAGACUGAGGUAGAUAACACCUUGAGAUAUCAAGGAAAGUUGUGUGUCCGUGAUGUAGAUGGGUUGCGGGAAAAUAUCUUGACUGAAGUGCAUGUGUCUAGGUAUACCAUUCAUUCGGGUUUGACACAAAUUUAUUAUAAUCUAGAAAAAAUCUAUUGGUGGAAUAAAUAUGAAAAGGUAUAUGACAAAUUUUGUUACCAAGUGUAUGGUCUGUUAGCAAGUCAAGGUUAAAUAUUUAACGUUGGGUGGCAUAUCAAAAGAGAUAGAAUUUUCCAUGUAGAAGUGGGAGAUGAUUAAUACAGAUUUCAUCUCGGGUCUUCCGCAGUCUCAAAAUUAGUAUGAUUCAAUUUGGGUCAUUGUGGACAGAAUGACCAAGUCUGCUCACUUUUUGCCGGUAAGGACUAACUACUCAGGAGAGGAUCAUGACAAGUUGUUUAUUUCGAAUUAGUUAAGUUGCAGGAACCCGAUGUCCAUCAUUUUAAACUAAGGUAUGCAGUUCUCUUCUUAUUUUUGGCAUUUUUUUCAAAAGGGGUUGGAUACCCAGGUGAACCAUAGCACAACUUUUCACCCUUAAAUGGAUGGGAAAGCGGAGCACACUAUUUAGACUCUAGAAGAAAUGCUAAGGUCCUGUGUAACAGACUUUAAAGGAAGUUGGGUUGAUCAUUUUCCUCUUAUUGAAUUUGCUUAUUGAACCAAGUUAGGACUAUCUUGGUUCACCAAUCCAUGGAGAAGGUAAAGGUGAUCCGAGAAAAACUUAAGGUUGCUUAAAGUUGCCAAAAGUCUUAUGCGGAUGUGAAGAGAAGGGAGAUGGAAUUUGAAGUUGAUGAUUGGGUAGUCUUUAAAGUUUCUUCAAUAAAGAGAAUCAUGAGAUUUGGGAAAAGGGGAAGCUUACCCCUCGUUUCAUUAGUCCAUACCAGAUAUUAAUAAGGAUUGGUAAUGUUUAUUUUAUAUUGGAAUUACCUACGAGUUUGACUUCAGGGUUUAUCUCGUAUUUCAUAUGUCUAUGCUUAAAAAGUGUGUGAGUGAUCCUUCUUUAGUAGUGGCCAUUAUAGAUAUUGGUGUCAAGGAUUCACUGUCCUACGAGAAAUUCCCAGUUGAGAUAUUGGAUAGGCAAGUUUGGAAACUGAGGACUAAGUAAAUAGCUUCGGUGAAGGUUCUUUAGAGGAAUCAAAAGGUAGAAGAGACUACGUGGGAAUAGGAAGAGGAUAUGAAAGCCAAGUACCCAUUCUUGUUCCCGAAACUGUUCAAGGUGUGAGUUUAAUUUCCCCUCUUGAAAUAUUUUGGAUUUGUCCUUGAAUUCCAUUGUGCUUUUUCUAUUAUCAUGCUAAGAAUGUCCUAACUCCUCAUUCAGGGAAGAAUUAUCCAGAGGAGGGGAUUAUGUAAGAUCCCGUAAAUUUUUGACCAAUUUAUUUAAGACCCUCCCUUGUUCUUAAUGGUAAUUUUUGACUUGAAUCCUGACAAGGGAUGUUACUGAGAUGUUUUUGAAGAGUUUCAAAAUUUUAGAAAAGAGUUCGGGGUCAUUUAUGGACCUCGAGAUAGUGAGCCUCAGUGAUAGGGGUGUAACGCUACCUAUGCCCUGUGAUAAGAGCAUGGCACAUGAUAAGGGUAUGGAACACUUCCUACGCCCCGCGAUAAGGGUGUUCCACGCUGCUGGGCACAAAUUGCCCAACUUUUUUUUCCAAUUGAGGGCAAGGGAUUUUUGAUCCUUUUCCUCAUUACACAACAUAAAAUGUCUUCUAAUCCCUCAUAGCCAUUAGUUGUCAACUUUUAACAUUGCUAUUCUCCUCUCCAUCUCCCAAGUCAAGAAACUCAAGAUUUUCUCAAGAAUUUACUACUCCGGACUCUAAAUUCCACAUUCUCUCCACAUUCUUCCAAUUUUUAGGCAUGCUGAACACUCCGUAAUUUAAAUACUAUAAUAUUUCAUUCAUUCGAUUGUUAUUUAAGAGCUCUAGAAUAAUGGGUUUAAAUUAGGGUUUGAUAAUUGUCAUCACUAAUAUAAAAUAUUGAUUUUCUCUUCUUAUAAAUUAUUUAUAACCACUUGUGGUGGGUUUUGGAUUUUUGAAUAACAUUUUUGAAAGGAUGCAUUGCAUUAUAUAAGUAUUGAAACAUUUAAUUUCAAGGAUGAUUGAACUCAUGAUUUUUCAAGCCCUUUGAAAAAUAUUUGAAUUGAGAUGCUAAACAAAGAUGACACCCUAUCUUUUUGAGAUAUUAAAAGUGUUAAACUUUAUGAAUGCUUUGAGGUUUUUAUGCUAUUUAAUAAUUAUUAUGAGCAUGAUUUUUGAAUGAAGGGGUUAAAGAGUCAUAACUAUUUUAAGAUAAUGGUUCUUGGCAUGAUAUGAAUGGUUUGUAAGUCUUGGUAUGAUGAUACCAGUAUGAAUAUGCCCUAAUGAAUGAUUCCAUGAUAAAUGUUAUGUGCAAACUGUUUUAAUUAGGAUCUAAAGGGAAUUAUAUAGUUCAACGUGAAGAUGUAAGUCUUUAUGACCAACGCCUAAAACCUAUGUUUGACGGAAUAGAGAUGUCGUACCUUAAUUGGAUGAUCAGAUUAUGUCCUUAACAUAAGGAUAAUAUAAAUAGUGUCUUUAGUCUACUUGUAAAUUAGCCUAACCUCGGUAUAUAUGACCAACACGAACUGGGGCCCCGUCGGUGGUGGAGCACCGAACUCUUAUAGCUGUGGGUUACUAGAUGACCCAUACUACCAAUGAGUCACUAGAUGAUUAUGAGAGCUAUAUGGUUCAUGAUUAAAGUAAAGGUUCAUGUAACAUGUCCCUUAUCCCUACCCAGUCAUCCUUUUAUGCACAUAGACCUGAUUUGCAUAUAGUUUAUAACUGGUUUUGUUAAAUGCAUAUAUGUUUUAUCCCUUUUCAUAUAUUGUAUGCAGUAGUACUGACUUGUAAGACCCCAAAAAAUACUAAGCUUGACUCCAUCCAUUUUUAGCUAAGGUCCCAGUCUUAAAUUUUUUAGCUAAGUAUCAAGACUUAGAAUCAUUUUAAGGUUCCAAAUUGGGAGAAUUUUAUUUCCGACCUUCCCGACCUUUGUUUGUUGAUUUUUAAGUUGAUUCAUGAUCGGAAAAGUCAAUAGUACAUCUUGGGUGAGUUUUAGAAUUUUUGAACAUGCGUAAAGGCAUGUUUGGUAUGUUGAAACAGUAGCUCAGGGCGACGGUACCUAGGUGUAGUCCAGAUGGGCAAGGUGGUGCCCUGCAUAGAGAGGUACUCCAGGGACCGUGGCGCCUUGUCCAGUCCGACUGGGGUAAUUCUAUAGUCUAGCUCCAAAAUCUUAAGGGCAAAAAGGUCAAUUCCCUUUACCCGUAUUUAGCCAAAACACGAGAUUUAGCACCAAAACACCAAAAUAUACUUACUUUUUCUCAAAUUCUCUCAAGAACAAGCCUUAGGGUUUUCAAUUGAGGAUUCAAAGCUUACAGAUUUCACCGUCAAUCAUCUCAAAAUCAAGCAACAAGGUAUGUUAAGUGUUCAUCCUUGGGUAUCCUUCCACCAUUGGAGUUCAAGAACUUUUUUUUUAAGAAUGAAUUAUGGAAUCCAUGUUAUGAAUUGAAUUGUGUGCAUGUUAAUGUUAUUGUACGGUUUCCAAGUAGAAAUCUUUGGUGGAUUCCUUGAAAUUAUGAUAGCAUGUAUGUUGAAUUUUGAUUCUCUUAAGUUGAAACCAUUAGAUUAUGAAUUAAUAUGGUAGUCAUGAUGUGUUAGCAUUGUUAUUUAUGCCCAAGAACAAGGUUAUGCUUCUAUGUGUUUGUCAAAAUGCCUAACUGAAUAAAUUGUGACCUUUUCUAUUGAUCUAAAUGAUGAACUUAUGCUAUAUCCUCAUGUUCAAAAUGACUCCCAUGAUAAAGCCAUGCCUUGAAAGUGUUUGUUGAAAUCCCUAUGUGGGUGAAAUAGUGCAAUUUUAUCAUGAUAACAUGUAAUCCCCAUUCAUGCUCAUGUUAAUGCAUUACAAGUGAUUGAUGAAAUGCCUUAGCAAGUAAAUUAUGAAUAUAUGGCCAUUGUUGUGAUUCAAGAAUUAUGUUAUGAUUUACUCUUUACGCUAUCGAGUCCUCAGGUAUUUAAUACCGGACAAUUUAGCAAUAUACCUAGAGCCAGUGUCAGUUAUAGAAUAAUAUCAGUCAUGUCACGAUCAGUAGUACUCUCAGUCAGUUACAAAGCUCAGGAAAGCUCAAUAAACUUAGUAUCAGUCCACUCUAGUUCAGUACUCAGUUCAGACCUCAGCUCAAUUCAGUUAAUCAGUACAAUCAGUAAUAGUUUAGUCUAGCCUAGUAUGAACUAGAAAAUCAGCUCAGUGUCUAUUCAAUUAGGAGUAGGAUUCAUCACCGAGUGAACCCAAGGAUGGGGACUCACCUACCAGUAGAGGGUGUGAUCCUUAGAAGCAAUCCUUGCAUUCCAAAACUACGUAUCCCGUGUAGGUUGAGACAUCAAACCUGCCAGACAAAGGUUGAUGAGGUGUUUUAACCUAUCACUUGAGGGUUCUACCAUUCUCAUUAGCGAACCUGCCAGAUGAGCGUAUCUCUUCACCCUUCCAACUAGGGUUACAGGUUGGACCCGAAAUCUAUUUAGAAAAGGGGCAUAUUAGUUAGAUGAUUACCUCCCACAGUCUCAGUUUCAGAUUCAAUUUUAGUAUAGAACUCAGAUAGUUCUACAGAAUCAGGAUUAUCUAAUACAGUCACACAACUCAGCAAAGAACUUAGAUAGUUCUUCAGAUUCAGGACUAUCAAAAAUAGUCACUCAGUAUCAGUAAUACAGUAUUAGUAAACACAGAUGUCAGUUAAUUAGUAUUUAGACUCAGUAUUCAGUAUUAUCACGAUCUCAGUUACAAUUUAUGUAUUCAUGCAUGUAUUUUUAUUCAGUCAUAUUUAUUUCAUUCAGUUAGUAUUGUUCAUGCAUAUGAAACCAUGCAUUUAGCCUAACUCACUUUUUUAUACCAGUAUAUUUAAAGUACUAACACAUACUUUUCUCUUGCACUAUGGUGUCUUAUAUCAUUGUUUCAGAUGCAAGGACUCCUGACCAUCCUUAGCAUCCCAUCUUAUCAACAGCAGACUUGUAGUGAAGUUAUCAUUUCAGUUAGUAGUAUUCAGUUUAUUUUUAGUAGUCAGAGUUAGUUGGGGACUUGUCCCAUCAACUCCACAGUUCAUAAAAUUUAGAGGUUUUUCAGGCUAUAGUUUCAGACAGAUGUUCAGUUUUUAGUAUUGAGGUUCAGUUUUGGUAUUAUUAUACCUUAUUUCAUUUUGUUAUAGUAUUGAAACUUAUGGAAAGUUUCUAUCUUUUUCCACAUUUAUCUCAGUUAUAUUGUUAUUACAGUAUUACUAUUGUUUAGUGCUCACAGCAAGUACAAGUCAUGGGUUAGCUAGUGGUCCUUUGGGAUUGUUAGCACCGUGUAGCAUUCAGGGUACAAACUCGGGGCAUUACAAACUUAGUAUUAGAGAUUAAGGUUCAACAGUGUCCUAGGAAGUCUAAAAGCCGCAUCUAUUAGAGUUUUGUGCAUAGGUGUAUUGGACGCCACACUUAUGGAAAGGAGGCUACGAGAUGUUUUAGAAAUAGUUUCCCUUAUUUCAGUAUUCACGUCAUGCGAAUGAGCAUGAGCUCAAGUUGAACUUUCAGUCUAAUCUAUUUUUUCCCUUUGUUUACAGAACAUGCCUCCCAAGAAAGGUAAUGGAAGGAGAAUUGGAAAUCAGUCAACAACUCAACCCGUUCAGGCAAAUCCCCUAGAUGAACACGUCUCACAUGCAGAAUUUAGAGUUGCAUUUACUACUCUAGCUAAUUUAGGUUUUGCUUAGAAUGAAUGCCCAACUACUAUUUUGGCCAACCCAGUGGCCAAUACUACUGUAGCCAGGAUUCGGGACUUCACCCGAAUGAACCCUCCAUCUUUUAUCAGGUCUAAGUCAGAUGAGGACCCUCAGGAAUUCCUUGAUUAGGUAUAGAAGGUUAUAGAUAUUAUGGGGCUAACAUCUACUGAGAGUGCUAAGCUAGCUAUAUAUUAGUUGCAAGAUAUGGCUCACUCAUGGUUCAAAUAGUGGAAAGAAGAGAGGGUCGUAGAUGCAGGGCCCAUAGAAUGGGAGAAGUUUUCCACUUAUUUUCUGGAUAGAUUCUUUCCCCUUUAGAUGAGAGAAGCUAAGGUGUUAGAAUUUAUCAACCUCAAGCAGGGAAACAUGACAGUGAAAGAAUAUUCUCUCAAGUUUACUCAGCUAGCUAGAUACGCUUCUUAUAUAGUGGCAGAUAACAGAUCUAAGAUGAGUAAAUUUAUAUCUAGGGUGAAUGAUAGUCUGGUCUAGGAGUGCAGGACCAUAAUGAUUAUUAGUGAGAUGGACCUAGCUAGGUUGAUAGUCCAUGCUCAGUAGAUAGAGGAGCAAAAAAAUAAGGAGAGAGAAGCAGAAUAAGAGAGCCAGAACAGGUAGUUUUAAAUUUGCUCAACCUAAGUCAUAGGGUGGGAAUUGUUCUUAGUUCCAUCCUAAAUCUUUAGUUCCAGGUCCAUCCUCAGUCAGUGCCCCAGUUCCAAAAUUCAGAGAUGGCAAUAGAGAUAGGGCGUUAGGCCCUAAACCUUAGGUUAGUGUUAGCAGUGCCUAAACCAAUCCUAUAUGUCAGCAGUGUGGCAAAAAUCACCAGGGUAUGUACAUAGUGGGCAAUGAUGUGUGUUUUGAAUAUGGCAAGCUAGGCCACAGAAUCGGAGAUUAUCCCCAGUCAGGUUCUUAAGGUCAACAUAACCGUCUUCCAGCUCAGUUUGGUCGUCUGAAUUAGUAGGGUGCCUCAUCCAGUGCCACUAGUAGGCAACGCCAAAACAGACUUUAUGCUCUUCAGUCCCGACAAGAUCAGUAAAAUUCUUCUGAUGUGAUCACUGGUACGUUACAAGUUUACCAUUUACAUGUUUAUGCUUUGUUAGAUCUAGGAGCUUUCUUGUAUUUUUUACUCCUUAUAUAGCUGUUGAUUUCAGAGUCAGUCCCAAAAUCCUAGUAGAGCCUUUCUCAGUAUCUACCUAGUGGGUAAAUCUAUCAUAUCCCAAUGGGUAUACAAGAACUAUCCAGUUAUGGUAUCUCAAAAAGUCACAUAAGCAGACUUAGUCGAAUUAAAGAUGACCGAUUUUGAUGUCAUUCUCAUUAUGGAUUGGCUUUAUUCUCGAUAUGCCUUAGUCAACUGCAAAAACAAAAUAGUCCAGUUUCAGUUCCCAAAUGAACCUAUCCUAGAGUGGAGGGGUAGUAUUUUAGCACUUAGGGGUCAGCUUGUUUCUUACCUUUGGGCGAGAAAAAUGAUAUCUAAGGGAUAUGUCUACCAUCUAGUUUGAGUCCAGAACUCUAACUCAGAAACCCCUAAUCUUGAAUCAGUGUCAGUAGCAUGUGAAUUCCUAGAUGUGUUUCCCAAAGAUCUUCUAAGAGUUCCUCCAGAAAGGGAAAUUGAAUAACACAUAUUCGAACAUACCAAACACGCAAAUUAUUCAGGAUUACGUAAAAUUGAGAGGAGCAAGGAUAGAAUUGAACCUUCCGAAUAUCGAUUUUUCGUUGAUAAUAAUAUUUAAGAAAACCCGAAUCCAAAGGCCUUAAUGCUGCUUUCAAGUAUUAUUCUGAUUAAAUCUGGUAGAGCCCGUGCCGAUGAACCUCGAAUCAACAAUCUCCAACCCGAACGUCGACUAACCGAAUUUCGAACCAACAGCGACGACAAGACAAGACGGAGCCCCCAACCCGAACAUGGACCAACCGGAUUUUUCCAACCAACAACGACGAUAAGACAAGACAGAAACCCCAACCCGAAUGUCGACUAACCGAAUUUUGAACCAACAACGACGAUAAACAAAAGGAACCCUAACCCGAACAUCAACUAACUGGAUUUCGAACCAACAACGACGAUAAACAAGACGGAACCCCAACCCGAACAUCCACUAACCUUGCGAAUGAAAGAAGCAGCAACCUGAACUCUCGGAUAAAAAAUAAACCUCAACAAACGGCUAAACCAACUCGGAGUUAAACAUCUAUGACUGGGACUCCGGCGACGAAAGACGAUGACACAAGUCCGGUUCAGCUGACUUUACUGUUUCGAACUGUGAUUAUUAUUUAAUCGUACUUUUGAUUUCAAACCGAACAGCUGACCGGAGCUCACGACCUGGACCUCAUCGGAACCUCAAAUCGGAAUCUGUGAAUCUAAAAUGGUCAACCCAAACUCGAUUAGUACCGAGAACGGAGCUGUUCUAGUUUUUCGGUAGAUAUAAGUCGAUUACAGCGAGAAGCUAGGUUGCCGGUUUUAAUGGAUUUUACGGCGCCUCUCCGAUCACUAUUCCCCAAAUCCCGAUUUCUCUCUCUGUUUUUGCUACUCUGUUUUCUUCGUCUCUCCCUACUUUUGCUACUCUGUUUUCUACGUCUUCCUCUCUCUAAAUCAACCCCCCAAUUUCUUGUUUUCCGAUCACCACCGACCCCUACUGCGUGCGUGUGUGUGAGGAACGUUUGUCGUGUAAAUGGUGAGGGUGAGGGUCGAUCGGAGGAAAGGAAGAAGAUGAGUGUGUGUAUUGUGUAUAUUAAUGGUGAUGAGAGGUUCGGUUUUUUUGUGGAGAAGAAAAGAAAAAUUUUGAGAAGUGCUGUAUAUCUUCUCUGUGAAGAGAAUGAAGCUUUUUGUUUUUUUAUCUCCCAAAAAUGGUUUCCGUCUCUCUCUGCUUGCCCCUUUUUUUGUGAGAGUAUGUGUGUAUAUAUUGUGAGGGUGGGUAGUGGUGAGGUAGGGUAGGUGGGGUCACGUGGGUAGGGGGUAGGAGGUAGGGUGUGGGGUGGUGAGGUGGUUUAUUUUGAUUCGGUAGGUUGUUAGGAUAAGAUAGAAUUAGUUAGGAUAGGUUUUGUUAGGGAUUUUGUUAUUUUAUUUUAUAUAUAUNNNNNNNNNNNNNNNNNNNNNNNNNNNNNNNNNNNNNNNNNNNNNNNNNNNNNNNNNNNNNNNNNNNNNNNNNNNNNNNNNNNNNNNNNNNNNNNNNNNNNNNNNNNNNNNNNNNNNNNNNNNNNNNNNNNNNNNNNNNNNNNNNNNNNNNNNNNNNNNNNNNNNNNNNNNNNNNNNNNNNNNNNNNNNNNNNNNNNNNNNNNNNNNNNNNNNNNNNNNNNNNNNNNNNNNNNNNNNNNNNNNNNNNNNNNNNNNNNNNNNNNNNNNNNNNNNNNNNNNNNNNNNNNNNNNNNNNNNNNNNNNNNNNNNNNNNNNNNNNNNNNNNNNNNNNNNNNNNNNNNNNNNNNNNNNNNNNNNNNNNNNNNNNNNNNNNNNNNNNNNNNNNNNNNNNNNNNNNNNNNUAUAUAUAUAUAUAUAUAUAUAUAUAUAUAUUUGUAUUUUGUGAGGGUAUAAUAACAUGGGUGAGGGUACACGGUAGGAUAAAAUAAGAAUGAGUAAAAACGACAUUGGAAGGGACGAAAUUAGGUGUCUACAUCGAUAAAGGAGAAAAAUAUAUAUCAUAUUUUAAUUUUACAAGUUAUAGUUCACUUUUGAUACAUGUUAGCUUUACACCUUAUAGUCUAAUUUGUUUUCGAGAUUGUAGAGUCAAGUUAGGACAUUAUAUAUAAGAGUCUUAAUUCAAUCAUUAGUCUUUAUUUUUUUUAUCUAGUGUGACAAUAUUAUUUGAUUGCAAACAUUUAUAAAACUAGAUAAUAGGUAUCUAGCAUAGUAGAUUUACAUUAAUUAGUCAUGCGUGUGCUUUUAAUCCUCCUAGCAAGAAAUAAAAAGAAUUCAUACUAGAGAUCAAAUGUUAGUCACAGAUAAAUCAAAAGCAAACAUAACUUACAACUGAUCCAUCCUUUGAGGCAUUUCCCAUUCCCUCCUUCAAGCGAUGAGCACGGACUUGGCCCUCAAGAUCACUAGUCUGUACAUAUAAUAGUAAAAGAACAAUGUUAAGUUUAGUGUUUUUCCAAGACUUCAUUUGGAUAACUAAUAUAUAUAUAUAUAUGUAUGUAUAUGUACCUUAUGGAUUUGGGAUUUCCAAGAUUGUGUCAAAGGCUGAAUUUUUUCGGCUUGAUCAUCAAAAGGAAGCAAAUUCAUUCAAUCUUGAGAGUGAAUUUUUCUCUUCUGCAAUUGUUGUUCUUGAUUUGCCAUAUUCAUUUAUGUAUUUGAUGUGUUGUUGGGUUUGUUUGUACUUUGUAUGUUCUUCAAACUGUUUCUUCACUUUUUCAACUUCCUGUCUUCCUUCACCACUUGGUCCAUUUAGAAUUCCUUCAAAUUUUGUGUGUUUUAGAAUAGAAAGCUUCACUAGGUAUUUUUAGAUAUGAGGUUUAGGGUUUACUAUGGGCUAAACCUACUGCCAAGCUAGUCCAAUUCAGCCUGUAAUUUGAUAAGAUUGAGCAAAAAAGUUUUAAGCCCAUUUAAGGACUUUUUAGCCUGGUUCGUAUAAGCCCACAGGUUUAUGAGGCUUGAGUAAUGUGGAUGGGACUGGUUUGUGGAUCAAACAAAAAGUAAUUAAAAAUAAAAUAAAAUAAAUUACUAAAAAUAUCAAGAUUACAGGAGAACCCUAACUCGAAGUCCACUUAAACAUCAUACAAUAAUAUUAUCAAGUCCAAAAAUUUUAAUAUUGUAAAAAAUUUAAAUAUUGUAAAUAAUCAAAUGCAAAAUUCUAAAAUUUUUAAGAAUCACUGUGUAAUAUUUACUUUCUUUUACUCUUGAUAGUCGACAACCAUCACCUUAUUUUUAAAUUAAAAAAUUAUACAAACAAUAGUAACAUUUUAAAAAGUCAGCUCACCCGUCGCGGCCCAAAACCCACAAAAUGAUGGGUUGGACUUGCUAUUUUCUAGCCCAUAAUCUUAAUGAACCAGUCCUUCGUCAAAUUCCAGAGCUUGGAUAGACUAGCCCCGCUCGGAUUGACAACUCUAAUAUGAAGUCAUCUUUGUUAGUCACCAUUUUACUCGUUAAUGUAGGAGCUUCCAACUCAAAUUCAAAUUUAGUUGAACUUUAAUAUGACUAUAGAAUAUCGAGUAGUUUUCAUUUCCCAUCUCAUGGAAAACCAUUUUCGCUCCCCCCUCUAGAGGUAUUUUAAUGAUAAGUUUUAUUGGAACUGGACAAUCCUACUAGGUCAAAUACCUUGUGGCAAACUCAUAUGUUCCUCUCAUUACAAUAUUUCUGAACAAGUUNNNNNNNNNNNNNNNNNNNNNNNNNNNNNNNNNNNNNNNNNNNNNNNNNNNNNNNNNNNNNNNNNNNNNNNNNNNNNNNNNNNNNNNNNNNNNNNNNNNNNNNNNNNNNNNNNNNNNNNNNNNNNNNNNNNNNNNNNNNNNNNNNNNNNNNNNNNNNNNNNNNNNNNNNNNNNNNNNNNNNNNNNNNNNNNNNNNNNNNNNNNNNNNNNNNNNNNNNNNNNNNNNNNNNNNNNNNNNNNNNNNNNNNNNNNNNNNNNNNNNNNNNNNNNNNNNNNNNNNNNNNNNNNNNNNNNNNNNNNNNNNNNNNNNNNNNNNNNNNNNNNNNNNNNNNNNNNNNNNNNNNNNNNNNNNNNNNNNNNNNNNNNNNNNNNNNNNNNNNNNNNNNNNNNNNNNNNNNNNNNNNNNNNNNNNNNNNNNNNNNNNNNNNNNNNNNNNNNNNNNNNNNNNNNNNNNNNNNNNNNNNNNNNNNNNNNNNNNNNNNNNNNNNNNNNNNNNNNNNNNNNNNNNNNNNNNNNNNNNNNNNNNNNNNNNNNNNNNNNNNNNNNNNNNNNNNNNNNNNNNNNNNNNNNNNNNNNNNNNNNNNNNNNNNNNNNNNNNNNNNNNNNNNNNNNNNNNNNNNNNNNNNNNNNNNNNNNNNNNNNNNNNNNNNNNNNNNNNNNNNNNNNNNNNNNNNNNNNNNNNNNNNNNNNNNNNNNNNNNNNNNNNNNNNNNNNNNNNNNNNNNNNNNNNNNNNNNNNNNNNNNNNNNNNNNNNNNNNNNNNNNNNNNNNNNNNNNNNNNNNNNNNNNNNNNNNNNNNNNNNNNNNNNNNNNNNNNNNNNNNNNNNNNNNNNNNNNNNNNNNNNNNNNNNNNNNNNNNNNNNNNNNNNNNNNNNNNNNNNNNNNNNNNNNNNNNNNNNNNNNNNNNNNNNNNNNNNNNNNNNNNNNNNNNNNNNNNNNNNNNNNNNNNNNNNNNNNNNNNNNNNNNNNNNNNNNNNNNNNNNNNNNNNNNNNNNNNNNNNNNNNNNNNNNNNNNNNNNNNNNNNNNNNNNNNNNNNNNNNNNNNNNNNNNNNNNNNNNNNNNNNNNNNNNNNNNNNNNNNNNNNNNNNNNNNNNNNNNNNNNNNNNNNNNNNNNNNNNNNNNNNNNNNNNNNNNNNNNNNNNNNNNNNNNNNNNNNNNNNNNNNNNNNNNNNNNNNNNNNNNNNNNNNNNNNNNNNNNNNNNNNNNNNNNNNNNNNNNNNNNNNNNNNNNNNNNNNNNNNNNNNNNNNNNNNNNNNNNNNNNNNNNNNNNNNNNNNNNNNNNNNNNNNNNNNNNNNNNNNNNNNNNNNNNNNNNNNNNNNNNNNNNNNNNNNAUCACAUUGCAGUUCGUCGAAGGGAAGUAAAGGAUCGUUACAAACCUGAUACUAUUUACGCCAUUUUAUUGAUUCUACAGGACAAAAAGGUACUACAAUAAUUUUUUUUUAACUAUCUGCAGAUUCUUUUAUUUUUUCAUCUCUUAAUGAAUUGAUAGGUGUUAUGUUUUUAGGGUAAUUGGAUACAAACUUCUAUCGCAAAUUCAGUUCAUAAACAUUUCAAAGAAUCAGAUAUUAAAGAGGGAGGAUUAUAUCUUAUGGCCAACUUUAUUGUAUGUAAAAAUACUCCAAAGUUAAGAGCCACAAAUCAUGAUUCGAAGUUUACCUUAACUUUAUGAACUACUGAUACUAAACAUCUGCUCUUCUUUUCCCUUUUAAUCUCUUCAAUUUUCAACCAUUCAAGCAAUUGAUAAAUCAGGUUGAUGUUCAAGAGAAUGACUUAUUUGGUAAGGAAGUCAGUAAACCUUUCUUGCCAUAUUUUGUAACUGUUUUCGGUUAAAUUAACAUAUAAACAUACCACAGAUUCACAUAAACCAAGAACACCUAUAAAGUAAGGAAUAUGCGAGUAGAAAGAUGUGUACCUUUGUUUGCCAUUAUAUCACGUAACCGGAUAUGGUUUAUCCACCAUUACAACAUGUAACCGAAGACGAACAAGGCUGAGUCUUCCUCUUAUUUGCUUAUGACGGCUGGCAGUAUAUGGGAAUACGUCUUAUGUUAAAGUCAGGAGAGGGGACCUAGCCUUAUAUUUAUAGGCUUAAAAGCCUUAACCUAGUGCAUUCCCCAUUAUGGGCUCACAGGUCUACUACAGGCCUACACUAUUGCUAGCACACACCAAUAACAUAAAAUGAAUACAGGCCCAUAUGGAAUCCGUAUGAAUACACGGCCUGUGUCUUGUCCAUCAACUAAUAACAUCAGCCCGUUAUACUUUUAACAUAAUAAAAAGUUAAUGUUAAGUCCACAUAAAAUAAAUAAUUCUAACAUUCUCCCACUUGGACAACGUUAACUUUUAAAGAAAAGUUUUAGAAAGCUUAUUUUUAUGAAAAUAACUCUCGGGCUGAAUAGACAAUGGCCAUAAACAUUUAGUGGUGGAACGCCAUUUCCAACAUAGUUCAGUCAAGCAAAACAUCACUAUUGAACUGCAGCAAUACUUGCAUCAACCAACGACACAAGAUCAGUUCACAAUUACUAACACUGAAGUUUCAUAGAUAUAAACCAAAUGAUGUGGUAAUGUAGCAAGAAAUAGCCAACAUGGACUUCAAAUCAAGGCUAUUUCAUUGUUAGUCCUUCAAACGAUUUUUCAUAUCAACACGUACGCUUAAAAUCAACGUGCGUAUCAUAGAAAAAUCAUUUUUUCUGUUACAACAUGUGUGAACACUAAAACAACAUGUGCUACACCAGAAAAUCUUGAUUUUCAAGGUUCAACAUGUGCAACAUAUUACAUGGUGCAACAGCCAGAAAAUUCACAAGGUAGAAUGAUAUAUCAUAUAUGUCUCCAACAGAAAGAUCCAAUAAAACAACAAUAUGAUCUUAUCAAUAUGAGACAUAGCCAACAAGUAAGGUAAAAGACUUAAUAUAAUAAAAUAAUAUUAAAGUAUGCACAAUAAUAAUCAACAACAUAAAGAGUGAGAUGAACUUACUCCUACUGAUCUUAAGAUAGAUGGAAUGAUCAAUUUUGUUCUCCACAAAUCCCAUAAAAGUGUUAAUUUCCUCGAACUUUUAGUACCACUAUCGAGAAGCAAUAAGUUUGCUUCAAGCCAUAGAUACAUUUCUUCAACUUACACAUGAGAUGCUCACUGUCUUUACCAAAAAGAAAAACUUUGGGGUUGUUGCAUGUAAAUCUCUUCAUUAAGAUCACCAUUCAAAAAGCUGUCUUUACAUCUAUCUGAUGUAGCUCAAGAUCAAAGGGUCUCAUUUGUUGCCUAUUCUCUACGUAUCUAUCAUAGUACUCACCCCUUCAAUCAGACCUCAUUUUUUCAAUGACCUUUCCCAGUUGUUUCUCUACUUCAGUUUUAAACACUUGGAACAUUUCAAGAGAAUCUGAUUUUUCUUUAAUAAGAAAAAUAUAACCAUAUCGAAGAAAGUCAUCAAUGAAAAUAAUUGAACCACAUAUUGUAGUAGAAUACAGACCACUUAUGUUUGUGUGAAUGAUUUUCAACAAAUCAGAACUACGAGUAGCAUUUUUUUUUNNNNNNNNNNNNNNNNNNNNNNNNNNNNNNNNNNNNNNNNNNNNNNNNNNNNNNNNNNNNNNNNNNNNNNNNNNNNNNNNNNNNNNAAUUAUCGUUUAGACCCAACAAUUUUAGAACUAAAAGAGUUGUAUUCUUGAUCAGGAAAUUUUAAACAAACCAUCAGAUAGGAUUCUAUGACCAACAACUCGGGAGUUCAAAAUAAAAUUAACUUUUUUAUUAAGAGAAUUAAAAUCAUAACCAAAUCUGUGUAAAACUGAAAUAGAAAUCAAAUUUCAUCUAAAAGACGAGGCAUAAAGAGUAUUUUCAAGAACAAGCUUAUACCCAGUUUCUAAGUCUAAAAUUACAGUUUCUAUGAAAUCUACUUCAACUUGGACAUCUGUGGCGAUUCUAAUUUUUUUUGAUUCCAUUUUUGUUGGGUUCCUUUUAUUUUUGAACCCCUGCAAGGAAAUGGCAACAUGUGCAGUAGCUCCACUAUCAAACCAUCAAGAAUUAAUGGGGACAUGUACAAAGUGUGACUCAAAACAAACAAGAGCUAGAUGAUUAUUUUAUUUUGACACCUUCUUAAAAGUAUGAUUAUUAGGCCUUUCAAACUUCCCAGGUCCCUUGCAAGAGUUUGCUUUGGAGUCAUGAGAAGCUAACGUGGCAACCUCACCUUUCUUCCUUUAAUUUUUUCCUCUUCAACAACAUAUUUGGAGAUUGACCAAGGUUCAUACUGAGUAUUAUAGGUAGUUUUUAUUUGGCUAAACUCAGCAGGCAAAGAGUUAAGAGCAGAGUGAACAAUGUAAGUAUCAGGAAGAGUUAUUUCAAGAGUUUUCAAUUUGGACUAAAUGUGGACCAUCUUAAGUAUGUAAUAUCUAACACUCCCAGUAAAGUCAUACCUUACCCCUGCAAGUUUAUUUAUUAGAUCUCUAGUCUCAGCCUUAUUGGAUACAAGAUACCUUUCUUCUACUUGGGCAAGAAACCUUUUGGUAUUGAUAGUUUUAGGCAAGCCACUUUUGAGGUGCUUAACAAUCAACCUCCUAAAGACAAAGAUGCAUAGCCUAUUAGAUCUCUCCCACUUAGCGUUAAAUUUUUCUUCAACAGUUGUAGUAGAAUUAGUGAGAGCCAAAGGCUCAUCCUCACGCAAGGCUUGAUCUAUGUCAGUCAUGCUCAACGCAAAUUCUAGAUCUUAUUUUUCGUCACUUAAAGUUAGAUCCGAUGAACCACAACUUCAACAUUGUUAUUAUUUAAAUAAAUGAUAACUUUUCACAACAUAACAUGAAUGAAUUUAUCAAAAUAUCAAGGUAUAAGAAUAAUAAUCUUAUCACAAUGAUGAAUCCCGCAACAUCGACAAGUAGCCCCCCUUUGGGCAGGGCAAGAAAAUAUUAUCAAUAUUAGAAAUCUAUCCCCUUUGGGUAGAUAAAUUUACUAAAUGAAAAUAUUUUCACAUAAUUAGGCUCAUCACAAUACUAAUUUAAAACACACAAUGUUUGUUCUAACUUAGUGAUAUCCCUCGAAAUGGAUUAAACAAGUCUCAUAAAGUAAGGCAAAUAGGUCACUUUGGUAUACACUACUUACCCUAAUUUAUAAAAUAAAUUCAAUCUCAGGGAUUCAAUAUGCCAUUGCUUUAUUUACUCAUAUGACACAAAUAUCAUCAACAUAAAUGAUAGCAAAAUCUACCAUAAUAUAAAUGUCAAUUUAAGAGAUAAUACUAUUAAAUACUCUCACUAAUCCAGCAAAUCAAAUGACUCAACAACACCCAUAUUCUGAACAUAUUGCAAUAAAAACUAUGAGUCUUAGCCCCUAGUUAGUGGAUCAACAAGCGUCAAAUCAGUAGGCAUAUGUUCAAUCACAAUAUCCUCCCCUUUAUUGGUCCUAGGAUAAUCAGUCGAUCUUUACCAUGACUUUUGUUGUCCCGUCCCUUUUUUUUUUAUUCAAAAGCAUAUUGAUGACCAUCCAAAAUAUUUAAACAUCACAUGUGGAAGUUCUUGUUUCAAAACACAUGAAAACUUAUGCAAACUACUCCCUUUUCAAUAGUUUAUUAUACGGUGGUCAUCUUUUCCAUCAAUCAAAUGCAAAUUCUUUAUUAGGAAAUAUGAGCAUUUGUAAAUCAAGGAAGAAACCCUCUAAUUCGUUUAUAAAACAUAACAAUCCAUAACAUUGUUAGGACAAUGAGUUUCGUAACAAGAGAGGUAAUUACGCAAAUCAUGCUCUCAUAUAACUUUUCAAACUAACAACCCAUGUACACAUGAAAAUAAUUCAAGUUUAGGAAAAACAACCUCAUAGUUUAUAUAUAAAAUUUCAUCAUAAUAUGGGGCUUACAAUCCAUGCUCUUCAAUAAUUUCAAAACCCAUCUUAUGUACGAAAUUAAAUAUCUUAAAUGCUUGUUUAAUCGAAAAAUUUAUGCCCAUAAAGUUAGGAUAGUCCCACAUACAAGAAAUUUUACAUUUUAAGAUUCAACUAUUCUGGUUCGCCUUGUAGGAAAGUAGAAUCCAUAUUCUUUAGAAUGAUCUCGAUAACCAAUGAUAAAAAAAAAAAAACAAGCGAGGUUCUAAAUUUAGUUUUAUAUAUUUUAUUUUUGGAGGACCCCCAAAAACAAAAAAAUUUUAAAAAGUGUUUUUUCUAGUCGCCCACAACUCAAAAGGNNNNNNNNNNNNNNNNNNNNNNNNNNNNNNNNNNNNNNNNNNNNNNNNNNNNNNNNNNNNNNNNNNNNNNNNNNAUCAUACUUCUCAUCUUGUCUUUUAAAGUACGAUUUCGCCUUUUAAGAUAGUGAAAAGCUUUUGAAACAAUUUUAAUUUGCAAAUACUAACAAUAUACUUUAAAACAUAUUUAAACACUUUUGGCAAGGAAAAUAGUUUCAGAUUUAAAUUUAAGACGGAGUACGUUACGAUCACUGUUUUCAAUUAUUUUUCUCAUAAACUGAGUAAUAGAGUUCAAGAUCUAUGUGAAAAUCUCUGAUACCAAGUGUUAAAUUAACAUAUAAACAUACCACAGAUUCACAUAAACCAAGAACAACUAUAAAGUAAGGAAUAUGUGAGUAGAAAGAUGCGUACCUUUGUCUGCCACUAUAUCAUGUAACAGGAGAUGGUUUGUCCGCCAUUACAACAUGUAACCGAAGACGAACAAGGUUGAGUCUUCCUCUCCUUUGCUUAUGACGGCUGGCAACAUAUGAGAAUACGUCUUAUGUUAAAGCCAGGAGAGGGGACCUAGCCUUAUAUUUAUAGGUUUAAAAGUCUUAACCUAGCACCCCCCAUUAUGGGAUCACAGGUCUACUAUAGGCCUACACUAUUGCCAUCCCACACCAAUAACAUGAAAUGGAUACAGACCCAUAUGGAAUCCGUAUGAAUACACGGCCUGUGUCUUGUCCACCAACUAAUAAUAUCAGCCCGUUAUACUUUUAAUGUAAUAAAAAGUUAAUGUUAAGUCCACAUAAAAUAAAUAUUUCUAACAUUUUCUUCUUCACACUGAAGGGGAUCCUUGGAGUAAACUUUUAUUGCCAUAUUUUGUUGCUGUUUUCUUCUUCCCACUGAAGGGAGCCUCNNNNNNNNNNNNNNNNNNNNNNNNNNNNNNNNNNNNNNNNNNNNNNNNNNNNNNNNNNNNNNNNNNNNNNNNNNNNNNNNNNNNNNNNNNNNNNNNNNNNNNNNNNNNNNNNNNNNNNNNNNNNNNNNNNNNNNNNNNNNNNNNNNNNNNNNNNNNNNNNNNNNNNNNNNNNNNNNNNNNNNNNNNNNNNNNNNNNNNNNNNNNNNNNNNNNNNNNNNNNNNNNNNNNNNNNNNNNNNNNNNNNNNNNNNNNNNNNNNNNNNNNAAUUUCCUUUCUAUUUUUUAAAAAUUGUAUCAAUAUAAUAUAAAAGUGUAUCAAUUAAAUAUACAGACUGCAUGUGCCCAACUGGGCCAAAUGACUAAAAAAGGUAUUAAAUUGGGCCGACUGACCUAAGUUGUCCAAUUAUGGGCCAUUUUUUUAAAAAAUGGCUAGCCCAUGUCCUUUUCCCUUUUAUAUUUUAAAGGAAAAAAUACAUAUAAUAACAUACCUAACUAUUAAAUUAUAAAAAAUAGCAACACUUUCUCCUAAUUACAUUAUGUAGCAUCUGUAGCAUUAUUUUAAGUGGUCCCUACUUUUUUGCCGCCUAAGUAAUUGUACUAUGCUAAAAUCCCCCUUUUCACUCCUUCUUCUUUCUCUUUCUUUAAUUUUAAAUUUUUAUUCCUUUUUUUUUCGCCAUUAACCUUUACUCUCGCGUCAAUUUUAUUGCCUUUUGAACAAUUCUUGCACGAUCUAUGAUAAGGAUUUGCUUUCCCUAUUUCAAGUAACUAUUAAUCGCAUAUUGCGUGUUAGCGAUGUUUUUUCUACUUUAAUUCAUCUGAAAUUCAAAUUUUAAGGAUUUUGUGUUUUAAUGGAUGAACACACAGCAAAAACACCUACAAACAAUGGUAUAAGAACUAUGAAUUUAGUGUCUGAUGCACCAUCUUUUAGUCUUGAAUUAACUCAAGAAGAUUUAGUUAAUAAAGAUGUGUCAAAUCCUUUACAGUUGAAGAAAUCUGGAAAAUUGAAGGAGAUUAAGUCGAAGUUUCGCAAUGACGAAGUGAAGAUGACAGAAAUUAUGAAAAAAAAAAAAGGGGUUGAAGAAAAUUCCUUCUCCAAAGGAGCAAAAUACUAAAAAACGGUAUGAGAAGAAAAGAAAAUCUAAAGAAAUUGAAAACGGUGUUGACAAAUCUUAUUCUGAUGAAUCUGAAGAAGAAAGUGAGGACGAGGUAUUUUUUGGUUUGCAAAUGUAUUUUUUUGACUGUUAAGUAUUGUGUUCAAGUAGUUAAUAUGUAUUUGAUGUUAUGAUGAUAUUUAGGGAUUAUAUAAAGCUGAUUUGUGAAGAUGAUAGUAUAACUGUAAAAAUAUAUCGUUGAAUUAACUACUCAUGAAUAGUAUUUGGCUAUAUUUAUUUUUAGUAUAGUUGAUAUGUAUUUUUUUCACUAUUUGUUGUAGUUUUUAUAUGACUAAAAUACAUAUUCAUGUUAUAUGUAUUUAUUUACUGAUUUAAUAAUUUUUAGAGUUUAACUACUCAUGAACAGUAUAUUGGUAUAUGUAUUUUUAGCAUAAUUGAUUGAUAUUUUUUAGUGUUGGUUGUAGUUUUGAUAUGGUCAAAAUACAUAUGCAUGUUACCUUUAGUUUAACUACCAUAACAGUCUAUUCACUAUAUGUAUUUUUAUUAUAUUUGAUAUUAUCAAAAUACAUAUUCGUGAAUAAUAUAUUGGCUAUAUGUAUUUUUUGCUUACUUGAUAUGUAUUUUUCAAUGUUGGUUGUAUUUUUAGCAUAAUUGAUUUGUAUUUUUUAGUGUUGUUGUAUUUUUAGCAUACUUGAUUUGUAUUUUUUAGUGUUGGUUGUAGUUUUAAUAUGGUCAAAAUACAUAUGCAUGUUCAUUUUAGUUUAACUAUCAUAAUUGGCUAUUUGGUAUAUGUAUUUUGAUUAUAUUUGAUAUGCUUUUUCCAGUAUUGGUUGCAUGUUAUAUUUUUUUUGGUCUUCUUGAAUUUUGUUUACAGAUUAAGAAGUGGUAGUUUUACUUUGUAUAGGUGAUGUGGGACGAAAUAUUUAUAGUCAGAAAACUUUCAAGAUUUGCACCACACAUGUACUCGUACAGUGACAAUGAUAUUUAUGGAAGCAUACGCACAAUUUUAAACAAGUAACAGUUUAAAAACUUUUGCGACAAUAACAUUUUUGGUUAUUUUAUGAAGAAGAAGCAGUGUGUAGUGCAAGCACAGUUGUGUAGAUGCGUUAUGACUCUUGAGGAGAAGGGCAGUUCUUCUUCUGGGAUUCUGAUUCAUGCUAAUGGCACCUCUCUUAGUUUUACUCCCAGGAAAUUUGCCAUCAUAACUGGAUUGAAUUAUGGGUCUAAUAGGUAUGACUUUAUUUUUGAUGAGGGUGUACCAAAUAGGAUGAUUGAGAAGUAUUUCAGUGGGGCAGAAAUUAUACAGAAAAGACAACUAUUUCUAGCAUUGACGGAGAAAGUAUGGGGGGAUAACAAUUAUAAGGAUGCUGAGAAAUUUGCAAUUCUAUAUUUUCUGCAUUCAUUUGUUUUAUCUAAUGUUGAAAAUGUGGUUAUACCCCGUCUUCAUUUCGAUUUGGUAGAUAGUGAAAGAUAUAAGAAUUUUUUAUGGGGUUCUUUAUCUUUUGAAGAUCUGGCGAGAAGUUUCAACAACCGGUUGAAAGCUGGUGGUAAAUUUUAUCUGAUUCAGGGAAUGCCACUGGCUAUUCAAGUGUGGCUUUAUGAGUGUUGUUCAAAUGUCCCAUCAAAGAUUGCAACGAAGGUUGAUAAUUGGAUUUACCGAUUAUUAAAUUAGAAGACCAUUGCACCUCAUCCACAUUUUGAGUUUUUGAUGAAUGCUAUAUUCAAGGACAAUGGCAAGGUUUAUUGUGAAUAAAUAUAUAUGUAUUGAUAUGUAUUCUAUAGUCUACAUAUAUUCUUUUUCAUUUACAAUUGUGUAACAUAUAUUCUUUAACAUAUUGUUUAACAUACUCGUAGAUUGUAUUUAACAACAUAGAGACAACUAAAUUAGAAUUGGCAAAGCUUGAAAUACCACAGAAGGAUGUACCUGAAGAUGAACGUUCAGUUGAUUCUGAUGAUGACUUCCAGGAUCCACCACUAAAAAAGAUCAACGAAAAUUCUAAGAAGAAACAAAAGGUUGGUUCAUCAACCCCAGUAGUGAAGAAACCUUCAAGGAAAAAGCAACUCAAUAUUGUUGACGAGCAUACCUAAAUGAGGACACCAGCUCCUCAUGUUGUAAAGGAUGCUAGAAUGAAGACACCAGUUUUCAAGCCAAUUCCAACACAACAAGCAGCUUCUUCAAAAACGAAGAAAGAAAAGCAAACUGUUAGGGUUAUUUUUUCUCAGACACAGUCAAAGACAGAUAAUCAUGUAGAGGAAGUAGCCGUGUCAAAGACUGAGAGACAUGUUGAGAAAGAAGCCUUUAUUUCUAAGAAAGUUUUUGAUGAAUUCCGCGCCGAGGUAAUUAUUUUGUUAAAUAUUUGUUUUACAUUAAAAAAUCUGUGUUUACUGAUUUUGUAUGAAUAGAGGUUCGUGAAGAGUUUAAAGGAAUUCAUCAAUUAGUAAAAAAAAAAGUUCAAAAAAAUGCUCAAAACAAUUGAACAAAGCAAGGUAAAAGUUUUAUUAUUAUAUAUUCAGAGUAUUAAAAAAUACAUAUGUUGUUUAUUGCUAAAAAUACAUAUGCAAAGUAUUCCAAAAAUGCAUAUGCAGUGCAUGCAAAAAUAUAUAUACAAUGUGUUCAGAAAUGUAUUUUUAGCAUUAUGUAUUUUUAGUGGGUUGGUAUAUACAUAUUUAGUGUAAUCAAUUAUUAAUAGUUUAUUCAACUUAUACUUGUAGCAACAACAUGAAGAUACAGAUCUUGAAGCCCAACAGAUGGAUUAUGCUGGUGUCGAAACAUCACCACAAUAAUUCAGUUCUACUGUUGAUAAGAAUUUGAGUGAAAAACAGGAUGGUACAAAGGUAAAUAAUAACUAAUAUAUGAUUAUUCAUUUGAAUGCAUAUAUAUAAUUGAGUUUUUUUAACAGUUAUAUGUUAUAUUAUUUAUAGAUUUGUAUAAACAUAUACAACUGAAUUUUUGUUUGAUGUGUUUUCAUGUUUUUUACGUGUUUGCAAGGGGUGCACUGAUUUGCAUCCAGAUAAAACAAACGUUAAAAUUGAUUCUCAACAUUUAAUUCCUAAUGAGUUUCUCCAAAGUAUAAAUUUAGAUUAUAAUCUUUCUAAGAAGAUUGUUCAUCAUGAUGUUCUAGUAUGUAUAGUGAAUUGAACUUUACUUUAUGUGAUGUAAUCCUAACAAUCCAUAGGAUAAUUAUAUAUUUUCUUUCAUUUCUAUUGCAGAUCGUUGAUGAGAAAAUGGAUGGAGCAAAUUUGUUUGAUUCGCAGUUUACAAUCCCAGAUGAGUUGUUACCAAGUCUUAAUGCAUAUCGGAGAGAAAACAAGAUGACCCAACCAUCGGCAACCCGAGAAGAAGAACCAAGCGAUGAACAUUUCAAUGAUAAGAAAUCCGAGUCUGUUGUUCAACAUCAUUGUCAGGUAUGUAUUAUGAAAAUAUGUAUGUGGCUUAUUUUGGACAUACCAAAAUAAUUUUUUUUCCAUUUUUUAAAUAAAAAAAUGAAAAUGUUGGAUCGAGCUAUAAACCAGACAUGCACGGAGAGGUUGAUUUUGGUACGGAGAAGCAAAUUAUGACACCUCCAAAAAUAUAAGAACUAAGCACUGAUGAACAAAGGAAUGAACCAGUUUGUCCUGAUUCACAAAGCACAAUCCCUGAUGAGCUGCUUCCUAGUCUGAAUGCCGACAGUAGUAAGAGAAUCAUUGUUCAUCUCUCUCAUUAACUUCAAACCCCCGUUCAAAAAAUACGAAUUAGGCGACCAUCCAAAUUCACGUAGUCACCUUACACGAUGAAAUUUAGUUUAGCUACCGGUAAGUACACUUAGUUAUAUCUUUAGUUUUCAAUGUAAUAUGUUAUGCAAAUACUUUUUACUAAUUAAAUUUUUGUAUUAUGUAACUAUAUAGAGAGCUAUAUUCCCCCAGAAACAUCCAUUUGUUUAUCACCCGAUUGAUGGGAUAGUGGCUACCAAGAUUGUCAACAAGUUCAUGGAUUGGAUUUGUAAAAAUCUUCUCAAAAUUCAUGCUAAAGGUAUUUCUAUUGAACUGUUUUAACUUUUCUUUUUAAAUCCAUUAUGUUCUUAUGAUUUAACAUAUACUGAUUACCAAAAAAAUAGGAAGGAAAAUGCGGAUCAUUACAAAAGGGGGAAAUCAAUCAUUCCAAUGAUGCAUUUGGAGUUGAGACUAUUGAAGAUAAAAACUAAUUCUACACAAUUGGAUUCCCUGAUCAGUCAUGGACAAACUCGAUUAGUAUAUUAUUUUGACAAUGUUUCCUUACAGUUGUAGCACUACUUAAAAUACAUAUUAUGUUACUUGUAAAUACAUCUGCAGGUGCUCAUAUGUAUUUUUACUAUUUUUUUAAUUAUUUAACAAAGGAUGUGUUAAACUUUAAAUUGCAUAUGCAUUUUGUAUUACAUACACAUGCUAAAUUUAGUAUACAAAGAGUUUGAAUGAUCUAAAAUUUGUGGUGUUAAUUGCUGCAGCAAGUUGAUGUUUGCUUAUACUACUUGAGGAAGAAGUUGAAGUAUGACCCCAACAGGUCUUACAAAUUCAGCACAGUAGAUUGCAACUUUAUGAACAUAAUUAGGUCUAUUCAUGAUGCUUAUUCUGUGGAUGAUGCAAGUAUUACUCCGGGAGGACAGACAACCCAUCUUAAUGAAUACAUAAAUGGGUUCCGUAUGCAUGCUGCUGUACCUUGGCAUACGGUGGAAGAUAUUUAUAUUCUAGUCAAUAUAAAGAAAAAACAUCAUUGGGUGCUACCAGUAUUAUCCUUCUCAGAGAGGUGCAUAUUCUUAUAUUAUUCAUAUGAAUCAUCUGGUCAUUAUCCGGUUGUUUUUGCUGAGAUUAAGAAAUUAGCUGCGAUUAUCCCAUUGUAUCUCCAACAGUGUAAUUUUUAUGUUAAGAAAGGAAUUCAGGUUGAAAACCAUCCAAGAUACAAAGACAAAGACUCGUCAGAUAUGUUUGAUGUGUUAUUUCAAGAGAAUUUACCUCAACAACCGAAUGAAAGCUUGUAAGUUAUUUAAUUUACAUAUAACAAAAUUGUAUGUUUGUUAAAAAUAUAUUUUAGUUAUUAAUAUAUUUUUUCCUUAUUUUUGUAGGGAUUGUGGUGUCUAUAUGGUUACAUAUGCAGAGUGCCUUUCUUAUGGUCACAAAGUUCUUGCGAAUGAGUUCGACCCCAAUGCACUUCGUAUAAGAUAUGUUGCACUUUUGUGGGACUAUGGGACCCGAAAAUAAGACGCAAAUGCUCAUAGUGAUGUCUAAGCACCUUUGAGGCCUGCAAGGCAAAGUAGAAUAACUAGUGUCACUGAAGUUUUUGAUGUAUGAUGAAUGAUGGAUUGAUUACUUUGUAUAGUUUAGAAGCUGGUUUAUUCAUGUAGGUUCUGAUUGUACAAACUAAUUUUGAUGUUUUGAAGUUGUUCUAAUUGUAUAUUAUAAUAGUACUUAAUUUUUGACUGAAUGAAAUUAAUUUAGUUUCGAAAUUCCGAAAUGAGUAUUUUAUGCAGUUCUACCCUUUUAUUUGUGAUUUAGUGAAAAAAUACAUAUUUAGUGUUCAUUAUAUGCUUAAAUACGUAUGCAAUAUUAAUCAAGUGUUUUUAGCUUGCAGUGUUAAUAUUAAGCAUUCCAAAAAUAUAUCUGAACAAUAACUAUUAUGUAUUUUAGUAUGUUGUUAUUUAUAUUCAAUAUAAAGGAGAAUUUGAAUUUAAUAUAAACUAGUGUUUUUUAAUCAGUUCUAAAUUUUAUUGUGAGAUUCACUUACAAAAUACAUAUGCACUAUUGAGAUUUUGCUAAAAAAUACAUAUGAAUUAUAAAUCAAAUAUAUUAAGCCUAAAUAUUCAUAUGCUGUGUUAAGAUUAAGAAUUUCAAAAAUACAUGUUGAUCAGAAGUAAUAUGUAUUUUCAUAUGCAUAUGUAUUCACUCAAUAUCAAUAUAAAUGAGAAUUCGAAUUAAAGUUUAAUUUGAUCUUAUUAUGCAGUUCUACAUUUAAUUGUUAGAUAUUAGUUACAACAUACAUAUGCUUUGUUGAUAUUUUCCUUCAAAAUACAUAUGGAUUAUAUAUCAAAUGUAUUUUUAGCAAAUAAAUACAUAUGCAGUGCAAAGAGUUUGCAAUUCAAACAUAUAUUUGCAGAAUAUGUCAUAUGUAUUUAAAUCUUUGAAGAAUUAGGAACCAAAUACAAACUUGAUUAAUCAAAGUUUCCAACUCUAACCUAAAAUAUAUAUACACAAUUUUAAAAAUACAUAGCAAUUGUAGAUUGAAAAUACAUAUGCAAUGUACAGAUUUGGAAACAUAUACAUAUGCAGUAUUCCGAUAUUAGUGUGUUCAAUUGUCAAAUAAUGAGUAAAUGUAUUAACUAAACUAAAAUCAUUCAUGAUUAUAAAAAAUGAAAAUAAAAUUUUAAGAAAUAAUACGGAAGAAGAAAUGUAUCACUUACGAUAUUUCCUACAAGAACGCCUAUUGUGACCCUUAGCCUCACAAACACCGCAUGAGUUGAUGUUCUUCUUUCCAAAUAUAUCCCGGCAUGAUUUUCCAUGAUCCUUCUUUGCAGGUCUGUCUGGAGGUCUUUUGAAUUUUGGAGGCAGCACCGAAAAUUAUCCAAUCAUCUACGUAUGGCAAAGGGUAGAUGGGAACAUCAUAUGUCUUCAAAACAGUUUUUGGUUUAAACAAAUCACUACAGUAUGUGCCCUUCUCAAAAUUCUUUUUCUCUAACAUCACACAAGCUUGUGCACAUGAUAUCUCAUCUAGUUGAAAUGCAUUACAUGAUCAUUUUUUUUCGUUGAGGCAAACAAUGAAGUGCUUUUGUUUAUCGUGUACCGUAUACACAUAUUCUGUGGCUGAAACGACCUGAUAAAAAAAAAAGUUAAAUGCAAUGCUAAAAAAAUAUGAUUUUCAUAUUCUAUGAUAUGUUGUAAGCACACCAGUAUUUUGAAGAAAAAAUACAUAUGCAAAGUACAUCAUUUUUACUGAGCAUCCAAAUACAUAUGCAAUAUUAAUAAUAUUAAUACAAAAAAUACAUAUGCAGAAUACAUAUUAUGUUUUAGAUGUUCAUAUUGUUUAUGUUGUAUAUCUUUUCAUUAAAUUUCAAAUGAAUGGAAGGUAUUUUCAUACUUAUGUUUUCAUAAUUAUAAAAUCCACAAAACUAAGAGGUCAUGCCGUCAUACGAGUACACAAAGCCUCGUUCUCUUUGAGUAUGUCAUUAAAAUUUCCAAUGGGUUUUGUGAAGGUAUAUGAAGCUUGUUCCCUAUUUUUGCAAUUCCAUUUUACAAACAGUAAACGAACUUCCUCAAGAAAGUCAUAAAUUGACAGUUCUCUAACCGAUACAAGUACUCCAUUUAUUAACUCCACAAUGUUUGAAGUCAAUGUCUAACCAUGGUGAACUGUUGCAUAGAACCUAACCCACUUUUAGUAAUCAACUAAUUCCAAAUAUUUCUUCACCCUCAUAUCAACUGCCUCAACUUUUUCCAUUAACAUGUGAAAUUCUAACUUUGAAUAUGAUUUGGCCAUUGUAUAAAAGAUCUCCAAUAACGCAUCGCGUGAAUUUCUGUAGUGUUUUUUCACAUUUCUCCAUAGAUCCCACAUACAUGCAUAAUGUGGAACAUCUUGCUACACAUCACCAANNNNNNNNNNNNNNNNNNNNNNNNNNNNNNNNNNNNNNNNNNNNNNNNNNNNNNNNNNNNNNNNNNNNNNNNNNNNNNNNNNNNNNNNNNNNNNNNNNNNNNNNNNNNNNNNNNNNNNNNNNNNNNNNNNNNNNNNNNNNNNNNNNNNNNNNNNNNNNNNNNNNNNNNNNNNNNNNNNNNNNNNNNNNNNNNNNNNNNNNNNNNNNNNNNNNNNNNNNNNNNNNNNNNNNNNNNNNNNNNNNNNNNNNNNNNNNNNNNNNNNNNNNNNNNNNNNNNNNNNNGGUAAUGAAGAAGAAGUUGGAGAAGAAGACAAUGGUGGAUGAGUGGCGUUGUAGGGAUGGGUGGUGGGUGGGUGGGGGUUAUGAAAUAAUAUUUAAAAAUAAAUAAAUAUUGAUUUUUUUUAAAAAUAAAUUAUAUAUUAAAUUAUUUACACAUGACAGCUUCUAAUUGGUCCAAAAAGUUAAUUUUUGCCUUUUUCACGCGCUUGUGGUGCGUGUAUACACGUAGAGGGUCAAAAUGGUGUAUUUGCAACGAAAUAAAGAAGAUUCAUGGGGUAAUAGAUCGAAGUUAAAGUUUAGGUAUCUUUUUGAAAAUUUCGGACAAGAUCAGUGGUGUAAUUAUGUAUUUACUCUUUAAUCAAAUAAAUGGUAUCAAUUACAUGUACUAAAAUGUAGACUCACAUUACUAUCAAACAUAAAUAAUUUUACAUGUUUCAUUCAUGAAACUUUGAAAAUAUAUGUAGUACUGUACAGAUAUGUAUAUAUGUAGUAGAGAUAUGUAUUUUCAGGUGAUACUCAUAAAUGCAAAAAACAUACAAUCAGUUAUACAAUGUAUUUAUUGUAAAAUGAUACUAAAUUGCUCCAUUCGUUGUACAUGCUGUUACAAAUGCCCCAGUAUACAGUUUAUAACUCCCCGAAAACGGGUCCCGGAGCGUCACACGAUGCUUGAGGCUAUGAGCAGCCCCAGGCUAACCCUUUGAGCCAUUUUCAUUCAGUUCAACACGAAUCAAUGGAGUUUCCAUAAAUAACUCUUAAAUAUCAACAGAUUAAUCAUUAUCCAAGAAUAAAAGAAUUUUAGAAAGAUAACAAAAUACGACUUAUUAGUCAACUCCUAACAUCUAUACUAGUCUGACAAGCCUCUAGAAAAUCAAUAAAACUAGCGAUCCAUUGAGACAUGCCCCAACUGACUCAUACUCAGUUAUCAAAUGUAAACAAUUCCGUGAAAUCAACAUCAGACAUCACAUCCUCAGAACAUGGCGACUCACCACGACAGAGGAUAUAGAACAGCGUGCCCGAAGAAUCACUGUCAAACCUGGAACUGAGCACUUGAACCUACAUUUUGAGAAAAUGCAGCCCACAUCCAAAGAUAUGGGUCGGUACUAUGGAAAGAAACCGAGUAUAUGGGGGUGUAUGCAGUUGUAUAAACAUCAUCAUCAUAAAUAUUUAUAAGAAAUAUGCAGGAUGUAUGAAAGACUCACAUAGCCCGAAGAAAAUCAUCAUAAUCAUGAGAGGAUGAAAUAAGUACAAUAACACAUGUGAGUCAUCAUAUAAUUUGUCAAUCACUUUCAGUUCAUCAAGAAUAUCAAUUCUCAUAAUGUAAAUAUCAUUUAAAUCUUUCGAAAGAAUAACUUUCACAAUUCCACUUUCAAAUCACUUCACCAUUCACCAUAGACACAAGGAAACACACACACACUGAGAGAUCCUAUAACCGACAUAAACCAUGUGAGCUACAUGGAGUCCAACGUACAACCCACAUUGGGGAGAACCGUCCUAUCCUUGCCAUCGNNNNNNNNNNNNNNNNNNNNNNNNNNNNNNNNNNNNNNNNNNNNNNNNNNNNNNNNNNNNNNNNNNNNNNNNNNNNNNNNNNNNNNNNNNNNNNNNNNNNNNNNNNNNNNNNNNNNNNNNNNNNNNNNNNNNNNNNNNNNNNNNNNNNNNNNNNNNNNACUUAGCUCAGAUCAUUUCAAAGACAAUCCACAACAAAAUAAUUUCAGUAAUAUAUAAAUAUACAUCGGGAGCCAUCAUGCUUCCCAUCUAUCAAAAUCAACCACGUUGUGGAUUUCUUUUUCACUCGAGUUCAAAACAACUCCAUUAAUACCAAAAGGUCAAAUCAUUUAAAAUAUCUCAAAUCUAUCCUUUGGUGGACUAUUUUGAUAGUCUGAAGUAGAUCAACCAUAACGUUUUACUUCGAUAUCUAAAUUGGAUGAAACCAAUUUCAUUAGAAAGAGGACUCUCAUAUCUUUCCGUUGAUUUAUAGUAUCUCACCCAGAUCAUUGUGUACGAGGAGUUAUGAUCGAUUGAAGUUGACCCAAAAAUUUGCUUUUGAUAGGCUGAAGUAUAUCGACCAUAACUUUUUGCUCCGAUAGAAAAAUUAGAUGAAACCAAUUUCAUUGGAAAGAGGACUCACAGAGAUUUUCGUUGAUAUAUAGUAGAUCACCCAGAUCAUUACGUACAAGGAGUUAUGAUCAUUUAUAGUUGGACCAAAAAUAUGCCAGGCCUCAAUACUUUUUCCAGCAUGUUUUACUGUUCACUACUAUUCACGAUUCAAUCAGAACGUUUAUAACUCGUCGCUCGGGUGUCCAUUUUAGAUGAUCCACAUAUAGUUGGAAAGCUUAUUUGAUACUCUAAGCAAUGGUGGGUCAUAAUAUAAGACAUUCCACACGAAAAAUUUAUAAUUUAUUCUAAAAGAUAGAACCCAACACGUUUACGCACAAAAUUUCAAUGAAAAAUUUCCCGGGGUAUUACAUAUUCCUCUCAUAUGACUAGCAUCAACAACUAUGAAUGGUGUACAAUAAUUGAAUCCUUUAAUGAAUGCAUGUAGAGCGAUAAAUACAUACAAGAAUACAUUAUCAUCUAUCUUCUUCAUUCUUAUAUGUGACUCUGGAUAGAUAGUAUUCAGUACAUAUAAGUAUGAUGAAAAUUUCCCGUAAGAUGCUGAUGGCUUACCCCUCAACUCUUUUAACGCUCUUUCCUUAGCCCUCCAACAUAAAGUGUAUGUCAAAUCCAUACCAAACUCUUCCUUCAUGUCAUUUUGUAUUUCCGUCGCACUGUAUUUUUGCUUGUGGUUUUUGAAUUUAUGUUUAACCAUACCACCUACCAACAUACUAGUAGCAUGCACCUUUGGAUAGAUCUUGUCCUUCACCGGGCAUGUAUGUUGAGGUCUGAAUUCUCUUAUUCUAAAUAUUUCAGUUUCUCCCAUUCCUGAUGCACGCAUUAAAAACUCGCAGUUUCUUGAUUUGCGAAACAAUGUAUACCUGUAUUAAACAUCAUUUAAUACAUUCAUAAUAUAUAUAAAACUAAUAUGAAACAAGAUCAGAGUGAUAUAGAAUGUACAUACGUUUUCUUACUUGACCUUUUACUUCGCGUUUGAAACUUCUCCCUAAUUGAAUAGUCCUUCAUGACUGACUUUAAAAAAAAAUUUCUCAAGCAAACUUGGUCUUCCUCAACAUGCUUGUGAUGUGGGUUUGAGAUAAUCACCUCAUCAAUAUCCAUGUCAAAUACAUUUAAUGCUUGUGUAUCUUCAAAAACCACCAUUGCUCCUUCAUUUGUUGUAUUUAUCACUGUUUGCAAGUUGUUACAGUUGGUUCUUCUUUCAACAAACACAUAUAGAUGAACUUGCCAAGUUGUUCCAUACAACUUUCUCCAAAAUACUUANNNNNNNNNNNNNNNNNNNNNNNNNNNNNNNNNNNNNNNNNNNNNNNNNNNNNNNNNNNNNNNNNNNNNNNNNNNNNNNNNNNNNNNNNNNNNNNNNNNNNNNNNNNNNNNNNNNNNNNNNNNNNNNNNNNNNNNNNNNNNNNNNNNNNNNNNNNNNNNNNNNNNNNNNNNNNNNNNNNNNNNNNNNNNNNNNNNNNNNNNNNNNNNNNNNNNNNNNNNNNNNNNNNNNNNNNNNNNNNNNNNNNNNNNNNNNNNNNNNNNNNNNNNNNNNNNNNNNNNNNNNNNNNNNNNNNNNNNNNNNNNNNNNNNNNNNNNNNNNNNNNNNNNNNNNNNNNNNNNNNNNNNNNNNNNNNNNNNNNNNNNNNNNNNNNNNNNNNNNNNNNNNNNNNNNNNNNNNNNNNNNNNNNNNNNNNNNNNNNNNNNNNNNNNNNNNNNNNNNNNNNNNNNNNNNNNNNNNNNNNNNNNNNNNNNNNNNNNNNNNNNNNNNNNNNNNNNNNNNNNNNNNNNNNNNNNNNNNNNNNNNNNNNNNNNNNNNNNNNNNNNNNNNNNNNNNNNNNNNNNNNNNNNNNNNNNNNNNNNNNNNNNNNNNNNNNNNNNNNNNNNNNNNNNNNNNNNNNNNNNNNNNNNNNNNNNNNNNNNNNNNNNNNNNNNNNAGCAUACCUAAUUUGUAUUUUGAUAUGUGUCAAUAGAAUUUCAUCACAUUCAACAGCUAAAUUCGAUCAUUCAUUUAUCUAGGAUUUUAAAAAAUAAUUGAAUAAAAUUCAAAUUGAAAUUUUUUUAAAAUAUGUUCAUAAUCAGUUACACAAUAAAGUGAAAAUAUUCUACAAAGCUUCACAACUUGUUCAAUUGUUAAAACAAUCAAAAUAACGACAAACGAUCCUCAAAUACUUAAAUUUUAAUAUAUGAAACAACUCCUAAACUGAAAUUUUGAAACAAAUAGUUGAAUUCCAAAGGUUUUUGUUAUAUAUGUUGACUUUACUCCUGCAUUGCUUCUAUCUCGAAAUUUGGUUACAAAUUUUUCAUAAAAACUAGAUAGGAGCUCCAGUAAUGGUUGAAACAAAAAAUUGAACCAAAAAAUAUUAAUGAUUAUGUACCUUAAACAACAGUGAUGGUUGAAUUUGUAACUGAUAGUUGAAUUCGAACAAAUUGAACUAAAGAAUGUAUAAUUGAAUUUGAUUCAGACAAAUUAAAGCUUCGUCUCAAUAAUGCUGUUGAUUUUGAAGAAGAUUCCGUCGAAUUUGAUUCAACAACAACAAUGGUUCAAUUUCAAAAAUACAGCUUUACUUGCUCAGAAAUUGAUAAAAAAAAAAAACGAACAAUAGAUUUUGAUUUUGCUUGAUAUUUUUUUGGAUGAACUCGUUAAUGGGGAAAACGAAAAUUUGAGUUCCUUUUAGUGUUGUUAAGCUGUAACGGAAUUCUUUAGCUUUAAUGGGAAAAACACGUGAAUGAAGUUGUUUUAAUGGAAAAUGAUUCUUCAAAUUUAAUUAAUUGGUAAUUAUACCAUAUUUAUAUCAGUCAAAUUCAGUUAUUUAAGGGAAGUAAAAUUAGUUAUAUAUGUAUUUUAAAAGGAACAUUUUUUAAAAAUACAAAUAAAAAGUUGCUACAAAAAGUAAUUAUAAAACUGUUGCUAUAAAAUCAACAAUUAUGACCUUAAGUAUGCUAUUUAUGAACUUUGCCCUAUUUUAAAAAAUGAGUUGGCCCAUCGCGAUGCACAACUCAUUGAAUGAUGAGUUGAAUUUGCUAAUUUCUGAAGCAUCAUCUUGAUAGGUCACCUGGCCUUAAAUUUUAAAGCUUGAAUAGGCUAGCUCGGGCGGUCCAAAUUGACACCUCUAAAAUGAAAUUGCUUUUGUUAGGAAGAGUUUUAUUCCUCAAUGUAGGAAUCUUUGACUCGAGUUCAAAUUUAAUUGGACGUUUAUGAACUUUGCCCUAUUUUAAAAAAUGAGUUGGCCCAUCGCGAUGCACAACUCAUUGAAUGAUGAGUUGAAUUUGCUAAUUUCUGAAGCAUCAUCUUGAUAGGUCACCUGUCCUUAAAUUUUAAAGCUUGAAUAGGCUAGAUCGGGCGGUCCAAAUUGACACCUCUAAAAUGAAAUUGCUUUUGUUAGGCAGAGUUUUAUUCCUCAAUGUAGGAAUCUUUGACUCGAGUUCAAAUUUAAUUGGACGUUAAACGAGUAUGGGACAUUGAGUGUUGAUAAUUUGUCCCCAAUAAAAUAAAGUCUUAUAAAAAUAGCUUGCAUAAGGGAUGAUCUUGAUUUUUUGAUCUCGCUUAAUAAAUUUUGCCCAUAAAACAGACGUUUUAGCAAUUUUUCAUGUGGCAGAUAUCAAAAUUGACCAGCAGGGCAAAAGUUAGAAUUUAGAUAUGUUGCUCAUAAGACUAAUGUUCUAACUCUUGCUUGUAAGACAAAUUUCAUUUUCAGACAAUGGACCUGCAUAAUUAACUAGAAGUUCUACCUUAUAUACAAAAGUUGGAACUUAGAUAUAUUUUCAUAUAAGCAACAGUUCAUGACAUCGCAAAACAAUAAACCUGCAUAAUUGACCAAAAAAUUCUGCCUUUUUAAAAAUGGUUAAAACUUAUUUAACAGGAACAAAAAAUCAAGACCAUAUAUUUUCAGAGACAAAAAUUCAAAAUCAAAUAUUUGAUGAACAAAAAUUCAAAUCUAUCACUUUGAGAAACACUAGACAUAAUUUCCUCGAAUGAAAACCAAAAACAAAUAUUUAGCUAUUUUGGGACCAAUUUGGGGCGAGCCAAACCAAAAGUGCAUGGAAGCAUAUUGAACAAUUAUCGUCCAACAUAGUGCAAUCUUUGGGAUAGAAGAAAAUUUAUAAUUAUUAAAAUUCUCUUAUUCUUCUUUUUAAAAAAAAAAAAAGAGAAUUUUUGAAAAUUACGAUAAAUUUCUUAUGUGAUUUAGUUAUAGGGAUUAUGAUUUAAUUAAAGUAAAUAAAGUAUUCAUGACAAAAUUCGCAGAAUAUUACCUGAAAUUAAAAUUCUGAUUUUGAAGUGAUAUUUAAUUAAAUAUAGUAACUUUUAAUUGAAUUUAAUCUAUAAUGAAAAUUAAUGAUUUUGAGUCUUAGAAUAUAGGGGUAUUGAUUGAUUUUGUAUUAUUCAAUUGGUGAAAAUGUCAUUCAAAUUAAAUUUUAGAUUAAUUUUGUUUGGUACAAUAUUUUUUUCUUGGUUACUUAUCAAUAAGUAUUACUAAUUAGCUACUCUAUUAUAUAAGAGUCAACUUGUAGUGCUAACAAUUAUGUUUUUUUACUUAUAAGAUAAUUUUUUUAUUUAAAUUGAUAAAUCUAAUAAAUAAAAGCAUAGUGUGUUUCUAUGUAUGAAAUUUCAAACUCUUUAUUAACUUCUUAUGGUUUAUUUAACAUCACCUUUUAUCCUCUUAGUACAAACUAGAAGAACUUACUAAAUUUCCUUUAUGGAAUUACUUUUCUAUAUUAAGGUAAGAGUUUAAAAAUUUUGGAUGAUUGCAGAUGAUAUAAAUAUACGUUACAAUAAACCCUAAUAGAAUGUCAUUUGUUCUUGCGCCGACGAACUUAACCCCAAGUCAUUUUCUGCAUCGCUCUUCAAUAAUAAUGUCAAAAAUAAAAUCACAAAAGACAAUCGAGGAAAGCCGCUAUCAAGAGGAUACACCUGUUCUUCCAUUUGAUAUCAUUUUUAGCAUCCUCAUUAAGGUAAACACUACAUCUUUGAUACGCUUUAAGAGUGUUUCAAAAUCAUGGAAUGCUAUGAUUUCCGACAUUACUUUCACAAAAACCCACUAUGAUCGAUCCAAAGAGAUAGGAUGUGAAAAGAUAGUGUUACAAAAAAGUACGGGAGAGUUUGAAUUUUUAUAUUUAAACAACGUCAAUGAAGUUAUCAUAGAUAAACCAGAAUUCCCGCUCAAAGAAUUUAUAGGUGCUCAAAUCCUGUGCUCAUAUGAUGGCUUAGUAUUACUGAAAAAACCUAAGGCUUAUAAGAAGUUCGUUUUGUGGAAUCCACCAUCUGGACACCACCACAUUCUUGAGUGUCCAUAUAUGAAACCUCAACAGUAUACAUUUUGUUGCGCUUAUGGGAUGUGUUCUGAUUCCAUCACUGGUGAUUACAAAAUUAUAUUGAUCUACAAUUUAUUUUAUUUUGUGUACUCUACGAGUAAGAAUAUUUGGACGAAGAAAACAACUCUACCUACAUUACAACAGUGUCUUCCUAAAUUUGAACUUUCAACUUCAUACACAUACAUGUGCAGUCAAGGAACUGGUACCGACAAUCGUGUAUACUGGGCUCUAAAUGAGAAACGUGGUCAAAACGUAUGUAAAACUUCUACUUUCAUAUACUUUGACGUGAAUUCGGAUGAGUUGAAGGAGUUUCCAACACCUCAUGGCAUUGAAAAUAAGUUUGUGUAUCGUCUGUCUACUUUGAAAGGCUGUCUUGGUGCAUUUGGAGGCAAUGAUUAUAUCAAUGGAUUGUAUAUUUGGGUCAUGCAACAAGAUGGUUGGAGAUGGUUUAUGUAUAUUCCCUAUAUACAAGGCCCAACUAUCGAUAUCAAGCGUAAUUUCAGUAACUAUAAUCUUUUGUUCAGCACAAAGAGUUAUGAAGAGCUUGUCUUCCAAGGACCAGGGUGUCACAAUCUUUCCAUCUAUUGUCUUAAACAGAAAAAAUUUGUUAGGACAAUUCAUAUAUCAAAUCGUUCUGAGGAAUAUUUGUCUUAUCCCGUAUAUCAGAUAUGUCUGGAUAGCUUAUAUUUUCCUAGACUUAAUGUCACGCGCAAGAGGAAGCAACACAGUACUCAAUCCAUCGAAAAGAAGGCCAAGAUUUGAGAAGACACUUGUGAUAUCAGCAGUGCAAUGACAAAUUCGUCAAAUUCAAUCAUAUGGAUUGAUGUGUAAUCUUGAGUUUCUUUAAGUUUUGUACUCAAUCUUCUUAGUAUUCUUAUGUACUACAUGUUUUAUUUUCUUCUGUUUCUUCUAAUGUAUUUGUUAAUUUAAUUUUUAAGGGAAUGAAUUGGUUGUUAUUUUUGCAAUUGUUGAGUACUUAUUUCUUGUAAUGUUUGAUUUUCAAUAAGGUGAAUUAUACAAUUCCUCUGCUCUUCAAAUUAGUAAAUUUUAAUAUUCAAGGAAGAAUCGUAAUACAUGUAAAGGAGGGAUAUCUUUUAUCUAAUAAUGAAGAGUUCUAAUCAAGAUUGUAAUAUAUACAGGGUAGGAUAUUAGUUUAUAUUUAAUACUACAUAAUUUAGACGUGAGCGGCAUCCCAGGCUGUGGCGGAGCCUGGGACCGGGGGAUCCUGGGGGGCGUCCCGAGCUCGGGCGGAGCCUGGGAUGGGGGGAUCCUGGGGGGCAUCCCGGGCUCGGGCGGAUACUGGGACGGGGGAUCGUGGAGGGUAUCUGGGCGGAGCCUGGUUCGGGGGGAUCGUGGGGGCGUCCUAAGUUUGGGCGGAGCCUGGGAUGGAGGGAUCGUGGGGGGCGUCCCAGGCUCGGGCGGGGCCUGGGACAGGGAUAGGUGCCAUCUCGUGCUCGAGCGAGACCUAGGACGUGGGGGAGGGGGCAUACCGUGCUCGGGCGAAGCCUGAGGGGCGCCCUGGGCUCGGGCGGAGCCUGCGGCGAGGGAAGGGGGCAUCCCAGGCUCGGACGGAGCCUGGGAGGGGGAAAGGGGCGUCCCGGGCUCGGGCGGAGCCUAGGGAGGGGUGGAAGGGCAUCCCGGGUUAGGGCAGAGCCUGAGGCGGUGGGCAGGGCGUACCGAGCUAGGGCUGAGCGUGGGGGUGGGUGUCCCGGUCUCUUGCGGAGACUAGGUAGUGGGGGAGGGCGUCCCGAGAUCAUGCGGAGCCUAGGGAGUGGGGACGUUCCGGGAUCGUGCAGAGCCUGGGUACGGGUGGAAGGGGGCGUCCUGAGCAUCGGCGGAGCCUGGGAUGGGGGAAAGGGAACAUCCCGGGCUCGGUGGGAGCCUAGAGAGGGGCUGUCCUAGGAAAGGGGGUCGUCCCAGGAACGAGGGAGCCUGGGUAGGGGUAGGGGUUUGGGGGAGGGCGUCCCGAGCUCGGGGGAGCCUUGGGCGGCGGGGACGUCAUCCCGAACUCGGGGAGAGUGUGGGGCCGUCGGGGGCUGGGGGUGGGCUUCUCGGGCUCAGGGGAGCCUGGGCAGAGCGGGGGUAGGGGGUCCCGAGCUAGGGUGGAGCCUGGGGACGUUCUAGGCUCAUGCAGAGAUUGGAGAAGGAGGAGGGGGCCAUCUCGGGAUCGGGUUGAGCCUGGGACUCGGGGGCAGGGGUGCGGUUCCUAGCUCGGGCGGAGAAACGGUUUCUCGCUCGGGAAGAGUCUGGGAUCGGGGACUCCGGCUUGGGUGGAGCCGAGUGUGCGGCCUUGGGUUCAAGCGAAGACUGGGAUCGGGAGGAGGUGGUGCGGUAUAGGGCUCGGGCGAAGCAUGCUUAAACAUUUUUUAUUUCCCGACUUAACUUUUUUCCUUUUUAUCUCGGGCUUGGGCGGAGGGCGUCCUUGGCUCGAGCAGAGCCUGGGACGCGGGAGGGGUGCGUUCUGGGCUCGAACGGAGCCUGGGACGCAGUAGGGGGCAUCCCAGAAUAGGGUGGGUCCUGGGACGGUGGGAAGGGGCGUCCCCAUUCCCGGGAUUGGGCGGGGCCUGAGACGGGGUAGGGGGCGUCCCAGGCUCAGGCAGGGACUGGGAUGGGGGAAGGGGGCAUCCCGAGCUCGGGCAGGGCCUGGGACAGAGGGAGGGGCGUCCCGGGCUCGGGUAGAGCCUGAGGGUGUUCCGGGCUUGGGCGGAGCCUGGGGCGGGGGGAGGGGCAGUCCCGGGAUAGGGCGGAGCCUGGGACAGGGGGAGGGUGCGUCUCGAGCUAGUACGGGGCCUGGGACGAGGGGAGAAGGCCAUCACAGGCUCGGGCGGAGCCUGGAAUGAGGGAAGUGGGGCUUCCUAGGCUCGAGAAGAGCUUGGGAUGGGGGGAAGGGGUACGUCCCGGACUCGGACGGGGCCUGGGAUAGGGCAGAGGACAUUCCGAGCUCGGGCGGGGCCUGGGAUGGGAGGAGAGGAAGGCAUCCCGGGCUCGGACGAGGCCUGGGAUGGGUGGAGGGGGCCGUCCCGGGAUUAGGUUGAGCCUGGGACUCGGGGGCAGGGGUGCGGUUCCUAGCUCGGGCGGAGAAACGGUUUCUCGCUCGGGAAGAGUCUGGGAUCGGGGACUCCGGCUUGGGUGGAGCCGAGUGUGCGGCCUUGGGUUCAAGCGAAGACUGGGAUCGGGAGGAGGUGGUGCGGUAUAGGGCUCGGGCGAAGCAUGCUUAAACAUUUUUUAUUUCCCGACUUAACUUUUUUCCUUUUUAUCUCGGGCUUGGGCGGAGGGCGUCCUUGGCUCGAGCAGAGCCUGGGACGCGGGAGGGGUGCGUUCUGGGCUCGAACGGAGCCUGGGACGCAGUAGGGGGCAUCCCAGAAUAGGGUGGGUCCUGGGACGGUGGGAAGGGGCGUCCCCAUUCCCGGGAUUGGGCGGGGCCUGAGACGGGGUAGGGGGCGUCCCAGGCUCAGGCAGGGACUGGGAUGGGGGAAGGGGGCAUCCCGAGCUCGGGCAGGGCCUGGGACAGAGGGAGGGGCGUCCCGGGCUCGGGUAGAGCCUGAGGGUGUUCCGGGCUUGGGCGGAGCCUGGGGCGGGGGGAGGGGCAGUCCCGGGAUAGGGCGGAGCCUGGGACAGGGGGNNNNNNNNNNNNNNNNNNNNNNNNNNNNNNNNNNNNNNNNNNNNNNNNNNNNNNNNNNNNNNNNNNNNNNNNNNNNNNNNNNNNNNNNNNNNNNNNNNNNNNNNNNNNNNNNNNNNNNNNNNNNNNNNNNNNNNNNNNNNNNNNNNNNNNNNNNNNNNNNNNNNNNNNNNNNNNNNNNNNNNNNNNNNNNNNNNNNNNNNNNNNNNNNNNNNNNNNNNNNNNNNNNNNNNNNNNNNNNNNNNNNNNNNNNNNNNNNNNNNNNNNNNNNNNNNNNNNNNNNNNNNNNNNNNNNNNNNNNNNNNNNNNNNNNNNNNNNNNNNNNNNNNNNNNNNNNNNNNNNNNNNNNNNNNNNNNNNNNNNNNNNNNNNNNNNNNNNNNNNNNNNNNNNNNNNNNNNNNNNNNNNUUUCCCACCAUUAGGCCCUCUACUCAUUUCGUGUAAUAUUUGUACCGGAUGUUCAGUCAAGAAUCUAUCAGAAAUGUAUACGAGAUAUGUUGUCCCAUCCUGUCCUGUUCCGUUCCAUCCCAUCUCCUUUGUCCCAGCCCCCUAAGCUCUCUGGUUCCCGGUCUCAUUAAGAAAUCAUCUGGUGCUGUCCUGCUCCACUUCUGACAUAGAGAACAUAGAGAUAUUAGGAAAAUUAGAACAUUGAGAUCAUUUGCACCCAGACAUCAAGAAUCAAAGUCUCAUGCAUUCUCAUUGAGAAAAUACGAGCAACAUCUUGAAGAACUAUCAUACAAAACUAGCACGGGAAGUACCACAAUUACUCCUACAUCAGAAACUUGUUAUCCAAACGGUGAUGUGUUAAAACUUUUCUCGAUUCUUAAGGUAAUUGUUUAUGAUGUGAAUUGAACUAAAGGAUCUUUGGUCCAAGGUAUUAGCUUUUAAGCUGAAAACACACUUCUAGCUGACCAUCCUUAUUGUAGGUUUCCAAAUUUUCUUGUCCUCGAGUUAGGGGUGGCGUUUGUAAUCAAACUGAUGACAGGACAGGCGAGACAAAAUAUUGGAAACCUACAAGAAUCAUGAGUACGAGCAAAGCAAAAAUUACCCUGCAGAAAUCACUUGGACAUAGUUUACCAUGCAGGAUCAAUAAGAAAAUUUGUGGUUGUCUUCUAUUGUGAGAAGCAGUAGCGGAGCUACCUUUNNNNNNNNNNNNNNNNNNNNNNNNNNNNNNNNNNNNNNNNNNNNNNNNNNNNNNNNNNNNNNNNNNNNNNNNNNNNNNNNNNNNNNNNNNNNNNNNNNNNNNNNNNNNNNNNNNNNNNNNNNNNNNNNNNNNNNNNNNNNNNNNNNNNNNNNNNNNNNNNNNNNNNNNNNNNNNNNNNNNNNNNNNNNNNNNNNNNNNNNNNNNNNNNNNNNNNNNNNNNNNNNNNNNNNNNNNNNNNNNNNNNNNNNNNNNNNNNNNNNNNNNNNNNNNNNNNNNNNNNNNNNNNNNNNNNNNNNNNNNNNNNNNNNNNNNNNNNNNNNNNNNNNNNNNNNNNNNNNNNNNNNNNNNNNNNNNNNNNNNNNNNNNNNNNNNNNNNNNNNNNNNNNNNNNNNNNNNNNNNNNNNNNNNNNNNNNNNNNNNNNNNNNNNNNNNNNNNNNNNNNNNNNNNNNNNNNNNNNNNNNNNNNNNNNNNNNNNNNNNNNCGUAUACGGAUAAUUAGAUAGCAACAAGGUUUGCCUCAUACAUUUUUUGGUCUGAUACAAGGAAUAUGUUGGUGUAUAAGAACGACUUAAAGAGAAGAUAUCCCUGCAUAAAUGGUCACACUUGGUCCGCUUUAGUCCAAACUCUUGUACUUCCUCGCUAAAUUUGCCAGACCAGGCACGAGGACUCAGUUUCAGGUCAUUCAGAGACUUUUUCAAAUGACAAACCUCCCCAUAGUUGCCAAAACAGGGAACACCCUUGAUUUUGGACUAAAGAGGUAUGCACACUUCUACAGUUCUAUNNNNNNNNNNNNNNNNNNNNNNNNNNNNNNNNNNNNNNNNNNNNNNNNNNNNNNNNNNNNNNNNNNNNNNNNNNNNNNNNNNNNNNNNNNNNNNNNNNNNNNNNNNNNNNNNNNNNNNNNNNNNNNNNNNNNNNNNNNNNNNNNNNNNNNNNNNNNNNNNNNNNNNNNNNNNNNNNNNNNNNNNNNNNNNNNNNNNNNNNNNNNNNNNNNNNNNNNNNNNNNNNNNNNNNNNNNNNNNNNNNNNNNNNNNNNNNNNNNNNNNNNNNNNNNNNNNNNNNNNNNNNNNNNNNNNNNNNNNNNNNNNNNNNNNNNNNNNNNNNNNNNNNNNNNNNNNNNNNNNNNNNNNNNNNNNNNNNNNNNNNNNNNNNNNNNNNNNNNNNNNNNNNNNNNNNNNNNNNNNNNNNNNNNNNNNNNNNNNNNNNNNNNNNNNNNNNNNNNNNNNNNNNNNNNNNNNNNNNNNNNNNNNNNNNNNNNNNNNNNNNNNNNNNNNNNNNNNNNNNNNNNNNNNNNNNNNNNNNNNNNNNNNNNNNNNNNNNNNNNNNNNNNNNNNNNNNNNNNNNNNNNNNNNNNNNNNNNNNNNNNNNNNNNNNNNNNNNNNNNNNNNNNNNNNNNNNNNNNNNNNNNNNNNNNNNNNNNNNNNNNNNNNNNNNNNNNNNNNNNNNNNNNNNNNNNNNNNNNNNNNNNNNNNNNNNNNNNNNNNNNNNNNNNNNNNNNNNNNNNNNNNNNNNNNNNNNNNNNNNNNNNNNNNNNNNNNNNNNNNNNNNNNNNNNNNNNNNNNNNNNNNNNNNNNNNNNNNNNNNNNNNNNNNNNNNNNNNNNNNNNNNNNNNNNNNNNNNNNNNNNNNNNNNNNNNNNNNNNNNNNNNNNNNNNNNNNNNNNNNNNNNNNNNNNNNNNNNNNNNNNNNNNNNNNNNNNNNNNNNNNNNNNNNNNNNNNNNNNNNNNNNNNNNNNNNNNNNNNNNNNNNNNNNNNNNNNNNNNNNNNNNNNNNNNNNNNNNNNNNAUUAAAAAAAUAAAAAUAAAAUAAAAAUGAUUAAAAUAUUUUUGGAAAAGGACAAAAUUAUGUGUCUACAUUGAUAAAUCAAAUAAAUAAAACAAGUAAACAUUGUCCAUAUAUUAAACCAGAGCAGUUAACCCUUUCUAUGCAUGCAAUUUCAAACUCUUCAUUAACUUCUUAUUGUUUAUUUAGCACCAUCUUUUAUCCCCUCAGUACAAAGAAGAAAAUUUAUUAACUUUCCUUUAUGGACUUACUUUUAUACAUUAAAGUAAGAGUUUAAUUAUGUUGACCAUAUAUAAAUAUUUUGCACAACGACAGAUGAUAUAAACAUAUAUUAUAGUAAACCCUAUAGAAUACUAUUUGUUUAUGCGCCAUGGAACUUGACCACAAGUCAUUUUAUACAUCAAAAGGGCAGCUCGGUGCACUAAAGCUACCGCUAUGCACGGUAUCUGAGGAGGGGCCCCACCACUAGGGUGUAUCGCACACAGCCUUACCUUGCAUUUCUGCCAGAGGCUAUUUCCAAGGUUAGAACCCAUGACCUCCUGGUCACCUGGCAACAACUUUACCAGUUACUCCAAGGCUCCCUUUUUUUCUACACCAAUCUUCAAUAAUGAUGUCAAAAACAAAAUCAUGAAAGACAAUCAAGGGAAGUCAUUUCAAAAAGGAUACAUCUGUUCUUCCAUCUAAUAUCAUUUUCAAAAUCUUUAUUAAGGUAAACUCUACAUCUUUGGUACAUUUUAAGUGUGUUUGAAAUCAUGGAAUGCGAUGAAUUCUGACAUUACUUUCACAAAAGCUCACUGUGAUCGAUCUAAAGAGGUAGAAUGUGAAAAGCUUUUGUUACAAGAAAGUACUGGCGAGUUUGAAUUUUUAUAUUAAACAACCUCAAUGAAAUUAUCAUAGAUAAACGAUAAUUUCUCUCAAAGAAGUUCUAGGUGCUUGUCACAUCCUUUUUUUUACCAAAGAAGAUUGAUUUUAACCCUUGAAAGGGUUUUAUUAUUAAAGUUACAAAAGAUUGAAAAAUUUGUUCCGAAAAGGACUUCUUAUAUUCAAAACUCAGAGUCGCUACUUGGCAUAAAUUGGGUGUGCCAAGUCACCUUUGGAAAUCCCUUUUUAAAACAAUUUGACUCUUUAAACUACUUUGCAAACAGAGAUUCCGGCUAAGGAAUUCUGUUUAUCGAGGGGAAGGUGUUAGGCACCCCUCGAUCCCGUGGUUUGACCACGGUCGCUUGGUAGAGCGUAUUGGCAAAUUUGACAUUAUAAAUGUAUAAACCACACAAAGCAUGAAAAAUAAUCAAUCAAACAAACUAAACGAAACAAAUCAAAAUUUAGUACAGUCCAAAAUAGAAAAAUGCGUAAAAUAUAAAUCCUAUUUUAAGCUAAUCAUAAAACUGCAUUCCAAUGCCUUACCCGAUGCCUCGAGCCUUGAUCAUGAGCCACCUCUGCGUACAUGAUACUUCGGGGCAUUCCUCGGAUAAAUCAAUACAAAUCUCUCGGGGCAUUCCCCGGCCAAAUGAAUACAUUAGAAUCAAGUACGGCCCACGCACAUUCAAACAUUCAACCAGGCACAAGUUUUAAAUUUGCCUACCCAAACCUACAUUUGCCUAUCUGUUUCAACAAAAUUCAUGCUUAUUCAAAAUUAAACCGCUAAUAAUAAAUUAAAAAAAAUACAUAUUCAGUUUUAUCAAUUUGAAUUCUGCCCCAAAUAGCUAAUUUUAAUUCUCAAAUAAGAUGCUAUUUCACCAUGCAAAUCAUAAUCAAAGGAACCAAUCGCGAAUCGAAACAAAUAUGCGUUCAUCACCAACAAGGAUCAAAUAAGACACACAAUAUUCAAUCCAACACACCAAAAUAUAGUAAAUAAUGAAAUAAAAAGAGAUAUAAUAGAAUUGGACCACGAUUCGUAGCUUUCUAACUUAAUGUUAUUCGAAUAAAGAGAAUCCGCGCCCGGAAACCUCCAACCAACUCUUAAAGAAACGAACGCAUCCAACUUGGAACUGAGAAUCACAGAAACAAAGAGACCUAGACCAGAUUGCCAUGAACCCACACAACCUCGAACUAAAAAUCGUGAGAAAUAAGAGAAAUCCGGUCCGAUUCCAAUGGGUUUGUAAGGAAUCAAAAGCAGAUCAAGGUUUUUUUGAUGAUUUUGUGUCUCUGUAACCCCGAUAAACUUUGGCUAUGACCAAAUCAACAAAGAGAUAUCAGUUGAGACAUAUUUGAUGGGUUUUGAAUGAAUUUAUGAUAGCUAGAUGUGAUUCCAGUGAGCCUGUCGCCGGAACAGUAAUCAAAUGACCAAACUUGUGUUCCUCAAGCUCUUACUCACCGGUAACUGCUUUUCCAUCAUUCUCUUUUGAUUUCAAUUGCGGAUCUCUCCCUCUCUUGCAAAUCUCUGUCACUCUCUCGCAGAUUUCUUUCACUCUUUUGCAGCUCUCUCUUUCUAACGUCAUCUCUUAUUUAUCCAUUUUUGUAUGUAUCGUGGUAGAAUUAAGAGUGUGUAGUGUAUAUGGGUGUGUGACGGUGAGGUUAUUGUGAGGGUCUGUUCUGUAUCUAUGCAGGUAGUGUUUUCAUAAAAUUUGGGCGUGUGUACGUUGUUUAUUAGUGUAUGAAUGAAUUCUGUGAAGAUGAAAAAAAUGGAGAGCUCGUGUGUUGAUGUGUAACAGCUAUCUUGUGGUUCCAAAAAAAAAUGGAGAGUUCCAUUGAGCUCCUCCUUUUGGUGAAUAAUGGUGGAGUGUGUAAAUCUCUCCUCCCUUUUCAUUGAAAACAAAUUGAGCCUUAUCUGAAAAUGUGGAAACCAGUGAAGUCAAUUGUAUGUGGGGCCCCCUUAUCCUUUUGUGAUUAUUCCUUAUAUAGCUAUUUUCAAUUAGAAAGAGAAGAAAAGAAAAAGAACCUCAUGUGGGCCCCACACUAUUUUUUGUUGUUAGUCCAUUCCCUUAUCCUCAUUUUGUUAAGGUGAAAAAAGGGGUAAAACGUGAAGGGGUGAGAGUAUUUGGGGUAGGGGUGAGGUAAGGUAGGGUGUGGGGUAGGGUAGGUUGUUAGGAUGAGCUAUAAAGGGGGUUAGGAUAGGAUAAAAUUUGUUAGGUAGUUUGUUACGGAGUUUGUUUUAAGUUGUUAUUUUUUGUAUUUUUGUGGGAUAUAAUUACAUGGGUGAGGGUACACAAUAGUAUAAAUUAAAAAUAGGUAAAAAUGAUAUUUGGGAGGGAAGAAAUUAUGUGUCUACAUCAUGCCCCCUUUGAAUGUGAGCACGAAGUGUUUUCAGACAAAGAAGUAGAAACAAGACAGAAUUUUAUCCCAACCAUUAUUCAAAGAAAGAAACAGAAAGAGAAAGAACAACUGAGUUCUGACUUAAGCCAUCCUACCCACCCAAGCAUGGAGGAAUCAAGUGACGGUGACUCUAAGGAUUGGAAGAAAAUGGACUAUUCCAAGUUGGAGAGUUGAGUGAGGUUCCAUCGAGGUUCCAUUCCGCGCCUCUGUCAUUACAUCAAAAAUUAAAAUUACAAGUUAAAACAUAAAUGAAAUUACAAAAUCCUAUCUAUACAGCUUCUAUUGGACUCCUGACUUAAGUUUCAUCACCCUAUUCUUUAGGCGAGUUCCUGAUUUGCAAUUUCAUCACCUGUUUCUUGGUCUUCAAUUGCUUCACCUUAUUGCUUAAGUUUCCAUUUAUUCUCCCUGUGCUUCAGGAGGGCUCCUGACUUGCCAUUUUAUCACCCUAUUCUUCAGGCGGGCUGCUGUCUUGCAAUUUCAUCACUCUGGUCUUCAGGUGAGCUCCUGACUUGCAAUUUCAUCACCCUAUUCUACAGGCGGGCUACUGACUUGCUAUUUCAUCAAUCUGUUAACUUUCAAAUUUUCACCUUGUUGCUUGACUUUCAACUUCUUCACUUUAUAGCUUGACUUUUCAUUUUUUCACCAUCUUCUCCAGGCGAGCUCCUGAAAUCACAUCAAAACUAAAAAGAAAAUUAUCCCAAACAAGGAUUAUUAUAAAGAGGUUUCAUUUGCCAGAAAAGAGAAGUUCCAACACAAGAAUUAAAUUUUUGCCCAGUUUAUCAUCAAAGAACUUUUCUGAAAGUCACAUCAUUAUAGGAAUCAAGGAGAAUGACUCAACUAAAAGGUACGUCUUAUAGGAAUCAAAGAAAAUAACUCGUCUAAAAGGUACGUCUGAUAGGAAUCAAAGAGAAUGACUCGACUAUAAGGUACGUCUUCUAGGGGUCAAGGGAUAUGACUCGACUAAAAGGUACCUCUUAUAGGAAUCAAGGAGAAUGACUCGAAUAAAAGGUACGUCUUAUAGGAAUCAAGGGAGAUGACUCGACUAAAAGGUACAUCUUCUAGGGGUCAAAGGGAAUGACUCGACUAAAAGGUACGUCUCUUAGGAAUCAAGGGGGAUGACUCGACUAAAAGGUGCGUCUUAUAGGAAUCAAAGGGAUGACUCAACUAAAAGGUACGUCUUAUAGGAAUCAAAUGAGAAUGACUCGUCUAAAAGGUACGUCCUAUAGAAAUCACGGGGAAUAACUCAACUAAAAGGUAUGUCUUCUAGGGGUCUAGGAGAAUGACUCGAAUACAAGGUACGUCUUAUAAGAAUCAAAGGGAAUGACUCGACUACAAGGUACGUCUUAAAGGAAUCAGAGGAAAUGACUUGACUAAAAGGUACGUCUUAUAGGAAUCAAAGGGAAUGACUCGACUAAAAGGUACGUCUUAUAGGAACCAGAGGAAAUGACUCGACUAAAAGGUACGUCUUCUAGGGGUCAAGGGAAAUGACUCGACUAAAAGGUACAUCUUAUAGGAAUCAAAGGGAAUGACUAGACUAAAAGGUACGUCUUCUAUGUGUCAAGGGGGAUAAAUCGACUAAAAGGUAUGUCUUAUAGGAAUCCAGGGAAAUGACUUGACUAAAAGGUACGUCUUCUAGGGGUCAAGGGGAAUGACUCGACUAAAAUAUACAUCUGAGAUGACUCGACUAAAAGAUACGUAUUUUAUGAGUCAAGGCUCAAUUUAAGAAGUGUAUCAGCUAACAGAUGAAGACUGAAAUCCCUAGACAAGAAAGUGUGUCUCCAAGGGAUAUAGGCUGAUGAAUUAUUACCAUGACUAGAUUAUCAAACCUGUGCAGCAUCAUUACUUCUUGCCUCUAUAGAAGAAAGAAAUUAUGGCCUUUGUUGUUUAGUAUUAGAAAUCCUAGAUUUGAAGGUAGCCUAUUCCUUUUUCAUACAAAGAAAACUUCUGAGUUUAAAAUAUGGUGGCUUGUUUGUGGCUUUGGAUUUUGAGGCAAUUGCUCUUGACCCAAUCAUAUUAAAAAAAAUCUUCUAACCAUUAUCAUAUGCCAUUGACUUGCUGCAUCAUUUACUCAAACUCCGGUCAUUAAGAGUGACUGAAACGAACACAGUAUCUCUGCUUUGCCAUGCUUCUUAGAUAAGCCUUUGAACCUUGGCAUUUCCAUGAGUUCCUCGACUUCUCUGUUGGCAAAACUUUUGGCAUACCCUUUUUGUCUCACAAUUAUGUCUCUUUCAUGUGCUAGCUUUUGUCUUACUCUGUGCAAUUGAUGAAGAUGGUAGCUAGUUUUGAAAUCUUUUCUCUUUUGUUUUGACCCGGACGUGACUCAAAGACAAGAAAAAAAAUAGAAUGACAAUUUUUAUUUGGACAAACGACUCAAGAAAAUAAAAAAAAUAAAGAGAAGAAAGAAAAGACAAUGAAUGUCCCCGUUUGAAACAAAGAAAUGACAAAUUCAUCGAAAAAAAUGACAGUUAACUCUAAUGUUAUGCCAUGCAUUUUGGAUUAAGAAGCUUGAUCUUUUCAUCCAAACUUUCUACCAAUUGUUGUUGAGUUAAUGACCUUGAAACUGAGUUACUUCCUUAGGUAAAUUACAUUUAAGACCUCAUCCGGCUAUUGGAGCCUUGAAGGGUUUUCGCCAACAAGCUUCUCUCAUUUCCUUUUAUCGCCUCACCAUUGCCUUAUGGUAUCCUCGAGGGUUUUUUUACAUCAAUGAGAUUCUCUUAUUUUCAUUUCUCUCAACUCAUAGUCAUCUUACAGUGCCCGUAAGGGUUUUCACCUACGAGAUUCUCUCAUUUUUAACUCUCUCAACUUACCAUUAUCUUACGGUGCCCGUGAGGGUUUUCACCAAAAAAACUCUCUCAUUUUUAUUUCUCUCCUGAUUUCAUGUGGAAGACGAGUAGUUCCCAAAAUGUGUCUUCACAUCCAUUGUAUGCUUAGCCUUAACAUUCUCAAAGAUUAAUCUGAAGGUCUUUCUUUGGUUGUAACUUGGAUUUGGAUAGGGUUGGAAAGAAAGGAUGGCAUGGGGUCCAAACGAUACUAAAAGUGGGGUCGGACUUACAACUUUUGGAAUGACUCAAACAAUGAGGAUUAACUCAUGCCCCAGUUUUUGACUGGACAAUUCUAAAUUAUUUAUUUGGUUGGACCGAGCCCUGAGUAGGGUAGCCUACGUAUCUCACCCUCGAGAGAGGAGAAUUAGGUCAUGCGUAGUUCUGGCAGCUUAUUCUUUUUUUGCUUGAUUCUAACUUUUUUUUCUUUUUUUUUCUUUUGACUCUUUUUCUUUGUGAUUUUUCUGACUCUAAUUUCUUUACACUCUUUUCUUCCUUCUUGGACACAUUUUUCUCUCUCUUUUUUUAAACUUUCUGACUCUAUUCUCUUGCUCGAUACUUUUCUUUUGAGCUUUGCUGGCUUUAUCUUAUUUUCAAAAGAGGGACAUGAAAGAAAAUAACACUAAGGCUCAAAUGGGGUAAACAAAGGAUGAAACAAUGUUUGGAUAGCAGAAUAAAAUGCCUUUGUCAUAUCAAUACUUGAAAAUACUAGUACAUAGCAUGCAAUGUGAAAGUGAACGAUCAACAUCACUUAUGACAUAUUUUACAACACUAACUUGCCUCGAACAUGUGUGCCACCUAUUUUUAUAUACUUGUCAAAAAUACAACUCCACUUUUGUUGUAUAUCCCUCACAUUGAAUAACUCAUUAUGCUUUUAUAGAGUUGAUUUUCUUUCUUUCCUCUUGAUAAGAUCACACAGAAACUGUUUGACCUAAUUAAGCUAUACUUUUCAAUUGAUGACCAAGUUGUUCUUGUGAUUCUCAAAAUAAUUGCCUUAACUUUGAAAGAAGGCUUCAACUUGUCACCAAAUGUCUCAGCACUCUACCUAUUUUCUCAUAUGCUUUUUCUAACCUUAGCCCUCUGAUUCCAUGUUUCAUGGUUAAAUUGGACUUGAAGAUAUGACUGAAAAUUCCGUAAGCAUAUCAUAUCACUAGAGUCAACAUAAAAUGUACUGUAUAAAUAAAACAAACAAACAACACAUAUUUUAAACACAAAGGAAAAAGGGACACUCUAUUUAGUUGAAAUAAAAGAUAGAAAUGGUUUGAACAUAAACGAUGUAGACACGUAAUUUUGUCCCUUCCAAAUUUAAUUUUACCCAUUUUACCUUCGUCUUACUGCAUGCCCUCACUCGUAUGAUUAUAUCCCACAAAAAUACAAACAAAUAACAAAUCCCCAACCAACCUAAUCCAAAAUAUUCUUGUGAUAACUAAUUAACACGCCUCCUUAUCAAUUUUUGAAAACACAGCACCCUCCUAACAACCUACCUCACCUCACUCACGUGACCCCUACCCCAUCUUUCAUAUGUUUUUGUUUUUCUUGAAAGAAAGGAGAAUAGGUAGAUUUUUUAGGGAGGGGUCAUCUAUUCACAUCAUAAAGGGUGGGGGGACCACUAAAUAAAGAGGAGGGGGAUCCGUUAUUGAGAGAAGAAUUGAUAUACUCCCCAGUAACUAGAUACACCUCGAGAUAGCCAUCUUCCUCACGGACAGUUCCAUUUUUUUCCUCUCAAUUUUUUUCUUCUUUUCUUCAUUUGAGUAGACACAAUACACACAGAGAGAAGAUGAGGUAGAUUAAGAGUGAGAGAGAGUAGUAGAGAGAGUAAUGAAGAGAGAGAGAGGUCGGUGGGUUGGAUUUUUCUGGUGGUAUCCACGCUGGAAUUGAGGUUCGUCGUCGGGAGUGGGUUGAAUCAGUCAUAAAUUCAGUAAAACAUUCUUCAUUUUCUUUCAAUAUUGGGAUGAUACUUAGCAAUAAUCUGGUCUAUCCCUAUUGGUGUUGUGGUCGUCAACUCGCCUGAGCUCGAUUCCAGUUUCUAUUGGAUUUUUCAGGGUCGCGGUUUGAUUUCGAUCAAGUUUGGGCUAUAUUUCUAUUUGUUUGGGUUAUUUUCUUGUCAUUUCGAUUGGAUUCUGUGCGAGUUUGCAGUGGUUUGAUUCCAGAAGGUUGAAUUAGUUUUCGAUCUGUUCAUUGUCUCUGCUGGGUGUUUCUAGACGUCUUGUCGAUCUGGUGUUUGGAUUGGAUCAUAAGUUUGGGUUUUGUAUCGAGUUGGUUUGUUGUUGAGGCUUGCUAUUGAGGAUUCCAAAUUCGAGUUUUCUUUAACUCAUAUUAUCAACAAAAAUUUGAUAUCGAAAGGUCCAUUCUAUUUAACUCUUUCUCUUUUCUUCAUCUUGAUUUGUUGAAAAUUGUUUGAGGUUAUGUGUGGGGAUGAUUAUGAAUGGUGAAUUUUUUGAUGAUAUGACUUGUGAUUCUAUGGUUGAACCAUGCUGUAUUGUUGGUUUAAUUGAUCGACGAAAAUUAAUUAAUUGGUCGAGGUUGACUUGAAUACAUGUGGGAAUAAAGGGGGUUGGAAUUGAAAUUGAUAAAGAACUAUCAUUAAUUUAUUUUGAUUCAUUAAAUGUCGUUGAUGUGAUAGUAUCAUGAUACGUUGAAAUGAAUAGGUGAAUAUAGGUUCGGGUAGGCAAAAUUCCUAUGAAUAAGAAUUUUCGUUGAAUGUUUAAAUAUGGAAUGUUGGAUGAAUAUUUUCUAGUUUAUCGUGUUUGACUCAAUUGUACUAUUUGGCCAGGGAAUGCCCCGAAGUACUUGUAUUGUUUUAUCUGGAGAAUUCCCCGAAGCAUUUUGUACUUGGAGGAUGUCCGUGAUGAAGGCCCGAGACGUCGGGUAGCUUGGGAGUGUAGUUAGGAUUAGCAUAGGUUAGAUGGAAUUUAUUUUCCCAUUGAGGGUAACAAGGUCAUUUGACAGACUGAUUUGGGAAAAAGCAUGUGUUAGAAGCAAAGUGUGUAAGCAAGAAAUUGUUGAAAAAAAGAAGAAGAAAAAAGAGAGAAAAAAAGAGAUUUGGUAGUUUUUAGGGCUCUUUAUGGCUUUUGUUUUUCACAAUUCAAAAAAAAAUAUUUUUUUUCUUUUUGCACUCAAUUCCCAAUAAAUCAAAAAAGUUAAAAAAAAAUUUCCUUUUAUUUCUUUAGUAAGUAUUCACAAUUCGAAAACUCCAAAAAUAUUUUUUCCUUUCAAUAGGAGCUUUGUACAUUUUUAUAUAAUGAAAAUAUCAAAAGAUUUUUUCUUUCAUAGUUGUUGGUGUUAGUUUCUAAUUGAAAGCCCCAAAAAAUUUAUUUUUAUCGUCUGUCUUUAGUCGUGUCUGUCAAUUCAGGGUUUAGUUUGUCAUUUAAUCCUUGAUUGUCCAAUCUGGACGAACUACGCACCCCUGAUUCUCCUCUCUCGGGAGUGAGAUACGUAGGCAGCCUAUUGUUGGUUCGGAGACUUUAUUUGAAAAAUUCAGAAAAAAAUAUUUUCUUCACUCUUUAUUAGAGUAGGUGUGAUAUAUUUCUUUAAAAGAAAACUGCAAAUAGAUUUUUCUUUAAUAGUUUCAAUUUUCAUUUCAUAUGAAAUUCGAAAUUGAAAACCCAAAAAGAUUUUCUUUGGUAAUCAUAGGUUUUAUUUUGUAUAGGAAUAUGAAAAAAAAUCCAAAAAGAUUUUCGUCAUUUUUCAUUUAGAGUAGGUGUGUCAUAUACAUUUUCGAAAAGAAAACCACAAAAAGAUAUUCCUUUAAUAGUUUCAAGUUUCACUUUCAUAUGAAAAUGAAAAUCGAAAAUUUCAAAAAGAGAUUUUUCUUUGGUUGUCAUAGAUUUCAUUUUAUAUAGGGAAUUUAAAUCUGAAAAAUGCAAAAAAGAUUUUCGUCAAUUCUUUUAAUAAUAUUUUAUUUUUUCUUCUUCUUAAAGUUUAAAGAAAAAGAAAAAGAAAAAAAAGUUUAAUUGGCCAUUUUGGCAAGACUUCACAAACUACGCACAUCUAAUUCUCCCCUCUCGGAGGUGAAAUACGUAGGUGCUCUUCUUGGGUUCGGUGAUCUUUUCUAAAAAAAAAAUAAUGAAAAAAAGAGAGGUUUUAAAAAAUGUUGAACUCUAACAUAUUUGUUUCCUCUUGUUCAGUUAGUUUAAGGUGGUUGAUUUGUGGCUUCCUGGCUGGUCUUCCAUAUCACACCAAAUCCAAGGAAGGUUUAGUUGUGUUCAACAAGGAUAUAGAGAGUGGCACCAUGGAUGAAACAAAGAGUCAGGAAAUUAAGAGUUUAAUGGAAGAGAAUUUGAGACUGAGACAACAAAUGAUGAAAAUGCACCGAGCUUGGACCAGUGGGCUUCCUCCACCUCAGUUCCCCACUUUUGAUCCUACAAAUACCUUGAGUCUUCCACCUAAAUUGCAAAGUCAGUUUCCUACUGUUGUUGAUGCACUACAGCAUGCCUCAGAAUCCAUUCCACAUCAAAUGCACCUCAAUAUUUCCACCACUCUUUCUUUAGCUCCUCAGUAUAAGUCUACCAUAUUCACAACACCACAUACCAUCUGUGCUUUUGUUGCUCAACCUUCUACUAAGACUUCCACUUUGACUAUCAAUCCAACGAUUGUGCUUCCCCAGUCCACUAGUGAAUCCACGUUCAAUACUCUUGAUGAUCAUUGUUAUACUCUUGAUCCUGCCGUUAAAUUAAGUGGACCGCCAAAAUUUCUUCCUAAGAAGACUAGUAUGCUAGAAGAGCUAGAGAAAGUGGUUGGGAAAGUUAAGAGUGUAGAAAAUGAUAUGAAAAAUUCUCCUAGACUUAUGGGCUAUGAAGAUUUUUCAUAUAAAAAAUAGGGCAUGUCUUCAAGUGUUAACCUUUCUGCCAAAUUUGAGACAUCAAAAUUUUGGGAGCCUGAUGGACAAAAGGAUUCUGUGAAAUAUUUGGGACAACAUUGCAAUUAACCAAGGGAAACUGAAGGAAAGAAGAAAAAAAAUGCACCUAUUGUCAUGCCAAGGCCAAAGCAGAGUUUGAGAGGUCCAACCCACCAAUACUGUCAGCCUCAACAUCGAUCUUACAUAUUAGAUCCACAUAACCACUUGCAACAAGGUUUCUUUCCCCAAACUCCAAGAAAUCCCAUUCCAUUUCCUCAAUAUCCUUUGAACAAUGCAUAAUUGUAUGCUCAUCCAUCUUCUUAUCCAUAAUGGCAUGCACCUGUCCCUCAAUAUCAUCCUCGACCCCCACAAAUUUACCAAGGAACCUCUAAAUCCAAGUUUUAUCCGAGGCCAGAGUUCACUAAGUGGAGGAAGGAAAAAGAUAAUUUCACUCCUAUUGGGGAAUCCUAUGCGAGUUUAUUCCAGAGAUUGGGACAGCAGGGCAUGAUCACUCCUCUCCUUAGGUAUACUCCUAACCCACAUUCAAGAAGUUUUGAUCCUAAUGUAUGAUGUGCAUAUCAUUUUGAUGUUCAGGGUCACAGUAUUGAAGAUUGUCGUGCUUUGAAAAGAGAAAUUGAAAAGAUGAUUCAAGAUAAAUCAAUUAUGGUGAAGAACAUUGACAGUGAGGAAAGCUCUAGUCAUACUGAUAUAUAAAUCAGUGGCUAAGAUGUCAGACUGAGCAAUUGAAAAGUCACUCCUCCCUAAGAAGAAGGGGUCUGGUAGUUUGUUUUAUUUUAUUUCCUGUUAUCCGAAUUAUUUCGGGGUUGUAGUUCGGGAUCUAUCUUGUUUUGUCCCUUUGUCGUUAUGUUCAAACCCUUCUAUCUUUUAUUUUUAUUAAAUGAAGUGUCCCUUUUUUCUUUGUGUUUUAAAUAUGUGUUGUUUGUUUGUUUUCUUUACAUAGUACAUUUUAUGUUGACUCUAGUGACAUGACAUGCUAGUGAAAUUUACAGCCAGAUCUUAAAAUCCAGUUUAAGCAUGAACAUUGAAUCAGAGGUUUAAAGUUAGAAAAAGAGAGCAUCUAAGAAAAUAGAUAGAGUGCUGGGGCAUUUAGUGAUCAAGUUGAACCCUUCAUUGAAAAUUAAGGAUAUUAUUUUGAUGAUCAUGAGAAUAACUUGGUCAUCAAUUGAAAGACAUGUCUCAAUUAGGUCAAACAGUGGAUGCGUGAUCCUAUAUCGAGAGUAACAAAAAGAAAUUAGCUCCACAAAAGCAUGAAUCAUUCGAUGUGAGGGAUGAACAACAAAGGUGGAGUUGUAUGCUGGACAAGUAUAGAAAAAGAAGUGACACACAUGUUCAGUUUAAGUUAGUGUUGUUAAAGUGUUACACAUGAUCUUUAUCUCCCAUUUUUCAAUUGCAUGUUAUGUACUUGCAUUCUCAAGGAUUGAUAUGAUAAAGGCAUUUUAUUCUACUAUCCAAACAUCGAGUCAUCCUUUGUUUACCCUAGUUGAGCCUUAGUGUUAUUUUCUUUCAUACCCCUCUCCUGGAAUCAAGAUAAAGCCAGCAAAGCUUAAAAGAAAAGUAUCGAGCAAGAGAAUAGAGUCAGAUAGUUUCAAAAAAAAAGAAAAGAGAGAAAAAUGUGUCUUCGAAGAAAGAAAAGAAUAUCAAGUAAUUGGAGUUAGAAAAAUCACAAAGAAAAAAGAGUAAAAAAAAAGAAGAAGAACAAGUCAGAAUCAAGCAAAAAAGAAUAAGCUGUCAGAACUACGCAUGACCUGAUUCUUCUCUCUCGGGGGUGAGAUACGUAGGCUGCUUUACUCCGGGAUCGUUCCAACCAAAUAAAUAAUUUAGAGUCACCAGUCAAAAGAAACUGGGGCAUGAGUUAAUCUACAUUGUUUGAGUCGAUUCCAAAAGUUGUAAAUCCCACCCAACUUCAAGUGUCGUUUGGGCCUCAUGUUAUCCUUUCUUUAUAAUCCUUUCCAAAAUCCAAGUUACAACCAAAGAAAGACCUUCAGAUCAAUCAUUGAGGAUGUGAAGGCUAAGCAUGCAAGGGAUAUGAUGAUGCAUUUGGAAACUACUUGUCUUCCUCAGCAUAAGGAAUCAAGAGAGAAAUAAAAAUGAGAGUCUUAUUAGUGAAAAUCCUCACGGGCACCAUAAGAUAAUGGUAAGUUGAGAGAGAUAAAAAUGAGAGAGUCUUAUAAGUGAAAACCCUCACGGGCACUGUAAGAUGAUUGCGAGUUGAGAGAAAUGGAGAUUCUCAUUGGUGAAAAACCCUCACGAACACUGUAAGGCAAUGGUGAGUUUAAAAAAAAAAAGAGAGGCUUGUUGGCGAAAACCCUUCAAGGUGUCACUAGCCGAGUGAGGUCUUAAAGGCAAUUGACCUAAGG
rnacentral:lncRNA from 1 species